UCUCUCUCUCUCUCUCUCUCUCUCUCUCUCUCUCUCUCUAUAUAUAUAUAUAUAUAUAUAUCACUACAACAAAAACGGUCUAUAGCGACACUUUUAAAUGUAGGUAUAUGUCAAAAAAGUGCUGCUAGUUAAAAUUACCGACACUUUUAAAAAGUGUUGCUAUAUGUGGGGUCGCUAGGUAUAUAGUGACAGUUAAAGAGUGUCGCUAUAAUCUAAAAGAAUGCUGCUAAUUUACCAACACUUAUUAAAGCAUUUAGCAACCGCCGAAACUCUAUCUCGUCAGCUGUGGUGGCGGAGGAGAACAACAGGAAAGGCUCUUCGUCUACAAUUUCAGUGGAUUGAGUGAAGAAAGAAGAAAAUAUGGUAAUUGAUUUUUCUUUUUUUUUUUUCUUUUAUGUUUGUAAUCGGGCCAAAUAGACUGGGUGUGGUGGGUUGAGUAGAGUAAUCUGUUAUUUUUUGUUGGAUUGGGCUUUAUAUUUAGGCAUUAGUAGAUUUUUUUUUAAGUUUUAGCAUAAAUGAGACACUUACUCAAAAGUGUCCCAAACAUGUGUCCCUAUAACCUAAUUCUGUUGUAGUGUAUAUGUAAUACAUACGUAUGUAUGUAUAUGCUAGCUAUAUAUAUACUUGCAUGUAUAUCAAGUAGCAGUGCAGUGUACUACUCCAAGGACUCUUCUCACAAUAGAGGACAACCCCAAGAGGUCCAAGAAUGGUCCAGAAUGAAGGCAGCAACAGCAUGUUAUGCAAUGUAUGUAGGGCAAAUGCAGGUCUGCUCUUACUGCCGGCAUAUAGUCAGAUGAAGCUGUACCAGCUGCUAAUGCUUUUGAUGUGUAUUAGCAUUCCCUUUUGGAAAAGGAAAAUGCUAUCUGUACACUCUUUAUAAAGUGUACAUUUUACACCUUAUGUCUAAGCGCUAUCCAACUCCUUUAAUUAGGGUCUUAGUUAAAAGAAUAAUAAUAAUUUGAUAAGACAAAUCAUUUAAUAAUAUAGACCAGGAGAGAGCUAUGGGUGUAAGAUUUACAUCUACUUCUACUUGUUCGAUGUACAGAUAGGCAUUAAUUGCUUUUUUCUUUUUAUUGAGCUCUUUUCAUUAUAGCGUCUACCAGUGACCUCCUUUUAGUACAUUUAAGAAAAACCCCUGUGAAGUCAUCUAAAAAUUAGCAACGUACAUUUCACUUAUAAGAAGAAAAAAAAUGUGAGAAAAAUUUUAUUUCGAGAUUAGGAUAUGAUAUGGUAGAACCAAUUUUACUAUGGAACUUUUGUUUCAUUGAGUCUGAUCGAAUCCACUAAUUAUUUAUCAUGAAUCUCUCACUUAAAGUAAAUUCCUCUUCGAUAAUAACGAAUUAAACAAUUAAAUAUUUCUUGCAAUUAACUAUUACAAUGCUUUAUCAGUAUAGUGGUUCUGCUUUAUUUUUUCUUAGUCAAUUUUGGGUUGGGUACAAUAAAAAUGACCAUUAUGCAAAUUAAGCAUUUUGAGAUGGACACAUAAAUGGUUCUACAAUCUAGUUAACCUUAUAACCUAUUUGAUUUUAGUAUUUAAUGAUAUUUUAAACUUUUUUAUUUUGCAUUUAACAAAAUAUUCUAUUGUUUGAUGUUUUUUUUUUUUAAUUUGUGUAACGUAAACUAUUUAAUUCACCUAUAAUUAUUUGAAUAUAAAAAAAGGGUAAACUUCAAAUACCACUUCUGUCAUUCUGUGGUUUUGCACUUUCUCACUUUAGUACCCUGUGAUUUAAAGUGUAUCAAGUUAGUAUUCAGUGGUUACAAUUUUAUCUUUUCGUCAGCUUUUUCGUUAAUAUUUCGUUAAAUUAUAUACAAAAAACUUCAGAUACCCUACUUAGGUUUAUCAAAUAUUCACUUUAAUAUCCUUUAGUUUUAACUUUGUCACUGUUUUAAUGAAAAAAAUUAGUAAAAUUGAUAAUAAAAAGAUAAAAAUGAAACUACAGAACACUAAAUUAAUACACUUUAAACUAUAGGGUAUAAAAAGUGAGAAAGUGUGAAACCACAGGGGUGGUAAUUGAAGUUUUUCCUAAAAAAUAUAUAUAAAUUAAUUAGCUAGCAGUAUCAAAAUUUGUUAAACUUAGGUAAGCUAGCAUUUCAAAUGCUCUAUACCCUUCUCUUUAAAGCCAAAUAUGGGAGUCUAACUUAACCUAAAUCCAUUACCUAUUCUUACAAAAAAAAGAAACUUCGAACUGUUUUAAUGUUCUAAUGUUCCUUGCAACCUAAUGUGUCCUUCCGCCACAGAAUUUGAAGAAAAACUUUCAUCUUAUUGAGCAAAAAAAGAUGUAAGUUUAGCUUUUUAGCUCUAAUUAAAUUAGUAUGAGAAAUCUUGUAAUAAUGCCAAUUAUUGGAUGACAUAUUAAACCAACAGAUUAGGAAACUUAAAUUGUUUAAGUGUUUUUUCAUUAUAAUCAUCUAAUUUGAUAGAAAUUAGGAAAAAUUUUAAUAGAUUAGUUAGUUUUAUUAUAAUCAUCAUAUUUGAUCGAAAAAUACGAAGAAUUUUAAUAGAUUAGUUAAGUUUAGUUUAUUAAAAUUUUAAUUAAUUUAAAAAACUUAAAUAAUUUAAAAUUUUAUUUUAUAAUAGCUAUUUUAUGUAUGGAUCUACUUUGAGAAUAUAAGGACAUUUUUGGCAAAAAAAUACUUGAUAUAUAUGCCUAAAAGUUCUACUCACUCUUUAAUGAACGAAGAUGUUCAAAAUGGGCUUUUUUUUGCAAUUGGCCCCCUAGAAAAAAUUAAUUUUAAAAAUAGCUCCAGCAAAUUUAUAUUUGCAAAAAUAGCCCUGACCCUACCACGCAAGCGCCACGUCAGCGCCAUGCGGGCGGGACUGCGGCCAGAUGGUUAAGUUGAACACGGUGAACCAUUCACCGUGUUCACUUUGUAUUACUAACCCGCCCAAGCUCCCACCCUCCUCUCUCGCUCGAUCUCUAUCUCUCUCUCUCUGUGGCUCGCCCCGACGCCGCCGCCACCGGCCUCUCUCGCUCGAUCUCUAUCCCCACCCGCAUUCUCUCUCUAACCUACUACUCCCUACCGCUCUCUCUCUAUCUGCCCCCCUCUCACUGUGCGCCCCCCUCCACAGAACCCUCCCCUCUCUCUCUCUCGUAGUUUUUUCUCACUAAUCAUUCUCCCUUUUUGUCUCUCUCACAGAUCACUCUCUCUCUCUGUUAUCUUUCCCUUGCCUCCAGAGCUCUUGAUCGGCAUAGAAGUCGGCCCGACCGUGAUUGCAAAAUGUUAAUUCCAUCUCUCAUCCUCUCAUUUGUUAUAUGUUAGAAAUGUGUUAUGUUAAUAUGUCAUGAGUGUAAUAAUUUUGUACAUAUUAUUAUAUUACUUUAGAACUCUAUGGCCGGCGAAUGUGUUCCUUUCUAUAUCCAUUGGGACGAAAAUUUAGUCGUGAACAAUAAUGUACCACGAUAUAUUGGUGGCCGUAAAAAAUUGGUUGCUUUCCAAUGCGAUAUCUCAUUUCGGGAAUUUGAGAUGGAAAUAUAUAAUAUUACUAACUAUGAUUGAGUAGAAGACCGUCUCCGCAUAAUGGUUCGAUGUCCAAUGGGAGCCAACAAAUGGAAAUUAGUUGACGUAUCAAGUGACAAUGCACUAAUUGGUGUGAUGAGUUUUUUUCUAUUCCAUGAAUGUAUAAAAUUAUUCGUGGAGAAACAUGUGUCGACGACACAAGACCGUCCAAGUACCGUUAAUUAUACGAAAAUGCGUAGUAGCGAUUAUCAAAGGAAUUACGUCAAUCGCGAACGAGAUCGUACAUCAAGAUAUAAAGUAAUGAUCUUUAUAAUUAUUUUUCAUAAUUCCUCAAUUAGUUCAGGUGCGUGAAAUUAAUAACUUUGUCUUGUAAAUAUUACAGAGAGUUUAGAGUUCCAUGUGUGCCAAUUAGCGCAUCAUUGCCAUCUAUAUGAUAGAUCCGUCUCCGUUGGUUGGUCAAAAUGAGCGGUAGGUGAUUGUAUGAUUUAGCUACAUGAAAAUUGGACCAAUGCAAAUAGUUAAUCUUAAAUAUCUUUGCAGGUUUACUAUCCCUCAUAAUCAAAGUGAAGGUCCAUCAUCUAGUGUUCGUGAAUGAACCGAUUGGGAAGUGAGAACUACAAUUGAUAAUGAUGGCGUAAAUAAAAGUGAUGAAGAGUAUAUUAUUGAAAGUGAUGAAGAGGAUCAAAGGCGAAUUGAUGCUGAUUCUAGUGAUGAUGAUGAAUCCUUUGUUCCGCAUUCUUUGGAUCUUGAUCAUGACAGUGAUUUGAAUGCACUUGCAUGCGCCAUUCGAAAUGAAGGUGUUGAAUGGAUUGAAAAUUCAAAUGUCAACAACGAUAAUGUACUGGAUCCGGUGGAAUUCGAUGAAUUUGAAGAUCAACGACAACGGUUUCUCUUGGGUGAUGAAUUAAUUCAUCAAUCCAUUGUUGAUGCAUAUACCGAACAAAAUAUUGAUCAAGGUCUUCCAAGUAAUGAGGCAUGGGCUAAUCGGACAUUUUAUGAUGCCUUGGUGAAUGCUUUGAAAGCUUGGCACAUUGCACAUAAUAUGCAGCUUAAAGUUGUUAAGUCGAAUACAACUAGAUACACUGUGAGAUGUGUGGUCGAUUCUUGCUCAUGGAGAUUACAUGCCUCUCAACCGAAAGAUCGUUCAUUUUUUAAAGUAAAAACUUAUAGAGGUCCACACACAUGAAUGAUUCCAAUUCUGAAUACAACGCAUCGAAACUGUACAUUCUCUUUCAUAUAUCAAUUUAUACUACUUACACUGAAAGCAAGGCUUACUAUGAGUCCUAUGAAAAUUCAAUCUUGAGUUCAGAGUGAGAUGCACGUUAGCAUAUCAUAUAGCAAGGCUUGGUGGGUCCAGAAUAAAGCAUUACAAAUUAUAUACGGUAGUUGGGAGCAAUCAUACUGCGACUUUCCUCGAUACUUCUCCAUAUUAGAAGCAACAAAUUCUGAAACUAUUACGAAGAUUGAUUUUAUUAGGGUGACGAGCACAACUAGAAUGUUUUCACAAGCCUUUUGGGCUUUUGGACCGUGUGUUGUAUCACUACUGAACACGGUGAACCAUUCACCGUGUCUAAACACGGUGAACCAUUCACCAUGUUUAGACACGGUGAAUCGUUCCCCGUGUCUAGUGUAUUACCUCCCCGCCUUGUAUAUUUGACUUGGACUGCAAGUCUAAGCCACAUAGUAAAUACAGUUUGGACACGGUGAACCAUUCACCGUGUCUAUACACGGUGAACAAUUCACCGUGCUUAACUUAACUAACUGACCCGCAUGGCGCUGACAUAGCACUUGCGUGGCAGGGUCAGGGCCACUUUUGCAAAUAUAAAUUUUCUGGUGCUGUUUUUAAAAUUAAUUUUUUCCAGGGGGCCAAUUGCAAAAUAAGGUCGUUCAAAAUUGAUAUUUUCUAAUAGCCUGCACGAUCUGUUUACUCGCUUAACAGUGUAUAACAAUCCUAAAUUUGGUGAAUUUUUAAUAGAAAAUUCUUUACAUUAUUUAGAUCACUUUCGACAACUCCGGUCUUGAUGAAGAAUCCUAACUAUUAUUUUCACAAUGUUAUUCAUUUUUUGACGGUUCAUUUUGUGGUCUGUUGAUGGACUUGAUAGCAAGGAUUGAAAAUGAAAAAAAUUCAAUUUUCUAAACAUUUCAAUUACUCUAAAUUAUGUUUAACAGUGUCAAUCGUUGAUUCAAAUGCUCUAUCUUCAAAAGUAACUCCAUAAUGUAUACCCUUAAGAGUGUAUAUAUGAGCUAGGCUGGUAUACUAUCGGUAGCACGGAGGCCUCCGUGCUACCAAGUUGUUUUCAAUAAUGCGGCUUUCAAAUUGACGAUCAGCUCCGUUAGACGUGAUCUACACUAUUAAAAGUAUUUGAAAAUUAAAUUUCAUAAUUUUUUCGACAUCAUUUGGCUAGUGAUCAAAAGGUUUCAAAAUUGACAAUUUUAAUGGGAGAUGCGAUGCGUUUGUGAAUUUAACGGUGUAAAACAAUCGAAAUCUGAUGUAAUUUUUAUAGAAAAUUUUUUUCACUAUUUAAAGUAAGAUCAGUACAUAUGAUCUUAAAUUCAAGUUUUUUUUCAUCAUUUUUUAGAAGAUUUUUAUUUUCAGUCGUUCAUUUUUAGACUACUCGUUUGAUAGGUAAAUGAUGUUGAAAAUUUAUGAAAUUUAGUUUCCAAAUACUUUCAAUAGUGUAGAUCAAGUCUAACGAAGCCGAUUGUCAAUUUGGAAACCGCAUCAUUGAAAACAACUUGGUAGCACGGAGGCCUCCGUGUGACCAAUAGUAUACCAGCCUAGCUCUAUAAAUAUAUGAAUCCGGCUAUUAUACUCUUAUGAGUACGAUCGCCCUCGUACUCAUAAGUUGUUUUCAAUGAUAGAGCUUCCGAAUUGACGAUCCAUACCGUUAAACAUUAUCUAGAGCAUUUUAAACGUCUAGAAAUUAAAUUUUAUAAUUUUUCGAUAUUAUUUACCUUAUGAUCAAAAGGUCACAAAAUUGAUAAUUUUUAACGGCCGAUAUGGGAUAUUUGCUAGUUUAACGGUGUAAAAGAAUCGAAAUAGGAUGAAUUUUUGAUAGAAAAUUCUAUUCACUACACAGAUAAAGAUCAAUAACUCCGAUCUUAAAUGGAAGGAUCCGAUCAUGCUUUUUUAAGACAUCAUUCGAUUUUGACCGUUCAUUUUAUACCCGCUUGAUGAACUUUAUUAUGAUUUCGAAAAAUUGUGAAAUUUAUUUUCUAGAAGUUUAAAAUACUCUAGAUUAUAUUUAACGGAGUGGAUCGUCGAUUCGGAAGCUCCAUCAUUGAAAACAACUUAUGAGUAUAAAGGGCUCUAUACUCAUAAGAGUAUAGUAGCCCUAGCCCAUAUAUAAUUUUUUUACCGUAGAUCUACGCCUUUGAUCAGUUUAUCCGUUAGAUAAUACUAUUCAACCAACUCACCGCUUCAAGACCCUUGAGGGCCCACAUCAUCCUAACCGCACAUUUCUUAAUCCAAGGCCGAAAAUUACAAGCACCAAUGACUUUGAUACUUUUAAAAGCAUAGGAGCUCAAUUUAUAUUAUAUAAUAUAUAUAUAUAUAUAUAUAUAUAUAUAUAUAUAUAUAUAUAUAUAUAUAUAUAUAUAUGGGUUCAGCUGGAAUGCUUCCAGAAGUAAAUAGGGGAGAUUACCUAUGCUUCAUUUCCAACAAUAGAGAAUCCGAAUUGAUGAUCUACAUGGUUAAGUUUGAUCUAGGCUAUUUGUACUUCUUAGGUUUCAAAUUUUAUAAUUUUACAACAUUAUUUACCUAGCAUUCGUGUAGUCUAAAAAUUAACAUUUCCUAGUGACUAGUGUAAAGUGAUUUGAGAUUACUUGAUCACUAGGCAUUAGUAGACAAGUGACAGCCUAAAAUUGCAAAAUUCGAAUCCUAAUUAAGAAGUUCAAAUAGCUAGGUUAUGAAUAUAUAUACACACACGAAUUGAAAAGAUGUUCAAAUAGUAAUGGUUACAAUCAUAUUUUAAUUAUAUUGUAAGAUAUUUAAUAAGUCAAAAGGUUAAGAAAAUAUUUCUAUAUUGUUGCAUUAAUUAGUUUCUAAAUCUCAUUCAUAUGAAAUAGUUAUAGAAACCAGUGAAGUAGAAUUAUGAUAAAAUUAUAUGCUAAAAUCAGGUAUAUAGUUUUUGACUAUUAUUUUUCUAAAGAAUAGAUUAAGAUACUAAUAUGAAAAAAUAAAAAUAAACACCUUAUAUGAAACAAAAUACAACCUUAUUUUUAGUCAAUGUUGUAAUAUGCAAAUUAAUAUUAUACUUUCAUAUAUAUAUAUAUGCCCCUCUUUUUAAUUUCUGUGAGCCUGCUUGGCCAAAACAGAUAGGAAUAUAUGAAAGAAAUAAAAACACUAGUUGCAUUCAUAAAGUUAAUUGAUUUUCUAUCAAUAGAUUAUCUGCCGUAAAUAAAAUAGUCAUUCAAGAUAAUCUAUAUAAGACUGUAGGUGAUAAGAACACUACUACUAUCAUGAUUGUUAGUUUCUCUUUUUCUCCAUUUAACAUAUCAUUAGAAAGUCCUUAAAAGAGCCAAAAAGUAAAAGAUGAACCAUCAUUACGAUUAGAACUAGUAAGAGCCAGAUUUAUUUUCUUUUGGCAUCCUUUUUACUGUACUGUGACAUAUUUAUUGCAUCUUGAACUAUCAACGAGAGUCAUAUAAAUUAAAGCAACCAACUUAUUCAAAUUUCAACAGGGAAGAAUCGGACAUGAAGACCUAAAUUACAAGUUGCGAAUAUUCACAAUUUCAUGUGAUUGAAUAUGUCGUUUUUAAUCUUGUCACUAAUCAUCAAUUUACUUACGAUUUACCCAUGCUAGCGGUACAGAAUGAUGUUAAUUUUUUAAAAAAAUAUAUAUACAAGCAAAAAAAUUAUUGCCAAAUUUCGUUGCAAACCAUCCGUUAUCCACUCGCACACUCCAUCACACAACAUUUGAACCAAAGAAAAACGAAGCACCAGUACUAAUCAAGCCUAAUUCAUUUAAAAAAAAAUAAGAAAAGGAAUUAAUUUACGAGGAUGUCAAAAAUAACUUACCAUGUGGAAGCAAUAAGCAAACUAAGGGCAUGCACCUCAACUUGGCGUACAUAUUUCACGGUAGUACGAGAUACUUAGGUUACUUAAUUAGUCGCUCAUUGCUGAUGCAGCAUCAUCAAGAUUCUCAUGCAUGUUUCCAUGAUAGUAAUUAAUCAGGUUGCAGCUGAUGAGCUGAAGCACUCCAUGUGAAUCUUGAUGAUGCCACACCUGCAAAUACCGACUUUUCGUCCAUCGAAUCUGUUGCAGGUGUGUGUGUGUGAGAGAGAGAAAGAAGAGGGCUGCAGGCUCAGAUCUUUCGCAAGUGAAUCUUACGAAAGAAAGGGAAAAAUAUAUAAGAGAAAGGAUGCACAAGAGAAGGCUGUGGAAACAACAGAGAGAGGCCGAGAAACGCUGAUACAAAUGGCUAUUAAUCUUCAUUAACUGUACUAUGCUGGUCGCGACUUUUGUUCUCUCUACUUUUUAACUUUAACACUUUUAUUUAGAUGUGAUGUUCACAUCAUCAUAUUAGAAAAAAAAAAAAUCUUAAUUUUCUUGUAUAACAGCGCUUUAUCUUUUUUGUUUGUAAAUUAUGAUAAAUACAUUUUAAAGGAACGAUAGUGUGACAGACAAAAAGGUUUAAAAAUAAAAAUAUUUAAGUAGAAAGUGUAGAGACCAAGUUAUGAUCGAGCCCCGGGCGAGAAGUAGAGGGCCGCAAAGUGGCGGUACCUGUUGUGGGCCCCACACUUUCCCCACCCCCCCUCCCAAGUGCCCCAUCACGCUCACGAAGAGCUGAUUUAUAAGAUAUUUUAUCGCCGACCAUCCCUGGCACGAGUGACUAAGAACUUGGUGGUUCGUACCUAAGUUACUUUACAUCUCCAAUUAAGUUUAUUUCUAAAAGAAAUAAACAAAAGCAGGUAGCAUGUUACUUUUCUCUCAAAAAAAGAAAAAAAAAAGAAGAAGAAGAUAUUUUAACACCAACUAAUCCCCACCUCCUCCAAAACCAACCACAACUUAAUUACCUAUGUCAAUAUAUAUUAUACAACCAAUUUAUAUCUAUACAUACGUAGUACAAAAACAAAGAUACUAGGUUAUACGUACAUACCAGGAGGAGAAAGAUCAGAGAAUUAUAUUUCCCAGCUGCACCAGGUGCAUGUUUCCGUAUGCCUCUUCACUGAAUGCAAUAUUUUAAUAAUUAGUAACCUACAGAUGAAAGGUAAUCCUAUAGAUGCAAUCUACACUAUCUAAAAGGUCUAGAUUUAAAACUUUGUAUGAUUUUAAAAAAAAGAAAUAUAUUUCUACGGCAUUAUGUAGUCUGAAUAAAUAAAAAUAUUCUUUAAUUUGUAAGAGAUAAGUUUUCAAAAUUUAUGACUUUUUAUAACUAAUGAGUUACAUUAUAGUUUUGAAAUCUUUUCAUGGAGUUUUAGGGGUAGGAAUAAUUAAUUUAUCUAGAAGAAGGAAAAAUUAAUUUAAUUGCAUCCUAGGGAAAAAAAAAAUGAAGAGAAAAUUGAGUUUAACUCAGGUAAAGAUGGGGCAACAAAUUUAAUUAAAGACAGCCUGACUGUGUUAUUGAUUAAAUGCAAAGAACAUAAAAUAAUAAUGUAAACGUUAGGAAGUGAAAAGUUUAAAUAAGAACGCAAAUAAAAUGAGUUUUCAAUUUUUAUUUUAUUAUUGCAACUUUCACCCUGUUCGUGUUCAGAGAACAAAAGAAAAAGAAAAAAGGAUAAUAAGAAUUAAUUGGAUGGUCUUUCGCAAAUGCACCAUAAUUAGAAAAGUUAUAUAGACAGGAAAUCUUGGAGGCAUGCAGCACAGAUUUAAUGGAGGGAAAAGCUCAGAAGAUAAAGAGAGUACAUAGCCUAAACUAUGCAACUUUUGAUCCAUGAUUUGAGCACCUUCCAAUGGGGAGAGAGAGAGAGAGAGAUCUAGAGAGAGAGAGAGAGAGAGAGAGAGAGAGAGAGAGAGAGAAUAGAGGAGAAGAUGUAAGGGGCUAUGACCUGCAUAUGAGGAAUGCAUGAUGCAUCACUUGAUUUGGAAGAAAUUAUUGCCUGCUCCGGGUGUAUCAACAUCCAUAAAUGUUUGGCAUCAUCACAAUCAACAUUUGAAGAUUAUGUCUCGGCUCCUGUUUAGUUGACUCGGGAGAAGAUUUAAGGGGUAUUUAUAUAGUGUGUACAACUACUAUGCUUCCGGAAGUAUAAAGGCAUUGAUGCUUUUGACUUUUUAACCAUUGGAUCAAAAAUCGUAGGGUUAGGAUGAUAGUGCUCCCUCUAAAGUUUAGUGAUCCUCGUAGGAUAAUAAUAUUAAUCCAAAGAUUAAAAAUGAUAAAAGAAAUUUAUCCAAAAUUAAAAAAUUAGAAGCACCGCAUGACUGGUGCUUCUAGAAUCACUAUAGUUGGACUAUUUAUAUAGAAAGAGAGAGAGAAAGAGAGGGUUCAGAUACUAUGCUAUUAAUAGUACCAACUAGAUGGUAUUGCCGACUUUUCCGCCGUUAGAUCUACCCCUUUAGCCAUUUUCACCCUUUAGGUCAUACUAUUUCACCAACCACCAAUCACUAAACCCAAGUGGACCACUAUCAUUCUAACCACACAUCUAUUCAUUCAAGGACCAAAAAUCUAAUAGUACCAAUGACUUGGUUCUAUUAAUAGUAUAGUAGCCUAGUUAUAGUGUGUGACCUGGUUCUAUUAAUAGUAUAAUAGCUUAAUUAAUUAUAUGUGUGUGACCUGGUUCUAUUAAUAGUAUAGUAGCCUAGUUAUAUGUGUGUGUCCGUGGAGUGAACCAUUUGCUUUGGGGAAAUUAAGUUUUCAUGUCAAACGAAUUUGAAAGACAUAGUCUACAAUAUCUGAAAAGCGUGUGUACGUGUUAAUUUUUAAGUAAAGUAUAUGGAAGGUUUCUAAUAUUCCUUUGCUCAAGUUUUAAUUAAUUGAGUCACUAACCUUAUAAUUGUUGAGUUACGUUCUUAUUUACUAAUUAAGUUUCAAUUGAGUCCCUAACUUUCUAUAUAAUUGUUGUAAUUAUUUAAAAUAUGGUUUUUUUUCUAUCAUAAUCUUUGCUUAAUUGGAUGAAAUUUGUUACUACAAUAACAACGUAGCAUGGAUAAUUUUGAAUACUAAUUUCGUCCUAAUAAAAAAGAAGACACAUUUUAAUUUCUGCUAUUGGUUUUAGAAAUUAAUUACUUGCACUAUAAUAGAAUUAGGUUAUAGCGACACAUGUUUGGGACACUUUUGUAUAAGUGUCACAUUUAUGUCAAAACUUAAAAAAAUCCUACUAAUGUCUAAAUAUAAAGUCCAAUCCAACUAAAAAUAAAAAGGUACUCUACUCAACCCACUCCACUUAGCCCAUUCGGCCCGAUUACAAACAGAAAAAAAAAAAAAAAGAAAAGAAAAAGAAAAGAAAAUUUGAUUAUCAUUUUUCCUUCUCCCCUCACUCAAUUGACUGAAAUCCUAGACGAAGAUCAUUUCCCCUCGUCCUCCUCCGCCACCGCAACCAACGAGGUAGAGUUCCGGCGGUUGCUAGAUGCUUAAAUAAAUAUUGGUAAAUUAGCAGCACUCUUUUAGAUUAUAGCAACACUCUUUAACUGUCACUAUAUAUCUAGCGACCCCACAUAUAGCAACACUUUUCAAAAGUGUCGGUAAAUUUAGCCAGCAGCACUUUUUUGACCUAUACCGACAUUUAAAAGUGUCGCUAUAGACCGUUUUUGUUGUAGUGAAUUGAUUGUCCAGAAAAUGGAUUUUUAAAAUAUGUAACAUAAUUUUUAUGCAUACGCUCUUUAGAAUAAAAUCUUAUUAACUGAAUUAAUUUUAAUACAUUUAUUAAAUUUUAGCUGUUGUGCGAAUAGUGUAGAUAUCUAAGAAGAAAAAAGAAAGUGAUAUAAAAUAGGAAACUAUUUUCCAUAAUCUAACCUACUUUGGUAAUACGAUGGCUAAAAUUAAGCAUCUUUAUUAAUUAUACUAUUAAAUAUCAUAAAAGAAAAUCAUAAAGCGCUAACACUUUUUCCUUCUUUUAUAUUAUAAAUGUUGGUUGCAAUAAGCAUAUAGUCACAUACUUCUUUAAUGGCUGCAAGUUCAUAGUAUAAAAGAAGAAAAAAUCAUAAGUACUUUUGUAGUGCUUUUUAGAUAUUCUAUAAUAUAAUAAAGAUGCUUUUAACGACCAUAUUACCAAAAUAGACCUCAGUCCACCACAUUAGAACUUAGGAAAGAAAGCGUUGCAGACUCUAUUUGAUAUAAAAAAUUGAUAAAAAAAAGAUUUGAUUAAACAGAAUAAAAUAGAUUAGAGAACAGAAAAAAAAAAAAAGAUUUAAUUGUAAUAAUUAGAAAGGUAAUGACUUAAUUGAAACUUGGGUAAAAGGUCAACGACCUAAUUCAUGUGAAAAAAAUUUAGUCCAUGACAAGAAUUUAUUAGUGUCUUAAUAUGAGGCCGUAUGAAAAACUUGUCGGCAUGGUGCCAGGCUAUGCCAAUGCAUACCGGUUCACAAAAAAAUAUAUAUGUACCGACACAUAAUAAUAUAAAAUAUUUAUUUUUUCAAUAAUAAAGUAUCUUAAUUACUUACUGUGUAUUUUUUUCAAAUUUUUUAAAUUUUAGUGAGAAAAAUUAUUUGCUAAUUUAAAAAAAAGAAAGUUUUGAGCUGUGUCAUCAAGAAGGAAUUACAUUAUGCUGAUAUCUUAUUGACACAAUAAGAUACGGUAGAUACGGUCCAUAUUAAUGUACAUUUAAAUCAUUGGUCCAUAAUGGUCCAUAUCAAUGUGCAUUUAAAUCAUUGGUCCAUAACAAAAAUCUUGAAUCCGGUUUCUAGAACUUUAUUUUUAAUCAUUGUCUUGGAGAUAAUAAUAAUUAAGAUAAAAGGUGGGUUUUCAGUGAUUGGUACGUGCUUAGCUGUAGCGUGGUGGCACUGUACGUUUUGUCUUCCAAUUACACACACCCUUGGUCCCGUUUCCCAAUUCCAUCAGUUGCAAUCGUUUUUUUCUUGCCGGAAAUAUAAAAAAAAAAAUUUAAGACCAAUGUUUGAUGCGUACAAUUCGGAAAUUUAUAAGAUAAUAUUAUAUUAUGAAACUACUCGGAUACAUUUGAAAAGGAGAAAUAUAAAAACAUAAAAAAUGUAAGAUUCUGAUGCUUAGUGUGCAUACUUCAGAAGUUUAUAAGAUGAUAUUGUAGUAUUAUUACAAAAAAGGAGAAAAAAAUUCAGCAGAAUCGAGGUUCCAAUAAUAUUGUUGGAACCUCAGACUUAGAUACUAUGUUCGCGAGUACACUAUCACAGACUAAGUGAUUUCACCCAUAGAGUCCGUGUGGCGUCCACCUUCCUCUGUGUAGAUAGGCAAAAAGCCUUCCUCUCUGCUUUGCUAUCCCGAAUCUAUAAUAUAUUGAAUCUUCGAAUUGUAAUGCUAACUUUAAUCAAAUUGAUCGAAAUAUAGUAUGUGGGUGAUAAGUGAAGUCCCCGAGUUGUCUUAAAGGCGUUGGGAUUGUUAGAAGCGAGUUUCGGGAGUGUUUAAGCGUUUUCGGCACAAAUCGGGCUCGAAAAGGGACUCCGAGAUGUUAAGUCUGCUGGAAAUGCAGAAAAUGCAUUGAGUACCGGUACCAGGACUUGGGGUACUGAUACCCAAUACGAGGACAAAUUGAGCUGCUCUCGGGUUGAGGUACUGACUCGGUGGUACCGGUACUGGUAAGGCGGUGUACUGGUACCGGUUGUUGAGUACCGGUACUCAGUAUGAUACCCGAAAAGCUAGCUCUCGAGUUUGGUUGCUGCGUAGGUGUGUACCGGUACUAAAGGUACCAGUACUGGACAGUGAGUAUCGGUACCUGUAUAAAACUCAGUUACGCAACGUUCGGGUUGAGGUACCCGGUGGCGGGUACCGGUACUUGGGGGCUUGCAUACCGGUACUCCAAUUCGAGUACCGGCACUAAGCCUUGUGAAGGGCUAAAAUUAAAUAGUUUUAAGAGGUGAUAGUUGGAGGGUUAAAUUGCAAUUGUGCUGACCUAUAUAAGGGGCCCAAUGCAAUAGCUCUUCAUGUACGGGCAAAAGGCUAACCUUCUCAUUUUCUUUUUAUUCCUUCUCUCCUUCUCUCUCUUGAAACUCUCCAACAAGGUGAAAUUAGAGGAGUUUGAAGGUGAGAUUUGGAGCUUUUGGAGGUGAAGAGACUUGAAGUAAAGAAGAACCUUGGGAGCAAGGGAAUCAAGGUGAGUUCCUUUGCUUGUACACGUUAGGGUUUGAUUCAAUUACCCUAAAUUGCAUGUGUUUAGAGUUCUUGGGAUUUGAGGGCUUAGUUUAUGCCAUGAAUUCCUAGAAAUUUUGAGUAAGUUUAAUGUAUGAAAACCCUAGGCUUGAAAUUAGGGUUUUGUUGGAAUUGAGGUUUAUGAUGAAUUGAUCUCUUGUAUUCCUAAUUGAAGGAUAAUUCAACGUGUUGGGCGACUCGGAUUGAAGUUCCGACGAGUUUACGGCACCCUAUUGAAAAAAAAUCUCGUUUUGCUUUUGUUAGCGUUGGGUCGAAAAAAAUAGGCGAAGAUAAAUUGCAGGACUUAGAUUCUCGCAUCUCGGCAUCCCCACGAGGUAGGUGGUGCUAUCCGAAACCAUUAGAUUUUUCAUUAUGUCUAUAUCAUCUUUGAGCAUAUUUGAAUAAGUAUAGCAUUUAUGCAUUGUAGGGUUAAAUGGCAAAAUAUGGAAUCUCUUGCAUGCUUUUAAUGUAAAGAUGUAUGAGAAUUGGCAAUGGAACUUUGGACAUGAGAAGCCUAUAGAUGUAUGAACCAAGUUGUAAACUAUGACAAUAUAGUAAACAAGGUGACAUUAAGACUAGAUGGAUUAAAUAGCACCUAGAGACAUGGUAUGCUAGAAAAAUGAAACACUUAAUGUAUGACAUUAGUGACAUGGAAUCCUCCAAGUUGAGAGUUAGAUCAUACUCACAAGUAGUCAAAUAUGCUUGAGGGUGGUCGCUCCACCUCAAACGGUGAGCUUCGGAGUUGUCACCAGCUGGGCGGUAGCAAAAUUCUCCCCAGCAGACGAUCCCGUCGGGUUGUAGUGGUUUUCUCCCCGACAAAAGGGAUUUGGCUUGGUGAGUUGAGAUUAACCAAAAAGGGUUAGCCAAAAGGAUCGGGUAAAGGAAAAAGGUAAAGGAAAGCUGCAUACAUCAUAUUGCUUCAUUUAUUGUACAGGCAUAGUAGUUGCAUUAAUUAGAGUUGAUUAUCUAUCUAUUUCUUUUCUACUUAUACCUGAUUAGACCUAGUGGAAAAGUCGGUUGGGUCGGCGGCCGAACCCACUAGAAACUUCUUAUAGUUCUCAUCCUACUCUUUUUGCAGAGCCUAGUGCGAGCGGGGCGGUUGAGGAUCGCGGCAAGGGCAUAGCGCCCUAAGUAGUGGACUCUUGUGGCACUAGUUGUACCCCUAUGUUCAUCUUUUAUUUUGAUGAAAAAAACUUAUAUAAAUGUAAACUUGGGAGAUGUAUUAUGUACAAAAUAAUGUAUGAAAAAGAGAGUUGUAUUUUGGUUAAAAUAAUUAAAGUUCAAUGUAUGGAUGUAAUAGCUAGUAUUUUACUUUCAUUUGCUCAUGUUGCUUGCCAUCGUAUAAGCCAUGUAUAUUAAAAAUUUUUUGAGCAUAUGUGUAUACAUGCUACUGUUGUUGUUGUUGGGCCUUGGAUGGGCAGAGGAGGUUCUGUCCGUUCAGCAUCUAUGCUCGUGCCCAAACCGACCAAAUUGGCGGUCACGGGGCAUGACAAAUUCUUUACGCCUUACGGCCCUUACGACUAAGUGCAAAAGAGAGAAAGCGAGAGAUAGAGGUUAUGUGAAAAAAACUAAAUACUCCUAUUGUUUAGAGAAUAGAUUACAAGUACAUCUCUCUUCAUUCUAUGGCCUAAACCUUACCCACUAUUCAUAGGCCCUAUGUUCCAGUAAGCCUACCACCGCUAAAUGGUCAACAUUUAGGUAAAGAGAACCUUUGAGUUGCCAAUGACCUUUAGACUUCCACAAAACAGUUUCAAAGGCUUUAACUUCAGUGGUAUUCGUCUUUCACAAUACCUCUUCAAUUGCCUACUUUCUACUUGUGAGGUUGAUCAGUGACAUGGGCCAAAAAUUUCUCAAGUCCCUAGCACUCUUCCUACCUAAUGUGCAGGCGUCCUCAUUGUGCACUGCUGCUGGAACUCAUUGAUGAAAGCUUGGUACUGCCAAAGUGUAUAAACCUUCUCAUGAUUGCCACGCUGUACGGGAGAUUUUUUCACUUCACGAAGUACUCAAGGCUUGGCAAAACUUCGCAAUGCCGAAUGGUUCCAGCAUUCAGAAUGGACUAUGUCUCUUUGUCCAAAAAUAUAGUCAUAAUUGCUGGAGCUCGCUGCAGCACACUACGAUUUGGGUCCUCCGUGUCUUUAUGGUACGCCUUUAACCAACUAAACAUGAAAGACUGGAUAAUUCGAAGGUUUACAGGUAGUUGUAACUUGUAGGUAGCCUUGCCCACUCACUUGACGAUAGAAAAUAGGUAUUCGUACUUGUGCAACAACCCUUUAUGCAGCGCCUUGAAAUGUUGUGGUUAAAGCUUGACCGUCACUCAAUCUCUCUCAGCAAACUCCUGAGGUUGCCACUUCUCAUCAACCCAUGUCUUUGUUCGUUGGGCUAAUUUCUCCAAGCUGGCUCUCGCAAUCUCACGUUUUUCCUAUUAGUUAGAGGUGAAUUGGAGAGCUACAGGACUAUAAUACUACUCUCCUGUAGUUGCUGUGUGUGUGGGGGGGAGGGAGUAGUUGUCGCUCGGUUGCUAGCUCAAAGGCACUACAACCUGUAGAGUCGAUGUGCCGCAAAUUGUAAGAAAAUUGGGCGACAUCAAGGUGACGCAUCCAAUUUUUUUGGUUCGCACUAUAUAGUGCCACAAGUACUCCUCUAAUAAAGUGUUCACCCCUUUUAUUUGCUCAUCUAUAUAUAAGUAAAAAUUGGUGGACAAAAAUAACUCGAAAACCCCCAAGAUUUUCAAUACCUUCGUCUAGAAUUUGCCUAUGAACCUGGGAUCACUAUUGUUUACGAUGCUCUUAGGGAUCCCCCAAAGCUUGGCAACAUAGCUGACGCAGAGUCGUGUCAUUCUUUCAAUCGUGCAUAGUCAAUCUAAGUAACAAUGAAGGUCCUAUACAUAGAAAAGUGAUCCACCAUCACCAGAAUGGGCCCAAACUCUCCUACUUUUGGUAAAAUAGAUAUGAAGUCCAUAGAAAGGCCCUCCCAAGGAGGGCUUGGCACAGGUAAAGGCUCGAGGAGGCUGCUAAGUCAGUGGUGUUCAGCCUUGUCUUGUUGUCACAACAAGCAAGUUCGCAAGUAGACCUCAACAUUUUCGUGCAUUCGAAGUCAAUAGUAAGCGGCCUCAAGUAGUGCUAAAGUCUGCUUAUAUCCUAGGUGGCUUGCCCACUUGGAGUCGUGACACUCCUUCAUAAGCACAUGGUGAAGGUUGCCCACUUAGGCAUAUAUGCCUGCCGCCCAUAUGUGAGGAGCAGCUCAUUGCUCAGCUAAAACUUUCGUGCCUUGUCUUCCUUGACGAGAUGCUCCAAGUUCUAAGAGAUAGGGUCCUCAUUUGUUCCUUUACAAAAUCACUCAACGGGUGCCCCGUGAAGUUGCCAGUACUCUGCGGCCAAUGUGGCCUUACGGCUAAGUAUGUCCGCCACACGAUUCUUCUUCCCAGAUUUGUACUGUAACUCUAUGCCAAACUUCGCCAAGAAAUCCUGCCAUCUUGCCUACUUUUGUGACAACUUCUUCUAUAGUUGGAAAUAACUUGUGGUGACAUUAUCAGUGCGCACCACAAAGUUGCUUCCGAGUAGAUAUUGCAGCUAGGUCCACAAGAAGUGCACAAUAGUGGUCAUCUCCUUCUCCUAGACAAUGUACCGCCACUCGGUGUCAUUGAGCUUGCAGCUUUUUUAAGAUGGGUUGCCUAUCCUGCAGAAGGACACCGUCGAUAUCAAAGUUCGAGUCAUCAUUAUGCACUUCAAAUAAGCGACUACAAUCAAGAAGUCAUAGUACUAGAUCUUCGGCACCACCCGCUUAAGGUCCUCGAAUGCCUCCACGUACUGUGGGGUCCAAUUCCACAAGUGAUUCUUCAACAAGUCCGUUAAUAGGGCUGGUUGUGCAAAGUAGCCCGUAAUGAAGCAGUGAUAGUAGUUGAUAAGCUUGAGGAACGACUGCAACUCAGACACUGCCGUUGGGGUCUCCUAAUCACAAAUGGCUCGCACCUUCCAUUGGUCCAUAUAGAGUUGGCCCUAGCUUAUCCAAUGGCUAAGGAAGUGCACCUUCUCUUUCACAAAUAUGCACUUUUCCUUCUUGAUGAAUAGUUGAUUCUUGACAUGUGCUUGACUUGCUCUUCCAAGAUUUUGCUUUACACGGCGAUGUCGUCAAGAUACACCACCACAAAGCAAUCGAGGUAGGGAUGGAAUAUCUUACUCAUGAACAUGCAAAAAGCCACUAACGUAUUCGUCAAGCCAAAUGACAUGAUAAGAAACUCGUAAGACCAAUACCUUAUCAUGCACGUGGUCUUCUCCUCCUCUCCUUCCGCGUGGUCUUCUCCUUCUCUUCUUCCGCGAUCCGCGCUAGAUAGUACCAAAAGGGAAGAUCGGGCAUGGUGAAAUACUUUGCUCCGCCCAACUGGACAAAGAGUUCUACAAUCAAAGGGAUGUGCUGUUGAGCACUCUGUAAUCAAUAUGGAGAUGCAGGCUUUCAUUGCUUUUCUACUAGAACAACACCGGUGCUCCAUAGGGAUGAAGCCUGGUUAAAGCUCAAUCGCAUAGUCUACCUCCCGCCUUGGUUGAUCCGGGACGAUCAAACCAUCCGGAUAAGUUUCAAUUGUUGCGGAUAAGGCGGAGUCCGUUCCAACUUCUUCGGUUAGGAUAAGAAUCGAGGUUCCAACUACUUCAGUUAGGAUAAAGAUCGAGGUGGUUCCAAAUUACUUCGGUUAAAAUAGGGAUUGAGAUGGUUCCAACUACUUCGGUUAGAAUAAGGAUAAAGUUGUUAUUUUCAAAAUAUUUUGUUCUUAUUUUCUUAUCAGCCUGAAGGCUAUAAAUAGAGAUCCUACUGGCUCUUGUAAAGUCACUCCAGUUUAGAGAGAAUUAAUCUACAGACUCUUCCACAUAAAAAUACUGUGUUCUUUUCUUUUUUUUCUCUUUAAUCUGGUUUCAGAUAUCCAUCGGGGAGGCGCUGCGACAUUGCUUCCUCUACCGAUGGAUCAAAUGGUAUCAGAGCAUCUGACCCUGGUGAAUGGUGCGAACAAGAAGCGUCUACAAAGCUACCGGUGAACAACUCUCCGUCCUCGACAUCUUCCGCAAGCCACCGACAAGAAAAAUGAUGAGCGCAUCUACCAUGCCUACAGACGAGUAGAUAGCGACACCAUCUGACCUUGCCACCAAGGUUGCCACGCUGUCCGACGACAUGAAGACCAUUUUAGAUUGGAUUAAGAUCCAAUCUGCAGCACCAUUGGCAAUGCCGGUGGAGAAGAGUGGUCAACUCGCAGGAACUCCUCUUCCAAAGGCGCGUGUGACGCCGAUGAAGGGCACUGUCGAGGAUACCUCGGGUGUGCGAGACGACGACGACUCCGACGAUGACGGAAGCAUAGCUCCGUCGGUUGCAAAAGGGAGGUCACAACCGUUUAAGGUUAAGGCCAAGAUCAAGAUCCACAACUACGACGGUGUUGUCGACGCUAAAAAGCUGGAUGCCUGGCUUGACCAACUAGAGACGUAUUUUGACCUCUACAACUAUAGCAACGCGUAAAAGAUAACUUUCGCAAAACUAAAACUUGUAGGUCAUGCUUUGACUUGGUGAAAGGCCACUCUCCAAACUUUCGCCAACGAGGAGUUUAUCUGGAGUCAGUUUAAACAACUGAUUCGCCAAGAGUUCUACCUUAUGGGAUAUGAAGAAGAGCGAUGGAAGCGUUGGUAUGUCCUGCGCCAAAGACAUGACCAGACAGUGCAGAACUACAUCACCGACUUCCGGCGCCCAGCCUUAGUGCUUGGCAUCUCCCUCAACGAUCCACAGGUUUUUCUUAUAUACACCGCGGCCUAUAGGAGCGCAUCAAUGAUAAGCUUCGUCUCUUCGGUGUUCGUAAUAUUGCCUCGGCGAGCCAAACAGCCAUGGUGAUUGAGCAAAAGAACAAACUGUCUCAUGGGGAGAAGCCAUCUAGAGAGUCUGCCGAGGGCUCGAAAAAGUUCAAAAACAAGGGCUCUAAAAAAAAAAGGGUCCUCUGAUCCUGAUUUGUACUGUGAUCAUUGUAAAAUCAUAGGACAUGUCAAGGAUCGAUGCUGGAAGCUCCAUCAAGAGAUGAGACAAAAAAAAAAAGAACGAUCAUGGUAAACGCACAACGACAACGGCAACGACAUCAGCAGGAUCGACAAGUGAUGCUCCUACCUUAAUCGGACGGAUUGAUCAAGUGAACACUAGCUUGUCUCUAAUAGCUAUGCUGAAGGAGACAAGCCUGUGCCCAUCAAAUCCGACUGAUAAGAGAGAGGAGUUGUUCAUUUUUCGAGUUCAAGUCAAAAAUGAGGUGAUCGAUGCCAUUAUCAAUCCCGGCAGCCAAAAGAACUUGAUCUCGAAGAACUUAGUUCAAAGGCUGGGUUUGUCAACUACACCACACCCACACCCAUAUCUAUUAGGGUGGAUAAACAACAACAUCGAGAUGAAGAUUGAUCGCCAGUAUAAAGUAAAGUUUGCAGUGACCGGCGUCUACAUUGACGAAAUGCUGUGCAAGGUUGUGCCGUUGAAUAUUUGCAACCUCAUCUUCGGCAACCCCCACCUAUAGGACCGUGUGCUACCUUCUUCUGUCGUCCUCAGCAAUACCAAUUUAUUAAGGAUGGACAAAAAUUUUUGUUCACCACAGAGCUAUUAUCAACAACUGUAGACCUGAUAACCGCUUGCCAGGCCAAGAGGAUGAUUAAUGCCUAUCAAAAAUUUACCCUGCUGGUUAUUCGGCCAGUUAUAUCUGAGAAGACAAACAGCAAGAUAUUAAGUCUAGCAUGCAGGAAACAUACUGAUGAUGUAACCAAACUGAUUGGCAAGCAUCAGAAUCUGUUUCAAGAAGUACGGGGACUACCACCAAAGCGAACCGUGGAACAUGAGAUCAAAUUGAUCAGCGACACUUCAUUACGGAAUCUCGGCAUGUACCGAAACCCGGUAGUGGAGAAUGAGGAGAUAAAGCGACAGGUAACUGAGUAACUCGAGUGUGAUGCUAUCAGAUGGAGUAGCUCCCCCUGUGGCUCCCCGAUCGUGUUGGUGCCAGAAAAAAAAGGCGAGUGGCGAAUGUGUAUCUACUACCGCACCCUCAACAAAAUCACCAUCAAGAACCAAUACCCCUUACCACGGAUCGAUGACCUCUUGGACCAACUGAAGCAUGCUCGCUACUUUACCAAACUGGACCUGAAGUCCGGCUAUCAUCAAGUUCGGAUCCAAAAGGAUGACACCUGGAAGACCACGUUCAAGACUCAACAAGGCCUGUUUGAAUGGCUCGUCAUGCCAUUCGGCCUUUGCAAUGCACGAGCCACUUUUAUGCAAUUUAUGAACGAUGUUCUACGCCCCUUCCUUGAUGACUUUGUAAUCGUCUACCUCGACGACAUCCUCAUCUAUAGUCGAUCGUGGGAGGAGCAUCUGGUGCAUGCAAGAAGAUUUUCAUGCUGCUCGAGGAAUACCAACUCCGCUUAAACCAUAACAAGUGUGAGUACGGCAAGCAAAGCUUGGUGUAUCUCGGGUUCGUGGUGGGCGGCGGCGAGCUUCAGAUCGACCCCGACAAGGUUAGGGCCAUAAAGGAGUGGCCUAGGCCCAAAAAUGUGACAAAAGUGUGGAGCUUCAUGGGCGCUUGCCAAUAUAUCCGAAAGUUUAUUCGACACUUUUUUGCCCUUGCUGCCCUCUAUAUGCACUAACAAAGGCCAACCAAAAGUUCGAAUGAAGUUUGAAACAUGAGGACACGUUCCAACUUUUACAACGAAAGAUAUGCGAGGCGCCUAUUCUUGCGCUACCAAAUCUGCAACGACCUUUUGAGUUAGAGGCGGAUGCAUCGGGAUACGCCAUAAGGGCUGUCUUGAUGCAAGAUAGUUGGCCUAUUGCGUAUUACUUCGAAAUGCUUCAGGGAGCUCAAAAAAACUACUCGGCCUAUGAUAAGAAACUCUUGGCACUACACCAGGCGGUGAAGCAUUAGCAGGUCUAUCUUCUGGGAAAGGAGACAGUGGUGCAUACAGACCACCGUCCGCUUCAGUACUUCCAAACGCAAUCAAAAUUACAACAAACGCGUCACAUGAAAUGGAUGACGUACUUGCAGCAGUUCAAUCUGGUGAUCAAGUAUAAGAAAGACGCUCACAACAAACUGGCUGAUAUACUAUCACGACUACCAAUGGCAGCACUUUGCUUGUCGAUAUUUAUGCAAGUUCAGCUAGAUUUUCAUGAAUAUGCAAGCUUAUAUACAGAAGACUCAGAUUUUCAAGGAGCGCUGACUGACAUCGAAGCAAGACAACCUAUUGAGUUUGUCUUACAAGGCAGUCUACUGUACAAGGGUGCACUACUAUUGACCAAAAGAUGACAAUCAAGUACAAUGGAUCCGAGAAACCCAUACCUCGAAGGUGGCGGUCAUUUCGGGGUGAACAAAAUCUUACAAAAUCUCCAGUGCUACAUCUAUUGGCCUCACAUGCAAAACGAUGUGGCGCGAUUUGUGAAAGGAUGUGUCCUGUGUUGUACAUCCAAGCCUGCUAAUGAAAAGGUGGGACUCUAUACCCUUCUUCCGGUGCCGACUUGUCCUUGGGAAAGUAUCUCCACAAACUUCUUAGGAGGCCUCCCGAGGACCCGGCGAGGACAUGACUACCUUUAUGUGGUGGUUGAUCGAUUCUCCAAGAUGAUAGUACUUGUGCCGCCAUGCAAGAAAGCAAUUACCGUCGAGGUAACUGGGCGGUUAUUCUUCCAACUCGUUUGGACACAUUUUGGACUACCAAUCUCGUUUGUGUCUAACAGUGGAAGCUAUUUUCUAAGCAACUUUUGGCGGUUUUUGUGGUCCAUGAUCGAUACAAAGGUACAACGGAGUACGGCUUUCCAUCCUCAAACUAAUGGUCAAACAGAAGUAGUGGUCAACCGAACAGUUAUACAUCUGCUAUGAGGAUAUAACGCUCAACAUCCCAAGACUUGGGACGAGAACCUUUCAUACUUGCAAUUCGCGUUCAAUUGAGCUAUACACAGUUCCACUGGGAAGACUCCUUUUGAGGUGUGCUUGGGUUAUUUACUACCAAGCCCAUUCGACUUGGCAUUCACAGUCGAGCAACCGCAUACCACCAAAGAGGAAAAUGAAAUAGCAAAGACACAACGCUUCUUGGAGAGCAUUCAAAAAGUGCAUACCGUGGUGGAGCAACAAGUACAAAAAUCUGAACAGAAGUAUAAAGAACAACAUGAUCGACAUUGAGUGAAAGGCGACUUCCGAGAGGGUGAUCUCGUCUGGCUCCAUCUCAACAAAAAUCGUUUGAAAGGCGAGGAUAUGAAACUUAAACCUAUUCGUUAUGGACCUUUCAAGAUUAUAAGCAGAAUUAGUGAGAAUGCUUAUCAAUUGGAGUUGCCCGCAUACAUGAAGAUGUAUUCGGUCAUCAAUGUCAAAAACCUAAAGUCCUUCUAGCCAUCAAUGCUGGACGAUGAGCCCGAAAAAGUACUACCAUCUAUGGAAGAUCUCGUGGUAGAACAUGAAAAGUAGCUAGCUAAGGAUACUAUUCUAGAACGCAAGGUCACGACGACACGCAAAGAUGAACGUGAAUCCUUUCAUGUAGGACAGAAAGGUCAAAAGCCAAGUGCCGCUAAGUGGUUCACAAGGAAAACUAGGAUAACUCAGUUUCCUUACUUGCAGUUCUAGAUUUAGUAAGUGAUGGUUCCUCUUAAAAAUUAGGGAGCCAUGAUUCAGGACGGUCAAACCAUCCAGAUAAAUUUCAACCGUUGUGGAUAAGGCAGAGGCCGUUCCAACUACUUCGGUUAGAAUAAGGAUCGAGGUGGUUCCAACUACUUCGGUUGGGAUAAGGAUCGAGGUGGUUCCAAACUACUUCGGUUGGGAUAAGGAUCGAGGUGGUUCCAAACUACUUCGGUUAGGAUAAUGAUUGAGGUGAUUCCAAACUACUUCGGUUGGGAUAAGGAUCGAGAUGAUUCCAACUACUUCGGUUAGAAUAAGUAUAAAGUUGUUAUUUUUAAAAUAUUUUGUUCUUAUCUUCUUGUAAGCCUGAAGGCUAUAAAUAGAGGCCCUACUGGCUCUUAUAAGUCACUCCAGUUAGAGAGAAUUAAUAUGCAGACUCUUCCACAUAAAAAUAUUGUGUUUUUUUUUCUCUUUAAUCUGGUUUUAGAUAUCCAUCGGGGAGGCACUGCGACAUUGCUUCCUCCACCGACGGAUCAUUGGUAGAAGCUACUUAGGUAGCUCUUUGGUCAUAACGCCUGUAAUUCCCCCAAAAUUGCAUCAAUCUCUGUCGAAAAGUCCUUCUUCUCAAGGCCUUUCUCACUGACCUCGUGAAUGGCCACAACAUAAGUCAUCUCAUUAUAGUUCACACCCUUCCGCAACUACAAAGCAAAGAGGGUCUGGGUUCUUGUCAAUUCCUCAUGGCUGGCUAGGACCAUGCACGAGGUUGCUUCCUCUAUAAUGCUUAGUGCUCCAAGGUACGGCAUCGAACUGCCUUCGACGAAGCCAAGAAAUUCAUACCUAGUUUGACCUUCAAGUCAUCGAUGGGUAGGACAGUGAAGUUUGUAGUGCCUUUCAAUAGUCCCACUGUAAUCGCCACACCCUUGGCCCUUGCACCUCCGAGUUAAUGGCCUUAAUCCUGCUUUCAUCGUUCUUGAGUGGAAGGCUUAGCUGCUUGGCCUCCAAUUCUGUGAUGAAGAGCUCUAGUGUCCACCAGUGCCCAUGUGGCUUUGUCAUUGAGGUCACAUUGAUAUACAGAAGUUCCUUCUUUAGGGGCUUGUUACUACAUGCCAAUCUCUGGACUGCAUUGAUGAGCCUGAGCGCGCCCAUCUUUAUCGAUUCUACUUUGCCCACACCCUCCUCGGUCUAGACAACAUUCACCAUCUUUUUCCUUGGGCAGUCCUUCGCCCAAUGGUUCUCACCACAGAUAGAGCACAUCAGCUUCUAUUGCAAUGGCGCAGAUGUAGCGCAUCAGCUCCUUCGAAUCGCAAUGAUCUCUCUCACCCUUAGAUUUACUCGCUUUAGGUGCCUUGUCGCGAGAUAGAUCCACCUUCUCAUACUCAGAUAGCUCCUCUGCAAAGGUGAUAGCGAAACCCACAUCCUUUUUAUGUCAUGCCCCACAAAAUCUUUGUUUGCCCAUGAUUAGAGUUUGUUAAGAAAUAAGAAUAGCCAAUCUUCCUCCACAAUGUUAGUGAUGUACAAUAUCAACUUAGAGUACUUCUUAACAUACUCAUUAAGUGUCUCGGUGUGCUUGAGUUAUAAUAUCUGCCUCCUUACAAGAUACUCGACAUGCUCAGGGUAGAACAAUACCUUGAGUUCGUGCACAAAGUUCUCCCAAGUCUUCAACUCACAUUAGCCCUUCUCAUCCUACCCCGAUCACCAACUCCAUUGUAACAUAGCGUCAUCAAUAUAGUACAUGGAUGCAGCCUAAACUUUUUUCAUCUUGUUUUCUAGCUGCAACACCUAGAUGUAGCACUCCAUGUGCCAUAAAAAGUUGUCGAUCUUCUUUUCGUCGCGCAUUUUCUUAAAGUAUUGAGGCUCAGGGAUACGACCUUUGGGGCGUACUCCUUGUGUGGUUUAGGACCAUAAGCCACUGCACUCUCAAGGAUCGCCACUCACAUCUUAAGAUCCUCGACCUCGUCGACCCGGAUGACAAGGUCCUUAAUCAGGAUCUUUCACUCCUCACGACGAAUGAUGUCAUUUUAAAACUACUCGAGUACUUCUAAUGCUUAGAGAAUAGAUUACAAGUAUAUUUUUCUUCAUUCUUUGGCCUGAGCCUUACCCACUAUUUAUAGGCCCUAUGAUACAUUGAACCUACCCACCAAGCUGUCAACAUUUAUGUAAAGACAACCCUAGAAUUACCUAUGACCUUUGGGACUUUUGCUAGACAGUUUUAGAGGCUUUAACUCCUGUAAUUAUGUGAUGCUUCAUCUCCCAUAGUGCCUUUUUGGUUGCCCACUUUUAGUUUAUAAAGUUGGUCAGGGACAUGAGCCAAAAUUUUUUCAAGUCCCUAACAACACACUCAUUUUCCAAAUAAUUUUUUAUUAUUUCUAUUUUUAAGGAAUAUAAGUAAAAAUGAAAAAAAAAAAAAGAAAGAAAACAUGCACCCUAACUCUAUUCUAAUUUUUUUAUAUUUUUUUGGGAAAAAUCCUUACUCUCAAUCUCUUUUGACCUAAAUCCUGUUUGAGAUAAAAAAAAAAUUUGAAUUCAAAUUUCAAAUUGAAGACAUAGAAGGCAAAAAAAAAAAAAAUAUGUGAUUUGAUUGCUACUUUCCUUAGAGGACUAGGUACCAACAAGGAAAGGGAUAAGGAAAAUAUCGUUGCCUUAUUUUCAAAAUAUUUUGAAUUGUUUCCAAAAUCGAAGAGGUCCUAAAACCCCUAUAAAUGGGACAAUAGAAUUCAAAAAUAAAUCUCUUAGAGAUGGAGGGGGAGAUUAAAAAAGAAAGAAAGAAAGAAAAAAAGAAAGAAAAAAAAAAGAAAGAAGAAAAAAAAAGAAAAAAAAAAAAAUCUUCAUGCAUGUACAAUGGGUUCUUCACUCUCUCUCUCUCUCUCUCUCUCUCCCUCUACUCCUGCGCGCCAGCAGCAACAAAGGGAGGUGUUCAUGUGAGCACAUCCCCUCUCCAAACCGUACCAAUAAAAAAGAGGAAUUGGCUCUUUCAUGUGCGGCGGCGCGACGACGACGAUGAUAACGGCGACGACGUCAGCAAAUGGUGUGCUAACGACGACGUCGACAGUGGCACGACGACGACGACUUCGACAACGACGGCAAUGACGAUUUCGACGACGACAACUUUUACGACGACAAGAGACGUGCAUGCAUACGAAUAGCGUAAGUGCGAUUUGCUUGUCAGUUUGAUCAACCCGACCAUCUUCGUGAUAGGUUUCGAACCGAUCAAAUUUGACAUUAAAUCGUCACUUUCGCCGUGCGUAUGCGUCGCUAAUCUGUAAACCGUGCGGCCAUCUUCGUGAUAGGCUCGACAUGGUCGAACGAACACCAGAUAUUUUACUACGUAAACCGUGCGGCCAUCUUUGUGAUAGGCUCGACAUGGUCGAAAGAGUUGAUCGAGCUCCGGCUAUUUUACUACGUAAACCGUGCGGCCAUCUUCGCGACAGGCUCAACAUGGUCGAAAGGGUUGAUCGAGCGGCCAUCUUCGUGAUAGGCUCGACACGAUCGAACCCGCCGCAUAUUUGGACAAUAAAAAAAAAAGAUGAACAUAUUCGAUUUGCCAUCUUUGCGAUAGGCAUUGUUCGAAUCAUCCGCCAUCUUCGUGAUAGGCACGAUUCGACUUGAUCAACACGACCAUUCUCGCGAUAGGCUCGGACCGAUCAAAUAAAAAAAAAUAAUUAAAGAAAUGAUGAACAUUUUUUUUUUGUCAUCUUCGUGAUAGGCAUUUUUCGCAUUAUUCGUCAUCUUCGUUCGAUCCGAUUGUAUGGCUCGACGUGAUCAACUUUAUUUAUUUGGACCAAAAAAAAAGAAUAAAAAAAAAGAAGAAACAGCAAAAAAAAAAAAGAAAGAAAGAACCAAAAAAAAAGAAAAGAAAAGAAAUGACAUAAUGCAUAGGCAAAAAGUGAGCUGUGGGAAAAAAAUUCUCGGAUUUAAGAAAAGCUCAAAUUAUGAGUUCUAUAAAUAUCACAACAUAUAGAAAUCAUGCAAUCAAGAAUCAAUUCAUAGUUAUUAAUGCAAGUAAGCAGUAUGCUCUGAAGUCUUAAUCUUUAACAAAAAGUAUUUUCAUAGUCACAGUCUUCAUAAUAAAAUAUGCAUAAUGAACAGAUUGUGUCCAAUAAAAUUUUGAUUGCACAAAAAGAUUAACAGAAAAAAGAAAGAAAAUCAUGCUUUUUUGCAACAUAUUAAGAAUUGACGAUUAUAUUAAGAAUUGACGGGACAUAGUAUGCCAGCAUUUGAGCAAAAAUUAUUGAGUAGAAAACACCCAACAAUUUGCUACCACUCAUUUUGAAAAUAUAAAUAUGUUUUAAGAGUUGCAUAUAUUACCACAUAAUUUACUUGCCUCCGGUCAACAAUAAAGUGGAAGAAACAAAAAAUAUAGUCAUGCACAGGGCCAUGAAAUUAAAAAGAGCGGAAAUGAAGUUAUAAAAAAUGUACAAAAUCAGUACCCGUGCAGCUUCUCCUUGUCAUCAAAUAGCUGAGCCCCUCCACAAAAAAACCAACUUCUAUUAACUAUUCUGUACAUAAUCAAUGGGAUCACUUAAUCCAGAAUUUGAUUUCUAACCAGAGGAUGAUGAGAAUAUCCUAGCAUCAUCCACACCAACCAUACAAUGGAUCCGUUCUGACAUGUAAUCAAAUCAAUCGCUUUUGGUAUAAGAAAAUUUGAUAUAUUUCGCCGCAAAUUGUAACCAUAAUAUAUUUGAAACUCGCAUCUGAUUGCCGGUUCAAGCUUCCAUUGUUAGCACCAAGUUUGCUCUCUUGAAAUGCUCCUGAAAUAAGGAGCAAAUUCCAAUGUCAAAUUCAAAUUCAAAUUUAUAAAAGACUAAAUCUGAAGAUUUUAUCCAAAUAUUAACCAUUCCUCUUGUAAAUCUAAUUUUUCAAUAGUACUCGCUCUUUAAAAAACAUAUCUUUCAUAAUCGAGCCAAAAAAAUUUGCUUAAAAUUUACAUAAAAAAACUACCAGAUCCUUUUGUAUUGAAAUUAAUAAUUUCACAAAAAAGUGCAUUGAGAUCAAAACCCACCUCCAUCACCAUGACCUCCGAUCCUUCUCUGCCCUUUUUUGAAAUCUCUCAACCCUCAUCCCACGCGCGACCAUGAUCGUGACGACGCAAUCGGCAAGAAUGGUGAUGACGAACCAGGCACUCGCGAGCAUGAAGGCGAAGGGGUAUUCCUUGUCCAUGAGGUCCUCGGAGGUCUCGUUAGAGUUGCAGAGGAAGUGGGCUCGUAGGGCAGCGCCGCCUCCUUAAAUCAUCAUAUGAAAGAAAAUUGGAGAGAGAUGUUGCAGCAGAGAGGGGAAAGAAAAUGACCAACCGUAGGAAACGAAGAGGGAGAGGGAACGACGCUGCCAAGAUGGGAGAAUAAAUGCUGCAGCCGAUGGGGGAAGAAGCACCGACGCGAAGAGGAAACGCCCUCUUUCGUGCCCUCUUCCGUUACAAAAAAAAAAAAAAAAAAAAANUUUUUUCUUAUUUAUUCUCUCGGUCAAAAAAAAAAAAAACAAAACAAAAGAAUAAAAUUUAAGGAAUUUGGUUUGAAUCAUUUUUUAAAAUGGUUCAAUCUAUCUUGAGCCCAAUGAACAAAUAAAGCACAAAGCCUAUAUGCAAAUUUGGGCCCACAACCUGUAGAGCUUGAAACUCAUCUUAAUUCACAUGCAGAUUUGGAUCCAAACCAGACUAGAUCCGAACUGAACCAAACCGGAUCCAAGCUGAACCCGAUCUCGUCCAAACCAAACCAUAAAGGAUUCGAUCUGAGCCAAAGUGAAUCCGAACCGGAUCCGAACCGAAUCGAAUCCCGUCUGAACCGAACCACAAAGGAUUCAACUUGAACCAAAGUGAAUCCGAUCUGAACCGAACAACAAAGGAUUCAACUUGAACUAAAGUGAGUUCAAUCUGAACCGAACAGCAAAGGAUUUGACUCGAACCGAAGAGGAUAUGAUCUGAACCGAACCAUGAAGGAUUCGACUUGAACCGAAGUGGAUCUGGUCAAAACUGAACCGAACCGAAUCCCAUCUGAACCAAAGGGAUUUGACUUGAAGCGAAAUGGAUCCGAUUUGACUCGAACCGAAGUGGAUCCUGUCCGAACCAAACCAUGAAGAGUCCGACUCAAACUAAACCAUGAAGGACCCGACUCGAAUCGAACCAUGAAUGAUCUGACUUGAGCCGAAUCAAAGCAUACGCCAGGUUCAACUCAAACAAAAUCAUAAGAGGUUCGAGCCAAGCCAAGUCGAACCAAUUACAAGUCAGUUUAGCCUAAACCAAACCAAAGGGAUUCGACUUGAACCAAAGCGGAUCCGAUCCGAACCGGACCGAACCGAACCGGAUCCCUCUGAACCAAACCAAAGGGAUUCAACUUGAACCGAAGCGGAUCCGAUUCGAACUGAGCCGAACCGGAUCCGAUUCGGACUGAACCGAACCAGAUCCGGUCUGAACCAAGCCAUAAAGGAUUCAACUCGAUCCGAAGUGGGUCCGACUUGAACCGAACCAGAAAGGAGUCAACUUGAACCGAAGCGGAUCCGAUCCGAACCGAACCAAAUGGAUUCUACUUGAUCCGAAGUGGAUCUAACUUGAACCAAAUCAGGAAGGAUUUGACUCGAACCAAAGUGGAUCCGAUCCGAACUGAACCGAACCGAAUCCCAUCUGAACCAUGAAGGAUCCGACUCGAGCCUAAUAUAAUCCAAUCUGAUCAGAACUAUAAAGGCUCCGACUCGAACCAAAGUGAGUCCAAUCCGAGCCGAACAAGAUCGACUUGAACCAAAGUGGAUCCAAUCCGAACUGAACCGAACCGGAUCCUAUCUGAACCAUGAAGGACUCGACUCGAGCCGAAUAUAAUCCAAUCUAAUCAAAAACAUAAAGGCUCCGACUCAAACCAAAGUGAGUCCAAUCCGAGCCGAACAAGAUCGACUUGAACCAAAGUGGAUCCGAUCCGAACUGAACCGAACCGGAUCCCAUCUGAACCAUAAAGGAUCCGACUCGAGCCGAAUAUAAUCCAAUCUGAUCAGAACCAUAAAGGCUCCGACUCGAACCAAAGUGGGUCCAAUCCGAGCCGAACAAGAUCGACUUGAACCAAAGUUGAUCCGAUCCGAAUUGAACCAAAUCGGAUCUCAUCUGAACAAUAAAGGAUCCAACUCAAACCAAGGGGGGUCCGAUCUGAACCAAACCAUAAAGGAUUCAGCUUGAACCAAAGUGGGUCCGAUCCGAACCAAAUCAUAAAGGGUCCGACUCGAACCGAAGUGGGUCAGAUCCGAACCCAACCAUAAAGAAUCCAACUCAAUCCAAGUCUUGAUGGGUCCCGAACUAAAGCAUAAUGGUUCAACCCGAAUGACUAAACAAACCUAAGGCGGUUCAUCUCGAAUCAAAUACAAAAGAUUCGAGCCAAACCAAAACCCAAAGUCCACAAAUAAACCCAAAACCCAAAGUCCACAAAUAAACCCAAAACCCAAAGUCCACAAACAAAACCCCAAAACCCAAAACAACCAAAUCCAACCGACCGUAAAGUCAUCAAACUAAACAACCCACAUUCAAACGACCGAAAAGUCGUUAAACUAAACCCAAAUUUCAAAUGAUCAAAACGUCGCUAAACUAAACCCAAAUUUCAAACGACCGAAAAGUCGUUAAACUAAGCCCAAAUUUCAUACGACCGAAAAGUUGUUAAACUAAACCCAAAUUUUAAACGACCGAAACGUCGCUAAACUAAACUCAAAUCCAAACGACCGAAAAGUCGUUAAACUAAACCCAAAUUCCUUAAACCAUGAACCAAAUCCAUAUACCAAACCCAUGAGCCAUAUCCAAGUUCAUGAACCAAAUCCAUACACCAAACCCAUGAGCCAUAUCCAAGUUCAUGAACCAAAUCCAUACACCAAACCCAUGAACCAUAUCCAAGUUCAUGAACCAAAUCCAUACACCAAAUCCAUGAACCAUAUCCAAGUUCAUGAACCGAGUCCAUACACCAAAUUCAUGAACCAUAUCCAAAUUCAUGAACCAAAUCUCAUGAGCCAAUACUCAAAUCUCAUGAGCCAAUACCCAAAUCUCAUCGUGAACCUUUUUUUUACUCUGGCACAUAUACCUAGAGUAAAAAUUAAAUAUCAACUACCCCUAAUACAUAUACUUAGGGCUAAGUCAAUCGCCUUAGCACAUAUAACUAAGGCAAAACAUCUCCAAAUCGACAGAGUUCUAAGUCAUAUACUUAGAAUUCAGUCAAAUGAUAUCAAGUUUAUUCGAACUCUAACAUAUAUACUUAGAGUUCAUCUGACUAACCCUAACACAUAUACUUAGGGUCUAGUCAGCCUUUUGCUCUAGCACAUAUACCUAGAGUGGAAGUCAAACCAUGGUCGACUAACCCAAACCCAUAUACUUAGGGUCUAGUCAGUCUUUUGCUCUAGCACAUAUACCUAGAGUGGAAGUCAAACCAUGGUCGACUAACCCUAACCCAUAUGCUUAGGGUCUAGUCAGUCUUUUGCUCUAGCACAUAUACCUAGAGUGAAAGUCAAACCAUGCUCGACCAACCCUAACACAUAUACUUUAGGGUCUAGUCAAUCUUUUGCUCUAGCACAUAUACCUAGAAUGGAAGUAAAAUCAUGGUCGACUAACCCUAACCUAUAUACUUAGGGUCCAGUCAGUCUUUUGCUCUAGCACAUAUAUCUAGAGUGAAAGUCAAACCAUGCUCGACUAACCCUGACACAUAUACUUAGGGUCUAGUCAGUCUUUUGCUCUAGCACAUAUACCUAGAGUGGAAGUCAAACCAUGCUCAACUAGUCCUAACACAUAUACUUAGGGUCUAGUCAGCCUUUUGCUCUAGCAUAUCCACCUAGAGUGAAAUUCUUACCCGAUCGAGCUCUAAUACAUAUACUUAGAGUUCAAAUCUGACUACCCCUAAUACAUAUACUUAGGGCUUAGUCAGAUCUUCAUUCUAGCACAUAUAACUAGAGUGAAAAUAUAUUAAACUCGGUUAAUCCUGAUACAUAUACUCAGGAAUUAGCUACUCUUCACUUUCGGGUAAUUCGACCCACCUCAAUACAUAUACUUGAGGUCAGGUCACAUCUCCACUUUGGAAAAUACAACCAAGGUGAAUCUAAUCGGACUCUAAGACAUAUACUUAGAGCCAAUUAGACUCUAAUACAUAGGGUCUAAUAUCGACUAGGUCUUGACACAUAUACUUAGGAUCUAGUCAAUUUCAAAUCCAACUGAAUCCUAAUACAUAUACUUAGGAUUCAAUAAAUCAAAACUUCUUCGCUAGAUUGGACAUUUAGUCUGAUAAAAUUCAUGUACAGUGGAGGAAUGCCCCUACUUAAGCCAUGUAAACGGCAAAUCAUAUCAAUAAAAUUUUAUUUGCCUGUUUUGUCUCUUUUAUUAUCAGCAUUUAUAUUUGGUCUCUUAAUCGAGGAUUCCUUAACACCGAAAGUGUGAGGUAAUUAACAACAGAUUCUCGAGUCUGUUAGAAGCUAUGAACCUAUAAUCCUGAUUUCAAAAUAAAAUAUAAACAAAUUUUAUCUCUACCAUGAAUGACCACUCGCCCUAGAAACAUCCUACGGUGGGGCCGGUUCGUUCGCGGCAGACAAAUCCUUAAUUUUCACUUAUAUUCUAAUAGGAUAAUAUCUAAUAUAUAUGUCCUGAAAACUUCUGAAUAUUCAAUUUAUCCCUACUUCUUUGUUUCAAAUAUACCCCUCGUAUGGUUCUCCAUUAUUCAAAAAUACCCCCGUUGUUAGUACCCAUUAAGUUAUCUCAGGUUAAAUCCGGUUAAAUUUCUAUCUGAGGUAAAAAAAUUAAAAUAUCUCUUUUGCCCUUAACUUAAAGGCAAAUAAGAAAAGCUAGUAAUGGUAGAAAGGUAUAUUUGAAAAGAAAAAAAUCAAAAUACUUCUUUUACCCCUAUAUUAAGGACAAAUAAGAAAAGUAGGUGAUGGUAGAAGGGUAUAUUUGAAAGGGCAAAAUAGUAAUUUCAUAGAGAUAAUGGAGAAUUUAAUUCUAAAAAUAUAUUUGAAAUAACUUGGAAUAUUAAAAGGGUAUUUUUAUGUUUAAUCUUCUAAGAGGAUUAAAUCAGAAAGUCGAGAACUUUUCAAAUAUAUAUAAACAAUUGCCCCUAUUCCAAUCUUUGCUCUAACCAAAUCUCAAUCUUACAAAAAUCGAUACCCUUGAGCCACUAAUAAGUGGCAUAGAGCUCCCAAUCUUGAUAUUAGGAUGCGAUCUUUCUCCAUCAACAGCACAGGUAGCGUGUAAUACAAAUUUCUUGAAUAGAAAUUAAUUUUAAUUGUUUUUCUAAAUGAUAUGACGCUGCAUAUAUCAAAAUCAGUCAAUAGGUAAAGAUACAAUUUAUACAGUCUUGCCAGAAAAAAUCACAAGUUAUCGCUUGCGCUUUCACUCCAACUCUUAUACUUUCUCCCUAACUCAUUUUCGCCACUUCUGUUAGGUGAUCUCAAUACCGAUAAAACUAGCUCCCCAAUGUUGUCUUGUUAGGGAGCCUCUUAAACGCUGUCAAGUGUUUUUUUUUGAAAGAUAGGUAGCACGCUACCCGCUUCGUUUAUUUCAUUUAGAAAUAAACUUAGCUGGAAAUGUGAAUCAAUUAGGAUUCGAACUAGGAUCCGCUGUCAAGUGUUAGUUUGCCUCCUUAUAGUAUUUCGUUGGUUGUUUUUUAAUAUUAAUUAAAAUCCAAAAAUAAAAUUAAACUCUAGGAAAAGAUUAUAUAACUCUUGGAUAGAGAUAAAAAUGAUACAUGGUGACGGAUUAAGGUUCCUAACGAAAUUUUCAAUUGAUUGACGAAAUCCUAGAUUAAAUAAACGAAUAUUCCAUACACAUUAAAAAAAUAAACAAUUAACUAACUAAAAAUAAAUUAAGUUUGAAACAUAGACGUACUGACCUAUCAAAUCAACAAUUGUUAAAUUCAAAUAAUAGAUUCAAAUUAAAUUUAAAUUCAAACCUUUAUUUGAAUUUUGAAAUCAAUUACAAUUUUUAAAUUUUGGGUAUAUAUUAAAAAAAAAUUGUAUGUUAAGGAAAACAUAUAAAAAAAUUACGGCAUAAGUAAAUUACAAACAUACUUAGAAAUAAAUCAAAUUUACAAAAUAAAUUAAUUAUAAAUAGACUUUACUGCUAAUAAUCAUUUGAAUUCAAAAUCUGUAUUCAAAAAUUUAAUUUAAGUUAAAAUUUAUAUUUAAAUUUAAUUUAAUUUACAAAUGUGACGUGCAAUGCACGUGAUUAUAAUAUAGAGGUCUUGGUACUCAUAAAUCGUUUUAGAUGAUGGAGCUUACGAAUUAACGAUCCUUACCAUUAAACAUGAUUUAGAGUAUUUGAAGUAUCAAAAAGUUGAAUUUCGUAAUUUUUCAAAUUUGUAAUAAAGCCAAUCAAUUUGGCAUAAAAUAAAUGGUCAAAGUGGAAAGAUCUUCCAAAAAUAAGGGAUAGAAUUUUUAAAUUCAAAAUCGGGGCUACUGAUCUUGAUCGAAAUAGUGAAUAGAAUUUUUUUAUUAAAAAUUUAAACAAUUCCGAUUCCUCUACAUCGUUAACUCGAAAACACUUCAUACUGGCUAUUAAAAAUGUCAAUUUUGACAAAAUUUCAAAUUUCAAAUUUUAAAUUUUAAAUUAUAAAAGUUAAAUUUUGAUUUUAUAUUUUACAUUUUAACUUCUGAAUGUCAAAUUUCAAAUUUUAAAAUUUUAAAUUUUCAAAUUUUAUAUUUAGAGUUUAAAUUCGAAUAUCAAUUUUUAAAUUUUUGUUUAGAUUUUAAAUUCAAAAUUCUAAUUUUAAAUUUAAAUUUAGGGUUAUUUUAAAAUAAAAAUCAGCAAAAAGAAUUUAUUAUUUCCAAAUAGCAAAAGUUUUUUGCCAAAUAGAUUUCCAAAAUUACUUUUCAUCUAAACUCAACCAAAUGUUGCUUUUAACCAAAUCUAGUUCUCCAAAUCAAAACAAUUAUACUGAAAUCACUUCUCAACAAGCCCUUAGUCUUAUUUGACAUUCGUUUCUAUUUUUGAAAAGCCCUAAAAAUUCUUGAUGUGCCUUAGUGCUUCUCUCUUACAAUACUUUAUUAAAAUUAAAAUGAUAAUGAAGGACGAUCAAUAAGAUACCAAAAAGGGUGAGCACUCAUUUUGCGAAAACUCCCACUAAAAACCAGGCCCUGCUCUACAUCCGUUGCUUUUUUUAAUACAAAAACAGUAGUUUCCUAUUAUUUGAUGUAUUAGAAAAAUUAUUUUAAUUUUUAUUGUCCAUGAGCGUACAAUACGUCUGCCUGAAACUUUUUUAUUGUCCAAUAAAUAUUUUAAAUAAAAAGAUUGCAAAUAAUCUAAUAUAAUUUCAAUUUCUUUUAAUAUACGAAACUAUAAUUAAAAAAAUAAAAAUCAAACACAUCACCAAAGAGACUUGAGUGACUUGUGUUUUAAAAUCAACAACAUCAACAACAUUUUCUAAUCCCAAGCAGUUCAGCUGAUGGCGACCACCAUUACAGGAUCCCAAACUUUUUGAAUUGUGUGUGAUUUUUUCAGUCGGGAAAGAAAAGCACAUCAGAACAAAGGACAUAUUAUACUGCUAGUGUAUGAACACAGCUGACAACAAGUACCACUAUACGGGCCGAUCACAAACUAACUGUAUAGAUCAUCAUCAUCAGCCGGUGCAGCCGCCGAGGCAAAAGGAUCGGACCCGGCGGUGGCUGCCCCAGCAUCUGACCGCUCAGCGAAGCGGAACUCAGUGCCGAACCCCCUCGACUGCUGCAGAGUCUGCGCAAAGGCCUGAUACUUGCGGAUAUCAGCAUCGCUGACGCUCCGACGAGCGUACUUCAUCGACUCCUCGAAAUGGACGGCCUUGAUCUCAGCAACCUCGUCGGUGUCGUCUUCUUCCAUUGCCUCAGGGUUCUCCUGCCGCCGCCUCUCCCUCUCGAUGUCCUGCGUGAGUAAAGAAAAUUCCAGUGAGAUUGUUCUCUUUUGAAAAGACCAUUAGCUUACACACUCACUUCAUAACUAAAAAGUAAAAUGAAAAUAGAAAAUCAACAGCGCCUUCUCCGUGAAGAGGAACAAUAACAUGGGAUGCUGGAGAACCAUGCAUCUAAUUUUGGUUGGCGGAACAAUUAACAGACCAAGAGAUGCACGCAAAGCAUGCUGGGUGUGGAGUAUUUGAGCAUCAGAAAUGAGGAGUGAAGCAUUUCAGAAAAGAAGAGCAUUUAGAGAUAUACACUCCAGCAAGUUUUACACCUAUUCUAAAAAGUCUAAAUUUCAAUCAGCCCACAAAUUGUACUGCCUUAGAAAAAGAACAUUUACCAGUCAACUGGGCAAAUGUUAGCAUAAAUUAUAUGCAGAUUUUUGGCCCAUAUAUGAAAUCCAACUCCAAAGCUGUGCGAAUACUCAGAAAUGGUUAUUAGAGCAUAUCAAUACCCCAGGUUCCUAAGGUACGUAUAGGUAAACAGUUUAUACAGCUUCUAAAAUCUAACAGAUGAUCAAGUUAGGAAACGAAAAGAAAGCAGCUUACCUUUUCAAUGUUUUCUCUAAUGGCGUAUUUGCAAGCACGCUGACAAAUCUCUGUAAUGUCUGCACCGCUGAACCCUUGCGUGUACUUAGCAAGGGCCCUAAGGUCAACAUCCUUAGCCACUGGGGAUUUUCUCAGGCAAGCUUUGAAGAUCUGGUACCUAGAGGCCUCAUCAGGUAGUGGGAUAUAAAUCAGCUGGUCGAGACGACCUGGCCUCAGCAGCGCUGGAUCUAUAAUGUCGGGCCUAUUAGUUGCCCCGAUGAUGAACACAGUCUUUUUGGCAGUCAUGCCGUCCAUCUCUGUCAGGAGCUGAUUCAGGACACGAUCAGCAGCACCUCCAGCAUCACCAACACUGCUUCCCCUCUGUAAUAGAACAGAAAAAGGAUGAGAUACUGAAAACCAAUCGAUGUAACGAAAUAAAGAAAUAUUUACAUAUAAACCUAUCGGCAAGGGCCGUAUUUAUCGUGUCCUAUCGUGCCAACAAAAUAUCAGCACGAUACAGCCUCCGUGGCGAUGGCACAGCUCAAAACCCUCUAUUCUUUAAAUUACUAAGUAAUUUUCUCAAUAAAAUUCAAAAAAUUUGAUAAAAAUACAUAAUAAAUAGUUAAAAUAUUUUGUUGCUAAAGAAAAUAAACAUUUUAUGCUAUUAUGUGUCCGCACACAUAUAUUUUUUGUGACCGGCAAACAUCAACACGGCCUGGCACACACUGUGUCGUGCCUUGCCGGCAAGUUUCCGGCACGACCCCGUGCCACAGCACCUAAUCCUUGAUAUAAAUCCUUGAAAAAAUUUGAUUAUUUCACAUAUCUAUGCCUGCAAAAUCUGAAUUUUCAAAUGCCCUUUGAACUGCCAAUUCCAGUAUAUUUAUCCUUGUAUUUGAAAAAACGCCCUUCUUUGGACAUCUUCUUCUAAUACAUAACCAACUGUUUUCAUGAAUAGGAUGACUUCAUGAUAGAGGGUUAAAUAGAUGAGUUACAAGGGUAUACCUCUAAACGGAUAAUUUUGCAGUGAACUAUACAUAAUAUCCCAAAAGGAGAGCAAGAAAGCCAUUAGAAGCAGCGUAAUACCAAAAGAAUAACCAACCUGAGUUGCAAUCGAAUCGAGCUCAUCGAAGAAGAGGACACAUGGUGCCGAUUGGCGAGCCUUAUCAAAAAUUUCACGGACAUUUGCUUCACUCUCACCGAACCACAUUGUAAGUAGCUCAGGACCUUUAACACUGAUAAAGUUUGCCUGACAUUCAUUAGCAAUGGCCUUAGCCAACAAGGUCUUCCCACAACCUGGAGGUCCAUAAAACAAGACCCCCUUGGAGGGAGACAUUCCAAACUUCUCAAACUUCUCAGGAUGUUCCACUGGGUAUUGAACAGUCUACAAGAAAAACCAAGGAGAGGGUUAGUCAAGAUUUUAAAGCCAGAACAAAAGGUAGAACUCCUUGCUGUAUAAACCUACCUCCUGCAGCUCCCUUUUAACAUUAUCAAGCCCACCAAUAUCAUCCCAGGUGACAUUUGGCACUUCAACAACCUGCACAUCAAAGUAGUCAACAUGGUCAAAAAGAAACUGAUCUUAAAACCUAAUGAAAAAGGUUUCUAUUGUCAUCCUACAGGUCAUAACUAUUGAAUGUGGGGAUCACUUACAGUUUCACGGAGGGCAGAUGGAUUGCUGGUUCCAAGAGCAGUCUUGAAAUGUUCAUUUGUGACAGCCAUGGAGUUAAGUAUCUCCGCAUCGAUUGACUCGUCUUCUAAAUCUAUAAUAUCCAUCUUUUCUCGUAUGCAUUGAAGAGCAGCUUCAGUGCAAAGAGCAGCUAGAUCAGCUCCAACAUAUCCGUGAGUGUCUUUCGCAAUUCUUUCUAAGUCAACCUGCAUCCACACUCAAAGUUCAACAAGGGAUAAACAUUACAAACCAACAUAGAAAAGAAGUGGGUCGCAAUAUAAUCGUCAAAGAUAAAUUACAUCUUCAGCCAGCUUCAUGUUCUUAGUGUGAAUACGAAGGACCUCUAGACGCCCAACUUCAUCAGGUACCCCAAUGUCGAUUUCCCUGUCAAACCUCCCGAACCUUCUAAGAGCCGGGUCAAUACUGUUGGGCCUAUUUGUAGCUCCAAUCACAAUGACAUGUGAACGGGCCUUUAACCCAUCCAUUAGAGUCAAGAGCUGAGAAACUAUGCGCCUCUCAACUUCUCCAUGGGUCUUCUCUCUCUUAGGAGCUAUUGAAUCGAGCUCGUCAAUGAAGAUGAUCGACGGAGCAUUCUUCUCUGCUUCUUCAAAAGCCUUUCUGAGAUUGCUCUCACUUUCUCCUGCUAGUUUUGACAUGAUCUCUGGACCAUUAAUGCAAAAGAAGAACGCACCCGUCUCAUUAGCAACAGCUCUAGCUAUCAGUGUUUUUCCAGAGCCAGGUGGUCCAUACAGCAAGAUCCCCUUUGGGGGCUUUACACCGAUAGACUUGAAGAGCUGAGGGUGCCUAAGAGGAAGUUCAACUAGCUCUCUUAUUUGAGCCAUCUGUUUCCGGACUCCACCUACAUCAUCAUAGCCCACUUCGUCGAGUCUUUCCUCAUCCUCCCUCUUCACAGGUUCUCCCUCACAGAAAAUUUCUGUGUCAGGAGCGACGAUGCAGUAUUCAGAAGGGUCAGUAUCUAUGACCUUGAAUUCCACACUUCUCAUUCCACCCCUAACAAGAAAGAGAUCCCCUUUUCUUACCGGACGAUACGCCUCAAGGAAAUAUGCUGCGGAAGAUUCUCAAAACAAAUGAGUUAUUCUUAAUAAUACAAAAUGUAAAAAGAAUAAAUUGCAAUUUCAGCUAAACACAUGAAGGAACAAAAUAAAGGAAAUCAAGAUGCAAACAAAUUACAUGAUGGAUGGGGAAGGACCAGGUUAAUUCCAUGUCGGAUUCAAGUUGGAUCUAUUUGUAAACUCAGGAUCUUAUAUUCCAAACCAGUAUUUGCCAGGUAUUUCACAUGUCCAAUUCCGAUCAGCUUUCAAAGAACUACUUUCAACCAAGUUAAGAUACAACUGUCCAUUUUCAACGCUGUCCAGAACAUGGAAUCGAGCUCCACGACUAAGGUCAUACAGGUCAACUCCGGUUUAGCAGAGCAAGCAGCAACUUGAAAUAUUUUUAAGUGAUGAGAAUCUCAGUCUAAAAGAUCUUAAACUGGUGGUGUUCAUUCAAUACAACUAACAGAGAAAGACAUUACCCACCUUUUAAUAGAGAUAUUUACAUGGUAUGGUAAAACUACAUGUUUCAUAUUUUUUUGUCAAGAUUGGGAACUGUUAAAGUAAUUCAUUUGCGUUUCAAGCAGGAAGUUCAUGACCAUGUCAAUGACUUCACAUAGAAGAGAGGAGAAAAAGCAGAUAAUACCACAAGAAUACUUCAUAUUUAUGCAAAUCUAAAACCACAGGAAAGUAAGGCUUAUUUGAGAAGCACAAUUGCAAUUAGAAAUCCCUAAAUUUUCUUGAGAAACCUCAUUAGCCGCUUUUCGAUAGUAGCAGGCUAUAUCCAAAAUCAACUUGUUUCUUCAAGCUCAUCAGAUAAUAAUCAACCCAUCAAGAAGAAAAGAAUUUCACUCUAGUACUAAAUUCCAUCAUCGAUAAGAAAAAAAAGUUUCCCACCAUAACAAAAUUAAAAUGUGACCCUACUAUCUAAGAGGAUAUAACUAAAGGUAAAGGUAAAGGUAAAUGCAACAGAAAGAUCUACUUAAUCUAUCUGAAUUAAUUUGAUUAUCUUUUUCUAAAAAUAUUCUGACUUUAUUUCAAGGAUAUUAAUGUUGUCAUAAGAACCCCUAAAAAUGCUGUAGGCCCUUCUUCAACAGUCUCGUCUAAGUGACAGGUAGGACCAUAUGAACUGUUGUGCUCUUAUUCUCAUCAAUAGACAUGGUGGUGAUGUUCGAGUUAUGUCUGUUUAACCUUUAUAUGGAAACUAAUAUAUGAUUCACUUGCCAUUAAUCCAACCUACGACGAACGUAUACACCUAUUCACUCCUCCCCAUUAGGCCACUACCCAGUACCCUAUUAACCCUCUCUGCAGUGAAGAAUCAAAUGAAAAAGCAGCCUGCAUAUAUAAUACCUUAUUUAAGGCAAUAAGAGCAGAUGGUCUAGCUCCUCUACCUUAAUGCCUUAAGCAAGCAAAGUUAAUUGUCAUGCUGGGUAGUGUUGAAAUCAGGACAAGACCAAUCAAACCCUGAGCAAUAUGCUUCAGAAACAGGUACUCUGCAAAACUUAGAUCGAGCAUAGCAAGGUCUCAGUCUCACACGGUAAUUCUUCUACCCAAAACUAGUCACACCACAGACAUGACCCACAAUGUAGAUUGGCAACACUCAAUGGACAAAAACAUCAUGGAGUACUACACAUGUUGAAUUAAGAUAAACUAUGUUAAGGACUCUUCUGUAAGAGAACUAGUGACUAAGCCUUUGUUGGCCAAUUUUCCACUUCCACCAAAGUAUCCAAUAUUUCAGACUAAACAAGCUUUAAUCCCAUGUGAUGCAUGGAAAACAUUUUGAAACAUCCACGAAAAUGGAUAAAUUAAAAAAAAAAAAAAUACAGAUAUUAGUCCAUAUAAGAAUAAGAGAGAAAUUACAAUUAAGAGGCAUGGAGAGAAAAAGGUAAAAAAACCAAAGAAAGAGUGCACAGAAAAGAUGAAGCUUGCUUUCUAAAGAGUGGCUUCCACAUUUCCCACAUGAUUCUUCAAUUCUCUUACUCCAAAUAAUUUUCAACAGUGUCAGAUAUAAAAUGCAUAGCCAGGAUAAAGUCUCAAUCUUCAAAUAAUAAAGAUAAUAAAAGUUGAGACUGUAUGAAGCGUAUACAGAUAUAAGGAAAAAAGAAGUGCGAAUAGAAGAACCAUCACAUGAAAAAGGCACAAAUUAUGAUUCGUAAGAUUGUUUUGUUACAGUAUAUAACACAUCAGUUCAAUUAUUUGCAAUACUAGCCCAAAAAGGAAAAAAAAAUUAUUACUCAUAUGAAAAUUUAAUAAGAAAAGAAUACCAUCAGAAAAUUUGUAACCGUACUAAAGAAUAGAAACUCCCAAUUGUCUUUGUAUGUUUCAAAAGUUGCAACCUUCACUAAGAACAAAUGAUAGACCAUCCCAGAGCAGAAAGUAGUGAAAUAUUGCUCAAAUGGCAAAAAAAAAAAAAGAAAAGAAAAUCCAACCGACAAUCAAACCAAGUAAUACAACAAUAGCUACAAAAUUUUCAGUCCAUAUUUAUUUGAUGCUCGUCAUGUGGUUUCUAUUCCUCCAUUCCACUGUGGUCUUGGAAUUUUGUGUGGAAUUAGGUGCUAUAGUAUCUUUCUACUGAUUCGUCUUACAUCAAUUUUUUAUCAUUCUUUCUCAAAAAUCCAAACUGUUUCAAGUUGGUUUACAUAAUGUAUUUUAGAUCAAUGUUUACAUCUAAUACCUAAAUUUUCUAGUGGUCCCUUUAUCCACUUCAGCAUCUACAGUUUCCUAAUAGUCCAACAUUUUGAUCCAUAAAACAUGGCUAGUCUUAUAGUUAUAGCCGUUCUACUAUAUAUAUAUAUAUAUAUAUAUAUAGAGUAGGGCUAUAUACUCUUAUGAGUAUUGGACCCUUCAUAUUCAUAAGUUGUUUUUGAUGAUGGGGCUUCCGAAUCGACGAUCCACUCCGUUAAAUAUGAUCUAGAGUAUUUGAAACUUCUAAAAAAUAAAUUUUGUAAUUUUUCGAAAUCAUAAUAAAGUCCAUCAAACGAGCAUAAAAUGAAAGGUCAAAAUCGAACGACGUCCUAAAAAUAGAUGAUUGGAUCCUUCAAUUUAAGAUCGGAGUUAUUGAUCUUUAUUUAGGUAGUGAAUAGAAUUUUCUAUCAAACAACCAUUCCAAUUCUUCAUUAAGCACCGUAACUAGCAAGAUCCCCACAUACCGGCCGUUACAAAAAUUGUCAAUUUUGUGAGUUUGAAAUCCAGCAUAAUGAUGUCGAAAAAUUAUGAAAAUUUAUUGUCCUAACCAAGAAUUUCUAAAAUACUCUAAAUAAGUUAACGUAAUGGAUCGUAGAUUCGCAAGUCUAUCAUCGAAAACAACUAUGACUACGAGGGCGAUCGCAUCAUAAGAAAUAGUAAGCCGACUCUAUAUAUAGUAUAUAUAUACACAGACACUAUAUAUAAUAUAUAUUAUAAAUAUAUAUACUAUAUAAUUACACUAUAUAAUCUGAUGUGAUGUGUGUGUGGUGUGGUGUGUUGCUGUGUUAUGAGUCCCGGAAACCUGCUAAUGCUAUCAAUAGCACCAAGCACUGAUGCUAUCAUUUUACUUUGAUUAUUUUACCCAUUAAAUAUACUAUUCACCCCACACACGCAUCAAUCCUAACCGCACCCAUCCUAAUGAAAAAGGCGAAAACUAAUAGCACCAUAAGUCAUUGGUUGCUACUAAAUAGUCAUCACCAACCAAGAGUUUCUAUAUAUAUAUAUAUAUAUAUAUAUAUUAGAAAGAGAGAGAGAGAGAGAGUAGAGAGGAGAGAGAGAUAGCUACUAUGCAACUAUUAAUAGCACCAACAUUGUGCUACCAAGUUUUUUGGGCGCAAUGAUAAGAGAUGCAUGCGGUCAUCAUAGACCGCCUAGGGUUGAGUGGGUGGUUGGUUAAAUAUAUGAUCAAUUGGGUGAAAAUGAUCAAAAGGUAGAAUCUAACGGCAGAAAACUUGGAGCAAACAAGUGCUUCGUGCUAUUAAUAAGCACUGACCUAUAAUAUUAUAUUUGUUGUGUGUGUGUGUGUUGUGGUGUGUGUGAAUGUGGUGAGUCUAGUCCCUAUACUAUCUAUGUACCGGGGCUAACGGUACUAUAGUCCUCGUUUCGAUCUUAAAGGUAGUUUCAAAUCAAACGAUCAACAUCCGUUAAAACUGAUCUAGGGUAUUUAAGUUUUAGAAAUAAAUUUUAUAAAUUUUUUCAAACAUAGUUUACUAUGAUCAAAGCUCAUUUCAAAAUUGUCAAUUUCAAUGGCUACAUGGUCAAAGUUUGGAUUUAACGGUGUAGAAACAAUAUAAAUUUCCUUCCAAAAAUUUCUGAUAGAAAAUACUUUAAACUACGAGAUUAGUUAACGAUUCUUGAUCUGGAAUUAAAAGUCAUAUGCUGGCUCCAAAUUUUAAAGAUUAAUUCAAUUUCACGUUUAUUUUACAUCAAUUAUUUACUCAUAAGUAAACGAUGUAAAAAAAACUAAAAUUUAUUCCUUAAGACUUCAAUAUACCCUAGACUCAUAUUUAAUCGGCUUGAGAUCGUUAAUUUAAACACCGUAGAUUGAAAUACAAGACUAAUAGUACCGGAGCUCCGGUACUAUAGAUAGCCAUAAUAGCCUAAUUCUAUAUAUAUAUAUACAUAUAUAAUAUAUAUAAUAUAUAUUAUAUAUAUUAAUAAUAUAAUACCCUUGACUAUUGAGUUUGGCCGUUGGAUGAAGAUGUGCGGUUAGAAUGAUAGUGUUGCCCCCGGUUAAUUGAUAGUGGCCCUAGUUGUUGAGUGGUGGCUUGGUUUAUAGUAUAACAACCGUGAAAUGAUCAAGGUAGAUCUAAUGUAGAAAACUCAAUAUAACAAGGCCUUGUAUCUAUCGAUUAAUCGUAGCCCUACUCUAUAUAUAUAUAUAUAUAGAGUUGAGCUGGAAUGCUAUCGAUAGCAAACGGCCUCCGUUGCCACCCAUUUGUUUUCGAUGAUGGAGCCUCCAAAUCGACGAUCGGCACCGUUGAAAAUGAUCUACACCACUUGAAGUAUUUAGAAAUCAAAUUUCAUACGUUUCCGAUAUUGUUCUCUUGUCCAUCAAGUGGGCAUAAAAAUGAACGGUUGAAAAUGAAUAUCCUCUAAAAAGUAAUAAUAGAAAUUUUAUAAUCAAGAUCGAGAGUAUAGAUCUUGUUCUAAAUAGUUUAAAGAAUUUUCUAACGAAAAUUCAAUUGAUUUAGAUAGUUUUACACCGUUAAACGAGAAAACGCCUCAUAUCUACCAUUAAAAUUACAAAUUUUGAAACCCUUUGAUCAUUAGGCUAAUGAUGUCGAAAAAAUUUGAAAUUUGAUUUCUAGACACUUUAAGUGGUAUAGAUCAUGUUCAACAGUGCCGAUCGUCUAUUUGGAGGCUUUAUCAUCGAAAACAAAUGGGUGACAACGGAACACAUUUGCUAUCGAUAGCAUUCCAGCUCAACUCUAUAUGUAUAUAUGUGUGUGUGUGUAUAUGGAAUUGAGCUAGAAUACUUUUAAAAGCACCAACCCCUUGGUGCUUCUAAGUUUCUAGCCCUUGGAUCUACUCCUUGAUUACUAAUAGCAUUUGGAUCAAACACUAUUCCACCUACCACCACCUACCACCAUCAUCUCAACCCUAUAUCUCUCCAUCCAAUGGCUAAAAACUCAAAAGCACCACUCUUUUGGUGUUUUUGAGAGUAUUCUAGCUCAACUCUAUAUAUAUGUAUAUAUAUAUAGUAGAACUAGGCCGGUAUAUUAUUGGUAGCACGGAGGCCUCCAUGCUACCAAGUUGUUUUCAAUGAUUCGGCUUUCAAAUCAUCGAUCGGCUCCGUUAGACUUGAUUUACACUAUUGAAAAUAUUUGAAAACUAAAUUUUAUAAUUUUUCGACAUUAUUUGGCUAGUGAUCAAAAGGUCUCAAAAAUGACAAUUUUAAUGGCCGAUGUGAUGCGUUUGUGAAUUUAACGGUGUAAAACAAUCCAAAUCUAAUGAAAUUUUUAUAGAAAAUUAUUUUUACUAUUUAGAGUAAGAUUAAUAUCUCUGAUUUUAAAUUCAAAUCUUUUAUCAUCAUUUUUUUAUGUGAUUUUUAUUUUCAGAUGUUCAUUUUUAGACUACUCGUUUGAUAGAUAAAUGAUAUCCAAAAAUUAUAAAAUUUAGUUUCUAAAUACUUUCAAUAGUGUAGAUCAAAUCUAACAGAGCCGAUCGUUGAUUUGGAAGCCACAUCAUUGAAAACAACUUGGUAGCACGAAGGCUACUACCGAUAGUAUACCAGCCGGACUCUAUAUAUAGAACUAGGUUGGUAUACUAUCGGUGGCACGGAGGCCUCUGUGCUACCAAGUUGUUUUUGAUGAUGCGGCUUCCAAAUCAACGAUCGGCUGCGUUACACUUGAUCUACACUAUUGAAAAUAUUUGGAAACUAAAUUUUAUAAUUUUUUGACAUUAUUUGGCUAGUGAUCAAAAGGACUCAAAAAUGACAAUUUUAAUAGCCGAUGUGAUGUGUUUGUGAAUUUAACGGUGUAAAACAAUCCAAAUCUGAUGAAAUUUUUAUAGAAAAUUUUUUUUACUAUUUAGAGUAAGAUCAGUACCUCUGAUUUUAAAUUCAAGUCUUUUCUCAUCAUUCUUUAUGCGAUUUUUAUUUUCAGCCGUUCAUUUUUAGACUACUCAUUUGAUAGGUAAAUGACGUCGAAAAAUUAUAAAAUUUAGUUUCCAAAUAUUUUCAAUAGUGUAGAUCAAGUCUAACGGAGCCGAUCGUUAAUUUGGAAGCCGCAUCAUCGAAAACAACUUGGUAGCACGGAGGUAGAUCAAGUCUAACGGAGCCGAUCGUUAAUUUGGAAGCCGCAUCAUUGAAAACAACUUGGUAGCACGGAGGCCUCCGUGCUAGAAAGCUGCAUCAUCGAAAACAACUUGGUAGCACAAAGACUUCCGUGCUACCGAUAGUAUACCAGCCGGACUAUAUAUAUAGAGAGAGAGAGAGAGCUUAAGGGCGGGAGGUACAAUUUCACGACGAAAUUCAUCUCCAUAACAAGUAAAAGAAACUGAAACUACAGGAUUCAGAAUGUAAGCAAGUAAUUAUAUGCAGUACAAAUGGCAAAUCACAAUUUUCUUCCAAGAUGGCCAGAAAGCAAAAAAAAAAAAAAAAAAAAAAAAAAAAAAAGAAGAUGGCAACAAAUAUUGCAGGCACUAGUUAUCUCCCUAACAAACUAAGUACAAGAAUAUUAGUCGGUUCCUAAGAAACUUAUCUGCUCAAGAAAGAAUGGCUCGGAAUCAAUUAAUGCAAGUAUAUGAAGAAGCAUUCACUUUGUCUAAUUAAUAAGCUUGCACAAGUGCAAAAAGAAACUCUAUUCACAAAAAACAAUUAAUGGGAUUCAGUGCGUCAUCGUCUAGCAAAUCUCACUUUUAUUAGGGACUCUCUUCAGAAAAAGCAAUUAAUGUGAUUCAGUGUGCCAUUUUCUAGCAAAUCUCAAUUUCGUUAUACAUAUAAUCGAGAAAAAGACAUUAGGAAAAGAUAUUGAGGCAUCUUAAAUCAUUAAGAAAAAGGAGUCAAACCAGGAGCAGCAAUUCAGCCAAAAAGUAUCCCAAUAUUGCUGACGAAAAAUGAUUAUGAUGAUCCACAAAAAGCUCAAGUAGUUCUAGGCUACUACUGUAAGGUCUAAAGGAUUAACAUGACAAAUGAUAGAAAUAAUUCUUAAGUGUUAAUAGAACUAAGAAAUUAAGGGGCAUAUUAGCUAAUAUGUCAUGAACUUCUAGUUUGACAUGCCUUUACUGAACAGUCAAAUGGUAGGUUAAGCAGGAGGAAAAGGACGAGGAACCCAAACGAAGCAAUCCUAGUGCGAGUAACAUUAAGCACACAUGAAUUAUCAUUUCACUUUGAUAUAAGGAUAAGGAACAAAAAUUAAAGGACACGAGCCCCGAAAGCAUCUAGUACAAGGAAUGCUUGAACCAAGAAAAGACUCGCAAAAUAUCUCAUCAUUCAAAGAGGACUGUCAGGCACUGAAAAGAGCCUGAAGGAUCAAGAUUCGAUUCUUUCUUAUUUCCUUCGGUUGCAAGUUGCAAACAUCUAAUUAAGUUGCUUUUAUAUCUCAAUUCCUUUUCGGCUUUUUAACUCAUCCGAUCACCACAGAGAGUAAAAUUGUUUAUAAAUUAGGCUGUUAGAGCAGAAGCAACUUGCUCAAAUAAUAUGUUACAAUUAGAAAAGCAAAGUCAAAAAUUCCUUUCCAGGUUAAAGUGUGCUUUACUUCUGAUUAUUUAUGUCUAGGAUGACUGCACAAUCACUCUACAAUUUAUAUACAAUGGACAAUUUUUCAAAAUUUUAAAUAAUUUAUUCUACAUACAUCAUUAUCAAUUUUGCACGAGUUCAUCAUCCAUAACUAAGAUGAAAUUUUAAAAGAUAAAUCAAGGAAAUAGUGGAACGAAAGCCAAUAUAGGACUAAUGGCACCUGCAAUGCCCCGCAGUAAAUGGGAGACAAGGUCAUCUUCUAGUUCUUGUAAAUUACCUCGACAACGUUAGUCCACAUAUAAGGCCGAUACAUAGCUGCUUUAGCAUGAAGCUAAAUAUGCAGAAUUGACUAGGUUCAUUUCUGAUAUUUUUGACGAUUGGGUAACAAAACAAAAGAAGUGACAUGGUUAACAAUGAUGUGGGAAGAGCAAAGAGUGCAAUACGGUACUCCCUGAUUUAGUAAAAUUAAGAAUUGAGAUUAAAAAUUCUAGGCUUUCUAUGGUAGGUGUUGUUUGUGAUGAGUGCUGAAUGAUAAGAGAGCGUCUUCCAAGGGUUCUAUCACAUGCACCACCUAAUUAAUAAAAAGGUAUUGUCCACAAUUCAGCACGUCAGUGACAUUGAUAACAGUAUCAGUGAGCUGAUGCAUCCCCAAGUCCCCAGAAAAACAUGAACAUGUGAAAGCACAUCCGAUAAGGAUGUUACAACUUUGGUCUGUUUGUUGCGCUCCAAUACUACAACAGACUAACAUUAUCCCUUCCUGUAUAAUGCUUGAAAGAGAGUGGAUAGAUGACAGAGUGGCAUGCAAGCAUCAGGAGAUUAUUAGCUGCACUGAUAGACACAUCUGACAAAAUUUUAAGAAAUAGUUCAGUGCUUGUGUGAUUAGUACAAUAGCUAGCCAACAAGCCACCCUACAUCAUUACUAACAUUCUACACUCAGACUAAUAAAUUUCUAUGUAUACUAACUAGGCAUGUAGGCAUUUAUAGACCAAAUAAGACCUAUGAGCUUGUAUGGCAUGCUUCAUGCUGUAAAUUGUAAACAAAGCAAAGUUAAAAACAAGAGAUUUCAUGCAUGCAUGUGUAAUCCCAUGAAUAACAUUCUAUAACAUAAUAACAAUGUAGCGAAGUACAAACUUACGCUUCAAGAAGGCAUCAAACAGGUUCCCAGUGAUGCCUUCAAUGGUAUCAUCAAUAGGCAAUAUGUGCACGCGCUUCCCGUACUUCACAUCCUGGCACUGAUGGACAGAAACCACGUCGCCAAGCCUUACCCUAAGAUUCUUCCUUACAACCUUGUUCAUUCUGAUUUUAGGCUCCUCGCAUGUAUCAUCGGCAAGCACAAUGCAAAUCGUAUCUCUUCGUUUCUUACCCUGCAUUAUCCAACAAGAAAGGAGCGUCCAACAUUAUGAUUGUCCAGAACCCAAGAAAAGCAUGUAACAAGAACCCUAAUUUCUCCUAGUUCUGCACAAAACCCCCAUGAAAAGCUAAAAUUUGAAGCUUCUUAAAUAAAAGCAGCCAUCCCAUGCAAUCAGAGCCCCCGAUUUUCCCAGUUUCAUAAGCACCUACACUUAAAAUAAUGAGAUACACUUAAAAUAAUGAGAAUUUCUAGGAGUAAGGAAAGAUCCUUUUUUUAACCUACAAAAUUAUCCACCAAGAAAGAAGCAUCCAACAAAAACAAAUCUCCAGAUCAAGCGCACGUAAUAAUAAAAACCCUAAUUGCUCCAAACUUUGCAGUAUGCCCCAUACAAAUCUAAAAUCUGAAACUAAAACAAAAGAGCGAUCAGAUGCAAUCAGGACCAUAAAUUUCCUAACUCCAAAAAGAAAUGACACUCAAAAUUAUAUAAAAUCUAAAAAAAAAAAAAAGAAUUAAAAAGACAAUUACCGACCUUCAAGAGGACGGUGUCCCCCCUGAAGAGCUGCAACUUCUCCAUCGUCUCCGGGUGCAUGGCGACGACGGAGUUAUCGUCGUUGAUCGCCUCAUCGACGACCAAACGGUUGGGCGCCUUCUUCCGUUCCAAAAUCGCCGUGCUAUAAUCCUUUUUCGCUUUCCUGCGUCGAAUUCAACAGCGAAUCAAAACCCUAGAAUCCGCCAUGAGAAGGGCAUCAAAGAUAUCGCAGAGGGAGAUGCUUACGGAUCGGCCGAGGACGAUUCUCCGUGACUCGCCAUGGGAGAGAGAGAGAGAGAGAGAGAGAGAGGAAAGAUGAAGAAGAAGGUUCUGGAAGGACUGGUAUAUAGAGCGGUCGAUGGGAGGUGAAGGAGAGCAGCGGAUUAUUAUAGCGGUGAGGUGAACCAAGUCGAACCGAUAUUUCUAGUCUCUAUAGAUAUAUAAAAUUCAGUUCUAAACUCGCUUAACGGUCUAUAGAUAUAUAAAAUCAGUUCUAAACGGGUUAUGUGUCGGGUUCUCCUUUUAUCGCGCGGCCUGUUUCCCUCCUCUCUCCGAUCCAUUCGCUCACACUGAGCGGGCUCAUGUGCCUAUAACGACCCAGCCCACUAGCAAUAAUAACUCGUUGGGCCCAACCACCGGCCCAAAAUGCUUAAGCCCAGUUAUUAUUGCUAGUGUCUAAGUCUCUUAUAAACCCAAUGACAACCCCAUUCUCAUCCGAUGUGGGACUAUUGGGGUGUCACAGUGCCUCCCGCCCCGCCUCCCUCCUUUAGAUCGGCACAUAGAUUUGCUGCCCUCCUCUCUCCAAUCCGCCCGCCCUCUCUAUAGAUCGGGCCAAAUCCCUGUCGCACGCGUGGUUCAUGCAGAUCUUGCAGGUCGCGGAUGUUUGUCGGGCCCUACCCUGACCUUCUCCUAUUCCUGUCGUACGCGCGUUCCAUCAUUGCGCCAAGGUUGAUCGGAGUACGGGAGUGCCCGUGGUAUCUCUUCUCUCUGCUCGCCAUGUGCAUCCCGUCCCUUCUUUCCCUGCAACACUUUCCUCCCUUCCUCAGUUCCGUCCCCGUCGCUGCCGGAGGUGGGCUACCUGAUCCCUUACCUAUGAUGAGGGAUCUACCCCUUUCUGUCCUAUGCUGUCGUCCUCCUUCCUUCUUCCUCUCUCAACUCGCGGUGGUCUCAGCAAAUGCUUAUAAAUAGUCCUGCGGCUAUGCAGAGGGGGGCCAACUUUGCUUGCUUGCCUCUAUUUUAAAGGUUUGUUUUAGUUGUUUGCUACUAGAACAUCCUCUAAAACUCUCUUUACUGUCCCUGUGGCUUCGGUCCUGUCUUCGCAUUGUUUUUUUGGAGUGUGGCUCAUGCGCAUUGUCUUGCUGUCUCAUCACUUUUGGUGAGUGGGCAACAACCUGCUCGCCCUAAAUUAUGGUGUGCUUUUUACCACUCCUGUUUGCUUUGGAAUUCUGACUUCCAACGACCUUCUUUGGCCCCAGCAAUAACUUAUUUUGAAAAAUAGAUUCCGACAAAAAAUUGGCCUUUAUACUUAGGCCCGUUUGGAUACCUCUAAAAACAUAGCAUAGUUAAACUAUGCUACGCCGGUAGGAAAAUAAUCCUAUGAAGCAUUUGGAAGACAAAAAAAUGACGUAAUUUUUGGAGUAUAGUUAUACUAUACUCCAAAAAAUAGAGUAAACUUACAAUCCACUUUAACCAAAAAAAAAAAAUUCCACCAUUUUGGGCUCCUAAAGAUGUAUCAAUUUCUAAAUUUUAAAUUUCAACAUAAAAUUUUAAAUUUCAAAUUUUAAAAUUUUAAAAUUCAAUUUUAGUUUUGAUUUUAAAUUUCAAAUUUCAAAUUUCAAAAAGUUCAAAUUUCAAAUUUCAAAUUUCAAAUUUCAAAUUCCAAAUUCCAAAUUCCAAAUUCCAAAUUUCAACUUUCAAAUUUCAACUUUCAAAUUUCAAAUUUCAAAUUUCAAAUUUCAAAUUUCAAAUUUCAAAUUUCAAAUUUCAAAUUUCAAAUUUCAAAUUUCAAAUUUCAAAUUUCAAAAAGUUCAAAUUUCAAAUUUCAAACUUCAAAUUUCAAAUUUCAAAUUUCAAAUUUCAACUUUCAAAUUUCAACUUUCAAAUUUUAAAUUUCAAAUUUCAAAUUUCAAAAAGUCCAAAUUUCAAAUUUCAAGUUUCAAAAAGUUCAAAUUUCAAAUUUCAAAUUUUAAUUUAAUUUUUAAUUUUUAAUUUUCAAUUUUCAAAAUUUAAAUUUAAACUUAAAUUUUAAAUUUUAAAUUUAUAAAUAUGUAAAUUUAUAAAUUAUUAAAUUUAAAAUUUAAAAUUUUAAUUAUACAUUUUUUAAAUUUCAAAAUUUAAAGUUUAAAUGGUAUACUUUAAAUUUCAAAUUUUAAAGUUUCAAAUUUCAAAUUUUAAAUUUCAAAUUCCAAAUUCCAAAUUUCAAAUUUAAAACAUAAAAUCUAAUUUAAUUUUUUAAUUUUUAAUUUUAAAUUUUAAAUUUUAAAUUUUAAUUUUAUAUUUUGAAUUUUAAUUUUUAAAUUUUGAAUUUUGAAUUUUGAAUUUUGAAUUUUAAAAUUUUAGAAAUUUAAUUGUUAUAAAUACUAUGAAAUUGUAUGAUAUAUAUCCAAACAGCUUAAAAAUGAAGCUGUGGAAUUUUUUUGUAGUUACAGGAUUCCGUAUUUCAUUUAGACCAAAACCAUAGAAAAAAAAUUCCAUGGAGUUUUUUAACUAUCCAUCCAAACAGGGCCUUAACACAUAAAAAAAAAGGGAAAAAAUUGCUGAGGACUUUUGGUGAAUUGGACGAAAAAAAUUGCUGAGGACUUUUGGUGAAUUGGGCGGUGUUCUGCUCGCCCUAAAUUAUGGUGCUCUUUUUCCCCCCUGUUUACUAGCAAUAACUUAUUUUGAAAACCCGGUUCCGAAAAAUAAUUAGCCUUUAUACUUAACACAUUAAAAAAAAAAGAAAAAAAAAUUGCUGAACAUUUUGAAAAACAGAUUCCGAAAAAAAAUUGGCCUUUAUACUUAACACAUUAAAAAAAAAGAAAAAAAAUUACUGAGAAUUUUUGGUGAGUUAGGCGGUGUUCUACUCGCCCUAAAUUAUGGUGCUCUUUUUUUCUCCCUGUUUACUUUGGUGCUUUGUCUGGACUUCUUUGGGUCCCCCCAAAUCUGAAAUUUUAAAAGUCCCCUCCUUAAACCGUUGCACAUAAUCAGUUAACCCAAAAAAAUAGGGCUACUGCUCUUUUGUACUUAGUGCAGUAAAAAAAGAAAAUUCCUGGGGCCUCUUUGGACCUACCAGCUAUAAUAAUUUUUUGCUGUGCCUUCUCAAGGCCUUUGCUUAACAAAGUUUUUAAAGGUGCCUGCUUAAGGAAUGUCCCUUCUAUUACUUUCGGUAAUGCUCAUUAAAAUGCCCUCCCUAUUACUUCUACUUAACAUGCCCUAUGGCCGGUUGAGCAAAUAUUUAUUUAGAAUACUUUUAUUCCUGUUAAAAACAAAAAGAGUUUCUCUCAUUAAGUAGGUAUAAGCAUUUUCCUUUGUAUUGACCCCAGUUUACAUCUUGGCAACAGUUACUGAGAUGUCGGUCAUUCAGCUUUCAUAUACUAUGUUGCUUGGUGAAAUUGUUGGGAAGCUGGGCGUUGAAACACCAGAGUGUAUUGUAACUAUUGCUGCAGAGGGUUUGUUUAUAGCGUAUAUAGACCUUCCAAUCUCGCACGGUGGAACCGUUAUUGAAAUUGCCCGCAAUUGCGGCUCUCCAUCUGCUGAUUACAUGACAGCCAAGGAAGAUACAGCACGAGUUGCCAUCCAAAGGAUGAAGGAAGAACUCGGUUUGCAAAUAAAAGAUGCAAACUACGAUGAUUUUAUAUUAUACAAGAGUUUGUACGAUAAUGUUACGCUUCACAAUAGCGACUUGGUUGGCUAGUUCACGAACCUUAGGCGGGAACACAGUCUCCUUAAAGAUUGUUAUGCUACUGUGGUGUCUAAAAAAGCCGACGCCAUAACUGAGCAGAUUAAAUUGCAUCGUGAGCUCAAUGAUUGUCAUGCCACAAUCAACUGCAUUCGUUUUGGCCAAUCUGCUAUGGCGUGUGACCCCUCUGAAGUAGGAUCAGUUUCUUAGUUCUUUGCUCCGUACCCUUUAGUGUUAGAAUGUCCAACAGACUCCUUUUGUACUAUAGAGCCAGUUCUCAUGCCUCUGCAUGUUUUGUGCUUUUGUCACUUUGUAAACUUUGUCAUGUACUGUUAUCUGGUUUUUUUUUUAAAUGAUGCGUAGUAUGCCGGGGCUGUGGUUCUAUUACCGAUUUGGUGUCUAGAUCGUGCUCUUUGAAUUUCUCUUGCGUUCUAUGACUUGAGGAUAUUAUGUAAGUACUCUAGAAUUAGGAAAGGCCCUUGUGGAUGAGUAAAACCGCAAAAUAAUGGUAUGAGAUCUUGCUGGUUUAGUUAAAUUCGUUUUUCUUGCUGAACUUCAGUUAAAUUAGUUCAUCUUAUAAGCAACACUCAAUAAACACUCCAGUUCAACGAAUGUUGAUCAUAAUAUUGUGAAAGUAGUGGUAUAAAAGAAAUGGAUGCUUUGUGACCUCAAAUGAUUUGUUGAGCAAUGAUGAUACGAAAUAUAAAAAAGGCUAAGCUUGAUGGCCUUGGGGCAACACUUGCGGCAAUUGUUGGCUAAAAAAAUUAAGAAAUAGAUGCUUUGUGACCUCAAAUGAUUUGUUGAGCAAUGAUGAUACGGAAUAUAAAAAAAGGUAAGCUUGAUGGCCUUGGAGCAACACUUGCGCCAAUUGUUGGCUAAAAAAAUUAUAUCGAAUAUGUGAUGAUGCGGAAUGGUUUGUUUGGCAAUGGUGAUACGGAAUUAAAAAAAGUCUAAGCUUAUAGUGAUACGGAAUUAAAGAAAGUCCAAGCUUGUGGUGAUCCGGAAUUAAAGAAAGGGCAAGCUUGAUGGCCUUAGGGCAACACUUGCACCAUUGUUGGCUAAAAAAAUGUGCAUCACAUAUAUGAUGAUACGGAAUUUUAAAAAAACCAAGCUUGAUGGCCUUAGGACAAAACUUGCGCCAAUUGUUUGCUAAAAGAAAAAAAAAAAAAGUCUAUUGGCUAUGUGAUGAAAAGAAUAAAGAUGCCCUUACUAUCUGAGCUCAGCCGAUUUUUUUCAAAAUUAUUUGGAAUCACUGAUUAUCCAUUUCUUUUUGUCACUACUCUUUGUGCUUAAUUUGCAAGUAUUCUCCACAAAGCUCUCAAUGGCGUCGUGCAAAGCUUGCUUGCUAUUUACUGAUGCUUUUGAUACUUUCUUCUAAGGUUUGCCUUUUCGGGAUUCUAAUUCCUUAAAAAUUAGUACAUGCGGUUUACAUUUGAGAUUUCUUACAUGCCCUUCCUCUAGGACAAAAGAAUUCGGCAUUAUUGUCUGAGUUCCCUGCAUUUUUUUUCCCCAAAGCUUUCUAACAUGUAUAUCAUUACUUCCAAUUUAUUGUGUUUAGUUUUUGGCUUUUGUAUACACCAUGAACUGCACUAGGUCAUCUGAAAAUAAUGAACCAAGGGUUACUUUAAUUGUUCCCCUCUUUGUCUUACAUAUGUUGGCAUCAUUAUAUAGUACUUUAAGAUCAGUCCCCUUUGGCAGGUUCAACACUUCCCACAACUCACUCAACAAGUAUUAAUUGAGUACUGUGAUAUUGUCCUUGUUAUGUCAUGGUAUUAAAAUUUUCGCUCCUCUUUGACUACUUUGGUUUAAAUAUUUAGAGUUAUUUGUUGCAUUUUUCUUUAGCUCCAGUCCUUCAAUACAUUGUUAUAUUCUAAUAUUCCUUGGUGUUUCUGACCAUUUUCUACCUCUUCUUUGAGGCGAUGAUGAUGAGUAGGGAAAUAUGUGAAAAAUAUUGGCUUAGAACGAGCGGAAGUUUGGACAACCUGCUCAUAGGCAACCACUUCCUAUUGUUCUUAUAGUUGGUGGAUGCUACUCAUGUCCUUAUUUCUAGGGAAACUAUGGCUAUGCGUGUUCGGCUAUGGUUCUUCCUGGUUGCGCAUUACCAGCUCUCAAUAAUCGAGUGCUUGAUUCACAAAAGUUUAGAUUAGGUUGACUCACAUAUUGCAAGAUACCAUGAAGAUUUUUGUGAAUCAAGUGCAAUUUGUUAAAGCUCUCAAAUAUUACACGAUACCAUGAAGAUUUUUACUAAACCUUUGUGAAUCAAGUACAAUAUGGAAAAUAUGUAUGAUGACAAGGUUAUGAAGAUUGUACUCUAUGAUAGUGUGUAAUGAGUGUCAUAGUUUUUUGGUCUUUUGGCGCUUUACUCUAUGCACUUCAGGUCUUUGUGGUUCCUAAUGUUUCUUGCGCCUUUUUCACAAUUGGGAGUAGUACAAGCUAAAAGAUGCAAUAGUUUCUAAUUGCUGAACCUUUUAGUGAUAAUAACCUUUUUUGUGAUGAUGUCGGUUCAAAUCAGUUCAAAUUUAUGCAUAUUGAGAUGGAAUUUUAAGUCAAUAGCUCUACUUUCUAUGUUGAUCAAAGAUGGUGCAAUGCUGAUUUUCUGGACUGAACUGGGCCAACUUUGGAUUUUGAUAAAAUCCAUUUGAAUUUCUCCUAGAAGCUGAACUUUGGAAGGAUCGAUAGUAAUCAUUUUUUUCUUUUUCUUUUUUUUUUUGAGAGAUAGGUAGCACGCUACCCACUUCAUUUAUUUUAUUUAGAAAUAAACUUAGCUGGAAAUGUGAAUCAACUAGGAUUCAAACUUGGGACCUCGAGUACUAAUCACCAAGCCCUUUGCUACUUGCUCAAGGGACAGUUGGUAUCUUGACUUCAUCCUCUUGUGGUUAGAAUCUUAUUUGGACCAAUUUGGAGGCAACAUGAGUGAGAAAUUCGGUUCUAAGAGAUAUUUUUCAUGAAAUUGUUACAAUUGCUGCUGCCUUUACUAAAUCAUUGAUCUGAUAAUAGAUGGCUCAUUUUUUGCAAGAAUGAUUGGUAAUAUGCAUAUGAAGUAAUUGUGCAUCUCUCUUGAUUGCUCUAUUCUUUAUAUUAUACUUUUGUUUGUUUUUAUUGACCUGAUUUUGUUUUUUAAAUAGGAAAAUAAUGCAUGGUUUAUUGUCCAUUCCUUGUGGUUAAUUUCUAAUGCACUGAUUCCUGGAUUUUUUCCCCCACUCUGCUAUGAAUUUCGCUCUGCUAUGAAUUUCGCUCUGCUAUGAUUUCACAUACUUCUCGCAUCGAUUGAUCUAAACUUGCUCAGUUUUUUUUUUUUUACAUAUUCUACUUACAUCUUUUGGUUUAGCUAUAUUCUUUGUCACCCCAAUUUUUUCUUAUGAUCUAUUUGUUCAAAUAAUGUUCUGCAUUGCAUAGGUAAGGUUAGGAGAAAAAAAAAUGUGUGAAGAGACAAGAUAUGUAAUAUUGCAAGAUACUAUGAAGAUUUUUACUAAACCUUUAUGAAUCAAGUACAAUUUGAAAAAUAUGUAUGAUGACAAGGUUAUGAAGAUUGUUCUUAGCUUGGUUAUGAGAUAAUUAGUGCACUUUUGAUAUUUAUGCUGAAAAUUCAGUACGUUGAGAGUAUUGUGAUAAUUGAUGGAAUUGUGGUUGACUUUGUAUCCACUUUUUUGAGUUAGUGUUGAUGGGACUCUAGCUUACUUCUUCUCCACCUCGGAACUCCAUUCUUGCAAUAAAUUUCCUUCAAUUUCUCCAAUUACCCUCUUUUCUCUGCUGGCUGGCAGCAGGGUAUUUGGGAGAAAGGAGCUUAAUUGGAGGAGUUUUGAAGUUCCAAAUUUAAAAUUGAAUAUAUGUAGCUGUGUAGGGGGAAGUUGAAAUGCAGCUUGCACCUCUGUUGAGAUGGAAUUUCAAGUCAAUAGCUUUACUUUUUAUGUUGAUCAAAGAUGGUGCAAUGCUGAUUUUCUGGACUAAAUUGGACCAACUUUGGACUUUGAUAAAAUCCAUUUGAAUUUCUCCUAGAAGCUGAACUUUGGAAGGAUCGAUAGUAAUCUUGACUUCAUCCUCUUGUGGUUAGAAUCUUAUUUGGACCAAUUUGGAGGCAACAUAAGUGAGAACUUCGGUUCUAAGAGAUAUUUUCUAUGAAAUUGUUACAAUUGCUACUGCCUUUACAAUUCUUCCACACUUCUGAUAAAUUAUAUGAAUUCCCACGUGCCAAAAGACAUUGCCUUAGGUACUACUUAAUAUGUGUUUCCUCACUACUAAUAGAAUAACUUUACACAACAACACUCAUAUUACAUUGUUUGCUUUGUAGUGAUAACGAAGGCUCUGAAGACAAGCAAUGAAGGAUUAUGUAUAAAUAUGCCAUUUCUUAGCAAUAUAUAUAAAUGUAAUGGAGAUUAUGCCUAUUCUAAACAAUAUUUAUAAUUUACCUUUAUAAUCUACGUGUAUAUAUGAAGUUAAUCAUUUUAGAACCUCUUCUAAUAAUAUAUAUCAUAAAAUUAUAUUUUCACUAUGUUUAAAUUUUGUUAAUCUCCAAGUUUUUCUCGCUGAUUUAGCAGACUUGCUAAGCUUUAUUUCUAGGCACCAUGCUGAACUUGACAAUUUAGAGAAGAGUUGCCAAACUUCUAUUGUGUGUGAGUGCAUAUACCUAUGUUACUAUUUUGAUUAACCUUUCACAUAUCGCAUUAUAUCAAGGUGAGUUUAGAUACCCAGUUUCUUAUUGUUGAAGUUGAACUUGAGGUAAGGAGGUAACAAGUAUCGUCGUCGUGGUCCAUCUGGGGUGCACGUAGCAAUCGGGUGGAACCUAACGUAUGAAAGUGAGUGCCUCACUGCUAUCCAUCUGGGGAUGCAGGUGGCGAUCGGGUGGAACCCGAUGUAUGAAGUAAUGGAUCCCAAGGCACAUUGACUAUUGCUGUUGAAGCCGGAGAUUAGAACGUCCUCUGGUUCAAGAUCUUCGAUUCUAUAUCCUGUUUGAAUUAAGGUCUGCUUCGGUAGGAUACUUACCGCAGACCCGGGAUCAACCAACAUUCGCUGAAGAUGAGUGCUGUUAACAUAUCCUUCGACAUACAAGGGGCGGUUGUGAUCUCUAUUCCCUGAACGGAUGGAUGAUGAAUUUGUUGUUGUUGUUGCUGUCGUAGAAGCGUAUUCAGUGCAUCCAUCAUAGUGUUCUUCUUCGUGGCAACAUUGCGGCCCAUAUAGCCGUUGAGUCACUUCGAGCUGAUCUCCGAUACACUCUUCGUUAGUCCCUAUCCGAUCAUGUUCAACCUCAGCAUACUGGCACAAGUGGUACACCCAGAUGUCCCUACCCGAGUGGUCAGUGUGUUCUUCUUCGUGGCAACAUCUUUGCUGGUCAUUUGAUUAAAUACCAUUUCUUUAAAAAAAAAAAAAAAGAAGAAAAGAAAACGAAGGGGGGAGGAUCACCCCCCCUCUUCUCCUUCUUCUCCGUCAUGGAGGUGGAAAUUCCCUCCUUGAGGGUUGCGGUCCAUGAAAAUGUCAGUGACAAUCAUCAAAGUAAGCUUCGAUUGCAGGAAUUGGAUUCCCUUGAAGGGCUGAGGCUUCAAGCUCAGCAAAAUCUCGAGCUUUAUCGAAGUCGGAUGUCCAAUGCAUACAACAGGAUGGUGAAGCUUUCAAUAAAACCUUGGUAAAAUUGCUAAAGAUUGUGUGAUUCACAUUUUUUUCCCGAUUUUUUAUUCCCGAUAAAGUUUUUUGUUGCUUUAUAUAUGGCUUAUGCAUUUACUUAAGGAGAUAAAUAAUUUUGUUAAUUAGUUUUUGUGUAGUCUAUAUUAACAGUUUAUAAAAAAUAUACUACUCUUUAUUUGCUUCAUCUUUUAUUUUCUUCUUUUUCUCUCUUAGCGUGUUAAGUAAACCUUUGUAUAUGUCUUAUAUGCAAAUAAUAAAUCACUUAAUAAGCUUACAAUUUUCUUUAAAUCUGAAAUAUUUUUUUCUCCUUUUAUUUGAAGUUGUCGUUUGGCGAUUAGCUUGGACACAGUAUAAACUAAUUAAACAAUAAAAAGCAAAAUUAAACAUCCAUGAACAUCUUUGAGUCAUGCAAUUCUGGAUUCUUAAUUUGAACUUUUUAUAUACAUAAAAAAUCUUUAUGCAAGUGAAAUCUGAAUUAUGAAUUCUAAACAUUUAUAUGUAUCGAAUUUUCUGGACCUUUUUUUUUACUUUUUUUACUAUUGUUUUGUUUGGUUUAAUAUGAUUACCAUAACCAACUCUAAAUUCUCACAAUUAUUUUGUGGGAGAGGCCCUAAUGUUAAUAACAUAUUUUCCUCAUCAUACAGAAACUUUUUGCCGACAAAUUCAAAACUAUAGUACCGGUGUAGCUUAUCAAUGACCUUCCUGCCUAGGCUUUAGUUCGAACUUCCAUGAAGAAAGUUACGCAGUUAAAUCAGUGCCGAUCUAAUAAUGUUCGAUGGCUUGGGGAGUCUAAGCAAAGUACAGUUAGUUAGAUUCUGAAUUGCUUACUGCCAAAACAGACUUAUUUGCUUUUGCUGUGUAUCUCGAAUCCUUUUUUUCUUUACCGUCUAAUAUAAUUUGCUACUGUCUUCAAUUGUAUGAUUUGAUUCGAAUGCUACAUACCUUGAAUUUUGAGAUUUUAUUUGGACCCUUUUUUUUACUAUUCUUUUGUUUGUUUUAAUACUAUUGCCAUAACCAACCUUUUAUAUUAAUUCGCAUUCUGAAUUCAAGAUUCUAAGUUCUAAAUUCUGAAUAUGAAUUCUGAAUUCCCAAUAUUGUUCUGUGGGAGAAACCCUAAUAUUAAUAACAUCUUUUUCCCAUCAUACACAAACUCUUUGCCGACAAAUUCAAAACUAUAGUACCGGUGUAGCUUAUCAAUGACCUUCCUGCGUAACCCCUUACCAUCAACAACGCAGCUGAACUAUCUCAAAAUAUUUGAUACAUACAAAAAUGUUCAAAUUCAAAAUGAUGACCUACCCCUUAUUUUCGGUAUGCGUGUGGGUUCUUAUGCAAUUAGCGCUGCAAACCGAGUUACCUUCAGUGCCAAAUUGAUAAUGUUUUGUGGCUAGGAGAGUUUGAACAAAAUAUCAUGGAAUUUCGAAUUACCUGGCUGAAUUCCAUAUUACCUAGCUGAACUCCGAAUUUUCUACCUGAAUUCUGAAUUGGGAAUUCAGAAUAAAAAAUAUAAAAUUGCAACGAGUUAUUCGAUGCAUAUAAAAGUUUAGAAUUUAGAAAAAUUAGGAUUCAUCAAAAUUCUAUAUAAAAUCAAAUAUUUAAAAUGUAGAAACUGAAUUAAGAUAAAAUGUAUUUUUUGAAUUUUAAAAUUUUAAAUUCUAAAUUUCAAAUUGCAACAUUUAAAAAAAAGGGAUUUUAAUUUCGUAUGUACAAAAUUAAAUUUUUAGAUAAUUGGAUAUUUUAAAUUUUAAAUAAAUUACAUAAAUUCCCACCGCGAAGCGCGGGCCUUCACUAGUUAACAUUAACAUCAACAUCAACAUCAACGUCAACAUAAAUAUUUAAUUAUUAUUUUUAAUUUUAAUAUAUUAUUAUUUUAAUUUUAUAUGUAAUUAUAAAAUAAAAUACUGAUUUAUAAAUUAAAUUAAGUAGUUAAAAGUUUGCCCGUUUCACUUUUUGUAAAAUUAAUUUGUGCUAAUAGAAAAGAAAAUCAGCUAAGUUAAUUUUAAAUCAUGAAUUUUUAAUAUGACUUGAUUAAAGAAUAUCCAACCGGUUUGAUUAAACUGGACUGAUUCAUCGAUUCAAUAGUUCAACCGUCGGCUCUAAUAGUUCAAAGUAAUUUUUUUUUACUUAUCAGGUUUAAAGAGUUAGAUUGAAUCGCUUUAUAGAAGAGCUCAUGGCCUGACUGGUAGAACUAUCUGGUGCAAUUCGAUUUUUAAAACAUUGCAAAUACGAUCUAUGUUUUUUAAAUUUUAUAGUUUAUUACUUAAAUUUUUAAAAGUUUCUUUUUAAAAAAUAUAAUAUAUUUAUAUUUUUUAUUAAUUUAAAGUGAUUAGGCAAACUCUUUCUUAAUUAAAUAAGAAUAUAAAUGCACGAAAACUAUUCAAACUUUGUUCAUUUACUCGCAACCACCUACACUUUCAAAAUUUUAUAUUUAUUACUCUAAUUUUUAAAAUUUUACAAUUACCAAGCAUCUAGAUUCAUAUUUUACUAAUUUAAAAUAAUUAAUAUUAGCCAAUUUGCUGAAAAAUGAUAAAAAAUGCAUACUGAAGAUAUAAAUAAGUCUUUUUUUUUUAUGUCAAAAACUACUUUUGUAGAUUAAAUUGACUAUAAUUAUCACAUUUACUUUGUUGUAUCAAAUGCUAAACCUCAACUUUCACAUUGUAUUCACUAAAUUUUGACAUUAAAAAAAAUUUAUAUUGCCCGUGUCACGCCCCGGAUUACUACGUUUUUCCGAACAUGCCAACAGACCCGCCAUAUACAUCAAAUUUUUUCGUAUAUACGAAACGAUAACUGUACCUGUAAACAAAUCAUAGCUACAACCAUAAGUAUAAAGCUACUAAAACUGAAACAUAUACAUAAAAGCAUACUAAACCCAUUGUACAUACAAUAUUCACAAUACAACCUCGCUCCAGCCAGUACAACAAAAUAUAAUAGUAUGUACAAAAAAACAACCCAAAACUACCUCUGAAGGGGGUACUCUUCUAGCACAGUGACCGGAAAGGUAGGGAUCUAGCUCGCGAUUCCCUUAUCACGGUCAUAAUCAACAGCAACAGCAACGAACUGCUCUGCAAAAAGGUAGCAACAACCGCAUGUGAAAACUACUGCAAAACAGGGUAGUCCUCAGUGGGUACCGUCACCGACCCCAACGGCCCACCCACUAAGUCUAUAGUACGGUAUGCAAAGGAUAGUAAAGUAAGCUAGAAGAAACUCUACAGCUAUAUGCUACUAGACUACCACUAUUCAACCCUGCUCUCUGUAGACAUAGCAAUGCAUCACUAGCUAUACACUGACCUAAUCUCAAUGGACUGCCAACUGGCCCGUCCAGCCUGUAUCCAAACUACACCGUACACCACCCGCGGGGGUGGCCGGUCCAAGAAACUGCCGAAGCGGGACUGCUGCGACAUCAACGUAAGUAAAGCCUCACUCCGAAGCAGCACUCGUGGGAGCGACCCAACCGAGUAUGCAAGUGUGUCUCUGUUGAGCUCAAUCAGGCUCACACAGGCUGUAGUCAAUGUAAAUGGGUCACACUAGUCUAACAACCAAUGUUCACGUGCCAUCGGCAAAAUCUGAUACAUGAUGUAAACAUCUGGGUCCACCGUCACUCCUGACGGCACUGGACAGUACGGAAUAGUCCAAACUCUACUGUAAAACGAGCUCGACUCCUCAUCACGAGCGUAAUCUCAAUCUACACUAAUCUAAAUAUCCACAACGCAUAACAACAGUGAUACAAUAAAAAUAACUAGCUCCCGAAGCUAAAUUUGUUAACAAUUCGAAAAUGACAGUGUAGAUUUAACGGAUUUUCUCCUAAGUCAAAUACCAGUUCAGUAUAUAUAACUUCAUCGAAAAUCAUGAAAUUAUGCUCUAAAUUCAGAUUUCGUAUAAAGCAUGCAAAUCUACGAAUUCGAGCUACUAAACAUGAUGGUUAAGGUAAGAAAAUAUAUGCUGCCACUUCUACGACUUAGAAGGAAUUUCGACGAUUUCGGUAAACAUUAACCCACCUCAAACGCUCAUCCAACACCGGCUAGAAGUUGAUAGGAAAAACCUUACGCUAGCUCGAUCUCCAACGGAAAUCCCCCCCGAGGUGCACGAGCAAACCUCCAACGACCAGCACAAAGCAACUGAGAAUGAUCCUAAGCUAGCUAGAGAGAGAGAGAGAAAAACUCUAUCAGUUCUCCUAGCUCCAACUCAACUAAAUAGGGCUCGGGGUCGGUUGGCGAUAAUAUCGGCAACCAAAAUGACCAAAAGACUCCUUACCAACUCAAUUCUGUCGCCUGAGUACCGAUACUCAACUUGGGUACCGGUACUGAACACUCAACCCACGAACUCAUGUGCUGUGCACCGGUACUAGCCCGAUGCAAUACCGGUAACCCGUCCCAGUACCGGUAGUCAUCAACAGGUACCGGUACUCGAUGCCAAGCUGUACAAACCCGAGAGCAACAAACCAUGUAAUUCCUCUAGGCCCCGUUUGGAUCGCGGGAUAAACGGGGAUAACGAAAGUUAUCCCCGCUAUUCCGCCAAACGGGGUGAAAUUUAGCCGGAAUAUUUUAUCCCGGUCAAACCUUGCUAUUCUCGGUUAUCCCGGAAUAGCAAGGGAUUUGCUAUUCCACCAUUUUGGUGGAAUAGCGCUAUUCCAAUGCUUAAUUUCAAACUUAAUUAAAUUUAUAAAUUGAAUUAAACUAAAUUAUAUAAAUAUAAUAUGUUAUAUAUUAUAAUACAUUAUUUUUAUUAUAAAAUUAUUAAUUGUACUAUAUUAAUACAUAUUAUUUAUAUUUAAAUAUUAUAAUAAAAUUUAUAAUAAAUUAUAUUUAAAUAUUAUAAUAAAUUCUUUUUAUUAAAUUUAAAUUUAAGUAGAAUUUUUAAAAAAUUUAUAAAUUUAUUAUAAUAAAUUAUUUUUAUUAAUUGUUCCCACCACUAUUCUUAUUUUAAAAUUUUAAAAAUUAAAAAUUUAAAUUUUUAAAAUUUAUAAUUUAUAAUCUCAAAAUUAAAGUUUAAAAUUUAAAUUAUAAAUUUUAAAUUUUAAAUUUAAAUUUUGAUAUUUUAAAUUUUUGAAAUUUAAAAUUUGAUAUUUUAUAUUUUUUUAAAUUUAAAUAUGAUCUUAAAUUUAAAGUUUGAAAUUUAAAAUUUAAAAUUUUGAAUUUAAAAUUUGAGAUUUUAAAUUUCAAAGUUAAAAUUUUAAAUUUAGAAAUAUAAAUUUAAAAAUUUAAAAAUUCAAAUUCAAAUAUAAUAAGGGGAUAAUAUUAUUAUUUUUUAUUUACAAAACCCAUUAUCUUUCUUAUUCUAUCUUACCUAACCAAACGCUAUUUUUUUUUUCCAGGAAUAACCCAAUUUUCAUCCAAACGCAAAAUUGAUCUAAUCCUCGCUUAUACCUCAAUUUAUACCUAUCCCUGGAAUAACUAUUUUUUUUUUAUCCCCGAACCAAACGAUACCCUAGGGUACACCGAUACACCUCUCAGGUAUCGGUACACAACACUCAAAAUCCUGCUUUUGCAGAUUUUAGUGUUCGAACUCCCACUCUCACAGCUCUGAGUCCGUUUUCGUGUCUAUUCCGCGCCAAAACGACUCUAACUCGUCCCGACGCUCUACAGAUGUGUUGAUAAGCCACUGAUGCUGUAAUCAGUCCGACAGCUAAACCCCAGAGACACUACAGCCAGCAUGCAUUCCUCUUUAUUACUGAAUCAUUUGGCUAAUAUUAGUCACUUUAUUAAAUGGUUAAAAUAAAAAUAUUGGCUACUAAUUGAAAAAUUUUAGAAGUUUAGAUUGAAAAUAUAAAAUUUUAAAAAAGUAAACCGCUAUCUGCAAAUAGGCAAAACUCAGAUAGUUUGGAGAAAGACCGCUAUCUGCAAACAAGCAAAAACUCAAAUAAUUAUAGUAAGAGCGUGAAAAAAUCUAUGAAACUUUCCAUCAAAAAAUGACAAUCUAGUGUUUUGCCUUUUGUAACCAUGCAUUUGAAAUUAUUUUGUCAAUUUCAUUUUAUUAAGUAUUUUCUUUUUACUAAAAGAGAUCAAUAAAUUUUAGAAACUCUAUCAACCUUCUUUGUGCGUUCCGAGGUAUUAAACUUUCACACUGUUUUUAAUGAUAAAAUCAAGUAAUACAAAUUACUAGUGCGUUGUUGGAGUAAUUUUUAACGUGCUUAAAAUAACCAAUUAUUCUAAAAUUUUAAGCUGCAUUUUGGUUGGUUCUAUUUGCAUUGUAGGGAGAAUGUGUUACAUAUAGUAGGACAGUCAAAAAUGAAAUAUAUUCCAUUAGUUCUCAUAAGAGUAACGCAUACAAAUUUGGGUUAAGAUUUUAUUUUUAACUUUUUUCGGUCUGAUAGCUUCCGAUAUCCCUUAAUAUACGUAGUAAUUCAACAUUACACUGCUGUUCCAAACCAAACGAAAUAAUACAAUAUUAGGGUGCGUUUGGUUCGCGCUAUCUUUUAAAGAUUCCUACUAAUCUAAUGGGAAUAAAAAAAUAUGACGGUGUUUGGCUAAAUACACUAAGUAAUCUAGUUGGUAAUAUUGGAUUCACUUGGGAAUAAGAUUCACCUCAAAGUACUAAUCUCAUUCCCUUUUGGGAGAGUGGGUAUUUUCAUAUUAAUGGAUUGGGGUAAUCACAAUAUGUCUAAUCUCUUUCUUUCUUCCUACCCGCAGGCUAAUUGAUAUUAUUUUUCUUUACAUUCUAACCUUAUAUCUCUCUCUAAACUUAAUUUUCUCCCUAAAAUUUAACUUUUUUUUCUCUCUCUAAACUAAGCGUUCCCUCUCUCUCUCUUUCUAAAAUUUCAACUCUCUCACUCCCUCUAAUUUCAACUAUAUUUUUCUUUCUAUUUUUUUAAUUAUGCUCUCUCCCUCUCUAACUUAUACUCUCUCUCCCUUUUUUCUAAAAAUAUGUUGAAACUUUUGGUAACAUUAUCUAAAAUUAAAUAAAUAAAUAAAUUAAUUAAUUAUAUAUUUUUUGUAAUAUUAAAUAAUAUGGCUAAUUAAUAUUACCGUGCGAACCAAACACAGAAAUUUCACAUUCUUAGUAAUAGGAUGAAUAGGAAUAAGAUUAUCGGAUAUCUUUUAUUCCUAGUAAUCUUUCAUAAUGCGAACCAAACGCACCCUUAGAGUAAUAAUCUGAACAACAGAAUGAAGCCAGAAAUUAAGAUUCGGGGGGGCCAAAAUUUAAAUUUGAUAGGAAAAAAAUUCGACCUCGGAUAAUAAGAAAAAAAAUUUGUCAGAUUCACUGAUAACGACAAUAUGCUAAGAAAGGAACAAGACUGUAAGAGUUGAAGGGAAAGGACUAAGAAAUUCGAAAAAAAAAAAUCAAGACACAAAUUUUGUUAAAAAAAUUAAUUUGGCCCCCUAAAAUUAAAAUUUAUAAUAUUUUAAUUUUUAUUAUAAAGGACUUUUAUAUAAUUUUAAAAAAUUUAGGGGGGGCCAUGGCCACUGUGGGCGCCUCAAUAGCUCCGUCCCUACCAGAUUACUAGUCAUGUUGAGAUAACUAGUGAUGUUAUAUAACGCACUCUAAACUGGCCCUUAAUGCCAAAUUGGGCCUUCAAUAUUUGAUCUUGGAUUUCGAGUUUGGGUUACUCGAAGUUAGUUAGUUAGGCUUUUUAGCAUAAUGUUUGUUUCAUUCAAAAUUGGGCCUUGGACCCAAGAUUUCUAAGAAGUGAACUACGUGGGCCAUGUAGCAUUUAGACAUGAAGAUCAUCGUUCCAUACCAUGCCAAUAAUAAUGCAAGCAUGAUGUAUAUCCCCAUUUCCAUGCAUGCAUGCAUGCAUACAUACAUGAAAUAGUACAUGUCAUGUGGACAUCAUGGCUGCGUCCCAGCCGUCCGAUGCCGUGUGAGACAUUCCACGCGUCAACAUCUGCAGGUACGAACGACGACGCCCUUCCCCUUCCUCCAUUGCAUUCAUAAGCUAAAAGCUAAUUACAUUACAUGACGUGUCAAACUAUCUCAAUUGUGGGUGUCGGGGCUCCGUUGUACAAUUAGGACCCUAUCACCAUACCCAUCUUGACUGCAAAUACGCAGAUUCACCCCUCAGUUAUACCUGUAUUUUCGAAACAUCCCUCAUCUUUUUUCCUUUUUUUUUUUUCUUCCCUCUUUGGACAAGCUUCAAUUGGCGCUCAAGUGGUUUAACUCACUUUUUUUUAUUUAGGAUAAUUGACUAUAUACCUUUCAAAACUUUGAAAAUAUUUCAUUUACUCCUAUUUCUUUCUUUUCAAUAUACUCCUCAUAUGUUUCUCCAUUAUUCCAAAAUAUCUCUAUAUUUACCACCCGUUAAGCUAAUUUGGAUUAAACGUGAAUUACAUAUCUAUCAGAGUUAAAAAAAAAAUCAAAAUACACUUUUUGUCCUUAAUUUAAGGACAAAUAAAAAAUUUUAGUGAUGGUAGAAGCUUAUAUUUGAAAAGAUAAAAAAUCAAAAUACUUUUUGUGUCCCUAACUUAAGGGUAAAUAAGAAAAAUUGAUGAUGAUAAAAGGGUAUAUUUGAAAGGGUAAAAAAAUAAUUUUAUAGAAUUACAGCUAUUGCUAAUAGUUUAUUAAUAUAAUUUAAUUUUAGGGGUAUAUUAGAAAUAUGUUGGAACGUAAAAAAUGUAUAUAUUUUCAAUAUUAAUAUUCUAAGAAGGGUAAAUCAGAAAAUCGAAAACUUUUCAGAAAUAUAUAAGCAAUUGCUCCUUUUACUUUAUUAUCAUUUUACAAUUAUUUUUUUUUUUUUUUUUACUAUUUUGUGUUUGUCUUUAUUUAACCAUAACGACUUGCACCUUAAAUAAGAUAAUUGAUGAAAUAUUUUAUAAACUAUAGAAUAAUUAAGUGUAAAUUAUACGACCCAAAAUGCUAUAUUUAUAUGUUACCGUAUUAUAAUAUAUAAAAUAAAGCACUUAAAUAUUUUACGCUAUGAAAUACUUCAUUCUGGACGACUUUUCAAUUUAAAUUAAAAAUUUGAAUUUGAAUUUUUAUAUGAUAAGUUAAAGUUAAAUUUGGUAUUUUAAAAGUUUAAAUAUAAAUGUAAAAAUUAUAUUUUAAAUUAAUUGAAACUUUGAUGGACGGGACGGUCAACCGAUGGGUGAUUUCAGUCUACUGAGCUAGGCCAGCGUGUCCAAUCUGCCCAUUCAUUCUCUCUCUCCCUCUCUCUCUCUCUCUCUCUCCCUCCUACCCUUUUCUCUUUUACACUCUUAUCUCUUCCCUCAUUUUCACCUCUUCACUCCACUCUCCCAACUCCCGUCAAUCUCUUCUCUUCUCUAUUUAUACUCACUUUUUCUCCAAUUUACUUCUUCUCUCUGACUUUCUCACACCUUUCCUUUUGUUUUUUUAAUUUUUAUUAGGAUUUAAUUGGAUUUAUAGUUGAAUAUAUACUAGUUAGAUUAUAAUACAUAUUUAAAUUUUUUUGAGAUAAAUAAAGUAGGAUUUAAAUACUAAUUAUAAGAAGAAAUCUAGUUAUACUAGAUUUUGAAUAUGUUUUGAUAUAAGCUAUAUAUAUGCAUAUAUAGUAAUGCAUUACUAUAGUAAGGUCAAUGUGAAGAGCUCCGUGGUGAAGCCUCAAGUGUACAGCUCGAUCGAGUUGUAGCUAUUCUAUAUAGAAGAGCAACCAUGUGUAAUUCUUUUUCUAGUUUCCAAAUCUUAUUUUACCUAUAUUUUCUAUUUGGUUAAUUUUUUCUCUUUUAUGUUAUCCCACUUUCGAUCGAUAGAGAUGGCUAUGAAAAAUGAAAUCAAGAAGUUCAACAUUAAGAACAAUUUUGGAUUAUGGUAAAUUAAAGUUUGAAAAAUUUUGGUAAAAAAGAGUUGGACCAACAUUGAACGGAAAGAAAGUGAAGUCGGCGGAGGUCAUAGAUGCGGCAUGGGAAAAGAUAGAGUGUGUUAAAUAUAAAAAUGUUUAAACACCGUUAUUUAACAGCUUAAGCUUUUAGAGUACAACGGUUGUUUCACAUGGUAUCAGAGCAGGAGGUCCUGAGUUCGAGUCACGCCAGGCUCCUAGCAUAUUAAUUUCCUCCCAUUUAAUUCAAGCCCACGUCAUGAGCUGAUUAAAAAGUUUCGAGCCCAGACGUGAGGGGGAGUGUUAAAUAUAAAAAUGUUUAAACACCGUUAUCUAACAGCUUAAGCUUUUAGAGUACAACGGUUGUUUCACAGAGUGGAAGGCGUCGAGCAUACUUCAUCUAACAUUAGUAGAUUUGGUUCUCUACGUGUCAUCGACGAGUCUACAAUAGCGAAGUUGAAAGAUCUUUACAUGACUAAAUCCCUGCCAAACGGGAUGUACCUAAGGCAAUGGUUGUAUAACUUGAGAAUGCCCGAAACGGAAGCCUACACAAUAUCUAAAUGAGUUUAGCAAGGUAGUAGCUAGCUGGCUGAUAUGAGAGUCAGCUUGGAUGAUGAAAAUAAGAGGCUGAUUUUAUUAUCUUCUCUAUGGGCAUCAUAUAAGCAUUUAAUGGCCACAUUGCUUCAUGGCAAAAGGUCAUAAAUUUCGAGGCGAUUACAGCGGCGCUUCUCUCAAAUGAGAUGUGGAAGACGACUCAAGAAUCUAGGAUGCAAAGUUGGAAUAGAGCUUUGAUGGUAAGAGCAAAUACAAAGGCAAAAGUUUGGCAAUAAAAGAUAGACAAAAGAAGAUGAUAUUCAUAGUAGAGUGCUUCUACUAUCAUAGGAAAUGACACAUAAAGCGCAAGCGUUAGAAACUUUGGUGGCAGAAGGGGAAAAUAUUGUGGACCAAGAUAUGGAGACAUCGGUAACUAUGCAAGGACGAAAUCAGAGGUGACUGAUUCUGAUGUGCUGUAUGGGGUGACCACUAGUGCAAAAAAUUCAGAUAAUGCGUGGAUGUUCAACUCGGCAUGUUCUUUUUAUGUUUGCCUCAAAGAGUUUCUUAUCACCUAUAGGAAAAUCAAGAGUAGAAAGGCUCUAAUAGGAAAUAGGAUGGCGUGCAAGGUUCUGGGAGUUGGCACGGUGAAGAUCGGGAUGCACAAUGGGGUCAUGGAGAUGGUGACAGAUGCGUCCUGGUUUUAAGCGGAACUUGAUCUUUAGAUGAAUUGGGUUCGAAGUGUUGCAAGUUUCAACUUCAUGUGGAAUUAUAAGGUCGAAAAAUGAGAUUGGGUCAUGUGUAAGGUGAAAAGAAGAAACUUGUAUGUUUUGAACGGGAGCACAAUUAGAGCAGUGAGAAGAUGGUUUGGGUUCCAAAAAUUCAUAGAUGUAGUCGCAUGUGGUGGAGUGGUAGAGUAGGUGAUUUCGAGCGAAGGAGAUAAGCUCAAGAUGGAGCUUGUGUGUUAAGCUCGACUAAACAGUCAAAACUAUGUACAAAUCAAACAAGGUUGGUUAGAUUUGUAGAUGAAUCUAAAUAGAUUUGGAUAAAUGUUUAACUACAUUGGAUAUAAAUGAAGUAUGAUUUAAAUAUUAAUUAGAGUAUAAAUAUAAUUAUACAAGAGAUUUGUAGAUGAAUCAUAGUUAGAUUCGGAUAAAUAUUUAAAUCUAUUGGAUAAAAAUAAAGUAAGAUCUAAAUAUUGAUAGAGUGAAAAUCUAAUUAUACUAGGUUUAGAGUACGUUUUGAUGUAAGCUAUAUAUAUAUAUGCGUAGGAAUUCAUUGGUAUAGUGUGGUCAAUGUGAAGAGCUCUCAAGUAAAGCCUCAAGUGUAUGGCUAAGGUGUAAACUCUAUCUUUUGGAGUCUGUACAAUAAGGAGAGAGAAAGAGAGUUGGCCAGGUUUCAUGCAUCUAGUGCCCGAGUGUAUGUAAGAGAGAAGAGAGAGAGUAGUCCUCUAGGUUUAUAAAAAACGAGAGAGGGAUUAGAGAGAUUCAGAAAAAAGGGUUUGGGUUGUAGCUGCUCUAUGUAAAAGAGAGAAAUGAGACGUACAUAAUUCUUUUCUUAAUUAGUGAUUCUUAUUUCACCUAUAUUUUUUAUUUGCUUGUUUUCUUCUUUUAUGGUUAUGCCAGCUUUUUGUUGGGAAGACGAGUUUACGGCAAUAACUCGAUUGGACACUUUUGUUGCAAAAUCACAAUAUCUGGAACAAGGGUAAGAAUCGAAUUUUCAACAAUUGGUAUUAUCAGGAUUUGGUUAGAUUUGUAGUUGAUUUUCUAGUUGGAUUAGAAUUAAUAUGUAAAUAUAUUAGAAAUAAAUUAAGAUUUAAAUAUUAAUUAGAGUAUAAAUCUAACUAGAUUAAUAUAAAUAUUUAAAUCUAUUGGAAAUAAACAAAAUAUAGAUUUAAAUAUUAUUUGGAAUAGGAAUCCGAAUUAUUCUAGAAUUUGGAUACAUUUUGGUUGAAGCCUUAUAUAUAGCUCCAUGUAUGCAAAUUGGUGAACGUGCCUAGGUGGUGUAUGGAUUAGAGAGAACUUUUUAUGGUGGUGACACAUACCGUGGAGAAGUCUAGGCCCGGUUGUAUGCACCUAGCGCACGAGUGUAUGUAAGAGAGAAAAAGAGAGAGUUGUCUUCUUGUGGAUUUACAGAAGACGAGAGAAGGCUAAGAGAUAUUCAAAAAAGAGGACUCGGGUUGAAACUACUCUAUACAGAAGAUGAGUCAUGUGUAAUUUUCUUAUUUAGUCGCAUAUUUUUUUAUUUGGUUGUUUUUCUCUCCUUUGUGAUUGUAUCAGCUUCUAUUGAGAAAACAGGUUUAUGGUAAAAAUUCGAUUCGACGCUUUCAUUGCAGAAUCUCAACAUUCGGUACCGGAUCAACAACAGUCAGUAUUGGACCGAGUUACACAUUCUUAAAAUUCGGUACUAGGGCGAGUACCGGAUUCCCAACAGGUAUUAGUGUGGGUUGCAGAUUCUCAAUAGAUUCUUUAACCUACAUAUAAAGAGAAACUCCUCUUCCUCCAUUCAUUUCUCCUUUAUUCUAUUCUCUUCUUUUUUUCCUUUCAUUCCACUCUUUUUUUUCCUCCAAUAUGACAGAAGAAAAGAAUAGUAUUAAUUAGAGCUAAAUUUCACCAUGAGAGCUUGCUAAGAAGUUAUCUUUCCUUACCUAAGAUACCCUGGAUUUCGAGCUCUAGCUGGAUCAUUUUUCUUAUUCAAUUAAGGUAAAUUAUAAGUCCAUACUCAAAUCCUUUAUUUUAAUAUUUAUUUUGGUAUUUUAAUGGUAGGUUUGGGUGUGAAUUUAAUAGUUCUUAUAAAGUUUGCCUUGUGCUCUUACUUGAUUUUAAUAUUUGUUUUGUUUGGAGUUGAUUUGAGCAAGUUCGGAUAAAAACGGUGAAAGUUGUCAACAUGAUGGUGGACCGACAUUGUCACGAUGGUGGACCGACAUUGGUGGCUGCAUUGAACUUGUAAGUUUUACUACUCAUGUUUUGAACUUUGAUUUUCUUUUAGGCUGAAUUGCAGAAAACCUCCCUAUCAAUACUUAUUUUUUCACUUUCCCUGAUUCUUAAAAACCUACAUUUUGCCCCUUUAAAAAUUGAAAAAUAUUCACUUCAGCCCCCGGCCAUCAGUGUUCCGUUUAUAUCCUAUUAUUAUAUAUUUUUUAUACUCAAAAUACCCUUGAAACUCUCAUCUCAGAUGCGCCUUUUCCUUCCUCACCGACGUCCUCGGCCGCACUACCUCGACCUCCUCCGCCGCCUCACCCUCGCCCACCUCUCUAUCUGUGCCCACACAUAUGCCCUCACCCUUGCUCUCGUCCACCUCUACGUCUACGCCCAUCUCGAUUUACUCCCUAUAGUCACUGAAAUGGAGGAGCGGCGAGGGUGCUGGAGGAGCAGGGGAUCAGGUGGAGAAAACAGAGUCGGAGCUGGGGUCGAGAGAGGCGCAAAGGACAGAGGAAGAGAAGCUGCGGAUGAGCAGAAUUGGAAAGGAGAUGAAGAGGAUGAAGGGCAAUUUGGUUAUUUUAUCAUCAGAGUUAACAUCGUACCCUCCUGUGAAUAUUUUUUAUUUUUUAAAAGGACAAAGUGUAGAUUUUUGAAUGACAGGGGGAAGUGAAAAGUCGAGUUUUGACAAUUUUUUUUUUUUAAUAUAAUUUAGCCUUUCUUUUAUGGUUUAUCAAAUAAUUAAAGUGAGGUCUAGUAAUUCUUGGGACAAAUCUUUAAUUAGGUCUUCUUUGUGAUUAUUUUAGGAUACGACAGAAGGAUUUCCUUGAUUGACCAUUUACUAACUCAUUUAUAGAUUGCUACCUUCUCAGUGAGUUGGAAAUAUUUCUCUGAGUUACAUCACCUUAAAUAAAAUAUGAGAUUCUUGAUAAAUGCUUGCAACAUUCUUUCUAUAAUAAUCAUAUUUGCCUACAUGAUAUUAUGUUGAUAUAUACAUUCUAUUAUAUAUUAUUGCAUAGAUAUCGAAACAGUAAAUAGGUGCAUGUCCUAGAAAAACACUGGAUUGCUUAGUAAAAAUGACCAAGUCAUAUAUAUACUAAUAUUAUCACAUUAUAUAUAUAUGUAGAAUUAGGCUACUAUACUAUCUAUAGUACCGGAGCUCCGGUACUAUAGUCUUGUUUUCGAUUUUAGAGUGUUCAAUUUAAGGAUCCGCACCGUUAAAUAUGAUCUAGAGUAUAUAAAGUUCUUAGGAAUAAAAUUUUAGUUUUUUUCGACAUCGUUUACUUAGUAAAUAUAUUAUGUCAAAAUGGAUGGUGGUAAUUGAAUAAUCUUUAAAAUUUGAGUAUAGGACUUUUAAAUUCAAGAUCAAGAAUGUUAACCUUAAUCUAGAUAGUUUAAAGUAUUUUCUAUCAAAAUUUGAAGAAAUUUAGAUUCUUCUACACCGUUAAACUCCAAACUCGCCAUAGUAGCCAUUGAAAAUUGACAAUUUUGAAAUGGUUUGAUCAUAAAGNGGUUAGGUUAAUAGUGGUUCCCUAGAGUUGAGUGGGUGGUUGGUUAAAUAGUAUGAUUUAACGGAUGGAAAUGAUCAAAGAAGUAGAUCUAACGGUAAAAAAUUUAUGAGUAUAAAGAGGACUAUACUCAUAAAAGUAUAGUAGCCGGGCUCAUAUAGUCUAGGGCUACUAUACUCUUAUGAGUGUAGCCCCUUUGUACUCAUAAGUUUUCGACCAUUGGAUAAAAAGAUGUGAGGUUAGGAUGAUAAUAGUCCCCGGUUAGGUUAAUAGUGGUUCCCUAGAGUUGAGUGGGUGGUUGGUUAAAUAGUAUGAUUUAACGGAUGGAAAUGAUCAAAGAAGUAGAUCUAACGGUAAAAAAUUUAUGAGUAUAAAGAGGACUAUACUCAUAAAAGUAUAGUAGCCGGGCUCAUAUAGUCUAGGGCUACUAUACUCUUAUGAGUGUAGCCCCUUUGUACUCAUAAGUUUUCGACCAUUGGAUAAAAAGAUGUGAGGUUAGGAUGAUAAUAGUCCCCGGUUAGGUUAAUAGUGGUUCCCUAGAGUUGAGUGGGUGGUUGGUUAAAUAGUAUGAUUUAACGGAUGGAAAUGAUCAAAGAAGUAGAUCUAACGGUAAAAAAUUUAUGAGUAUAAAGAGGACUAUACUCAUAAAAGUAUAGUAGCCGGGCUCAUAUAGUCUAGGGCUACUAUACUCUUAUGAGUGUAGCCCCUUUGUACUCAUAAGUUUUCGACCAUUGGAUAAAAAGAUGUGAGGUUAGGAUGAUAAUAGUCCCCGGUUAGGUUAAUAGUGGUUCCCUAGAGUUGAGUGGGUGGUUGGUUAAAUAGUAUGAUUUAACGGAUGGAAAUGAUCAAAGAAGUAGAUCUAACGGUAAAAAAUUUAUGAGUAUAAAGAGGACUAUACUCAUAAAAGUAUAGUAGCCGGGCUCAUAUAGUCUAGGGCUACUAUACUCUUAUGAGUGUAGCCCCUUUGUACUCAUAAGUUUUCGACCAUUGGAUAAAAUGAUGUGAGGUUAGGAUGAUAAUAGUCCCCGGUUAGGUUAAUAGUGGUUCUCUAGAGUUGAGUGGGUGGUUGGUUAAAUAGUAUGAUUUAACGGAUGGAAAUGAUCAAAGAAGUAGAUCUAACGGUAAAAAAUUUAUGAGUAUAAAGAGGACUAUACUCAUAAAAGUAUAGUAGCCGGGCUCUCUCUCUCUAUAUUUAUAUAUAGAACUAGGCUUAAAUACUAUCAAUGGCAGCAAUAGCUUGAUGCUAUUAGUUUUUUAGCUAUUGGAUUGAGAAACGUGUGAUUAGGAUGAUGUGUCUAUAUAUAUAUAUAUAGAACUAGGCUGAAAUACUCUCAAUGGCAUCAAUAGCUUGGUGCUAUUAGUUUUUUAGCCAUUGGAUUGAGAAAUGUGUGGCUAGGAUGAUGUGGGCCUCCUAGGAUUAAGUGAGUGGUUGGUUGAAUAGUAUAAUCUAAUGGGUAAAAAUAAUCAAAGAGUUAAAUCUAACGGUGGAAAACUCGAUAGCACCAAAUCCUUGGUACUAUUGAUAGUAUCCCAGCCGGACUAUAUAUAUAUAUAUAGAAUUGAGCUCCUAUGUUUUUAAAAGUACCAAGUUAUUGGUGCUUGUAGAUUUUUAGCCAUUGGAUUAAGAGAUAUGCGGUUAAGAUGAUGUGGGCCCCCUAGGGUUGAGCGGGUGGUUUGUUAAAUAGUAUAAUCUAAUGGUUGAAAAUGAUCCAAUGAGUAGAUCUAACGGUAAAAAGGUUACAAGCACCAAGUGUUUGGUGCUUUUACAAGCACCAUAGCUGGAAUAUAUAUAUAUAUAUAUAGCUAGGCUAUACUAUCGGUAGCACGGAGGCCUUCGUGCUACCAAGUUGUUUUCAAUGAUGCGGCUUCCAAAUCGACGAUCGGUUCCGUUAGACUUGAUCUAUAUUAUUGAAAGUAUUUGAAAACUAAAUUUCAUAAUUUUUUAGUAUAAUUUACCUAUCAAAUGAGUAGUUUAAAAAUGAACGGCUGAAAAUAAAAAUCUCAUAAAAAAUAAUAAUAAAAGACUUGAAUUUAAGAUCAGAGGUACUGAUCUUACUUUAAAUAGUGAAAAGAAUUUUCUAUAAAAAUUUCAAUAGAUUUGAAUUAUUUUAUACCGUUAAAUUCACAAACGCACCACAUCUACCAUUAAAAUUGUCAAUUUUGAGACCUUUUGAUCACUAGCCAAAUGAUGUCGAAAAUUAUGAAAUUUAGUUUCCAAAUACUUUCAAUAGUGUAGAUCAAGUCUAACGGAUUCGAUUGUCGAUUUGAAAGCCGCAUCAUUGAAAACAACUUGGUAGCACGGAGGCCUUCGUGCUACCGAUAGUAUACCAGCAUAGAUCUAUGUUAUCUCAUGUUUGCUUUUCGUGAAAAAAGACCAAUUGAAGGGAAGGGUUUCUUCAAACAGCAAGGAGCUGAGGCAACUAUUCAAUCAAAUGAUAUUGAGCAUGUUUCCCAUCUCUUCUCGAGAAACAAGUGGGGUAUUUCUUUGCAAAAUUGUGCUCAAUUUCAUAUGUGGCAAUUCCGCCAAGAUCUCUUCGUUAGUUGGGGGAAGAAUCAGCACGAAUUGGAUUUUUUGAGGAACGUAUCGAGAGAGAAUUUGAUUUGGUUAGACAAUGUGUGGUUGGGAAACAAGGAUCGGUUUUUUAGCAAGGUACGGAAUGUAUUGUCAAAUAUUCAAUAUGAUUCCACAAGAUCUAUUUUCGUUCAAGUAACGGAUUCUAGCCAAUUGAAAGGAUCUUCUGAUCAAUCCAUAGAUCAUUUCGAUUCCAUUAGAAAUGAGGAUUCAGAAUAUCACACAUUGAUCGAUCAAACAGAGAUUCAGCAACUAAAAGAAAGAUCGAUUCUUUGNGCCAAUUGAAAGGAUAUACUAUCGAUAGCACGGAGGCCUCCGUGCUACCAAGUUGUUUUCAAUGAUGCGGCUUUCAAAUCGACAAUCGAAUUCGUUAGACUUGAUCUACACUAUUGAAAGUAUUUGGAAACUAAAUUUCAUAAUUUUUUGACAUCAUUUGGCUAGUGAUCAAAAUGUCUCAAAAUUGACAAUUUAAUGGUAGAUUUGAUACGUUUGUGAAUUUAACGGUGUAAAACAAUCCAAAUGCGUUUGUGAAUUUAACGGUGUAAAACAAUCCAAAUCUGAUGAAAUUUUUAUAGUAAAUUCUUUUCACUAUUUAGAGUAAGAUCAGUAUCUCUGAUCUUAAAUUCAAGUAUUUUAUCGUCAUUUUUUAUGAGAUUUUUAUUUUCAGCCGUUCAAUUUUAGACUACUCGUUUGAUAGGUAAAUAAUGCCAAAAUAUUGUGAAAUUUAGUUUCCAAAUAUUUUCAAUAAUGUAGAAUAAGUCUAACAGAGCCGAUCGUCGAUUUGAAAGCCGCAUCAUUAAGAACAACUUGGUACCACAGAGGCUACUACUGAUAGUAUACCAGCCGGACUCUAUAUAUAGAACUAAGCUGGUAUACUAUCGAUAGCACGGAAGCCUAUGCAUACCAAGUUGUUUUCGAUGAUGCAGUUUCCAAAUCAACGAUCGGCUACGUUAGACUUGAUAUAUAUAUAUAGAGUCCGGCUACUAUACUCUUAUGGCCUAGUGGUGUACUUUGCCACUCUCGGCGGCUUACUCACUGGGAACUAUUAUUUAAUAGUUCUCACUCUCAUUGGUUGUUUUUUUUUUUUUUUUUUUUUUUUUCAGAGCCUUUCGCGGUGGGAGAGGUUAGGGAUCAUGGCAAGGGGUUAGCGUCUAUCUAAAGCCUCUACGGUGUUAUUAUAGAUGGACCCAAUGUCAUCUUUCUUUUGAUUGAGCUGAAGCUUGUAAGGGUCGCUCCCCACAAGCCGGCACUCCGGAGUUGGCCUACGUGACAUCAUUCUCGUCGUGCGGGACCGGACGCCGAAGUGGAUUGUCGUGGGGAGUGUUGACUACCACGGGGCAAUUAGGCACGACGCAAACCGGACUACAAUUUGUGUAGGUUCUCGUUCAAUUGGAAAAGGAUAUAUAUAUCUAAAUGAAUAAUUUAGCCAGCACUACUAGAUAGUGUUUACUAGUUGGACAUUCCGGUACCCAACUCAGGUACCAGUACUCAGCAUCCAAAACCUCAAUUUGCAGAUUUUGUGUCAGGAACUCUUUCUCGCGCUCACAAAGCACAAGUACUGGGUCGAUAGACUACCAAUGACCCUCACAGCAUCUAGAAUAGCUCAUACUGUUAUUCUUACACUAGAACCUCAUAAUUUGCUAAAGUUCAAUGUGCUACAAUUUUCACCGAAACUCUAUUAUUUGCAAAAAUUUAGAAAAUAAAAAAAGCUAUCGAAAACCAAUAGAAUCGAGAUCAUUUUCCAGAAAUGAAAAGUUGAUUUUCGGAAAAUGCCUAGAGUUCAGGUUGAACUUGCAAUUUUGCAAUGUUUGAGAGUUCAAAUGCAAUUGUAACACUUCUAUACAGACCUCGCUAUUGUCCAAACUGUUACAACAAGCGGACAAAUAGAAAUGAAAAUGGUGAAUACAAAAUAGACAAACCACAAGCAGAAAAAAAGAACACACAGAUUUACGUGAAAAAUUCUUUGCAGAAAAAAACCACAGGCGAGAGAGGAGAGAACUUCACUAUCGAAAAAGGAAAUACAAUAUUCGAAGUACAACCGACAUCAAUCGCCUCUACGACAAAAAUGAAAAAAGGAAACUCUUAACGGGUUUUGGAUCUGAUCCGUAUCGACUGACAUUUAUUUUUUCUUCACAAAUUUAUUUUCAAAUGUCACACCACUGUCGGCGAGUCGAAGUCUAAAACUGAAGUUGAUUAUCAAUUUCGAGCCACAUGUAACACAAACAAACCCUUUUCACACUUUUAACCCUAAAUACAGCCCCCUCCCCCCUCUCGACAAAUUUAUUUUCAAAUGUCACACCACUGUCGGCGAGUUGAAGUCUCAAACUGAAGUCGAUUAUCAAUUUUAAGUCACAUGUAACACAAACAAACCCCCCCCCUUUCUUCACACAAACAAACCCUUUCACACUUCUAAGUUCCCCGUUCCUUCCCUUAUCAUUGUAUGAUUGACAUGAUAUUCUAAGAUUUUAUUAUGGCAUUUCUUUUUAUUGUUGGCAUGCAUUCUUCUUAGAGGUUUACUGUUGCAACUUGUUUUUGAAAUCCAUGGUUUAGGAUGCACUUAAAAAAGGUAGCUAUUUUAUUAUGAACGUGCAGAGAUGAUCGAUAAUUGAUUAUCACAUUUAAACAAAUAGGAAACUAAUUGUAACAUGCCAAGAUUGUCACUAUGAGAUCUCUCCCUUGAGGCAAACACAUUAGAAUGGUAGAUCCUUGAAAUAACACUAUUGUGGUGAAGUACUUCCUUGAUUAUGACCUUUGGGUGUGAUAUAGGCAUCUUAUUCACAAGAAUAAAUGCAUAUAUCGAGACUAUUGUUAUAUUAAAGUGAUUUUCAUACUGAGUACAUUCACGAGAUUAUGACCAAACUCGUGCUAAUCAAUUAUUGGUUCGUGGAGGUCGCAACUCCAGUAACCAUGUCCUUUCAAAAGUGACCGCACAAAUGGGCAAAGCAUACUCCCACAGCACAUGUGACGUCCCAACUUUCCUAGGAAUCACCCAUUCUAUAACUACUCCCGUCCUAACACAUUUAUCUCUUUUAACCUCUUGAGCCUAACCACCACCCAAAAUAUUUAAGUCGGGUUAAAAGUUUUAUCCCUGUUAUAUCCUAUAUAUAAAAUUAUCUGGGGUCUUAUAUUCUCCCUCCUAAGCCUGACGUUUUUGUCAGGCUCAGACUCACAAGUGUCAGGCGAUGUGAGACUCGUUUCGCUAGUGUAAACUAAUCUUAUAGUGAGCUGCGCUCCACUACAACAGUCAACAGCAUGAGAGUCUCGCUCUUCUAUCUGUAUAAUCCUGGCUUGGCCGAGACUCAUCUCACACUUCCGGCUGGUAAUUGGCUCUGAUACUAACUAUAUAUGACGCCCCAACUUUCCAAGGAAUCACUCAUCUUAGGACUACUCCCAUCCUCGCAUGCUUAACUCUCUUAACCUCUUAAGCCUAGCCACUAUUCAAAAUACUUAAGCUGAGUUAAAUAUUUUAGUCCUAUUAUAUAUUAUAUAUAGAAUUAUUUGGAAUCUCACAGUCCAGGUGGCAGAGCAAACACCCCAUAAAGCCACGACAAGAAAGCUAGUACCCGGCCACGUGCAUGGUCGGUAGUUGGUAAAUUGGGCAAAUGGGCUUAUGUCAUAGUUGGAACUUGAUUAACAUAAAGAUAAAGUUGAUCAUGUUGGAUUGUUCUCUUGUAUCUUUUUAGAGGCAAAAUAGUGGCAUCUUUAUUUAUAAUCAUUUAGCUUGUUUGUUUGUUGUCUCAUAUCUGUUUAUUUAUUCUUAUUAUGCAUGUUUAAAACUGGUGCGGACAGUUGACUAGAUUCAGCGGCUAUACUCACUGAAAACUUAUUUAGUUUUCAUACCCUCUUGUUGAUGAGUUUCUUAUAGAGCCAUCUAUCAUUGGCAACGCGUGCGAUCACGACAAAGAUAUCACCACUGCAACAGAAUUAGAUUGUAAGGACAUAUUUUUGAGAUACUUUUAUGUAAGUAUUCCAUUUAUGUCAAAACUUUUUUAAAAAUUUUACUAAGGUCUAAAUAUAAAACUCAAUUCAACCAAAAAUAAAAAAUUUCUCUACUUAACCAACCCUAUCCAGCUCACUCGACCCGAUUACAAAUAGAAAAGGAAAAAAAAGAAAAAUAGAUCACCAUCUCCCCUUCUCCUCCUCCGCCGCCGCAGUUGACGAGAUAGAGUUCCAGCAGUUGGAGUUCGGCUGUGAGGAUCUCGUAGAAACCGUAGAGGGCUACGAUCGCCACGUGUCCCUUCGCCACAGGUCGUUGGGGGAGUGGAUGCCAAACAUUGAGGCGAUCCCACAUAUAGCUAGCGAUCCCACAUAUAGCAAUACUUUUACAAAGUAUCGGUAAUUUAGCCAACAAUAUUUUUUUUGAUCUGUACCGACAUUUAAAAGUGUCGCUAUGCACAAUUUUUAUUGUAGUGGAUCAAUAGAAAAAAAAAUGUAUAGUUAAGAGGGCCAUGUUGGAAUGGUCUAUAGUUGGAGUCUUUCAUGAUCCAUUUUCACGUAUUCGUUUGAAUUAUUGUAGGUAAUUGAAUAGAAAAUUGUGUUUGACAUAAUAGCUCUAUGACCUAUUAAACUAAUACUUGCAAUAUAAUUUACUAAAAUGUGAUAAAGUAUUCAAUUAAAGUAGCUAAAAUCACUCAAUUCAUUUUUAAAACAAAGUAAGGAAAAUGUUAAUAAAAAUAGGUAAAAAUGAGUAGAGACCUGGCUACUAUAGGCCAUUAUAAAUCGAGCAAUACUACAUUUAAUUGUAACACUUGUUUGGUUGUAGAGAGUAUUUCUCUUCUAAUCAUGCAUGAACUAUAACUUUUUCGAUUGAGACCCUUUCAAUUUAUGAUAUCUUGACAUUCUGUGGUUUUAGCUAAAUAAAUUAAAGAUUUUAUCAAAUAGAUUAAUAAUUUUUUUCAAAUUUAAUAGUUUAAAUUACUUUGCAGAAAAUAAAUUUUUAUUAAUUAACCGACAAUAGCUAAUCGAGCUAUAAAAUUUUAACGAAAAAUUUAACGUAAACCCAACGUAAAAAACAUUAGAAGUUAAAGGGUCUUAAAUUUAAAAAACUCAAGUUGUGGGGUUUUAUACCAGAUAGUUGAGGGGUCUCCAUACAUUUUUAGCUGAAUAUAAUAUUGAGGGGUUGCUGUUCAAAUAGUCUAUAGAUGAGGGGUCUCUGUGCAAAUUUGACUCUCACCUUCUAGAUCACUCCCGUUCAAAAACAGGAGGCGGAUUGGGAGACAUCAUUAACAUGGCAAUAAAUGGUUUAGCCUACCAAGCGACAGAAAUAGCUUGCUGGACCUUGUCUACCACAUCAUCCGUGCACCGUCUAAUGCAUUUACCAGUUCGUCUCUCCCCUCUUUAACCUCCACCACACGGUUUAUAUAUAUAUAUAUAUAAUAGUAAAAUGUACGUGCAAAUGUCCGUAAUAAUUAUUAGAAAAAGUUAUAAUUUUUUUAAAUUAUUUUUUAAUUUUAGGCCAUAUUUUAUAUGAUUGCCAAAUAUGUAUCUAAAAAAUUUAAAAUAAUAAAUCACGCUAUUAAGAAAGAUAUGCUUUAAAUGAUAAAUAAUUAACAAUAAUCUCUAAUGCAAAAAUUACUUUUGAAAUUAAAUAGAAAAAUAAAAUCUAUUAGGAAAUAAAUUUUUAAAAUUAAAUAGAAAAAUAAAAUCCGUUAUCUUAAAAAGAAAAUAUAUUUUAAAAUUAAAUAGAUAAUAUCUAAAAAAGAUAUUUUAAAAUAAAAUAGGAAAAUAUCUUUUAUAGGAUUUUCGCACUCGUAAUCUGUUAUAGAAAACUUACUUUUAAAAUUAAAUAGAAAAAUUUAUAUUUUAAGAUUUUUAUAUCUCUAAUCUGUUAUAGAGAACUUACGUAUUCAUUACUGUUUUUAUUUCUAUUUUUAUUAUUAUAUUUAAAAUUUUUCGUACGGAAAGAAAAAAAAUAGGUUCAGGAAACUAUUUGACUUGAAAGUUGAAUGGGCUAACUAAUUGUUGCUAAUAAUGAUAUGUCCACUUCACGUCUUCACCACGUGCAGAUUCACUAGAAGAAAGCAGUGUAGAUACGUUUUUAACGAAUUAGCGCACGAGGAGAGAGAGUUUCCGGAUCGACUUCCGCCACCAACUAAAGAAAAUAAAAUCUGAUAUAAUUUGGUGCUUUUGGUCCGCUAAUCUUCUUUCUCCUCGCCUGUAUAUUCUUUUUUUUGAUAUUUUAAUAAUUUUUUAUAUUUUUUCCUUCUUAAUCUUUAACUUUGAGAUUUUACUAGUGUAGUCUAAUCUUUCACCGCCGUCUUUCACGUUCAUGAAGAAAAGCCGGAGUUUAGACACGAUAGCUUGUUCAAUCUGAAGCUUAGUGAUUACUGUUAUCUAUAUUAUUUUUUCAUAUUCUUUCUAUGGAUAUGCGCUUAAUGUUUGGAGUUUGUUUAAUGCUUUGGUUAGUUGCUUACUUUAGGUGUUGUUACUAAAAUCUUCCUCUUUAUUCUUAUUUUUUAUUCUUAUUUGGCGCAGGUUGGAGAUCGUUACUAAAAGUUUUUCUCCUUUUUUGUGGUUAGAUGUCUUUUUUUCUUUUUUCUUUGAGAUGGGAUUUGCUGUUGUGCAUUCCCAAAACUUGUAAUCAAGCUCCGCAUGAACUGUCAGAAACAAUAACAAUAAUACUGUUAGGCUUUCAUCCACAAAAACAGACAUAUUAAAAACAUAUUACCGUAUUCAAGGGAACAUUGUUUUCGUUUUUUGAGAUAAAUAAUGAAAAGCAACAUAUGAGUACGUCUAGGUGAUUUGAGGGUUAAAUUUACUAUUUAUUGGUGAUAUAGCCAGCAUCCCUCUUACUUUGAGUCAUGAACACCAUACCUCUACAAAAAUCAAAUUCAAUUUAAAUUUUGAACUUAGGUAAACGUAUGUACAGAUGACUCAUCCAGCAUGGUUUCGGGCGCAAGUUUUGGGCGCCCGAAUCUAUCCGUGCGCGGUUACGACAGAUUAAGACCAUCAAAAGCAGUGAGGGAGCGCACGAAGGAGGCUGUUGGAGAGAUUUUGGACGCCCGAAUGUGGGUUUCCGGGCACCCAAAACUGGACGUUUUGGCAGAGGUGAGAGUAUUUGAUAAAUAAAGGGUCGUUUUGCAAUGUACUAUAUAGUGGAUUACGAAGGGCAUGCUGAUCAUUCUUCCUUCUUCUUCUUCUUCUUCUCUACCUACACAUUCUAGAGAGAGAGAAUGAGAGCUCUUGGGUGAUUCGGUGAGCCAAUCGAGGAUGCGUGAUGUGUGAUUUUUCCGGCGUCGACAAUGAGAUUGGUAUUAAAAUAUUAUUAUUUUUCGGUUGGGAUUUGUUACGUACCUGACUCGGCGCAACCCGUCAAUGAUGAGAUUUCGCUGAGACGAGGACGGCGUCGAGGAUGAUGGUCUUCGAUCUCAUUCAAAGUAUUGCAGUUCCAGGUAAGAUGAGAGUAAGAUAGGAGAUAAGGAAAGGAUUUGGGGAAGAUAGAAGAAACAAGAUAGAUGAAAGAUGAAGAAGUUGAAGGGAAGAAGGGAUGAAGUUGAGAAGAAAAUCAAUAUCAAUAUCAUUCAUAAUUCAUCUAGGUUACAUUGCCGCUUUUAUUACCUCAUACAUCAUACUAGAAUGAAAACACAUGAACUACUAGGUACUAAACUGAAAUUAACAAAAUAUCAAGAAUGUGGGCCAGUGGGCCUCGAUUUGUAAGCCGAUGCACUCUGGAUCCUCCUCAGGUGGGCUGGGCCGCUUCCAGUUACCCCUUCCUCCACUUUGGGCUCGGUUCCAGCUAAUUCCCUUAACAGGUCGGAUUCUCCUGUGCCGACAACUCGACCCGCUAAGGAGCCUCCAAGUGCGACAACCUUGCCCCCAAACCUUGUCCGAUUCCUGCUCUUUCAUCACCCACUUCACUUCUUCCUCCAUCCUAGGGUUCCCUCUCGAGCUCUGACCACCUUUCCAAUCGAUCCUCCUCUGCGCUCGCCCUGCAAGAUAAGCCCUCUAACUCCUCUUAUUUCGCCAAUUCGACUACUCUACUCCUCCCUAACCUACCUCCUAAUUGGCAGAUGCAACAGGAUUUUUAUGGUGAAAUUUUGACAAUACUUUCAAGGAGAGGAGUUUUUUACAGAAUUUUUGUGAAAUUGGAAUUAGUUGGAUUUAUGCAUGAUUCAAGAACCAAAUUACGUGAAGGUCAUCGUGGGAUAUUUCGAUUGGAUUCCAGGUGGCCUAGUUGCCGUAGUACGGCCAUGGAGACCGUAGCGAAGCACCUUAUUUUCCGACGUCCUUUUCUUUUCUAGAAUUAGCAAUCAAGGUGGGUUCCAUAUAUGUUGCUGAAAAUGGCAUCCUUCCUUCUAUAUCUUCCCUGCGCACACAUGCACGCACAGAGUUUGGCUGGUGUACUUCUAAUGUAUAGCGUCAAGCACUUGGUGCUAUCAAAUUUUCUACCGUUAGAUUUACCUCUUUGAUCAUUUCUAUUCGUCGGAUUAUAUUAUUCAACCAACUACCCACUCAACUCUAGGAGACUUCUAUCAUUCUAACUGCGUAUCGCUUCAUCCAAAGGCCAAAAACCUAAUAGUAUCAAUGACUUGAUACUAUUAGAAGAAUUCCAACCUAAUUAUAUAUAUAUAUAGAGUUUGGCUGCUAUACUCUAAUGAGUACCAUGGUCUUCAUACUUAUAAGUCGUUUUCGAUGAUAGAACUUCCGAAUCAACGAUUCAUAUCAUUAAACAUGAUUUAGAGCAUUUGAUACUUUUAGAAAUUAAAUUUCAUAAUAUUUUGACCUCAUUUACCUUACGAUUGUUGGAUAUAUUGUUAUAUAAUCCAAAUAAUAUGUUCACAUACAAGCCUAAUAGGUGAAAGCGUAUUAUGGCCCAUAUCAACUGGAGCCCAAUAGCUUUCUUAUUAUUCCUAGGGUUUUCCUAUGCUGGAGGUAACACUGUUCAGCAUUCAAAUUUGAUGCCUCUUCGUGUAAUACUUCAAUCACCCAAAAACCCUAACCUCCAACAAUCUUGAAGUAUUACGAUCGUAUGUCGGAUUUGAGCAAGGUGUCUAAUCGAAGUUCUCGUCAAGACGAACUCACCGGUAUAAUUUAUUUUCGAUUUCGACAGUUGGAUUGGUCGGGAUCCGAGUUUGAAAGUACGGCGCCGAAAUCUUUGAUUUAAAAAAAAUCAAGAAAUUAUAGCCAAUUUCUGAGGGUGAAACCACUUGGGUUUUGUUCUACUCGUCGAUACGAACGUUUUGAGUGGUCACUCGUCUCGAUUGGAGGUCGGACGAUGGAGUUACGACAAUCGAAAGUUUUCAGCAGUUUCCGGCAAUGAGGGCAGUUCAUCUUAAGGUUUUUGGGCGCUACGGAUCCAUUUUUGGGUCUGUUUUUGCCAAAUUCCACCUCUACAAAGUAGUUUGAUUAAGAUCAGGGGCUUUGUUCGACUUUGUGUGCUCUGCGGAUUAUAAGGUGCACUCUUUCUAACACUUUGUUCUGAUUAAAUUGCAAAGCGUAGUUCUUUUGAUAUUAUAAAACUGCAAUCAUUUGAUGUCACUAAAUUUCAUGGUUGGAAAUUACAUGUUCAAUUUGGCAUGAAAAAACGUGAAAUAUUCUACACUGUUUUGAGUGAUUUUGCAUCUACCAUUGAAAAUGUGGAUGAAUAUCAAUGGAACAAGGAUGAAGAUUUAUGUAGAGAUUACUUGUUGAACUCUCUAAAUCCUCGUCUAGUUAUGACUUAUAGUGAGUAUAAGACUGCGAAAGAGAUAUGGGAUCACUUGAACGCUUAGUUCCAAAAACAAGAGGGUCUCUCUAAAACUCUUCUGGCGGAGAAAUUCUUUGACUUUAAGUUCAAUAUGAAUUCAAGCAUCACCUCUCAAUUAAUUGAACUUGAGAACAUGAGAAACAAGCUGAAAGAUGAUAAAUCUGAUAUGUUCGAUAAUCUCUUUGCCGGUCUUGUAUUGAGUAAGUUACCUGCUGAAUGGAAUUCUUUCAAGACUGAAAUGUACAGACUGAAAGAACAGAUGGGUCUGGAUGAAUUAAAGAGAUAUAUUCACAUUGAGGAUCAAAACAGCACUAGAAAGAGUUUAGAACAAGUAAGACAACAAAAGUCAGUUGCCAACUUAGUUUCACAUUUCAAUAAACCUCAGAAAAGAUCCAAGUCACCAAAAGGUGAAUCUUCUUCACAGUUAGAAGCCAAAAAGACUAUCUCCAAAAAAAAGAAGAAGGGAAAGUGUUAUAACUGUGGAAAGUGGGGUUACUGGGCAGCAGAGUGUAAACUACCAAAGAAGCCAAAGAAUAACACACCACAAAGUGAGGCUAAUAUGCUAACUAGUGAAUCUGAGCCUCAAGCCUUCAUUGGAAUGAUGAAAAUUGGAAAGGCUAGUAUUUCUUCUGAGUGGUGGUUGGAUAGUGGCGCUACUUGUCAUGCUGCAUAUGACAAGAACCUACUCAAAGAGAUUACAGAAGUGAAAGACACCGUGAAAAAUUGCAAUGGUGGUGAGGCAGAAGUGACUCAUAUUAGAACUACAAAUUUGGCGCUUUCUUCAGGUAAAUUACUAACUCUGAAACAUGGUAGAGUAGUACCUUUACUUAAAAAGAAUCUGAUAUCUAUGAGCUUACUUGAUAAAGCUGGUAAGUCCUUUUCAACUAUGAAUGGUAGAAUAACCUUAUCUGUUAACUCAUGUUAUUUUGGUUGUGCAUUCAUGGUUAAUGGUAUGUAUAGGUUGAGUUUAGAUACUGAUAGCAUAAACCAUGUAAGUUCUACUCUAAUUGAUCCAAAGUUGUUGCACAAUAAACUUGGACAUGUGAACUACAGGAAAAUGCAACAUCUAGCUAAAACUCACAACAUUCCAUGGAUACUUCUAUUCGAUUUGACAAAUGUGAAGUGUGUGCACAAGCUAAGAUCACUAGAAAACCUUUUAAGAUGGUUUUUAAAAGCACACAACUUUUUGAGCUAAUACAUUCUGACCUUUGUGAUUUUAGAAAUUACAUCACUAGAGAUGGUCGGAAGUAUCUGAUAACAUUCAUAGACGAUUUUUUUAGAUAUUGUCAUAUCUAUUUGUUGAAAUCGAAAGAUGAGGCUUUUGAAAAGUUUAAGAUUUUUAAGUCUAGAGUAGAAAAUCAACUCAACUUGAAAAUUAAGAGGUUUAGGAGUGAUAGAGGAGGAGAAUAUACAAUGACAGGGUUCAAAGAAUUUUGUGCUUCAGAGGGCAUAAUACUUGAAACCACUGCUCCUUACUCACCCCAAUCAAAUGGUGUUGCCGAGUGUAAGAAUAGAACGUUAACUGAAAUGUUAAAUUUUAUGUUACUUACAGCUGGCAUGCCUUCCUCCUAUUGGGGAGAAGCAGUUCUAACUGCUAAUCACAUCCUGAACAGGUUGCCACACUCUAAGUUGUCUAUGACACCUUAUGAGAUAUGGCAUUAGCGUCCUUGUAGAUAUGAUACUCUUAAGACCUGGGGCUGUAUUGCUUAUGUAAGAAUACAAGAUCCAAAGAGACCUAAGGUGGGACCUAGAACCAUUACAUGUAUAUAUCUAGGUAGUGCAGAAGAUAGUACUGCAGAUAGGUUUUUAGAUCUAUCUACUAACGCAGUGAUAGAAUCUAGAUAUGCAGAAUUCUUCGAGAAUAAGUUUAUCAGAGAUCAUGGCUUGAAUGUUUCUGGAUCUACAGAUAUGAUUUCGGAAUCUCCUGUAAAAUUUGAAGCAGGCCCUUCUGACACUAAUCCCACACAGCUGGCUGUUGAAUUAGUUCCAGUUAGAGUAUCUAUAAGAGAGAGAGUUCCCAAAAGUUUUGGUGAGAACUUUGUUACUUAUCAUCUCGAGGAUGAUCCAUUUUCUUAUCAAGAAGCAAUGAGAUCUAGGGAAUCCCUACUGUGGGCAGAAGCCAUAGAUGAUGAAAUGAGCUCUCUGUUGCAGAACCACACUUGGCAUCUAGUCAAUUUGCCAAAAGGGGCUAAGGCUAUAGGCUGUAAGUGGAUAUUGAAAAAGAAACUGAAUAGUGAUGGAUCAAUAGCUAGAUACAAAGCACGUUUAGUAGCUAAAUGCAAUAAACAGCAGAGUGGAAUGGACUAUUUGAUGUCUAUUCACCUGUGUAUCAUCUAUCAACUAUAAGAAUUCUUCUUGCUUUGGUAUCUAUUAAACACUUUGUAGUGUAUCAAAUGGAUGUAAAAACAACUUUUCUAAAUGGCGAGUUAAAUGAAGAAAUCUACAUGGAACAACCGGAAGGAUAUGUCAUGAAAGGUCUUGAGACAAAGUUUGUAAAUUGAAUAAAUCUUUGUACGAUCUUAAACAAGUACCUAAGAUGUGGCAUCUUAAAUUUGACAAAGUGGUAAAGAGUUAUGGCUUUCAGUCUAGCUAUUCAGAUAAAUGCCUUUACCAUCGUUCUAUGUCAAAUAAGAUAGUCACCAUUUGCUUAUAUGUUGAUGACAUGUUAAUACUUGGCUCCGAUCAUUCUGUAGUGAGUGACGUGAAAGCUACUUUAGCUAAAGAAUUUGACAUGAAAGAUCUUGGUAUUGCUAAUACCAUUCUUGGUAUGAAAGUAAGAUUUGAAAGGCAAGUCAUCUCCCUUAGCCAAGCUCAUUAUAUUGAGCAGCUACUUUCUACCUGGGAAUACAGUGAUUGUAAACCGAGUGAGACACCAUGUGAUUAUAAUAUAAGACUGAGUCCUAAUGAAGGGACCAGUGUGGAUCAAUUAAAGUACUCGAAACUGAUCGGUAGUCUCAUGUAUGCUAUGAGUUGCACUAGACCCGACAUCGCCUUUACAGUUGGCAUGCUGAGUCGUUUCACUAGUAAUCCUAGUAAAGAGCAUUGGGAUGCCCUUAGUAGGCUGAUGAGAUACCUUAAAGGUACGAAAGAUUAUAUUUUAUGCUAUUUUGGUUAUCCUCCAACUGUGGAUAGAUAUCCUGAUGCCUCAUGGUGCUUAGAAAUUGAAAAUAGUAAGUCCACAAGUGGAUAUGUAUUCACCUUAGGUGGAGUUGCUAUUACUUGGAAAUCCAAAAGACAGACUUGUAUUGCCUUGUCGUCUAUGGAAUCAGAACUUUUUGCUUUAGCUUCCGCUGCCGAAGAGGCAGAAUGAAUAAAGAAUCUGAUCUUGGAUAUUUCUUUAACUCGGCUACAGAUUAAUUCUUUAAGCCUGUUUUGUGAUAAUCAAGUAGCUGUCCAAGUUGUUAAGAAUGCUUUCUUUAAUUCAAAGAGAAGACAAGGAUAAUAUGGCCGAUACUCUCACAAAACGUGUGCCUAAAGAUCGAUUAUUCAAAACAGUGGUGGAAAUGGGGUUAAAGACUAUGUAGACUAGUCUUAAUUACCAUUUACUUACCUUCUAAUUGUAUGUUUUGAAUUAUCGAAUCUUCCUUUGGUGGUCAAGCACAAUUUUAUAUGUUUCAUCGAUGUUCAUGGUUGCGGACUAAUUUGAAAAGGGUGAGUUUCUCAUUCCAAACUUGAUGAAGAUGACUUUAACCUAGUUCAAAGUUCUACUUGGAAAGCUUGUGUCAUUCCAAACUUGAUGAUACAAUACAAUUAGGUUGGACUAUUCUUUUCUUGGUUAAAUGAUCUCAUUCCAAACUUGAUGCUAGAUUAUUUGACUUCAAAGAAUUAGUAACUGCGACAUUCCAAAUUGAAACAUAAAAAUAGCUAUUUGCAUACGAAGCCUGUUGGUCUUGAUCUUAAUUAAAACUUGAUAUUAUAUGACUAGUUUAUUGUAAGUGACUUAACUAUUGCUCGUGUUGUUUGAAACUAGACAAUGAUUAUUCUCUUACAAAUAAACUUAAGUUGAUGGCUCUUUGUAAAUCAAACUAUUUAGGCUUUAUUCAUAAUCUAUGAAACUGGCUUGAUGCUUAUGAACAUGAUAUUAUGAUGCUUUAUGACAUUAAUAUAUGUUCUUCUCUGCUUGAUGUUAUGAUGCUAAGUUCUUUUAGUAAACUAGACACUUUUAGUAAAUUAUUCAAAUGAUUAAAUUCAUGAUAAUAUGAAAUUUAUAUUUGAUACUCUACAGAGGAUGACAAGGAUGGAGGAGAGCUUAAUUAGUGGGAUCCUGAUCAGGGUGAUGUAUAUUUUAUAUUAUAUAUAUUAUUAAUUAUUAUACUAUAUAUAUGUAUAUUAUUAAUAUUAUAUAUAUUAUAGAGAGGCGAUGCUGUGCUCUCAGGAGCACGGAGGCCUCGUGCUCUUAGCGUUUUCGAUGAUGGAUUUCCGGAAUCGACGAUGCGGCUCGUUAACUUUGAUUAGCGUAUUGAGAUUCUAGAAUAUUUGCCGAUUUUUUUAUAUAUUUAUAGUGAUCGAAGGAUUCAAAAUCAAUAUUUUCAUGGUUUGAUAUCUACGUUUCAGUUUAUGGUCUGUGAUUUUCAUAGCAUGAAUUGAUACGAAUUCUCUAUACUAUCUAUACAAGUAUCCAUAUUUUAGUCCGAAAUUUUAGUGCAUAUCAUCAUUUUGAUAGAAUUUUUUAUUUCAGCGUUAAAAUUAUGAUUUUGAUCUUUCGAUUGUAGAAAAUGAUAUCGAAAAAUCGCAAAUUUUUUUCUUAGAGACUUUCAAUCGCGUAGUCAAGUUACGGAAGGCGAUCGUCGAUUUGGAAAUCCUCAUCGAAAUCGGACUUAGGAGACGGGGCCUCGUGUCUAGAGACAGCCAGUCUGUCUUCUCUUCUCUCUCUCUCGUCUCUCCUCUGAUCUAUAUUAUAUUAUAUAUUCUAUUAUAUAUCAUUUAGAGUGUACGAGGACUUGACAGUUCACUUACUAUUAUCCAUUUUAAUGGAGUCUAUUUACUUAAGACUUGCUUUUUGCUAUCUCUAUUUUGUGAAUUUUAUUACACCUUUUCUUGCAUUUGUAAGGCCUUGGAUUAUUUUGACUGGCCUACUUAUAUUUGACUGUUAUGCAUAUAUUGGUUGUGAACUGAUUUUGAUAAUUAUUUUGGGUACGUCGAUCUCAGAACAGAUUCAUGAUAAGGAUGAUUCACUCAUUUGGAUUACAAUUGAUGAUUGAGUUUCAAUCCGAGUUGAUUGUCUUGGAUUGGAUGUGGAUGAUUCAUAUUUGUUUGAACAUUACACUGACCACCUAUUGGAUUGUACUGUAUGGUGAACAUAGGAGGGGAUUGUUCGAUAUAUUGUUAUAUAAUUCAAAUAAUAUGUUCACAUACAAGCCCAAUAGGUGAAAGCGUAUUAGGGCCCAUAUCAACUAGAGCCCAAUAGCUUACUUAUUAUCCCUAGGGUUUCCUUACGCUGGAGGUAACACUGUUGAGCAUUCCAAAUUUGAUGCCUCUUGGUGUAAUACUUCAAGCAUCCAAAAACCCUAACCUCCAACAACGAUCAAAAGAUAUCAAAAUUGAUAACUUUUAACUAUUGGUAUGGAAUACUUGCUAGUUUAACAGUGUAAAAGAAUCGUAAUUGGUUAAAUUAUUGAUGAAAAAUUCUAUUCACUAUUUAGAUAAAGAUCAAUAACUCUGAUCUUAAAUUAAAGAAUCUGAUCAUCUACUUUUAGGAUGUCAUUCAAUUUUGGCUGUUCAUUUUAUAUUUGCUUGAUAAAUUUUAUUAUAAUUUAAUUCGAAAAAUUAUAAUAAAGAGUUCUAUACUAUAUGUAUAUUUGUUACGCUAUGUGGUAGCGUUGGAUGUUAGUAGCGGGGUGGAUAGUGUCUAAUGCAUGUGAUUAUGAUUCUAUAAUAGACUAUUUGGACAGUAGGUUGAGUUAGUUAUUGGGUUCCUACUGUUGUUUUAUAUUGCAUGCAUUAUGAUGAGACCGAGAGUGCCGUUGCACAUUAUGAGUAUAGAUAAUGAGAUAUAUUUUGAUAUUAUGACAUAUUGAUCAGUACACACUCUAUGAUCUUGCUGAGGAUUCCUGGAUAGUUAUUUGAGAUAUUUUUUAUUAUUGUAUUGAUUAUACCUUACAGAGCCACAUUAAGCUUGACAGUGACAUGCGCUAUGAUACUCAAUAGGAAUCGCUCCCCUUCGAGUGCUGCUUCGAAUGUUGGCCAGUACUGAUAUAGCAGAGAUAGUAGUCUACAUAUUGUCAGCGCACGUACGGGAGUGUGGUUCGGAUAGUCAGUGGAUGCAAGUUUAACCGGACUAUUGAGUCGGUCUUACGAUUGGGUGACUCAGCUUUUCUUUAUCAAGAUAAUGUUUGAUGCAUAUAUUAAUAAUCUUUAGUAUUUUUCCUUAUCUAUUUGUAGAGGCAUGAUAAACUUAUAGUUGCUUUUCAAUUCAGCACCUUAUAUUUAGUUUUAUAUAUACUAGUUUAGGGCCCGCGCUUUGCGGUAGAUCGAUAGUAUUUCAGUCAAUCAACAUAUAUAAUUAUUAAAAUUUAAAAUUUAAAAAUAUAAUAAAAAAAAAUUCAUAUAGCAUUCUAUACAUUAUAAAGCUAAUCUUUUUUAUUAUAAAAUUAAAAUUUAUAUUUAAUAUAUGUAAUUUAGUUAUAUAAAAAGUUUUUUUUUUGAGAGAGAUAGGUAGUACGCUACCCACUUCGUUUAUUUCAUUUAGAAAUAAACUUAGCUGGAAAUGUGAAUCAACUAGGAUUCGAACUUGGGUCUCGAGUACCAACCACCAAGUCUUUUGUCACUUGCUCUAGUUAUAUAAAAAGUUGUGUAAAAAAUUAGAGAUUAUAUAUAUAAUUUAAAUUUUAGGAAAGAAUGAAAAAAAAAGCCUCACUACCAAGAGAGAGAGAGAGAGAGAGAGAGAGAGGGAAAAAAAUCCCACUUGAGCCACCCACCCGCGCCCGCUCGCUCGCACCUAGGGGUGACAAUCGAGCUCGCUGUUCGCAAGCCAGCUCGUGUUCGGCUCGAAAUGAGCUUGAGAUCGAAUCGUUCGUUUAGUAAACGAGCCGAACACGAACUAAAUUUUUCAGCUCGUUUAAUAACAAGCCGAACACGAGCUGGGGUCAGCUCGCUCACGCGUGUUCGGCUCGAUAACAGCUCGAAUACAUAUAUUUUAUAUUUAUAUAAUUUAUUUAAUUUAUAUUUUUAUAUAUAAAUAAAUAAUUAUAUAUAAUAUAUAUUUUUAUUAUUUAAUUUUUAACAAAAUAAAAUAUAAAUGCGAGCAUAAUUAUAAAAAGACUCAUUUAUAUGUAAAAUUUUAACUAUUAGAUCAAAGUCUAAUGGAUAAAAUUUUAUAAAUUUAUUUUUUAUAUAUAUUUAAUCUAAUCUUUUUUAAUUUAUUGUUCGUUGGCAAGCUCGCGUUCGGCUCGUUAAUAAACGAGCCGAACACGAGCUGAAUUUUUCGGCUCAAUACUUUAACGAGCCAGCUCGUGUUCGGCUCAUUUAAUAAACGAGCCGAACACAAGCUGAGCCGAGCUCACUCGUGUUCGGUUCGUUUACACCCCUACUCGUGCCCAUGCCCGACCACGCCCGCCCGCGCCUCGCCCCUCGCACGCACCCUCGCUGCUCGCACUACCACGAGGAGCUUUCUGAGAACUCAACUUUUAUUAUAUCUAUAGAUUCUGCUCUUGUACAUUUUUAGUUGUGGACUCUAGAAAAUAUUGCUAUUUGUAAACUCUAGAUCUGUUUGUUUACUACAAUUUGUUGGACGCUCCACAUGUGUGGGAUGCGUCUUAACGCAUGUGGCAGAUUUGUUCGCGUGCCCGGGGGCUUUCACUGUGGGCCCAGGGUGUGAAAAACUUGAAAUUCAUUUAGUUUGAAGCAUUACACAAGGCGUCCUCUAGCGAUUAUCAUAGAACUCAUAACCGGGCCUCCUGUUUUGGUUCCACACUAUAGAAUAUGUCUAACCCUUCUUAUGACGCUUUAGUAAAUAGUUAUUCACCUUAUAAUAUGUAGCGGCCACAAAUGCCGUAAUCGGCAAACCAUGUAGACAUUUAAGUACUCCACUUAAACUCUCCAAUUGAUUUGUCGUUAUCGCCCGAAAACACCGACCUCUAUCAAAUGCCCUCGCCCAAUGUUUUCUUCCUCCUUGAAGCUUGUGCACCCAAAGCCAAGCUGCCCGAUUUAGAUCAUUCAGUUGAUCCUUAUACUUAUAAUUUUCUCUUACAGUUGCAGCACAUCCUAUACCCAUAUAAAAUUUGUUGAGCAUAUUUUUACUUUUAAAGCCAGCUUUUUUCAUAUUAGUCUUCAAAUGGUGGAGGUACCAACGAUGAGCACCCUCACAUCUCUCCUCACGAAUAGUUUUUUUUUAACCCAGAAAAGCUGUUUGAAAUAAGACACCUAGAUAGAUCUCAUGUCACUAAGACCUUUAAAUGUCGAAAAAUCAACGCCAACUGCUAGCAUUCUUUCUUUCACAUAUAGCAAUAGCCAACGGGUACAAUCCAUUAUUUGCAUCUACAUAAGUUGCAAUGAAUGUAUGCCCUUGAUACUUUCCAUACAUACGAGUUCCAUCGAUGCUCACCAAUAGUCAACAAUAAGAGAACCCAUUAAUUGGAGGUCCGAUGCCAAAAAUACUCAUCCAAACUGCCUAACCCCAUUUGGCAGGAUUUUGCGAUCUAGACGCCAUUGAGUUUCAGGAUUCAUGCAGUGUAGUACAGACAAAAUGCGACUAAGAUCGAUGUAUGAUUGCUCCCAACUACCAUAAAUGAUCUGCAGUGCUUUAUUUAUAGCCUGCCAUGCCUUCGAGAUAGUAUGUCCACAUGUAAUUAAGUAGGCACUUUUUUUAAAAAAAAAUUUUGUCAGCGUCUAAGUAAGCUUUAGCUUUAUUCUCAAUGAUGGAAGAAUGUGUCGACAUAUAAGAGAUGAAGUACAAUUUUGAUGUGCAGUGUUUAGUACUGGAACUAAACAUGUAUGCUGCUCAACAUAUGUUUUGACUCUAAAAUAACUCGCAUCUUUUGGUACCAAACCAUGUAAUCUCCAAGGAUACGAAUCGACUGUGCAAUUCAUUAUAUAAGCUUUUGUAGUCGAUUUUAGUACGCACAUUGUGAGCAAUAUGCCAUUCCUCAAGAGCGUGCAAUAAAUUUGAUUUAUCAUAAAAUAUCCGACAAACCCAUGAACCAUCAACGCUAGGAGGGCUCUGUUCAAUCUGUGAAGGAUCGAACUCAAUAUUAUUUACUACAUACUGGCUCAUCCUAUCGUCAUUCUUGACAGACUGCUUUGGAUGAUCUAUGAACUCUGCACCUUUAUCUAGAUCAUCCACAUAUUUGUUAUUGGCAAUUGGAUCAUCAAGCUCAGUAUAUAUAAUAUCUGUAUGGACUCCCAGUCCACUAUCAUGAUCUGCAUUAUAGUAGUGACCUUCCUCGGCUACAUCAUCAUUUAUGGUCAAAUACGGAGGUUUAUGUCCAACACUCUCAUAGUCAGUAUUAUUUUAUUCAGUUACUUCCUAUUGCACAUCUGACUAAUUUUGUAUUCCGUCAUACUCGAUUCCUAGUAGAUAGGAUCCAAAAUCAUGCACAUCGUGAGAGGUAGGAAUAUUUCUGCAUUAUUUUUAUGUAAUUAAUCACUACCUAAUGAAAUAAAAAAUAAAAUAUAUGAUGAAAAUAAUUAUAAUGUAUUUAUAUUGCCUUAUUGUCCACCUAGUGGAGUGUGGGAACUUGAUGUUGUUGCACAAGCAGUUAUAGUAUAUGGGAGGGGAGGAGAGCCAACAACUACAUUCGGAACUUCGUAUUUGCAAAUGAAUAAUGAAUCAAUAACAAAAAAAUUGUUAUAUCUAAAUAUAACUGUAUAAAGCCACUAUUUGUAAUACUAACCUAGGCGUAUUUGCUUUAUCUCCGAUAUCAAUACAAAAGGAUUCUCUUUCGGCCCCGGGAACAACACAGCCAUGUUUAAGUCACUACUUAAAAUUUUGAAUGAUAACUCUGUGAUACAACCAUCUGUUUUUAAUAUAAAUUAUCAAACAGGCAUAGUUCCUAGAGAAUGCAAUCAUAUAUCAUACAAUGAGUUAUCGUUAGUAACUUUUUGAAUAUUGUAUUGAUUUUUUCCGAUUAGAUAUUGGACUUUGAUACUUAGAUAAUACUCAUCUCUUCUUACAUCGAUCAAUCUAUACAUUUUUCUCUUGAAAUUACCAAAUGCAACGUCCAUUGGAUGCCACUUAAUUUUUUACGACCGCCAAUAUAUUGUGCAUUGUUACGCAAUAAAUUGUCCAUUCUAGUGAAUACUACUAGCAAUAUUAUUGUAUACCAUCCUAACUUCAAAAAAAAUGUUUGCAAAACAAAUAUAAAUUAAAACAAAAUUAGAUAUCUUACGGUAGAAUCCCACCAUGAAUUCACCACCUAAGGUUUGUCCUGUCUAAUUAUUCUUUGUUAGAAGCAUGGAGAUUGUAGAGGCAAAAAUGAGAACAUAUAUCCUACUACUACGCAUAAUUAACUUGGAUAUCAUUCAAUAUAAUUUGCAGGAGGUUUUUGACCAAUUUAAAAAAUCAGGUGGUUAUCUCAAAUGGCCAUUUUUAAAGCCUUUCUCUACUGAAUUCUAAAUCUAUAAGUACCUCUACAAAAGAUGAUUGAUGCUUUCUAGAGGUUUUCAACAAGGGAUGCCAAUGGGCCAGAUUCGGGGAGGAUUUUCAAAAACCUGAUCCCUAACCCGCCUAUUAACCCCGAAACCCGAACCGAAACUCGAACCCAAAAAUCCGAACUCGAAAAAAUUAUUUCUCUUUACAAUAUUUCAAAAUAUAUUGUAUUAAAUCUAAAUUUUUAAAAUAUAAAUUUAAAUGUAACAUAAAUUUUAUAUAUAUAUAUAUAUAUAUAUAUAUAUAUAGGCUAGGGCUACUAUACUCAGUAUAGAGCCCUUCGUACUCAUAACUUGUUUCUAAUGAUAGAGAUUCCGAAUCGACGACCCACUCCGUUAAAUAUGAUCUAGAGUAUUUGAAACUUCUAGAAAAUAAAUUUUGUAAUUUUUCGAAAUCAUAAUAAAGUUCAUCAAGCGGGUAUAAAAUGAACGGUCAAAAUCGAACGACGUCUUAAAAAUGGAUGAUCGGAUCCUUCAAUUUAAGAUUGGAGUUAUUGAUCUUUAUCUAUGUAGUGAAUAGGAUUUUUUAUAAAAAAUUCAACUGAUUUUGAUUCUUUUACACCGUUAAACUAGCAAAUAUCCCAUACCGGCCAUUAAAAAUUAUCAAUUUUGUGACCUUUUGAUCAUAAGGUAACGAUGUCGAAAAAUUAUAAAAUUUGAUUUCUAGACGAUUUAAAUGCUCUAGAUAACGUUUAACGGUGUAGAUCGUCGAUUCGCAAACUCUAUCAUCGAAAACAACUUAUGAGUACGAGGGCGAUCGUACUCAUAAGAGUAUAGUAGCCGGACUUGUAUUUUCCAUAUAUUUGAAAUAGCUACUUUUUUUUUUUUUUUGCAUAUGUACCCUGCAACUAUGCAAUAUUGCACUAACAGCCUCUCAAAAAGUUGGUAUUUGCAUGUGUACUUCUUAAAUGCUUGCCUACUNCUCUCUCUCUAUAUAUAUAUAUAUAUAUAUAUAUAUAUAUAUAUAUAUAUAUAUAUAGUCCGACUAGGAUACUAGCGAUAGCACCAAAGGGCUUGUUGCUAUCGUGUAACACACUGGACCUGUGCAAAUUGCGAGGUUCGAUUGUUUGAUGUGGACUCCGAACUUUUCCACACUUGGUGGAAGGUCGUAGAUGGUAUUCCGACCUAAAAGUUCGAUUUCUGUAGUUUUGGGCAGUCCUGAGAGUUUUCACUCUUGGGGACCGGUCCCUGGUAGGGGAGACCGGUCCCCUCCGAACAGUGUUGCGGCGAGCUUGAGGCAACCGGUCCCUGGCGGAUGAGACCGGUCCCCGAGCGCGACUACGCGGGGAGAGACCGGUUCCCGAACGUUGGUUUUGCGGGAUGAACCGAGAGACCGGUUCCAGGCAGGGAGAGACCGGUCCCUCUGAGGGAAAUUUGCCCAGAUCGGGCAGUGCACACAUUGCACAGUUUGGGGACCUAGGUGGAUAUUGUUACUUGAGAGGGCUUUUAUGGUCCUUCCACUCUCUUACUCCCUCAUUUCUCUCCCUCACAUUCACUGUAGAGAGAGAAGAAGAAGGAGAAUAAGGAGUUGGAGGAGAGCAAGAUCUUGAAGCUUUGGAGCAUCUUCCUCUCCCUUUGCUCACCAUUGGAGGCUUGAAGCUUGCUAUUGGAGCUUUGUGGAGGAUCAAUCUUCAACUCUAGAAGAUUUGGAGCUUGUUUUGGGGCAUCUAGAGAGGUUUGUACCUUGAUUCUAGCCUUUGAUCCAUGUUUUGGUAGAUUUUACUAUAUGAAACCCUAGUUUUGGGAUUUAGGGUUUAUUUUGGGGAUUUUUGAUUUGAGGGCUUUGAAGCCUAAUUGAUGGGUUUAGAACCUUUAUUUAGGUUGGAUUUGAAGAACUCUAACUCCCAUUUGGAGCUUGAGAGAGGAUUUCUUCACUUGAGGCGAGUUUCUUCCCUUAGCCUAUAUUGCUUAUUGAUUGAGCUUAGGGUUGAUCGUAAGAUUCGUUGAACCCUUGUUCCUACAUCUUUAGGGUGCUAGGAGACUAGUGGACACCUUCGUUGGAGCAAACGAAGGAGCGCAAGAGUUGUGGUGGGUUUGGCUUCAUGAAAACGGGGCGAAAUAACCCCCAUGCUUUCUAUACCCGUCAUAACGUUAUUUUAAAUGCAAAUCUAUGCUAAAUGGAAUUUAUGUGAAUUUUAGAACACUUAAAUUGCAUGUGUUAUGUGUAAAAUAGUUUUCACUCUAUAUAGUAGAGCAUUCUGGGUAUUGUUACAUGCAUUUGAGUAGUGUUCGCUCUAGUCGUUUGGAAGCAUGCUUCAUAUGUUUAAAGUGGCUCAAUUAUGCAUUAUGAACAUUUGGUUUAAGCUUGGACUUAGUAAAUGAAAAUGUCAUAAAGGGGCACUUAGACUAGCAAACUGUGAGACUAUUGUAUUGAGACUUAGUGAUAGGCCAUGAACAUCUACUACUUUCCAUAUUUUAGACAUGAUGACAUAGAGAUAGGCCUAUGAGAGAGUUGUGAUGUAUUCCAUGUUGCUUGACAUGAGGACUUGGUAUUUGAGACGGAUCUUUUGUUACUUGCCAUUGUGCUCAUUCGCACAUGCUUGUGAGGGUUGCUCCCUACAAGCCGGUACUCCGGAGAUGGCCAUCGCGAUACAUAUUCGCCGUACGGGAUUGGGCGCCGAAGUGGAUUUCCGUGGGAAAGGCUCAUUCCUAGAGUGGGGAUGUUGACUAACACGGGGCCAUUAGGCUCGGCACCGGCCAGACAACCUACGGGUGGGUCUCAGGGCCAGACAGUUUUCGGGCGGGUCUCUUCAGAUUUGAUUUUGAACAUUCAUCAUGCCAUGGGGACAUUGAUUAGAAUAGUAAACAAUGAUAUCUUUACUAUUUGACUUAUGGACAUCAUACUAGCGAUACUUUGGUACAUUCAUACGAGAAUAGCUUUUCUUACUUAUGCUAAAUCAUGCUAAGUAGAGAUAUCAUGUGGUAGCAAAUAUUCAUGCUUAUUUACUUGUCGUACAUGUCGCUUUUGUUUAUAUCUGCUUACUGACCCCAUUUUUAGUUUGGGCCUAGUGGUGCAUUUUACUGAAGCAAGUAAUUGCCGACUGGGAACUAUUUUUAAUAGUUCUCACGCCCCUGUUUCUAUGUUUCCUUUUCAGAGCCUUCGGCACCGGCGGAGGCACGGGAUCGCGGCAAGGGAGUCGUGUAGCUAGUUAGCGGGGAGCUACUUUUGAGCUUGGGCGGUUUACUCUCUUCUUUUUGGUUUUUGUGAGAGAGAGUUUUGUUACCAUGUAUAGAGACCACUCAUGUUUUAUGUUUAGCUUUUGUAUUUGGGAUUCUUAUUGUAUUACUUCAUGCUUUUGUUUAGUGGACUUUCGGCUUUAUGUUCAUUUCCUUCAACGUAGAACUAAAUGUACUUCGCUCUGAUGCUUCUAGAUGUUCUCUUUUAUCGUCUUAUUUAUUGUUUUGUUUUAGACGCCUUGUAUGUUUUGGACAUACCGCGGGUCUAGGCACGCGCCGGGCGGGCUUCCGCUGGGUCCUGGGGCGUGACAGAUUAGUUUGGCAUCAGAGCCUAGGGUUAAGUCUUAGUGGACCUAGCAAACCUUAGGCCGGUUGGACUAUAGAAAAUAGGCUCGUGAGAGACGAGGUCUAUUUGACUUGUAAGCGAAAGUAUCGUGAUUGGGUAUUUUGAUAACUCUAGAAAGUGGAGUUAAAUUGAGGUGUAUAGCUCCUAACUUCGCGAAGAGUUACGUUGGCGGCCAACAACGUAACAUCGGGAGUUAGUAGUGAAGCACAUUUCAUUACUUUCGCAUGAUUUGGGGUAUUAUCCGCUUGAGCGGGGAUACGAUAGCGUGGGUUACUAACUUACGCUUUUAUGAUGUUGUAGUGAGAUGCCGAUCACUCGCUCCCAAUCUGCCGGAGCGGAUAAUGCGGCACAUCUUGAGAAGGUCGAGACCUCCACUACCUCCGGAUCCGGCGAGGUCCAAGAGUUGAGGAGCCAACUUGCGGCUCUCACCGAUUUGGUGACACAGCAGGCGGAGGCGGCCCGACAGCAGACGGAGGUGGCGCGCCGAUAGGAGGCGCGAAUGAAGCGCCUGGAGGACCUUCUUUUACAGCAGGCGGCAGCUUCCAGGGAGACUCAGGCCCCUACACCGCCAGCACCAGUUUGGACGUCGCGCCUAGAGCGCCGUCCCCUGCGCCCAGUUCUUCGCGAGCAGCGCCUGCGGCCGCGCCUCAGGAGGAGGCCAUCACGGUACCACCUGUGCAGAGGCCCCCGGGUGGAGCAGCUUUUCCUACCUUGGUCGAGGGAGCGGAGCGGGACAGAUUGAUGGAGCGCCUCAACGAGUUCAGGAGGUGCAGUCCACGGAUCUUCGACAGCGAGAAGGUCGACCACUGGAUCGUGGAGAAGUGGUUGAUGCAUAUGGAGAAGCUCUUCCGCGACACCUUCGUGGAGGAGAGNNNNNNNNNNNNNNNNNNNNNNNNNNNNNNNNNNNNNNNNNNNNNNNNNNNNNNNNNNNNNNNNNNNNNNNNNNNNNNNNNNNNNNNNNNNNNNNNNNNNNNNNNNNNNNNNNNNNNNNNNNNNAGGGCUCGAGCUCGCUCGACUUGAAAUUAGGCUCGCUCGAGCUCGGCUCGAAUUAAUUUCAAUCCAAGCUUGAGCUUAAAUUUAGGCUCGAAAUUAAUUUCAAGCCGAAUUUGAGCCGAGGUAAGCUCGCUCGAGCUCAGCUCGUUUCCACCCCUAGGUUUACUCUUUCUUUUAUUGUAUUAGAGAGAGAGAGAUUUUGCACCAUGUAUAGAGAGACCACCUGUGUACCUUCUAGCACUUAUUUUGGGACUUCAGUUGUACUACUUUAUGCUUUUAUCUAGUGGACUUUUGACUUUAUCUUCAUUUCCUAUUGUAGCUCAUAGAUACUUUUUGCUCUUAUACGGUUUGAUGUUUAUCUCACUUCUUGCCUUAUUUAUCGUUUUGUUUAGACGCCUUAUAUGUUUUAGACAUAUGGCGGGUCUGGGCACGAGCCGGGCGGGCUUCCGUUGGGCCCCGGGGUGUGACAUAUCGAGUUUUCCACUGUUAGAUUUAAAUCUUUGAUUAUUUUUACCUAUUAGAUUAUACUAUUUAACCAAUUAACCACUCAACCCUAUGGGGCCCACAUUAUCCUAACCGCAUAUUUGUCAAUCCAAGGGCUAAAAAACUAACAGUACCAAUAGCUUAGUGCUAAUGAUAGUAUUCCAGCCCUAGUUUCUAUAUAUAUCAUAUAUGAUAUAUAUAGUAGUAUAUAAAUAUGGGGCUACUAUAACUCUUAUGAGUAUAGACUCCCUUACUCAUAAAUUUUUGCAGGGACUUCUCUCUCUCUCUCUCUUCUAUACAGAGAUAUAGAGAGAGAGAGAGAGUUCGACUACUAUACUAUUGAUAGUACCAAGCCCUUGAAUACUAUCAAGUUUUCUGCCUUUGGAUCUACCCCUUUGAUCAUUUCCACCCGUUAAGUUAUACUAUUCAACAACCACCACUCAACCUAAAGGACCACUAUCAUUCUAACCGCAAUCUUUUAUCCAAUGGCCAAAAACUCGAUAGUACCAAUCGAUAGUAUAGUAGCAUAAUUCUCUCUCUCUCUCUCUCGCUGCUCUCUCUCUCUCUUCUCUCUUCUCUCUGCUCUCUCUCUCUCUAUAUAUAUAUAUAUAUAUAUAUAUAUAUAUAUAUAUAUUAUAUAUAUUAAUAUAUUAUAUAUAUAUCAACACACACUAUGGUACUAUUAUCGCUUAUAAGUAUAGGGCCCUUUUAUUCUCACAACUUUUCAGCCUUUUGAUAAGGAUGUGCUGUUAGAUUGAUAGUGGGUCCCUACGGUUGAGUUGAGGUUUGUGUAAAUAUAUUGAUCUAACGAGAGAAAAUUGAUUAAAGGGCUGGAUCUAAUAGUCGAAAACUUAUAAGUAUAUAAGAGCAUAUAUCAUAGGAGUAUAGUACUGGACAUAUAUUUAUUAUAUAUAUAUAUAAAUAUAUAUAUAUAUAUAUAGUCCGGCUGGGAUACUAUCGAUAGCACCAAGCGUUUGGUGCUAUUAAGUUUUCUGCCGUUAGAUUUAACCUUUUGACUAUUUUUACCCGUUAGAUUAUACUAUUAAACCAAUAACUCAUUCAACUCCAGGGGCCCACAUCAUCCUGAUCGUACUUAUAUAAUAUAUAAGAGUUAUAUAUUUAGGGAUAUUAAUAAAUAAUUAAAAUUUAUAAAUAAAAUAUUAUAUAAUAUCUCUAUAUAAAAAGAAAAUACUAUAUAUAUAAUAAAUAAAUAUAUAUUUAUCAAGAAAAUUAUAUAUAUAGAGAGAGAGAGAGAGAGAGUCCGGCUACUAUACUCUUAUGAGUAUAACCCACUUUGUACUUAUAAUUUUCGAUCGUUAGAUCUUCUUCUUUGACCAUUUCUAUCCGUUAGAUUAUACUAUUCAACCAACAACUUACUCAACCCUAGAGGACUACAAUCAUUCUAACCGGGAACCACUAUCAUUUUAACUGCACAUUCCUUCAUCCCAACUAUGGACCUUCCUCUUACGCAGUCCACGAGGCUGAAGUGGCCUCAUGGAUAGCGCAAAAACGCUCCAUGAGUCGCAAUUUUUUUGCUCCGCUUUUAGUUUUCCGCCGCUCUCGCACGGAAAACGAAAGGGAGAAUUUUCCCCAUAUAUGUAAAACUAUUUUUCACGAAAAAUUUUUUUACGUUGAACCAAACGAGCAGCAAACUAAUUUUUUACCGAAAAGUUUUUUUCCACCAACUUUUACGUAAAACCGAACACACCCUUAGUGCACUACAAAUACUUAUUUUAAAAAGUAUUCGUUAGGGUCCAAUUUUGUACCAAAUGUAGACUAGUAUCUUUUGCUUAAGAGUUUGUUAUUUAUGUAAUUACAUAUGAUAAUAGUCUUGCAGGUUUUAAUUUUCUUUUUCCCCCUCCCAAUAAUAACGGAGAAGGUAACGCGUGCAGGUGGAACGAAUCCUUGUAGUGCAUACCAUAUGGUAGGUGGAACGUAUAUGUUAUAUGCAUGGAGAAGUUGGUGCUGGUGCUGCGUCAAAAUUCGUGAUUAUGACGCCCCAGCGGCAAGUCAGUAUAUACAACAAACUACUCAUUAAUUAACUAUAGCCCCACGAGUGCAACUAAUAAAAGUAUAGUUAAUUAUGAUUCCUUCCACAGUUGUUUGUUUUUUCUUCCCUUGGUUUCUUUUGUAUUUCUCACGAGAUUUUUGUAUUUUUCCACGUUUCUUUCAAACGAACCAUUACAAUACUAUUAGAUUAUAGAAAUAUAUUUUUGAAACACUUUUGUAUAAAUAUCUCAUUAUGCCAAAACGUUUUUUAAAAAAUCUACUAAAACCUAAAUAUAAAGCUCAAUCUAACCAAAAACAAAAAAUUCUUGUACUCAAUCAACCCCACCUAGCCCAUUCGGCCCGAUAACAAAUAAAAAAGAAAAAAAAAGAGAAAAAUUGAUCACCAUCUCCCCUUCUCCUCCUCCGCCGUCGUAGCCGACGAGCUAGGGUUCCGACAGUUGGAGUUCAGCCGUGAGAAUCUCGUAGCUAGGGACCAUAGAGGGUUACGAUUACCACAUGUUGCACGGCCACAGGCCGCUGGAGGAGUGAGUGAGAAACAUCAAGGCGACCCUGCAUAUAGAGACCCUACAUAUAGCAAUACAUUUAAAAAGCAUCGGUAAUUUAGCUAGCAGCAUUUUUUUUGACCUAUACCGAUAUUUAAAAGUGUCGCUAUACACCGUUUUGGUUGGAGUGAAUGCACCUUAUGUUUCAUACCUUAUAUUGUUAAAAUCGGAACGACGAAAAAUAGAUACAAAAAAUAAUUUAAUGCAGGAAAAAAAAAGAUCAGGUGAAAAGAGCACACCGAUAUUUAUAUGGUUCGGCCAACGGCCUACGUCCACGGACAAAAAUGGAGCAAAUAAUUUAUUAAUGUCGAAAGACAGAGUAUAAAGAAGACCUCUCAGCAGACCAAAACUUUAAUUAGAUGGAAAUCGCCGAAAUCUGCAUCCCUACAGGCAACUCUAGGAUGGCUCGGCUUAAUUAAUGCUACGGCUCCCCGUGACCGUACGGAACACCAAAGCACGAAGGCUCGGUUCUCUCCCAGCAACCGUACGGCUCAAGGGACUUAAUUAAUUAACAUGCUACAGGACUUCUCUUAGCCGAUUGGGAGCACCAAAUUCUUAAUUAAUUUUCUUGGCUUCGUUAGAGUCGCGGCGUCAUUAACUUGGCCGUAGCAUGUAUAUAUAAUACAUGUCUUCUAAGUAGAGUCUAAUUCUAAUUCAAUUAAAAUUACACUUCUAAUUAUAAUCUAUAUAUGCCAAAUUAAAUCUAAAUUAUAUAUAAUCCCAAUUAGAUUAGCAUUUAAUUCCAAUUUAGGUAACUAUAAAUCUAAAUCAAAUAUAACAAUCUCCACCUUGAAUUGGUUUAAUUUGUAGUUUAGCCGCCGCUAUGUCGAGGUCACCAUAAAACUCAACCUUAAUUUAAAUUCUCCUCAAUGCUCCUUAACGCUUCGUGCUCCGUUUUAUCCAAACGCCACAUAGGGCCUCAAGUGGUGCCAAUUGCUACCAAAUCCAAACAAUGCUUGAACUUGACAAUACUAAGAGACUUAGCAAGCAUAUUCGCCGGAUUGUCAUCAGUACCAAUUUUCUUAACAGUCACCGUGCGUUUCCUGAUCACAUCCCGAACAAAGUGAAACUUUACAUCGAUGUGCUUUGUCCUCUCAUGAAAUAUCUGAUCUUUCGACAAAUGAAUAGCACCUUGACUGUCCGAAUAAACAAUUGUCGGAUCUCAAUAAGAAGUAAGCUCUUCAAAUAAGUCUCUUAACCACAUAGCUUCCUUCACACCCUCUGUGAUAGCAAUAUAUUCCGCCGCCGUCGUAGACAGGGCAACAAUAGGUUAUAGUGAAGCUUUUCAACUAACUGCACAUCCGCCAAUAGAGAAUACAUAACCUGAAAGUGAUCUCCUCCUAUCCAAAUCAUCUGCAAAAUCCGAAUCAACAUAUCCAACCACACCAUCCUUACACCUCCCAAACUUCAAGCAAGUGCUAGUGGUACCUCGUAAGUAUCUCAAAAUUUACUUAACAGCUUGCCAAUGAGCCUUACCAGGAUUGGUCAUAUAUUUGCUAACCAUGCUCACUGCGUAGGAGAUGUCCGGCCGUGUGCAAAUCAUAGCGUACAUGAUGCUCCCGACUGCACUAGAAUAGGGAACAUGUGACAUGUUCUCCCGCUCAUCAUCGGACUGCGGUGAUAACUCGGCGAAAAGUCUGAAAUGCGCCGCAAAAGGACUGCUCACAGGUUUUGCGUCUGUUAUCCCGAAACGCUUUAAAAUCUUCUCUAUAUAUUUCUCUUGUGUCAAAUGCAGUAGUCCUGACUUGUUGUCCCUCUUAAAUUCCAUACCAAAGAUUUUCUUAGCAGCACCUAGAUCUUUUAUCUCAAACUCACCCUUAAGUAAAGCCUUCAAUUUAUUUAUCUCAACUAUGUCGCUGGAAGCAAUUAACAUAUCAUCGACAUAGAGCAACAAAUAUAUGAAAUAUCCCUUAUCAAGCUUUCUGAAAUAUACACAACUGUCACGCUUGUUUCUGGAAUAUCCAUGACCUGUCAAGAAAGAGUCGAACCGCUUAUACCAUUAUCGAGGAGACUGCUUUAAGCCACAAAGCGAUUUUUUUAACAGGCAAACAUGGUCCUCCUUUCCUUCAACAAUGGAUCCCUCUGGCUAUUUCAUAUAAAUUUGCUGCUCAAGUUCUCCAUGCAGAAAAGUUGUCUUAACAUCAAGCUGCUUAAGAUACAGGUCAUUCAUGGCUACUAAGGAUAAAAGAACACAAAUAGAAAUAUACUUCACGAUGGGUGGAAAAAUAUCAUUAAAGUCAACACCUUCUACCUGACUGUAGCCCUUAGCAACUAAACGAGCAUUAUAACUUGUAUCUUCCAUGCCGGGGAUUUCGUCCUUUUUCUUGAAGACCCACUGUCUGCCAACAAUUUUUUUGCCUGUAGGCGGUUUUACCAACUCCAAUGUGCGAUUCUUAUGGAGAGACUCCAUUUCCUCAUUCAUCGCCACCAACCACUCGGCAGAACUGGCCGGCACCAGAAAUAGCUUGAUUAUAUGUGGAAGGUUCACCUUCUUCUGUAUCUUGUGCCACUGAAAGAGCGUAAGCAACCAUAUCUUCAUAACUGUAUCUCUGCGGUGGUUUAAUAUGUCUUUUUGCUCUGCUUGUAGCAAUGUUCUGCCUCUCAACUUAUGGGGUUUCAGUUACUGAGUUGUCUGCCGACUGAACUUGUUCUGACUGAGAAGAAUCCUGCGAUUGAACUAUAUCACCGGUCUCUACCUCUACCUUCUUGCUAGCACUCGGGGUCUCAUCAGAAGAAUUACGAUUAGAUUCAUCAAAUGUGACAUCCCUACUAAUAAUUAAUUUAGAUGAUUCAGGACACUACAAUCUAUAUCCCUUAAACCCCGAUGCAUAACCAAUAAAAAUGCACUUUUUAGCCCUAGGUUCUAACUUGCCUUCAUUAACAUGAACAUAAACAGGACAACCAAAUAUUCGCAAAUUAGAAUAAUCAGAAGGGCUGUUACCGAACUUCUAAAGUUAUGAAGUUACGGUGUAUAUUAGCUUGGAGAGUCAUUGGAAUGAUUCCGGCGAGGUUCGAGAGCAUUCGGGCGUUUUCAGUGCGCGUUGGACGUGAAAACGGGACCCGAAAGGCUAUGUUGGACCGUGGACUAAAUCCGGCAUAAGCGUGGAUGAAAAGAUGAUGUAAGUACGCUCGAAAAUAUGUUUUGGAGGUCUCGGUGCGAUUUGAAAUGAAUCUGAGGCCUAACGAGCGAAAACGAGUGAAAACGGAGAGAAAACGGACGAAAGUUGAAAUUUGGCUAAGUCCUUAAUUACUGGGCUGAGAGGACCUAUGGGGUCUGGUCCCUCAAGCCAAGGACCGGUCCCCGUAGCCCGAAAAUGCCCAGUUCGGGCUGUGCACUAUUUGCAAAGUUGAGAGGUCUAAGUGCAAUUGUGUGCAAGUGGGGUUAUAUGAGAGUGGGUUAGAACUCUCUCCUCUCACUCCCUCACACUCUAAACCCUAAAACACAUUCCCUCUCUCUCGUUAAGCUCUCUUUCUCUCUCUCAUCAAGGAAGGCAAGAGGAGAGGGAUUUGGUGGAGAUUGAAGCAAAGAAGGUGGAUCUUCUUCUUCUCACCUUCUUCCCUGGUCCAUUGGAGCAAGCUUGAGGUAAGCUUCUUGGUAGCAUCCAUGGUAGCUUCCUAGAAUAUGGAUUUUAAUCUCUAGAAAUGAAUUUAAUGGAAUCUUAGCAUGCUAAAUAAGUGAUAAAUGCUUGAAUCUAGAGAUUAGAUGGUGGAUUUUGCAAUAGUUGCAAACUAGGGCUCCAAAUGGGGUUUUGCUAUAUAUUAGGGUUUGAUCUUAAUUAACCCUAUACAAACCUAAUUGUUAGGUUUCCUGACGCGUUGGCGAAGUCGGUUCGGCGAUCCGAUGAACUUACGAGAAUAUAUUGCAGGAAAAGGUGUUUUCGGUUUCGUUUCUGCCUGGAAGGCCAAGGCGGCAUCCAAAAAUUACAAAAUCGGAUUCCUAGCAUCGCGGCAUCAAGUUAUAGACCUUUAAAAUCUGAGGCCGCGAAUUGACGCACGGUUAGUGACCAUUUGCAAGAUCGGGCUGAACCGGGCAACGAAAAUCACGGGAGGCUGAUUGCAAGUGACUACAAGCAAUCGGAAAGCAAUUUGAGGUGGGUGGUGCUCACCGAAAUGUUAAGCUCGCUUCUAUGUAGAAGCGAUGUGAGAUGUGUAAUGGUAGUUGAUUGCAUAGAAGAAUGCAUAGGGUGGGUACCAUGAGAAUGAAUGAGAUGUUAUGCAAUAACUACUUAGGAUGAAUGUAUAUGCAUGAUGACGGAUCAAAGAGUAUGCUAGAAAGGAUAGGCAUAUUAGCAUUAUGAUAAUGCAUGCUAGAUGAUAAUUGCAUAUUGAUAUGUUGAAAUAUAUGCUAGGAUAAUGCAUGAUGAUAUGGUCUUGAAAUACUAAAUAGAAUGUGCAUGUUGAUAAUGUGGGUUAUACUAGAUGUAUAUGCAUGCUGGCAUCAUAGAAUGUAGACUCGGGUCGAUAACUCUAGGUUGAUAAAGAACUCGACAUUGGAGAACAACAACAUGUAGCUAUAGUACUCAAUGUGGACAAUUAGGAUGUCAAGUAGAUCGAGUGGCAUUGAACCUAGUGUUGUUAAACAUAGGUUGGAUAUGUGUGGCAUUUAACGUAGUGUCGUGAACCUAGGAUGGAUGCGAGUGGCAUGUGAAAUACAAGUGUAGUAGUCACACUAUGGUAUGAACAUAGAGAUAGAUGAGUUCCCGAGUCGAUUGAUAUGUUGCAUGAGAACCUAGUGUGGUAGAGACACUUGUGACAUGAUGACUAUAGGAAUAGGUGGAUUUCUCGAGUCAUUGUUAUCCCAAGUUGACAGGGUAUCCUCAGUGGGCGAGGAUUGGAUCAUAUUCACAUAGUCUGUUUUGGGUUUGGGGUGGUCGCUCCACACAAGCAGUGCACUUCGGAGUUGUCACAUGAGAGAGGUAGCUCAUGAGCGGAUAGCUCACUGGGUGGGACACGAGCGGGGUAGCUCCUCACCUAUUGGAUUGGGACGUGAGUUCGGCGAAGAGCGGGGUAGCUCUUCACCUAUGAGAUUUGAGACUGGAGUUAGGGCGAGGAGCGGCGUAGCUCUUCACCUAUAGCAUUCGAGAAGCGAGUCGAUCGAAGAGCGGGGUAGCUCUUCACCUUCGAGAUUGGAGAUGUGAGUUGAAGGCGAACCUUCAGGUUAGCCAAGUGAUUGGGUGACAAACAUAUGAGUUGUAGUUGAAUCCCAAUAGAGUGGAUUUGGUUUCCUAGUUGAGUGGAUUUAAGGCUGAGGUGUAAGUGAGAUGUCCUUUGCCUCGAGCCUGACUUUGCGCGGUAUUCCGCGAAUGAUUGACUCAAGACUGAGUCGGGUGGAUAGUAUUGUAAAAGUAGAUAAAACCUUAUGAGCAGAAUUGUCAAUGACAUGAAUCUAAGAUUGGGGAAACCUUAGAGGUCAGUUGGAUGAGCUAUGGAUAGCGGAAUAAAAGUAGAAUCGGGUGAUCUACUUAGUUAAUUGCAUUGCAUGGUUGCAUGAUUGCUUAUAGCAUGUUGCGAGGCAUGAAUAUGAUGAUUAUUAGUUGCAUAUAUUUAUAUCUGUGGAUAUUUGUUGGACUAACAUAUUUGCAGUGCCUCCUUGGACUUGGUGGGUCGAGCUUUUUCCUUGGGUGGCAGUACCCACUGGGAACCAUGGACAAUAAUUCUCACUCCCGUGUUGUUUUUGGGAGUACAGGUUCACACCUGAGUGGCACGGCGGCGCGAGGAGAGGGCGUAGCUCCGUAGAUAGCGCCCUAUCACCGAGACCAGAAAUAGCGGUACCCAGAAGUGGUCUAGCUUAGGGAUUGUAAAAAGGAAAUAAAACAAUGUUGUAAUAAUGAUGAUUGUAUUCGGAAGAAAAUGUAAAUGCAUAACAUGGGAUGAAUGCUUGUAAUAGCUUAGUUGUAUUAUGUUUUUGAUACUUCCUUAUGCAAUCUAUGAUUGAUUUCUGUUCUUGGUUGGAACAUCGUGAAUUGUAUUGAUUGCGACGCGUAGGAUGUACAGAAAAAACUCUGUCCGUUCGGCGGUCUGUUCGAUGUACCCAAACUCGACCAAAUAGGGGGGGCUCGGGGCAUGACAAGGGCUCCUAAACCAUACCUCCUCCGGAGUUUUGCAAUUAAGUGCUGAAUAUGGAGAUCGAUUCACCAAAUAGCAUGAUGGUUGCUACAUGCUGAAUUGGAAAUUGACUUAGAAGAAAAUAUAUACAUUGAACUUGUCAUCUACUUAAUCGGAUUUUAACAUUAGGAGCUGUUUUUUACUUUUGUAUCACUGCUAUUAGUGCGUCGCGGAUAUUUAGAUUGGUGUAGAUUGAGAUUACACUCGUGCUGAGAUGCCAACUGAAUUUUUAUAGUAUAGUUUAGGUUGCUCCAUAUUGUCGGGUGUCGUCUGGAUUGAUGGUGGAUCUAGAUCCUUACUUUUUGCAUCAAAUCGUGACGAGGGCACGCGAGCUUUGGUUUCCGUAUCCGUUUUACCAUUUGCAUCGAUUAUAGCUUGUGCCAGCCUGAUUAAGCUCGAUAGAGACAUGCUUCUAUACUCGAUAGGGUCGCGCCCUCGAGUGCCGCUUCGGAGUUUGGCUUUCUUGCGUUGAUGUUGUAGAAGUCCCGUUUGGGUAUUUUACUUGGACCGACCACCCCUCUGGGUGGUGUGUAGUGUAGCUUAGGCACAGGCUGGACUAGUCAGUUGGUGGUCCCUUUGGAUUGGGUCAGUGGUGACUGUUCUCAGCUAGUGAUGCAUAUGUACACAGAGAGCAUGACAUGAGUAGUGGUGGUGUAGUGGCAUAUUAGCUGUAUGUUAUUUUAGUUUGCCAUAUUGUUCUUUUACCUACCAGCUAUAUUGUUAUUCUCAUGGACUUAGUGGGUAGGCCGUUGGGAUCAGUGAUGGUACCCACUGAGGGCUACUUGUUUUACAGUAGUUCUCAUACCCAUUGUUACCAUUUUCUUGCAAAGCCAUCAGUUGCCGAUGCUACUUCUAAUCAAGGUAAGGGAGUCGUGAGUUAGAUCUCUGUCUACACCGGUCGUUGAGCUAGAGGAGUACCCCUUUCUGGAGAUAGUUCUUUUGUAUAGUCGUAGAUACAAUUGUACUUAUUUUAUGGAGCGAAGUUGUGAGGUGAUGAUGAUAUAUUUGGUUUAUUUUAUACACCUUGGAUUACAUGUAUGUACAGGUGACUAUCUAUUACUAUUUAUUAGCUCUGUUAAUAUCUCGUAGUAGUUCUUGUACUAUUUACAAGUUUUUCUAUCGCUUCAUCUACACAGGGUUUUUUGUGUAUGCGGCGGCGGAUCCUUUGCCAUACCCCGGAUUGAGCCUGAACCUGAGGCAUGACAAAAGGUGUUUGAAGCAAAAGACCAAAAGCACAAAGGCACAGCAUAAAAGAUGUUGUCAGCUUGAGGAGGAGUCCUCGAUAGUUGAAUGGCGUCGAAAAUCUCAAUGGCAUGCCAUAAGUCAGCGAAGGACACUUUGACUCGAUCUAGCCAAGCUAGGUAUGCCUCUGAGAUGGUGGGUCCGGUGCGAAGGCUCUUUUAUAGUGAUCUCGAGGAAGAUUAGGAGUGGAGACAAAUAAUGUUCGCCAUUAAAGGAAGCCCUUAUGCUAAGAAAGUAAAAACGUUUUGACAGGGGGCCCUACAAAGGAAUGGCCGAGGACGAAGCGGGAAGGGUCAGACACAGAUGACUUCAACCGGUGGGAGUCAGUAUUAGAAAAUAAAGAAAAAGGAGGAAUUCGAGCCAUUGGAGAAAGAGGCUGUAGAGAAAAGGAGUCGAGAAAAAAGAUGAGAAGGCGACUUGGAGGAGACGAUGUGGUGCCGUCGGAGGGAAUUUUGAAAAGGUUUUGACGAUAAUAGCAAUAUUUAAUGCGCUAUUUAAUGCCAUGGGUAAGACAAAAGGGCAUAAAAAAUCAUAGCCAUCAAAGAAGGAAAUCAAGGACGAAAUAAUUAAAAGGCGUGGCCAAUCGAGGCCGCCGAGAAGAGAAAUGAUAUGACCGAAAAGGACAAUAAAUCUCAACCUUAAUCUAGGGGCGUCUGAUCUCAGCUGUUAAUUAAGUAACAUCAGUCACCCGUAAAUACCUAUUUGGAGACUGCCAGGGAGGCAUUGUUGGUGCCGAAAAAAAUAGUGCCACAUGGUAAGCGGUUCGGUCUAUGUAAUCAGACAGCAUAGACAGCAUGGAAAAAAAUAGAAGGUGACAUGUGGUGCACCAGAAAAAGUGAUUUAGGCGGGAAUGGUUGGAGAUGUGGAAAGAGAGUUCCAUGCCAGCAAAUUAUCAACCGAGGCACACCCAGAAGAAAUAGGAAUGUGGCCGAAGAAAACUCCAUGAUAAGAAUUACCCAAUAUCUGCAUAUGGGAGAAUAUUGCUACUAUAAAUAGGAAAAAGCACGCCUAGAAUAGGAGUCCUGCACAUGAGCAUGGGCCACAGCAAAUUUCAAUUUCUUUUCAAUUCCCAACAUUUACGACUUUUUAGGAGCAGUCCGCAAAUUUGCCUUUUCCUUUUUCUAUUUGUAAGAGCUUAGUUAAUUGUUUGCUAAGAGCUAUUGUAGGAGUAGAUUUAGUUCCUAUAACAGCUUUUGUAAUCGCCCUUCUUUAGUUAAUAGAAAUAGUUUCGCUCUUUCAACUGAGCUCGCCUUUCGGUUCAUUGGUCAAUAGUUAGUGGAAGAAUCUAGUCGGGCUAAUCCCUCCUCAACUGAAUCGUGUGACUUAGUAGUGGCACAUUCGAGGGUCAUUUCAGGAGUCGAUUCGCACCCCGAGGAAGUGUCUGACCUGGUCGAUCCAUUGAUUCGGUCAAUGUCACCCCGCUAGCCCAACACAAAUAAAUCCAACACUUGUUAUUUGCAAAGCCUAAGCCGCUCUUUGCAAGCUAGGCUCGAGCAUCCGAACCCAUCAUAGCUAUGUCUGGUCCAAAAUCUGGAUGCCCAGUGGGUCCGUCUAUUUCACAAUCCAAGCGGUCGAAACGAGAAUCGAGCGUCCAAUUGUUAAAUUCGUCAUGCGAGGGGUGCUCUUGAGUUAAGCAUCUGAAUGGUGUAAUGGGUGCCCAUGAGAGACCAUUCAAAAGGUGUUCUAGAGAAUUCGGGCAUUCGAAUGCCUAUACUGCAUGAUCCAACUCUUUGGUUGAGGAUCCAGAAGCUUUCCAGAUGCCCUCAAGUGAGGUCCGAAAACAUUUAGGCACCAUAGGACAAUCCGGGCACUCAAAAGUAGGCUUCCAAGAACCUUUGCUCUUAAUUUAGAUGAGCAUUCGAAGGAAUCUAGGUGCUGUAAUGGACACUCCGAAACUAUUUCGGGUACUCGAAAUUCUAUUCCGGGUGGCUGAAAAGGUCUGGAGUACUGAAACCAUUUCGGGACUCUAUUUUGAUUCGAAUUGUUUUCAAUUCGAUCCAAACUUGGUCUAAAUCUUUCUAAACUCAUUUUAUUCAUGUCUAACAUGACUUAAUCGGCACUUUGUCAUUUUACCCAAAGUGCGAUAUAUUAUAACAAACUUGCAAUGACAAUAAUCACCCAAGAAAAUGUAUCAGUGGCCGCUACUGUCGUAUCAUUAUAGUAUUAGAGAAGAAUGGAUUGGAAACGUUUUUUUUUUUUUACUUUUGAAAAUAUAAAAUGGACACUGUUAGCUAUCAUGCUACCAAACUAAGCCUAUAAAAACAAGCAAUUUCUUCACUACCAAAAUCUAAAAUAUCGUGUGAAAGAUGAAACUUUCUUGGACUAAAUAUCCACAAAAAAACACAAACCAUUUUAAUGGAGCCCUAUUCCUUAAUAAACAUUUUAACUCCCAUACAAAAGCGAAUAUAUUCUUUCUUAGGGUUCAAGCAAUUUCUUCACUACCAAAAUCUAAACUAUCGUGUGAAAGAUGAAACGUUCUUGGACUAAAUAUCCACGAAGAAACACAAACCAUUUUAAUGGAGCCCUAUUCCUUAAUAAACAUUUUAACUCCCAUAAGAAAGCGAAUAUAUUCUUUCUUAGGGUGUGUUUGGUUGAGCAUAAAAUACACCGAAAAUUACUUUUCGUCUUGAAAUUUUUUUUUUUUUUGUGUUUGUUUAGCCAUAAAUUUUUUUUUUUUUCAGAAAACUAUUUUUAUGGAUUUGAAAAACAUGGAGUGUUUUCGUUUUCCACCGAUUUUCGACAGAAAAAGAAACUCAAGCCACAUUAAAUUUUUUUUAUUCCUUUUUUUCCACCGAACCAAACAAAUAUAAAUUUUUUUCUUUCUACCAAACAAAUGUUGAUGGAAAAUUAUAUUUUUUUUCUUACAAACCAAAAACUACAAAACAUAAAUUUCACUUCCACUAUUUUUUUUUUGAUGAAAAUAUUUUUCACGAUUUUACGUAACCUAAUAUCCCCUAGCUUCAAAAGAGAGGGAGAGAAAGAGAGAAUUAUAUAUAUUGUUCCUUUUAUGGUGCUAGCUAUUUAAAGCUCCCUAAAAUGGUGCUGUUUUUUCUUUUUAAUGAAAUUUAGACAUAAUUUGAUUAAUUCUAGUAUUGUUUAAUACAAUAUUUAUUUAUUAAUUGGUUUAUAAUACCACAUCUUAGUGGAGAGGGAUAAAAUGAUUUUCAGUUGUAAAUGUUAACUUUCGUUGUUUGAUUACCGUAAAUAAAAUACGGCCAUAAAUUUUCUAGAAUAUCAUAAAUGACUACACUGGUGCUUGGAUGAAUCGAUUACGAGAGAAAAAGAGAAACAAAUAAAAGUAAAAAUAAAAAAUAAACUUAUGCGACUUGUUUCACUCUCUUGGGUAUGGAAAAUUUUGAUAAACCAAAUAAAAGAGUUGGAGAACUUUAGUGCCAAAGUUAUUAAUUAAUUUUUUAUCAAACAAGUAUUGGUGAAAAAUAAUUUAAUCUAAACUUUUAUUCAAUUGGAAGUCACUUUUAAUUGAAAAAGGAUAUAGAGGCUAGUUUGGCCAGUUUGGGCAUUAGAAGCUACUUUGACUUUUUUUUUAAAUCUCAUUAUAACGGCGAUAUUUUUUUUUAAAAUAUUACUUUUCAUUUCUAUGAUAAAUACAGUAUCAAAUAGGAGAAUCAAAAUACCCAAAACCAAGAAAUUCUUAAUAAAGCAUAUAGUUUUUCAGUAUACAAAAUGCAACAUAAAAAAAAAUUAUAUAUAAUUUUUUCAAGGUUUCCAAACAUGCUCGUAGGGUGUGUUUGGUUUGGAUUACUCCGUCAGGAUUAUAGAUAAUCCUGUCAGGCUUACUACGUUUAGUUUAUUCAAUCUGUAGUCGGCAAUAUGGUAUUACAAAUGGUGUAGAAUUAUUCUGAAAAUAUUAUCGAGUUGGGGCUUGGGUACGUAUCUCGUAUUACUGAUAGCGGAUUAUCUUCCAUGUUAUGUAAAAUUAUAAAUUUACCCCUCCCCCUAAACUCUUUAAAUACAUCAUUUUUUAAAUUUAAAUUUAAAUUUCAGUGAUUUACUUGAGUGGAUUUGCUUGUCGAGAUGAUUUGCGGCCAUAGCAUUAUUCACUAAAGAUGGUUUAAACCGCCCCUAUAGAAUUCUAGUAACUUCAAGACUUUAGUUUUUCCACUAUUCAACAUUGUGGUAAUGUUAUUUUAAGACACAACUAAACUAUAUUUUUUGUCAACAAAUACACUAUAAAUAAUAAAUUUACAAUUUUAGAUGAAAUCAACUACCUCCGUUCAAAAACACUGAUUUAAGGUAGUGAAGUAUAUGUUGUUGGUCCAUUUUGAUAAAAAUAUAGUAACUUCAAGACUUUAGUUUUUCCACUAUUCAACAUUGUGGUAAUGUUAUUUUAAGACACUUUUUAUUUAUAUUUUUUGUCAACAAAUACACUAUAAAUAAUAAAUUUACAAUUUUAGAUGAAAUCAACUACCUCCGUUCAAAAACACUGAUUUAAGGUAGUGAAGUAUAUGUUGUUGGUCCAUUUUGAUAAAAAUAUAAAUAAAAAAAAGAUACAGCAGAAAAAAAGAAAAAGUUGAGAACAACUCGAUAGAAGCUUUCGUUGAAUUUAAUUAUCUUAGAGUUAUUAACUUAUGUCCAAAAUAAUAGAUUUACUAAUAAUACAGAGGCUUGCUAGUGAGAAAGUGAUAAUCUAGUAUUGUCUUUAAUAAAAUAAAUAUAAAUAAAUUUGCAAAUUCAAGGUAGAGAUUGAUAAGAAAAUGGCAGUCUAAUAAUGUCCUUAAAAAAAAUAGUACAAUGUUAAAAAUAAAAAUAAAACUAAAGUAAAAUUUAUAUAGUAGGGCUUAGCUAAGCCAAAAUUCAAAUGUAUAGAACAUUAGUUUUAUAGCCAAACUAACUCAAAAGCAGUAAGUAAAACUGUCUCUAGGUAUAUAUUCUCAUGUGGAGGCAAUUAAAAUGCCUCUAAAAGAGGACAAUAAGAUAAAGUAAUCAUCUCUAUAUUAAAAUGGUUUCCCAGCAAAACCUUGGUCAUCUAUUCCUAAUUUAGGCCAAACUAUGCAUUUGGAACUUUGUAUCUUGUGAUUCCCUACAAUUAGAAAGGAUCUCAAUUAGUUUAGUUGGAUCCAUCACCCAGAAUAAGAUUAGCAAUUUGCUUGGUGAUUGCUAAGAUUGUUUCUGAAUCAUUUUCUAGCUGAUCAACUAUUUAGGUAAUUGGGUAUCAGCAUCAUCAAUCCUAAGUUCAUUCUUUCAUUGAUCUGAUCUUUAUUAUUUACGCAUGUAAGUGGCGGUGUCAAGAAUACCUUAAUUUAAAGAAAAAUUACUACAGAAAAAUUGAAUAUAUAGCUGAGUUGAGCUUUUAGCCACCGGAUCUACUAAUAUAAUAUAAUAGGAGGUACCUGAGAGGUUUAAUAGAAGAUUUACUAGUGCUUCUGUGAAUAGCUAGUUCUAGACAAAUUAAUGUUUACGGUCAUUGGUACCCUUAGGUAGUGUUUGGCUGAACAAUUAAAAUUUCAAAGAUUUAGAUAAAUGUUUUCUAUUGCACAUGCUCUCUCUCUCUCUCUCUCUCUCUCUUUUGUAGCAUACAACCUAUUUCGUUCAUUUUCAAACGAUGUUUACAAAACUGGGUUAAAUAGUAAUCCAAAAAUAUUACUGGAUAAAGCGUCAUUGAUUCAACUAGUGUCAACCAAUGGUUAAACAAAUGACAUCAGCACGUCAUCAUAAUUAUUUAAUAUUAUUUUUAAUUUUAGUAUAUAGAGAAAUAUAUUCUAGCAUCAUACUUACUAAUUUCUAAAACAAAUUAAAUAGAUAUAAGUUUCCAAAUUUUACUUUUUAUAAGAUAUAUCUAUGCUAGUAGAAAAUAAAAUCAGUUAUAAGUUGAUUUAAGGUCGUUGGAUUUAAUAUGACCUGAUACAAAAAAAUUCAACCGGUUUUAAUUUAAGGACCAGUUCACUAGUUUGAUAGUUGAAUUUGUCAAUCACAGUUGAAUCUCAAUUUCUAGAAAUAUUUAAUAAUAUGCUUAACCCUUCAUUUUAAAUUGUACAAAAUAAAAUUUUCACACAAUCAAAAUAUUUUUCUAAAUUGUCUUACGAAAACUAACGGGUGUCCGGUCACUUAUCUUAACGCAGCUUGAAAUAGGUUGAUAUGAUCCAUUGGUGUAGCACUUUGCCCCGUAUAGUACUUAGCUCUCACACUUUCAUCUAGUAUUCGGCUCUCAUACGAAUUGUAACUAUCCAACUCGCCAGCAAUAAUAACUUGUUGGACUCAAACCAUCGGCCCAAAAUGCUUAAAGCCUAGUUAUUAUUACUAGCGUGCGAGGUCUCAUAUAAACUGAUCAAAUUCAGUAUACCAUCCGAUGUGAGACUGUUGGAGGCGUUACAAACUCUCCCUGUUUAGAUCCUGACAUCCUUGUCGGGUCCAAAUCAGAUCACAGAUGCAAAUCAGAAUUAUCAGAUGAUGUGAGAUUCUAGAGGUGGCUCUUACUGGUUCAAGAGGUGGCUCCCACUAAAUUCGUUGGUGUAGCAUUUUGCCCUGUAUAAUACUUAGCUUUCACACUUCCGGCUAGUAUUCGGCUCUGAUACCAAUUGUAACUACCCGACCCGCCAGCAAUAAUAACUCGUUGGGCCCAAACCACCAACCCAAAAUGCUUAAAGCUCAGUUAUAUAUUAUCACCAACGUGCUAGGCCUCAUAUAAACUGAUCAGAUUCAGUAUCCCAUCCGAUGUGGGACUGUUGGGGGCGUUACAGAACGCCUCAUGGGCGAGAGAAACACAACGAAUUAGACCCACUAAUCAUCGUGGCUGCUCACGCUUCGCCAGAUAUGGAGGUGAUGGUAGUAGAGGAGGGAUCAGAUUUCUGGUCGAGAAUGCUUUUGAAGCAUGUUCGCGACCAGUGUGGCCGUCAGCGACGAGGUGUUGACGGUAGUGAGAAGAAAAAAUUUGAUCCACGAUGAAUGUCCACUAUUUAUUUAAAAGUUACAUUAUUCAAAUAUAUAUUGUUCUAUUUAGUAAAAAAGUUACACUAUUUUACUGUUUAAUAUACAUAUAAAAGAGUAUAAUUUUUUUGCUAAAUAAUAUAAUAUAUAUUUAAAUAAUACAAUUUUUUAAUAAAUAUUGCAAUAUCAUAUUGCCGACUUGAUUUUUCUCCUUUAUUACUGCCAUCGCUUCGUCAAUAGAAGCACGAUCACGAACGAGCACCUGAACCUACAUGAGGAUCCCUCUCAUCUUUACCACGGCGACCUCACCCGCCGAUAACGGUCACGGCUACAGUCACGAGCAAGUCAAGCUUCGUUAUCGUUCUUUCCCUCAUGUGCGAGACAGAGGAGAAGCACGGCGGCAACAUUGGAACGCCACAGGAGAAGUGAGAGGAAGUAAGAGUAAAAAUAGAGCAAGAAGAGAAAGAAUAAAGAUAUUUUGAUUAUUCAAAAAAAUUUGAGUUAAAUCUGUACCAAAAAAAGGUGGCCGACUGUAACAAAAUUGCAAAAUCAGUAAAUUUAUUAUACAAAAGGACCUGAAAUUCUAACAUAACUGAAUAAAUUACUCUAAUAGUACAAAAUUAGUUAAAGAAACAAGCCGAUAAGAAACAAAAUUAAGGGGCUGGUAGCCUAGCCAAGGGAUUGUCCUUAGAUUUUUAUCUUCAGAUAGAAAGAGCUAGUCGGCAUUCUUUACGUAUGAUGUGUAAUAGGCAAUCCUUCAUACAUAUUUUUUAUUAAAAAUAUUUAAAUCGGCAUCUUCCACCAUUGAAGUCUGUUUGUGACGGCAACGAGAUGGUGGCAAUAGUGAGAGAAACAAAUUUGAUCGACAACAGAUAUUGCAUUAUUUGUUAAAAAGUUAUAGUAUUCAAACUUUUAUUACACUAUAUAUUUAGUCAAAAAGUUGCAUUAAUUUUAGUUUAAUAUAUGCAUCAAAUAGUAUAAUUUUCUUGUUAAAUAAUACAACAUAUGUUCAAAUAAUGUAACGUUUUAAUAAAUAGUGCAAUAUUUCUUCGUUGACUAGAUUUUGCUCCUUUACUAUUGCCAUCGCUUCAUUGGUGGCGGCCACGAUCGCGUACCCGCACCUAAACCUACUUUAGGGGAUCCUGGACCAGUGAUCAUCGCCUUCCUCUAUUGGAACCUUCAUCUCCUUUUCGACGAUGCUCCGAGUAGUCCCACCCUUGUUUUUACCAUGGUGACCUCGUUAGAGAACGCCGAUAACGAUGAUGGCUGCAGCCACGAGCAAGUCAGCUUCGUAAUCAUCCUUUCCCUCGUGCGUGAGAUAGGGGAGGAGCGCGGCAGCAACAUUGGGACUGCAGAGGAGUGAGAGAAAGUGGAAGGAAAAAAAGAGCAAUAAGAGAGAGAAUAAGAGUAUUUUAAUUAUUUAAAAAAAUUUCGGGUUGAACCUACACACAAAAAAAAUAUUAGCCCACUGUUAUAAUAUUGUUAAAUCAGCAAAUUUUUUAUUAAACAAGAAUUAAAAUUUCUAACCUAACUAAAUAAAUUACUCUCGUACAAAAUUAGUUAAUGAAAUGUGCCGAUAAACUACAAAAUAAAGGAAUUUGAUUGUCCAGCCAAGGGAGUGUCCCUAGAUUAUUUAUUUUUUUUGGGAGAUAGGUAAUUAACAUGCUACCCGCUUCAUUUAUUUUAUUUUGAAAUAAACUUAACUGGUAAUGUGAAUCAACUAGGAUUCGAAUUUGGGACCUCGGACACCAACCACCAAACCUGUUGCCACUUGCACUAGGGGCGGUCAGUAGUGUCCCUAGAUUUUUAUCUCCAGAAAGAACUAGCAGACAUUCUUUACAUACAAUGUGUAAUAUAGAUGUCAGCAACCCUCCGUACAUAUUUUUUAUUAAAAAUAUUUAAAUCGUCAUCCUGCAGUUAAAGUUGGAAAAUUUACAGUUAUCAUAAAUUUUCAGCUAGUAGAAAUAUUAGAAUUUCUGAGAUUUCAUAUUCGCAGUUUAGUUGUUUUAUAUUUCUAAAUAAUUUAUUUUUAAAGGAAAAAAUAAAGUGGAUAGCUUUGCUCGCUCUCUUUCUCUCUCUCUCUCUCUCUCUCUCUCUCUAAAUUCUGAUAAUUUUGGUACUUAAUGGGAUGUGAUAUGUGAUAUUGUUAGAUUAAUUAUUAACUAGUGUAGUAAUUCGUGCGAUGCGACAGAUAAAUAAGUAGAGAAAAAAUAAAAAACAGCAACAAAAAAAGAGAAAACUACGAUAAAAGAAGUGACGAUAAGGGGAGGAAUUCAUCUUGUUGAUAAAGGAAGGUAAGAGCCGAAGGAAGUGGAAGAGGAAUAGUUCGGCUCAAUGUAGAGGUAUGAUCCAGUUCGAUUCAAUCACAAAAAAAAAAAUCCGAUUUGGUUCAAGAAAGAAAGAGAAAACUAUGUUGAGGGCUUAAGUCGAUUUGAGAGAGGCCACACUCAAUAAUUAUUUAUUUGGUUUAAGCAAAGAAAGAGAAAAAAUCAGUUUGGUUCAAGUAAAAAAAGAGAAAAAUAUGUUGAACACUUGAGCCGGUUCGGGAUGGACCCCACACCAAACAAUGAAGGAAACGUUGUCAUACAGCAAAUUUAUGAAGAAUAAUGUAUAGAUAUAGAUAGAUAAUAUAUAAAGCUCCUAAUGACCUUCCAGCUCAAGUGGUAUUGUUAGUUAGUAACAAAUUUGCAAUUUCAAAUAGGGUUAAAUUAACGCACCAUAUAACCGCGCGCCCAACGUUUCGAUCACCUGUUUAUAGAUAACCACAUACAUUUUAGAAAUUUUAUAUUUGGUACCUAAAAUAUUAAAAUUUUACAAUUGAUUAUCUUGACUUACAUUUUAACAAUUUAGUGCAACUCACAUUAGCCGAAUAAUUGCAGAACAAUAAUAAGCGCAUGUCGGGAAUAUAGAACAGUCUUUUUAAUGUCAAAAUUCAUCCUUACAAGAAUGCAAUAAUUAUGGCCAUCACAAAUGUAAUUUUUGGCCUUAAGAGAGCUCUCUGAUUUGCCGACAUGCUUUCUCUACUGUUUCUUUAUCAAUUAGCUUAAUACUAAUCACUUCAAAUUUUAAUGAAAAGUUUAGAUAGUUAAUUACAAAAGUUUGAAAGUUUUGGUAUGAUUUUUAUUCUUUUUUCCCUCAAAAAAUGCUACAUUUACAGACAUUUUACACCGCAUCAAACUUUCAAGAGUUUAAAAACUCCUUUCAGAGUUUUAGUAUUUAAAACAAAGGAUUAAUAAGACAACUGAAUAAAUUUGGAUCUCUAAGAGACUAAAAUAUAAGAAUUAUGCUACUAUAUUAUCGAUAAUACCAAGCACUUGAUGCUAUCGAGUUUUGGGUCGUUGGAUAAAAGGAUGCGCGACUAAAAUUAUAAUGGUCCCCUAGCUAGGGUUGAGUGGGCGGUUGGUUGAAAAGAAUAAUCUGAUGGGUGAACAUGAUCAAAUUAAGAGUAGAUCUAACAGUAAAAAACUCGAUAAUACCAAGAGCUUGGUACUAUCGAUAAUAUAGUAGCCGGACUAAAAAUAUUAACUUAUAUCAAAUUAGAUUAUAGAUCUACAAAAUUUUAUAAUUAUUUUUAUGUCAUGAAAAUAUCCGUACAAAGGAGAUGGAAAAUGAACAUGCAACCUUUCUUACCAACCCUAUAAUGCCUCCAAUACCCAUUUGGUACGGUGUCACCUUGUUGAUGCCAAAAAUUAGCGCGCCAUAAGAUAGACGGACUGCCCGCACGCACGAGCCAAAAUAAUAAGGACACAUACGUGGUACACCAUGAGCCGACAACAAUCCGUCCGAAGGUAGAGAAAUAUUAGGCUGGAACAGUUGAGAAGGAGGCGUAAUAUGUGCAAUCAUGGCUAUAGCACUACCUCCCCUAUUAAAACCGAUCAAUAUGUGGGUUGAUAAGAUAUUACUAUAAAUAAUAAUUUUGAAGCCUGUAUUAGAUGUCUCUCUCCCCUAUGAACGAAAAACCAUUGCAUUUUCAACACUUCUAAUUUCAGCAUUUACAGUUUUUCUAACAGUAGUUUACUUGCAAUUUUUACUCUUUCAACAUUUACAGCUUUUUCUAGAAGUAGCCUUAAUCCAACUUGUAACCUAAGCUUCCCCACGAUACAACGAACUUGGUUCAUUCGACCGAGUUCUCGAAUACUCGAAUACUCUUUUCCUGAAUCUUCGGCUUUAAUAAGUGAAGUGAGAUAGGAUUCGGUUGAGCGAAUCCCUCCUCAACCAAAUUGCUUGAUUUGAUCUUGGCGCAUUCGAGGGUCAAUUCAUGAGCUGAUCUAGAUCUUGAGGAAACUUCUAAUCCGGUCAAUAGUGUGACUCGGUCAACAUCACCUCGCAUCCAGUUUUUGCCUUAACAAUUUUGCCACACUCGAUGGAACUCUCAGGUAUUAGUCUUUUUAUAGAUAUGAUGAUUGAUGAGAACCCUCUUAACCUUCGAAAGAGAGCUGAUCCCAGGUCUUCUGGGAACGAACCAGUUAUAGAUACCGAAGAUUUGAGUGAAAUUCAAACGACACUAGCUGAAAGUUUUAGUCGUUCUGCUCCUCAAGAGUCGAACCUAGUUCAAACUCUCGCUCAAAUGACAUGAGUAUCACAAAACUUUGACCAAAACAAUUAGUAAAGUACGCCUCAUUUUGUCACGUCCCGAAUUACCACGUUUUCCCGGGCGCGCCCACAGACCCGCCGUAUACAUAGAAAUUUUCAAGGUAUACGAAGCGAUAGCUGUACCUGUAAUCAAAUCAUAGCUACAACCGGAAGUAUAGACCUGCUAAACUGAAACAUUUAUAUAUAAAACAUAAGGUUCAUAAUACAUACAAAAGCUCUAGACCAACACUAACACCUCGCUCCAGCGAGUAAACCGAACAUAGAGUAUGUACAUGAACAAAACCCACUAUCUCUGACGGGUACUCCGCUAGCACAGCAACCAAGGGUAGGAAGAAUCUAGCUCGCAACUUCCUUUCCACGGUUAGAAUCAGCAAUAGCAGCAGCCGCACGCGCAGGCUCUGCAAAAGAGGGGCAACAACUGGAUGUGAGAACUACUGCAAAACAAAGUAGUCCUCAAUGGGUACCGCCACCGACCUCAACGGCUCACCAACUAAGUCUACAGAAAUAUGUGCAAUGGAUAGUAAGGAAAGCUGGAGAGGAAUCUACAGCUACAUGCCACUAUACUAUCGCUAACCAACACUAUCUAUCUGUAGAUAUGAAAAUGCAUCACACUGACCCAAUCUCACAAGGGAUUGCAAUACGCCCGUCCCGCUUGUCUAAACUACACCGUACACCGCCCCGAGAGUGGCCGAUGGAGAGCAUGUCCAAACCGGACUACUACGACAUCAAAGCAAAGCAAGGUAGCCAGACUCCGGAGCGGCACUCGUGGGCGCGAUCCAACCGAGUAUGCAAGCGUGUCUCUGCCGAGCUCAAUCAGGCUCUCACAGGCUGUAGUCAAUACAAAAGGGUCUAACUGGUCUAACAACCAAAGCUCACGUACCUUAGACACAAUUUGAUGCAAAUCUGGGUCCACCGUCAACCACGACGACACCCGAUAGUACAAAACAGUCUAUACACAACUGUACAAUGAGCUCGGCCUCCGAGCACGAGCGUAAACUCAUCCUACAUAAUCUGAGUAUCCACCUUGCACUAACAGCGGUGAUACAAAAGUAUAGUAGCUCCCAAAACUAAAUCUGAUAACUUUUUAGAAAAUGACAGUGUAGGUUUACUGGUUUUCUCCUAAGUCAAUUCCAAGUUCAACAUAUAAAAAGGUUCUAAAAUUAAGGCUCCAAAUUCAGAUUCCAUAAAAGCUAUGCAAAUCGAUGAAUUGAGCUGCUAAAUAUGAUACUAAACAUAAAACAUACAUGCUGACAAAACUCAAACUUAGGAGGAAAUCCAACAAUUUCAGUAAACAUCAACCUAUCUCAAACGCUUGUCCAACGUCGGCUAGAAGUCGAUAGGUGGAAACCCACUCGCCCGACCUUCAACGGCACAACCGCGACACCCACGCGCCUGAACUGUAACAUACCAGAUUUUGGUAUAAAAAUAAAAGUAAAUAAAAAUAGGGUGAGAUACUAUUUUUAUUGGAUGUAGAGGAGUAAAAACAUAAGUCAGAACUGNUUUGGGGUUUUACAGGUUUGCACGUGAGCGGCGCGGCGGCGCGAGGCAAGGGCGUAGCUCCGUAGAUAGCGCCCUACCCAGAGACCAGAGAUAGUGGUACCCCGAGUAGGCAUAGCCUAGGGGUAGAGGGAAAUGAAAGAACAAGAUGUAUCAAAUGUGUAAUAAAUUGUAAUAACUCAGAUUGUAUGUUGGAGAGAAAAGUGUAAUUGUGAUGUAAGCAAAGUACUAAUGUGAAUGCUUGUAAUAACAUAGGAUGUGUUUAUGUUGUUGAUACCUUUCCAUAUGCAAUCUAUAUGUUGAUUUCUGUUCCUGGUUGGAACAUCGUGAAUUGUAUUGAUUGCGACGCCUAGGACGUACAGGGAAAACUCUGUCCGUUCGGCGGUUUGUCGGCGUGCCCGAAUCCGACCAAAUAGGCGGGUGUCGGGGCGUGACAUGAACGGUCAACCCGAGCAACGUCGAAGAUAAACGAGCUCGAUCCGCGACUCCCCGACGAAAGGUUCACACCAGCUAGAGAGAUAGAGGGAAAAGAGAAGAACCCUGCUCUCUAAAGCUCUCUACACAUAUAUAUAGGCUGGGUAAACAUAGGGUUGAACGACACAUCAAAAGGAACAAACUGCCCUUCACCAACUCACUUUCCAGAUGGAGUACCGGUACUCAGCUUGAAUAUCGGUACUCGGGCCCUCAGCCUGCAAUCUCACGCACUGGGUACCGGUAUCAGCCCGAUGUAGUACCGGUACCCGAGCUCGAUUCCGGUACUCGACAUCAGGUACCGGUACUCAACAUCGGAUAUACGCAAACCCGAGAGCAUCCAGUUCUGCAACCUAACAGGGUUACCGGUACUUCCCCCCCAGGUACCGGUACUCAACACUGAAAUCCUGCACUUUGUAGAUUUCAGUGUCGGAACUCCACUCUUGCGUCGCGCUGAGUUCGUUUUGUGUCCAUUUCGCACCAAAACGACUCUGACUUGUCACGACACUCUCCAGGCGUGUCGACAAGCCUCAGAUGCUGAAAUCACACAGGUAGCUAAACACCAGGGACACUACACGCUUAGAUGCGAUAUUGGCCGUGGUCACGACCUCAAAUGAGUGUAUAGCUCGGAUUAGGCAAAUAUUAGUCCGAAGCGAUCAAAUAGUUAGGGGACCUCAGGGCCCCCCAACUUUAAAUUAGCUGAGGGCCGAAUGCGUUUCAGGCAAACCCGCAAUUACAAACCAUGGCGACUCAAGUGUUGUUGCCACAGCAACGAGCAUUGCAAGUGGCCUAUCGGCCAUUGAAUGUUAACCCUGGACCUAUAACAGAGGUAGCUUGGGGGCUACCUCCUCCUCCGCCUCCUCUGCAAGUCUUUCUGCCACAAAAUGUAGGCUUAAGGGUUGGGGGGCAAGGCCCUAAUGGAGGACAACCUUAAACUCCCGUUGCACCAAAUGUUCAACCCACAGCUAGACAAGACAGGAAUCAAGCUCAAGCACCUAUUCUGGCGGUAGGAAACAAUGAGCUUAAUGCUCAAAUUAAGAAGGCUAUAAGAAAUACCUUAGUGUUGGAGCCAAGUCGGCUAUAUGGCCAGUGUUUAGAUCUCCAUACCCUUCAAAUAUGGAUGUGGAGCACCUGUAUCCGGCAAACUAGAAGACGCUGAAGUUCGACAAGUUCUUGGGAGAAGAGACCGAGAAUACUGUAGAACAUGUUGCUUGGUUCACAGCCCAGUGUGGAGAAAAGGACGCUGACCUAUUUUUGAAACUUCAUUUAUUUAAUACGUCAUUAACUAAGACAGCUUUUACAUGGUAUACAAACUUACCCGCCAAUUUCGUCCGAGACAGGGACGAGUUGGAGUGAAAGUUUCACGAACAAUUUUACAUAUCGGAAUCUAAAUUAUCAAUGGCCGAUUUAGCUUUAUAUCGACAAAAGUCGGGUGCAAUGGUCGAAAAGCAUUUGAACUGUUUCAAAAUGGCCAAAAACCGAUGUUUCGUGAGGAUGGCAAAAUCUGACUUAUGCCAAAAUGACAUUCAAUGUUCUGCAUUUUAAAAUAAAGGACUAUUUUGUAGAUAAGCAUUUUCCUAACCUAUUUGAUCUGGAUGUUCGAGUUGCCCAAUAUGAGUAAUUCUAGAAGGAAAAUGAGAAUGAUCGGCCGCAAUGGAGCAAAAAAAAAAUCAGAGAAGAGGCAAGGAGAAAUCCUUGAUAGAAGAGCAAUCGGUACAAGAAGAGCCGAGCCAAUAGAGUGAAAGUGAAGAAUCAGCUGAUGAGGCCGAAGUGAAUGCUGCUGAGAUGGUAAAGAGCCGACAACCAUAUAAAUAUGCUUUCUUUAAGCCGACCAAGACCAGCUAGACUAAAGCUCGGGUCUCGGCUGUCAUUCGGCCGUUAAUUUGGCAUCAAUAGUCAUCCGAAAGUCCAUUCGAAAGACUAUCGAGAGGGUACUGUUGAUGCCAAAAAUUAACGCGCCAUAACAUAGAUGGAUUGGCUCACGUACGAGCCAAAGAAAUAAGGACACAUGAUACACCAAGAGCCAAAAACAAUGCGCCUGAAGAUGGAGAGAUCUUAGGGGAGUAAUGGUUGAGAAGUGGGGUAUAACUUCCACGAUCAUGAUUACAGCGCUACCUCCACUACUAAAACCGACCAAUAUGUUGGUUGAUAAGAUAUUACUAUAGAUAGUAAUUUUCAAGCCUGUAAUACAGGUCUUUCUCCCCUAUAAAUGAGAAAACCACUACAUUUUCAAUACUUCUAAUAUCAGCAUUUAUAGCUUUUCUAGGAGCAGUUUACUUGUAAUAUUUACUCUUCCAGCAUUUACAGCUUUUCUUAAGAGUAGCCUUAAUUCUACUUGUAACCUAAGCUUCCCCACAAUGCAACAAACUCGGUUCAUUCAACUAAGUUUUCGAUCAGCCGAAUGCCCUCUUCCUGAGCCUUCGGCAUUAAUUAAUUAGCGAAAUGAGAUAGGAUCCGGUUGAGCCGAUCCCUCCUCAACUGAAUCGCUUGAUUUGAUCGUGGCGCAUUCGAGGGUCAAUUCAGGAGCCAAUCCAGAUCUCGAGGGAGCUUCUGAACCAGUUGACAGCAUGACCUGGUCAGCAUCGCCUCGCAUCCAGUUUUUGGCUCAACACACCUAAAGUUUUGUUUUAAUUAGGAGCGGCAAUCCAGCACACUGUUUACGAGCCAGCUCAUGUUGGGUUCGAAAUUAGCUUAAGAACGAAUUACUUAUUUAGUAAACGAGUCGAACAUAAGCUGGAUUCAGCUCGCUCGUGUUAGGCCCGAUAACAGCUAAAAUACAUAUAUUUUAUAUUUAUAUUUAUAUAUUUAUAUUUAUAUAUAUAAAUAAAUAAUUGUAUAUAUAUAAUACAGAUUUUUAUUAUUUAAUUUUUAAUUCAACCUAAAUAUAAAGUCCAACUCAAUUAUAAAAGACCCAUGCAUUUGCAUAGUUUCAAGCAUUAGAUCAAAAUCUAUUGGGUAAGAUUUCACUAAUUUAUUUUCUAUUUGUAUCAUUUCUUAUCCUUUUAACUUAUUGUUCGCGAGCCAGGUCGAGCCGAACAUGAACUGAAUUUGUCGUCUCGGUACUUUAACGAGCCAGCUCGUGUGUCCAGCUCGUUUAUAUAAUUUUAGUAUCUGAAUAAAAUAUUCAAUAAUAAUUUAUUUAAGACAAAAUAUUUUAUGUACAAUUAAAAGGUAAAAAUUGACUUUUUUUUACGCAAUAUUCUAACUGGAUCAACAGCGAACAAAAUUGUAGAAUCCAAGAAAAAGACUAAUAUUAAUUAAGACCAUAUAUAACUAUUUUUAAUCAGUCCGAUUUUUUUAAUAAUAAUAUAAAAUCAGAAGCUGCCGCAAAUCAAGUUACUUUACUGUAAAAAAAUGCUUAGAUUAAUUCGUCCGUUCAUAGAUUGAUGCGACAAAAACAUGAUCGGAUUCGCGAAUAAAAAAAAGAAGCCCAUGAUAAGACUGGAGAUAAUGUCACAUGUUCUGUCCAGGCGAUGUGGAUGCUUCAUCCUGCGGACUUCGCCGAAACAUUAAAUAUCUUUCCGAAGAUAAUGUGUGUAAUCUGCGAGUUUGACUUCCAUUGAAAGCUUGAGACAAUUCUAGAUCUCUCUUCAAUUCCCUAGUCGUUCUUCGGUAUUUCAUGAUGUGAUCCUUGCCUUAUGGUGCAAGAAAAACAUAGAUCUUUUUUCAAUGACUCCAAACUAGUCACUGAUCCAAGAGAGCACUUUCUUUUGUCUCUAAUGAUCUCUGGUUUCAUUGAUUACUUACUGUGUACUCAAGGAGAAGCAAAAUCAAGUUUUUUUUUUUUUUUUUCUUUCGGAUUUUUUUUUUGGAAUUAGUUCAAUUUAUUUAUCUAUCUAACAACUAUAAAGCUCCGGAAUAAAACAAGUUUGAUUAGGCUAAACUAGACGACCUUUUUUAUUUUGGCAGUCUUAUAAUAGCAAUUUCUGAAUUUGAAUUUUUUUCUUUUUUUUUGGCACUUAUUUAAGCUCAAGUUUUAGUCCAAUUACCGAACGUCCCUAGAGUAAGUGACACAGGGCUUGGUGGUUGGUAUCCGAGACCCAAGUUCGAAUCCUAAUUGAUUCACAUUUCCAGCUAAGUUUAUUUCUAAAUGAAAUAAACGAAGCGGGUAACGUGCUACCUAUCUCUCAAAAAAAAAAAAAAAAAGUUUUAGUACAAUUAGAAAUUUCGAACUUACAAAAAGGAUGACGGGAGAUAAUAUUAAAUAUAAUAUACUGAAAUACAAUCUUUUCUAGCAAUAUCUGAUAUUUCUAGAUUGCAUUUAUCUACAAUAGCACUAAUUUGGUGUAAAUUCAUACAAAAAUUAACCAGGGCUCCACAUGCACCCCUUAUUAGAUAUGAUGGAUGUAAAUUAUAUUUAUAUCUUUUUUUGAAAAAAAAAUAUAAUAAAAAAUACUUUUUUGAGAGAGAAAAAGAAAGCACAAAACCAACAACUUGUACACACUACAUACUGCUAAAUUUGUUGGAUUAUGCAAAAACAUGUUUCAAGUCAAUUUUACGAUCAAACGUCAAGUUUUUGAGAUUACUGGAUGUUGAGCUCCGUAGUCAAAUUGGUGGAUUCUGUAGCCCAAGCUAAUUUCUGAGCUCGUGCUGAAGUUUCGCAUAACCAGAAGGUGUUUUGGUUGGGCUUGCACUCCAGCUCUAGAGCCAAACUUUUGCUCUUGAGCCAGACAUCUGAAAAAACUUUCAGUUUCGAAGCCAACUGAUUUUUAUUUGAACCCCAAGGCCGUGGCAGACUUUCUAAGUUGGAUUCGACUCUAACUUGGUCUAAUCUUGUGCUAUAAGAGUCGGAAUGGAUAAGAAACAUCUUGAAUAUUGUUUUUAAUUGGAGAUCAACAAUUAGAAGUUAAUCAUAAACUGGGAUGAACGGUGGAGAUCGUUUCAAACUAGAAUUAGAAGUUUGGGAUUUUAAUCCCUUCUAACCGUUAUUUUUCAGAUAGAGCUUCAUUGUAACACCCUCAAGGAGAGAGGAAAACGUGAGAGAGAGUCUAAAGAGGUAUUCCUGCAACCAAUCUACUCGUAUUUUUUAUGUCGUGGAUUAAUCGAAGAACACAUUGAACAAGUCUUGUCGUGGACCUAGGUUGACACACUGUUGGUCGAACUAUGUAAAUUUUUUGUGUUCGAUGUUAUUACUGCUUUGUUCAUCCUUGUGCUUCUGUUUUUUAUUGUUCUCAUCUAUUUUCAUCAACAUACGAUUCGAUUUCCGUUGCACUCGUGUAUCGUAUGGGGUUGAAGUGUGCUUUUCUUGGCUGGUUCCUUCAAUUGGUAUCAGAGUGUUGGUUCUUUCUAAUUUGGUUGACUGUGAAAUAAUGGCUAAAAAUUUAUGGUGAUGAAGUAUGAGAUCCCUCGGUUUGAUGGAACUAAUUUCACAUUGUGGAAGUUGAAGAUACAAGCGAUCCGAUAAAAGAUGCUUGUAUGGUUGCGCUGCAAGGAAAGGAGAAUAAGCCCAAAGGGAUAAUAGAUAAGCAAUUUGAAUAGGGAGACGAUGAUUUUGGCAAACCAAUACUUGGCAUUGGAUGAUUCGGUCCUAUCACUACAACAAAAACGGUCUAUAGCGACACUUUUAAAUGUAGGUACAUGUCAAAAAAAGUGCUUCUAGCUAAGUGUUGCUAUAUGUGGGGUCGCUAGGUAUAUAGUGACAGUUAAAGAGUGUCGCUAUAACCUAAAAGAGUGCUGCUAAUUUACCAACACUUAUUUAAGCAUUUAGCAACUGCCGAAACUCUAUCUCGUUGGCUGCGGUGGCGGAGGAGGACGACAGUAAAGGCUCUUCGUCUAAAAUUUCAGUGGAUUGAGUAGAGAGAAAAGAAAAAAUGAUAAUUGAUUUUUCUUUUUUUUUUCUUUUUUAUUUGUAAUUGGGCCAAAUGGACUGUGUGUGAUCGGUUGAGUAGAGUAAUCUUUUAUUUUUAGUUGGAUUGGGCUUUAUAUUUAGGUAUUAGUAGAUGUGUUUUUAAGUUUUAGCAUAAAUAGGACACUUACUCAAAAGUGUCCCAAACAUGUGUCCCUAUAACCUAAUUCUGUUGUAGUGUAUUCAAUGUAGAGAAAGAGACUACUGCAAAAAGAUUCAGGCAAAAUUGAAGAAUCCCUCUGUUCAAAAGUCAUUGGUGAACAAAAAUUUCCUGGGGACAACAAUAAUACAAUCUAAAGAUUAAGGACGGAGCAUCGGUAUAAGAACAUAUAACUGCUUUCAACUCCAUUGUGAGAAAGCUCACAGCUCUUGAUGCAAGAAUCGAUAAAGAGGAAAAAGCAAGUAUUUACUUUGCUUAAUAUCCGAGUCUUGAAGUAACUUGAUUAUGAACUUGAGCAAUGUUGAAACCCUUAAGACGGAAUCAAUUGUGGUAUCAUUACUUACCAAGAAAAUGUUGUGCAAAUCUAGUCAAGAAAGCUCUUUAGGAGAAGCUAUGAUAGCACGAGAAAGACCUUUUCAGAGGAAGUAUGGUGAUCGAGAAAAAAGUCAAAGUCAAAGUCAAAAUCUAAGGGCGAGAAGAAAGUAAACUGCUGGAAUUGUGAAUAUCGGGGCACGUGAAGAAUGAUUGCCAGGUGAACAAAGAAGUUGGUGGUAAAUCCGAUUCAAGCAAAUUUCAAGAUAAUGUGGCUGAAGUGGAUGCUAAGUCAGCUACUUCGGAGAAUGAAAAUGCAUUGGCCGUAUUGAAUAAAUCUAAAAUUGUUUGUCACUGGAUCUCGGAUCCGAGCAUCGUUUCACAUGAAUCCUGAUAAGGAGAGGUUUCAUACUUAAUUACAAAUCAUAACAUGGUAGAGUUAACUAUUUAGGUGACAACACGACAUGUCCGGCGGUUGGAGUGGAAGAUAUCUAUAUAAAGAUAUUCGAUAGUAUUGUUCAGACAAUAUACUUACAAAUCAUGAGAUGAUUCAGUUUUCUAUUUGGAUGACAACAUGGCAUGUCCGGUAGUUGAAAUAGGAGAUGUUCGGAUCAAGAUGUUCAAUAGUGUUGUUCGGACAGUUUCUAAUAUUUGAUAUAUUCUCACACUUUGGAAAAGUUUUCUAUCACUUACUGGAAAGUUUUGCAAGUAAGAGUGAUUCAUCAAUAAAAAGGAUCACUUGAAGAAAUGCUAAGGGUGUUUGAUGUUGAUGAAGGGAGAGCAGGUAGUCAAUCUUUAUAGAUUGGUGGGUGAGACACAAGUAGGAGAGCUGAUUGUAGCAAGCACGAAAGUAGAGACUCUGAUGCUGUGGCAUCGUUGUUUGGGAUACAUGAGCUAGUAUGGGCUGUAGGUAAUUUCUCACUGUGAUCUUUUUUUCGAUUAUAGGUCUACACCAUUGGGUUUCUAUAUAGAUUGCACCUGUGAGAAGCAAAGAAGGUUGACGUUCCCUCUAAUGCAUCAAAGGAGUAAGAGUCAUCUUGAGUUAAUUUACUUGGAUACUUGAUGUGUCGUUAAGUAGGUGUUCUUACUUUAUCUCCUUCAUUAAUUAUUACUCUUGGAAUGUUUAGGUGUAUAUUUUGAAGUAGAAGUUCGAUAUGUUUGAGACUUUACGAAGUUCAAAGCUUUUGUGGAAAAUAAAAAAGGUUUGGAAAUCAAGUGCCUAUGUUUUGAUAACAGAGGAGAGUUUUGCUCAAGGGAAUUGAUAAGUUCUGUAUUGAACAUGUAGCACACUGGACCUUUGCAAAUUGCGAGGUUCGAGUGUUUGGACAGUGUCCUGAGCUUUUCCAGACUUUCUGGUGGGUUGUUGACAGUGUUCCGACCUAUGGCUCGUAUCCCGAGAAAUGUGGUUUAAAGCUGUGUACCAAAACCCGAAAAAUCGGAUUUUUGGCCAGCUCUCGAGUAGCCUUCAGAGGGUCUUGUACCGGUACAAGGUUGAUGGUUGUACCGGUACAGCCAUCGGACUUGUACCGGUACAGAGCUGCGGAACCCCCCAGACCCGAGCCUCGGGUUGAAGCAUUUCGUGGGGCUUGUACCGGGACAAGGGCCCGUGUACCGGUACAAGGUGGCAGAAUUUGAGCAGUUUGAACUGCAGGGGUGUUUUUGCGAUUGUGGGUCUCUUAUAACAGCACCCACGCCCCUCAGGGCCUUCCCUGAGCUGAGAACACAGGGAGACAAGGUUAGAGGAGCCCCAUCUUGCCCCUCUUUGGUUUUGAUCUCAUUUUGUUGGGUUUUAAUGAGAUUAAACUUCUCUUUUUGCUUAAUGGAGGUAUUUCCACCAUUGUUGAGGCUUGGAGCUUCGGUUUCGAGCUUGGUGGAGGGAAGAUCCUAGAAGUUUGAGGACUUUGGACUUGGAUUGAAGCUUCUAAGAGGUAAGUGGCAAGAUCCUUUCCUCUAGUUUUGGAUUUUGGAGUUUUCUUUGAGAUGAAACCCUAGAUUGAGAACUUAGGGUUUAUUUUGGGCGUUUCGAAUCUAGGGCUUUUGGAGCUAGAUUCUUUGGAUUAGAAUCGUCCUUUGGGUUGGAUUGGAAGGAUUCUAGCCCUCUUUAGGUGCUUGAGGGAGAUUUUCUACACAUUAGGUGAGUUUUAGCCCUUUUGCCUUGUUGGUUAAUGUUUGAUCUUAUAGUUGAUCGUAAUGCCCGUGUAUCUCUUCGCUCAAUACUUUUAGGGUAUUUUGAGACUCGGGGACAACUUCGUUCGGCGAAACAAGGCACUACGUGACGGUUCGGUGGGUUUGACCUAGCCUAUAAUAUGAGAAAUUCUCAUAUAUGGUGAUAUAUGUUUCGUAAAUUGGAAAAGCAUGCAUGUUCAUACUAAAUGUAUUUAUUAUGAUUUUUAGAAUGCUUAAAAUGCCUACGUUACAUGUAAUGAAAUUUUGGAUCUCUAUGUAGUAGAGAAUAGCAUAUGAAGCUUAUGCGGGAUUUUUAGCAUUCUUAUGUUGGAUCAUGUUCCUUAUAGUGUAAAUGAGCUUUGAUUCAUGCAUUUAAACCUAAGUUUAAUUGAGACAUGAAAGAUAACUAAUAUGCCAUAAAGAGGCACCGAACUUGAAUGUUAUGUGAUUUAGAGAGCUAAUGUCAUCAAGCGGCAUUGAGCUCGGGACAUGUGUGAACCUAGUGGAUAGGGCCAUUGAGGAAUGUGGAACAUGCUUAAAUAUUGAAUGUCUAAGUGUCAUAAAGGGGCACUAGACCUAGAGAACAUUGGAACUUCACUUUGUGACUUAGAACUAGAUCUUCGGGAUGCUAGUGACUAUACCAUGUUAGAGACAUGAUGAUUGGAUACUUGAGCCUUUGACUAUGCUUGCUUGCCAUUUGUGCUCAUUCGCACAUGCUUGUGAGGGUCGCUCCCUACAAGCCGGCACUCCGGAGUUAGCCUACGCGACUUAUGUUCACUCGUGCGGUAUUGAGAAGCCUACGGGGUCGAGUGGGACAUGGGUGAACCUAGUGGAUAGGGUCAUUGAGGAAUGUGAAACAUGCUUAAAUAUUGAAUGUCUAAGUGUCAUAAAAGGGCACUAGACCUAGAGAACAUUGGAACUUCAUUUUGUGAUUUAGAACUAGAUCUUCGGGAUGCUAGUGACUAUACCAUGUUAGAGACAUGAUGAGUGGAUACGUGAGACGUUGACUAUGCUUGCUUGCCAUUUGUGCUCAUUCGCACAUGCUUGUGAGGGUCGCUCCCUACAAGCCGGCACUCCGGAGUUAGCCUACGCGACUUAUGUUCACUCGUGCGGUAUUGAGAAGCCUACGGGGUCGAAUAGGAUAGACACAUUCCAAGAGUAGGAAUGUCGGGCUACCACAGGCACUUAGGCGGCACAAGCUGGACUACCUUGGAUAGGCCCUUAAUUGGAAAUGAAAAUCGACACAGUGUUGAGUGUGUUAUAAUCACUACUAGAUAGAGAUUAGUAGUUGGAUUGCUUGGACUUGCUUCUAGCAUAGUUUUGGACACUUGAGUACACAUACUUACAUGUAGUAUGCUAGGAGAUGUUGCUUAUUGCAUUCAUAUAUACAUUGUUGCCAUGAUAAAGCAUUAUCCUUAUAACUUCAUAAGUGAACUGUGACACUUACUUGUAGCCAUGUAGAGACAUAUUGGUUAUGAUAAAGUAAAGGUGCAUUAUUUUUAACACCAUGUUUAAUUGUAAUAUAGCGGCUUAGCAUUUUAAUUCUGCUCUCAUAAAUGCAGUUUAUUCUUUAUUAUUACUCUUUUGACUUACCCUUUUCUUUUGGGGCCUAGUGGUGCAUUGAGCUGAGGUCAGUAAUUGCCCACUGGGAACUAUAAAUUAUAGUUCUCACGCCCUCUAUUUUAUAUUUUCUUUCAGAGCCUUCCACGCCGAGAGAGGCUAGGGACCGUGGGAAGGGCGUUGCUUCGAGCUGGCUCUUCAGCGAGGGACGAGUUGCUAGGUGGUCUACCUUUCGAUGUAUUUUAUUUUGGGAGAGGUUGAGAGCUGUACCAGUGUACUAGAAACCACCCUUUUGUGUACUUUUGGAACAGAUAUUGUUUUACCUUAUGGUUUACUUUUAUUGUUUAGUUGUAUCCUUUCUCUUUCGUUAUAGAAAGUAGAAUCAUACUGCUCUGAUAUCAUUAGUUUUUGCUCUUUCCUUUCGGCUAUGUUCCUUGCUUUAUUUUCGCUGUUGAUGUAGACGCCUUAUAUGUGUUGACAUAUGGCGAGUCUGGGCACGCUACCGGGAGGGCCUCUGCCGGUCCCGGGGCGUGACAGAUUAGUUUGGUAUCAGAGUCUAGGGUUGAGUCUUAGUGGACCUAGCAAACCAUAGGCCGGUUGGACUAUAGGAAUUAGGCUCGUGAGAGACGAAGUCUAAUUGACUUAUGAGCGAAAGUAUUAUGAUUGGGUUUUAUGACAACUCUAAAAAGUUAGAGUUUGAUCGAAGUGUAUGACUUCUAACUUCGCGGAGGGUUACGUUGGCGGCCGACAACGUAACAUCGGGAGUUAGUAGUGGAGGACACUUCCUUACUUUCGUAUGAUUUGGGUUUUAUCUAUUUGAACGGGGAUGCGGUAGCGUGGGUUACUAACUCGCGCUUUUAUGUUUUAUAGUGACGAUGCCGAUUACACGCUCCCAGUCUGCCGGGGCGGAUGAUGCGGCACACCCCGAGGAGGCCAAGACCUCCGCUACUUCCGGAUCUAAUGAGAUCCGUGACUUGAGGACCCAGCUUGCGGUCCUCACUGAUCUGUUGGCGCAGCAGACGGCAGCGGCGCAGCGAUAGGCUGAGGUGGCUCAACGGCAGGAGGCGCGGAUGAAGCAUCUUGAGGACCUCCUACUUCAGCAGGCGGCAGCUUCAAGGGAGACCCAGGUACCCACACCACCAGCACCUGUGGUGGACAUCGCACCGAGGGCGCAGUCCCCCGCGCCCAGUUCUUCACGUGCGGCACCAGCAACCACACCUCGGGAGGAGGUGGCUGCGGCACCCCCAGUUCAGACACCGGCCACGGGGGCAGCUUUCCCCGUGAGGGCCGAGGGAGCCGAGCGGGAUCGGCUCAUGGAUCGCCUCAAUGAGUUUAGGAGGUGCAGCCGGAGGACGUUUGAUGGCGAGAACGUCGACCACUGGAUUGUUGAGAAGUGGUUGAUGCACAUGGAGAAGCUUUUUCGAGACACCUUCGUGGAGGAGCGGGACAGAGUUUGGCUCGCCACUCACUUUCUGGACGGCGAGGCCUACCGUUGGUGGUUGGAUAUCCAGGACAACCCCAACACCGACUUGGCAGCGAUUACCUGGACGAGGUUCAAGAAGCUCCUUCUGGCGCACUACUUCCUGACCAGCGUCAAGAGGAAGAUGGAGCAGGACUUGCGCAGCUUGCGCCAGGAUGAGCGGUCUGUGGCCGAGUACGAGAGGGAGUUCUCCCGGCUACUUCAUUGUGUACCGUUUGUUGUGAGGGAUGACGAGGACAAGGCCGGCAUUUUUUAGCGCGGAUUGUGGCCUUCUAUUUUCCGGUUGGUGCAGUCUUCCAACCUCCAGACCUAUCGGGAGGUUGUGGAUCGAGCAUUGAUUGUAGAGGAUGGAGCGGCAGAUCAUCAGGAGCGUCGCGAGAGCUCGGAAAAGAGGAAGGAAAAGAGGCCCGCGGCUGAGGGUACGAGUCAGACGCACUCACGGAGGCCGCCGAGGCACCCCAGGAGCCGGAGCCAGUCGCGGGGACGUGGCUCGUCUACUCAGCGAGGAAGACCCGAUCGUCGCCAGGCUCCCCGCUGCGUGAUUUGUGGCGGUCCUCAUUACCCGCGGCAGUGUUCACGCAGUUGGGGCAGGUGCUUCUUAUGUGGCCAGGAGGGCCAUUUUCAGUCGGACUGCCCGAGGAGUCCAUUGCCAACGCCAUCUUCGGCAUCUGCACCAGCAUCGCCAGGUCACAGUCAGGGGACAUCUUCUGCACAUCACCAGGCCGGGCGGCCGCCAGUUCUACGGCAGGCGGAGGGGUCACAACAGGCCCCGAGCGGGCGCAUGUACGCGGCCCAGACUGAGGAGGCGGCGGCAGCCGAGAAUGUGGUCGCAGGUAUCAUUUUACUUUAUGGUAUUCGAGUUAGAGCAUUGUUUGAUACCGGUGCAUCACAUUCAUUCAUAGACCGGCUGUUUGCCGAGUUGCAUGGCAUCCCACUUGUAUCCUUAUUCCACCCGGGCCGAGUUGUUGUACCCGACCAUUCUUUCGACAUUCGGGAGUUUUGCCCCAGUUGCCCUAUUCGGGUUGGAGAUUGGAUCAUGCCCGUGGACUUACUAGUGUUGCAUAAACUCGGGGAGUUUGAUAUUGUGUUGGGCAUGGAUUGGUUAACCAAGUACUUUGCCACCAUCGAUUGCAAGAAUCGAACGGUGACAUUUAGAGAGCCGGGGCAGGCGGAGGUUGUGUACCGAGGAUGUCAGAGUUCGCUGUUUGCGAUGACGAUUAGCUCCUCUCGAGCUAGGCAGUUGAUUAGUAGAGGCUGUGUGGCCUACUUGGCUACUGUUGUGUUGAGGGGUGAUGAUGAUGCCCCCAGGAUUGAGGAUAUCCCCGUAGUGCGGGAGUUUGGAGAUGUGUUCCCAACAGAGCUUCCAGGCAUGCCACCUGAUAGGAAGAUUGAGUUUGUGGUAGAUCUCGUUCCCGGGACUACUCCAAUCUCAAAAGCACCCUAUAGGGUGGCACCAGCUGAAUUGAGAGAGCUGAAGGCACAGUUGCAGGAUCUUUUGGACAAGGGUUUUGUGCGACCGAGUGUGUCACCUUGGGGAGCACCGGUCCUGUUCGUCGAGAAGAAUGAUGGAUCACUUCGCUUGUGCGUGGACUAUCGUGAACUUAACAAAGUCACGAUUAAGAAUAAGUAUCCAUUACCGAUGAUUGAUGAUCUAUUUGAUCAACUCCAGGGACCUUGUGUAUAUUCCAAGAUUGACUUGCAAUCGGGUUAUCAUCAGUUGAAGAUCAAGCCUGAGGAUGUGUCGAAGACGGCUUUUAGAAUACGGUAUGGACACUAUGAGUUUACCGUUAUGCCGUUUGGGCUUACUAAUGCCCCGGCAGCUUUUAUGGAUCUAAUGAACCGUGUUUUCAAGCCUUAUUUAGACAGGUUCGUUGUGGUAUUCAUCGAUGACAUCUUAGUGUAUUCCCGGAGUGAUGCGGACCACGAGGAGCAUUUAAGGCUUGUACUUCAAGUGCUUCGGGAAAAGGAACUCUACGCCAAGUUGAAGAAGUGUGAAUUUUGGCUUAGAGAGGUGGCGUUUUUAGGCCAUUUGAUUUCAGGAUCAGGUAUAGCUGUGGAUCGAAGGAAAAUUGAAGCUAUCAAGGAUUGGCCAAGGCCGACGAGUGUCACGGAGAUUCGGAGCUUUCUUGGCUUGGCCGGCUACUACCGACGAUUUGUCGAGGGGUUUGCAAGAUUAUCUACUCCUCUCAUGAGGCUCACGCAUAAGGGCACCAAGUUCAUUUGGAAUGAUGCGUGCGAAAGGAGCUUCCAAGAGUUGAAGCAGAGACUGACUACCGCCCCGAUCCUAACCUUGCCAGUUACUGGAGCAGGGUAUGUGAUUUAUAGCGAUGCUUCCUUUAAUGGAUUGGGAUGUAUUUUGAUGCAGGACGGGAAAGUGAUCGCGUAUGCAUCUCACCAAUUGAAUGAUUAUGAAAGGAAUUACCCCACUCACGACUUGGAGUUGGCGGCCGUGGUCUUUGCAUUGAAGCUAUGGCGCCACUACUUAUACGGCGAGCAAUGCGAAGUAUAUACAGAUCACAAGAGCUUAAAGUAUUUAUUCACUCAGAAGGAGUUGAACUUGAGGCAGCGCAGAUGGUUGGAGCUACUCAAAGAUUAUGAUCUGACGAUUCUCUACCACCCAGGCAAGGCUAACGUGGUGGCUGAUGCGCUAAGUAGGAAAUCGACGAAAAACUUAGCGAUGUUUCUGGUGACUCAACCGCCAUUGAUCGAGUAGAUGAAGCGAUUGGAGUUGGAGGUGGUGGCUCCUGACACACCUUUGAGGCUGAUGACUUUGGUGGUGCAACCUACACUUAUGGAAAGGAUUAAAGAAAAGCAAGCUUCCGAUGUGGAGUUGCAAAGGAUUCAAGCUAAGAUGGUUGAUGGUUGCACCGGUGAUUUCACUUUGGACGGUGAUGGAUUGAUGCGUUUCCGCGGACGACUUUGUGUACCGGCGGACUUGGGUAUUAAAGAGGACAUUCUUCAUGAAGCACACCGAGCACCGUAUGCUAUACAUCCGGGAGGCACCAAGAUAUACAAGGAUUUGAAGUUGCUUUACUGGUGGCCCGGAUGAAGAAAGAUGUUGGUGAGUUUGUUGCGAGAUGCUUAACUUGCCAACAGGUGAAAGCUGAGCACCGAGUUCCUGCGGAAAAGUUGCAGAGCCUACCGAUUCCAGUAUGGAAGUAGGAGAAGAUCACCAUGAAUUUCGUGAUGGGAUUGCCUCGCUCACAGGCCGGGCAUGACGCUAUUUGGGUGAUCGUGGAUAGAUUGACGAAAUCGACAUAUUUCAUACCUAUCCACACUACUUGGACUGGUGAGAGACUCGCACAGGUUUACUUGGAUGAGAUCGUGCGAUUGCACGGGGUACCUACUUCUAUAGUAUCAGAUCAAGAUCCCCGUUUUGUAUCCCACUUUUGGAGGAGCUUAUAGGUUGCUUUGGGUACGCGCUUAGAUUUCAGCACUGCUUUCCACCCCCAGAGUGACGGGCAGUCGGAGCGUACUAUACAGACUCUUGAGGACAUGCUUCGAGCCUGCGUGAUCGACUUCCAGGAAGGAUGGUCGCAGCAUCUACCUAUGGCAGAGUUUGCUUAUAACAACAGUUAUCAAGCAAGCAUCAAGAUGGCACCAUUCGAGGCACUUUAUGGACGGAAGUGUAGAUCGCCACUUCAUUAGAGUGAAGUUGGCGAGAGAAUGGCUUUAAGCCCCGAUGUGCUCCAGGAAGCAGAGAAUAAGGUUCGCAUUGCUAGGGAGCAACUGUUGACAGCCCAAAGUAGGCAAAAGAGCUAUGCUGAUCGGCGUCGACGGGACUUGGAGUUUCAAGUUGGAGAACACGUCUUCUUGAAAGUCUCGCCGACUCAAGGGAUUAGAAGAUUUGGAAUCCGGGGUAAGUUGAGCCCCCGAUACAUUGGACCGUAUGAGGUUUUGGAAUGUGUAGGCCCGGUAGCGUAUAGACUUGCUCUACCGCCGAACCUAUCGGGUAUACACAAUAUAUUACAUGUAUCGGUCCUUCGGAAGUAUAUCUACAACCCGGCUUAUGUUUUGGACGCUGCACCAGUGGAGCUGAGGGAUGAUCUGAGCUUUGAAGAGCAACCCUUGAGUAUUUUGGCUCGCGAAGUAAAGAGGUUGCAGAACCGGAAAAUUUCCUACGUGAAGGUGCUGUGGAGCAACCACGACGAGCGCGAGGCCACUUGGGAGUUGGAGAGCGCACUACGGAAGCGCUAUCCCCAUCUUUUUUAGAUGGAGGCUUGAGGUACUUUAUCUUUUUCGAGUUUCGCAGACGAAACUCCUUUUUAGGAGGGGUGAAUGUAGCACACUGGACCUUUGCAAAUUGCGAGGUUCGAGUGUUUGGACAGUGUCCUGAGCUUUUCCAGACUUUCUGGUGGGUCGUUGACAGUGUUCCGACCUAUGGCUCGUAUCCCGAGAAAUGUGGUUUAAAGCUGUGUACCAAAAUCUGAAAAAUCGAAUUCUUGGCCAGCUCUCGGGUAGCCUUCAGAGGGUCUUGUACCGGUACAAGGUUGGUGGUUGUACCGGUACAAAGUUGAUGGUUGUACCGGUACAGCCACCGGGCUUAUACCGGUACAGAGCUGCGGAACCCCCCAGACCCGAGCCUCGGGUUAAAGCUUUUCGUGGGGCUUGUACCGGUACAAGGCCCCGUGUACCGGUACAAGGUGGUAGAAUUUGAGCAGUUUGAACUGCAAGGGUGUUUUUGCGAUUGUGGGUCUCUUAUAACAGCACCCACGCCUCUUAGGGCCUUCCCUAAGCUGAGAACACAGGGAGACAAGGUUAAAGGAGCCCCAUCUUGCCCCUCUUUGGUUUUGAUCUCAUUUUGUUGGGUUUUAAUAAGAUUAAACUUCUCUUUUUGCUUAAUGGAGGCAUUUCCACCAUUGUUGAGGCUUGGAGCUUCGGUUUCGAGCUUGGUGGAGGGAAGAUCCUAGAAGUUUGAGGACUUUGGACUUGGAUUGAAGCUUCUAAGAGGUAAGUGGCAAGAUCCUUUUCUCUAGUUUUGGAUUUUGGAGUUUUCUUUGAGAUGAAACCCUAGAUUGAGAACUUAGGGUUUAUUUUGGGUGUNAAGGGCGUUGCUUCGAGCUGGCUCUUCAGCGAGGGACGAGUUGCUAGGUGGUCUACCUUUCGAUGUAUUUUAUUUUGGGAGAGGUUGAGAGCUGUACCAGUGUACUAGAGACCACCCUUUUGUGUACUUUUGGAACAGAUAUUGUAUUACCUUAUGGUUUACUUUUAUUGUUUAGUUGUAUCAUUUCUCUUUUGUUAUAGAAAGUAGAAUCAUACUGCUCUGAUAUCAUUAGUUUUUGCUCUUUCCUUUCGGCUAUGUUCCUUGCUUUAUUUCCGCUGUUGAUGUAGACGCCUUAUAUGUGUUGACAUAUGGCGGGUCUGGGCAUGCUACCGGGAGGGCCUCUGCCGGUCCCGGGGCGUGACAGAACAUGGGAUUAAGUGGCACCUCACGAUACUCUGCACAUCCCUAUAAAAUAGUGUAGUGGAGAGGUUGAAUAGAAAAUUAAUGGAAAGGGCCCAGAGCAUGUUAAUUAUCUCAAAACUCAACAAAAAAAAUUGGGUGGAAACUGAGAGCAUGGCUUAUAAUUUGAUCAAUCAAGCACCGAUCAAAUUAUUUGAUUUGCUUCUAUCUUUGCAUUUGUGGAUAUGAUGUGUAUGCAUGGAUGCCAAAGGAGAAGAGAUCAAAAUUGGAUAAGAACCCUCGAAGAUGUGUCUUUCUUGGCUACUCGAAAGGGGAUACAAAGUAUCAAUUGUGGGAUCCUACAACCCACAUGACUAUUGUAAGCUAUAAUGUUGUCUUCAAUGAGGGGUUCUUUUUAAUGCACCAAGGACAAGCAAGAUAAUCAUGUCGUUGUUCUAGUUAAGUUCUUCGAAGCAUGCAAUAAGGUGCAAGUUCAGCAAGCACAAUCAAAUGAUGAGGUAGUUAAUGAUAAACCAAACUCGGAGUCUUUGCACUCAUACGGAAUACAAAUUAACUGGUAGAGCCAACGGCAAAUUCAAAGCAUGCCAGGAGGGUCACUAGACCACUUAUGAGGUACAAUGACUUUAUCACUUGCUUUAUUCUUUCUCCUAACUAUACUAGUGCAUAUGUCGCUUUGCCAGAGGAAGAUGUGCUUACUUCAUACAAGAAGGCUUGUAAGUCGACCGAUACUGGAAAGUGACAAUGCAUAGUGAAGUAGUAGAAGGAGUCACUUCAAAAGAACAAAACCAGAAAACUUAUUGACUUACUAAAGGAAAGAAAUACAAGCAGAUGCUGAUGGGCAUUUAAGGUGAAGAAACACAUUAAUAAAAAUGUGGAAAAGUUCAAGACAAGGUUCAUAGUGAAGGGAUAUGCUCAUAAGCCGAGGAUCGACUUCGAUGAGAUCUUCUCACUGGUGGUUCAACUUGCUGCUAUUCAAGUUGCUUUGGCAAUUGCGGUAGGCAUAGAUUUGGAGCUUAAACAGAUGGAUGUUAAGAUGACAUUCUUGCAUGGUGACAUAGAGAAGGAGAUUUACAUAUUGCAAUUUGAAAGUUUUGUCAAAAAACGUAAGGAGAAUCUAGUUUGUCGGCUGAACAAAUCGUUGAUUGGCUUGAAAAAGUGCCAAGAAGUUGGUACAAGCGAUUUGAUUCCUUUAUUGUAAGUUUCGAUUUUGAUAGGUUUGAAGCAGAUCAUUAUGCAUACUUUUGUGGAUAUAAUAACAAGAGGUUCUGUAUUUUGCUAUUGUAUGCCAACAACAUGGUGGGCCUUGAAAAUAGUUAGGGCUAGAAAUCUACCUUGAAGAUUUGGUUGGCUAAGGAGGAGUUUGAUCUGAAGAACUUAGGAGUCGUUAACUAGAUAUUUGGAAUAAAAUGCUAUGAGAGAGGCAUAGGAAGGUUUGGCUUUCAUAGAAAAGUCAUAUGGAGAAGGUUGCGGUGCUUCAAUAUAUAGAAUGUUGAGCUAGUUUUUACCUUGUGUCCUAUAAAUUUAAAAUUGUUGGUCGAAAAAUCACCCAGCUUACAAAUGGAAAAGACGAACAUAGCCAGGUACUAUAUUCAUUGACAGUAGGGAGGCUUAUGUUUGUCAUGGUAUGCAUGUGACAUUGCUCGAGUAGGAGAAGUGAGUCGCCAUAUGUGGAUAUAGAUUUCAUAGGAGAUAGAAAUAGGAGAAGAUUUACCUUGGGUUAUGUAUUCUCUAUUGGCUUUGGGGCUAUUAGCUAGGAGUCAAAGUUUCAUUUAGUGGUCGCUUUAUUAAGGAUUGAGGUGGAGUACAUAGCAGUGAUACAAGCUUGUAAGAAGGCUAUUUGGUUGAAAAGGCUUCUAGGAGAACUAAAGGUGAAGCAAGAUGUGGUGAGGGUGAAUUAUAUUAGUCAGCGUGCAACACACUUGGCAAAAAGGCUGAUAUUUCACUUUCGGACGAAGCACAUUAAUUUACACUAGGUAUUAUCUCACUGUUGAAGGUUUAGAUCGAUGUAAAUGCAGUGGAUAUCUUGGUGAAGCCAGUAACUCAAGAGAAGUUCACUUCGAGCAUAACUUCUCUCGGUCUUGAACCUAAGAACAAUAAGAGUUAGCAAGACUUUUGAUAUGACGUUUUAUAAUGUUCAACACAUAUAUUCAAGUAGAAAAUUGUUGGAUUAUCUAAGGACAUGUUUUGAGUCAAUUCUAUAAUCAAAUGUUGAGUUUUUGAGGUUACUGGAUGUUGAGCACUGGAGACAAACUGGUGGGUUCCGAAGCCCGUGCUGAAGUUCCACAUAACUAGAAGGUGUUUUUCACUAGGCUUGCAGUUUAGCUCUAGAGCUAAAGUUUUGGGCUUCAGAGUCCUACAUUUGGAAAAGCUUUCAGUUCUGGAACCCACUAUUUUGGCUCCAGAGCCCAAAAUCCUAACAGACUUUUUCAAUUGGAUUCAAAUCCGACUUGAAUUAAUCUUGCACUUUAAGAUUAAGGGUGGUUAAGAAACAUCCUAGAGAGGGUUUUUAAGUAGAGAUUGAUGAUUAAAAGUGAAUCGGGAACUUGGAUGAAUGGCGGAAUCAUUUCCUACUAAUAUUGAGGUUUAGGAUUUAAAACCCUUCCUUUGUUUUUUAGAUAGAGCUUCAUUGUAAUACUCUUAAGGAGAGGGAAGGAUGUGAAAGAGAGCGUAGAGAGGUGUUGGUAGCCGAAUUUCCCGACACUUGACCCGGUCAAAGAUCCUCCUCGGGGAGUGCGUCGAGGUGAAGAACGGCUGCGGAUAGUGACCCUCAAAGUUUGCGCCUUCGACAGAUCAAGCGAUUCGGUUGACGACGGAUCGAGCCAGCCGGGUUCGAAAACCACUACUAUCUGUUUCGGUUCGGCUGGUAUGAGCCGAAUGUACAGAGCAGGCCGGAAACGAGGCCGGAAGAAGAGCCGAAUGGCUAAAGCAACACGAGAUUUGGUCGGCUUGAAGAGCCGAAAUGACUUUCUAUAAAUUGACUGAUGGGAAGUACAAGGACGGAUAUGUAGUUUACAACGGAGUGAUGCCCGUGGGGCAGACAGACUCCAGGGUUCUACUUAGCGAACUACUCCUAGAAAAGCAGUAAAAUUACAAGUAGACUACUCCUAGAAAAUGAGGAAAUUACGAGAAAAUAAGGGUGGUCUUUUAUUCACAUGAAAAAAUACCCCCUUUUAGGGCAUUAUUACUCUAUUUAUAGAUCGCCCCUUGAUCAGUUAUUGCUCUUACACGAUCGGUCAUUAUCUCCUAAUAUCCCGAACCAUCUCCAACCGAUCGGAACCGCAUGCAACUGCUUGCGGUUACUGUAACUUCCUUCAAUUGGCGCGACGGUUUUCUUUAAAACUUUUUUCGUGCUCCUGGUGCAAGGCCAGAUUGAUGCCUUUGAAGGGAACACCGGCGUACCACCUGUCCGCGCCUAAUUGACUCAACAAGAGGUAUUCAUGUUAUCCAAUCUACUUUUUUAUUUGUUGUGCCGUGGAUUAAUCGAAUAAUGCAUCGAGAAGGUCUUGGCCAUGGAUGUAGAUAGGCACACCUAGGGGUGUCAAUGAGCUGAAUACGUAUGAGUGAGCUGGGGUCGGCUCGUGUUUGGUUUCGUUUAAUAAACGAGCCGAACACAAGCUGGCUCGUUAAAGUAUCGAGCCGAAAAAAUUUAGCUCACGUUCAACUUGUUUAUUAAACAAGCCAAACACGAGCUAGCUCGUUAAAGUAUCGAGCCGAAAAAAUUUAGCUCACGUUCAACUUGUUUAUUAAACAAGCCAAACACGAGCUAGCUCGUUAAAGUAUCGAGCCGAAAAUUUAGCUCCUGUUCAGCACGUUAAUAAACGAGCCGAACAUGAGCUAGCUCACAAGCUGGCCAAUGAAUAAUAAGUUAAAUAGAUUAGAAUGGAUAUACAUAAAAAAUAAAUUUAUAAAAUCUUACCCAUUAGGUUUUGAUCUAAUGGUUGAAACUUUACAUAUAAAUGAGUCUUUUUAUAAUUGAGCUCAGCUUUAUUUUUUUUCUAAAAAUCAAAUAAUAAAUAUAUAUAUACAUUAUAUAUAAUUAUUUUUAUAUAUAUAAAUAUGUAUAAUUAUAAAUUAAAUAAAUUAUAUAAAUAAAAAAUAUACAUAUUCGAGCUGUUAUCGAGCCGAACACAAGCGAGCUGACCCGAGCUCGUGUUCAACUCGUUUACUUAAUGAGUGAUUCGAUCUCGAGCUCAUUUCAAGCCAAGCAAGAGCUGGCUCGCGAACAGCAAGCUAGAUUCCCACCCCUAGACACACCGUUUGCUGAACCAUGUAAAUUUCUUUUGUUCUCUAUUUUUAUUGCUUUCUUAUUCUCAUGCAUCUUUUCUCGAUCGUUCUCAUCUUUUAUCUACAUAAAAUCUGAUUGUCAUUGCACUUGUCUGUAAGAGUUUGAGGUGUGCUUGCUAACCCCUCGACCGGUUCCUUCAAAAUUAUUAUACAUAGGAAAAAUUAAGUCCGAGUAAUACAUUUUGUUUAUAUAUUUUUUUCUAUUUUAUUUUUUUCUCUAUAAAUGGCCUAAUUUGCAAUUGAUUGAGUACCAAAAUAUAGGGUAAAAUGUUUGUAGAACCCUAUACUUUGGCAUUUUUAUAAAUAUUCCUCUAAAUUUUUAAUUUGGCAAUCGGAAUUUAAAAACAAAGAGUUCUAUUAUAGCAUGUAGCAACCAAACCAACAAAAAAAAAUCAAAUUUUGAGUUUAAGCUUAAAAUUUGAAAAUUUUAAAUUUAUUUAAAUUUUAAGCAUUUGAAUUUUGAGUUUUAAGUCAAAUAUUAAUCUAGUGAAGUUCGAGGUAACCAAACGUAGUCCGUCUGAAAUCCCCCAGCUGGCUGUCUGCGGUCACCAACUUAUACUUAUGUCCUUCAACAUGUUUUCUCGUCUCCUUCUCUUUGCUCCCAUGCUAUGAGACUCCAGAUAGUCCUAUAUAUAUGAUAUAAUAUGGCUAAUACUCUUAACCCGGCUUAAGCAUUUUAGGUGGCGGCUAGGCCCAAGAGGUUAAAAGAGUUAAGCGUGUUAGGACGGGAGUAGUUCUAGAAUGGGUAACUCUAGUUCUUGAAUCGGUGACUCUCUGGGGAGCUGGGGCAUCACAUUUGGUAUCAAAGCCAAUUACCAGCCCGAAGUGUGAGAUGAGUCUCCGCUGAGCCAGUAUUGUACAGCAGGGAGACCGAGCCACUCACACUGUUGAUUGUUGUAAGUGGAGUGCAGCUCACCAUAAGGUCGGUUUAGGUUAGCGAGACGAGUCUCACAUCACCUGGUACUUGUGAGUCUGAGCCUGAAGAGGAACUCAAGGCUUAAAGGGGGGUAGAAUGUGAGACCCUAGGUAGUCCUAUAUAUAUGAUAUAAUAUAGCUAAUACUCUUAACCCAGCUUAAGCAUUUUGGGUGGUGGCUAGGCCCAAGAGGUUAAGAAAGUUAAGCGUGCUAGGACGGAAGUAGUCCUAGGAUGGGUGACCUCCUGAAAAAUUAGGGCGCCACAGUAUAUUCUGUAUAACCCAAUGUCUGAAUCCUAGGACUACUCUGAUACCAAAUGUGACGCUUCGCUUCCUAAGGGGCCACCCAUCCUAGGACUACUCCUGCCCUAGCACGCUUAACUCUCUUAACCUCUUGGGCCUAACCACUAUCCAAAAUGUUAAAGCCAGGUUAAGAGUAUUAGCCCUAUUAUAUCAUAUAUAUAGGACUACUUGAGGUCUUACACAUGCACAAGGCAUGCAUAGGGGCUUCCCCUCUCUCUCUUUCUCUCCUCUUCACUUCAUCUUCUCAUUUUUUCCUCUUCAUUCUCUUUACUGUCCUUCUUUUUUCUCCAUCCACUUAGCUAAAGUUUCCUUUUCGUUGUACUCUUGAGGGCUUCACUACCAUCUUGAACUUACUUCAAAGUAGUGGCUGAGGGUCUCCGUCUGUGAGGGUUCCGGCCAAUUUAGGGGCCGAGUUUCGGUGCCCAGAGUUGAAGCGCCGAGUCACUUGACUAGACUAUAAUUUGGGCAAAACUUAGAACUUAAUCAAAAUCUUUAUUUUUUGUUGAAUAAAUUACGUCCAGUAAUAUUGUUGAAUGUUCUUGAUGGAAUUACUAAUUCUAUUCUACAUGGAAAUGAGUUGGUUGUCAUGUCUGUUUGGUCUAGUGAAGUUAGGUUUGAACUAUAGUUUCCAAGUACGAAUGAGAUGCUUGGGAAAAAAGUAGCUUCGAUCCCUUGAACGGUUGACUGCCCUUGUAUUCCGGUCGACUGUUAGUGUUUCCAUUUUCUUUUAGGUUUGAUUGAAAGUCCUUCCUUACUUUCCACCUUCUGAAGACCUGAUUGAAACCGUGAGUAGAAAUCAUCUUUCUAAAUUACACCGCUAAAUUUAAAUGUUACUCUCCUUGUUAAAUUUGCGUAAUAUUCAAUAUUUAAUUAAAUAUGAGUUUUUUCUUUAUAAGUUGUGCUUUACGUCAUAGCAUGCUUUACUUUUUAAAUUGCUUUCACAUGAACUAACACAAGGAGACAAAACCGUUGGCUGUAAAUGAGUCUUCAAGAUCAAAAGGGACUCUUUAGAUAACAUAGAAUAAUAUAAGGCCAGACUUGUUGUCAAAGAUUUUACUCAUAAGGAAGGCAUUGAUUAUCAUGAAAUUUUUUUUUCAGUAUCAAAGAAGGAUUUAUUAAGAAUUAUCAUGACUUUGAUAGCUCAUUUUGAUUUAGAGCAACAUCAGAUGGAUGUAAAAAAGGCAUUUCUAAAUAUGGAUAUAGAGGAGAUAGUCUAUAUGUAGUAGCUCGAAGGUUUUAGCAUAGAUGAAAACCAUCUCCUUGUUUGCAGACUAAAGAAGUCUAUAUACGGACUUAAACAGCCUUCCCUCAAGUGGUAUAUCAAGUUCCAUAAUAUAAUUACUAUAUUCGAUUUCGUAGAAAAUAUUAUGGACCAGUGCAUGUAUCUUAAGGUUAGUGGGAGUAAGUCUAUUUUCUUAGUCCUGUACGUGGAUUAUAUUCUGCUUGCAAGUAGUGACUUGAGUUUGCUUAAAGAUUCAUAAAAAUAUAUCUCAAAGAAUUUUCGGUCUAUCUCAGAAAGCCUAUAUCGAAAGAGUUCUAGAAAAGUUUAAUAUGACAAAUUAUGCACCUACAGCUGCGCCUAUUAUAAAAGAUGAUAGGUUCAAUCAAAAACAGUGCCCACAGAAUGAUUUAGAACGAGAGAAUACGAAGAGCAUACUAUAUACCUCUAUAGUAGGGAGCUUGUUCUAUGCGCAGGUCUGUACCAGACCUGAAAUUUCUCAUACAGCGGAGAUGUUGGGUGGAUACCAAAGCAAUUCUAGCCUUUAUCAUUGGAAAGCUACAAAGAAAGUUAUGAGAUAUUUACAAGGAACAAAGGAUUAUAUGCUCACCUACAGUCAUAUAUUUUUUACCAUCUUGAGGUGGUUGGAUAUUCAGACUCUGAUUUUGCUGGAUGUGUGGAUUCUAGAAAGUUCACAUCAUGAUAUAUUUUCUUUCUUGCUCAAGAUGCUAUAUCUUGGAGAAGCACUAAGCAAGAUACAGUUGCUACAUCCACUAUGGAGGCAGAGUUCAUCGCUUGCUAUGAGGGUUCGUCACAGGCUUUAUAGCUGAGAAAUUUUAUCUAAGAUUUAAAAGUUGUCAAUUCUAUCUCAAAGCUAAUUAAGAUUUAUUGCGACAACUCUGCUACAGCGUUCUUUGCCAAGAAUAGUCGAGUUACAGAUCGCAGCAAACAUAUCGAUAUAAGUAUCUUGUUGUCAAAGAAUACGACAAGAAAAAUGUGGAUAUCCAACGCAUUGGGACCGAGAUAAUGAUUACUGAUCCUAUGACUAAAGUAUUGCCGGCAAACAAGUACAAGGAUCAUGUUCAUCAUAUAGGUAUCUUAAGUCCAUUUUUAUAGUUUAAGUAUUUUUUUCUUAUAUAAAGACUUUAAAGACUAUUCUUAUUUGAGUAAGAAUAUAUUUUGAUUUUUAUACAUAUGCACAUAAAGUUAUCUUUUGUACAUUAAAGUAUUAUUAUACACUAAAGUGGAACUCUGAAUUGAACUUAUAAUAAGUUCAUACGGUUAUAACCUAUAAAGUUAUUUGAUUAAAUAAUACGUACUUUUGAUGCAUGGAAGGGAGUGUUCAUCUUUUGGAACAUAACCGCUAUGAUCAAAGUAUUGUGAUUCCUUGGUCGAGUGGGAGAUUUCGACUAUAUAAUUUAGUUGGUACCUAAUAAAGUUUUAUAUCACCUACACGGUAUGAAUAUAUCACUGGGCCAAAUAGGAGAAUGUUGGAUGUAGCCAAUGUGAUUUAUUCAAGGCGAUUUAUAAACAUACAGUCGGUCUAUUCAAGUCGAUCUAUAAAGAUACAAUAUAUCUAACGGUUAGGAUGUAUCUGGACAUGUCCUUGAUGGUCGAGCGUGAUUUAACAUCCUUACAUCAAGUUAUAUAUAAAUAUGUAACAUAUGGGAGUUUCGAUCUAACCCUAAUCCAAUUAUCUGUGACGGCUCCAUCUCGUAGAUAAGGGAAUUAGACUCGAAACGUCCCGCUCUCUUCCAAAUUGCGAUCUAGGACGGACCAUGAGUAAGAAUCGCCAACUACAAAUUGGGUACAGAUAUCGAAAUUAUGGCAGAAGGUAUGAUCAUAGUUUCUUAUAAAGUUUAACAAUUCGGACAUCUGAAUUCCAUUUCGAGCGCAUGAAUUGAGAAGUGGCGGACAAAGCGGGCACCCGGUUUAGGAACCGAGCGCAGCUACGUGAAGCUUGACACUCUACAUUUUCUUACAUGCCUAGAAUGUCGAGUGGAUGCCCAAAUUUCGACACACUGACUACGUUUUGGUCUGCUGUAAAUAGGGGGGUAGUUGCUAUUGUAGUAACCCUAUAAAAGGGUUUCCAUUGUAACCCUAACACCCAGCCAUAUUUCACCCCCUCUUUACUCUCUCUUCUCUUUCUCUUUCUAGGAGGGAAAAUGACCGAUCCGACAUGGUUGGAGCUUAGAGUAUAGAUCUAUCUUCUCCAAAGCUUGGAAAAGUGGAGAGCUUCAAGAAAAAGCACUAAAAAGAAGGAAAAGGCUCUUCUCUCCCUUAUUUGGCCUACAAAAGGAAAGAGGUGAGUGAAAAAUUAGAAAUAUGAAUAUUAGAAUUUUCCUAAAAGGGGUUUUUUAUGUAUAAACCAUUUUUAAGGUUUCCUAAGAGAUCAAGUCUAUCUCUUUGGUAGAGGAUCUAGCAAAAGUGGACAUGUGAUUGUAUGUUUAUUGAGAAUCUUGAAAAUAAGCUAAACAUGAGUGGCAUCUAAAUUUAGGCCAAAACCCAAGGUAAAAUAUAGGAACAAGUGAAGUAUAGGUUUAAUAAGAACUAGAGAACAAGUUGUCUAUAUUAGACAAUGAAUAUUAGCCCUAGAAGUUAUGGGCUUAGAGUGUAAUUGUAAGAUAUUGAUCCUCGUUGUAUUAAACCACUUUUGGUCAAAAGGACCAAAGUGUGGCGAGAGAGAUACUUGGACAUGUUCCAUUUGACAUUCCAAUGAUGUUGGAAGGGUUAAAGUUGAACUCCUAGUGAGAUAAUUGAAUAUUAGCAUUGCUCGGCGAGAAGUAGAAGUCGAACAAGUGCUACACUGCAAUCUGGGCAUUUUGUAACCGGUUAAACAUUAGGGUGGUACCGGUACCCUGUAGCAGACCGAGAGUAGCAGCUCUCGGGUUUGAGUAUUUUUGCCUGUUAAACCAGUGACACCCUUGGUUUGUACCAAUACCAGAUCAGCUACCCGAGAAGGCAGCUCUCGGGUUGGCUGUUGCGUAAUCGUUAAACCGGUGACAAAAGUCACGUGUACUGGUACCAAGUGCAUGCAAAAAACUGCAGAAUGCAGUAUGUUCCAAGUAGCAAUUGUUGGGGGGUUUUAUUGCAAUUGUGGCAGCCUAUAAAUGGACCCCAUCACCCUCUCUUGUGUUCACAGCCAGAGAACACUCGUCCUUCUCAUUUUUCUCUCUCUCUCUUUCUCUAGAAGCUCUCUCAAGGGUUUAAUCAAAGAGGAGGGAUUGGUGGAGAUCGAAGCAAGAAAGUCGAUCUUCGUCUUCGUCUUCGUCAUCUUUUUCCUUGACUUGGAGGACUUGUGGAGAGGUAAGCUCUUGGAGCUUUAAUGGUAGAUUUCUAGGGUUGGCUUCUUAUACGCUAGAAAUGGUUUUAGUAGAACCCUUUGGGGCCAAAUAGAUGAUUAUUGCUCGAAUCAUGAAGCCAUGCGAUGGAUUCUUGCAAUAGUUGCGAUCUAGGGUUCCAAAGUGGGUUUCGUUGGAAAGAGAUCUAGAGUUGGGAUUGAUCACUUUUAUACCUAUCUGCUAGGUAGUCGAGCGCGUUGGUGAACUCGGUUCGGCGAUCCGACGAGUAGGCGCGAAGAUAUUAAAGGAAAGCCUGUUUUGGCUUCGUUUGCCGCAGUCGAAAGAGAUAGGCGGCGGAAAAUUACGAAAGUUCGAGUCUAGCUUUGUGGCAUCACCAGAAGGUGGGGGGGUGUCCAUCCCGAAGCAGUUGAACUUCUUUCUAUGUCCGAGUUGUUUUAUAAUAGCAUUUGUUCAUAUAUAUUGUUAUUAUGCAUUAUAGGUUGUGUUAAGUAGUUGUACUUCAAUUCCUUGCAUGUUUCCAUAGUAGAAAUCAUAAAGUGAGUUGAGCACUUGAUUUAGUGGACACAUGAGAAUUGGGUCUUGACAUGGAAUCCUAUAGUGCCAAAGAACAAAAGAUGAACUUGGACAUGUAAAUGAACUCAAAGAUGACAUUUGGACUAGUGUAGUAGAAACACUAUGACAUGAACUUAGGGAUAGAUGAUGAUUUCUUAAGUAGUAGCAUGUAAACCAAAGAGUGGCAUUUGGACUAGUGUAGUAGAAACACUAUGACAUGAACUUAGGGAUAGAUGAUGAUUUCUUAAGUAGUAGCAUGUAAACCAAAGAGUGGCAUUUGGACUAGUGUAGUGAAAACACUUACAACUUGAUGACAUGAACUUAGGAAUAAAAGAUGAUUUCCUAAGUAGUAGCAUGUGAACUAGUGCAACAGAGGCACUAACUAUCCUCGAGUGAGAGGAUUGGAUCGUACUCACAUAGUCUGUGUAACCUUGGCGUGGUCACUCCACCCUAAGUAGUGAGCUCCGGAGUAGAUAUCGCGUUUGGAUAACACGAUUACCCAGCAGGCGGUCUCGGGUUUUUGUAGCGCAGAGUCUACUCACCGGUGAGAUUUGAGAUAUGAGUUUGGGCGUAACCUUUUGGUUAGCCGAGAUGAGAUUGGACAUUAGACAUAGUACUUGAUAGUAGGUUUCAUUACUAUGUAGUUAUUUCCUUUAUAUCAUGCAGAUUGAGACAUAGUAUUAUGUUAGUAGAGUACAUUAUUAUGUUCAUGCAUUCAUUCUGUAUAUUGAGACAUAGUAGCAUGUUGUAGAUUUUGUUACUAUAUAGCAGCUCAUUUUCAUAUCUAUCUAUCUACCUAUCUACUUAUGCCUACUUAGACCUAGUGGGAAGAUCGGCGGAGUCGGCGACCGAACGCACUGGGAACUAUUUGUAGUUCUGACCCCACUUUGGUUGCAGGGCCGAGUUCGAGCGGACCGGGCGAGGACCGGGGUAAAGGCAUAGCGCCCUAGUUAGCUAGCAGCUUUCCUUUAUGCAUUAGUACACCUUGUAUAGAUGAGAGGACAUGAUGUAUAUAUAUUUUGGAGAGUUGUGGAGGAACUUGUAUACAUUUUUGGAGAUGAAAAAUGUAAACUCGAUGUAUAUAUUGCAUGGAAUUGUAAUAGCUAGAUCUUUCUCUCUUUUGUCGAUUGCUUGUAUUAGUUCUUACUUGAUCAUGUAUAAGGUUAUUGUUUCCUGGGCAACUGUUGACAUACAUGGUCUCGUUGUUGUUAGCCUUGGGCGGGCAGGGGAGGCUCUGCCCGUUCGGCGUCUGAUCGACGUGCCCGAACCGACCAAAUUGGCGGCGCGGGGCGUAACAGUAAUAGUAAAACAUGCGCAGCCUUUCGAAAGUAUCAAAAUAGAAUGAAAGAUGUGCGAGCAAUCGACUCCCUAUAAGGUACUUGAGGGAGUUUGGGAGCAACCAACUCAUUUAUCUGCUGAUUGGAGAAGUCUGUGAGCAAUUGACUUUUUAUGAGGUGUAAUAAAGAAAGAAAACCAAACUAGCAAGUUGGUAAAAGUAUUUAAAAAAAAAAAAUGAACUACUAAUUGGAGAAGUGCGAGAGCAAUUAAUUGACUCUCCAUGAGGUGUGGUAAAAAGUGAAAAUGAACUAACAAGAUGGUUAAAUAAGUAUAAAAUGGAAAGGUAACCAGAUUAAUAAAUUGGUUAAUGACAAGAAAUGAGAUGGGAUAAUUAAAUGUAACCACAGUGUGGUAUAGUGUUUACCCAUGUGAUGUGUAGGCUACAAUGGAACCAACCAAAUGGAUGGUUAUAUGAGAUAGGGUAAAUAUAGAACCAUGGACAUGGUAAGUAGUGGCAUAUUUUAUACUUGUCUGAGACAUUAUAGUUGUAAAAUUUAACUACCACAUUAUAGUUGUAAAAUUUAACUAUAGUUCUCGCCCCCUUGUUGGUUAUCAUUUUUUUAGAUUCUAACAUUGUUGGUGAGGCAUGUGACAGCAAACAAGGGCGUCGUGGAGUAGUAGGCCUAGAGAGAGGUCUAGAUGUACCCAUUAUUUUGGGCAAUUAAAGUAUUAUAAAAUUUGGGAUCAAAUCGUGUAAACUGUAAUGAGGUUUAAUCUUGUGAAAAGGUUUCAAUUAGUUGUGGACUUUAAAAUUGUUUAAAGUUGAAUAUUUCAAAUUAGUUGUUGUAAACUGAUUUUACAUGUAUACAUAUCGUCUAUGAUUGUACCGGUUAAUAUAUGAUUCUGCUUUGUACGGAUAGAAAAAGCCUUGCCCAUUCGCUGGAUUUAUUGCACAUGUCCGAGCGGACCCAAUUGACGGUCACAGGUCGUGACAUUAAAUAGGAUAAUUGGCACUUAGCUAUCUUGAUAAUAGGUGCACCAUUGAACGAUUUGACUGAAAGAUAUCGUUUACGACCUCUCGGUUAUUUUAGUAGAAACCCUUAAAUUUUAUACUUUCUUAUUUUGUUAUUUAAACUCAUCUAUCUUCCAUUUUGGACACAAAACUUGCGUGAGUUUGGAUUAUGAGAGUGGAGUUAGAGUUGGCUUUUGUAUUUGUGAGAGAUGUCGCUUUAUUGUGAAGUGUUGCAGCUAUGAUUAUGUUGAUAUGUUGGAUUAUGGGUCCGAACCAAGGGUACAAGUUGGUUAUGUGGUACUAAAAUCUUUGUGACUUGUGACUUAUAACUCUGGAUGAAUGUCAAAUAUAGUAUUGUGGGAUGUGGAGUACUGGAGCUUGUAUUAAUUAGCUUGUAUUAAUUACUACACUCUGAACGGAUGCUGGAUAUAGCUAAUUAGACGAUGAAACACUACCAGCAAGUGAACUAUCUGAGGACGAUGAUUAUACUCUAGACAUAUAUGUAGUUUUAAGGGAACAUAAGUCAUACUCUAAACUCACUACAAUAAAAACGGUCUAUAGCGACACUUUUAAAUGUAGGUACAUGUCAAAAAAGUGCUGCUAGCUAAAAUUACCGACACUUUUAAAAAGUGUUGCUAUAUGUGGGGUCGCUAGGUAUAUAGUGACAGUUAAAGAGUGUCGCUAUAACCUAAAAGAGUGCUGCUAAUUUACCAAUACUUAUUUAAGCAUUUAGCAACCGCCGAAACUCUAUCUCGUUGGCUGCGGUGGCGGAGGAGGACGACAGAAAAGGCUCUUCGUCUAGAAUUUCAGUGGAUUGAGUGAAGAGAGAAGAAAAGAUGGUAAUUGAUUUUUCUUUUUUUUUUUUUUUUUGCUGUUUGUAAUCGGGCCAAAUGGACUGGGUGUGGUGGGUUGAGUAGAGUAAUCUUUUAUUUUUGGUUGGAUUGGGCUUUAUAUUUAGGCAUUAGCAAAUAUUUUUUUAAGUUUUAGCAUAAAUGGGACACUUACUCAAAAGUGUCCCAAACAUGUGUCCCUAUAACCUAAUUGUAUUGUAGUGACUGAUGUCGGGCAUGAAUAAAGUGACAAUAUAUAUCGCUAAUGUGCGAUGUCAUAUGCUGAAUGGAUGUACGUAGUAUGUCAAAAGUGGGAUAAAUAAUGUAAGUUUAACAAAUGUCAGCAUAAAUUAUGACUGUUAUUCUGAAGUGAUGUGCGAUGUACUGAGAAAAGAUAUAUGGUAUGUAGUGGAUUAGGGUGGAGCUCAUUGGUAUAUCGACUGUUUUAUCUAUUGUCAAGUCUAAUUUUUGCGAUGCUUGCGACAUUCGCUACUUGUUUCUGCUCGUUACUAUUUAUGUUUUUACAAUCAAACUCAUCUUCAUAUUAGAAUAUAUAGUAUUUAUAUAAUAUCAUAGGUUUCAUGCCCAAGUUUAGCACCAUCGAUCGAGCACGAGGAAAGUUCCGAGACAAGCGAUUUGUGGCAUUCAUACUACCACUAGUUUGCUCACUCUUCUUCUUUCCUUUCUUUACUCAUGCAUUAGUUGUGUAUUUUGGUUUGUGCCUAUCUUUUUCUCGGGUUGAUCCACGAGUAUGUAGAUAUUCAUUUUUGGCUUGUACGUACGUGCACCCAUAUACGCGUCAUUUUGGGUUUGUAUCAAUUGCAUGUAUUUCGUUUAUCACUUCUAAUUCACCUUUGGGUGAUCUUUUCUUCUCUUAAUAGUUCUUGUUGUAGUUUUAAUCAUCCUGUAUAGAGCUUUCUUGUAUUUGCUGUGAUUGUGAUGCUAUAAGCCCUUGUAGUACACCUGCGAGUUGCGAGUUACGAAUUUAAAUUUAAAUUGCUUUUUAUAUGGAGGUUCGAUGAUCCCGAGUCGAACUGUGCAUGAAGUUUGGGCCUUGACAUAACACAUGAAAAAAAAAGUAAUAAAAUUGAGAAUAAAUUGACCUUGUUCUUCAAUUGUCAUACUUAAUUAUCAAAACUGGAAAAAAAAAAAAAGAAAAAAGAGGCUAGCUACUUUUAUAUUUUUAAGCUAUACAGAAUAAUGUGCAAGACGCGUCACUAAAAUGGCCAUUUGAUUAAUAAUUUUGCUUGAGGUUUGGGCUUAAUUAAAAUUUUGGUAUUUGAAAAAGCUUGAGGUCUUACUGCAAACCUAGUCUCGUGCUUUGGGUUAGUGGUUUGGAUACUGACUUGGUGGAUCUUCUUAGGUCCGGUAGACUUGUGCGUACUCAGUGUUCCGACGCGACAGUGACAGGUAGGUGCUUCGAGCUGGUAGUCGAUGAGAGCGUUUAACUUCCUUCUCUUGUUUUUCUAUUCCUGUGUUUAGACUCUACAUGUCAUUGCUUGUUAUCGUUUGGUUAUCGUACCCCUUGAUUGCAUUGUAUAGUUGUGGAUAGACAUGUAGAGCAGGUUGCAUUUGUAUUUCAGUAUCUCUGUGGACCUUGGAUCCAGGCAACACAUCGACUCUCUUGUCGUGUGUUUCGAUCUGGUUGAUCGAGGUUCGGCGUUGUACGCUCUAGCUUCUAUUUCAGUUUGGCAUUGUACGCCCUCGUUGUUGGCUUCGGCCUAGGCACCGGCUUUAGCCGGGUUUGUUUUUGUUUGAGCAUACCAGCAUGACUUAGUCACGGCACUUGGGGGUAUUCAUGACACCGNCGAAUAUAAAAUAUAAGUAUCCUUAUCAAACUUUUUCUCUACUUCUUGAGUUUGUACAUUCGUUCACAGUUGUCAACGUUGCUUUGCAUGUCUAUCUAAAGUUUUGCAAAACUUUGAAUAUACGUGCAAAACAUAUAUAUAUACAGUACUCGACCUUUUAUUUUAUUAAGGAAAAAAGAUAUUUAAUUUGAGGCGUCAUCUAUUGUAUUCUUUGGAUUACAAGUUAGUGCCAUGAUUGAUUGGACGCUGACUUGGACAUCAAGAGGUGUUUGGUUUAUCCAAAAUACAUAUAAAAACUAUUUUUUAAAUUUUCUUUUAUGAAAAAAUAUAUAUAUUUUUCUUCCUAAGAAAAGUUUUUUUUUUUCUGGAUUCUAUAAAAAUGUGGUGCUUUCAUAUUCAAAUUUUUUAUCCCAAAAAUAAAGACUAUAGGAAGAAAAAUAUAUAUAUUUUUUCAUAAAAGAAAAUUUAAAAAAUAGUUUUUAUAUGUAUUUUGGAUAAACCAAACACCUCUUGAUGUCCAAGUCAGCGUCCAAUCAAUCAUGGCACUAACUUGUAAUCCAAAGAAUACAAUAGAUGACGCCUCAAAUUAAAUAUCUUUUUUCCUUAAUAAAAUAAAAGGUCGAGUACUGUAUAUAUAUAUGUUUUGCACGUAUAUUCAAAGUUUUGCAAAACUUUAGAUAGACAUGCAAAGCAACGUUGACAACUGUGAACGAAUGUACAAACUCAAGAAGUAGAGAAAAAGUUUGAUAAGGAUACUUAUAUUUUAUAUUCGUAACUAAAAUGCAUAUUUUAUAGGAUAAUAUCUAAUAUGUCUUUCAAAAUUUCAAAAAUAUAAUUUAUCGAUCAAAACUUUAAUAAAAUAUAUAAUUUAUGCCUGCUCGACCAAAAUGUUCCAAAAUUUUUUUUUCAAGUAUACCCCUGCUCUCUAGGGUUCACUAAUGGAAUUGGGGUUUUAAGAACGGUAUUUUGGAAACUGAGGGAUAAGUUUAACUUGAAUAGUAUGUAGUAAAGGGUGUAUACGUAAACAAAACCCCCCUUUUUUUAAUUGUUUGCAUUAGUAUUACUACUGCACUAGAAAAUAUUUCCAUAAACUACGAAUCAGCAUCCAAAAGAUCGAUCUGCUAGUAAAAAGAUCGAGACUUACCCCUCAUGCACAUAUAUGGUGGAUAUAUAUAAAAAAGCAUAUAAAAUCAACAGAUGAGGUAUGAAGUUAUAACCAAAUUGACUUUCAAUAUAGUAAUUUAAACCAUUAAUUAUAUAUGUCUAGAGAGGACUAAAAUUCAUGACCUCAUGAAACUGAGGUGGUUUCGAAUUUGCUCUAAUACCAUAUUAUCUAGAAGAUCAAUCGAUCUCAUAUAUAGGAAUGAAUUAGGACUAUACUUAGCGUAGCCAACCAAAAAUUCAUGAACUACUCGACCCAAAAAAUUAAUAAAACACGGCCAUGUAUUCUUCAUGUACAAAAUUAUAAGUUAGCGUAAAUUGUAAUUGAUUGUCCUGUGUAUUAUCCCAACAUUACGUUUUGAUUAAUUUCUACACUUUUCGCUUAACUAUUUUUCUAUCAAAAGUUUUACAAAUAGAGGAAUGUUUCAAUACACCAUAAAUAUUAAAAUCUAAUUCUUAAUUAGUAAAAGGUUUAAUUGGAUUUUACAUGAAGUAACCUGUUGAACAGGUUACCGAUUUGAAUUAGUUAAUAUGACAAUAUUGGAAAAAAAAAAAUAGUAGUAUAUACCAAAUUUGUCAGCAUUCUAUAAAUAUUAAAUAUCUUAUUUACUUUGUAACUUACCAAAUUAGAUAGUACCCAAUUUUUUAAGUAUCUAGGUCAAAAAAAUUUUAAAUUAAUUUUUGAAGUUGGUAUUAUAAUGUAAAAUUUUAAUUUUGAAAUUUAUAUUAAACUUUUAAAUUUGAAUCUAAAUUGAACUUUUAAUCUUAAAGCGAAAUUUUAAUUUUUGAUUUAAAUUGAAAAUUUGAAUUGGAACUGAAAGUUUUAUUUUAAAUUUAUAUUUUAUAUUUAAAAAAUUUGAAUUUGAUUUAUAAUUAAGUUUUAAAUAUUGUUUUGAAUUUAAUAUUACAUUUUGGUUGUAAUUUGAUAUCCAACUAUUGCUGUAAGUAUUUGAAAAUAUCACAAUAUUCUUAGUUGGAUAUAGACUGAAAUAUUUUACAAAGACUAAAAUACCCUUUAAAUAGGUACCUCGUGAAUGGUGUUGGCCUAGUGGCCCUAAUCGUCUAUUAGAUUUUGAUGAUAACAAAUAAUCACGAUUAUUGGACUAAUUCUUUUAUCUUAAGUCUUGUGUUUUAGAUCUCUCUAUCUUCAAAAAGGAUUCAAGAUGGGCAAUAUUCUAGCACCAAGCUUCACCUCUUGAAGCUGUGUUUGCUUCUUUUGUCAAAUAGACAAACUCACUCUCUCCAUUCUUAAUUUGAUUAAUAUUAUGCUUAUGAUUAGAGUGAGAAACUUUGAGUUAAGUUUAAACUAUUCUUCUUAUCACCUUAUAGAUCACUUAAACAAAUUUCUAAAUUUAUGAUUAGGUGAAAAGAACUUUUAAAUAUUCAAAAAUUGCUCAAAUUCUGUGUUCUGUAAAGUUGCAAUUUCUGGACCCUGUUCUGGGCGCCCGAAAGUGGAUCCGAAUCUUUUGAAACCUUUUGGAUCCUGCCUGUUUGCUGUUCGGGUGAUCCAGNAUUGAAAUAUUACUCUUACAAAUAUUGCAUUCCUUUACAUGCAAAAUGAAAAUCACUUAUUUAUUUUGAGAUAAUUGCAAAUGGCUCCCUGCAAAGAUAAUCAGAUAAUAAUUAAAUAUAUUCCUAUAAAACAAAAGUUAUCAGAUUUAUUCCUCCAAAAGUCCUCCCCUCUAUAAAUAUAUCCUUCUGUUAGACUGUUACCAAAAUUUUAAAUAACUGACCUUACUCUAAAUAGUGAAAAGAAUUUUCUAUAAACUUUUCAUCGAAUUUGGAUUGUUUUACACCGUUAAACUCACAAACAUACCACAUCGGCCAUUAAAAUUGUCAAUUUUGAGAUAUUUUGAUCACUAGUCAAAUGAUGUCGAAAAAAUCUGAAAUUUAGUUUCCAAAUACUUUCAAUAGUGUAGAUCAAGUCUAACAGAGCCAAUCGUCGAUUUGGAAGCCACAUCAUCGAAAACCACUUGGUAGCACGGAAGCCUCCGUGCUACCGAUAGUAUAGCAGCCGGACUCUCUCUCACUCUGGGACUCUAUAUAUAUAGAGAGAGAGUGAGAGAGAGUCCGGUUGCUAUGCUAUCGAUAGCACCAAGCACUUGGUGCUAUCAAGUUUUCUGCUGUUAAAUUAACCCCUUUGAUUAUUUUACCCAUUAGAUUACACUAUUCAACCAACUACCCACUCAACCCUAGGGGGCCCACAUCAUCCUAACCGCACAUUUCUCAAUUGAAGGGCUAAAAAUCUAAUAGCACCAAUAAUUUGGUGCUAUUGAUAGUAUUCCAACCUAACCCACUCAAUCCUAGGGGGCACACAUCAUCCUAAUCGCACAUUUCUCAAUCGAAGGGCUAAAAAAUUAAUAGCACCAAUAAUUUGGUGCUAUUGAUAGUAUUCCAGCCUAGCUCUAUAUAUAUAUAUAUAUAUAUAUAUAUAUANNNNNNNNNNNNNNNNNNNNNNNNNNNNNNNNNNNNNNNNNNNNNNNNNNNNNNNNNNNNNNNNNNNNNNNNNNNNNNNNNNNNNNNNNNNNNNNNNNNNNNNNNNNNNNNNNNNNNNNNNNNNNNNNNNNNNNNNNNNNNNNNNNNNNNNNNNNNNNNNNNNNNNNNNNNNNNNNNNNNNNNNNNNNNNNNNNNNNNNNNNNNNNNNNNNNNNNNNNNNNNNNNNNNNNNNNNNNNNNNNNNNNNNNNNNNNNNNNNNNNNNNNNNNNNNNNNNNNNNNNNNNNNNNNNNNNNNNNNNNNNNNNNNNNNNNNNNNNNNNNNNNNNNNNNNNNNNNNNNNNNNNNNNNNNNNNNNNNNNNNNNNNNNNNNNNNNNNNNNNNNNNNNNNNNNNNNNNNNNNNNNNNNNNNNNNNNNNNNNNNNNNNNNNNNNNNNNNNNNNNNNNNNNNNNNNNNNNNNNNNNNNNNNNNNNNNNNNNNNNNNNNNNNNNNNNNNNNNNNNNNNNNNNNNNNNNNNNNNNNNNNNNNNNNNNNNNNNNNNNNNNNNNNNNNNNNNNNNNNNNNNNNNNNNNNNNNNNNNNNNNNNNNNNNNNNNNNNNNNNNNNNNNNNNNNNNNNNNNNNNNNNNNNNNNNNNNNNNNNNNNNNNNNNNNNNNNNNNNNNNNNNNNNNNNNNNNNNNNNNNNNNNNNNNNNNNNNNNNNNNNNNNNNNNNNNNNNNNNNNNNNNNNNNNNNNNNNNNNNNNNNNNNNNNNNNNNNNNNNNNNNNNNNNNNNNNNNNNNNNNNNNNNNNNNNNNNNNNNNNNNNNNNNNNNNNNNNNNNNNNNNNNNNNNNNNNNNNNNNNNNNNNNNNNNNNNNNNNNNNNNNNNNNNNNNNNNNNNNNNNNNNNNNNNNNNNNNNNNNNNNNNNNNNNNNNNNNNNNNNNNNNNNNNNNNNNNNNNNNNNNNNNNNNNNNNNNNNNNNNNNNNNNNNNNNNNNNNNNNNNNNNNNNNNNNNNNNNNNNNNNNNNNNNNNNNNNNNNNNNNNNNNNNNNNNNNNNNNNNNNNNNNNNNNNNNNNNNNNNNNNNNNNNNNNNNNNNNNNNNNNNNNNNNNNNNNNNNNNNNNNNNNNNNNNNNNNNNNNNNNNNNNNNNNNNNNNNNNNNNNNNNNNNNNNNNNNNNNNNNNNNNNNNNNNNNNNNNNNNNNNNNNNNNNNNNNNNNNNNNNNNNNNNNNNNNNNNNNNNNNNNNNNNNNNNNNNNNNNNNNNNNNNNNNNNNNNNNNNNNNNNNNNNNNNNNNNNNNNNNNNNNNNNNNNNNNNNNNNNNNNNNNNNNNNNNNNNNNNNNNNNNNNNNNNNNNNNNNNNNNNNNNNNNNNNNNNNNNNNNNNNNNNNNNNNNNNNNNNNNNNNNNNNNNNNNNNNNNNNNNNNNNNNNNNNNNNNNNNNNNNNNNNNNNNNNNNNNNNNNNNNNNNNNNNNNNNNNNNNNNNNNNNNNNNNNNNNNNNNNNNNNNNNNNNNNNNNNNNNNNNNNNNNNNNNNNNNNNNNNNNNNNNNNNNNNNNNNNNNNNNNNNNNNNNNNNNNNNNNNNNNNNNNNNNNNNNNNNNNNNNNNNNNNNNNNNNNNNNNNNNNNNNNNNNNNNNNNGAACCGAUCGCCGAAUCAGACGUCUCAUCAUCGAAAAUAACUUACAAGUACGGAGGCUCCUGUACUUUCAAAAGUAUAGGAGCCUAGCUCUAUAUAUAUUGAGAGAGAGAGAGAGAGAGAGAGAGAGAGAGAGAGGCUAGGGGAAAAAAAAAAGUCCCGGAAGCCCCCGCGAAACGCGGGGAAGGCGCCGUACAAACUCAGCUUUUACUAUAUGUAUUGAUAACUGGAAGGGAGGGGGUCCACAUUAAAAAACAAAAAAAAUAAAAAUAGUGGGACAAGUUCGGAUGUCAUUGUCUUUUUUCUUUCUUUUUUUUCUUGUUUUUUAAACAGUAAUGUCAUAGCUAGUCUCUUUUCCUGUCCCUAUCCUUCCUAGUCGCUAGCAUGAUUUUGCUCAACAAAUCAAAAGCAUGUGUCCUUUCUGAGGAUAAGGAAAGAAAUUCAAUUAAUGGUGCAUAUAAUAAUAUAUAGUAAUAAUUAAUAAAAUAAUAAUAAUAAAAAAAAAAGAAGAAAACAAACUCUAGAAGGAAUCUACAACAUUUGACGUAUGCUUUGUGGGCCUUCUAUUUAUUGCAUUUUGUAUCUGUUUGCAUGCGUUGUUAAGGCGUCAUCAUCACGAAUUUUGACGCAGCAUCUGUACCUACUUUUGUUGUUUUCUUAAUCUUAUAUUCUUAUUUGGCAUGCGUGCACACAGGUAGUUCAUUAUUCAUGGUCCUAUAAUAUAUAAUAUAUAUAUAUAUAUAUAUAUAUAUGUAUAUAUAUAUACAUUAUAUUAUGAACUAGUAUAAUUCCACCCUCAAAUUCAACUGUUUUAAAAAAUUUACUUGUUUAAUCAGUUCAAUCCAAAUAAUGAUUAGUAUAACUCAUUUUAAAUUUUUUAAUUACUAAUUUUUAUAUAUAUGUAAAACAAGAAAUAUAAUACUAAUUAUAAUUAUUGAGUUAAUAAUUACUUAGGUAAUCGCGGCGUGUGAUUCUUUCAAAACCUAAUUGUUUGAAUUGUUGAAUCAAGACUAAACAAAAAAGAAAUAACUUGUUGAAUCAAAAGAUUCCGUUACUACUAGUUGAGCUUUCAACUUUCCAACUGUUCAAUAUGAUUUUAUUGAGCCCAUCAAAUUUAUGUUUGACUCGGACCACGAAAACUUCUGGUCGAGAAUUCAAGAAUAAAUAAUCGGCGGAGAAUAUACAGUUAAAAACCGAAACCUUGUCCACAUGGACGGAGCGCUACAUUGUUGAGGCUCACGUGCCAGACCUUCCUUAACUUUUAUAAAAAUGAUAUAAGCCUUUAUACUAACAAUUAAAAAUAUAUAUAUUUUUGUUUUGGGGAGAGCGCGAAAUUGGAUUUUUUUUAUAUAAAACUUGUAUCUCAAAUGUUUUUUUCAAAUCUUUAUGAUCAUUAUUCCUUCUGAUAUAUUACAAAUUUUGCUUCUCUCUUGAGCAUCAUUGUGCGCUUAGUCAUUAGCAAUCAAGGUACCAGGAGAACAUAACAAACUCUUUUUCUUAGCUAUCCACCUAACUCUGUCUCCUCCUUGGCCUAAUGCCAUCUGUACAUCAUCUCUACGGGUGUUUGCUUGGCAGGUAGAGGGGAGAUAAGGGGUUCCCCUUUAUCCCCAACAAGAUUAGAAAUGGGGUGAGGUUAACAACCGCAACCCGCACCCCUAGGAAUUGGUGGGGGGAUGCUAAUCACAAUCCAUAUUAAUUUUUAAUGAAUUUAAUUUAAAUUUUAAAUUUAAAUUUUAAUAUUUUAAAAUUUAAUAAUUUGUAAUCUUAAAAUUAACACUUAUAAUUUUAAAUUCUAAAAUUUAAAUUUUAAAUUUAAAAUUAUUUUUUUUAAUUUUUUAAAAUUUAAAUUUUGAUAUUUGAUAUUUUUAAAUUUAUAUUUAAUCUUAAAUUUAAAAUUUAAAUUUAGAACUUCAAAUUUUUAAAUUUGAUAUUAAAAAAUUUUAAUUUUAAUUUUGAAUUUUUUAAUUUUAUAUAUUUAAAUUUAAAAAUUUAAAUUCAAAUAUAAUAUAAGGAGCAAUAUUAUUACUUUCUAUUUAUAAUUACCAACUAUUUUUUUUUAUUUCAUCUUAUCUAUUCAAACGCUAAUUUUUUUUAUUUUCGAAAAUAACUCAAUUUUCAUCCAAACGUAAAAUUGGUCUAUUUCAGGUUUAUACUUGAACUUGUAUCUAUCUCUGAAAUAAAUAUAUAGUUUUUGUUUAUAUCCGAACCAAACGAAGCCGAAAGUACUGGCAGGGGAAAUAGGACUAUAAUUCACCCUCUGUUGCCGUGUAGGACUUUUCAUUAUCCUCAAUCCUAAAACAAUUGCGCACCCACUAUCCGCAAAACCGUACGUGGUUGAUCCAUUAAGUGGGCCAUAAAAUUGUUGUCGUAAUUUAAAUCUUCUCUAAGCUUCUAGCAAAGUUAUUAGCAGUACUCCCCUUUUUCUAUUGAUUUUUUUAGAGUUAUUAUCUAAUCUUUAUCUUAUUAUUAAGUGAUAGACAAUGGUAUCAGACUCAUGAUGAUGAAAUUAUUGUUUGAACUUGGUCCACUACAUCAGUCAAGAAUCAAAAAAAAAAAUUUAGAAUUUAAUUCCAAGCAACAAGUGCAAUUAUAAUCUACAAUCUGUAAAAACCAGGAGUUCGAUUCUUAAAAGUUCAAGAACCUCAGUCACGUACAUAUGAAAUAUUGGAUCUAUGUUCAACGGAUCACACCUACCAAGAAAAAAUAUUUUGUUUCGGUUCGACCCGUAGCCACAUAUGAAAUAUCCGAUAAGAUAAAUUUAGCUGGCAACACUUUUCCCUUUGGAUAUCUUGCAGGAAAAGAAUAAUAUCCAACUUAGAGUUGUCAAAAAAGACUGUCGCUUUAUAUGAGAAAAAUUUUAAUUAUUGAAAAUUUAUAUAAUUUACUAGAUUUUUGCAAAUUAGCACGGUUUGAAUAUGAAAUAGCAUUUCAUACUAUUUAGAGUGUUCUGGAGGUUUUCUGGAUGAGCUGAUUCAGUUCUAGCGCGAAAACAAAGUCUGGAAUCAGCUUAUGCAGAAACUAAAAUUCGGUGAACUUCCGGAUGCUUUGAAGUGGUUGCGGGUGCCUACAAAUGGUGUGUACCUGAGAUUUUUGUGAAUUCUGUUGCCCGGAUUAUCUUGUGGAUGCUAGAAUACUUUUGGACGGGGAAUAGGAUGCCCGGAGGUGGACUUGGACAUAACCCAAGAGCUCGAGUUACUAUUCACCUUAAAUAUUUGGGCGUCAGGAAUCCCCUGCGAGCGCCCAUAAUCGUGUGGAUGGUUUAGAGGGGCGUCGGAAAUCUGUUAGCAGCUGCAUCAGUUAUGACCUUUCGGACUCCCAAAAUAUUCUAGGUGCCCGAAACCUGACGCGAGCCGGAAGGUUGUUUUCUUGUAAUUUUUUUGGUUGUGGAGUUUAAGUGAAAUUGUUUCAACCCUAUAAGUCACCCCUCACCCUCAAGUGCCUCUCUCAUUCCUCACCUAAGAACCCUAGCCCUUCCUUUUCUGCAUCUCCUUCAUCACUCUCACUUGUUCCCUAUCAACUACUUGUGUUGUAUUUUGGUUUCUACUUUCCUCCUAAUAAUUUUUAGUCCCUUCAAGGUUCCAUUUUGAGCUGAGUAAGGAGGAGAACUCUUGGAGAAACCUCUCUUGUGUAGUAACAAGUUAAAGCAUGGUAGAGAUAAGAUUUAGUGUUUUGGAGAUAUGCAAUAAUGGUUUUGGCAUGAUUUCUUUAGAAAUAAUGGUAUUGAGAUAAUUUUGGAGGUGGUUGUUCUUUAUUCAUAUACUAGUGUAGGCCCGCGCUUUGCGGCGGGAAAUUUAUGCAAUUUAUUUAAACUUUAAAAUUUUUAACGUCCUUUUGUUUAAAUCCUAAAAUUUGAACUUAACAUUUUGAACAUUUAAAUUUAAAAAAAUACAUUUUAUCUUAAUUCAAUUUGUAUAUUUUGAAUAUAUGAUUUUAAAUAGAGUUUUGUUGAUUCCUAAUCUUUCUAAUUCUAAACUUUUAUAUGCAUCGAAUAACUCGCUGUAAUUUUUAUUUUUUAGGAAUUCAGCUAGAUCAAAUUUGACAAUUGCCGUGAUAUAAAUUUAAUAAAUUAAUAUAUAUAAUUUUAAAAUUUUAAUUUAUAAUUUGAAUAUAAAAUUUAAAAAAUCUAACAAUUAAAACUAAAUUUUAUAAAUUUAAAACAUGAAUUUAAAAAAUUAGUUCUUAGUAAUUAAAAAAUAUAAGCAUUUUAAAUUUUAAGUUUUAAUUUUAAUAUACAUAUUAAAUAUAAAGGAAUUUUGAAAAAUCAAGUCUGUUAAAUUUAAAUUGUGAAAUUUCAGAUUUCAAAGUUAAAAUUUAAAAAUUUAUAGCUUCCAGUCACCAUUUUAUAGUAGCGCAAUUUUGCAAAAGUGAACUAAAAAUUCCAUCAAAAACUGAAUUAUAGAACGAACAUAAUAGUUCCAUAACAACAAUAUGAAUAGGAUACCAGAAGGCUGAUUCACCGUGUAAACUUGUAACUAUUGUCACGGCCCUGCCCUUCGUUUGAAAAACAGCGGAAACGACUAUUUUUUUUUUGAAACACCUGACCCCAAUAAUGUCAGAUCGGCCACAAAUACAGGCAAAUCCACUGUUCACACGGACAGAUCUCCCGUAAAUUCGGCACGGCGGUCGCACAAUAGCAAUUAUACAACCAGAAAUACAACCACAACCCAUAUGAAAGCAUACAACGACCACACUACAUACGUCCAUACAUUCACCAUCACAACAUAUAUCCAUAUUCAUAAAUAUUAAACACUAAAUCGGCAGAUCUAUCAUUUGAACCUUUCCUUCCGAAACAAGUUUGAAAAUACUAAGUCUCAAAAAUCCAUUGGAACUCUUUAAGACUGUUCCCACAUUGGAAAUCUUUAUCUUAAAAUCGCUACCACGAGGGGUAGAUAACAUCGAAAAACUGUGUCGCAUAUAAAAGCCCUUUUCUUUUUAAAACAAGCCGCUACCAACGAAGGUGAUUUAAAAAUCAUUUUUUACUUUGAAAAGCCCACAUAAGAUUCUUUUAAUACACAACGCUAAAGCCAGCAAAAAACCAAAUUACUUUAAGUACAGAAAUGAACUUGAACCUCAUAAUAAAAGUUUACUAUUUGAUUCAAAGCAAAUGAAAAAGAGAUAAACCAAACGGACGAAGCUCUAACGCGCGCUAGACUCGCUCACUCACUAUCUGCCGUCCAACUCGGACUACUGUCGAUCCGGUCACCUUAAUGGGGGCGGCGGGUGAGAACAUAGUAAAGCAUGUCUCCCCUCACCAGUGGGUACGCAGCCCGACGAGGGCGAGGGUACGCACCCAGCAAGGAGCUAAAACAACAUAAGGGUAACAAAAUACAGUAGUACUAUAUAUAAUAACAGAAAUACAAGUAAGGAAACUAAUGUAACAAGUAUGAACUACUCUGUAUGUAUGGCACAACUGGUGGAUAGUCCAAUGGAUACCCAAUCUAAACCUGCCUGUGGUACCGGAGACCUCAACAGCCUAAUGCCACCAAUCACUCACCUGCAUAUACGCCAGUCCGUAACCUCUGAGCUCACGUGGCAAGCCAACACUUUUCGGAAAGAACACCCCCUCGCGGUGAUCGACCGCUGGUGUUCGUGAAAUGCGAAGCGAGUGUUUGACGAAUCGAUGCUGCUAUGCUCCAAUACAAUCGUCGGCAGCUCACCGACAAUACUGGCCCCUGGCAUACCGACCGUAUAGGUCAUCAAACAACGGAACGCGUCGAGAUAGUCAAUUGUAACGUAAAGUAAUGAACGACCAAACGUCACGCCGAUGGCAACUAGAGAACGACAUCAGGUACAUUAUACGUAUAAUUACUAAUGCCAUCUACUCUAUCCCUACAUCAGAAUACUACGAGCAAUAGGAAUCCCUACCGCACGGGCCAGAGAAAUAAAGACAAGUAUAUGGUGGCAAGCCAAAACUGUUUAAAGAGUAAGGCAUAAUGACUAAAGAUGUAAAAGAAUAGCGUUUAAGGAAGACAUCAUCGAGCAGUGCACCACUGUAUCUCCGACAUUUCGAUCGAAGUACCCACGCUGUAUACAGCUGAAACGGUCUCGCGAAAGGCGGAGACGAAGCGACGACUAGGAAGGGUCCAACGGGUUAAGAGUCUAACCCACAAACACAAUAACAGACACGACCAUUUCUCACACAAAUCCUAACCAAACCCCUUCGAAAUGGUUUCUCAAAUGCAACUACCCGAAGCCAGCCAGACGUCCGGAAACCCGUAUCGAAAUCCACANNNNNNNNNNNNNNNNNNNNNNNNNNNNNNNNNNNNNNNNNNNNNNNNNNNNNNNNNNNNNNNNNNNNNNNNNNNNNNNNNNNNNNNNNNNNNNNNNNNNNNNNNNNNNNNNNNNNNNNNNNNNNNNNNNNNNNNNNNNNNNNNNNNNNNNNNNNNNNNNNNNNNNNNNNNNNNNNNNNNNNNNNNNNNNNNNNNNNNNNNNNNNNNNNNNNNNNNNNNNNNNNNNNNNNNNNNNNNNNNNNNNNNNNNNNNNNNNNNNNNNNNNNNNNNNNNNNNNNNNNNNNNNNNNNNNNNNNNNNNNNNNNNNNNNNNNNNNNNNNNNNNNNNNNNNNNNNNNNNNNNNNNNNNNNNNNNNNNNNNNNNNNNNNNNNNNNNNNNNNNNNNNNNNNNNNNNNNNNNNNNNNNNNNNNNNNNNNNNNNNNNNNNNNNNNNNNNNNNNNNNNNNNNNNNNNNNNNNNNNNNNNNNNNNNNNNNNNNNNNNNNNNNNNNNNNNNNNNNNNNNNNNNNNNNNNNNNNNNNNNNNNNNNNNNGGGGGGUUCUAGGGUUAGGGUUAGCUCAAGAAACCCUAGGUCAACCUAUAUAUAGGUGCUGCGACUUUGCGGAAAACCCCCUUCAAGGCUGAACGGUUUAAACCCAGCUCCCUGCCAGCGAGUGCUUUAUGCACGACAAUCCCUCCGAGUUUGAAAACUCGCAAAUCGGCGCAUAAAAUAUUAGGUCUUUUCGCGAAUAAUCCGAUUUCUCAAAUCAGCCCCUUCGUGGACUUUUUGCGAUUCCCGAAGAUCCGUCCGUCGGAUUUCCGAUCGGAUAGCACCAGCGCGAUCAGCACGACAGAGGCAUCGAAUCUAGCAUUUCGUUUCGCCCGAAAAGGUUUCCGAUUUGCGACAAAACCAUCCCUCCUAGGUUCCACCAAAAACCACAUAUAGACAACUAUAUGUAAAAACCAUUAAACCCCUUUUUCUCGAAAUCCGUGCAGCCAAUUCCAAUUCCGUCAGUGCCAUUGGGUCCAGGAUAGUCAAGCGGUUGAAAACGAGCUAUUGGAAGGCUAUAUUCGGAGUCCGAUACGCGUCGAAAGUCCACUCUACUCCACGGCCUCUCUGGAAAACCGAAGUUACUAUUCACUUAAGUCAAACUUCCGGGUCGCGUAACUUCUCCGUUUUAACUCGUUUUCUCCUGAAAUUUGACGAGUACACUUAUAAUUGUAUUACACACAAGAAAUCAUCAAACAAAAGGGUUUAAUCAAUAAAUCAAAAAUCUCAGUUAUUACAAAUAUGAAACCAGCGAUUCAACCUACAUGAAAAGUCCAAAUUUGCAUCAAAAAAUUGGAAUAGAACUAUAAUAAGAAUUGCUUCAGAUAUUUGUACAUAAUUUAGAUGGGUUACAGCCAUUUACUUACAGAUUCACCACUUGCAUUCAUAAAAGUUUGAGGUUUGGCAAGCAUGAUAGGAGAAUCACCAAUACGACCUGCAUAUAAACCGAUUAAAAUAUAUCUAACUCCAAGUAUAUAUAUAAUCUAUAUUAAGUUACCAACGGGAUUUGCAGUUUUCAGAAUAAAAUGAGCACCGAUAAUUAAACAGACAAAGACAAACUUGCAUAUUUGUUUGUGGAUAUUAGCCUACACCUACAAAAGUUCGCAACACAUUCCUACAGGGAAAAAAAUCAGUCAUUUGGCUCUCCUACAGAGAAAAGAAUAAGUCAUUUGGAUUAUUUAAAGAACAAUGUUGAUGUAUAUGUAAAAAAAUUUUAAAAUUCAAAUUUUAACAUUUUAAAAUUCAAUAUUCAAAUACAAAAUUUAAAAUUCAAUACGGUAUUUUUUUUUCUUUAUAUAUAGAUGUUUAAAAGAAAGCCAAAUAAGCUACAUUCAAAAUAAAAAAUUUAAAUUUAAAAUUAAUUUAAUUUUUGUAUGCGACCCACAACACUCAGGGCUGGCAUCCGCGCCGGUCGCACCUGCGUUUAAAAUUAUUUUAAUGUUUCGUAGGCCACCCACAACACUCGGGCUCGCAUCCACGCCGGUUUGCGCCCUCGCACCCGCGGCCACUCCCGAUCGGGCGCGCCCGCUCGCACCCGCGCACGCACCCGCUCGCCCACGUGCGUCCGCUCGUGCCCGCGCAAAAAAAUAAAUUUUAAACAUAAAUUUAAAUUCAACCCACUCGCGCCUGCACACGCACCCGCUCGCCCGCACGUGUCCGCUCGCGCCCACGAAAAAAAUUUAAAUUUAAUUUAAUUUAAUUUAAUUUCAUUUAAAUUUAAAUUUAAAAAUUUUCUGUAUGNNNNNNNNNNNNNNNNNNNNNNNNNNNNNNNNNNNNNNNNNNNNNNNNNNNNNNNNNNNNNNNNNNNNNNNNNNNNNNNNNNNNNNNNNNNNNNNNNNNNNNNNNNNNNNNNNNNNNNNNNNNNNNNNNNNNNNNNNNNNNNNNNNNNNNNNNNNNNNNNNNNNNNNNNNNNNNNNNNNNNNNNNNNNNNNNNNNNNNNNNNNNNNNNNNNNNNNNNNNNNNNNNNNNNNNNNNNNNNNNNNNNNNNNNNNNNNNNNNNNNNNNNNNNNNNNNNNNNNNNNNNNNNNNNNNNNNNNNNNNNNNNNNNNNNNNNNNNNNNNNNNNNNNNNNNNNNNNNNNNNNNNNNNNNNNNNNNNNNNNNNNNNNNNNNNNNNNNNNNNNNNNNNNNNNNNNNNNNNNNNNNNNNNNNNNNNNNNNNNNNNNNNNNNNNNNNNNNNNNNNNNNNNNNNNNNNNNNNNNNNNNNNNNNNNNNNNNNNNNNNNNNNNNNNNNNNNNNNNNNNNNNNNNNNNNNNNNNNNNNNNNNNNNNNNNNNNNNNNNNNNNNNNNNNNNNNNNNNNNNNNNNNNNNNNNNNNNNNNNNNNNNNNNNNNNNNNNNNNNNNNNNNNNNNNNNNNNNNNNNNNNNNNNNNNNNNNNNNNNNNNNNNNNNNNNNNNNNNNNAGAGAGAGAGAGAGAGAGAGAGAAAGAGCCGGGGGGCUGCCAUGUGCGCGGUCCCCUCUCGCCGGGGCACGCGAGCAGAGAGAGAGAGAGAGAGCCCGCCCCGCCAUGUGCGCGGGUCCCCUCUCGCGCUGGCACGCGAGCAGAGAGAGAGAGAGAAAGAAAGAGAGGGAGAGGGAGACAGAGAAAGAAAGAGAAAGAGAGAGAGGGAGAACCCGCCCCUACCUCGGAACUGAGAAGGAUGGGGGUUGCUGGGGAGGCGACGCGUGGCACUUUAAGGUUGCCCUUUUAUUAUAUGUAUUGAUUGAGUUAUGAACACACCGAAUAAAUCCUAAUAUGUGAAUUAUGAUUAACGAGAAUAAUUUGGAUAUAUAAUGAGAGUAGAGCUGGAAUACUAUCAAUAACAAAUGGAUUCCAUUGCCAUCAAUUUAUUUUUAAUGAUAGAGCCUCCAAAUCGACGCUCGGCACUAUUGAAUAUAAUCUAUAUCACUUGAAAUAUUUAGAAACUAAAUUUCAAAUCUUUUCGACAUUAUUGACCUAAUGAUCAAAGGGUUUCAAAUUUGCAACUUUAAUGGUCGAUAAAAAACGUUUUCUCAUUUAACAGCAUAGAGAUAUCCAAACCAAUUGAAUUUCAGUUAGAAAAUUCUUUAAACUAUUUAGAACAAGAUUUUGUAGGUUACAGAAACCCUAGGAUCAAUCUAGAUAAUAUCACACCUAGAGGGGGGGUGAAUAGGUGUAUGGCCUAAAUUCGCAAAACUCAAUGCUAUGAAAAAUAAAUGCAGAAAAUAAAAAUAGCAUACCGAGAUUUACGUGGGAAACUCCACUUUGGAGAAAAACCAACGGGACCAACACGCGAAAACACAAUUCACUUAAGAGAAAAGAUUAUAAGGUGAUUAUCGACUCCACGGACUCGACCUCUCUUAACCUCCUAUGAAUCUCGCGCAAGCCUCCGGGUUGUCCACGCCCUCAAGUUCGAAUCCACGAACGCAUGGCACACGUCCGAAUCCACGAACGUCACUCGAAUCCACGAGCUCACGAUCCGAAUCCUCGAACCGCCUUCGAUCACGUCGAAUCCACGAUGCCGUUCAUGAAGAACAUCAUGAUUAUUUGGUGAUCCUUCGCUUAGAGUAUCGAUGAAGAACCAGAGAAGAAUCUCUAAGCGAACCUUAAAUCAAUUCGACCUAUAGAUAUCAAAUUACAAUAUCUCGAAUUGACCUAAAAGAGGUUAAUAUGUGGAAAAUAGGUUUAGAACGAAACCUAGCCUCUAGGGUUACUCUUUCAUAUAUUCUCGUGCUUUUUUAUCAAUUAGAGAACCUCAAUAGUUUAUUUAUAGACCUUAAAAUUAAUUAGAGUCGGAUUAGAGGCAUUAUUAGGAAUUUUAUAUUGAGUACCGGUACUCAGUAAGUUGGUACCGGUACCUCAUGACGGAACAAAAAAUUUCUGAGGCUGAGUACCGGUACCAAGUCGAUGCAGUACUGGUACGUAGUCGAUUGAGUACCGCAAUACCGGUACCGGUCCAAUGCAAUACCGGUACUCAAUGCAAUUUCCAGAAUUGCAUCUCUCGGGUUUGAGGUACCAAUAGGAGGUACCAGUACCACUUGUUGAAACUUGAAUUUUCGAGGACGGUUUUGAGGAACUGAAAUAUAGUACCGAUACACAUUAUCAAAAACUUUUAUAAUCAAUUCAAAAGUACCAAAACCCAUUUCUAAUCCUUUAAACAUUUAAUUAUAUGAUUCUAAUAUCAUAAAUAAGUAUGAAUCACUAUAACAUGAUUUAAAACCUUACCUGAGCAUCGUGAUUCAUGCAGUGAGAUGUUUCUGAGUUCUCGGAACCUUGGAUUCUUCGAUCUUCGACAAUCAUGCAACGAACGUAUCAAGACUCCGACUCAAAUCACGAAAUUUGCCAACACAAAAUACUUAACAGAUUUAUAUAUACUCUUGAUCUUGAUUACAAAACUCUUAUCACGAGAGAACAAUAUAAAAAAAAUAAAAUUUAGUUUUUAGAUGCUUCAGGUAGUAUAGAUCAUGUUCAACAGUACUGAUUGUCGAUUUGAAAACUCUAUCAUAAAAAAUACUGGAGAUAGGUGACAAUGGAGCCCGUUUGUUAUUGAUAGUGAUCUCCUAGGAUUGAGUGGGUGGUUGGGUGAAUAGUAUAAUCUAACGGGUAGAAAUGAUCAAAAGGUAGAUCUAACAGUAGAAAACUCGAUAGUAUCAAGAGCUUGGUGCUAUAUAUCGAUAGUAUAGUAACCGGACUAUAUAUAUAUAUAUACAUAUUCAUAUAUACAUAUAUAUAUACAUAUGUACAUAUGUAUAUAUAUAAUAUAUUAAUAUGAUUAGCUGGUAUCUACUAAUGAGUAAAGCUCUAUUUUGCUAUCAGUUUUUAACCUUUGGAUGAAAAUGUUGUAGGGUCAGGAUGACUAUUUGAGUUCGUGAGAGUUGAGUGGUCCGCCUAUGGGUUUGAGUGUCCCCACCUGGUUAUAUAGUAUUUAAUCCAAUGGUUAGAGAAAUAAUGAAUAAGAGUUGAUCCAAAGCUUAAAACUGGUAGCAACAUGGGAUUUUGCUACUAAUAGUAGCCCAGUCCCAACUAUAUAUAGUAUUAUAAUAUAUAUAUAUAUAAAUGCUAUGAUUAUUAAGAAAGGAAGAGACGAGAGAGAGAGGAUUAAGAGAUAGUAGGGCUAGACAUAACUUUUACAAGUGAAUACCCAAGUGAUACUUAUGUGUUUUUUUAACCAUUUGAUUUAUUUUUUGAUGUACAAAUAGCCUUUAGAUCAAACACUAUUCUACCUACCCCACCUAAUCACACCUACCACCAUCAUCUCAACCUUCACAUCUCUCCAUCCAAUGGGCUAAAACACACAAUAAUCACUUGGUGAUACUUUUACAAGUGAUUCUAGCUCUACUCUAUAUAUAUAAUAUAUAUGCUUAUUAUACUAUUAUCAGUAUGAUCGCCUCGUACUCAUACAGUUGUUUUCCGAUGAAGAUGCUUUCCGAAUCGACGAUCGCCACACACGUUAACCGUUAUUCUAGAUAUGUUGACACCCCAAUAGAUUCCACAUCGAAUGGGAAUGGGUUGUCAUUGGGUUUAUAAGAGACUUAGACACUAGUAAUAAUAACUGGGCUUAAGCAUUUUGGGCCGGUUGUUUAGGUCACAAGUUAUUGUUGCUAGUGGGCUGGAUCGUUUAGCAGUUGCGUAUCAGAAGCGUCCAUGCCAGCUGGACAGUGUAUGGCAGUCUUCGCUGAGCUAGGGUCUGGAUGACGGGCUAGCGAGACGAGUCUCACAUCGCCUGGUGAUCUUGGGCUGUGUGUGUGAUUAGACUGACGAGGACGUCAGGGCCUUAACGGAGGGAGUCUGUGAUACCCCAAUAAUCCCACAUCGGAUGGGAAUGGGGUUGUCAUUGGGUUUAUAAGAGACUUAGACACUAGUAAUAAUAACUGGGCUUAAGCAUUUUGGGCCAGUUUUUUUGUCCAACGAGUUAUUGUUGCUAGUGGGCUGGGUCGUUACACUAGAGCAUUUAAAAUGUUUAGAAAUCAAAUUUUAUAAUUUUUCGACAUCAUUUACCUUACGAUCAAAAGGUCACAUAAUUGACAAUUUUUAACGCCCGGUAUGGGAUAUGUGCUAGUUUGACGGUAUAAAAGAAUCGAAAUUAGUUGAAUUUCUGGUAAAGAUAAAGAUCAAUAACUCUAAUUUUAAAUUGAAGAAUCCGAUCAUCCAUUUUUAAGGCGUCGUUCGAUUUUGACUGUUCAUUUUAAACCCGCUUGAUGAAGUUUCUUAUGAUUUUGAAAAAUUACGAAAUUUACUUUCUAGAAGUUUCAAAAAUACUUUAGAUCAUAUUUAAUGGAGUGGAUUGUUUAUUCGUAAGCACUAAUUUAAUGAGUUUUAGAAUUACAAUUUAGGCAUUACUUUUAUAUCAAUAUAUAAAAAAAAUUACAAAUUGGUAAAUAUUCAAAUUCAAUAUAUUUAAUAUGUUUAAGGAAUUUUAGAAUUUCUUUAAUUUAGACAUUAAUUUUGUCUUACUAAAAAAUUUUGAAUUUAGGUAAAUAUUUAAAUUCAACGUAUUUAAUAUGUUUAAGAAAUUUUUGAAUUCUCUCUAGUUUAGAAAUUAAUUUUUAUCACUCUUUAAAAAAAUUGAAACUGGAUAAAAAUUUAAAUUCAACAUAUUUAAUAUGAUUAAGGAAUUUUAGAAUUCCUCUAAUUUAGACAUUAAUUUUGUAUUAUUAUUUAAAAAAAAUUAAUAUAGUUAAAUAUUUGAUUCAAAAGGAAUAUAGGGUAUAAUUCAAAUUUAUUCUCAGAAUAGAGUUGUCCGAGCGAAAUUAAUUCAAAUUUUAAUAGUAAAAAUUGAUCUUUUAAAAGUAAUGAGAUCAUGUAUUAUAAUUUAGAAUAUAAACUGAAAAUAAAUUUUUAGUUUAGAAUCUAAACAGUAUAUAGAAACCACCUAUAAGUUUAAACAUUAUAUUGCAAUUUAAACUUACGGCUGAACAAAUCUAGACUAUAUAAUUUAAAUUUUAAGCUUAUAAUAAAUCUCCACCAUAGAGUUUUAAUAAAAUAAACAAAAUUAAGACUGUAGAUAAAUUAAAUAAAUCUAUAUAGAACAAAUCUAGGCUAUUUGUAUAUUUUAUUAAUUUGAUUAGUCUAACUGAUUUGAUUUAUUAAGCUAGUUUUGAUUUUUACCUUCAAAAUUUUUAAGCUUUUAGUCAAAUUUCAAAAUUUUAGUUCCUUACAUUUUAGUUUGCAAUUAGCUUGCUAACUAAUUUUAAUUAAUUAAGUUAGUAUCAAUGAUUUAAAAAUCAAAUUGAACCGACUAGUUCGAGCGGUCAAACCAUAAUCCAAUCUAUCAUGUGGUUCGGUUCAAUCCUUCAAAUUGUAUAAGUUUAAGAAUAGUUUUGAACCAUUAGAGAUAACAAAUGUUUCAAAUAAUGACAUUUUAUAACAAUCAGAAUCGAUAAUAAAUAUUUUAAAUGGAAAAAUUAAAAAGGUUAAGAUUAGUGGUUUUUAAAAAAAAAGUAAUGAUUAGGGAUUAAUGGUUAGCGAUGUCAACGGGUUAGAUUCAAGUCAGGUUUCAAAAAUCUAAAACCGAGCCCGGCUAUCAAUUCCAAAACUUGCAUCCAAAUUUGACGAAUUUUAAAAUAUAGAAGUUUUGGAUUAGUAUUAAUGAUUUAUACAGUAUAUUUAGUAUUUAAAACUAGAUUGAACCGACUGGUUCGAUCGGCCGUCAGAGCGUAAUCCAAUCGAUCAAGCGGUUUGGUUUAACCCUUUGAACUGAAUAAGAUUAAAAAUAAUUUUGAAUAUUGUUUUCUAAUUCUUUAGCCAUCACGAAUUUCAGAAAGUUAUUAAUGUCAAGACUAUGUGAUAAAAUUUUAAAAUUCUCAUCCUUCGAACUAGAAAUAAAAAUAACUACCAAAUUAAAUCAAAAAAAAUAAUCUAAAUUUUCUUCCUUUAAAAAAAAAAGAUUUAGAAAGUAGCAGGUAUGGAAAUAAAUUUUAAUGCAGCAUAGUUUCUUAAAAUUAAAGUCAUUUGCAAUAUAAAAACAAUUAAACAAAGAGAAAAAGAAAAUUACCUUAAUUUGAAGACCAUAACUAAAUUGGAAUAUUCAAAAUUUAUAAUCUAUCCAAAAAUAAAAACUCCUACUUAGAUGGAAAGGAAUCAAGGAUAGAUAGGGGAGAUAGAAAAAGGAAACAAAGAGGAGAGAGAUGUUAGAUUAGAUAAUAUCGUAAGGGCAAAAUUACUUAUUUAUCCUAGAGUUAAAAGACCAAAAUACUCUUUUUUAGGGUACCUGGUGACCGGUACCUCUCUCAAGUGACUUGUUAUUACAGAUCACAAUUAAAUAAAAAUUAAAUCUAAGCUGUUGAAUAGAAAUAAAUAAACGGCAUCCAAAAAUAAAAAAGUAUAGAAGCAUUGCUAGCGGCUAUUAUACUUUUCUUUUCUUUGAGAGAGAGAAAUAGGUAGCACGGUACCCGCUUCGUUUAUUUCAUUUAGAAAUAAACUUAGCUGAAAAUGUGAAUCAACUAGGAUUCGAAUUUAGGACCUCGGAUACCAACCACCAAGUCCUUUGCCACUUGCUCUAGGGACGGUCGGUCUAGCGGCUAGUACAUUUAGACAUCAUGACAUGAUUAUCUAUUACCUAUUGUUGACCAAUAUGUGUGGCUUGUCUGCGGCGGCUCACUAUACCCACUGGGAAACACUUUUCUAUGUUUUUCACUCCCCCUUCUCUACAAGGAACACGAAAGGUGAGGUCCAGGGCACAUCGUGAGGCACGCAUUAGAUAGCGAAUUACUGUAUUGAGACAUUGGCUACUUGUGCGUAAGUAACUUUGAUGACUAGCUUGAUCCUUCAGUUUAUGUACUACUCAUGUGAUGUUUAAUUUGAUGGCUUGGAGUUGUCAUGGUUAGGUAGUUAAUUAGUUGUUUUCAUGGUUAUGAUGAUAUUAUCAUGGGAGUGUUUACAUGCUAGUUUUGUUGUCAAUUACCUCAUGGAUUUGAUGAUGGUUAUUCAGCGGCAUGCAGUUUUUCUCAAUUGAAACAUACAAAUUGCAAAUUUUAUUACUUGUGCAUUUAGUUUUGGUUGGAUCUCAAGUGGUGGAUUUGACUUCAUGAUUAGUUAAUGGUUAUUUUUCCUAGUUGUUGGUAAUUGGGUUGUUUCCUUCCCAUGCAUGUCUUAUUCUCUACUGCAUAUAUAUAUAUAGGUUUUGUAGUUGUUGUAAAGUGAUUGUCUGUGAAUAAUUUGUAUUUUGACACCACACGCGCGCGCGGACAGAAGCUAGAGAUGCACUUCAUGUGAGGGGUCUAUCGCGCUUUGGGUCAGGCUCUAAAACUAAUUAUUUGAUCAAGCUUUAUGCCCAACUCUAAUUGUCAUAUGAAAAAUGAUUUUAAAAGUGCUUUUAGAAAAGGAGCUCUAGGCUUGGCAUGAUCUCUAAAUUGUCUACACAUAAAAUGGUAUAAUUUCUGAAAAUCAAUUUUUCGUGCAUCAUGUAUAGUCAUCAAAAUUAAUCUACUAAAAUGGCCAUUAAUUAAUAUUCAAAUAUUACAUGAGAUAAAGAUUAUUAAAAAUUGUAAUUUUACCAUGUAAACAUUUUAGAUGUUAUAAAUUGCAUCCAACGAGAUCACAGUGAUAAUAAUAGUUUUAAAUCCUAGGUGUUUUUUUUUUUUUUUUUUUUUUUUUUUUUUUUUUUUUGAUAUAUAAUUUUUUCUUUAACAUUUCAAAGAGCAAGACUCAACAGCAAUGUUAAUUAGCUAUCUAGCGUAUGUUUGGCUUUGCCUGAAUGCCUUUUUUUAUGCUGCUUUGCAACCAUAAGAAGUUGGAAAUGAAUUCCUAUUCUCUUUUUCCAGGGCGGCGCAAUUUAGAGAGGUAUUAACGAAAAAACUAGCUAGUAGGACUUUUCCACAAAGGUAUGCUGCUGAAAAAGUAUUUUUGCAGAAACUCUAAUAAGUGAGCAAACAAGAUCACAGUUGCUGGAUAAAGCAAUAUGUCGGGCUAAUUUGGCUAAUUACAAAUUGUUCGUCAAUUUCAUUUAAAAUACUAAAUCUACAAUCAAAUUAAAAAGAGAGUUGUAAUUUCACAACUCUGCAUCCUAGCUAAGAUUCAGAUAAUUUCUUCUCAGCUUAUAAUAUCAAAAAAGAAGCGAUGAAACUACAGGAAAAAAAUUGGUUCUUGUAUUAGUGACGUUGUAAGAUGUGAUGAGUCAGAAGAAUUAAGCUUUCCCCAUUAUUUUUUUGUUUUCCGUGCCGGAAAAUAAAAAGAAAAAAAAAAGCCUUUGCGGUUCCAUUAUUACAUAUUUAUUAGAGCAUGAUGUAGUUAUCUCGGCUAUCAACAUAUAAUCCUUACAUACUACGACCUUUCCGGUUCAUUUCCUGGAUCUUUGUCCUCCCCGACGGUGCCAUGGGAGCCCACACAAUUUUUUAAUUACUCUACCGAACACAAACAGGAUCCAUGUUUGCAGAUUUUUAUUGCUCUACCAAACGCUAAGAAAAGAACAUUUAUUGCCCUACCAAACGCAAACACACAAACAGCUGGGAUGCAUGCUGCCGCGUGUAUCGAGUAUCGACGUCCAAGCUAAAUAUAACAUAACAUAACAUAAAAAGCAUCUGCACAACUUUAUUACAUACAGAUUGUCUCAUUUUAUUUUUUUAAUGGACCAAACAAACAGAUCCUUAUUGUUAUUAUUAUUACUUACUUAUAUCCCUCGGUAAAUUUAACAAUUAUCUCCCGAUAUUUUAUAUAUAUAUAUAUAUAAAGAAAAAAAAAACCAAAAAAUUACGAGCUUAUAUUCCCGAUCGACUCCGUAUCCUUCUCGACAGCCAUCCACACUCAUUUACACAGCCCCGUCCACUUCUCAGCGCGACCCACUCCGACUACUACUAUCAUUAUUAUUAUUAUUAGAUAUAUUAUAUAUAUAUAUAUAUUUAAACUAGCAUCAUACAUACAUACCAUACAUACAUAAUCCUAAUAACAUCGCCAACAGCGCGAGAGGAGGGCGGUAACGCCUCACUUUGAACGGCGCGAGUUGCAGGGGGAGGGGCAGGACCAUAUAUAUAUAUAUAUAUAUAUAUAUAUAUCGCAUCACAUCACGGCGCACGCGUUGGGGUUCUCGUCGCUGAAGAUCUGCGGCGCGUGCCCCAUCUCCACCCUGUACCCGUACGGCGCGUAGUAGUCGUACCUAUUCACCUCCGCCGACGCCGGAGCCGCAGGUGGUGGAGCCGCCGCUCCCUUCUCCCCUCCGCCUCCGCCUCCGCCGCCGGCGCCCUUCUCGUCCUUCUUCUCCUCCUUCUUCUUAUCGCCCCCUCCUCCCCCAUCCCCCUUCUUCUCCUUCUCCUUGUCCUUGUCCUUGUCCCCCUUAUCGCCUCCGCCCGCGUCCUUUUUGGCGGGGACGAUCUCGACGCUGCGCCGGAACUUCUGUUGGAGGUACGAGGGGAGGGUGUUCACGUCCAUGGUGCCCUUGACCGUGAUCAGGUCCUUCGCCGCGUCCACCGUCACCUCCUUCACCCCUGCGCCGCACAACCGCUAACUAUUAUUAAUUUAACUUCACAUAAGAAAAAAAGAAACCCUAAUAAUAAAUAUUAUUAUAAUAUAGCACACGAGCAGUGAGUUUCUAGAGCGUCGCGGUCGAUUGAUGAUGAUUACCUUUCACUUUGUAGAUCCGCCUCUUGAUUCGGUCGAUGCACCCCUCGCAGUGGAGCCGGAUCUUGAGCAUCACUGUCGACUCCGGAGGCUAUAAAAUUUUUUUUAAAAAAAAAAAAAAAAUUAAGAAAUUAAUACCGAUGAAUUAAUUAAUUAAUUAAAAACCACCAAUAGGUUAAUUAAUUGAUAAAAUAAAUAAAUAAAUAAAUAAUUGGGCACCUCUUUAGGCUUUUGGUCGUCGCCCUUGGCGGCGGCGGCAGCGGCGGCGUCUUUCGGAGGCUGCUUGGGGGGGUCGGCGCCGGGUUUCUUGUCGCCGCCGACUUUGUUAUCCUUAUCUUUUUUGGGUGGGUUUGCAGGGGAGACGAACUCCACCUUCCUCUUGGUUUUGGCCUCGAUCCUCUCCUUCACCUCCCACGGAUCCGCGGGGCCCGUCACCGUCACCCUGUUGCUCCCCGCGUCCGCGGAUACCGCAUCCACCCCUGCGCAACGGGCGAGAAAGUAAUUAAGCGCGAAUUCUUCAAGAAACCGAGAAAAUCGGAACAAGGAAGAGCGAGCACAGGGGAAUAGAAUCGAAUAGGAAUAGGAAUAGGAACCUGGGAGGGAUCUGAUGGCCCUUUUGACCUUCAUGGCGCAACCCUCGCAGUGCAGAUCCGUCCUCAGGACGAUGAUCGGCGGGGAUUCGUCCUUCUUCUCCUUCUCCUUCUUCUUGUUCUCCGCACCCCCAUCGCCCUUAUUCUCCUUCUCCUUUUCCUUCUCCUUCUCCUUCUCUCCCCCCUUCGGUUUCUCCUCCUACAUACAACAUAUUCAAGAAACAACCCAUCAUCAUUACGAACCGAAUCGAAUCAAUUAGCUAGGGUUUAUGCGAAGAGGAAGAGAGGAGAAAGACGACGAGGCGAAACCCUUACCUCACCCAUGCGUCUCUCUCUCUCGCUCUGUGACUCUCGUCUCUCGCUUUCGCUCUGUUUGUGCGUAUCCGUAGCGCUUGAAGAGGGGAAAUUAACCAGGGGAGGGGGGAGGGCUUAAAUAGGGAGAGGGAGGCCUCCGUGUUCGGAUCGGAUCCGGAGAAUCCGAUCGUGCGUUUAGACCCGCUCAUGGGCAUCAUUUGUAUGGUAAUGGUUAUGUGCGGCCAUCAUGUCAUCACCAUGCCAUGUAUGUUACUUAAAUGCGCUCGUGCUACCAAAAAUAAAUAAAUAAAUAAACUUUUUCCGUUUUGAAGUAGCCGCCUCAAUUUUAGUAACUUUUAUCAAAUUUUAGAAUUGAGUCAUUUUAGUCAAAUAAAGUAUAAAUUUUAUCAAAUUUAUUAAUAUUUUAUUCAUUUUAACAUUUUGAAUUAUUUUAAGUGAAUAAAAUUUGACCAAUAAAAAAAUUAGUAAUGAAUAAAUUAAUUUAAUUUUAUAAAUUUUUUAACUGAAUUAUUAAUUAGUAUAAUAAGAGUUAACAGGACCGUUCCCCCAUAACCUUUGUCUGAUUUUUUCAGUUUGGCACAGAAUAUAUUUUUUAUUAUUAAAUUUUUUAUUUUUAUUUUGUCACAAUUAGGUUUUAUUUAUUUUGAUACAAUAUUCGACAAUAUCAACUCCAAUAAAUUUUCACCUAUUCAUAUGAACUAAGGUCAUAAUCUAGCAACAUUCGAUUCAUCUUUUCACUCACUUUUUUUUAUUUUUUUUUUUUAAGAGUUUGGUUGGUAAUAUGUCUAAUUCAAUGCCAAAAAUAUCAAAUGCUUUGAAAGAGACCACAAAUAUCAUGUACAAAAUUGAAAUGAUCAUAAAUGCGGAGAACAAUGUUAAAGAUGGUGAGAUUUGACUUGAUGUAAUGAGCAGCAUAUGACAAAAAAAAGUUAGGGAUUAAAAAUAAAAAGUGAUAAAAAUUAGUGCAAUUAAUCUGCCACUACAAAGAAAAAAAAAUCUGUUAUUACAAAAAAAAAAAAAAAAUGUGUAGAGAAAUAAAAAAUCAACUAAACAUUGAAGUCCAGUAACGCCAUUUAACUCUAUUAAAAUUAGAGAAAUGCUAAAUCUACCACCAGAAAGGCUCGUAACUGUCACAAUUUCUUAUUUAACAAAUUGUAGAAUUGACUUACUCUCUUUAAUUUUUUUUUUAUUAAAAACACAAAAUUAUAAUUCAAAAUGAAUUAUAACCCUAGCACUGCUAUAAAAAUUAGGAUUAAUUGCAUAUAGCUUCCUGAAAAAAUAUAGCAAAUUAAUUAUAAAUAUAUCCAUACAAAAUUCAACUUUUUUAUGUUAUUCUUGUGAAAGUCCUAAUAUUGUCAAAUAUGCCCCUAUCAUUAGAAUUCGUUAAAAAAAUUUAGUUAACUAUAGAUAAAAUAUUUAAUAUCCUGGUUAGUUACUAAGAUAAAUUAAUAUUUUUAUCCAUAUUAUAUUAUACUUUUUUCUCUCAAUCAAAACCCUUGCAAUGGGACUCUUCUUCUUCCUCCUCCUCUCUCUCCUACAUGCUAGUUUCAAACCGGUAACUAGAAUUUCUCCGUCCCCAUCCAUUCAGGACACGUGUUGCUUCACCCAUGACGAAAGCGUGUUGCUUUUCCAUUCAAUUUUUCUAUAAUUUUUUUAUUUUGCUCAAAAGAAAAGGUUUAGGACAAAAGAAGUACUAGAAGAGGUUGCAACAAUGAUGAAUUAAUUAGGUUGGGUUUUAAAAAAGAAGAAGAUGAGCAUUGAAAAUUUUUUGGGGGACAUUUUUGUACAAUUAGAGCAGUUCGGGCUUUUGGAGGGAUAUAUUUGUGAUGACAAAAUUAGCAUUUCACUUAUCUGCUGUUAAAAAAUAAGUAGUUAUCUAACGGCAACAAACCAGUAUGAACAAAUAUGAAUAUUACUAGACUUUUGCAUAAAUAACAUAAAAAAUUUAAUUUGUAAAAGUAUAUUUGUAAUUUGUUAAGUUUACAGAAAACUAUACGCAAGGGCUUUUUUUGCAUUUAGACCCCUGGCAAAUUUUUAUUUUAAAAAUAGCCCUGUCAAAAUUUAAUUUGCAAAAAUGGCCCUGGGCCUGCCACGCAGGCGCCACGUCAGCGCCACGCGGGCAGGGCCGAGAUUGUGUGUUAAGUUGAACACGGUGAACCAUUCACCGUGUUCAAACACAGUGCGUGUUUAGUACGUAUUUUUUAUAUAUUGAAAAGAGGAAUAAGGAAUAGGGAUGUCAAUAGGUAUGGAUAUCCGAAAUAUUAUCCGAAUUCAAACCCGAAUAAAUUAUAUAUAUAUAUACAUAAUUUAUUUUUAUUUAUUUAUACAAUAUAUAAAAUAUUUAAUAAUUUUUAUUCCUUAGAUCUUCAUCUAACCCAGCGAGUUUUAAAAAUCUAUACAGUUGGAUGAAAAUUUAAGAAAUAAAAAUUAUUAAAUAUUUUAUAUAUUGUAUAAAUAAACAAAAAUAAGUUACGUAUAUAUAUAUAAUUUAUUCGGGUUUGGAUUCGGAUAAUAUUUUGGAUAUCCAUACCUAUUGACAUCCUUACUCCUUAUUGAUUUUGUUUCAAUAUUAUAAAAAAUACGUACUAAACACGUGAACCAUUCACCGUGUUUAACACGUGAAUGAUUCAAACCGUAUUCCACUUAAUACUCUGGUCCAGUCUCUGCCCGCGUGCCGCUGACAGGGGCUGUCGUGCAGGCCGACAGGACCAUUUUUUGUAAUUUUAAAUUUUGAUAGACUAUUUUUAAAAUAACAAAAUUUGGCAUCAGAGGAACUAUUGUAAAAAAAGCCCUAAUACCCAUUAACCCCAAAAAUGAAUAGGUUCCACAUUUUCGAAAUGAUUUGGCAUUCGAGGGGUCUCGGAUACAAUUUUAAUUAUGAGCAUUCCUAUACACAUGGUCGACACAAGCAGGCUGGGUCGCGCAGACAGUUGGUCCGUACAUGAUGAGGUGCGGAGAGGGAGUACAGACCAGCUGAAUGCUGCCACGUGACGUAUCAUUUGUCGGAGUUGCUCGCCUACGCAAAAACCCCCCGAGCCCGUUCAAGAACUCAUCAGCAAACAAACCCGCUCAUUGACAACCGAGCCGUCGAUCUCAGAACGCUACCAUUUUUUUUUAAUCUCCACGUCUAGCAGCACGUUUCUAGCUUUUUUUUUUUCUUUUUUUUUUUUUUUUUAGCUCGGUAUAGAUUCAAACUUCCAAAGGGAGGAGGACGAAGGUUCGGUCCACCGAUGAGUUUGGCGAACCUGGUCUAGGGAAUAAUUCCCUGCUCCGCUGGACGAGUCCGGCACGUCGGCGCCUCUUUGGUAAGUUUCCCGCGAGGCGGAUGCUCUUUUGAAAUGACCAAAAUGCCCCUGACGUGUCCACGAGCCGUGCCGGGCUAUGGCCGCGGUGGUAAGGACAGGACGGUAAAAAUUGGUGCGGCGGUUCAAAGGCACGUCACGUGACUGCCACGUGAAUGAAAUUUCGCGCCAACUUCGAAAUUAGAAAGGCACUAAUGGGCCCAGUGGACCGGGUCCAUAAAAGGUGGUGGGCCUAAACCUGCUUCUCUAGCCCAGGGUGUUUCGGACUAGUUUCCACCACCUUUUCUUUUUCUUUUUUUCUUUUUUGUUUUUUGUUUACAUUUGUUUAUUAUUUUAUUUAUAUAUUAAGCAUUACUAUGAAUACCUCAUUUAGGUUCCCCAUAAUGUUGUAGAUAACAUGACAGCAUCAUUAAUGUACCCUAAACAUCAUUACUAGAUCCUAAGUAUCAUCGCUAACCCUAAGUAUCAAAUUCUAAUCUUGCAAAUUUUGUAUUAGGGCCAGUGAUUCAAAGACUUACCAAUCCAUAUUUUGGACUGAAUUUAGAAUCGCUGACUUACUAACUCAACCGAGAUAGGUUGACAGUUUUUACAAAGUUAGACUCUGUUUGCAAUUAUUAAAUAUCCAGUAUCAUCAAAAAUACAAGUAGAAAUGAAGCAUCAGAAAUUACAUAUUGAGUUUAAUUUAGAUCCGAACUUAAAAAAUUAUAAACUAAAUUUCAAGCUGGUCCAAUAAGCUUAUAAAUUGAAACAUAAACCAAGCAUCUGUUAAUUAAAAUUAGAAAUAUAACUGAGACAGCAUUAUACCCCGAAGUUAGAAAAAUAAACUACUAACUGAUAUAUAUAGAUAUAUAUAUAUAUAUAUAUAUAUAUAUAUAUAUAUAUAUAUAUAUAUAUAUAUAUAUAUAUGCUGAGACAAAUGUAAUAAAUAAUGUCCAAAAUUCUAGUAAAAAAUAAUCAAUAUAAACCUACUUAACUGCAAAAUGACGUAUAAUUUACCGUUAAUUAGUAUCGUAGCUCAACAGCUCAACACGAAUGAAUUAAUGUCAUAAUAUGUAUAAAUAUAGUUACUAUGUAGGAGUGAUUCCAUACCCCCAAGCCAGUAAAUAUUAGAACUUUCACCAUGCAUCAGUGCUAGAUCUAGCAUGGUACAAGUUGAAGUCAUGCCAAACUCCUACUAUUAUUUAAUUUCCUUUUGUUUAAUCAAAGUUCAUAUUAUGGGUCUGUUAAAAAGUUUUGAGGCCAAACGUGAGGAAAACUGUUAAAUAUAAAAUAUAUAAACGUGGUAAGCUUUUGGAGAAAAUAAUUGUUUCAUUUAAACAAAAACGAUUACAUGUUUCGUAUAAUUUAAUUUGAUAACAAAGUAUGAGGUUCUGAGCUCGAGUUAUGCCGGAUUCUAGUAUAAUUAAUUUUCUUCCGUUUAAGUCAAGUCCACAUUAUGAGUCAAUCAAAAAAUUUCAAGUCUAAAUAUGAGAAAAAUGUUAAAUAUAAAAAAUAUAAAAAUACUAUCCUCUGUCAGCUUAAUUUUUUAGAAAACCAAGGUGAGUUUCAUUUAAUUUAAUAGUACGAACUAGCGCAUUGUAGAACACGUACUUUAUACUAUAAUGAGUUCUUGAAUGCAAGAAAAAAUCUCAAUAAAUGUCGCAUUUAAACUCUGAAAUUGAUUUUUUUUUUUUCUGGAUCCUAUUAAUCGUGUGAAAAUAUAUAUAUAUAUAUAUGUAAUUAGCAGCAUUUUAAAUUAACGGCCAAAUAGUUUUAGGGCAAUCAAAGAAAUAAAAUAUAAUUAUACAAGAAGGCCUAAUCUCUGGAUUGAUUUUGAAAUUUGUUACGAUUGAAGAGCAAGACCACAAGAACAGAUAGGAAAAGAUAAGUAAUGUGCUAGUUAAGAAAUAGAGUUUCCUCAAACUCAACUUUUUAAAUAGUUACCGACCUUUCCUACUACAAGCGGCCAAAGAUUUGAUGGUUGAUACCCGAAGUCUAAAGUUUGAAUCCUAAUUAAUUUACAUUUUCAGCUAAAUUUAUUUUUUUUAAAAAAUAAACGAAAAGAAUAGCAUGCUAUCUUUCUCUCUAAAAAAAAAAAAAACCUUUUUAAGUAAUUCUUACCAAAAAAAAAAAAGCAAAAUAAAGAGGAAGAAGUGGCGUUCAAAACAAGGUAAGGAGUUUUUUCGAUUAACAUCGGAAAUAAAUGCGAGAAUAGCACUAUUCGAGGAGGGUGAGGGCAAAUUGGUCUUAACAGGCUAUCCCACGAUAAUCGUUUUUUAUGAGUAUAAAAUAUGUCAUGUAAAUUUCAACAUGUUUGACAAAAUAACUAAGAUCAAAUUAAUGACUUAUUUUAUAUAUCUAGUUGUUAUCCUAAAACCAAAUACAGUGUUGCAACAAACUAAAAAAAAUAUAACAAGCUCCUAUUUCGGGCCCAUUUUGGAAAGCACUUUCGUAGAAAUCCUUCUAUUUUGAAAAACAGAAUUUGCGGAAAGCGUAUAAUUUUUUCUUUUUUGUAAACCUUGCCUGAAAUAUGCACCCGCCGCACGUACACAGUAUCAUCUGUCCACACAGACAGAGUCUUCUCUAUACAUGCACGGUGUGGAAGCACAGAUCAGUAAUCACAAGUAAUCAAAACAAGAUAGUUUCAUUAAUCAACUACUAAUAAAUCCAAAAUCAUAAUCCAUAAUUCACUAAACCACUACAAUAGGAAAAACCCAAUAUUUCAACUAAACUCAAACCAUAAUAGUAACAUACGAACAUCUCCACAAUAUCAAAUGAAAAAAAAGAGUAAAUUCGAGACUACAAUAAGGUCCAUAGCACGAACUGUCUAGAUGCUAACUAACCGUGUUCUCACUCAGAGAAUGCUAUGUGAACAUUCCAAAAGAGGGCAAAAGAGGGCCAUAAAUCAUAUACCUAUCCAUGCAAGGAUUUAAACUACCCAUUUGGAUUUUUCAUAAGAUUAACGUAAAAAUAUUAGUGUCUUUAGAUGAGUAAGGUAUAAAAUUUACACCCAAUUAAUUUUUAGAUGCAAGGAUAACAUUUUUUUUUUUUUUUUGAGAGAUAUAGGUAGCAUGCUACCCGCUUCGUUUAUUUCAUUUAGAAAUAAAUUUAACUAAAAAUGUGAAUCAACUUAGAUUUGAACUUAGGACCUCGGAUACCAACCACCAAGCCUUUUACCACUUGCACUAGAGACAAUCUAUUUUAAAAGAGUAAUGUUUAUCUCUACAUUCUAACAGAACAUAAAUCUUGUACCUGUUUAUCCAAGAGCCAACUUUUAGCCCUUGUCUUGCCAUAUUUUUUUAAUAUUAAAACUACUUUUUUUUUUGAAUCAUUAUAUUAGCCUAUUAGGAGAAGCAAAUCUUACAUAAUUUUCUUUCCACGUAAUAAAUCCUUGCUUUCGAAGCCCCAUCUUGGGCUUGGUCCGGCCCAACCGAAAACCCGGCCCGGUGGAAACCCAACCCGGUAGAAAGAAAAGAAAACCCCGUCCACUCUCCUCUCCCUCCCAGGCGCUUGUUUUAAUUAUCGCCCUCUCAAAGCGACUCCGCAAUUCUCAACGAUCUCCCUCCCUUUCCCUCUCUCCCUCCCUCUCUCUCUCUCUAGUGGCCGAGCCAUGGUGAGCGCUCGUCGCCGAGAGGACGACGAUGGGGGCAAGAGCUCGGCCUCGGCGAGGGGCUUCCCCGGGGCCGGGCCUGGGCGCGCCUCCCGGGGCGCGGCGGCGGCGGCGAUCUCCGGUGCCCCCUCGGCGUCCACGAGCGCCAGCGCCGGCUCCCCCUCCGCCCUGAGCGAGGCCGCGGCCGCCGCGGGGAGCGACAAAACCUCCGCCGAUCCGCACGGCCCCGAUGCCCUCCCCGACGACGACGACGAUGCCGCCGACGCCGCUCCGUCGCCGCAGGGGGCUGCAAGGUUUGUGCAUAAUUUCUUACUGAUGUAUGUAGUAUGGCCCCUUCUCAGUAUGCUUGUUGGAUUGAAUUUGCAAAUGAGAGGAAGGUUUUUGGGGAUCUGUUAAUAAGGUGUGUAUUUGCUGCUCGAUCAAUUGUGGGGAUUCAGUAACCUAAUAAUUCGCAGUGUUAAAGAGAAGUAUUGGGUGCUUUGAUGUAGGAGGGAUCCUGUUUCCAAGAUUAAGAUGCAAUCUACUGAUCGUUAGUGUAGAAGAGACUACAUAUGCAGAUUGGAAAAAGAAACUGAUUGUAGGUUAGUGUGAUCUCUUUUGCUGAUUGACGGUUUGAUGCAGGACUAAAUGUCGGAUGAAAGUAUCUAGUUCGCGCUGUUUCACUAUCUUGAGAAUGUAAUACUUUGGAAGAUAGUAAGUAACAGUAUUGACGGGUUGCGGAUUGCCCGGGAUAUUACAGAGAACUUGUGGGACAGUAAUUAAUCCUGGGGUUGUUUCAUUGUGUUCAUGAUUCCUAGUUUAGCUGGAAGUUCUUGUUUUUGUUUGUCAUAGUAUACUUAGAUUGCAUCAUUAUGAUGUAAAGCAUCUUAGGACUUGGCAUUUCAUCUUUAGAGUUGCAUAAUCUAAAGCAAGAAGAAGAAGCAGCACUAGAAGCACGUAGAUCCAGUUGAAUGACACUAGGUUCCACUCAAAAGGAUUUGGAACCAAAUCCUUCCUUUUCGCAAAAUUGAUGUUCGGGCAUUUUAUUCAACAAAAACAGUGACAAUAGAAAUAUUCUAGAUUAUUUGAAUCUAUUAGAAGCAAAAUUUUUAUAAAUUUUUAUUGUGGUUUGCUUAUGCAUCAAGUCAUCUCGAAUUUCACAAUUUUAAUGGAUUGACAAAAAUGUGUUCAUUAGUUUAAUGGUUAAAUAUGAUUCAAUAAGUUAGAAAUUUGUUAGAACAUACUUUUAGAUGCCUUGAUCGAGAAUAUUGACUUUGAUUUUGAUUAUAGGAAUCAUAUGUGCUAUGUUUUAGAAGCUUAUUCAAUUUAGACUGUUCAUUUUUGUCUCUUUUCAAUGCAUAGAAAAAGAAGUAUUGAAAAUUCAUGAUUUUUUGUUUCUAGUACCUUCAAAUACUCUUAAAUCAAUUCGAACAGCACGGAUUUUCGAUUAAAACAUCCUGCAUCAACUAGGAAGGAUCUGGGGUCAAAUCCUUUUGUGUGUAUCCUACCUUUAUUCUGUCUAGUUUGAACUAAAGAUAUUUUUGUUUACCCUGUACCAUUUUUUUAGCUGGUGGUUUCAAAUUCUUUACUCCUGUUUGAAUAACUAAUGGCAUCCUGAUCAUGCGUGAAGAGUUAUUCUAUGGAUUGAUCCGUUCCUAUUACUAAAAGAUUGGGAUAGGCUUCCUUGUAUCAAUUCUAUGCUCUGUGUAGAUUUGCAGCAAAAUGCUAGUCCAAUGUGUUUGUUGUAGUAAGUAAUCACUUCGAGUAUCCUGUUUUGUGUUGUUUCCUUUAAGAGGUGAAAAGAGGAAACUAGCUUCUUUUGCCAAGGUUUUUCUUCUUAGUUUUCGUUUUCAUGUUGGGCUUAGUGACCUUGGCCAUGGAAUUUAACGAAAUUGAGUUUUUUGAGCAGCGGAAAGAAGAAAAAGAGGGGAGCCCGGGCCGUUGGAGGUGAUAAAAGUGGGAGGGGACUUCGCCAGUUCAGCAUGAGAGGUAAGUGGAUAAUGCUUCCUAAAUGUGGUAUAUAUGCAUAUCCUUUUAUCUUAGGAAGAUGUUUAACGUUUCAUGCAGAGACUAUAAAACCCUUUGAUUUUUUCUAAUCCAACAUGUACAUUUUUUUUAAAAAAGUUUUUUUUCUGUUAUCUUGGAAUGGCAAUUAAUCUGAAUCUCUUCCCCUAUUCUAAGAUUAUUGCACUAUUUCCCGUUCUUUUUUCAUGCUGUAUUAUGGGUUGGUAUGGUGAAGUUGUUUGAUAUUGGUUACCCAUCAAUUUGUUCUUUUUGAGAUAGUCUUAGUUAUCUCUACUUCUCUGUUUCCCAUGUUUUGAUCAUGCAAAUUGUGCUCAGUUUGCAAGAAAGUGGAAAGCAAGGGGAGAACCACUUACAAUGAGGUUAGCCUUUCUCUUUCGUUCCCUUCUUGUGUUAUUUUAAAUGUUCUGACUGUCAUACUUACUUUUACCUGAAUGUUAUCUGUAUUUUCUACUGUACUAGGCAAAUUUAGUAGUAUUAGAAUUUCUGUGCCAUCCUUUUUUGAGCAAGGUGUUUCCUUAAAGCUGGAUGAUUAGUAAUGUGGAUCCUUUUGCCUUUGUUUAGAGCUAUUUGCAAUGACUAGUGAUAACUAACAUUGUUAGUUUUAAAUUCUUUGAUGCUUUCUAUUUUGUUCCUCAGCCUUUACAUUGAUGUGCCUAACUUUCUGAACUUAUUAAGUGUUUACAUACAAUCCCGGCAGAUCAAAUGUUCAUUUAUAGCUCAGUUAAGAAAAGUGCUUCCCAUAACACUUUAUUUCAACUAUUAUACUUUUCAUUUUAAUCAUCUACAAACCAGCUAAUCAGUCUUGUAAAAAAAGUUGCAUGGGCUACAAUAGCACAUAAUAUUCAUGUCACACAAUACUUUUCAGGUAAAAUGUAUGGAACUUACUUGAAUUAUGGCCUGUUUUGAUCUGACUACCUAGCCUUUAAAAAUUCCUCACGGUUCAAUUUGUUUGAAUUAGGCAUUUGUUAGCUUUUCUCUUCCAAAAGUCGGAUAUACUGUUUACUUCAAUGAGAAUGUAGAUAAAGUAUUCUAAUUUAGUCUAUUAAAAUAAAUGGAACAUUCAAAGUUUGAAGUAGAAGAGUUUUCAAAUAGCUCAAAUCAAAUAUUGAAAGGUGAGGCAGCAAAAUUGAAGUUUUUGAAGCUUGGGUAGUCAAAUCAAAAUGGUUGAUAUCUUAAUUUCUAAACCAGAUCUGGAUUCAGACUUUUAUCAGCUUAUUCAGAUGAUUUAUAAACAUGAAGCUGCCUUGGAAUAUCAGGAAUCUUGUCUUGAGAAAUAGCAAUCCUGCUUUUAACUUUAUUAAAACUAAGCAUUUGAAGAAAAAUAUAAUCAGGCCGCCAAGUGGCUGGCAAUUGUUGGGCGAAGGAAUGGGAACAAAUUUGAUUGGACAAGAUCAGGCCCUCCUGAUUUGAAUCGCAUUUUUAGAGUGGAUUUUUGGCCUUAGAUGACAGCCAACAGAUGCAUGUUCCUUUUCAUUGGCCUAUGGCUGCUUUUUGUUGAAUAAAAUCAAUUAAAAAAUAAAGAUGAUAAGGUAAAUGAUGUGGAAAUAUGAAAUUCUGCAGUUUGGAACUAUAGAUAGAGCUGAAGUGAAAUGAUAGUAAUUUGUUCCUUUCGAAUCCCAAUUGAGUGUAUGAUAUCUCAUUGUAAAGCUUACUCUAUUUCAAACGUGUCUAUUUCAAACAUGAUUCAGAUUUCUAUGGAUAAAUUGAUCAAGUCAAGACUAUAGUUGCUUCAAUUUGGAGUCCAAUUCAAUUGGAUUAUCAAAUUGAUCAAGUCAAGAGUUAACUUGUUCUAUUUCAGUACAAGUUUUAUCGAAUUAGAUAAAUAUGACUGAAUACAAAUUUGAUUAAAAUUUGCAGAAUUAGAUUUAAAAGCAACAAAAUUAAAAUACUCUGGUAUGCAAAUUUCUUUAAUUGUAAAGCACAUGCUAGAAUUUUGGAAUGAUUAAAAAAUGCUCGCAUUUGUACUCGUUGAGGUAAGUUUUUUUUUUUUUUUUUUUUUUUUUUUUUUUUUAUUUCUUGGUUGCUCAGUUCUUUCUUACCUCCUUUAAAGUUUACCAGUUGCCUUACAGGGUUUAGUCUUCUCAAAUGAUGCUACAAUUUCAAUCUUAGUUUGUCUUCUCAAAUAGUGCUACAAUUUCAUAUUUUAGUAUUUCGUGUUUUUGUCUCUCAGGUUGCAGAUGAGCUUGUAGCAGAGUUUGUCGAUCCUAAUAGUAAUCUUGUAUCCCCAGAUAAGGUAGUCCACAGUUCUGCAUUAGGAUGAAUUUGCUGCUUCUUUUCGCUUCUUAUAUGUUGGAAUAUGAUGUGUUGGUGUUUAUUAAUGCAGCAACAGUAUGAUGAGAAGAACAUAAGGCGGAGGGUGUAUGAUGCCUUGAAUGUCCUUAUGGCAAUGGACAUUAUAUCUAAGGACAAAAAAGAAAUACAAUGGAAAGGCUUACCUCGAACUAGUCAGAGUGAUGUCGAAGGAUUAAAGGUUUUCUUUAUCAUAUCUUCUAAUAUCUGAUCUUUAGGAUCUGACUACAUAUAUGUUUGUUAAAAUGACUAGUGUCUAAUAUAUGUGGUAUUUCAUAUGAGUCCAUAUGGUCAGUCCUAAUCCUUACACUUAAAACAGGAAGAAUGCAUCACUUUGAAAAAAAGGAUUGACAAGAAAGCUGCAUAUUUGCAAGAUUUGCAAGAUCAGGUAUGUUAAUCUGCUCAUGUUGUGCUGCUCAUGUUGUGGGCUGUGCUCAUAUAAGCUUGUCUCUUAUGAGGCACUUGGUUUGCAGACAACCAUUCAACCUCCUCAAAAUGUUGUAGACAGAAAUAAUAUAGAAAAAGUUCAGAUGUGAUCUUCUUUUGAUGUAAGAAUUUGUCUUAUUUCUGAUACACAACAAAGACAGUAUCAAAUAGCAUGCUGGUUCCUGUUUUAGAUGAAUUCUAGCAUUAUUGCAUUAUUUUUGUGAGAGUUUUGAUACCACACAUGAUUGGUGAAUGGGGUAACCUUACAAUUUUUUUCUCUGUGAAGUUUAUAGGUCUCCAGAACUUGGUCCAACGAAAUGAACAGUUAUAUGGUUCAGGAAAUUCUCCUUCUGGUGGAGUGGCUUUACCUUUUAUCUUGGUUCAGGUACGGUAGUUUACCUUUUUAGCAGUUUCAUUUAUUGCAAGGUAGCUGUAAGAUCUCUGACCAUGAUUUUUUGUAAAUAUUAUGUAAGUGUUUCUUCAUGAGGUUAUGAGAGUCAAUUGUUUUCAAAUGUUUAUAGUGAUGAUAUUCAUAUGAAAUAUCAAUUUUGGAAGACGCAGGAGAAGUUGGUUUAAAGUUGAGACAGUAUUUAGGCUUCUUGCUUUAGUUAUUUAUUAUUGCUGUUCAUAGGUCUUCUUACUUUUCUUGGUCACAUUUCACUCAAUAUUUUAUUUAAGAUACUGCAAGGUUUGUGUCAGGAUUCUGUUACAAUUGUAAGAAAUUCACAAUUUCAUUGAUCCAAAGACUGAAACCAGAAUAACUGGUAGUUUAGCAAUCUGUGCACUUUCACCAUGUAUAGUGGUCUAAUGCUUUAAUUAGAUAACUGAGUAGGACAUUUGUGUUAAUAACAUGUUUUGCUUAAAACUAGUCUAGGAUAUUUGACUUAUUUGUAAAACGGGAAGACCAAUACCAAUAUUUAUUUGAAUCCAUUUAUCUGAUACAAAGAAUUCAGAAAUAAUUUGGCUAUCAUACUUAAAUUUGGGUAAAAAUCUUUAAAUUGAACUCAGUUUUUCCUAAUCAUCAACCUUGCUGCAAACAUUUAGAAUCUUGUACUGAAGAAAAUCUUAAUAAUUAGUAAAAACAAAAUUUUCCAUAUCAACCCUUAGGAUUUUAAGAUAGGUUGAUGCUUAAGUGAAGAACAGUAUGUGAUUUGCUUCUAUAUCUUUUUUUAAAUGUUCUUGAUAGACUUUGCUUGUUCAGCUUUCUAAAUCAUUUGAUAUUCAGCCCAAUUACUCUGCCUGUGCAUUCUUAGGGUAAUAUAUUGCACCAAAUCUUCCAAACAUGGAUAAAUCUGGUGGGUUGUGUUACUUAGUGUAGCUACUAACUGUGUUAAUCUUUUUCUGAGAAAACUAUAAAAACAGAUCCGUAAUAUUAAUGCUUGUUGAGUCAUUGCUUUAUAUGAAACUGAUGUUAGAUUGAUAUUUUGCUUUAUAUAUUCUUUGGGUAAUAACUACAUAAAUUUCUACUCAACAUGCAUGAACAGACUCGUCCACAUGCAACGGUGGAAGUUGAGAUUUCGGAAGAUAUGCAACUUGUACAUUUCGACUUUAACAGGUAAUGUAGAGCUAUAUCUUGAAGUCGUCCCUUGUGGCUUCCUUUUAUAGUCAGUAAUUAUGUUCGUACUUCUUAUUUUACGAUCCUACUUCUCACAAAAGCAUGUAGUAGAGAUUUUCUUCUUUGGUUCCUACAAUCCAAUUGUCCAAAUCUACAGUCCAAAUUUAGUAUUAUUCUUGCUACCCUUUUGCACAUCGGUCUAAGUAGUUCUGUCGCUGGUAUGAAGCUUUCUUCAUCUGUUUAUGGCUCUUUUUUCUUCUACUGUACUAGCAAACCACCAUGCGCAAGGUUUACUGAACUUGAAUAAGGGCCUGGUUGGCCCAGAUAGAUUUUACAGAAAUUCUACCGAGUACAGUUGUUUGGCAAUGCAUUGACUGCUUUUUGUUAAUUUCCUGCCCUCCCAAUUGCAGACACCACUCACAUACAUAAAUUUCAGAGACUAGCAUGUGUUACACACACAAGCUCACACGUGCCUGUACACAAGCUCACACACAUGGCCACACGCCCAUGCACACAUGCACACAAACAUUCGUGUGCACAAAAGCACAAGCACACCCACACAUGUGGACGCAUGCUCAACGUACGCACAUGUGAGCACAUAUGCAUGCACAUGCGUGCAUACUCACACAUAGACAUGCAUAUGCAUACACGCAUGCUAGCAUGCACACACACACACACCCACACCCACACUUCAGCACAUAGGUACGUGCACGCACAUAUGAACACAAGCGUGCUCUCGUCCAUGCAUGCACCACACACAGGCAAAGAAAAAUAUUUCCUCUGCAGUAGAAGCAGAAGGCUUCAAAUCGAAGCUUCAAUUGGAACUCGAAUGAUCAUUUUAGCAUCACAUCACAGAAAAAAUUUGAAAUUUUCAUUUGCCAUAUACUUAGCUGCUGGUUUUCCUCGAAGGGAAGUAGCUGCAAAAGCCAGGCUAAAAGCCACUAAGGAUCUGAUUGAUUUGGGAAUAAAAAUGGAAUAAGGGCCAAGAUUUGGUAAAAUCUUGCCUCGCUUUCUGUUGGAUUUUACCAAAUAUUGUCUCCCUUUAUUGUUGGAGAUUAGCAAAUCUUGUCGUCAUGUAUUGAUCUCACCUUUGAAGUUUAAGUUGUUUUCUAGCAAGUUCUUUUCACUAGAUUUAAUAUUCUGACAACAGUAUAUGUAUCAUUCGAAAUGUAGCACUCCUUUUGAGUUGCAUGAUGACUCCUAUGUACUCAAAGCAAUGAGAUUCUGUGAAAGUGGAGAAAACAAUGAUGCCUGUGAGCCGAGUUCACAUGCAGCCGAAUUCUCGAGCUCGAUGGAUAUAUAUCAGCAGAAUCGCCUGACACUCCCCACAAGGCUAAAUACGACAGGAAUGAUACCAAAUUCUCCACCCAUUCCAGGUAUACUGAAAGGCCGCGCGAAGCAUGAACAUUAGUGGCUAAUUUCUCCAGGAUCACUUUGUUGGAUCAAGAUUCUUGUUCUCUUCAUGUUUCUAACCCCCCUUUUUUUUGACUUUUUGUAAAGUUCUUAUAAUUGAUUGAUAUGUGGGAAAAGCAGCAAAAUUUGCUAUGCUCUGCAGCAAUUUGGGGAAUGACAGAGGCGGCUUGAACAUUUCGGUGAUUGCUGCUUUUGAAAAUCAAUUUAAUCAUAAUGUCCUUGUAUAUUAUGUCUUUUUUCCUUUUUUUUUACCUGAUAGUGUUGCAAUCACUAGUUUCUAGUAUUCUCAACUAUUCUAACUCUGGGUAUUCCACUGAAAUCACUGAAAUGGGUAUUAUGGUUUCGAAAUUUUCAUUUUCUCCUCUCAAGCUCACUGUAAUGAUUUCUUUUUCUUAUUGCAAUCUUUGUAAAAUGUCCAACAUGGUAAAUUAGUAAAUGACCAGAUUGAAGGUCUUUGAAAGGUUAACAUGAGUUUUGUUUGCCUCUUCUCUUCUUGGGGAGAACGCUCUGGUUAAUUUGUACAGCUGAUGCUAUAUGCAACAAUAUCUCUCUUUUUAGUUUUCCUUUUUUAUUUUAUCUUUUCUAACAGCAAGUAGAAUACUAGAUGGGAAAACCCAAUUAUGCUUGGAGGCAUUUGAUGCUUCAGAAUAAUAGUGUAUUUUUUACAAGAUCUCCAGAUGUUGGUCUAUGUUUCUAAAAUAUGUUUCUUGGACUAGCACUAUCAUAUGUUUAUAAAAAUUAGAUUUAUUUAAUUUAAUUUUAGUCCAGCUAAAAUGUGUUUGGGACGGCGGAGGUUCUUGUGCUUUAAUUUGUUUUUGAUGAUGAAACAUCUAAAUCAAUGAUCGAUUUUUUUAGACAUGACAUAUACUAUCGGAAGCACAUAAAAAUCAAAAUGUUUAGAUUUUUUUUUGACAUUAUUUGCCUUGCAAACAAACUCUCAAAAUGAAUGACUCAAGAUCAAUAUUUAUAAAAAGUAAUAAUAGAAGACCUAAAUUUUGAUCCAACACAUAUAUAUAGCGUAAAGAAUUUUCUUAAAAUUUUUUUACUUGAUUUGGAUUGUUCUAUACCGCUACACAUACAAACUUACAUUGGUUUAUUACAAUUAAUAAUUUUGAGAUCUUUUGAUCACUAGGCAAAUAAUGUCAAAAAAUUAUAAAAUUUGGAUUUUAAAUACCUCCAAUAGUGCAGACUAUAUGAACGAAAUCAAUCAUCGAUUCAAAUGUUUCAUCAUCAAAAAUAAUUUAGAAGUACAAACUGUACUAAUAAAAGUGGGCUAGCUGAACACAUUUAAUUUUUCCGAAUGCACCUAUGAUAUUUCUAUAGCAUUGACAUUAUACUUUUACAAAAUAUCAAAAGUUAAUUAAAGUAUUGUUCAAUUAAAGAGUCAAUUAAACAGCAUCCGAUGUUUUACAUACGAAAUUGAUAUUGCCAAGUCAUAUUUAGGAUUUACAAAUUAAUUAUCCCUUUACUUAUCUCGAGAUGUAGUAAUAAUAAUGCUUUUAAUAAAUCGUAAGUAAGAAAAAUUGAAACUUCAUAUAUUACUAGUGAAGUUACAUACGUGUUGCAACGAGCUGGCUUUAAAGAAGCAAAUGAAAAAAUAUAUAUGACAAUUAACAAAAGAGAGACAGUAAAUUCAUGAUUCGUAUCAGGCAAAGAAGCUACUCUACUGUGAAUCAUUUUUUUUUUUACUCUUUUUUUCUUUUUUUUUGUUUCCCAUCUCAUAGGCAAAAACCUUAUUUUCAAGUUUAGGGACGUAACUCCGGUAUAGUUCGUCAACUGCUCUCCUUCUAAUCUCUUUAGCAUCACUUGUAACAUAAAUGUGUAGGGAAAGUGCCUUGUAGUUCCAAGUGCUUAAGUCGAUGGUAUAUGUGGAAGAGCUUACACCCAAUUUCUCUUGGAACUACAAUAUCCUAUUAAAGUCAUAAAAAGAUUAACAACAUCAGAUGAGAAACUACUUUGGUCAAGUAACUAACACAAUACUGCUGUGCAGGAAAAUUAAUUUGAUUUUACAAGGGUACGCUUCCAAAAGCAUUUUUGAAAUUGAAACCGCUUGAUAUAUUACAAGGUAAAUAAAGCUACAAAAAUCUCGAAAUCCGAUUCAAAGGAUGCUCAAGCUAUCCGGAUCGUGUCUAAUAGUGCCGAUCGUUGAUUCAGAUGCCCUAGUAGUUGAAAACGACGUGAAAGUAGAUGACUAACUUUGUUCACUUCUGAAUAUAAUCUAGCUUUGCUCAUGCAAGGGCCAACCAAAUGCUGGAAGGUGUACACAUGCACAUACAUAUAAACGCACACACGGAAAGAUGUGUUCUGUAGGAAUUCGUACCUUUUGUUCAUAGAGUAAGCGUUCCGGUUAGGGCAGAACACGAUUCGCAUUUUCUAACAAGAUCAUGAAGUCGAGGGAGAGCUCUUGCGCACCCUUCCGCAGAGGGUUGCAGAAUUUAUAACUGAUCUCAAAGCACUAAAACAUCAAAGAAAUUAUUCAAAUUAAAGAUAUGACAAAAAAUUUGUUCAAAAGAAAAGAAAAAACCAAGAAUUGUAAAAGAAAACGUGUGAGAAAUGGCAUAAAUAUUUAUAAAAAUUUUACUGAAGUAUUAGUAGAAUAGAAAAAUCGAAAUCUAACAAGUGAAGAGAUCAAUGUACACAACAAACUUGAAGCAAACAAAUAACAUUUGAAGUGUCAAGCUAAGCUGAUACAUAGAGGGCUGUAAUGUGGGCUGUGCCGGACCGGCACAGUCCACAUUUUUCGGGCCAAAACGGGCUAGGGUCUGGCCCGGAUUUAAUUUCGGGCAGGGCCGUGCCGGGCCCAAGUUCUCAACCCUCUGGCCCGGCACGGCCCUUUGGCCCGGAAGAUACGAGCCGUGCUUCGGGCCGGCCUAUCAAAGUAUUUAUUUUUAAAAUUUUUUAAAAAAAUUUAGUAUGAAAUUUAAAACUGUAAAGGGUUAAUUACACUAAUGGUCCCUAACCUUUACAUUUUUUUCAAUUUGGUCCCCAACCUUUUUUUUUGCAAUCAAGUCCCUAAUCUUUUGAUUUCAUUUCAAUUAAGUCCCAGCCGUUAAAUAACUGUUAAAAUUGACGGAAAAUGUCACGUCAGCACCACGUCAGGCGCGCACAUGGUGACGCUGUUCAGCGAUUGCAAAAAAAAAAAAAGGUUGGGGACCAAAUUGAAAAACGGUGCAAAGGUUGAGGACCGAUGGUGUAUUAACCGAUUAAAUUUAUAAAUUCAAAAAAAUUUAAUUUAAUAUUUAAAUUUUAAAUUUAAAUUUUGAUUUUGAAUUCAAUUUAAAUUGGAAUUUAAAUUCGCGAUUUUGUAUUUAAUUUUAAAUUCAAAUUCACAUUUGGAAUUCUAAAUUCUAAUUUAAUUUCAAACUUCGAUUUGAAAUUUCAAUCAAAAUGUGAAUUUGAAUUUGAAGUUUAAAUUCAAUUUAGAAUUGAAAUCAAAUCUUAAAUUCAAAUUUAAAUUUUGAAUUCCAAUUUAAAAUUUAAAAUCAAAAUUUUGAUAUGAUUUUAAAUUUACAUUCUGAUUUUAAAUUUAAAUUUCGUUUCAAAACUUUCAUUUUAAAUGUAAAUUGAAAUAUCAAAAUCAACAUCAAAAUUUUAAGUUUGAUUUCAAAAUUUAGAUUCAAUUAAAAUUAAUUUAAAAUUUGAAUUUCAAUUCAAAAUUUUAAUUAGACUUUAAAUUCCAAUUCAAAAUUCUAAUUUCUCGUUAUUUAAAAUUUUAUUUUAAUAUUAUUUUUGAAUUUAAAUUUAAAAUUUUGAAUUUUACUUUUAGAGACUAAAAUGAAAAAUGUGCAAAGUUUAGGGAUCUAAAUUGAAAUACAAAAGAUUGCAAAUAGACGCUGACGUGGCAAUUCCAUUAUUUUAACAUUUUUUAACGGUUGGGACGUAAUUGUAGUAAAAUUAAGAGGUUAGGGACUCAAUUGCCAAAAAAAAGAGAUGGGGGACUCAAGUAAAAAUUGGUGCGAAGAUCGGGGACUACCGGUGUAAUUAACCCAAAUAUAAACAUAAAUAUUUUUAUUUAAAUUAAUAUUUUGAUUAAAUUAAAAUUAAAAAAUUAUAAAAAUAAUUAUACUAAAGUAAAUAUUUAAUUUUUUUUAAAAAAUAAAUAAAUUUGUAUUAUUUAUUUAAAAGAAAAGAAAAUGUAAUAGACUUUUGGUCCAAUGGACCAAAAAUUCUUUGGUCCUUUGGACCAAAAGUCCUCCUCCCAAGGUCUGCCAGCAGACCUUGGGAGGAGAGCUCCUAGGGAGGAGGGACCCCAGGAGUUCAGACCCUAUGGCCCAAGGCAAAUUCCUUGGGCCACGGGGUGCGGGCGGGCUGGCCCGGCUGGCACGACCCAAGCGGGCUGUGCCGCCAGGCCGUCCGCCUCUACUCGGCCCGGCAACGCCCAGGCCCGUUUCAGGCCGUGCCGUGCCGUGCCGGGCCGUCGGGCUCCAAAGAGGUGGCCCAGCACAGCCCAGAGCAUCGGGCCAGGCCGGCCCGGCAUGGGUGCUCAGUACCCGUGCCGUGCUGUGGCUCGGCCCGAGGCCGUGCCGGGCCGGGCGGCCCACGUGCCGCCCGGCCCGUUUUACAUCCCUAGAUACAUAGUUCCUAAGUUAACCUCUCUCUUUCUUUUAUUAAUUAUUCUGAAAUGGCCCAAACUAUAUAUGAGGUCCUGCUUCCCAGAGAAUUAUCCAUCCUAUAACUAUUUUAGCUCCAGUAUGCUUAACUUUUUUAACUUCUUGGGGCUAACCAUUGUCCAAAAUGUUAAAGCCGGAUUAAGAGGCUUAGCCUUAUCAUAUUUUACAUAUAAGACUAAUUUCAAAUCCUAGAGGUGUUAUAUUCCUCCUCCCUUUAAGCUGACGUCUUCGUCAAGCUCAAGCACACUCACAAACAGUAUGUGAUAUGAGAUUCAUCUUGCGAGUCUUAACCAACCUUGUAGAAAACUGUGCUUUACACACAACGAUAAUAAGUCAGGGAGCUGUGCUUUAUCCGCUGUGUAACCUUGAUUUAGUCGACUCUUUUCACACUUUGGACUGGUGAUUGGCUCUGCUACUAACUGUUACAUCCUGCUCUCUAUGGAGUCACCCAUCUUAAAACUAAUGUAGCUUUAGCACGCUUAACUCUCUUAAACUCUUGGGCCUAAUCAUCGCCUAAAAUGCUAUAACCCGGCUAAGAGGUUUAGCCUUAUUAUAUCUUAUAUAUAGGACUAAUUACAAAUUCUAAAAAUGUCACACUAUGGAUAUUUUGUGCCUAUGUCGAACAAAAUUUGUAACUCAUGUAUUACAGAGUCUAAGCAGAUAAACUACCGAAUUACGCGUAACAUGUACCAAAAGUUCAGCAAACAGGCUAAAAUAGUUAAAAUACAUAUCAUUUAUAAAGUAAGUAGUGCAUGAGAAGUUGGAAAAGAAUAUUUUCGUAGAAAGGGUUGGAGACCAAUUUGAAUGUAGUGCAAACUUAAACAUAAUUUAAUUCAAAACCUUUUUUUUAAGAUUAAUUUCAUUCAUGCCCUUCAAAAGUUUCAAAACAUCAGGUAAACCUCUUAAAAAUUUGAAAUAUCCCAAUUUUUCCUUAAAUAUGUACUAUUUUUUAAACAUGCCCACGUCGUCAGUUUUUGCCAAGGGCCGUACGGACACAAUGCCCACGAGUCGCGAUUGUGACUUGACCAACCAGCCUCACACCACUUCGAACAUGACUCGGCCCAACCCAGCCUCAUGCCAUUUCGAACGUGACUCGGCCCAACCUGACUUCUCGCCACAGGGCAGGAUGUUGGCCCAAGCCAACAAAGUUAGUGUCGAGACGGCGGAGGUGGGAUGGACACUCUAGGCUGUCUCUGGCGGUGGAUACAUCAUCUGCGAGGAAGGGGGCGAAGGAAAAGGAGAUAGAGUUUCUAAGGCAUUGGCAUAUUUUAGUUGGUUUUCAAAAAUUUUGGCUUGAAUCGCAAAAAUGAAAUAAGUGACUCAUUUUUGUAAAAACACAAAACUAGUAUAUGUUGAAUCAGAUUAGUAUAUGCCGUUAAAUAUAUUAGUCCCACAUUACAUACAAAUUAAAAUUUUUAUUUGUAUAUGUGCGUGCGAGAGAUUUCUGUUGGGUGCUAAACGAAUUUAAGAACUAUUUCUAAUGGAAAUGGAGGAUUUUUAUAAAUUUGACUAAGUACAAGAGAACUUUGUCUUUUUGGGGGUUGGUCUCAUGUAAUUGUCAUGACAACCUUUUUCUAGACUUUUCAAUGACCCUUGAGCUUCUCAUUGAACUCUUCACUAACCCUUCGACUCUCGACUCUUAGAAUUCCAAGAUCAAUGACCUUUAGAAUUCCAAAAUGACCCUUAGACUUCCAAAAUGACUCUUAGUAUUCUUGUAGAGCCACAAAUAUCUACGUGAACUAGUUCAAACGGAGCUUUUGCUCUCCAAGAUGUUUUAGGAAAUGGAAGGCGAUGUAAUUUUCCGUAAACACAUCCUUCACAAAUUUGGUCCACUUUAUUUAUUGACGGAAGUCCAAAAAUCAUGUUCUUCUCUUUUAAUAGAUGAAGUCCUUUAAAGUUUAAGUGGCCAUAUCUUAAGUGCCACAGAUAUGAUUCAUCAACUUUUUCACUUUCUAAUUCAAUAUUUUGCUUGGUUGGCAUGUUUAGAGGAAAAACGUCAUCUUAACAUUUACUACCAAUGCAUUCUUAUCUUUAUCAAAAAUUUCGCCUCCAUCUUUUUCAAAUAUAACAGUAUAUCCAUUUUGCAAUAACUACCCAAUGCUUAGUAAAUUUUGAGUUAGCCUGGAACAUAGAGAACCUCAUGAAUAAACCUUUUCAUACCUCCUUUUGUCUUGCCCUCAAUCUGUUGUAGCUCUUGCCAUUACCAAGCUUGACUUGGUGUAGAUCAACAAAUUAAGAAGUCUCGAUUCCCUGUCAUAUGAUUACCUCAGCCAUUAUCCAAAUACCAAGUUAAUUUCUUGUGAUUCUUGUUGGACAUUCAUGCAAGAAUAAAAUAAUUAUUCACUGUUAUUUUCUUUAGAAAAAUUAGCUUUAUUUUUUUCUUUUUUAUCCUUAAACCAACAGUCUCUUUCAGAAUGGUUUGGAAUCUUGUAUCUUUUGCAUCAAAAACGACAAUUUUUGUAUUCAUAUCCAGAAUUUUUGCAAAUAAAACAUUGAGAAUCGAAGUUACCAUUUCUUUCAGUUGGUUGUCCACUUCGGCCUUUACCUUUGCCACGAGACCAAUUUUCUUGAUUUCUCCUUUGGAAUUGUCUUCUAUCUUUGCCAUCUCGCUCCACACUUGCUGCUUUCCUUUCUUUGAUUGUAAGUUUGGAUUGAAAUGCUUGCUUUAUAUUGUGCUCUGUAAACCUGCUCAUUCUUUGUGCAUGUGCCUCAAGAGAGCCCAUCAGUUCAUGCAAAGUAAAAAUAGAUAAAUCUUUCAAUUCUUCGAUUGCUACGACAAUAUGAUCAAAUUUAACUAGUAAACUUCUUAGAAUUUUCUCAACUAUCUGUUUCUCUUCAAUUGUAUCUCCAUAACUUCUUAUUUGAUUUAUAGUCCCAGCAACUCUAGAGAAAAAAUCUUUAUAUUUUCAUUAUCUUUCAUGGCUAAAUUAUCAAAUUCACACCACAAUAAUUGAAGCUUAAUAGUGAUGAUUUUGUCGGAGCCUUGAAACUCUUUUUAAAAAAUUUUCCAAGCUUCGUUUGAUUUAGUUGCACCCAAAAUUCUAGGAAAUAUAGUUUUACUUACCCCUUGUUGGAUGAAAAGCAAAGCUUUUGCAUCCUUUUUCUUGCUCUCCUUAUGUUCAUUUUGCUUUGCUUGAGUCCAUGUUGCAAAUGCUUCUUGAUUUGGUAGUUCUUCGUAGCCUCCUUCUACCAAAUCCCACAAGUCUUGUGACAGAAAGAGAGUUUCAUCUUGGAUGCUCCAAAAAUCAUAACUAUCUCAGUCAAAAAUUGGUACUUGAUUUUGCAUGUAGUUGAAGGUGGUGAUACUUGUUGUUUGCUGAUGCUUUGCUUGAGCUUGCUCCAGUACUUGUUGUCAUGAAGUGCUAGAUUUGAGAUGAAGGACUCGAGAGAACUUGGCUCUGAUAUCAAUUUUGUUGGGUGCUAAAAGAAUUUAACUAUUUCAAAUGAAAAUGGUGGAUUUUUAUAAAUUUGACUAAGUACAAGAGAACUUAGUCUUUUGGGGGGUUGAUCUCAUGUAAUUGCCAUGACAACCUUUUUAUAGACUUUUCAAUGACCCUUGAGCUUCCUCAUUGAACUCUUCACUAACUCUAAGACUUCUUGACUCUUAGAAUUUCAAAAUCAAUAUUCUUUAGAAUUCCAAAAUGACUCUUAGACUUCCAAAAUAACUUCUUUUUUUUUCAUUUCGUUUUCGCCAUCCUCGAGGCCUAUGAUGCCUCACCCAUGUAGCUUAGUUCUCCUUCUGAAUGAAUGAAGCGCGGGUAGCAUUCUACCUUUUCCUUAAAAAAUAAAAAGAAUUACAAUUUAUAUUUUAACAAUUUCUUCAUCUGUUAGCUUAUGUUUUUUGAGUUAGGAUAAAGUCCUCUAACACACAAGAGAUUUCUAUCAGCUCAAUCCUAUCUCAAUCAGUUUCGUCCGAUUCUCAACUUAUUUCAUUAAGUUGUUUUAACUGAUUUCAUCCAGUUCUUAUCUCCCUAAGUCCAAUUUCUUUCAAAUCAGUUUCAUCUAGUUAAAAUGUGCGAGGACAAGUACGUAGUGAGAGGGAGAAAACAAGUACUGAAGGGGGAAACGAAACUAUAUAUAAUUGGUAAAACUUGUGCUACAUGCACUAACCUCAGCCGCUUCAUAAAGUAUAAACUAAACAUGCAUGCCCAAUUAAUACAGAUCAUAAAUUAGAAAGAUGGCCGUGGCUGUUCAACUGUAUUUUAUGCUUUUCUUUUUGCCGGUAGUAAUCUCAGUAGAUAGAGUAUUUAAUAAAGAAAAGGAGAAAACUGAAACUCUUAUGAUGCAGUAGCUAGAAAGCAGAAACCAAAAUUUGAGCAUCAAAACAAAAUCUUCAAGUCGGUUCUCUUCUGAUUUUUUCUGCAUUUGGAGAACCUUCAUACCAUGGUUUCACUAAUAACAGGCCAUAAAUUAAAAAGUUGGACAAAGAUCUAGCACAAUGAUCAGAUUAGCUGAAGCAAAUAAAGUACCAAUUAAUAUCGUUUGAAGUGGCAGAUAGAAGAGUGAGAAAGUGAGAGGAGGCUUCAAGAUGCAUGGUUUACUCCUAUGGCUGCAUUUGCCACUGCACCUGCAGAUUGAGAACAAAUCACACUCACCAUCUGAUCUCUUCUACUCCCUCUCACUCGCUCUCUGCAGGGGCAGAGGCAGGUGCAGGUGCAGGUGCAGGUGCAAAUGCAGCUGUAAGACAAGCCAUGACCACACAACUACACACACAUACACAGAGAGAGAGAGAGAGAGAUCUAGAGAGAGAGAUCUAGAGAGAGAGAGCGAAGUGGGUUUUGCCUCUGGUGCUCAACAAAAUUAAAGAUUCAUUAAUUUAUAUAAUAAUAAUGGCGAGGAAUGAAACCAAUAGGCACGUGCUGUUUUAUGGGUAAAACUGCCUCAACUAUGACGGAGAAAUUUUGAAAGACGGUACAUUGCAAAGUAAAAAAAAAUCUCUUAUAUCCACUUUAUUCAAGUAUCAUUCAUUUUUUACUUAUUAUAUUAAUACUUUUUAGUUUAAUUAAAAAUUAGUUAUUUGAAUAUUUUUUAAAUUUAUCAUUAGUUAUUUUUAAGUAAAAUAUAUAUAUAUACAUUUAUUUUUAAAUUUAUCAUUAGUUAUUAUUUUUUUUUAAUGUAUAGAUCUCUAUAUAUAAAAAUUGUGCAAAUAGUAUAUAUAUAUAAGAUUUGGUUAUUUGGUGGUCCUAUUUAAAAAUGGGGCCUAAUUUAAUUGUUGUCUUAUAUAUUGGGAGCGAGGAGAGUAGGAGAUGGAUAAGGAUGGGGGAAGAAGAGCUGGUGGUGGUGGUGGUGGUGGUGGGGUAUAAUAAAACACGGCGGUCGCUGGGAGAUCACGUGAUGCGGAUGGCAGUCGCACGUGGGAGAUGGUACGUCGAACCAAUGGAAGCCCGGCAGCUGGGGAUUUGCCACGUGGAUGGGAGGGACGGAGGGAGUGAUGCUGGGCCAGCUGCCCUACCACCUGCUGCGCCCACCAACCAAGUAGGCGAAAAGUCCUAAUCAAAACGGACACACGCACCCCACCUAAUUAUCCUCCUACCGACCAUAACUCCUUAACCACAGCCAAAAAGUUAGGAAUAUAUGCAGCAGUUAUAUAUAUUACUAAUUAGAGUCUCUUGAUCAAUUAAAUUAUUUUUAAAAAAUUUAAUUUAUUUUAGAAUAAUUAUUAAAAAAUAUUUUUUAAAAAAAUGAGAUAAAUGAUUUGUUGGGCAUUAAUGGUGUGGGGGUAAGUGUGGCAUAGUAGUCUUUCGCGUAACCAGUAUAAUUUAUUAAGUAUUUGAUGAUGGAUACUCAAAAUUCUAAAUUUAAUAUAAAGUUAUUUCCACUUUAAAUAUUACUCCCUAUGUUUAGUUUACCAUAUAAUUUAUUUUUGUCUUAGCCACACUUUUCCAGAAGAGUUUUUUUUUUUUUUUGAGGGAAAGAAAGAUAGCAUGCCACCCGCUUCGUUUAUUUUAUUUAGAAAUAAAUUUAGUUGAAAAUGUGAAUCAAUUAAGAUUCGAACUUGGGUCUCGGAUACCAACCACCAAGCCCUUUUGCCACUUGCGCUAAGGACAGUCGGUCUUUUCCAUAAGGGUUAGUUGCAUACAACGGCCCUAUAGACAUAUCGAAUAGUAAAUAUAUUUCUAUAAUGUUCAACUUUUUAUUUUUGUUCCUGCAAAAGUGCAAUGAUAUUUCCCCCUAAUUUGUUACUAUUAGAGCACUAUUUAUUUUUUAACAGCAGAUAAGUAAAAUGAUAUUUUUGCUCUUACAAAUAAAUCCCUUCAAAAGCUCCAAAUAUUAGAAUUAUGUAGAAAUAUCCUCCUAAAAAAGUAUUUUUUUCAAUAAUAUAAGAGGGGUAAAAAAGUCAAUUUAACUCAUUUGCUAACCAGGAUUAAGUAUUUUACUUAUGGUUAACUAUAUUUUUCUAAUGGAUUCUAAUAGUAGAGGUAUAUUUGAAAAUGUUAGGACUUUUGUAGAUAUAAAAAUAAAGAAUCAAACUUUAUAUAUAGGGAUAUAUCUGCUAUUCGAUAUAUUUAUAGAGAGUUAUAUGCAAUUAAUCUUUUUCAAAAUAUCGUAAUUGAUUGUGUUCUGGAUUGUGCCAAAAAUCAAUUAAAAUAGAAAUUUAGUAAUGUGUUAGUGUGGAUAUUUUGGUAAAUAAAUAAAAAAUUUAAUAAUUAGUUAAUUAUCAUUUUAAAGUCAUUAAUUUUCUAUUAAAUAAACAACACAACAAAUUAAUUUUAAAUAAAAAGUAUUUUCAACCUAUAAUUAUUUUUGGCUAAACAUGCCCAAAUUUAUCCUAAAUCAAUUAUAUUACGCCAAAAAAAAUAGAGAAGAAUUCAAUUAGGGAUAAAUGGGUAGUGUUGCUUUAUGUUAAGGAAAAUGCUACUCAAACAACAACUUUGUGGUGUAAAUCAUACAAAUCUAGGUGGAGUUUAUUAUUAGUCACAUCGAUAUAAGUGGUGUAAAGACUACACUUUUUUUUUCUUUUUUUUCUUUUUUAGAGAUAGGCAGCACGUUACCCGCUUCGUUUAUUUCAUUUAGAAAUAAACUUAGCUAGAAAUGUGAAUCAACUAGGAUUCGAACUUGGGUCUCGGGUACCAACCGUCAAGUCCUUUGCCACUUGCUCUAGAGACGGUCGGUAAGACUACGCUUAUUAUGUACAACUUUUUUGGGUGUAUGGAUAGCAUUAUACUAUAGUAAAAAAAAUACUACCCAUUCAUCUACUUUGGGAUGUAAAUCAUACAACCAAAUUAUUUUAUAAAUAAAAUGUUGCCAUAUGGUGUGUCCACAUUGGCGGGUCUUAUUUUAACCCGAUCCACUUAAGAUGUGGAUUGAGAUUUAUUCUAAUAAGUUAAAGAUAAGAAUAAAUUAUAUGUCUAUCAUGGAUAUCCUAAUUCUAGUCCUUAUCCUAAUCUCUUUGUGAGAUUCAGGAUAUUUAGGGGUUCCGUUAUUCUUUAAAUACGGGACCCCCUUUUCUCUCCCAUGAGAGAUGAUCGAAUACGAUCUAAUUCAAAAGAAUCCACAAUAAAUUUUCCUUCUUCUCUCUUUUCUUCCUCUUUGGGAUUUCCACCUAUGUUUCCAGGGUUUUGGAGUGUGGACAUAGAAGAGGACUCUGGUAGCCCUCUUCGAUUGACAUCCAUCGCAUCCCAUCCGUAUCCGACGCAUUCGACGCACCCGAUCCAUAAUGUGAGGCGUAGGCGUGGGAGAAGACGAGAAACGUGGGAGAUCUAGAAGAAUCGAGACAAGGACGAUCCAAGAAGGCUUGUAAAACAGGCAAUCCGAUCCGAUUCCGGUUCCCGGAUACGUUGGCUAUUCGGUUUGUAAGUUUCCGCUGUCCUAAUAUUUCCAACAAUUGGUAUCAGAGCAUGUGUGCUUGUUUUCGUUUUAUGAUCAUGCCUGUGAUGUUUUUUAGAUCGCAUUCGUUGAUCAAUUUUUUUUGGUAGAUUGGUUCUAUAAUUUUUUUCGUUUUCUAUGUGAAAUCGAUUAAAAAGAAGGAAGAGAAAAACUAAAUUAGUUUUAAUUCUCUUAAAAUUGAUCAGAAAUUGAUAAUGUGAAAUUCUUUUCUGUUUUCGUAAUUAAAUUAAAAAAAAAUCGCUGCGAGCGGCCAAGCGGGCACGACGCGACCUGUUGUGGGCGCGCGCCGUGGCCCGCUGCGCACUGGCACCCACCCGCACCGCGUGGGCCCGCACCCGCUCUGCGGGCUGGUAGGCCCGGCUCGCCCUUUUGCGCGGAAGGGAGCGGCUCUGUGUGUAUUUUGGGUGGGCUAGCGUGUCCGGCGGCUCACCUUGCUAUUCAGAAUUGUUUAAAAUAUAUAUAUGUAUAUUCCUGUGUGGUUAAAUUCUUUUUAUUUCCUGCGUGGUUAUGUUUUUUGGAUAUACAUAUAUAUCUUUAUGCCAUUUUUAGAACAUGCAUGUGUUAUUUGUUUAAUUUAUCCUAUGUGGGUGCAUUUUAAAUGCUUACGUAGCAUGUGACUGUAUAAGUUUUUUUUUGGCAUAUAAGUACUUAUGUUAUUUCGGUGUUUUUUCAACAAAAUUUAAUUUUAGAAAAACUGGUUCGACGUGUGCAGCAUUCCUGUAGAAUAUUUUCUUUCUGAUGUACAUCUUGUAGUGAUGUAGUAGGUUUUUUUUUCUUUUGAGAGAUUAAAAUACAUAUGAUGUAGUAGGUUUUAUUAUGCAAAAGGUGAUUUAAUAAUUAAGGCCGUGUAAAGGAAUGUGUUUUGUGCAGCGUCGACGUUUUUCAAAUUAAAUUUUGGCAUAAGUACUUAUUUUUAUCUGUGUGAUGAUAUUAUGAGAUAAGUUCUCAAAAUAAAUAAAUAAUUGUUUUUUAAAAGAAAAGGAUGUGUUCUUUCAAAAUGGAUGAAUUCCAACUUUUGGAUAAGUUAAGGGUCAUAUGAGCAUUGCAUCCUUAUAGUUAAGGAUUGGAUCAUACUCGCCUAUAAGUCCUGGCUUGAGGGUGGUAGCUCCCCUUCAAGCGAUGAGCUCCGGAGUUGUCAUCACUGGGUUGGUGCUGUUCUCCAGAGGACGGUCCCGUCGAGUCGUAGUAGUCUCCCCGAUGCUUGGGAUUAUGAGUUGGUGAGUUGUAGGCAAACCCACGGGUUAGCCAAGAAAUUGGGUAAAGGAAAUAUGAUCUUGCAUUCAUCAUGAGCAUUCUAUUUGAGCAUAUCAUUGAUUAUAUAUUGUUCAGGCAUAUUAGCUGCAUUUGUUUAGUUGGUUACUAUCUGUCUAUUCUUCUAUUAUGCCUGAUUUAGACCUAGUGGAAAAGUCGGCGAAGUUGGCAGUUGAAUCCACUGGGAACUUCGUUGUAGUUCUCACCCCACUAUUUUCCACAGGACCGGGACCGAGUGAGCCGGCCGAUGAUCACGGUAAAGGUAUCGCGCCAUAGACAGAGACUACCCGAGAUGAUUCCAUUUUGCUUAGUUGCAUACCCCUUUGCAUCAUCUUUUGUAUUCUGAUAAUUAUAGAUGUAUUAAAGAUGUUUAAUGAAAGAAUGUAAAAGCUUAUUUUGGGAGAGCAUGUGAUGUAAAAGAAAUGAUGAAAAAGAAUGUAGAAAAUAUAAAUGUUGAAUGCAUGUAUGUGGUUAAAAGUUAAUCAUAAUACUUGUAUGUUUGUAAUAGUUUAGAAUCUUUCACUUUGGCUAUUGCUUGCCCUCGUGCAAGUCAUAUAUGUUUAUGUUUCCACAUGUGCAAACUUUAUACUCGUUUUGUACUUGUGUUGAGCCUUGGACAGACAGGAGAGGUGCUGUCCAUCCGGCGUCUAUUCAACAUGCCCGAACCGAGCAAAUAGGUCCGGCGUCGGGGCGUGACAAUAUAGGUCAAGAUAGAAUGAAUAGACUGGCUCGAGAAGGCCUUUUGGGGUCUCUCGCCAAAGUUGACCUAUCUGUGUGCGAGCCUUGUCUGGCUCGGAAGACAUGUAGAAAGCCUUUCGGUAAGGCUACUCGUGCCUCUCAUCCUUUAGAGCUAAUCAACUCAGACAUUUGUGGGCCAAUGAAUAUGAGGGCCCGGCAUGGUGCGUGAAAUUUUCUCACAUUUAUUGAUGAUUAUUUCCGUUAUGAAUAUGUGUAUUUGCUUUCUCGCCGAUCUGAAGCUUUAGAUUACUUCAAGCGCUUCGUUGCGGAGACUGAGAAUCAAAUAGAAAGAAGUAUAAAGGCGCUUCCCAUUGACCGAGGUCGUGAGUACUUGUCUGAUUAGUUCAAGACUUCUUGUGUGACACCCCAAUAGUCCUACAUCGGAUGGGAAAGGGGUUGUCAUUGGGUUUAUAAGAGACUUAGACACUAGUAAUAAUAACUGGGCUUAAGCAUUUUGGGCCGAUGGUUGGGCCCAACGAGUUAUUGUUGCUAGUGGGCUGGGUUGUUACAUCUUGUGAGCAAAAGGGCAUUAGUAGACAGCUCACUAUUCCUGGUACUCUGCAACAAAAUGGUGUUGCAGAGCGAAAGAACCGUACUCUGUUAGACAUGGUUAGGUCAAUGAUGGUGCAAGCGCAUCUUCCCAUAAAAUUUUUGGGGAGAUGCACUUUUGACUGCAACCUACAUCCUUAAUCGAGUCCAUAACAAAUCAGUGCCUUCUACUCCAUAUGAGUUAUGAAGUGGUAGAAAAUCAAGUUUACACUACUUACGCCCAUGGAGUUCAGCUGGAUAUGUUCACAGCACCUCACAUAAAUUCGGAAAACUCGGCCCUAAAGCGAGCAAGCAUGUGUUCAUCAGAUACCCUGAAAAUUCGAAGGGCUAUGUGAUGUAUGGGGCUAUGUGAUGUAUGGUGAACACCCAGAUGGUCGUAUGACCGAGAUUGAGUCUCGUGAUGUGGAAUUCCUAGAAGGGAAUUUUCUAAGCAUUAGUGAAAUGCGAAGAGACGUCAGAUGGUAUGAGUUAUAGGAAGACUCUACCCCAUCCACUAUUGAAGGUGAUUGAUCACUUCCCGAAGUCGCUGAAGAAAGUGGUAGUGAUCCUCCGGCUAGUGGGAGUGCUUCCUUGAAUGAGAGCAUACCCUUGGAAGUUGACAGUUCAUGUCACGCCCCGGAUAUCACGUUCCCCGGGCACGCCGAUAAAUCCGCCGUAUACAAAAAAAUUUCUCCUGUAUACGAAGCGAUAGCUGUACCUCUGAAAAUACAAUACUACAACCAGUAGUAUAGAGCUAUAAGGAACAAAACAUAACCUGGUAGCAAAUAAAAGUUCACUAUACUUACAACAUGUGUAUACAAAAGCUCGCCUCGCAAGAAACAGUAAUGACAGUAUGUAUAAGAACUCAAAAACUACAACUACCUGUAGCUGGUACUCCACUAGCUUUGGCUCGUCUAGUAGGGCUCUAACUCGCGAUGCCCUUGCCACGAUCAAUCUCAGAGGUGCAGCAGCCGGCACCGAAGGCUCUGCAAAAGAAGGGUAACAACUAGGGGUGAGAACUACUGUAAAACAAGUAGUCCUCAAUGGAUGCUGCCCUCAACAUCAUCGGUCCACCUACUAAGUCUACAGAAGGAAGUAAAAAUAGUAGAAAAAACUGGAAAGCAAUCUACAGCUACAUGCCACUACUCUAUCAUGCUCUACACUAACCAACUGUAGUAAAAGUAAAUCCUGACCCAAUCUCACCAGGGACUGUGAUACACCCGUCCCGCCUGUCGAAGCUACACUAACAACCACCACGCUAGGUAGUUAGUGGAGAGCAAGUCCAACCAGAACACAACGACACCAACGCAAAAGCACAAAGCCCGACUUCAGAAUGGCACUCGUGGGAGCUACCCAACCGAGUAUGCAAGCAUAUCUCUGUCGAGCUCAAUCAGGCUCUCACAGGCUAUAGUCAAGUACACAGGGUCAAACUGGUCUACCCACCAACAAGUCACGUGCCCUCAGCACAAACUGACGCUAAAACGGCAAACCGGGUCCACCGUCGGUCCCGACGGCACCCAACAGUCCGGAAUAGUCUGAACUCUACUGUAAAAAUAGGCUCGGCAUCCCAGUACGAGCGUAACAGUAAACUACACUACCUGGGGUAUCCACCGCACUGAUACUGUGGUGAUACAAAAAUCAUAACGGCUCCUAGAGCUAAAUCUGGUAGUGUAAACAUGUGACAGAUCCAUAACGCUGAUUUUCUCCUAUGUCAUAUCCAAGUCCAACACGUAUAAUUUAUCCAUAAUAAAACUAAACUCCAAAUUCAGUUUAGAUGUCAACAACAUGAAAGAUCAUGAAUUCGAGCUAUUUACAUGUGAAAAGCAUCCACCAAAUAUACAUGCCGACAAUGAGACAUUAGGACUAGAAUCCAAUGAUAAACCCACCUCAAAAGCUAAUCCAACUCCGGCGCGAUGUCGAGAACGGCGGAAUCGCACCCUCGCCCGACCUCCUCGCGAUGCUACGCCAACAACCGUGCGCACGAAUGGCUCCGCGACGCGACGUCGGCGACGAAGCACUCCACCCGAGCUCCUCCUUGCUCGGCCGAUGCUAGAGAAAGAGAGGGAAGAAGGAACACAGCAACCUUCUCUCUCAGCUCCUCUCAAUCCUAUAUAAGCGGUGGAGGGAAGUGGUGAUGUGAACGAGGCACGAAAUGACCAAAACACCCUCUCACCUACCCUGGUGUACCGGUACACGAGCAAAUGUACCGGUACAAAUGGCAACCCGAGAGCAGCUGCGCAAAAUCUAUCGAAGUGUACCGGUACACCAUCAGAUCUGUAGAAGUGUACCGGUACACCCCUGAUGUUGUACCGGUACAGAAAGUGUACCGGUACACCUUCAAGAUGUACCGGUACAACAAGCAGAAAAUCUGUUGUUUGCAGAUUCCAAUGCCAAGUCCUACUCUCGCGUCCCCGCUGAGUCCGUUUUGCGUCUAUUUCGCACCAACGUGACUCGGACUUGUCCCGACACUCUCCAGAGCUGUCGACAAGCCUCUCCUGCUGAACACCAGGGAUACCACAGUUCAAACCCCCCCAUUAUGUAGAAGUGAACGUGGACAUAUUCCCCGUCGACAUUUUGAGAUCGAAUAGGAUAUUUUCAUGUGCACUCCGCUCGAUGAUGAUGAACCUGCUUCUUAUAAAGAAUCACUACAGACGUCAGCUUGUAGUAAGUGGAUGGCUGCUAUGAAAGAUGAGAUGGACUACAUGAGUAAGAACCAAGUAUGGAAAUUGGUUGACCUUCCGCCUGGGCGCAAGUCUAUUGAAAAUAAAUGGGUUUUAAAAAUUAAGCGCAAGGCGGAUGGAUCAAUCGAUAAAUAUAAGGCUUGGCUCGUGCCAAGGGCUACACUCAGAUGCAAGGGGUAGAUUACAACGAGACGUUUGCUCCUGUUGUGCGAUUUGCCUCUAUUCGUUUGAUUCUAGCCUUAGUGGCACACCUAGAUUUGGAAUUGUUCCAAAUGGAUAUCAAGACAGCUUUUCUCAAUGGAGGAUUAGCGGAGAGAUCUAUAUGGAUCAAUCUGAGGGUUUUGUACUCAAAGGUCAAGAAGACAGGAUUUGUCGUCUUAAAAGAUCCAUUUAUAGUCUAAAGCAGUCGUCGAGACAGUGGUAUUUUAGGUUUCAUGAAGCCAUUACCUCUAUCGGUAUGUCCAUGAUAGAGGAAGACCAUUGUGUAUAUGUCAAGAAGAUAGAGAAAGGGAUUUUGUUCCUUUCCCUAUACGUCGACAAUAUACUAUUUGCUGGAAAUGACAUGGAGUUAAUCAAUACCACUAAGGAAUGGUUGUCUCUAAAUUUUGAAAUGAAAGACAUUGGUGAGGCGAGCUAUGUGCUCGGAGUGAAGGUCAUCUGUGAUCGCUCUAGAAAGCUUCUUGGUUUGUCUCAAGAAACUUAUAUUAAAAAGAUUCUAGAGCGUUUUAGGAUGCAUCAUUGUAAACCCGUUGACACUCCAAUGGAGAAGAAUCACACUCUGAGUCUUGAUCAGUGCCCUAAAACGGAUAAAGAAAAUGAGCAAAUGAGUAAGGUUCCUUAUGUGAGUGCAAUUGGCAACUUGAUGUACACUAUAAUGUGUACUCGACCUGACAUUUGCUUCGCUGUUGGUUUGGUAAGUCAUUAUCAGAGCAAUCCAGGACCUAUUCAUUGGCAAGCGAUCAAGAGAAUCCUUCGAUAUUUAAAAGGAACUAGUGAUCUUUUUCUCUGCUUCCAAACUGGAGACUUGAGAUUGAAAGGAUAUAGUAAUACUGAUUGGGGCGGUGAUAGAGAUGAGCGCAGGUCCAUUUCAGGCUAUGUGUUUAUGCUUGGAGGUGGGGCAAUUUCCUGGUGUAGUAAGAAGCAGAGCUGUAUUGCCUUGUUAACCAUGAAAGCGGAGUACGUUGCUUAUUCAGCGGCCGUUCAGGAGGCUGUUUGGCUGAGGGGAUUUCUCCAGCAUCUCGACAUCGUGACUCGAGCUAAUGAACCUUUUGAGAUGUUCUUUAACAGCAUGGCUGCCCUGGAGUAUGUGAAAGAUCCCAAGUAUCAUGGCAGGACUAAGCAUAUAGAUAUCUGUUUUCACUACAUUCGAGACAUGAUUAGGCUAGGCGAGGUCCUUCUUAGACAUAUCUCCACCACUAGGAUGGUGGCUGAUCCGUUGACCAAGCCAAUAGUUAGGGAUAUGUUCCAGACCUAUGUUAGGAGUUUGGGUCUUCGUAGUUUUUGAUAUAUGGAUAUUAUUUUGUAUCUUACGCUUUAUUAAUGAAAAUAUGUUUUUCUCCUUUUAAUGUGAUUGCGUAAUUGAUACUAGUAGGCACAUAUUCGAUAAGUCACCAGGCUCAGAUCAACCCACUCACACGGGUGAUCGCCCUGGCACCUAGGUGGUAAGCAGGAUGAGACUAGAUAAUCAUAUUAAACUUGAGUAGUUGUAAUAUGAUUCCUUUAUUCAUAUAAGUUAUGAAUGAAGUGUUGAUAAAAUUUAAAGUCGCCUUAAUUAGUUUAAAAUGAGACUCUAAAGAGUUGGAUAUGAAAGUUUUUCUGUGAAAUUUCAUAUCGAGCCUGUAUAGUAGCCGAACCUAAGUGCUCAGGUUAGAGAGAUGACUUGAGUUGUGGUGGUUAGAUACCUUAGUGGUACCUAGACCAAGAUUCGUAUGGCGUUUUUUUUUAAAGCGUGACAUGACCCUGUUAAAGCGUAAAAUUUGAAAGAGAGAAGAAAUUUGAAUCCAACUUUUGAAUAGUAGAAAAGUUAAGAACAUGGUGCAUAGGUUAAUCUAUGCACUAGGUGCAUAGACUAUAAAAAAAAGACGAGAAAGAUUGCUAAUAUCUCUCGUAGGCACAUGGCUAUUCCAUAUCUACAAAUUAGCAAAUUAGUCCUUUGCUUUUUAUAUAUUUGUGAGGUGCUCCACUUCAAUAAAAGCAUAUAAAUAUUUUGCUUUGUAAAAAUAAAAAAUAAAUUAGUAAACACAUGCGUAUCCAUAUACAUUUUUUUUUAAAAAAAAAUAUUAUUUUUUACUAUUUUAUUUUAUUUACUUUUAAAAUAUUGUAACUAAAGUAAAAAUAAUAAUAAUAAUAAUAUAAACAAAUAAGAGGGGCUAAUUUGCAAUAUUAUAUCCAUGAUUUCAUGACCAUACAAAAGAGGCCAAAAUAUCUCAACUUCCCACAUCUCCCACAACCCCACUAUAUGCACGUUCUUCAAAAAAAAAAGGGGAGAAAAUCCCAAGUAGUUAUAACUUGGCCCAUAAAUAUCUCUCAAAAAGGGAACCUACUUGGAACCUACUUUGGAACCUACUUUUGAAUCUACUCUCUAACCUAUUCUCAACAAAAAAAAAACACCCAUCCUAUUACUCUCUUCACGAAAGAGAAGAAGAAAAAUAGGUAAUAUUUUUUUUCUUCCCAUUGAUGCUUCAUGACAAAGCUCUCUCUCUCUUCUAAAAAAAAACGCCCUCUCUCUCUCUUCUAAAAAAAAACAAGUCCUCUCUCUUCUAAAAAAAAAAAGUCCUCUCUCUCUAUAAUGGUUGCAUGCCAUGGCCUCAAUCCUCAUAUUAUCGUAAUCGCACCAAUCUCGUGCGAGCAAGGCGAAGAUAGUUAAGCUCAACAUCGCCGUCAAUGGAGUGCCCGAAUCCACCGCCCUCGACACCAACCCGUAUGCUUUCCAACCCCAUCUCUAAUGCCGUUGCGCCUCGACUUGCCGUGACGGCCUUCACCCUUGACAUUGCCGCUGCAUAACUCUAUCGUAGCCGCGACCUCCAACUCUCUACUGCAACUCCAACGCAAUCGUGAAACCGGUGUUGCGCAACGCACCACGCCCACCAAUUGUUCGAUGAAAUGCCCAAGAUGCAUUUUUUGACGGCGAACCUAACCUGCAUAUAGAGAGAGAGCGGUGCUCUUCUCUUUAAGAAAAAAAUAUUUCAUCAAAAGAGAGAGAGCGGUGCUCUUCUCUUUGUAAAAAAAAAUAUCACCAAAAAAAAGAGAAAAAUUACUCCUCCAAUUAGGAAAGAAGAAGCUUUGUUACUAAAAGGGAGACAAGAAAGGGAUUUUCCCACCUUAGUUGUCCCAUGAAUAUAAAAGAGGCAAAGAAUGAUUAACCAUCUUUGUUGUCCUGUACUUUCAAAGGAGAUAAAGAGAGAAAAAUGCUCUCUUAAUUCUCUUAUAAUUGGAAGGCAAAAGAAAUCAAUCGGGUUACCGAUUGUUACUGUUUUGAUCGUCUUUUUAUUGGAAGAACAACGAGAUGUUCAAAAAAUGAUCGACCCCUUUGAUUCUAUCCAGAGUUGAACCUCUCGAUUUGGCCAAAUUAGACCAAAUUGAGAUUUAAUCGCAUUGGACGCUUUAUGCUCCAAAUUAAAUUAAGUCAUGAUGUUGAAGUUGUUUUUAAUCUUUUCAUUAUUAAUGUGAGUUGAAUUUUCAUUAUUCAUGAUUGAGAAUUUGAAAAUUAAAAAGUACAUGCGAAAUUUUAAGCAUUGAAUUUGAUCCUGAAUCAGAUAUUUAAAUUUUUUAGGCUAAUAUUUUGAUCUCGAAUAAGUCCCAAAUAAUCUCAAACUAACUACCUCAAAAUAAAAAAUCUCGUCUGGGACCAGCCCAAACCUGAAUCUGAGCCCAAUUCUAUAGCUUGCCCAAAGAAAACAUGGACCUAAGCCAUACGGGCCUAAAUUGAGCCUGAGCCCACAUCCAGAACUUAGAUAUAAUUCAGGCCUCAACCUGAAUCCAUACUAUAUGAGCCUGAAUUUAGCCCAUGCCUGAAGCCAUACUAUAUAAGCCUAAAUUGCCUAUGCCUGAAUCCACAGCAAAAUUAAACCUUAAUUUGAAUUACAUGAACCCACACUGAGCCUAGGCCCGGGUUUGAAUACAAACCUAAUCCAAAGUAGACCAUAAAAAAAGAGUGUCCAAACUAGAUCAAGGCCAAUUUAUAUCUUCAUGAGACUUAAGAACCAAAGUUCAAACUCACACUCCAAACUACAUGGAUCUCCUCAUAUAGACUAAAACCAAACCCAAAAAUCUAACCCAUACCAAGACUUGAAAUCAUGCUUACCAAUCAAAUCCAAUCUUGAACCUAAGCCACAUGGGCUAGGUACAACCUGAAUAUGAAAUCAAACACUACCAACUUUUUUUCUAUCUCUUUUCCAUACCAAUUUGUUAGGGACAAAUCUUUUUAACCCAAUUCUCUAGCACAUUAAACUAGAUUCAUAUUGCUACCACAUUCAUACUAAAUCGAAUUCUAAAAUAUUUGUUUAGAAUCGAUCAAACCAUCUAUUUAUCUUAGUAUACGUGACUAAGGUAAAAGUAAUAAAUUAGGUUUCACCUAAUCAAAUCAAAUUUAUUGGACUCUAAUACAUCUACCUGGAGUUCAAACAAAUGAAGCUAAGUUAGACUCUGAUACAUAUACUUAGAGUUUAAUUUAAAUCAAAUUUGACUAAUCCUAACGUAUAUAUUAGGGUUUAGUUAACAUUUCACCUUAUGGUGAACCCAAAGUAAAUAUAAUUAAGCUCUAACAUAUAAGCUUAGAGCCUAACUACACUAGACUCUAAGAUAUAAAAUUAGAGUCUAAUUUAAAAUAUUUGGGCUAAUCCUAACACAUACAUUUAGGAUAAAGGCUUAAACUAAAUAUCAAAUCAAAUUCUAUUGGACUUUAUCACAUACAAUUAGAGUUUAAUUAACCAAAUCAAACUCUAAUGCAUCUAAUUAGAGUUUAAUUUGAAUCAAAUCCGAUUAAAUCCCAAUAUAUAUACAUGGGAUUUAAUCAAUCUUUCAUCUUAGGGUGAACAAUGUUGAGCUCCGAAACAUAUAGAGCCCAACCAAAUCAACUUGAUCAUAUACUUUGGGCAUCUUGGAAUAUAUAACUAAGGUGCAGUCAAAAUUAAGUCCAAUUGACCAUCAUAUCGUAAAAUUAAGCAUUUUUUUUAAUGCUCUAUUUAUGUACACUAAGGGUAUGCCUUGGUUAAAGCCAUGUAAUUGAAUGAUAAACUAUAUUAUAAAAUCUUUUUUUUGUUCAAUUCCGCUUUAUUUCUCUUUCAGCAUUUCAUAGGUCUCUUAAUCGAAUGUACCCUAAUAUUUUAUAGGGGUAAUUAACAGUAAAUGCUUGCAUUUAUUGGAAGCCAUAGAUUCACAAUACUUGAUACCUAUAUACAUAUUUAAAUACUAAUCUGAAUCAUGAAUACUACCCCACGGAAAAUUAAAAAUAAGAUUAACCGUGCGAGGUGCGUCAUUCGUGGUCGCAAACAAAAUGGCACGCCCGGUGGGACAUGGCUUCUCCUUCCAUCUUUGAGACCAGUGUUAUGUUAAUAGAAUUGGAUGAUAGAUAUUUAAUCUACGCUCAUUAUUCCCUUGCAGGAGAAAUGGCACUGAAGAACGCUGCUACUACUACAGGUUCGAUGAUGAUCAAUGCAGGUCAGGUUUGCCUACCAGCAUCUGUCCUCACCAUUGGAGCUGCUUGUGCUGGAAUCCAAUUCGGCACCAUCCCAGAAGAGGCUAGCGCUGCGGCUAUGGCCCCUUUCAAUGUUGUUACAAGCACAAACGAUGUUAAUGCUGUGGUUCCACGUCUUCCCUCUCGUGGGAGGCGUCCGAACAUCGUCAUUCCCAACCCUCCUCGCGUUCCUGUGAAAGAGAGGAUGACUCCUAUUAGUGCUUCGAAGAAAAUGGAGUUACAAGGUAGGCUGGUGUUCCAAAACCAAAUUGAGGAAACAUCGCUACUUGAUAGGGCACCUAAAGCGUCAAUCUUCAAUAGAUUAACGUUCCCUAAGGAUACUGUGACAAAGGCAUUCAAGAGAAAUCUUUGCCGUACUUUGAAGCUGCAAGAGAUAAACAAAGAAAAGAAGUCUCGACAAACCCAACUUACUAGGUUUGUCGCCAGACCCGACGUUUUGGUCCAUAACCGCUAUGCACCCCUGAGAUUUGUGAGAAAAAACUCACCUACUGCCAUUUUGCGCCCAGAGUUACAAAUGGUCCAUUUAAAGCCUUAUUUUGCAUGUCCUCACUUGAGAAACAAUAAUGAGAGCUCUGUCUUCAAACGGAUUUAUAAAACUUUUAAGGCCGCAAAAGGGAGAAUGAAUUUAGAGAAGAAAAUUGAGAAGCCAAAAUGGCAACAGAAAUCAACACUAUCCUGGAAAGAAAGAAACACAGAGUGGAAACCCAAAACUCUUGCUCAGAUUAAAGAAGAAAAAUCUAAAAUAGAGAAUUUAGAGAUUCACACUGUAAGAGUUAUUGGGCAUACACCAUCAAGUGAGGCGGUUGAUGAAGAAGAAACUAUUCAGCAAAUGCUUACGAGAGCCGCUGCAAGAAAAGCCGCGGAAGAGAAAGCAAGAGCUAAGGAAGCAAGCUCUUCGCAAAUACAAAAUGUCGAGAAUAAAAAUGAUUUACCUAGUGAUCCAUCUGACCUGCGAGAGGAAGAAGAGAUUGUAUUUUUCUCGAGGGAUCCAAAGGAUGUUAUGAUUGCAUCCUUAAAAAAGAAAGUUGAUGAAAAGGAUAGAGAUAUCAUAAAUCUCUAUAAAAAGAUGGAGGAGGUCACGGGUUUGAUGUUGAAUGUACAGAAGCAAUUAGAGGAUCAACGGUGUCAAACCAAGAUUCUAACCCAGACAGAAGCACAGAUACAACAAGCAGUUGAUGAACAGUCCAAACAAGCUAAAACAACUGUUUUUAAAGAGGCUACCUCUUUGACCAAAAAAGAAAUUCAUAACUUGAUCACUUCGCAAGUAAAAGAGACGGUAGUGGGGGCAACUCCAAAACCGAAAGGGAAAGGACACCCUUAUCUAUAUCUAUCGGAAUACGAUAAUGUACCUUUUCCAGAAGGAUAUCAGGUCCCUAAGUUCAAAAUGUUCAAUGGUGUUGGUAAUCUUGAUCAGCAUCUAGCCCAUUUUAAGGCCAUAUGUGAAAAUACGGGGAGUAAUGGACCUCUACUCUUACGACAAUUUCCGCGAAGUUUGUCAGGUAUAGCAUUUGAAUGGUACUACUCCCUUGAAGAUGAGUCUAUUAAAACUUGGGCCGACAUGGAAGAAGCUUUCAAAGCAAAGUUCGCCACCAUUAGUGAUAAGAUUACUAUUGCUGAUCUGGUAGCCACCAGAUGAAGAAAAGAUGAAACAAUGCUAGAUUACAUUACAAGGUGGCGGAAUUUAGGUAUAAAGUGUGAGCAACCUCUGGACCAGUCUCAAGCCGUUGGUCUUGUCACGAGCAAUAUUGAUAAUUGGAUGGCCUUUUUUCUGUGCACAUCUAGUUGUUCCACUUUUCAUGAAUUAAUAUCAAAUAUCUCUAGAUUGGAGAGAACCGAUCCCCAGGUCCUCGUAAACUUACAAAAGACAAAAAAAGAUGAUAACAAAAGAGUCGCAGACAGACCCAUUGAGUGGGAGCUUCGCCAUAGCAUACAUAUCAUACUGUAUGUGCUUGUCGACCAGUUUGUAAAGUGACAUAAGUUUUUCCCUCUAUGUCACUGUGUGAGCACUAACCCUUUUGUGCCCUUGACUUAGAACUAUGUUAUGAAGUGGAGAUCCAAAAUAACUAACUUAGCGUGUAUCUCAGGGUCAUGCGAAAAUACGAUCUCGCGGAGCACGUAUAGUAAAGUGCUUGGACCGAUAAAGAUUAACGUGAGGGGCUGAGGAAGAUGUUUCGAUAACACACCGCGUAAGUCUUGUGACUCAUUACCCAGGCAAUUAUCUCGGUUGUGUUACUUGAGAUAAUCAUGAGUAUGAGAAAUAACUGUGGGGUCGAGCUCUGUCAUUAUAGAAGAGGGACUUUGUGAUGCUUGACCCGGUGUGUGUUGAAACGUCUAGGGCAUAGACGAAUUAAGUCAGUAAUGUGCUAUGUUAGUUGGGUGGUGACUUAAUAUAGCACUCCUGCAUGCGUUUCUUUUGUCAGGUCGCACGCUCCAUUACCCGUAUGAAGAGAUGAAUGAGUGAGAGAGAAUUGGCCAAUGUGGCCAAGUGGGAGAUUGUUGCCAUGUGGUGUGUCUACAUUGGCGGGUCUUAAUUUAACUCGAUCCACUUAAGAUGUGAAUUGAGAUAUAUCCUAAUAAGUUAAGGAUAAGAAUAAAUUAUAUGUUUCUUAUUAGUUAAGAAACAUAUCUUCUAGUGGAUAUCUAUCAUGAAUAUCCUAAUUCUAGUCCUUAUCCUAAUCUCUUUGUGAGAUUCAGGAUAUUUAGGGGUUCCGUUAUUCUAUAAAUACGUCCCCCUUUUCUCUUCCAUGAGAGACGAUCGAAUACGAUCUAAUUCGAAAGAAUCUACGAUAAAUCUUCCUUCUUCUCUCUUUUCUUCCUCUCUGGGAUUUCCACCUACGUUCCCAGGGUUUUGGAGUGUGGACAUAGAAGAGGACUCUAGUAGCCAUCUUCGAUUGACAUCCGUCGCAUCCUAUCCGUAUCCGACGCAUCCGACGCACCAGAUCCAUAACGUGAGGCGUAGGCGUGGGAGACGGCGAGAAACGUGGGAGAUCUAGAAGCAUCGAGACAAGGACGAUCCAAGAAGGCUUGUAAAACAGGCAAUUCGAUCCGAUUCUAGUUUCCGGAUACGUUGGCAAUCCGGUUUGUAAAUUUUCGCUGCCCUAAUAUUUCCAACAUAAAAUUUUUUUCACUAAUCACAUCGAUGCCCCCCAAUUGGAGGGGUGAGGUGUAUACAUCAUUUUUAUGGUGUAUGGAUAGCAUUACUCAUAUAAUAAUUGUACAUUAAAAUAAAAUUUUUAAUUUUUUUUCUUAUACAUUUAUUAUGUAACAUGAAGACAGUUGAUUCAAUAUUGCAAAUCUCUAAGAAAUAAUGAAUUCUCAGUUUGUAAACUGGGGUGGCACGCUCGCUUUAAAUUUUGGAAGCGGUGGGUCCACUUCAUUACUUUAUACCUUGAUGUACGACCUCAUUCGCGAUUGACAUAAUUCUUUUGAUAAUCGCUACUACGUAUUUCCGUAUAAUUAAUGGUACUUGGACGGUCUUGUGUCGUCGACACAUGUUUCUCCAUGAAUAAUUUUAUACAUCCAUGGAACGGACAAAAACUCAUCAUGCCAAUUAGUUCAUUGUCACUUGAUACGUCAACUAAUUCCCAUUCGUUGGCUCCCAUUGGAUAUCGAACCGUUAUGCGGAGACGGUCUUCUACUCGGUCAUAGUUAGUAACAUUAUAUAUUUCCAUCUCAAAUUUCCGAAAUGAGAUAUCGCGUCAGAAAGUAACCAAUUGUUUACGGCCACCAAUAUAUCGUGGUACAUUAUUGUACAUGUCUAAAUUUCCGUCCCAAUGGAUAUAGAAAGGAACACAUUCGCCAACCAUAGAGUUCUAAAGUGAUAUAAUAAAUGUACAAAAUUAUUACACUCGUGACAUAUUAACAUAACACAUUUCUAACAUACAACAAAGGAGAUGAUGAGAGAUGCAAUUAUCAUUUUGCGAUCACGGACGACGCCGACUUCUAUGCCGAUCAAGAGCUCUAGAGGCAAGGGAGUGAUGAUAGAGACAGAGAGAGUAAGUGAUCUGUGAAAGAGAAAGAGAGAGGGAGUGAUCAGUGAGAGAAAACAGUGAGAGAGAGAGAAAGAGUGAGGGUUUUGUGAAGUGGGGCACAGUGAGAGAGGUGGGGGUGGGGUGGGGUGGGGGGGGCCGCACAGUGAGAGGGGGGGCUCUCACAGUGAGAGGAAGAGAGAUUGAGGGUUCUAGGGUUAGGGAAUGAGGGGUGGGGGAUUCUUGGGUGAGAGAGGGCGGCAGCAACGGCGUCGACGGCAGCGGCUGUGGAUCACAGAGAAAGAGAGAAAGAGAGAGAGAGAGAGGGAUGGGGAGUACUAGGUUAGAGAGCUAAUGCGGGUGGGGAAAGAGAUCGGGAGAGAGAGGCUAGCGGCGGCGGCCGCGGCGGGGUAGGCCACACAAAGAGAGAGAGAGGGCGGCGUCGGGGCGGGCCAUAGAGAGAGAGAGAGAGCGAGAGAGAAAGAGAGAAAGAGAGAGAGAGAGGGAUGGGGGGUACUAGGUUAGAGAGCUAAUGCGGGUGGGGAAAGAGAUCGGGCGAGAGAGGCUGGCGGCGGCGACCGCGGCGGGGUGGGCCACACAGAGAGAGAGAGAGAGAGGGCGGCGUCGGGGCUGGCCAUAGAGAGAGAGAGAAAGCGAGAGAGAAAGAGAGAUUGAGUGAGAGGGGAAGGGGAGAGCUCAGGCGGGCUAGUAAUACAAAGAUAACACGACACAGUGAAUGGUUCACCGUGUUUAACUUAAUUAGCCGGCCCCAGCCCAGCCCGCAUGGCGCUGACAUGGCGCUUGCGUGGUAGGGACAGAGCCAUUUUUACAAAUAUAAAUUUUCUGGAGUUAUUUUAAAAAUAAUUUUUUUCAUGUGGCCAAUUACAAAAAAAAAAUAAAAUCUUAAUUAUUAUUGGUAAAAUUAUUUCAGAAGGAAAAUCCCGUGGCGACUUGGAUGCCGCGUACGGCGACGCAACGGACAGCGCGUGGACCGGAAGGAGACGGGAUUUGUGGUGUCCUAACACCGACAGCACCCGAACUGUUACCGCAAAAAAGCAAACGUCACUCCCACGCAAACUCUCGGAAGACAGCAACCCCAAUUCCUCUCCCUACUCCUGGGCCGCAGAGGGGGGAGUAAUGCCCGCAGCCUCUCGGCUGCAGCGGGUCGGCGCAGCCUUGGCCUUGGCGGCGUCCGCCUCCGCGGCCUCGUGGGCGGCGGGCAGGGGCGGCGGCGGCGCUUCUCCUCCGGGGCUGGAGGCGGCGCGGAGGAGGGUCGCCGACCCGGCGGCCGCGGUGCCGCCGAGGGGCGCGCAGGAGGCGGCGCUGGCGGGGGCCGCGCGGGCGGCGCCCCUCGACCUGCUGGUGGUGGGCGGCGGCGCCACCGGCUGCGGGGUCGCCCUCGACGCCGCCGCGCGCGGCCUCCGCGUCGGCCUCGUCGAGCGGGACGACUUCUCCGCCGGGACCUCCUCGAGGUCGACAAAGAUGCUACAUGGAGGUGAGAGUAAUCUGCACUCCUUAAUUAUGCCAUGCAUGAUAAUAUAUAAAUAUAAUCGCGUCAUGAACCAAGUAUCAUCUGCUGCGGAUUCACGUGAAUUAAGAAUAGUUUAUUCCCAGUAAGAUACUUGACUAACAUUCUAACUUAAUUAAUUAAGAUGGCCUGAACAUCACGUGUGAGCUUUGCGAGACCCCAAGUAGUUCUAUAUAUAUAUAUAUAUAUAUAUAUAUAUAUAUAUAUAUAUAUAUAUAUAUAUAUAUAUUAGUCUGGCUACUAUACUAUUAUGAGUACGAUCGCCCUUGUACUCAUAAGUUGUUUUCGAUGAUAGAGCUUCCGAAUCGACGAUCCACACCGUUAAACGUUAUAUAGAGCAUUUGAAACAUCUAGAAAUCAAAUUUUUAAUUUUUCGAUAUCAUUUAACUUACGAUCAAAAGCUCACAAAAUUGACAAUUUUUAAUGGCCGGUAUGGAAUACUUGCUAGUUUAACGGUGCAAAAGAAUCCGAAUAGGUUGAAUUUUUGAUAGAAAAUUCUAUUCACUACCUAGAUAAAGAUCAAUAACUCCGAUCUUAAAUUGAAGGAUCCGAUCAUCCAUUUUAAGAUAUCGUUCGAUUUUGACCGUUCAUUUUAUGCCCGCUUGAUGGACUUUAUUAUGAUUUUGAAAAUUAUGAAAUUUAUUUUCUAGAAGUUUCAAAUACUCUAGAUCAUAUUUAACGGAGCGGAUCGUCGAUUUGGAAGCUCCAUCAUCGAAAACAACUUAUGAGUACGAAGGGCCCAAUACUCAUAAUAGUAUAGUAGCCCUACUCUAUAUAUAUAUAUAUAUAUAUAUAUAUUAUAUAUAUAAUAGGGUUAAACUUUUAAUCCGAUUUAAACAUUUUGAGCGGUGGUUAGGCCCAAAAGAUAAAGAGAGUUAAGUAUGUUAGGACGGGAGUAGUUCUAGGAUGGAUGAACCCCUCGGAAGUUAGGGCGUCACAAGCUUCUCCACCCAACCAAAAGUGAACUUCUUAAUUAAUAACCUCGGUCUAUGCUGACGUUGGUGAACCAACUUUAUGGGUUAAUUAUUUUGAUUCAAUUCAAGUUCAAAAGAAAGCACAAUUUAGACUUAAAUUGCACAGAAAUUUAUCCUACGUUUUGCAGUAAGAAAACAAAGAAAAUGUCAGCUCAAAUAUCCUGUUGAACACUGACCUUGUCCGUUGCCUCUUCUAUCACUGUACAUAACAUAUCCACCAUCACAAUGCACGUGAGGGGGUGUUAAGACUAUUUUUGUUGUUUCUUAUUAGUUUGAUCCUUUGGGUAACAUUACAUAUGGGGUAAUCUAGUAUGGAGAUAAACAUAGCGUUUCAUAAUGCCAAGUAGGUGUUUGAAAUGUGCCCUUACACUUUAGGAAAGAUUGCACGCAUAUUAGAUUAGAAACCAAAAUUUUGAUGUCAAAUAUCUUUAGCUAUGUUUGAAGAAAUAAAGAGAAGAUUUAUACCCGAAUUUGUGUCCCUAACAUUGUAUUCGAGAUCCUUCUUCUUUACUCUUUACUUUUUCAGUCUGUUCUUUCAUUUACUUCCCAUGUUUUGCGAAACUUGUUUUCUUGUGAAGAGUGACUUUAGUACUUUAGUACUUGGGAUUUGUUGAGGGGAAUGAAAGCAGUAAAAAGAUGGGACUUUAGGCGAGAUGGAACUAUAAUUGUGAAGUUCUGACCUUUCUGAAUUGGUCAGUUUUUGUUUAUGUUCUUUCAAAUUUUUGUUGCCGGUUGUCGAUUGGAGUGAAUAGAUUAGGUUGUUCAUGGUACCUGGUUGAUGAGGUUUCUCACUAUAAAUUUUGAAUUUAGGUCGAGUCUAGGUUAGCUUGUUGAACCAAUCAGCAUAUAAUGCAAUUUAACUUCUGAAUAAACUGAAAUAAAUAUUAUCGAAAGGCGACUGCAUCAAUUCAUGGCUAUCCAGCUUUUAUAAGCUAUUUUGGGUUUGCUGAGCCUUGCCGGGCAUAUUUUUUUGUUAAUGUUUGUAACAUUGACUAUUAUUUUUGUGCAUUGUUAAGUCUAGAUAACUCCUGACUCUAAAACCUGUACCAACUUGUGCUAUUCUUUGAUUUCACAAAUGUCUCUCAAUGUGACUACUUUGUUGCUGUACUUAGAUUCAAUAAAGACAUCUUGUUCAAAGUUUUGCUGGUUAUAUGGGAAAACUCAUUGGUUGAGAAUUUUGUUGGCUCUGAAGCUUUGGUAUACAAUAUUAAUCUUUGAAACUUACUGCCGCAUCCAUUGUGGUGGAAUGUGGAUUCAAAUAGAUUGCUCUGUAGUCAUUGUUAUUGAUAAAAGUAGAUCAUAACUUAUCCUGUUACUAGCUCAUAGUUGGAUAUAAUAUAGAUACAUAGCAUGAAAACAUCGAGGAGUUCACUGAAAUUAUUGUUUUCUGGAUAUCACCUGGCUCUCUUAAUUAAAAGAAGUGGAGAUGAAUCAAGCGGGAUCUCAUUUUCGUCCUUGCUUUCUGCAGCUUGAUGUGUUCAUGUGACAAAAAUUUUGAGAUGGAAAUUACACUUGACUCUUUAAAAUUUAAUGAAUUAAACUAACAGUUUGAUGACUAACAGCAAAGGAUUGGUUUGUUACAACUAUCUGAACGAUAAUGUCAUUUGAACUAGAUAAUGUAUCCUGUGGCUUAAUGCAAAAGUUAAGAGUGAUAGUGGAGAUAGAUGGUGAUAGUUGAAAUGAAGGAAACAAGAAUUACCCAAAUAGCAUAAUAUGAUAAGAACAUUGGCUCAGAAAGCACUACAGGCUAGGUAUUCUGAUACCAACUAUGUUGAAUGUCCUUUAAGGCAAUACUGAAGGAUCAAAUGGCAACUAAGAGGGGGGGGGUGAAUUAGUUGAUAACUAAAAACUCAAGUAAAAUUAAAUCAAGAUAAAAAUUGCACAACUAAAUAAAAGAAGAAAAUCAAACUCAGAUAACACAGAUGAUUUAUCCUGGUUCGGCCCUUCUGCUUACUCCAGUCCGGUUCUUCUUCUCCUCGAGGUACCGAUUUCACUAUCACUUGGCCUUUUGAACAGGGCAAGACCAAAGCCGCUUACAAUCACGCAAAACUUCUUUUACAAUCUCUCAAGAAGCUCACAAUUACAAAUCAAUAAACAAUUAGGACUUAGAGAAUUUUUCUAAAGUUGUGUCACAAACAACAUCCAAGCCCCCCUUUAAAUACACUAGCCAUCAUUUCAAAAAUGGAACAAAAGCAUAAUUAAAUUAUAAUUGAUUUCAAUUUGAAUUUUAACCAUAUUUGCAAAUGCAUUUGAAUUAAUUCCAAAAUAAAUUCGAAUUCAUACCACAUUUGCAAAACAUUUGAAAUAUUACUAUAUUGAAAAGCUCAUUUGAAAUUAUACUAAAUUUAUAAAAUUCUUUUAAAUUAAUACUACAAAUGAAAAACUUUUUGAAUUCAUUCCACAUUUGUAAAAGCUUUUAAUACAACACUUAUAAAACUCAUUUAUAUCAUAUUUCAUAUUUUUUAAAUUCAUACUAUAUUAAAAUCAAAUUUGAAUUUAUACCAUACAUAAAAUCACUUUCAUACCAUAUUAAAAUAAUGGCUAAUUUGACAUUAAGCUCAAAUCAAACCCAAAGGUGAAUUGGUCAACUUGACUAGGUUGACCGGCUCAAAUCCGAUAAAUUGUAAAGAAGUCCUCCAAAUUUUUGUUGUGGCACUUGUAUCCAAUUUGGUACAAUUUGAUGUUGUCCGGGCCAAUUUGAAUAAUUUGAUUGAAUGGUUACCUUUGAUCAAUUCCGGUUCAGCUUGAGCCACUUUAAAUUCAACUAUAACCUGAAAUUGCUAAAUGACAAAUUAAAUCCAAUAUUUGUUUGUUAUCAUCAAAAUUUAUUAUUGGAUAAAAUCCAACAAAUACAUGCUGAGGGUAGCUUCUAAUCCAGUUCAGCAUUGUGUUUGAAUUAUAUUACUCAAAGCUUGACGGUAGCUUUUGUGAUAGGACACCAGGACUUGAAGAAAUUUGAGUGUGCUCGAUAAUUAAAAUUGAGCUAGAUUUUACAACUACUUAUUUGCCACUUGUUGAUGCAAAAUAAGUAAAAGCAAAGUACAAAGAUUGAAAAUAGCUUCAAAGCAUGUUGCAAUGCCACUCAAGACUUUAUUCGUCCAUGCCAUUUACUUUAAUUGGUGUACGCUGGGUCAACAGCCAGUUUCUUAGACCUUAACUGCAUUGGCCCACACGAAGCCAGGCCUUCGAGCACUCUUUGAAUUUGGAAGAUAUCGGCUGGAAAGGGAAUAAAUAUAAAGAGAAGGAAAAGGAGGCGAUGAGAAAAUAGUCUUCAAUUUGUUGACUUGGGUUGCAGUGACAGCACUAUACAUAAAAGCCACCUAACUUUGAUACGAAGUGACAUUUUAUCAGGUUGUGUCCCUUCAAAUGUUUCCGUUGACUUAGGGUGUAACUAUCAAUUAGUUACUACUUUGUCAAUGGGUGCCUUCACAAUAAUUUCUUUAUUUUCAAGAAAAAAAUCUGCUGAAGAGAAAAGAAAACCUAGAGAAGUCCAUAUAGAUAUUGGUGAUAUAGUUACAUACCUUAGUAGAUUUUUCUUCCACCUGUUAUAUUAAUGUCUUUUAUCAUCUUUUUAUCCAGUUAAUCCAAUUCAGAGGUUAGCCAAUGAGCUUAUUCACCUACAGAAUCCCGACGAAAUUCUUUUUGUGUGACACCCCUUAAUUUCUUUAUUGUAGACUUCCAAGGGUUAUUGUAGAAAUAUUUAUCCAUGGUUGUGUCAUGCUAUAAUUUUUUUCCCCCUCCAAUCGCGACUUUAAUUUCAUCUUCAUGUAUAUACUUUUAAAAGUGCAUGUGUCAGUUGUUAAGAUGUUUAUGAUUCUGUUUUUUCUGAACUUUGUAAAAUAUUAACACUUGAACCAUUUUUAAAGGAAUUACAGACAUUAGAACCACCCAAAGAAACUAUUUUUUCAUGAAAAAUGAUAAGCAAAUUUGGGUCAAUCUAUGCCAGUGUAUCCAUUGCUAAUUAUAUAAGAGGAGACUGGUAGGUGAACCAAGUCAGACAUUACUUCUGUUCCUUGCUUAGUGCAGCUUGGUUGAACAAAAGCUGUGAACUGCUGAAUUUGCAGUCUAACCUUUUAAUCUUAAAAAGUAAACUGAUUUUUAAUGAUUGGCAACUAAGGAUUAGUUUAGUGUCCCUGUUGUGUCCUUGUUCUAAUUUUUUUCGAAGUUGAUGAGUUGCUAUUUUCUACUCAUAUAGUGUUGCAUGCCCUGCAUCUAUCUGUGUUACCUAAGUAUCUUAUCAAUUUGUUGACAUUUAUUACUUGGGUAUUCGUCAUUUGUUCGUGUAUAUGGUCUGCUGGCUUUUGGGCUAAAUUUAGAAUUUUAUUCUAUGUAUUGGCGUCAUUUCCUAUAAAUGAGCUACUGAAUCCAUAAUGCUGCAUUGUACAUUCAGGGGUCCGAUACUUGGAGAAGGCAGUUUUUAAUCUUGAUUAUGGGCAACUGAAACUCGUUUUCAAUGCACUUAUAGAGCGGAAACAAGCAAUUGAGAAUGCUCCACACCUGUGCCAUCCUUUACCAUGUAUGACCCCCUGCUUUGAUUGGCUCGAGGUUGUGUACUAUUGGAUGGGCUUGAAAUUGUAUGAUCUUAUUGCUGGUCGAAGGAUGCUACAUUUGUCACGUUAUUACUCUGCAAAUGAGUCGUUUGAACUGUUUCCAACACUAGCAAGAGAUGGCCGAAAUAGAAGCCUCAAAGGAACCGUGGUUUAUUAUGAUGGGCAAACAAAUGACUCUCGGCUGAAUGUGGGAUUAGCUUGUACUGCUGCUUUGGUGGGUGCAGCAGUGCUUAACCAUGCAGAAGUUAUAUCCUUGAUUAAAGAUGAGGUUGGCGAGAGGAUUAUUGGUGCGCGCAUACGUGAUACGCUAUCAGGUAGAAGAAAGCUGGUCUUUCCUCUUCUCUGAAUUUAGGUAAAUUACCUAUGACAACUUAUGUAGAAAACAGCCAAGUCGUGUUUUCAUAUUCAAUUAGAAUAUUUCGUUAUAUUUUUUUUACUCCAUUUGGAAUAUUUUUGAAUAAAUGUAUUUAUUUUUCGUAAAUUCUCCUCUGUCAUAUGACUUAUAUUUCUCAGUAAGGUUUUAGGACAUGUUGAUGAACAUUUUUCACAGAGCUUUUGCUAGGAUUUUUUAUGACUUGUUUAUAUGAACAGAUGUUAGAUUGUAGUUAGAUUUGUAGUAGUUUAUCUAAAUCAAGUCAAAUUCUAAUUAAAUUAGGAUAGGAGGAGAUUUAGAGAAUAAGUUGAGUUUAAUUAAGAGUCCAAUUCGACUAUGAAUUCUAAUUAGGCUCUACAUUGGGGAGCCAUGCAUUAUAUAAUGCAUACUACAUCCACAUUAAAUUAAUUAAGUCGUGGUGUAGCGUGCUCUGGAGAAAGGCUGAGUUGUGGUCUAUACACGUCGGAGAGAUAUGAGCAAAUGGGAUGAGAGGCCGAGCCAUGUGAGUCUCGUAUGGAUGUGAUUUUGGGCCAUAUGCGAUAAAGCACAUUGGCUGUAUUUGGGACUUAGGUCUUUUGAGAGAGAGAAACUUUUAUACUCCACCUUCGAAUAAUAAAAGUUUCCCCUUCGAUAAUAAGUUUCCCCUUCGUCUUCACCCGUGGACGUAAGUUAGUGGCUGAAUCAUGCAAAUAUUUGUAUAUUUUAUUUUUCUUCUCUCUUUCCUGAUUCACUUUUGGUAUUUUUGCGGCCAACGAAUUUGGAAUAGUUUCAUACAAGGUUUAAAGUGCCGUGGCACGGGGGCGUGCCGUUGUUUGCCUGACACGGUACUACACCGGCAUGCUUCCGUGCCGACACAUGGUAUGUUUGCGUGCCGAUGGAUACGUACGACAUCCUACUGGCACGCUUUGGCACGGAUUUAUUUCAGUUUUUUGGGUUUCAAUAAACUUUUAUAAUGUUAUUUUGAAAGAUUUAAUUAAAUAAUUAUGAAUAUUUACUAUGUAUAACUUAUCAAUUUACAUAUUUGUAAGCUUUUUUGUAUGUGAAGUACAACUACACCUGAUACAAAAUAAAAAUUUUUACAUGUUAGAAUUUUAAAAGUGCAAAGACAUUUCUUUCUUUCUUUUGAUCAUAUUACAGUUUUUCUUCUAUAAAAUACAAAAAAAUAAUUUUUAAAAUAAUUUGAAAAUAUUAUUUUUAAAAGUAUUUGAAAAAAAAUAUUUUUUAAUUAAUUUUUUCAAAAAAAUUAGAUCUAUCAAAAAAAUUAAGCAAUAAAUUUUAUGACAAAUAAAUUAAAUAAAUUUAUGUAUCAAUUGAUUUAAUUUAGCUUCAGUAUUUUUAAUCUUCUAACGCAAAAAUAAAUUUUUAUAUUUGAUGUGCCUCAAAAUUUGUUUAUUGAGUUCGAUUUUGUUCUCUUAGUUUGCCAAAAAUUUCAUGGUGCAACAAAUUUUGAUAAAAUAAUUUAUGAAAAAAAAUGGAUGUCUAUGGUGGAAGCAGAGGACUCAAGCCGAUAAGGGUGGUGCGGGGGGUUUCGCCCUCUGCCUUAUGGAUCGGAUAUGUAAAUUAAAAAUUUGCCCGUAUAUUGAUAAACAAAAAAAUCAAAUUAUAAUUUUUUUAACUUAUCUAACAAGUAAAUCUUUGAUUUGCAAUAUCCUUGGGGGGUGUGGGAUACUUCGUGGUAUCCCAAAGAACAAAACAAAAAGAAAAAAAAGCAAAAAGCAAAAAAAAAAAAGUAUGCCAGCACGGCACAGUGCCGUGGCCCGGACUUGCGUAUUGCUCUGUCUCGCGCGAUACGCAGGUUCGUGCCACAACGGAGAGGGGGCUCCGAGACCCCCCUGUACCGUGCACCUAGAAAGUGGCACGGUAUGUGCCGCACUUUAAACCUUAGUUUUAUAUAUAAAAUAUAAUAGGGCUAAAAUCUUUAACUCGACUAUAGUAUUUUGGGCGGUAGCUACGCCUAAGAGGUUGAAAGGGUUAAACGUGUUAGGGUUAGAGUAAUUCUAGGAUGAGUGACCUCCUAGGAAGUGGGACAUCACAGUUCGUAUCAGAAUUAAUCACCAGUCAGAAAUGUGAGACGAGUCUUGGCUGAGCUAGGAUCAUACAGUGGGCAAAAGGCCACCCUCGAGUUGACAAUCGUUGUGGGUGGAGUGUAGCUCUCCACAAGGUCGGCUAAGGCUAGCGAGACGAGUUUCACAUCGCCUAGUGCUUGUGAGUGUGUUUGAGCCUGACAAGGACGUCAGGACUUAAAUGGGGGAGAAAUGUGACACUCCUAGAAUUUGAAAUAGUCAUAUAUAUAAGGAAUAAUAGACCUAAAACCUCUUAACUCGGUUAUAGCAUUUUGGGCGAUGGCUACGCCUAAGAGGUUAAAAAACUUAAUCAUGCUAGGACUAGAGCGGUUCUAGGGUGGGUGAUCCUCUGGAAAGUGGGGUAUCACACUGGUAUCAGAGCCAGAUUGUUCAUUUGGGUGUCCAAAAUGUCUACAAAACUUGAGAGAUCAAGAAAUUUGAUCACCCAAUAAUUUCCUAAAAGGCGCUGUUGGGAAGGAAACAAUGUUUGGCGCUUUAACGGAAAAGUAGAAGAGGGAUAUGGAUGCCAAAGCCCUUAAGGCCAUUCAUAACGAAGUUCUACGUGAGUUCUUAACAAGAAGACUGCCGCGGCUCUAUGGUUGAAGUUUGAGUCUCUUUAUAUGAUGAAAUCUUUCACAAAUAAAUUAUAUCUAAAGCAUUGGUUACUUAUGCUACGCAUAUCGGAAGGUAUGUCUAUUAAAUCUCAUCUUAAUGCAUUUAAUUAUAUUAUUGCAUAUUUACAAUCAAUAGAUGUAAAGAUCGAGAAAAAAAGGAAGCCCUUUUAUUUUUAUGUUCUUUACCUCCGUUAUAUAAGCUUUUCAGAGAAACCUUCCUCUUUGAUAGAGAUAUCUUAUCUAUUGAAGAUGUCAAGUCGUUUAUGCAUUUUAAGGAACAAAUUGAUCGGCAGAUCAAUGGUAAUUUGAGUGAAAGUACUGCAGAGGGCUUUGCUAUGAGAGGGAGGCUCAAGAAAAGGGUUCUAGCACUAGCAGACAGAAAUCAAGAUCAAAGUCACAACAUAGGAAUUUGAUUUGUAAUUAUUGUAAGAAGAAAGAUCGUAUCAAAUCUAAAUGCUUCAAGCUAAAGAAAAACAAAUGCAAAACAACAAGAGUAUAAAACAAGGAGAAACGAGCAGAAGUUACUCUUGCUGAUGGCAGUUCUGAUAGUUUGGAUUAUGUUCUCUCUGUGUCUGACGAAAUAAAACUUAUGAAUAAUUGGAUAAUGGAUUCGGCUUGUUCCUUUCACGUAUGUCCUAAUCGGGAUUGGUUUUCCACACAUGAAUCUAUCAAAGAUAGAGUUGUUUUGAUGGGUAAUUAUUCUCUAUGCAAAACUAUUGGGAUAGGAGUAGUGCGAAUUAAAAUACAUGACAACAAAGUGAGCACUCUUUCUAAUGUUCGGCAUUUUUUGAAUUUGAAGAAAAAAUUUCUCUCUUUAGGUCUCCUUGAUGCUAAUGGAUACAAGUACACCACUGAAGGUGAAGUUAUGACAAUUAGCAGAGGUGCUCUUGUUCUAAUGAAAGUGAAAAUGGAUGAAAAUUUAUAUAUACUACAAGGAUCUACUGUUACCGGUUCUGUAGCUACUUUCUUGUUUUUCGAUUCGGAUUCCAACAUUAUGAAAUUAUGGCACAUGCAUUUCGUGCACAUGAGCGACCAUGGGAUAACUAAAUUAAGUAAGAGAUGCCUCUUAUGUGGUGAGUAUAGAAAAAUUAGAGUUUUGUUAACAUUGUGUAUUUGGCAAGGCAAAAAGGGAUAAAUUUCAGUAUUACAAUUCACAAGACUAAAGAUACUUUAGAUUAUAUUCAUUAGACAUGGCAAACAAGCGAGUUGGGUAAACCACACGUGGUUUAUUAUACCCGCAGGUCAUAUAGGUGUGGGUAAAAUUUACCUACAAAUAUUUUGCUAGUCUAUAUCUUUACCCCCGGGAGGGUGGGUAUGCUGGUUCCCCGCAAGAUUUCUUUUGUUUUGCCCUAUACUGUCCAAAUGCAAAAUUAAUACAUAAUUUUUAAAAGAACAUAAUAUAACUUGUUUGAAUUAUCGCAACAUACAAUAAAUAAUAUAAAGUCCUAAAAUGCAUAAAUUAUAUGUAAAAGUAUUUUACUCGUAGGUCGGGCCGUCGGAUGAUGGUAGAGUGUUGCGGUAGGAGAGGUGGCGUGGUAGAAGACGUGGUCACUGUGAAAAUAAGACACGAGGAGAAAUUAGGUUUAGGGUUUUUAGGAAUAGAUAGACAAUGAAUAUAUUUUAAUUAAACAAAUAUACGCAGGUACUCGCGGAUACCCACGAGUUACCCAAAAUGCCCACAAUUUAACAAGUACCCAUCUGUUUUGCCUAUAAUUUUUGGCAAAAAGUUAGUACCAUAUUGGCAAAUUUACGGGUAAUCCACGGGUACCCUUAGGAAAGGAUUUAAGUGCCAAUCGGCACAGGUCGUAUCCACCAUGCCAUAUCGUGCCAGCAAGAUAUCGACACGAUAUAGCUCUCAUGUCGAUGACACAGCUCAAAGCCUUAUAUUCUUUAAAUUAGUAAGUAAUUUAUCAAUAAAGUUCAAAAUAUUUGAUAAAAAUACAUAAUAAAUAGUUGGAGUAUUUUGUUGCUAAAGAAAAUAAAUAGUUCAUGCUAUUAUGUGUUGACACACUUGUAUUUUUUGUGACUGGCACGCAUCGGCACGGUUCGGUACGCACCGUGCUGUACUGUGCCAGCAAGUUGAUGCAGCAAAUAAAUCUCGUUUUAUUUUCGAAUGCAAUUUUCUUUUAUUUUGUAGGUUCAUGUUUGAUUCGGACUUAAAUCAUUAGUUUAGUUGAUUUGGCUAACCCAAACCCUUUUCUCCCAUAAACAAAAAAAAAAUCCCAAAAAGACCAUUGGAAUUCCCAAAAAAAAUAAAAGAAAGACCUUUGAAAUUCUCAAAAUUGCUUCGUUUUCUAUUCAUGACUCUUGGGUGACCGUGUUAUGUUGAAAACGAAAAGACAAUUAAUUUAUUAUAGGAGGGCUCUCAAUACUAUAAAUACAUGGUUCUUGAAGCCUUAAAGGAGAUAUAUUUGGAUGAAUAGAAAACUCUACUCUCACUCUUUAUCCUUGGUCUUCUACUUCCCGGUGAGAUCAUCGACGCUUCUUCCUCGCGUCGAGAUCGUCUUCUUCCUCAACUUGAUUGUUGUCACUUCUUCCUCAUGACAAGAUCGAUUUCUACUUCUAUCCCUCCUCUUCUUCCGAGUCACUACCUCAUCUUCUUCUUCCCCGUUGCCGAAGUUCUACCCGUGGUGUACCGCCCCCCUCGUCGAUCGUGGAUUCCCCGCAAUCGUGUGAACGGUGCACUUUUUGUAUCUCUCAUCUCCUGAUAUCCUAUUAUCCCUUUUUAAUCUAGCCUUCCACCAUUACCAACCAUAUUUGCCAAACCACCAAACCUAAAGCUUUAAGUCCGAUAAAGCUGAAUUUACCUUUUGAAACUAUUAUAUGUAUUUUCAGUUGGUUGUUAUUAUCUCAUAUAUUGAAGGUUUAUCAUCAUCUUAGUAUUACUUCAAUUUGAUUUUAAUUUUUUGUCUUGCUGAAAUUUUUGCUUCCUUGUUUAAAGUUUAUCGGAAUUGAUAAAUUGAACCUAGUUUUACCUUUAAACAAAAGCAAACUUGAAAAUUCAAUUUUAGCAACCUCUCGGUUUGCAUCACAAGUUUCCGGCACGACCCCGUGCUAUGGCACUUAAAUCCUUGCCCGUAGGUACAGGUAGAGAUUGCCAAAUCUAAUAUUCAUUCUGAUCUUUGAGGACCCUUACGUGUUUCAUUUAAAAGUAGCGCUCGAUAUAUGCUUUCUUUUAUCAACUAUUAUUCUAGAAAAUUUUGGGUAUUUAUGUUGAAGUAUAAAAGUGAGGUGUGCAAACACUUCAAGCAGUAGAAAGCUAUGAUGAAAAUUGGACGAAAGAAAAUCAAGCGACUCAGAGCAGAGAAUGGUUUGAAAUUCUGCUCAUCUAAGUUUGACGAAUUUUGUAAAAAUAAAGGCAUCGUUCGGCACAAAUAGUCAGACAUACUCCAUAGCAGAAUGGAGUAGUAGAGCUUACGAAUAGGAUCCCUUUGGAGAGAGCGCGUUGGAUGCUCUUGAAUGUUGGUUUAUUGAAGGACUUCUGGGCAGAGGUACUUUCUAUCGCUUUUUAUUUGGUUAAUCGUUUUAAGUAUACAACUAUUGAGUGUAAAACUCUGAAGGGGGUAUGGUCUGGUAAACCUGCUAAUUAUCUACUUUACGAGUAUUUGGAUGCCUUGCAUAUGCUUAAGUUAAUAAUGGUAAAUUAGAACUUAGAACUCUAAAAUAUAUAUAUUUUUUUGUUAUGUAUCUAAGGUGAAGGGCUAUUGAUUAAUCAGAUGAAGGGCUAUUGAUUAUGAUACCGUGAUCCCAAAUAUCUAAAUUUCUUGUAAGUAGGGAUGUUACUUUUGAUGAAUCUGCCAGUUUCAGCUGAAAAAGUAGUUUUUUGUUGACACUGCUUCAAAGAAGGUAGAGGAUGUUAAGAAGCAAAUGAUGUUCGAGACAAAUGAUUCAAUAUUUCUGCAGAAAGGUCUCUCUUCUCAGCCUGAUCCAAUGCAGGUACUUGAUAGCUCCGAAACAGAACAAAUUCGACACAAUACAACAUUUCUAUAGGUCAACAGAGAAGACAGAUAAAGCCGCAAUAGUGAUAUAUAGAUAUAGUAGCGUCUUCUUUAUCUCUAGUUGACGAGAAUUGAUGCUUGUUGUAAUGGAAUAAAGAAUUUGAAAAGAUGACCUCUUUCCUCUCUUGGAGGUGUCAGUGAUUUAUAUUAUAAUAAUACAUUGGUUUGAGAUUAUAACAGAAUCAAUUUAAAUUUCUUAAAUACGUAAGUUGUACAACAACUUGCUAAGGAAAUACUUGACAGCGAGGAUGACAUGGAGUUGUUACAACAAAUCUUCUCAAUACGCCCCCGUAAGCUCAACUCAAUAGGGAUGGCGUUGAGCAUGGACCGAAUCAUUGAGAACCGCACCCUGGAAAGAGAUCUCGUGACUUACUUUCGUCAAUGCAUUAGCAAGCUGAUCUUUGGUGGAUAAGUAACGGGUUAAUUACACCAUUGGUCCCCAACCUUUGCACUUUUCUUUCACUUUGGUCCCUUUUUUUUUGGCAAUCAAGUCCCCAACCUUUUGAUUUCAUACAAUUAAAUCCCAGCCAUCAGAACGGGCGUUAAAAUUGACGGAAAAUGCCACGUUAGCACCAUGUCAUCGCCAUGGUGGCGUUGUGUCAGCGCAAGCUAAUUAUACAAUUUUAAUUUAAAUUUUACAUUAUAAAUUUAAAUUUAAAAUUAAAAUUAUAUUUUGAAUUAAAUUAUAAAUUCGAAGCAAAAUUUUUAUUUAAGAUUUAAAUUUUAAAUUUAAAUUUUGAUAUUGGAUUCAAAUUUAAAUUCAAAUUCAAAUUCCGAUUUUGUAUUUAAUUUUAAAUUCAAAUUCACAUUUUGAAAUCUAAUUCUAAUUUAAUUUCAAACUUUGAUUUGGAAUUUCAAAUUCAAAAUGUGAAUUUGAAUUAGAAAUUUAAAUUCAAAUUUUGAAUUGAAAACAAAUCUCAAAUUCAAAUUUAAAUUUUGAAUAAAAAUUUAAAAUUUAAAAUCAAAAAUUUGAAUUUCAUUUUAAAUUCAAGUUCAGAUUUUAAUUUUAAAUUUUAAUUUUAAAAUUUUGAUUUUAAAUGCAAAUUCAAAUAUCAAAAUCAAAAUAAAAAAUUGAAGUUUGAAUUCAAAAUUUAGAUUCAAUUAAAAAUUCAAAUUUAAAAUUUGAAUUUAUAUUCAAAAUUUUAAUUCAGCAUUAAAUCAAAAUUGUAACUUUAAAUUGAAAUUCAAAAUACUAAUUUCUAAUUAGUUUUAAAUUUUAAUUUUAAUAUUAAUUUCAAAUUUAAAUUCAAAAAUUUCAAUUUUUACUUUUGGGGAGUAAAGUGAAAAACGUGCAAAGUUUAGGGACCAAAAUUGAUAUGAAAAAGAAAGCCACUUAGGCGCUGACAUGGCGAUUCCGUUAAUUUUAACCUUUUUUUAACGGUUGGGAUGUAAUUGCAAUAAAAUCAAGAGAUUGAGGACUUGAUUGCAAAAAAAAAGAAGGUUGGGGACUCGAGUGACAAUUUGUGCAAAGGUUGGGACCAAUGAUGUAAUUAACCUGAUAAGUAAGAGACGUGCAAUGAUUUAGAAGCAACACGUUCAUGAAUAAGUGAUAGUCAAUUUUGACAUGCUCUGUGCGGGCGUGAAAAAUAGGAUAGGCCACCAAGUAAGUCGCACCAAUAUUGUCAUACCAGAGGCAUGGAGGAGAGGGCACAACAAUUCCUAGUUCGUGCAGUAGCAAUUGGAUCCAGAUUAACUUGGCGGUCGCAUUCGCAAGAGCCUUGUUUUUUGCCUUAGUACUGGAGCGGCCUACCGUGGCUUGUUUCUUUGUACUCUAGGACACCAAAUUGCAGCCAAUGUAGAUGACAUAUCCGCUAGUAGAGCAUUGAUCGAGAGAGCAUCCAGCCCAAUCGGCAUCGCUAAAAGCAUGAAGUUGACGAUUGGAGGCAUGAUGUAGCAAAAGACCAUGGCUCAAUGUGCCUUUGAAAGAGCGCAAGAUUCGCUUGACAAGAGCCCGAUGCUUUUCAGUUAGAGUCUGCAUGAAUUGGCAGACGCAAUAUACAACAUAGGGUGCAUUUGGUCUUGUUAGGGUGACAUAUUGAAAAGCGCUAACUAUUCUUCCGAACUGCGUUGGAUCAUCCAGAGGAUGAGAAGAAUUGGAAAGCAUCACAUCAACCGCCAUAGGGGUGUAUACAGGUUUGGCAUUUUCUAUAUGUGCUCAACGAAGCAUGUCCAACACAUAUUUGUGUUAGGAGAGAAAGCAUCUAUUGGGAUGGAGGUGAGCUCAACACCAAGAAAGAAAUGGGUUGGGCCCAUAUCCCGAAGAGCAAACUUAACCAUGAGAGAAUUGAUUAAAGUGUCGAUACUAAUCGUCAGACCUGUGAUUAGAAUAUCUUCAACGUAAAUGAGAAUAUAGAUAGUUGAGGAAGAUGUGACCUUGUAGAAGAGUAAAGUGUCGGUCAUGGACCUGGUAAAGCCGAGGGUGAUUCUCAGCCGAUGGAACCAUGCUUGAGGAGCCUGACGAAGACCAUACAAGGAUCAGCGCAGCUGAUCGACAUGAUGCGGGUAUUGUCAAAGUCGGGCAAUUGCUCUAUAAAAAUAGGCUUUUUGAGGUUGCCAUGAAGAAAGGCAUUCGAAACAUCGAGUUGGCGAACAGGUCAAUUGGAGGAAACGACAACGGAGAAAAGGAGACGCACAUGGUGAUUUUAAUCACUGGGUUGAAAGUCUCGGUGAAGUCCACCCAUGCUAUUGUCUGAAGCCCUUGGCAACAAGGCGCUCUUUAUGUCGCUCACUAGACCCAUCGGAGCGUUGUUCGGUCUUAAAGACCUAUGUACAACCGACUAUAUUCAUGUUCAUUCGGCGUGGAACAAGCUGUCAGGUACCAUUCUAGAUCAGGGCGUCGAAUUCUGUCACCAUGGCCGUACGUCACUCUAGAUAACAAACUGCUUGUUAAUAACAAGUGGGCACAGGAGGCAUUGUGAGGGCGACAGGAAGAGCCUCAGGCAGAGCGUGCACUGUGGAAAAAGCACACGUGGGCAACAUAUCCCAUCCUUGGAUCGGGUGACAAUCGAAUAAUGAGAAGUUGAUGGAGGUGGAGCAUGUAUUGUAGAGGAGGCAGGCAGAUCUGCUGCAGUUGUGGGUAAUGGUUCGUCAGCUCUCGCAGGUUCUGGCUCGAGGGCGGCACGGUUAUCGGGCACAGCGGGAGUCGAAGUAGGGUUCGAAUACGUGCCAGGAUGGCGCUGUUCUUCUAAACAAGGCACGGUUAUUGACAGGCCAUCUGAUGAUGAGGGAAAAACACUGAUAGGGAAAGUGGGAAGCUGAGCAGUUGCUUUAGUAGUCUCUUGAGAUGACGUUAGGGAAGAAGGAACCUUUUGUGCAAAAUAAAAUUUGUAUUCAUCAAAGAUAACAUGCCGAGCAGUAAAAAACAAGCCAGUGGGAAGAUGCAAGCAGUUAUAUCCCUGAUGAGUACUGCAAUAGCCUGUAAAAACACAUAAAUUUGAUCGAGAAUUGAGCUUGUUAUUCAAAUAGGGACGCAAGUAAGGAAAGCGGGCACACUCAAAAAUGCAAAGAAAUGCACAGUCGGGUGAUCGAGCAUACAACUUUCCAUAGGGGGAAACAUUGUUUAGUAAAGUAGUUGGAAGGCGGUCUAUAAGAUAUGUCGCGUGAGGACAGCUUAGGCCAAAAUGACCAGGGAACAUUGGCAAUGGUCAUAAGAGCGAGAGUUGUCUCAAUUAAGUGACGAUGCUUUUGUUCGGCUGCUCCGUUUUGUUCAGGGGUGUAGGGGCAAGAGAGACGGUGUGCGAUGCCAAAAGAAUCAAGAUACUGGGUAAGGACCCAUAGUUGCCACCCCAAUCAGAAUGAAAGAUUUUAAUUUUUUGAUUGAAGGGACGCUCAAUGUGCCUUCGGAAUUGUAAGGUGUCAUAAACGUCAAACUUAGGUCGAAGAGGAAAUAGCCAGAAGAAUUUACUAAACUCACGUAGAAAACUAACAUAAUAUUGAUAGCCAUCAAUAGAGGUCACUGAGGAAGGCCCCUACACAUUAGAAAAUAGAAUGUCAAUAGGAUGAGAAGAUAAAGGACUCUAUUAAGAUGCAAAGGAUGAGAUUUCACCUGUUGACGUGCGGGUACAAAGUGAUAACAUUCUAUUUGAAGAAACAAUAAGUGAAUGCUUGGAGAGAAUAUUAGAAAGUAGAAACUAUGCGCAUGGUAGGAUGCCCAAGUCGAUUGUGCUAAAUAGAAGGUGAUGCCCGUUCUCCAACCAUAGUGCGCGGUUGGUCUAGCUUAUUAGUAGAUUGUAAUUGAUAAAGUCCAUCUUUAAGACGACCUCGCAGCAAGGGCAUCCCGGAGAGGAGAUCCGUCACAAGAAAAAAGGAUGGAUGAAACUCGACAAUAACGUUAUUGUCACGAGUAAAUUGUUGGACAGAGAGAAGGUUACGUGUGAUUUGCGGAACAUGUAAAACAUGGCAAAGAGAAAGAGGAUGGGAAGAGGAAAAAAGGGUGGCAGCCCCAAUAUAAGAUAUAGACAAACCUGCACCGUCACCACCUUGAACCUUGCCAUUCCUAUGAUAGGGCGUCGGGUGCUGUAGCUGAUUGUAAUUGGGCGUGAUGUGAUGCGUCGCACCUGAGUCGGGGAACCACGUAGCAUCUGAAAGUGGGCGGUUAAAAGUAGGGACAAUGGGCACCAUCUGUGCUUGAUGAACAGUUGGCGUUGGAAGAAUAGGAGCAUUGGUCGGGGUAGCAUUAUAAGUGAAGUUUGGAUCAAACCAGUGGACACAUUGAGACAUAAUGACCUGGCUUGUCCACGAAAGUUGACAGUAGGGACCAUUGCGCUGCUAUGAUCGACCGUGCCCCCGGCUACAAUUGGGACGUGCGGUGGGAUAAUAUUCCGAGGAGGAUUGUGGAGCAGCAUUCUGUUGUUGAUGCAUGUUGGGAGUUGUAGACAAAGAGGUACACACUGCCUCGUGCGCUGACGGGAAGGGGACCUUUGAGGUGAGGGUUGCCUAAUGCUGCAUAAAAUGUUCAUUGGCAAGGAGAAGCCCAUGGACGUCAUCGUGAGAGUAGUUUACCAAGGCCCGCAAGAACUUGGAGAAUGAGCUUAAUCUUGGGUAUGGACUGACCAAUGGACUUCAUAUGCUGUCGGCGAGCUGUUUUACCUCCUGAAUGUAUUCAGUGAUUGUAGAGGAGCCUUUCUUCAUUGAAAGAAAGCAGGAUCGCAAGUGAAGAGCGCGUGCACCCGAGGUGGACUUGAAGGCAUGAGAGAGAGCUUCACAGACGUCCCGAGAUGUAUUAAUAAGACCUGCUACAAGAGUUAGCAAAGAGUCAUGAAGAGAGUUUGCCAACCAAGCAAGGACCUGUUGGUCUCUUUUUAUCCAGUUUAGAUACGUUGGGUUGAGAGUUGGUGGAGUGGGAGGAUCAUUGGCAACUGAGAGGGCAGCAGGUACGAACUUGGAAGGACAUGGUUCCGUACCAUCCACAAUGCUUAUUAGCUCAAGGCUCUGUUGGAUAGGAAGGCACUUUGUCUUCCGGUUGAUAUAAUUGUCUUGACGGAGCUGGGUGAGAGGGACAUUCAUAAUAUGCAUGGGGUUGGAGGAAGGGGAGGCGAUGGCCAUCUAAAUAAGAGGUUGUGAAACAAAGGCUUUGAUCCCAUGUAAUAGAAUAAAUAAUUUGAAAAGAUGACCUCUAUCCUCUCUUGGAGGUGUUAGUGAUUUAUAUUAGAAUACAUUGGUUGAGAUUACAACAGAAUCACUUUAAAUUUCAUAAAUACUUAAGUUGUUGCAACACCUUGCUAAAGAAAUACUUGACAGUUAGGAUGAUGUGGAGUGGUUACAAUAAAUCUUCUCAAUACUGUUGAGUCUUCCCCUUACACAGAAGCUAUUUCUAACGCUAAGCAAAACAAAUUGUUAUAAAUAAAGAGAUAAGAGUCUCUCCGCAAAAACCACACGUGGGAGUUGGUGAAGCCACUGAAGGAAAGAAAAUUGUCAGUUGGAAAUGAAUCUUCAAGAAAAAAGAAGGUACCCCAAGUGUUGAAAAUACUAUAUACAAAGCAAGAUUGGUUACAAAGGGCUCUAGUUAGAUAGAGGGUGUUGAUUCUAAUGAUAUUUUUUUCCACUUCUUGUCAAACAUAGCUCUUCGUAUUUUGCUCUCUUUAGUCGCUACUCAUAAUAUGGAGUUGGAGCAGCUUGAUUUGGAAACAACAUUUUUGCAUGGCGAGCUUAAAGAACAAACUAAUAUGCAUCAGCCUGAUGGUUUUUUUGUUCAAGGAAAGAAGAUCAUGUCUGCUUGUUAAAGAAAUUAUUAUAUGGUUUGAAAUAGUCUCCUUGGCAGUGGUAUAAGCGAUUUAACUCAUUUAUGAUUGGUUGUGGCUACUCAAGGAGGAGUGAGUUGUGUUUAUUUUAGGAAGCUUGAUGAUGGCAUUUUUCAUUUAUUUGUUGCUUUAUGUUGACAAUAUGCGUCACGCUCCAAACCCGAGGCAUAACAGACGCUGCAUACUUACUAAAUUAGUAAAUAUGCAAGGCUACAGAACCAAACAGAAAACAUGCAAAAUGGUGAUCACAGAAUUUUUCAUUAAAUCCAAAGAGUCAAAAGAUGAGACUAACAAUUGAAUUUCAACUAGAAUCAAAAUGAAUUCUAACAUAUAUAAAACUAAACUGCGGAAUACAAAAGAAAAUUCGGUCCACUGAAUACCAUAAUUAACAAAAUGUGGGUACACAAAAAUAACGAAAUAGAAGCAGAUAAACAAAUGAUCGUUUAUGAAGUCCAAAAAAUAUUCACAUCUAAAUAUACUAGACAUAAAAACACAAGAAACUAAAAUCAAACACUAACUACAUCUAACGUUCACUCAGUCCCGGCCCCGCUCGACAAAUUAGUCUCUGUACCUGGGUAAGCAACCAUACACCACAUUAAUCAAAUUAAGCAUUCAAAUAAAUAUAUAAUAAAUGCUCUGAAGUAAAUUUUCAUACAAAAAAUUAAUUUAAGUGACUGGUUUUGAAUUUGCAAAAUUUCAAAAAACAAAGAUUAUCGAAAUUUAAAAUUCAGAUCAAAUAGGAACUAGAAAUUACAAAGUAUUUCCUCUUUUAGCAAAUCAACAAAAUAAAAAAUUUUAAGUCUCCGAUAACUAACUAUAUAGUAUGAUCCGUUGACGAGAUCCAGAGGCACCUGAAGGCGCAAAAUAGAACAGAGGCACUCGGGGGUGCAUAUAUAGAACAGAGGCGUUCGAAAGUGCAAAUACAGAAUAGAGGUACGGAUAGGCGCAAGCACCUGAAGGUGCAAUAUAGAGACGAAGUUAGCUUCUGUAACAGAAUACAUGUCGACAUGGCUAAUAUUUGUAUAGCAGAAUACCAAGAGACAUAAACACUUAUCCAGUCACUAAUUACAGAACAGAUUAUUAAAUCUCAAAAUUCUUUUGCUAAAAGAACCUGUCACUCAAAACUGAUUUAAAAAAUAUGUGAUAAUACACUUAACCCUUAAUUUUGAAAUCUACAAAAUAGAAAUUUCUAUACAAUCAGAAUAUUUUUCUAUAUUUUACAAAAAACUAACGAGUGUCCGGUUGCGUACCUUAAAGCAGCUUCAAAGCUAAGAAGCUAUCCAGUCGUAAAUUGCACAGAAAAUCAAUCACCGGAAACCUAAAAUAGAGCAAUAUGAUUCUCUAUAAGCUACUCAAAAUAAAAUUACAAAGAGGACAUAUGUAUUUAGAAGAGAAGAAAAUUUUAUACAAAAAUUUAAAUUCGGAUUGGCUUACAUGGGUUGACAAUGUCGAUUACAAAUGCAUGCAAAAAGGUCGAGACGGACCACGAAAGAGAAUUAGAAUGAUAAGCCCAAAGAAAUUCAACUAGCAAUCACUAAGAUGAAGAGUUUCAAAGAUUGAACUAUUCAAAGAAGCAAGAUAAUAUGAACGAAAUUUUAAUUAAUAAACGAAGGUCUUAAUGUUCGAUAAUUUUACAAUCUACAAUAAGUUAGGAUCAAAAUUGGAAACAAAAACGAAAUUCGCCCUCUAUUAGGCAUUUUAUCGAAUAUGUAGAGGGCAUUCCUAAAAGUAUGUAGAAUGUGCAAAAUUUAUAUAACUAAAUCACAUGGCGAAUACAGGAUAAAAAAAUUAAUAAUAUGGUCAAUCUAAAUCUAGAUCGAUAGAAAUCAGAAUUGAAUGAUUUUAACACUAAUCAUCAAAAGAAGAACACUUAGAAAUAAUCACAUAAACAUGGAUAAAAAAUUAGGUGCUCUCAAGAAUAGGUGUAGGGACAAAAAUGAAAAAGAAGGAACCAUCUUAAAGAUAGAAACGACGACGACGACGACGACGAGAUGUCGUUGACGGCGAACCGAAAAUUUCGAUAGAUGAGGAUUGGUACAGCAGCAGCUAUGGAUGACGGUGACGAUAGUGAUUCGUCGGCGUUGCGCGCAUGUGCUUGAGCGUGCGGGUGAAAGGCGUACGGAUGCAAGGUGGAGAGAGAGUCGUGCGAGGGAGAGAGGUGGUUGCUGUGAUGAAUAGGAAAAGAGAACAAAGGUAGUUAGGGAUUAAUUACACAAUAUGUUGCCAAGCCCCUAUACUUUUAAUAUUUACGUGAAGGUCCAAAAUUAAAAGAAUAGUGGUCAAAACAGGAGGUACAAAAAUAUGGAGUGUUACAUCCUCCCCUCCUAAUAAGAAGUUUAGUCCUCUAAACUUAGCAUACCUUAGCUCUCGAAAUGCUGAGGGUACUUCGCCCUCAUUUACAAUAUGCUUAUUGCUUCCAAAGACUUGUUUGAAAUUAACAAGUUAAAAAAGUAGGUUUAAUCACGAAUUUGAGAUGAAGGACUUAGGAGCAGCUAAGAAGAUUCUCGAUAUGGAGAUUCUUAGAGAUCAGAAGUAAGGAAGAUUAUAUUUGAAUAAGAAGAAACACAAUGAGAAAGUUUUCGAGUGUUUUGGAAUGAAAAAUGCUAAGUCUGUGAGUAUCCCGUUUGCUGCUCAUUGUAGGCUUUCGGCUACUUUGUCACCAGAGUCGGUUGAGAAUGAGAGGUACUUGUCACAUAUUCCUUACUCUAGUGCAAUUGGAAGUCUUAUGUGUGUAACGCUCCAAUAGUCUCACAUCGGAUAGGAAAGGGGUUUUGAUUAGGAAUAUAUAAGGUCUUGCUCCCUAAGCUCCCUAAUAAUAAUAACUAAGCCUAAGUAUCUUGGACCGGUGGUUUGGAUCCAACGAGUUAUUAUUACUAGUUGGUCGGGUUGUUACAAUUGGUAUCAGAGACGAAUACCAAUCGGAAAUGUACGAGCUAAGUACUAUGCGGGGCAAAGUGCUACACCAUGGAUUUGGUGAGAGCCAGCUCUUGAACCUGUAGGAGCCAUCUCUAGAAUCUUACAUCGCCUGGUAAUUCUGAUCUAUAUGUUUGUGAUCUGGUUUGGACUUAACGAGGAAGGUAGGGUCUAAAGGGGAGAGUGUGUAACGCCUCAAUAGUUCCACGCCGAAUGGGAAAGGGGUUCUGAUUAGGAAUAUAUGAGGUCAUGCACCUUAGUAAUAAUAACUGAGCUUAAGCAUUUUGAGCCGGUGGUUUGGGCCCAACGAGAUAUUAUUGCUAGUUGGUCGGGUUGUUACCAUGCGUGCAAUGAUCUACACCUGUCUUGAUAUUUCAUACAUUGUCAAUUUUGUGAGUAGAUAUAUGGCUGAUCGCGACACACAUUAGCAAGCUGUGAAAUGGAUUCUUAGAUACUUAGAGAAACUUUUGAUGUAUGUUUGGACUUUGGGAGAUCUGAUGACUUUUUAGUCGGUAUUGUUAAUUUAAAUUUUACAAACGAUUUGGAUAGUUGAAGAUCACUUACCGGAUACAUUUUCUUGCUUGGUGGUUGCUCUAUUAGUUGGAAAGCUACUUUCCAGUCUAUUAUUGCUUUAUUAUUGCUUUAUCUACCACUUAGACAGAGUACAGUUGGUUUGAGAGGCUUAUACGAAGAGCUUACUUCUAGUCAGGGGACGGCUGUCAUCCACUAUGACAACGAAAGUGCUAUACAUAUUUUUAAAGAUCAAAUGCUUUAUAAGAGAACGAAACAUGUUGAUGUCAAGUAACACUUCUUUCGUAAUGUGCUAACACAUGGUGAUGUUGUCGUAAGGAAGGUAGGCAUUGUAAACAAUCUAGCGGAUAUGUUGACUAAGAUUUUCCUAUUGACUUAGUUCAAGCAUUGCAUGAAUCUCGUCGGUGUCUACAGUAGCACUUGAUGACCCCUUUGUGGUUUUGGUGGAGAAGGUGGAAAAUUCAAGUCAAGGUGGAGUUUUCUAUGGUGGGCCCAGCGCAAUGGUUGAGAACUACAAAUCAAACUAAGGUGGAGAUUGUUAGAUUGUAGUUAGAUUUGUAGUUUAUCUAAAUCGGUCAAAUUGUAAUUAAAUUAAAAUAGGAUGAGAUUUAGAUUUAUUAAGAAUAAGUAGAGUUUAAUUAAGAUUCCAAUUGAACUAUGAAUUCUGAUUAGACUCUACAUUGGGGGCAUGCAUUAUAUAAUGCAUACUACGGCCACAUCAAACUAAUUAAAGCAUGAUUCAUUGUGCUCUGGAGGAAAGGCUGAGAGUUGUGGUCCUUACAUAUCGGAAAGAUAGAGCCAAGCCAAGCCGAGCAGAGCAAGUGGUGUGAGAAGCCGAGCCAUGAGAGUCUUCUACGGACGUGAUUUUCGGCUGUACACGAUAAAGCACAUCAAGUGAUUUUCGGCUGUACACGAUAAAGCACAUCAAGUGUGAGAAGCCGAGCCUUGGGUCUUUAGAGAGAGAUAAUUUGUAUCCCGGCUUCGCUAGUAAUAAAAGUUUUCAUCUUCAGCCAUGGACAUAGGCCAGUGGCGAAACAACGUUAAUAUUUGUGUGGUUUAUUUUUCUUCUCUCUUUCUUGUUUCUCUUUUGAUAUUUUCAUGCCCACCAAACUAGAUCUCUUUUCACUUUUGUUGUAACAAACAGAUAAUCUUGCCUUGCUACUAAUGAUGAUUAUUAAUAGAUACUACAUUUUCUACUUUCCUAUUUUGACAUAUGAGGAAGGUGAAACUUUUUUGAGCGCCUGAAAAUAACAAAUCACACUUGGAUCUUCUAUGAGUUACAUGUUUGCAUUUUUUAUAGUUUGUAAGUGGCAUAAAUAUUUAGUCCUAGAACACUUACGUAAUACUUUUACAAACUCUUAAUUGUUUAAAGCUAAAUUGAGAGAUUGAUAGAUGUAAGAGACUGAUAAAUGAUUUAAAUUUUAUUCUGUUUUGGACAUAUUUCUGCUCAUAAUCGAGGUUCAAUAAAAUUAACUAAUAUGGUUAAAUGAAUUCUAGGAAAAUAAUGAAUGAAUUAAUGAAUUUCAUUUUCGUUAUUAUGUAAUAUAAAUAUCACAUCAGCUGUUGCUUUUCAUGUUUUAUCAAUCUAUUCUUUAAUUGGUACCUGGGACCCUUUUUUUCUUUCUUUUGGUUCAUACGCAACAUACGCGAUAUGCAUUUAAUUAAACUUAAUUGCAUGUAAUGAAAUUUAUACUCAAAUUUCGCAUCAGUAUAAUAUUGAUGGAACUUAGUAUAUCAUUUUCAUUUUAGCUUACGCCGAACUGUAGGCGCCAUUAUAGCUUCUAGUUCUCUACUAACUUGAUUGUCCUUAUUUUCCCUCCCUUAGGGAAGAAUCAUCUUUCCUAUAUUACCCUAUCAACUUUAUGGUUGUGGAGUUGGAUUGCUUUGGCUAGAUUUUACACAUAUUUGCAUAGUGCAUAGUUGAUAGUUGUCUUUAUGUGUGUUGGCUGGUGCUGAUGGUGUAUAGUUAUUGCAGCAUAGUGCUGAUAGUAUAUAGUCAUUACAACAAACGCUUUUGAAUGAUGCAGUGAGUUAGAUUUUGCAGAGGAGGAGCUGGAUAUUAAUGUAAUAUACAGUGAAGACUUUAUCUGUCUUGGCUUCCAGAUGUUUUUGUCUGUUUCAAUGGAGCUUAUAAUGCUAUGUGGAGGAUUAAGUGUUUAGUCCAUCAUGCAUAGACACAUAUUUAAUUUGUUUGAUAGCAACAACAUAAAAUUUUUCUAUUGUUUGAUGAUGAUCAACAAAUGCAUUAUCACUAUUAAUAUAGAUACCUACAUGCCUACAUUCUGCAUAUAUGAUAAGCAAAUCAUUUUAAUUGUCAAGUACCUUAAUACCUGUUAAUCCAAGGACCUUAACACCUGUUAAUCUCUAUCAGGCAAAGAGUUUGAUACAUUUGCGAGGGUUAUUGUCAAUGCAGCUGGGCCAUUUUGUGACUCUGUAAGGAAAAUGGCUGACAAGGAUGCACCACUUAUGAUAUGUCCGAGUAGUGGCGUGCAUAUAGUUCUUCCUGAUUAUUAUUCUCCUGAAGGGAUGGGACUUAUUGUUCCCAAGACUAAGGAUGGUCGCAUCGCAUUCUUGUUGCCCUGGUUGGGAAAGACAGUUGCUGGUACAACCGAUUCUAGCACUACAAUAACAAUGCUUCCAGAACCUCGUGAAGAUGAGAUACAAUUUAUAUUGGAUGCUAUCUCUGAUUAUCUUAAAAUUCAGGUUUGUGCAUUGGCUACACUAUAUUUUUUCCUUUAGAAAAUCAAUUGGUUUGUACUUAAAAAUAUUAAUGUACUUGUAAGUAUCUAGUUCACAUUGGAUGAUCAGCCGAAUGGGUGAUGCUGGCUUGGUGCAGCAAAGAGUAGCAUUUCACUCCAGAGCAUUCGUGGGUGAAAACUUGUCAACCAUGAUAAUCAAUCUUGUGAUAUUGAUUGAUCAUUUUGACUUGCAAUAAAAAACCUUGCAACAUUAUGGCCGAAACUAUUCUCUAUUUAUAUCUUCUGUUUUGGUGGUGUUUUUUUUACUUCAUUUUUUGUUGGUUUUGAGAUGGGUGUGGGCUGAGAUAGUUGGAAGAGUCGUUUUAGUAAGUUACUACCGAAUGCUUCCCCUUUCAACCAUAACAGUUUGACGGCAAAUUACUUUAGUUUGCAUAUGAAUUCUAGUAAGAAUAAUCCAAAGCAUCUGUCCUUUUUGGAAGAGUCCAAGGCAAGGAUUAAGCUACUGAACAACACUUUGCGUGCCAAAAUGUUAUUGAUGCAAAAUAACCAUUGUGCCGAUUGCAUGGCCAAAAGCUCUUCUUUCUUUUAUAUUCUUUCCGAACUACGAAAGCAUAGAAUUUUUUUCAAACCCUUGUUGUAUUAUUUGGAUGUUUUGAAGUUGUCUAUUGAAAUUGGGAGGAAAUUAGAUUUCCACAUUUUGUAACCCUUGUUCUUCUCAGACUCAUAUAAUUUGUUGCAUUGAUGAAAUUAGAAAUACAUGUGUGGGCUGAUAGUUCUUGAACUUUUUUUUUUUGGGGAGCACACUUCAGGUAAGGCGGUCAGAUAUUCUUUCUGCAUGGAGCGGUAUACGCCCGUUGGUUACAGAUCCCUCUGCAAAAGAUACUGGAAGUAUUUCUAGAGAUCAUGUUGUAUUGGAAGAUUAUCUUGGUCUUGUCACAAUUACAGGUGGAAAAUGGACAACAUAUAGAAGGUAAGAAGGUCACUAAUAAUUUAUUUUGUUUCAUAUUAUUUUUGUGGGAAAUCUCUUCCUUGGAGUUCUUGUAAUGGUCUUGUUGUAAAAUGAGGAUGAAAUGUAUUGAUGGCAUUUUCAUAAACGCUUGUUGGUGAGCAAUUUCACAACGCACUCUCUAUAAGCAUCUAAUUGAGAAUCAAUCACAAGAGCAAUAACAAAAUAAACAAAAUCACAAGAACACAAGGAUUUACGUGGUUCGGCUAAGCCUACAUCCACGAAAGAACAAUGCAAAAGAAGCUUCCACUAUAAACUUGAAGAUUAUAAGAAAGAUUUAAAUGGGAGAAAUAUCACCUUUAACUCUAAGGUAUAAAAAGGAGCUCCAACAAUAUCUAGCUCUAUCCAAAUGGUGUAAACCACACUUCACAAGGAAGAUCUCAUCUCCUUGAUAGAACUAAGAUCAAAACUAAGCUCUAGGGUCCUCUCUUUUCUCAUAUUUCUUUUCUCACUCUUUAGUUCUCUCUCUUCUUUUCUCUCUAAUAUUCUAAUAUCCCACUUUAGCUCCGAAGCUAUCAAUAUGGGCCUUUUGAUCGAAAGAAUCAUGAUCCAAAGCCUUACAAAUAGGGGGCCCACAUACAUAAUAAAAAAAUAUAGAAAGAGAAGAUUUUGACUUCACCAAAUUACAUAGCCCAAAUAAUAAGGCCCAAAUAACAAAUAGGCCCAAUAUAAUUAGCUCAACAGGUCUAUUAUCUCCUUCGUUGUUUGUAAAAUUAUAGAUUCUAUCACAUUUCCUUGCAUCACUGGAAGCAUUCAAGAUUUGUGGGUGAUAUAUCACAUAGCAGAUAAACAGAAAUGAGUAAAUUUGUAAAAGCAGAGAGACUUCAAGGCUAUUCAAGGAUUGUUGCUAGAACAUGACAAUGUAAAUUAUUUCAAGGCAACUAUUUUCUAAGUUGGAGUAAUUAAAUUGGUGAAAUACAAACCACAUUUCCUAUGUAACACCCAAUAGCUUCAUAUCGGAUGAAAAAAUGAUUCUGAUUGGAUUAUAUGAGGCCUCCACCCUAGUAAUAAUAAUUUGGCUUAAGCAUUUUGGGCCAAUGAUUUUGGCCCAACGAGUCAUUAUUGCUAGUGGGUCGGAUAGUUGUAAUUGGUAUUAGAGCCGAAUACCAGCCGGAAGUGUGAGAUAGGAAAAUAAUUCUGAUUGGAUUAUAAGACCUCUACCAUAAUAAUAAUAACUGAGCUUAAGAAUUUUGGGCUAGUGGUUUGGGUCUAACGAGUUAUUAUUACUUGUGGGUCGGUCGUCACAAUUGGUAUCAAAGCCGAAUACUAGCCGGAAGUGUGAAAGCUAAAUGCUAUACGGGGCAAACUACUACAGCAAUGGGCUUGGUGCGAGCCACCUCUUGAACCUGUAGGAGCCACCUCCAGAAUCUCACAUCGCCUAGUAAUUCUGGUCUGCAUGUCGGUGAUCUAGGUAUGGACCUGACUAGGACGUCAGUAUCUAAACAGGGGGAGUUUGUAACGCGCCAAUAGUCCCACAUCAGAUGAGAAAAUAAUUUUGAUGGGAAUAUAUGAUGCCUUCAUUCUAGUAAUAAUAACUGUGUUUAAGUAUUUUGGGCUGAUUUGUUUGGGUUCAACGAGUUAUUAUUGCUAGCGAGUCGGAUCGUUACAAUUGGUAUCAGAGCCGGAUACUAGCCGAAAGUGUGAAAGCUAAGUGCUAUGUGGGACAAAGUGUUGCACCAACGGAUUUGAUGGGAGUCACCUCUAGAAUCUCACAUCGCCUGGUGAUUCUGUUCUAUAUCUGUGAUCUGAUUUGAACCUGAUGAGGACGUCAAGGUCUAAACGGGGGAAUCUUUAACACCCCAAUAGUCCCACAUCAGAUGAGAAAAUGAUUCUGAUUGGAUUAUAUGAGGUCUCCACCCUAGUAAUAAUAACUUGGCUUAAGCAUUUUGGGCUAGUGGUUUGGGCCCAUUGAGUUAUUAUUGCUAGCGGGUCGGGUAGUUGCAAUUGGUAUCGGAGCCGAAUACCAGCCAGCAGUGUGAGAGCUAAAUGCUAUUCUAGUAUAUAUGUCGGCCCACAUCAGAUAAAAAAGUAAUUCCGAUUGGAUUAUAAGAGACCUCUAUCCUAAUAAUAAUAACUAGGCUUAAACAUUUUGGGCCGGUGGGUUAGGUCCAAUGAGUUAUUAUUGCUAGCAGGUCGGUUCUUUACAAUUGGUAUCAUAGCCGAAUAUCAACCGAAAGUGUGAGAGCUAAGUGCUAUGCGGGACAAAAUGCUACACCAACGGAUUUAGUGGGAGCCACCUCUUGAACCCGUAGGAGCCAUAUCUAGAGUCUCACAUCACUUGGUAAUUCUGGCCUACAUCCCUAACGAGGACGUCAGGAUCUAAAAAGAGGGGGUCUGUAAUACCCCAAUAGUCCAACAUCGGAUAAGCUGAGUGGAUUAUGUGAGGCCUUCACCCUAGUAAUAAUAAUUUAAGCAUUUUAGGCCAGUGAUUUGGGCCCAACGAGUUAUUAUUGCUAGCGGGUCGAGUAGUUGCAAUUGGUAUUAGAGCCGAAUACCAACUGAAAAUGUGAGAGCUAAGUGCUAUUUUGGUCUAUAUGUUGUCCCAUAUCGGAUGAAAAAAUAAUUUUGAUUGGAUUAUAAGAGACUUCUGCUAUAAUAAUAAUAACUGGGCUUAAACAUUUUGAACCGGUGGUUUGGGUCUAACGAGUUAUUAUUGCUAGCAUUUCGGGUCGUUACAAUUGGUAUCAAGUAUCAUAGCCAAAUACCAGCCAGAAGUGUGAGUGCUAAGUGCUAUGCCGGGCAAAGUGCUACACCAACGGGUUUGGUGGGAGCUAUCUCUAGAGCCCGUAGGAGCCACCUCUAGAAUCUGACACCGGGUAUGGACCUGACGAGAACGUCAGGGUCUAAACAGGAGGAGUUUGUAAUGCCCCAAUAUACCAAAUAGGAUGAGAAAAUGAUUCUGAUGGGACUAUAUGAGGCCUCAAUUCUAAUAAUAAUAAUUGGGCUUAAGCAUUUUGAGCCGAUGUUUUAGGCUCAACGAGUUAUUAUUUCUAGCUAGUAGGGUCGUUACAAUUGGUAUCAAGGUCGGAUACCAGCCGAAAGUGUGAGAGCUAAAUGCUAUGCGGGACAAAGUGCUACACCCACGGAUUUGGUGAGAGUCACCUCUUGAACCCGUAGGAGCCACCUCUAGAAUCUCACAUCGUCUGGUAAUUCUAUUAUGCAUUUGUGGUCUGAUUUGGACCUGACGAGAACGUUAGUGUCUAAAUGGGAGGAGUCUAUAACAUCCAAUAGUCCUACAUCAGAUGAAAAAAUGAUUCUGAUUGGAUUAUAUGACGCCUCCACCCUAGCAAUAAUAACUUGGAUUAAGCAUUUUGAGCUAGUGGUUUGGGCCUAACGAGUUAUUAUUGCUAGCGGGUCGGGUAGUUGCAAUUGGUGUCAAAGCCGAAUACCGGCCGGAAGUGUGAGAGCAAGUGCUAUUUUGGUCUAUAUGUCGUCCCACAUCGGAUAGAAAAAUAAUUAUGAUUGGAUUAUAAGAGACUUCUACUCAAAGAAUAAUAACUGGGCUUAAGCAUUUUGGGUCGGUGGUUUGGGUCUUACGAGUUAUUAUUGCUAGCAGGUCGGGUCAUUACAAUUGGUAUCAUAGCCGAAUACCGGCCGAAAGUUUGAGAGUUAAGUGCUAUGCGGGGCAAAGUGCUACACCAACGGGUUUGGUGGGAGCCACCUCUUAAACCUGCAGGAGCCACCACUAGUAGCCCACAUCGUCUGGUAAUUCUGUUUUGUAUGUCUUUGAUCUGGUUAUGGACCUGACGAGGGCAUCAGGAUUUAAACACCUGACGAGGGCAUCAGGAUUUAAACAUGGGGAGUUUGUAACGCCCCAAUAGUCCCACAUCGAAUAGAAAAAUAAAUUUUGUUGGAAUAUAUAGGGCCUCCAUUAUAGUAAUAAUAACUGGGCUUAAGCAUUUUGGACUGAUCUUUUGGGCUCAAUGAGUUAUUAUGCUGGCAGGUCGGGUCGUUACAUCCUACCAAGAUAAAAUGUGCGAGCAGCAUAGCAAAGUUGAACAUUGGCUAAAAGGUCCUUCAAAGAAAGAACAUUAUGUCAUAUUUCUUAAUGUAUUCCAUAUUUACUUAAUAUCAGCCUAGGAGGGUGGAUAGCAUAAGUGAGCCACAAGCAUAAUCUGUCCAUUAAACUAGAUUCUGGACUUCGUUGCAUGAAUAUGCUAUUUUCCUUUUCCCCUGUAAUGUUGUUUCUCUGAAGAUCAGAAAAAGUAGAAGCGUGUGUGCGUUGUGGGUUGGAUUCAAUUAUAUGCAAUCAUUCGACAGUUUCAACUCAGACCAAGCCAUAUUUAGUCUUGACUAUUGUAGCAUUGAGGAAAUUUAUUGUAGACAAUAUUAGCUUUCAUUGUACUAGUUUGGGAUAAGUUAUUUUUAGUUCUUGAUGUUUAGAUUGGUUAAAUUUGGGGCUAAUCUUGUUCUUUAGAAGCUGCAAUUAGUAGGUUUGAAGUUUUAUAAAUGUAUAAAUUACGUCAUCCAUCACUGACAAUGUGACAAAACAUUGAACUACAAGCCACCUCUAAUGACAGCUAGCUGAUUUUGGUACUCAUAAUGGCCGGCUACAAAUUAUGGAGACGAGCAUGCUUCUGAUGUUUCUUAGUAAGUUCUCUCUUGAUAUUAUCAGAGAUGGCUCACUUCAUACUUUGUCCUUCCAAACAAAAUUAUUAUGUCACAAACUAUGGUUUGAAUGUUCUAACAUAACAUCUUCUGCCGCAGUACGAAUUUUCUUGAAUGGUUUGUUAUGCAAAAGAUUGCUUUCGAUCGGUUAUCUUACUAUGCAUUAAAUUAAGGCCUUGUCCCUUUACAUAUUGUUGUUGUUCCCAAAUAUUGUAGUGACAAAUUCAAUAAUAUGAUUCUGCACUAUGUUCUUACACAGCAUGGCUGAAGAUGCAGUUGAUGCAGCCAUAAAAUCAGGCAGGCUAAAGCCCACUAAUGGCUGUGUGACUGAACACCUUCGUAUUGUAGGUGGAGAUGGAUGGGAUCCAGCAUUGUUUGCUAUUCUUUCACAACAUUAUAUAUGCAUGAAGAAGGCACGCAAUGGAAAAGUUAUCCCUGCAGUGAUGGAUACUGCUGUUUCGAAGCAUUUGUCUCAUUCUUAUGGGACCUUGGCUGAACGAGUGGCUACAAUUGCACAGGUUGAAAAUUUUUUCCAGAUAGCGCUUGUCCAAAAAAUGCACAUGUAUAUUAGCAGCUCGUAUCAUCCUUUUCUUUCCCUUGUAAAAUUCUGCAUAAUAGUAUAAUCUUUUUUACCUGGAGAAAUUAAUUAUCCUACAUGUUUUGAAAAUUACCAACUUAUCCCUCUGAAGUUGAUAUUAUCAUAAUAUGUAUUUUCUAAAUUUACAAUUUACAAUUUACAAUUACAUUUGAUUUCUCAAAUUUUAUUAAUGUUAGUCGACCAUUAAAAUUUGACUGUUCAUUUCUUAAAUGACUAUUAUGCCCUUCAAAAAAAGUCCCUUUAAAUACUUUGAAGUCGAGUAUUGCAGAAUUGCUCAGGAUUUAUGGUUCUGUUGCAGCUGUGUAGAGAGGAAAGAGGAGUGACAAAUAUGAUUAUUUUGAAAAUAAGUUUAGUUACGUCAAAUUAGCGUGAUAAAUUGCAAAUAUAAGAUGACAAGCAUAGUGAGACUCGGUAAGCUAUCUAGAAUUUAAUAUGAAAAGAAGCAACAAGCAACUUGCAUGGAAAAGAUCUUUGCAUGGAAAGAUCUUUACAAACCUUACUGUUUUGUAGUCUUCUUUGCUUCUUCGAUUAAUUAUGUAAUUGAAGGCAAAUUGGUUAAUUGAUUUGAGUAUUUUCUGAGGGUUUUUUGUAUUUUAGCCUUUUUCUAAUGUUGUCUUACUAACUCUUCUGUUCUUGUAGAAUGAGAAUCUAGGAAAGCGGCUCGCUCAUGGAUACCCAUAUCUAGAGGCCGAGGUCGCAUAUUGUGCUCAUAACGAGUACUGCGAAACUGCAGUGGAUUUCAUUGCUCGGAGAUCUCGGCUCGCUUUCCUUGACACUGAUGCAGCACGACAGGCACUUCCCCGCAUAAUUCAAAUCUUAGCUUCCGAGCACAAGUGGGAUAAGGCUCGACAGAAUCUAGAACUUGAAAAAGCUAAAGAAUUUUUAGAAACUUUUAAAUCAUACAAAAAUGCACAGUUAACAGACGGAAAACAUGCUGGUAAGCAAUAUUUCCUUCUUCAAUGUAUUAUUGCUUCAAAAAUUGUGUGCUAAUAUUGUUAUUUUGGUGUUUUUUCAGGGAAGUGAUCUAAAUAACUUCUCAACAAAUAAAAAUAAUUAGAAGCUCCGCAACUUGGAUUCAAUUCUAUUUAAAGAGGCAGCUUUGAAGAUAUUCAAUUCAUUUUGAUGGCGAAAAAACAUCUUCUUUUUGUACAUUUGCUGGCCAAUUGAUACAAAUAGAGAGGUUAGUAAUAAAAUCACGGUGAAAUUUAAGAGAUUGUACUUGUUCCUGGGUUUUACUCCAAAAACAGCUUUUAACAGGUUGGUCUUUAAAUUCUUUAUAAAGUAUGCAAAAUAUAUUUUUCCGUCCUCACUUAUUGAAUAGCAUGAUUUGGUGUUGUUGACGCCAAAUUUCGGCAAUCAGAUUGAAGGAGCGAUGGAUGAUCUCAGCCGCUUGGCAUUUGAUAAGAGAUAGCCAUCCCAGAGUUUUAGGGUUUGGCCGAAAUUAUUGGGAUUCAUUUUCUAAAUGAGAUGCAGGCGAUUUUGAGUCGGAUUGGAGAGGUUGUAAAUACAUCAAGUUAGGUGAGCAGAAAGGACCCUUUUUUCAAACAUUCAAAAAUAAAAUUCACUUUCUUGAGAAACAGUAGAGUGGUAGAAGUAGCCUUCGGCAGCUUCAAUCGUUAGUCGUUUGGGAGUUUCUAAUAGUAGUCUUUAUUGAUGCAGUAGUUUAGUCGGGAGUUUCGGUAGUUUUUCAGCUUUCAGCUGAAAGUCCUAGGUUUCUAGGGCUCUCCAAUUCGACUGAGAGAUCACCCUCUCCAGCAGUUUUAAGUUCGGCCCGAGUCUAGCGGCUGAAUGUGGCAUUCUUUAGGAAGCCAAGUCCCAGCGGAGAACUCAGUAUGAAUCGCUUUAGGCUCCUUCAUUGUAAUUCUUUUAACUUCGGCAAUGGAGUUCAAUUUAUUUUAUUUUGCAAAUAUAUUUCUGGCACACACAAUAGGACACGUAGAAAGGGGCACAGAUCUUGACCUCGACAGCCGUAGUGAAUAUAAGGAGUUGAAAGAAUACUGACAAUAGCGCCUCGAAAAACAUACAACAGACAAACAAACAAUUUUGAGGGGGCCUCUGAUGCCACGGUGUCGCCGAGGCCUCCCACAGCUCCGCCUGCUUCGGAUGCAUUAGCCUUUGGCGACUUUGCGGCUAUGAGGGCAUCCUUGCUGGACAUCCAGGCCUGAAUGGAGGUCAUCACUCAGGACAUACAAUAGUAAGGUCGGGUGGUCAUGGACAUAAUGAUCGCCAAGUAGAGAAUGGUCGAGAGGCUUACAGAGCUGAGGCCUUACCGCAGCAGAAGCUGCCGAACAACAAUCAUCCUCUAGUACAGUAGCAACAAAUGGUGAAACAAGCCGAAAAGAACGUGAACCAGCACAAUGUGAUUGUCGAGAAUCACACCGGCAGGUUCGGCCACCAACCGAACAAUCAAGCUGAAAACUUUCCGGACAAAAACUUCCAAGCCAACAACCCUCCAUAUAUUAGGGGUUACAGGCAUUGGAGCCUAUAGCGGAACGACUUUGUCCCGCGCUCGACCAGGCCGAGAGAUCUGGAGAUCCACAACGGCCAAAGAAAUAAUGUGGAUUAUAUUUGGGCCGGAAUGAUCAGCGGAUCCCUCCACAGUACUAGCCUACCGAGGCCAAACUGGAAUUAAAUUGGAGGAUUGAAGAACCCCUUCGAACCUAAUUUGGCCUAAACAACAGGUGCUAUGAGCGGCCCAUGCACAGGCCACCAUAACCCACAGAGAUCGAUAGAAAAAUUUUGUUUGCAAACUAUAAUGAGUCGAACUCCUUAUUGUGGAAGUUAAAGAAUAUUGUUCGUCAUAAGUUUGGGCCUGUUUGGUUCAGCUCUUUGAUCCAAUCUUAAAUUAGAACCCCAGAUUGGAAAUUGAAUCAGUAAGAAAUAAAAAAUUAUUCCACACACAUUCCAAUUUAUAUUUAGAAUACAAGUUUGAAAUUAAAUUUCCAGCUUCAAAUUUUCACUGACGUCGCUAUAUGAUCCAUGAUCUUUAUUGCACAAUGCCAUUAAACAACAAAGACAUUAUAAUCGUUCGUUGAUAUAAAGGGCUGUCGCAUUGUGCCUGAACUAAGAAAGAUAUAAUUCCUAUAACUUUGAUCUAACUUUCUCAAUGAGUUCCCUCCUUAGGAUUUUCCCCGAAACUGAUUUCGGCACGCUGUUAACGAAGGUAACUCUUCUCAAUCUCUUAAAAGGAGCAACCUGUAAUCGUGGAACAAAAUUAAGGUAAUAAAACGCAGCUUUGAAUAAAGCAUAACUCUUACAGAAAAAUUCGCAUACAUACAUACAGGGAUAAGAUGUUCAGAAUGGUAUAUCUCACUAUUGUUGUGUGAAAUCNUUAAAUUGGAGGAUUGAAGAACCCCUUCGAACCUAAUUUGGCCUAAACAACAGGUGCUAUGAGCGGCCCAUGCACAGGCCACCAUAACCCACAGAAGAGAUCGAUAGAAAAAUUUUGUUUGCAAACUAUAAUGAGUCGAACUCCUUAUUGUGGAAGUUAAAAGAAUUACACUGAAAGGAGCCGCAAGCGAUUGUACCUGGGUUCUCUGCUGGGACUUGACCUCCUAAAGAAUGCUACAUUUGGCCGCUUGGCUUGGACCAAACUUUGAAACUACUGAAAAUGGUCACCUCUCGGUCGAAUUUGAGUGCCUAGGAAACCUAGAACUUGGGCCGGAAGGUGAAAAACUGUCAGAACCUCCCUGACUAAACUACUGCAGAAACAACGACCACUACUACUACUGGAAACUUCGAACUAAACUACCGAAAGCUAGAACUACCGAAGGGUACUUCUAUUACUCUUCUUCUGUCUCUCAAGAAAAUAAAUUAGAUUUUUGAAUGUUUGGAAAAAAAAAAAAGGCCUUUCUACUCAUCUGACCUGACUUGAGGUAUUCAUAGCCUCUGCCUCUUCCAAUCUGACUCCGAGUCCACGAGAAUCUUGGCCAAAUCCUGAAAUCUCCGGGCAUGGUUAUCUCUUUCCUUACGCCGGACGGCCGAUGUCACCCAUUCACUUCAAAUCCAAGACCUCUCUUUCCUGAUUCAAGCUAAUCUCCUCAUCAAAACACCAACAACUCAGAUUAUUUAUCACCCUAGACGAGCCAAAUUUAGCAUCAACAAUUGCUCCUCGGCCAAAAACAGAGUUCAUCUCGAUGUUUCAUCUGAUGAUAUUUGAACAGUCCUUCCACACGAGCGUUUUGUUGCUUCGAUUUGGGCUCUAUGGACAUGUGGCACCUCUUGAUUGGUCUGGUCGAAAUAUUUAACAGCUCCCUCACUUUCCCUUUCAAAUUUCUUCUUUCGUCGAUCUUAGAGCUUCUAUGUCUAGAAACCCUGCAGAAAUCGCCUCCGCCGCAGAUUCCGUUGGCAAAAAUCGCCUUUCCAGCUAUCUCCGAUGCGGAUCCCUUUGUUAGAAAUCUUCUCGGCUUCCGUUCACAACUUCCUCAAGACCGAUGGUCUCCAACCUAUAAUAAACGAAGCCUCCGGUUCGGCCAGGGAAAACCUAAAAGUCAAGUUGUCAUUAACUGAUCUAAAUCAAACAAAUUGAAAGGUUGAACAGUAAAAUCAAAAUUUUAAAAGGUUGGGUAACCGAAUCACAUAGUCCAUGGUUUUGGAAAGUUUUAUAUAUUUUUUAUAUGGGAUAAUUGCCUAUAUACUGCUCAUAUGUUUGAAAAUAUUCGAUUUACCUCUAUUUUUUUUUUCUUUCUAAAAUACUUUUUUAUAUGUUCCACCAUUAUUGCAAAAUACCCAUCUUCUGUUAAGUUAACUUGGGUUAAACGUGAGUUAAACAUCUACCACAGUUAAAAAAAAAUUAAAAUACCAAUUUUGCCCUUAACUUAAGGGCAAAUAAGAAAUGUUGGUGAGGAUAGAGGGGUAUAUUGGAAAAGACCAAAAGUCAAAAUACUUUUUGUGCCCCUAACUUUAAGAGCAAAUAAGAAAGUCAGUGAUGAUGGAAGGAUAUAUUUUGAAAGGGCAAAAUAGUAAUUUUACAGCAAUAAGAUUUUAACUCUAGGGGUAUAUUAGAAAUAGGUUUGAACGUAGAAAGUGUAUUUUCAAUAUUAGCCUUCUAAAGUGGGUAAAUCGGAAAGUCGGAAACUUUUCAGGAAUAUAUAAGCAAUUGCCCCUUAUACUUUUUAUAUUUUAGUAAAUAAAUAAAGCCUACCCUUUGCUCCUUCAUUGCAUAUUUUUCAAUGUUAUAAACUUGAAUCCUAAGUAAAAAAAAAAAUACCAUUAAAAUAUUUUAAAAUAUAUUUUUUAUUUUGUUUGAAAAUAAUAGUAGUUUGAAUGACAGAGAAAAUCCUAAUCUAAUGAUAUCAUUAUGCAUCGUUUCGAAAAUAUAAAAAUACAUUGAAAAAAUUAUAAUUUAAAAUGAUACAUAUUGUUUCAUGCAACAUUUCUUAAAAAUUGUAUUUAUUACUCUUCAGUAUUUGCUUUUAUAUAUUUUAUAUUUGAUCCUUGUAAAAAAAUUUUACUGGACUAUUUAGUUUGAUGUUUGCUGUAAAUACACUGUAAUUACGGAUUUAUGUAUUUGGAGAUGUUAUACUUAUAUUUGCAUCUAACCUAUUCGGCCGUAUAUGAUUGAGAGUGAUACAACUAGAAAAAGAGAUUUUUUUUUUGGCUGGUUGCUGGUAACUGAGAGUUGCAUUUGUGAAUUUCAUUAUCUUAUAUAUGGUACUGUGAGAUCUUAAAAAAAAAAAGAAAAAAAAAUCCUCCUUUACUCAAUAUUUUGCAAAUUAUUUGAUUAUGGUUCUAAAAAUUACUGAAAUACUCUUUAACUGAACCUGAAAGGAACCAAAAAAUCAAAAAACAAACAAACACUACAGCUGUGCCGCGAUAGCUCCCGCAGUAUACAUAGUAUAUAGAAUAUUGUUUUUUUUUUGAGAAAAAGGUAGCAUGCUACCCGCUUCAUUCAAUUAGACGAUGAACUAAGCUACAUGGGUGAGGUAGCAGGGCCUCGAGAAGGGCGAAUAAGCAGAAAAAAANNNNNNNNNNNNNNNNNNNNNNNAUAUAUAUAUAUAUAUAUAUAUAUAUAUAUAUAUAUAUAUAUAUAUAUAUAUAUAUAAAACUCUUUUGAAGGGUUAUCCAGUAUCAUUAUGUCUAUCUACUGGAAGGAGAUGCUCCCACAAGCUCUUCAGUUGAUUAAUCUUGUAAAUUCCAAUGAAAGGGUCUGGAUUGGUCAUUCUGAAGAUCACAUCAUUUCUGACCUCCCAAAUGACCCACCAGCAUGCUAUUAAGCCAAUUAGCCCGGGCCUCGAAUUUGACGAACCCUUCCUUUUUAUCCACCUGUCCCAGACCAAAAUCACAUCGUCACCCAAGUCUCUUGUCCGGACGCUGUCCAAUGUCUUCACCAAUAGGAACUUGGAGAACACGCACCGAGUAAAUAAAUGAUUAACCGUUUCCUCUCCCAUCCCACAUAACACGCAGCAUGUGUUGCCAACCCAUCCUCUUUUAAGUAGGUUCACUGUAGUAGGGAUCCUUUUCCUGAGGACGAGCCAGCAAAACACUUUUACUUUUAGGGGGAUACGAAGUUUCCAAAUUUUACUAGUGUGAAUGUUCCUUAUACCCCCAUCACACAACAUAGAAUAGGUUGAUUUGACCGUAAAACCCCCGUCAGUAGUCCAUCGCCAGUGCACACUGUCUGGACCUUCUACAGUUCUGAUGUUGGGUACCACGGCCAUAAGUGCUGAUAUGCUAGGGUUUAACCCAUAAUCGGUAUUGAUGUCACACCCUAGUAUCAUGCUCCAAUUCCAUCCAUUGCUCAUCCAGCAUUCACUGAUUUUCAGAUUUUUGUGAAUGGCUAACUGGAACAGCUCUGGAAAUGACGAUUGCAAAAUAGUUUCCCCACACCAUCGAUCUGACCAAAACUCGAUAUUCCUACCGUUGCCUACCUUACAUAGUACUCCUAAUUUGAAGAUCUCUUUUAGGCCAAGAAUGCUUUUCCACCAGAAUGAGGGAGGUUUGAAAGACCUUCCUUCCUUCAAUGGUCUUCUUCUAAGAUAGAACAAUGCGUGGAUAAUCUUGUUCCAUUGCACCUGAGGUGCUGUAUGAAACUUCCACCACCACUUAACUAGAAGGGCUUGGUUCAUCGUGGCGAUAUCCAGUAUUCCAAGUCCUCCUUCUUUCUUACUCCUACAAACGUUCUUCCAUGCGAUUAGACACCCCUUACCCGGAGAGUUGAGUCCUCCAUUCCAAAAAAAGUCUCUACGUAAUGCCUCGAUUCGCUUGAUUACCCAUUUCAGAGCCUUGAAGAUUGACAGAAAGUAAAUGGGUAGAUUUGUCAGAACAGCGUUCACUAAGGUUAGUCUUCCCCCUCUCGACAAGAGUUUCGCUUGCCAUCCAUCGAUUUUGCUUUGUAAUUUACGGAUAAGCCCUCUCCACUCCUCUUUAGGAGGUGUUCUAGUAGACAGAGGCAGACCUAGAUAUCGGGCGGGUAGUAUGUCAACUCUACAUCCAAGUAAGUUUGCUAGCCUUGCCGCUUUCCCCUCAUUCUUUCCAAUAUAAAAUAGCUCCGACUUUUCCUUGUUGACCCUCAUCCCAGACGCCCAUUCAAAGAGCUGCCGCAUAAAUUUUAGGCUUUUCAUGUAUCUUCUCUUGGCCUCCGAAAAGAAAAAGGUAUCAUCCGCGAAUUGGAUAAGGGGAAUUCUGGCUUCGUCAGACGGGCCAAGGCCUAUAAAGAAAUUGUUUGAAAUUGCCUCAUUCGUCAUACGGGCAAGGCACUCUACAACCAACAGAAAAAGAAAAGGGGAUAGCGGAUCUCCCUGCCUUACCCCCCUUCUUGUCUUAAUCUACUUUGUCGGUUCACCAUUGAUCAGAACAGCCACCUUAGCAUUACAAAUGCAAAGUCUCAUCCACUCACACCACUUGUCAUCAAAGCCCCACUAUUCUAAGAUACGGAAUAAAAACGGCCAGUAUAUUCUGUCAUACGCCUUUUCGAAAUCCACUUUGACCCCAACUCCCUCAGCAGCCUGCCUACUACCCCAUCCAAUCAACUCUUGUACAGCUACGAAGGCAUCAGUGAUGUUCCUCCCCUUCAAAAAUGUCGAUUGGGAGGGGGAAAUCAGCUCGCUCAUAAUACACUCAAGUCGAUUGGCUAACACUUUAGAAAGGAUCUUUUGUACCCCAUUCAGUAAGCUUAUGGGCCGAAAGUCAUCCGCUCUCUUAGCUCCUUCCUUUUUCGGAAUUAAGCAAAUAUAUGCGUAGUCAAUAGGGCUAGUAUUCAGUCUGCCUUCAUACAUCUCCUGAAAAAGAUGUAAGAUAUCCUCUUUGAUGGUGUUCCAAAAUAUUUGAUAGAAGCUUAGCGGGAACCCGUCGGGUCCCGGUGCCUUGUCGCUACCUAAUUGGAAGACCGCCUUUCUAACUUCAUCGAGGCAAAAGGGUCUGGAGAGGAAUGCUACGUUGGUUGGACUAACCCUACUCGAUCGAAAGAGGCCACUCCAUUCCCCAAAGGACGAUCGGGCAGAGUCGUCCGGUGAGAAUAAGUCCUUAAACUUGUGGUAGAAAUAUAAUUUUUUGUCUUCAUCUGAUCUGAUCACUGCAUCUCCCUCUUCUAUUAUAUCAAUCCUAUUAAUUUUUCUUCGACCGUUAGCAGUAGCAUGGAAGAAUUUGGUAUUGUCAUCUCCUUCCCUAAGCCAGUGUUGUUUCGCUCUAGUUUUCCAUAAGAUUUCUUCGUCUUUCAGUAUCCUAUUUAGCGUACCUUUUAUCUCCUCCCUUUUCUUAAGUCUCUCCUGAGAUAGCUCACUCUUUUCCUCCUCCUUGUCAAUCUCCUGAAUUUCUUCCAUUAGUUUUUUCUUUAUAGUUAUGAUACUAUAAUACUCGUUCUUGCACCAUUCUUUAAUUCUCCUUCGACAGUGUCUCAGUUUUGCCGUGAACGUAAGAACGGCCGAAUUUUCCCGAUUCCCCUCUUGCCACCAGCCUGGUAAUUUGGAUAAGAACUCCUUGUGUUUUAGCCAAAUGUUCUCGAAUCGAAAGAUUUUCUUCCUCCUUGCAAGGUUUCUCUCUGCCGAUAAGAGAAUAGGGCAAUGAUCUGACGUUAUUCUGGGCAAGCUUUCAACCUUGGUUAAGGGAAAAUCAAGAUCCCAUUCUGUCGAAACGAGAAACCGAUCAAGCCUUGCAAGGGUCGGAGUCCUCUGCAUAUUGGACCAAGUAUAAGAUUGGUUAAUCAUAGGUAGGUCAAGUAGUUCCAAAUCCUUAAUCAUAGCAUUAAAUAGGUCCAUCGCCCUCUGACUCCAAGUCCUCCCUGUCCGCUCCUCUUGACAUCUAGUACUGUUAAAGUCUCCACACAUAAUCCACUUUCCCUUACAUAUAUCCUUCAAAGAAAGCAGUUCCGCAUAAAAAUCCUCUUUACCAUCCCAGGUAGCCGGCCCAUACACAUUAGUGAUGUAGAAUCUUGUUCCGUCGAUGCCUAGGGUGAAAAGAACAGUUACGGAAAACCGUCUCACAAUGACUUCGUGGCAAGUAAAGACGUGCGAGCUCCAGCAGGUAAUUAGACCCCCGGAAGCUCCUUCCGAUUCAACAAAGACCCGUUUAUCCAGAUAAGAGCCACCAAAAGAACGUAAAAAUGAUCCCGACACAUGGCUAACUUUCGAUUCUUGAAGGCACACAACUACAUUACGUAGUACUGAGAUGACAUUCCUAACAGCAAGACGCUUAGAGGGGUCGUUUAGCCCCCGUACAUUCCAACUACACACCCUAAUCAUAAAGCACUCAUAAACACCAAUCGCCAAAAAGUGCCAAUUAGGCCUAGCCCAAUCCCCACCGAUUCUUAAUUGCUCACGAAAUCGGCGAAUUUCUUCGCCUCGGCCCCGUCCAAAAUCACCCUGCAGCGUCGACUCUUUUGAAUGAUCUUAUGUAAGAUGGGCUCGGUCACUGGUCUAUCCCCUCCUUCACGCUGACGUAUCUUCCUAGAGACCGCCUUGCUUAGUGACGAAGUCCUCCCAAUGUUCGCUAAUCGCAUGCUAGCUCGGGACUGGGGUUGGUUUCGUCGCCGCCACCGGCUCUGUAAAAAUCUCAACAGGUGAAUCCUGAGUCCCCAUCCCAUCCCUCAACAUUGCUUCCACUCCCUCGUUAUGAGCAGUAAGAGCGACCGAUCCGGGCAGGGGAUCCGGCUGUGGCUCGCCAAGACCAGUACCCGAGUCGCUCCCACUUUCGUCGGCUUGAGGGAUCGAUUCGUUGCCCUCGUACAGAUCUGCCCACUCCCCUCCUUGCGCCGGAAGCGCUGUUCUAGGCCCCUGUACGAAAUCCAGAGUAUUCAGCCCACACGGCCCACAUCCCGCCAGCUUUCGGUCCGCUACUUGGCCAAUGGAACCACGUAAAACUCCCCAAGGCCAACUCCAACAACUGGCCCUCACACGUGGCCCAAUUAUGUAAAGGAAAAGUCCUCCACUCCCUACAAUCACCACGUGAUCCUCCCUGUAGCUCAUUAAAAGCUCCCCAGGCUUUAACUCCAUCGGCAUUACAACCCCCAAGAGUUGACCGACCCCUCCAGAGCUCUUUGGGUUCACAGUUAUCGAGUUGCGAAGACCCUCCUCCCAAGGCAACACCCCUUGCAAGAAAGAGGGAUGGGUUCUAUUUAGCAGGGAAAGGGUAAAGCCGCUUGCCGUUGUUUCCUUAUUGUUCGUCAUAAGUUUGGGCCUGUUUGGUUCAGCUCUUUGAUCCAAUCUUAGAUUAGAACACCAGAUUGGAAAUUGAAUCAGUAUGAAAUAAAGAAUUAUCCCACACACAUUCCAAUUUAUAUUUAGAAUACAAGUUUGAAAUUAAAUUUCCAGCUUCAAAUUUUCACUGACAUCGCUAUAUGAUCAAUGAUCUUUAUUGCACAAUGCCAUUAAACAACAAAGACAUUAUAAUCGUUUCGUUGAUAUAAAAGGCUGUCGCAUUGUGCCUGAAAUAAGAAAGAUAUAAUUCCUAUAACUUUGAUCUAACUUUCUCAAUGAGUUCUCUCCUUAGGAUUUUCCCCGAAACUGAUUUCGGCACGCUGUUAACGAAGGUAACUCUUCUCAAUCUCUUAAAAGGAGCAACCUGUAAUCGUGGAACAAAAUUAAGGUAAUAAAACGCAGCUUUGAAUAAAGCAUAACUCUUACAGAAAAAUUCGCAUACAUACAUACAUACAAGGAUAAGAUGUUCAGAAUGGUAUAUCUCACUAUUGUUGCGUGAAAUCAGAAAAACGAAACUAGAUUGCAAUGCAGAGUGGUUUCUUCUCAAAACCCGAAAAGCAAAAAAUACUGGAACAUAACUCAGCAUAAUUUCACCUAGAAUCUAAAUCUCGAAAAGACAUGUAUAGAUGUCCAUUGUGUUGCCAAAGUUUUUCAACAUUUCUGUAGUUUAUAUCUCAAAAGUAGAUAUACAGAUCGUCCCUGUGCUAUCACAAUAUUGCAACUUAAUUGCUAUAUGUUUCACUUGUACACUGUAGGCCCUGGACUUCAUGCACUUUUGUUCUUAACCACCAAAAAUACUCUUAAUUCUCUUUUAAUUUACCAUUUUGACCAUUCUGUUGUAAGUGACUCGCAUGAUUUCGUUCAUUUCAAACAGAAUUAACAGGUCAUUUUACAACAAAAGCCAGAUUAUUUACCUGUGACUGCGAGGGACUAAAGUACUUUUUAUGUGAGGUUCACGGCUAAAGCAUAUUGCUGCAGCGUUUUGCUGAACAGUACAGAGACAACAUUGCAAUAUCUGGGUAGUACAGGAACUACCUAUAUAGCUUUUUCUCUUAAAAAUAUUGUUCGGGUUAUUUGAAAGAAUCGCUACUCUUGUUUGCUAGCUAUUACUGAUGCUCUGUAGGUUUUUUGCCUUGCUAAACAAUCAAAUCAGUUCCUAUGCAGGCUUUCCAUUUUGAGGUCGCCCAUCGGCAGGCAUUUAUAAACAGGCAAGCCUUACAUGAAAUAUAUCUGUCAAUACAUGUGAUGGUCCCAGAAUUUACGAAACCCGCCAAUACCUUUCAAUGUCUGUUCCCCAAAUUAAAGCAAACAACUAAUUUCCUCAUCAUCGUCAGAAACUGAGCAGCCUAGUAUCUAACAUUUUCAUUUUUUCUAUUUCUAUCUUAUCCCUUUGUCAUAGAAGAUAACACCCCACGGAAAUUAUGGAAACAUUUGUUACAAAGCGAUGCAAGGAUAACAUCCCAUGCAAAUAUGAUUUUGUGACACACGUCUUGUGUGCGUGCAUAUAUGAAAAACGAGGUCAAGAGUAGGUAGAUAAUUCUUCUAGGAGAUGUAUGUUUGUUCUAUCGUAUGGUAUAACAAAAACAUUUUAAAUAUGAGGUUGAUUCAUAAAUUGAAGUUUUAAUCAUGUAUUACCUGCUUUGCAAUAAAUUUCUGUACAUCCUCCUCAGUCAGCGAACUGUUAGGAGACCGGACAACAUAAGCAAUAGGAACCUCACCUGCUUCAGCAUCAGGAAACCUGAAUAUGGCAGAGAAUGUUCUGCAUUAGAUAUUGCAAAAAAGACUAGAAAAGAAGAAAAAUUAAUGCCACCAAUAUUUAAAGUAAGAUUCAUCCAACUUACGGAAUGACAACCGCAUCAAGUAUCUCAGGAUGAGAAAGAAGUAAACUUUCAAGCUCCGCAGGCGCAACCUACCAAUGUCGGAAUAGAUGCUUAAACUUCAACAUAUCAUGUAAAUUCUUUCAGGACGAGGGUAAACAAAAAGCGGGGNGGUGGCGGUGGGGUUGUGCUAAGGUUGAAUUUGAUGUAAGCAAUUCAUUUGACUUGCACAUUGGUGCAUAAACCUAUAGUUACAAAACCCUGUGGACAAUAAUGCUUCAAAAAUUAAUUUAGACAAGCAACACAGGUAGGAGACCAUGCAGAGAGUAAAAAUGGACACUAUUGGAUCCUCAUCAGCAAGCAUAGCUGUAGUACCUAUUUGUAGCCAUCCUAAGACAACCCUCUCAUUGACAAAUUAUUAGGUCUUUAAUUAUCACAGUGAGGAUGCACGAAUAGACAAUUUUAAAUUUUGAAUUUUGUCAUAGAAUUCUUCCAGCUAGUAAGAUAGUUUUUGAUCUAGGUAUUAAGUGUCCGUUCACACCAAUACAUCCAUUCUAUUAUAUUCUGGCUAAAAAAGAUAGCUUCCCAAAAUAGUCUCCUAAAAUUAAUACUGCAUGCAUUUCCAGCAGUUUUAUCUAUGCCAAUAUCCUCACAGCAUGGUACAAAAUUACAGCAAAAAUAAAACAGUUACAAGUUAUUCAUAGGUUACCUGGAAACCUUUAUACUUGAUGAGCUCUUUGAGUCUAUCAACAACAAAAAGUUGUCCCCAGUCAUCAAAAUAGCCGAGAUCACCAGUAUGCAACCAACCAUGUUUCAAAGUCAAGGCGGUAGCUUGAGGAUUGUUGAAAUAACCUGAUAUACAUAAUAUACUAUAAGCCAAGAUGAUUUUAUGCAUCCAUAUAAUGACAUAAACAUUGGUCUAGAAGUAUAUGCACCCAUGUGCAUGCAAAAAUAUAAGAUAGCAGAAUUCGCAGCUGGAAGCGUAUCCUAAUAAAUAACUAGUUUCACUGAAACAUCUCUUCAUCAAAAUAUUUUGACCUUAUACAGAGUGCGUUUGAUUUGAAUUAAAUGGAUUAGUUAUAUAGUCAGUGGUACUUCAAUAUGCAAACAAAGAUUGAGUGGGAGAAAGGGAAAACAUAGUACUGCAUAUGGUUAGCAUUUCAAUUUCCAUCAGUACUCUGAAGCUUCAUUUUAUAGAACAUUUUUGGGCGAAUUUGGCUACUUUCUGAGCUUUGGGAUAAUAAUCAGUUCGUCCUUUGAAAAAAAGCCAGCAAAAAUAAGAGGAAACUCGUAGGUCAGAGAUUUGAAGAGAUAAUACAAGAUUCUGAGGGUGCAGAAAUUUAAUUUAAACGAUGAUAAUAUAACUUUCAAGUGCAGACUAAAAUUGAUGUAACAUCUUAAUUAUUAUCACAUCAUCAAUCACAAUACUUUCACAUCACUUCGACAUCAGCAAGUUGUCAACAUUUAGCCAAUUAAAAUUGAUUGUGGGACUUGAUUGCAACAAUUCAGAAAGUUCAAGCCAGAAAUUGUAACAAAUUAGGGGGCCAAGGUAUCAUGCGCCUCAUAGUUUGAGGACCAAAAGUGUAUUUUAAUUAGCAAUUGCAAAGAACUGAGUAGCAUCUAAGAAUGAUAAAUUUUUUAAUCAUAAGUACUAGAUAUCUGAAAACUUAACAUAGCAAACACUAAUAAUCACUAACAAUAGUAUGACGAAGUUGUCGACCAUAUAUUUUUAUUAAAUAGAUCAGAAAAAUACUGAUGAUCAUCACAAAUUGAUGAGAAGAGACAAAAGGAUGAGGACAGCUGAGAGAGUAUUCCCACACGUCCAAACAGAUGUUUGAAAAUUUAUUGCGUACAAACCUUUCAUCAAACCCAAUUUCCAAACCCAGCUAGACCUUUGAGGAAUUACUUACCUAAAGUGUUUCAUCUUCCUCUUAAAGAAAUCAAAUAGACAUGUAUAUUAACCUCCAAAGAUUUUAUUCCUGUGAUACUUUUUCAUCUUCUUAAAAGCCAAGUACAGUAACCCAAGAACUGAAUUCUCUACAUUAUAUCACAUAAGAUCUGUCCAUUUUGCAGAAUUACAAAUGCUUGGAGGAGGUACAUGGCAACAACAGCAAUAGAACUUGUUCUGAACUUCAGCUUCACAAAAUAUUAGAGACUACAAAUUAUAUAUUAUAGGUUACAGAUCAUAGAUUAAUGAACUACAGAUUUUGUUAAAAGUUGCAAGCGCAUUCUCUAAUUUGGGUUGUCCUAUAACAAGUAAACAUUCUAUAAGGUUUAAAUAAUGAUGACUAUUGAUGCAUAAAGCAUUUUACAGGCAUAUAGUGUCGUUUUAAAAUACAUGCCCAGGGCAAUAAAUAUUAAAAGUUCACUUAAGUGUUUUGAUUGACUGGUUAAGAUAUAUAAGCAGCAAAGAAUUAAAAUAAGAACACAAAUAAAAAAUUUGAGAACUGAGAAUAGGGACUAAACAGACCAAAAUGAGGACUAAUAUGUACCAGGUCAUGUCACUUUUACUCAUACUGAAGCCCUAGCUAUUAAUGAUUUGCAAAUGUGCCUUCGCAACUGUAAGAUAGUGAGAUUGAUUUAUUUUCCUAUUUAACCUAAGCAUUAACUACACAGUGCUGGUACAUAAAUAUGGUAACCAUAAACAAAAAUUCAAAUACCAAACUCUACCUUGCAUUAUGUUUGGUCCUCGAACACAUAUUUCUCCUAAUUUAUUGGGUGGAAGAGGCUUCAAUGUGUCCACAUCAACAAUCUUAGCUUCAACUCCUGAGGCAAGUGUUCCAGUUGAACCAUAUUGGCGAGCUUCCCCCUUGAUGGGGUACUCUACUGAUAUUAUCCCGCAAGUCUCGGUCAUACCAUAGCCCUGAUUAGAAUGUUAUCACAGGUCAAACAAUGGACAAUUUCUUUAUUUUGCAGCAAUAAUUAGUAGUUUAUAAAGACAAUGUACAUUAGCAUAAAGCAAUUGUGAGUUCAUCAACAAAGUUUGCACCUGAAAGGUUAUUUGGAUGGUAUGAUUAAUAGAAAAUUUAAACAAGCAUCCACAAGAAAUUAAAUUAUACAUAUAUUGAAAAGAUUUGCAACUGUUCCAGUAACUCCAAACCGAAUGCGACUAAAAUCAUACCAUUUAAAUAAACAACAAGGCCACGACCCCGAUUGAUGGCACAGAGGUCUUAAAAUAUCUAUUCAAGGAUUUAAGAAUCUAGAAUUAUUAUACCCCAAAAGAAAUAGUUUUGUCAAUUAAAAGAAGGGAACAGAAAAAUUCAAAGAAAUAUAUUUUCUCAAAGAAAACUAGAUUUUUAUGUGACCGUCUUUCCUAAGAGGGCGAACUCACUGAAAUGCUCUCUUUUGAUUCUUCUCAAUGAGGUAGGUCUUGUGAUUUGCCGCUUUUUUGGCUUACACAUUGGCUCAUGUCUCGAGUAAAGAUUUCAUUCAGCUAAACAUCCAUGUUGAAUCAAAACCUCAAGUAAUGAUUUUUCUUGACACCGAGAAUUCUGACCUUUAGCCUAGGAAAGAUUUACUUUUCUAGUACAAUCUGUAAUUAAACGUAACUACCUGCAGCAUAUUUGUCACAAAUUCUUGUAAAUAAUUAUGCUGGUUCUAGCCCCAGGUCCAAGGAAUAGUGGUUUCACAGGUUGCAAUACAAAUGGCUAAUGUCACCAUUAUUCUUUCUAUCAGGGUUUUGAUUUGUCAAUGCUAUACAAGCUGUGGCAGCCAUUUAAAGAUAUCAUCAGCAUCAGCAGUAAAAUGGGAGAUCAGAUUUUGGGAAACACCAACACACAACUUUCACAAAUAUGGACAAUCCAUUAUCUUGUUAUCUCUGAUAGACAUUCACUGUUUGAUUGCCAAUGUAAUACAUGACAUCAAUACACAUCAAAAAUAAACCUGUUGAUCAAUAUCUACAUACACUGGUAUAUGAUGGAACUUCACUACCAGAUUUGCUCAAAUACAAUAGUACGUUGAAGGUCAAGAAGAAUCCAUCUAAAUGUUUUAGGUUGCGAGGCUUAAAUUAUCUCCUCUCUCCUUUUGCUACCUUGCGCUACCUUGCCUCCGUCCUUGAUGUGGAACCAAUGCUACGUAAGUUUAGCUUAAACCUUCUAUUAUUCUUCCCUAAUCAUCAAAAUGGUUCUACUAGCAUAUAAAUUCUGAGAUUCUGCUGCUUCCCUAGAGAUCCAUUGAAGCUUAAGAAGAUUAACCAAAAACUGAAAUUGGAAGGCCUGCAAGAGUAGCCAAGACUGCAAACUACUCACUAUGAACAAGGCAACAAUCUACUUAAUUAGUUUCAACCUAUGUUGCAUUGAUACGGAUACGACAUAAUACGGAUACGGUAAUACGGUAAUUCCUAAAAACUCUAUGAUACGAUAAGCGGAAAAUAUUUAAAUAAAAUAUUAUUUUAAAUAUUUAAACUAUGUUGACUCUAUGUAAAUGAUAUAUUGAGGACAAUCAGUAUAUCAAGAUUAUGCUAAGAAAUAUAUACUAAUAUACAUUAGUUUGUACAAUUACUUUAGAAUUGUUUAUCAAAAAAGAUAAUCAAUCGUAUGAAAUAAUAAUUCAAAGACUAUCAACCAACUAUCAUCCAACUUGAUCAAAUGAUAUCAACCAACUAUCAUUCAUUAUAUAUAUAUAUAUAUAUAUAUAUAUAUAUAUAUAUAUAUAUAGGUAUGUUUUCAAAUAGUAUUAGGUUCUAUUCAAGGAUUAAAGUGUUGCUCUGUGCCAUAUGGCACGGGGCGGCACGUACCGUGUCCCCAAUAAAGGACCCCCUAGUGUUGCGAUACCCACUGAUCCAGCAGACAUCGAGGCACAGUAUGAUGUCGGCUAUUUUUUUCAUCUGUUGUGGGUUUUUUCAAAUCCGAUCCGAUCUAUACCACGGGGCCCCCCAAGCCCUCAGCCCAUCCCCAAGCCCUCUGCUUCUACUACUGACAUCUACUUUUUCUUCACAAAUUAUUUUUAAAAAAUUUAUCGCACCGCGAAGCUUUUGGCAAAUCAUGGCAUAAAAUUGAACUCGAUAACCAAAUUUCGAGACACAUCUAACAUAAAAUUCUAUUUUUAGAGCUAGAAGAUUGAAAACACUAAUAAAUUUAAAAGCAAAAUUAAAUUAAUUGAUAUUUAAAUUUAUUUAAUUUAUUUGUCAUAUAAUUUAUUGCUAAAUUUGUUUGGAUAUGUCUAAUAAAUGUUUAUGAUCCACUGCGACGAUCUAUGCGGAAUUAAACAAUCAUCUCUCUGUAAAGAAGUAAAUUUAUAUAAUUAUUGUACUUAUGAAUUUUAUUAUUGUAUUUUAAUUUUUAUCCUAUAUAAGGUAUAGUUGUACUUUACAGAUAAAAAAGCUUAUCAGUAUGUUAAUUGUGAGUAUACUAAGCUAACAUAGUCAAUAUUUAUAAUUAUUUGAUUAAAUCUUUCAAAAUUAUAUUAUAAGAGUUUAUUGGAAUAAAAAAAACUAAAAUAAGUGCGUGCCAAAACAUGCCAUUAGGAGGUCGUGCGUAUCAAUCGGCAUGCUUGCGUGCCAAGUAUUGGCAUGGAAGCAUGCAUGUGCUGUACCGUGCUAGGCAAACAACGGUACGCCUCCGUACCACUAUACUUUAAUCCUUGGUUCUAUUAUACAAAUAUUAACAAUAGAAAAUAUGCUAACACUUUAAUAAAAGUAGGAGAAAAAAAAAAAGCCAUCCUCUAUGGCCCUUGUUGGUUAGUACUUGGGUGGCAAAUUAGAUAAAAAGGAGAAGCUAAACCAGAAAAGUCUAAACCAUAAAUUAAUGAGGAAUGCUUCAAUACACCAGAUAAAAUAAAUCUAACCGUUCAUAUUUUAAGGGCGAGAUUGACUUUUGCGUAGUGGUUACCUGCUCAACAGGUUACCAUUCGUAAGGAUAAUAUGGAAAAAAAUAUACAAACUAAUUACCAAAUUUGAUCAACCUUAUACAAAUAUUUGUUUCCUUGUUUAAUUUUGUUAUUUACCAAAUUAGAUAGUGCUAAUUUGAUAAGUAAUAAACGUUUAUAAAUUGAAUUUAAAAUUCAAUUUGAGCUUAAACUUUAUAAUUGUGUACAUUAAAUUCAAAUUUAAUUUUAAUUUUUAUUUUCAGAAUGAAAAAAUUUAUGUUUAAAUGAAUAGUAUAUUUCAAUUCAAAUUGUUACUUUAAUAUAUUAAAAUGACACGAAAUUUCAAAUAUAUUAAUUUAAUUUAAAUUAUAAAUUAUGCUGUAUUUAUAAACAUAACUUUUAUUUUUUAUUUAAAUUAAAGGCUUUUAUUUUUAAAAUUAAAUUAAAAUUGCUCAUUCGAUAGUAAAAACAACAUUAAAGUUUAAAAAUAUUGAUUAAAAUUAAAUUUUAAAUUUAGAUUUAAUUUAUAUUAUAGUUAAAAAAAUAAAAUUUGUUAACUAUUUAAACUAAAUGAUUCUAAAGCAAAAAAGGAAAAGAGGUGCGGCAAGGAAGAAAAAAUCGCGGCCUACGUGUAGGAAAAUAUCGCGGUCCACGAGGCUACACUCAGCCUCGUGGACUGUGUGGAGUGAGAGGUCCAUGGUGGACAUCUCGCUCCACUCCCCCUUUUUGUGUGUGUGUGUGUUGUGUGUGUGUGUAUAUAUAUAUAUAUAUCCAAUUUUAUUUUUAUAUUUUAUAAGAAUUAUAAUUAUUUAUGCAUGAUAAUAGCAUAAACCUAAAAAAAAUUUAAUUAAAUAAACGAAUUUUUAUUCCGAAUUUUUAAAUGAUAAACGUAAAAUUUUCGUAUAAAUCGCGUAUACGAAUUAUUGGCGAAUCUAAUUUUUAAACCGUAUUUUUCAACGAACUUAAAAAUUAAGAUACGAAUUUUAUUCGUAUUUUAUCCGUAUCGAAUUUUUAUCGUAUUCGAAUUAACUAACUAUGGUUUAAAGACAUGAGGUUUAAUUUAGGAAAGGUAAUAAUACAAAGAUGGAAUAUUGGAGGAUAAGAAUGAAGGAAGGUGGAAUAUUCUAAAUUUACAAAAAUGGCAUGUUAUUAGGAUGAAAAUUUACCAAAAUGCCCUCAUUGCAAACUCCAUGUAAUAAAAAAAAAUUUUGCCCUUAUUAAAGUGGUGACCGGUACCUAUACCCCCAAGUGCCGGUCACCCUCUAUUAAUAGGUCUAUCGUUACCGUCCAUUUAAAGAAUUUUAAUGGUUGAGAUUUGUUCGGUGCAUAGGAGCAUUGCUCUAAAUUAAUACUAUGUAGAGAUAGAGUGAGAGAAAGCGCCUUCCACCAUCCAAGAAAGUAAAUUUUUUUUAAAUAUAUAACGAAUUGAAGAGAGAUUAGCAUUCCCCCUGCUCUUUUUUUUUUAAUUUCUAGUGGGUUAGGAUGUGUGCUUUUCAAAAAAUUUUAAGUUUCGAUCAUUUUAGACUAAAAAAGAAACUGCCAGCAUCCCUCUGUAUCCCGCCCCAUAUCCUCCCCUACAACCCCGUAUAUGAGUUGUAUCGGAUUUUUUUUUAUUUUAAAAAUUUUGGAUAUUCCAAUCUUAUAUAGGACACUUAUCCGGCGCACAUUCGUGUCCAAUACAUAUCCAACUACAUAAGUAUUGAAGUAUCCGUGUUUCAUAGGUUUCAACUGGUUGACCGAACUUACCCGACACAAGUAGAGAGAGCAAAAUGAAAUCCAUUGGACCCCCCCUUUUGUGUACAAAUUAUAAUCAAGAAAAGAGUACAAUAAGGUAAACAAAAAGGCCUGAUACUUUCUUUCUUAAUCAUACCUUGACCCGGUCAGUUCCAGCAUUAAUAGUACAAUUAAACAUAGGGACCCUAAAGUCCAAUCCAACGCCACGCUAACAUCGACCAUAUCACAAUUGUUGACGUGCAAGUAUUCAUCACUUCAAUAACUUAAAAAACUGAUGCAAUGCAAUAAAGCCUCUUAAAAUAAAAAUGCCUCUUCAGAAUUGAGAAGAACAGCACAACAAACAAACAAACAAACAAACAAUUGAGGCACAAUCAAUGGCAAGAAGCAAAUUAGUUCAUCAUAUAUGAUGAUUGAGGAAGAGAAGAGAUUAUUAAAAUUAAAAUCCAGCGGCGAAAUAUGAUUAGUACCUGAACGACGUCGGCGUCGGGGAACUUCUUGGAGACCUCGCCCAUGACCUCCUUGCCGAGCGGCGCGGCGCCGGAGCCGAUGAAUUUGAGCGAGCUGAGGUCGUACUUCCCGGCCCGGCCGAGCUUGGCGAGGGCGAUCAUGACGGGGGGCACGCAGAAGAGGUGCGUCACGCGGAAGCGCUCCACGGCGCGCAUGACGGCGUCCAUGUCGAAGCGCGCCAUGGCGACGACGGUGUUCCCCCGCGCGAGCUGCGCCAAGGUGAUGAUGGAGAGGCCGAAGAUGUGGAACAUGGGGAGGAAGCAGAGGAAGGCGUUGGGGCCCUCGCCCCUGGCGUCCUGGUCGGCGGCGGCCAUGACGGCGGCGGAGAUGAAGUUGCGGUGGGUGAGCACGACGCCCUUGCUGGCCCCGGUGGUGCCGGACGAGUAGAGGAGCGCCGCCGUGUCCGACUGCUUGAUCGGGGGCGGGGAGAAGUCCGACUCGGAGAAGCCGGCGACCAGGUCGGAGUAGUAGUAGCAGACGGCCGGGGCGUCCUUUUCGGGGGGCGGCCGGAGACGGGAGGGGGAGGGGGAGUCGAGGAGGACGGUGGGGAGGCGGAGCGGGGCGACCUUGGGCCAGAGGUCGGGGACGGUGAUGGCGAGGCGGCAGCGGGAGUCGAGGGCCUGCUUGGAGAUCUCGGGGAGGGUGUAGAGGGGGUUGACGGUGGUGGGGACGGCGCCGAGGGAGACGAGGGCGAGGAAGGAGACGGGGAAGAGGAGGGAGUUGGGGGCGAGGAGGAGGACGACGUCGCCCUUCGACACGCCCAGCCGGGAGGACAGGGCGGCGGCGGCGGAGCAGACGGCGGAGCGGAGGGCGCCGAAGGUGAGCGAGUCACCCGAGGAGGCGUCGGCCAGGGCCACCCGCUCCGGGAAGGCGGCCGGCCGGCGGAACAGGAAGCCGAACAUCGAGAGGUCCGGAUCCGAUGGGAAGGCCGCCGCCGGCCGUAGCGACCUGUACACGCCGUCGGCGCCAGAGUAGCCGGACGGAUCCGCCAUUUCCCCUGCUUAUCUUAAUAAAAUUGUGGUGACUUCGGCUCCGCGUGUGGAGUAUUUAUAGUUGUAGUAGUAGUAGUAGUGGGAUCUCCGAAAACACGGAAACUAUCGGCUACACAUGAUGGUGUUACAAGGGCAUCUCACCACCACGAGAAAUAAGUCAGUGGUAUUAUUAGACUUUCGACUUUGAUGAAAGAAUGCGUAGUUAGAAUAAUGAUAGUGUUUUAAGUAUAUGGUUGGUUAAAUAGUAUUACGAAUGAAAAUAAUCAAAAAAGUAAAUAUAAUGAUGAAAAACUUAAUAGCACUAGUUGUUUAGUAUUAUUAGAAGCACCACAGCAGGACUAUAUAUAUUUCGGCUUUGGUACUUUUAAAAGCACAUUUAAAAUCAUCAAGUACUCAGUUGUUGUAAGUUUUACACUGUUAUAUAUAUAUAUAUUUUAUCAAUUUUAUUUUUUAGAUCAUUCCAUUCCACCAAUCACUUACUAAAUCUUUAAAGGGACCACUAUUAUCCAAACACUUUAAAUUUUUAUCCAAAGUUGGAAAAAUUCAUUAGCACCAAUAAAAUGUUAAUUUUAAAGUAUAGCAACUAAGUUCUAUGUAUAGAAUCCGGCGAUGCUGCUUUUAUAAGCACUAUACAGGAUUCUAUAUAUUUAUAGAGAGAGAGAGAGAGGUCCCUCAAUUUCUAAUUUUUAAAAACUAGNCCGCGCCGGGCGUUGCCAGGCGCGGGGCUCGGCUCGCCGCCUGGCCGAGCGCGGCAAGGCGUAGGCCGGCCCCGCGUAGCGGCCGGGGGUAGGCGAAGGGAGGGCCGUUAAAGUUCGUGAGAAACUGAGAGAAAAGUUUCAGGAAAAGUAGAAAGGGAGCGCCAUGAACAAGCGAUAGCCAGAGAGCGGGCAUAAAUCGGAACCUGCCUCAAAUGGCGGGCUAACCCCGACGUAAGGGUUUGUUGGGCUGAGCGGCUGUCGCGGAGCACCACGCCGUCCCAGGCCCGGCCUGCCCCGAGAGUGGGAGGGGCCGCGGGGAAAGGUCCCCUGAACCCGGGCCAGGCGGCGACUCCUGCGAAGAGGUCUGAUGUUAAGCCUGCCGCGCCGGCGGGCUAAGAGUUCGACCCGACAAGGGCCAAGCGAGCGGCAAUGAUCCCCUUAGGAGCAUUCAAAGAAGAGGAGGCGAAUAACUAUACGAAUUUGAGUCGCCCACCGGGGCGGACUGGACCCCAGCGCCAGGCUACGCCGGGCGGGAAAAGAAAAUGUAGCAUUUCCCCCUCCGCGCGCGAGCCCCACCCCCAGGAGAGCCCCCGGCAAGCGGCGACCCCGGCCUCCGUGCCGCGAGCCGAGCGCCAGCGCAGGUGGUGAGCGGCACGGGCCGGGCGCGCCCGCCGGGCGAGAAGCCGGGCGGCGCGGCCUCCGCGCCCCCCGGUCAGAGGCGCAGGCGCCGCGGGCGAGGCGGCAAGCCCGCCCGCCCCGCGCCUCGCAGCGCUACGCACUGCGGGUCCGUCCGCACGGGAGCCGGCCUGCCGGAGCCCGCGUUGAACGCAAGUUUCUGAUCUACCAAGCGCCCUAAGACGUUAAGUGUGGUCCAUAGCGUAAAGCGAUGCAAGAAGUAGCUACGCUCUCGGCUCUAUAGGCAACGGCUCUCAGCAAUCCACAAUGGAAAAUGCCAGCCGGCGCCCCGCCGGGCGGCGCGCUGCGCGCGCCGGCGGGGCGAAGGAAGCAAGCACAACGAACUGCGCUUUUCGGCGCGGCCCCAAAAGCAGGCAGGAGGAGGCGGCGGCCUGCCGCCCCCCCCUCCCCCGCCCCGCGGGCGGGGGGAGGCCGCCGGCUCCUCUCCAGGAGCCGGGGGCUCUCCUCCCCCGCGCGGGCUGCCAAGCCAGUGCCCACGCGCCCAGCAGGAAGCGCCCCAGAGCUGUUACUAGGAAGGCGUCCAAGUGGAUGCCUUUGGAACAAUGCUGAAGAGGAAGGAGAUUUACUAUUCCAAGUCACCUGAAGAGCGCUGCAGCGCUCGCCGCUUGGCGGGCGCAGCGGCGCUAGGCUUGUGAAGUGGCCUGGUAAGUUAGCCAUCCUCGCUGCCCGCCACACAUGUUUCCCGUCCCUGCAUCAGUUGCGCUCGACUACUGAGCGCGAAUGAUCCGUAAGGAGCAACUUCUGGUUGUUAACGUUACUAGAUAGGGGUAGUGCUACUUUAAAGGGUUCUAAUGGGCCCGGACAGCCGGUUCCGAUAUCUGAGCAACUUAUGUAGUCACAUCGCGCGCACGCCGGGUCUUGUAGAUUCCCGUAGUGUCUGGACAAUAACGGAGUUUGAAGGCACCGGACUCGCCGGUAUCAGGGAGAUUCUUCGAGCGGCGCCUCCCUACGGAGGCGCAUCGAUCAAUCGUCCGACUCCAGAGCAAGCAAUUGCCUUAAUUGGUCUGUUUAGCGAGGUGGUUGAUUCUUGCCGGUACGUGGUGGUGGGUAUCUUAGUUCUUUCUCGAGAGUCAGACAGUUAGGAACGAUACAGGCCUGGACCAUUCAAAGGGGCACAACUCAGUUUAAUUCGGCGUCCGAGGUGCGGACCACCACGGGAAGGCAGUUAAGGAAAUUCAAAGUCGGAACGCUGGUAUGAGGGGGGCCUUGGGUUUCUGAAACUAAAGAGUAUUCCACGGCCGCCUCAGGACUUUCGUUGUAGGCGGCUAGGGAUCAGCCGUAGCAAAUACCAACUCUGAUCCUGCCAUAGACUAGCAGAAGCUCGGGGGUUGAAAGCAAGAACUAAUUACUUUUGUAGGAACCGUUUACGAAAGCGUCACCAAGCAGAAAGUAUUUAGGUUCUUAAAGUGGAGACUGAUACUUUAUGCUUACGGGGGCUGACAGGGACAAUUAGUAAUGAGGCUAGGGCUUCCGGUUGUGUUAUCCUGGCCUUAGGAUACUACAAUAGGGUACGAUUACAUAUGUCUCGCACCCGAACGAAACUCGUGAGAUUAAAGAAGUUUCAUUGCCGCGGCCUCCGUGCUGGGCCGGUCAAUUCCGGCCCUCGCGUAGCGGCCGUCUUCCCAGCCCCGGCAGCCACGUGUGGGCCCCCGCCUGGCCGCCUGGGCCGGGUUCCAGGUUGAUGCUCGAAAAAUUGACGUUGUUGAAUUUAUAUGCGAUAACCUCGACCUUAAUGGCGCCGACGACCGUGGUCUGAACGGGAGGUUACCUAGGAGCAAUUCCCUAAAUCUAACAUGAGUAAGGUUAAUGGUCUGGGCUUCCCGGGCCAUAACAAUAAAUAACAGUGAUGGAGGGGCACAGUCCUAACCCAUUAAACGCGCGGACGACGGAAGGAACCUACACCAUCGGCAAAGAGUCCGAGGGAGAGGCCUUAGCUUGGGAUUAAGAGGCAGUGGGCAGUGGUGGUACCAUCCGGGGAUAGGAUGGUAGCUUUCAACUAUCCCGUCUUUAAACUUACUACGCAGCGGCCGUGCUUCCGGCACGCUAGGCAGCUCAAUAGUACUUAGUAGCCAAGCGCCCCGCUCGGGCGCAGCCGGAAAAUAGAUUAUUUACGCAGGGAAGGCCUUCAGCCCCAAACAACGUGCAUAAUCGAGAUCUUAAUGAUGCCAAUAGGCUCAUCGUCCAUGGUAGUUUGUUUGAUAUUGACUAAAUUACUCGGUAAGCGUCAAAGUGUCAGACUUAAUCAAGUAUGAAUGUGUACGUACCGAAUUAGAAACUCUGUUCGUAUACUGAUGACCGUCCUAGUUGGUCCAUCGCGCAGGAGGCGCUGCGGCCGCGGCGGCGGCCCCGCCGCCCGGCCGGCAGCAGAGCUGCUCCCGCCGAAUGCUUCUGGCUGGCUCCAGGCCCGGCCCCCGGCUUCAGGGGCCUCGGGCGUCGUAGGCGGCGUAGGCUCUCGCGAGCGCCCUGCAGCCUUCGGCCCGGCCGUGCCCCCGGGCUCAACGUCCCGGCGCGGCAGGCCCCCGCGGGCUGCGAGCCGGCGGGCUCGCCCGCCUGACCGCGCACGCAGCGCAGCCGAAGGGCGUCCUGGCCCAUCUACCGUGUCCGUUGCGCGCGGCGAGCUUCCGGGCUUUCCGCGCUUGCUCGCUUCCCUGACUCCCCUGCCGGCGGGGCCGCCAGCCGACGCGCCUCCGUCCCUCGGGCGCCCCGCGUGCUUAGGCUCUGACGAGUGCACGGCUGUGCCGGCGCAGGCCCAGCGGCGGGCGUGCGGGCGGGCGCGGCGCGGCCUGGCCCUCCGGGUCUGUGCUCCGAAAGCCCCCCAGCUACGCCCUGCCGUUGGUCGCCUCCAGGCGGCUCGUGCUUUCCCAUGCUCCCUCCUGCCAAGCCCUGAACCCGCUCCCCUCGCGGCGGCAGCCCGCGUCGGCGUGCCGCGACCCGCUCGCCCCGCGCGCGGACGUUCCGGGUCACGCGCGCGCGCGUGACGGUGGCGCGGUCCGCGUCCCCGCGCCGCGAGACGUCGCGUCGGGCCCGCGGCGCGCCCCGGCCCCGCGAGACGCCCGCGGGCGGCCUAAGCCCGGGCGGUCGAUCCCGCCUCGGAGACCGCCGCCGGCGCGGCCGGGGAAGCGGCGCGCGCCGCCACGGCGCGCCCCCUCCGGGGGGCGCCAGCGCGCCCAGGCACCGGCCCGCGGGCUCCCCAUCCGACCCGUCUUGAAACACGGACCAAGGAAUCUGACAUGCGUGCGAGUCGACGGGCGCGAAAACCCGGGAGGUGCAAAACCAGAGGUAGUCUUAAUCAAACUAAUAAAAAAAAAUUGAGGCUCGUUGACGGAGGCCCAUGCAUUUCUACCGAUGUUAUAAUAAAGAUCUAAUUUAGCUCAUUGGAUGUAUUCAAUAAUAUUCAAUACUCAGAUCAUAAAUAUUAUAAAUUUUUAAUAGUUAUUUUACAAAAAAACAGAACAAAGUAUAUUGGUUCGAUUUGCAAUAGUGAUUUAUACGAUCAUUUGAUACUAAGUUUAUAAUUUCAGAAAUAUAUAGCUUUUUUUACUGAAUAUUAUAGUUCCUAUUUUAAUAAUAUUAUAUUCACAAAUAAAUUUUAUAAUAUUUUACAAAUUAGUAUAGACGGUGAUAUUUAAUUGGUAGAGAAAUAUAAAUUACGAGAAGAUAAACAUGUUUUAUUAUAAUUUGAAAGUUGAAAUUCAACAAUUAGAUUAUACAGUUUGUAGAAUAUUAUGAGAGUUAUUUAUAAGCAAAGCAUUUUCUUUAUAUUAUUUUUUUUUUUUCUAUUUUGACUAUCAAAUGUAAGCUGCGGUGUAUGAAGUGUCCAUAUACACCGGGUGCACUAUCAGUAGCUGCGAACCAGAGUGGUGGGACGGACGAGGGGAUAACUAGAAGAUAAGGGAGUAUCUGCGACGAAGUGGGAAAUGAGUGCAACUGUAAGCUGGACCCGGUGCAUCCUUAGAACCCUCCGUAGGUCCACCAAUCGGUGGGCCGAUACCGCCAACUAUCGUAACUUACACAACCGGUCUCCCAACUUUUGGCUAAAUUUUGCUUGAUAGCGGUGAAUGGGUACGAAUAUACAAAAUUUUAUUCAAAUAUAUAUCUAAACGAAUCAGAUGUAUUUGAUAUUAAAUAAAUAUAAUUUCAGAUACAAAUAUAGAAAAUAAAAAUUCAAUAGAUUUGAAUUUAGAUAUGAAAUUUAUCCUUACUUGAUCCGAAUCCGAACGUAAUCCAAACCCGAAUUGAUUUUACAUUAUAUAUAUAUAUAUAGAGUCUGGCUACUAUACUCUUAUGAGUAUAGCAACUCUUGUACUCAUAAGUUUUUGGCCGUUAAAUCUACUCUUUAAUCAUUUUCACCCGUUAGAUUAUACUAUUCAACCAACCACCCACUCAACCUUAGGGGGCCCACUAUCAAUUUAACCAUAACUACUCUCAUCCUAGCCGCAUACUUUUUCUAUAUAUAUAUAUAAUGUUUGACAUUAUAUUUGAAUUUGUAUUUUAAAAAAUAGAUUUAAUGUAAUAUAUUUUGAAAUAUGGUAACGAGAAAAAAUUAUUUUCGAUUUGGGUUUUCAUGUUCGAAUUCGGGUUUCAAAUAUUUGGUCCGGUUUGAAUUUGGAUAUGGACUUUUAAAAUUCGUCGGAUUCUGAUUUUGGAUUUGAUAGUUAGGUUUGGGUUCGAAUUUUUAAAAAUUUGCUUCGAAUCCAACCCGUUGACAUCCCAAUGCUUGAUCCUUUAAAAAAGUGUGAAAGAAAUAGUAAUUUUAGAUCGCUUGGAAGUAAUUAUUUAAUUUAUAAAAAUUUUAAGUUUAGGCCUCAUAUAAUAUAGCGUUUGACUUUUAUUUUGUAAUAAAAUUUUAUGUAUCCAAAGGUGUAGCAGUAGACAAGUGAAUUGCUAGCAAUACUUUAAUCCAAAGUUUUUAUUUUGCAACAAAGAAUAAAAAUCUAAAAAUAGUUUUUUUCCUAAUUAUUGUUUAAUAAGUUGUCAUUUAAUUAUUUUAAAAGUUAACCAAAUAUAACAAUGAAAGAAAAUUUCUUUUAAUACAUUAAAUUAUAUGAAUUUGUGUUUAAAAAAUUAAAACCGAGGCCUUACAAUUUAACUUCUUAAUUUGUUUGAUUUGAUUUACUUUAUGACUCUUAAAAAUUUUCUGUAUCCAUAGUGCAUCUACACAAUCCUACACUGUACCUUAAUAUAUGUUUUGACUUAUCUAAUUAUCAACCACCAAUAUUUAAUUAAUUACUAGUUUAGGAACUCGCGCGGUGCAGCGGAUAGGCAUUAUUACAGCCUAUUAUUAUAAUUUUUUUAUCAUACUUUUAAUAGGAUUAACAAAUAUAUUUAUUUGAUAUCCAAUAGUUUUGAAAUAAACUCAAAAGUUAACUUUAUCUGUUUAUUCAUCUAUCAAUGUGCAUACAUGUACAUACAUACUUUUUAACACAUAAAAAAAUAAACGAAGCACAAUAGUUAACAUGUAUAAAAUAAAUAAGUAUCUAAUGACGUAGCUAAUGCAUUAGUCUGGUCCACGACCAAUUAAAUAUUACAUAAAUCAAACAAUGCUAUUAUCUAUACAAAACACUAUAAACACUGUGUUCUGCAAGUGAUAUAUAGAAGAAAAAUCAAGAACUAUCAACGCUUUCAAAGAGUAGGAAAAAUCAAGAACUAUCCAUAGUUAGUUAAUUCAGAUUCGGCAAAAAUCCGGCACGGGUAUAAUUCGAAUAAAAUUCGUUUUCUAAUUUUUAAAUUCGUUGAAAAAUACGGCUAAAAAACGGAUUCGCCAAUUAUUCAGAUACGUGAUUUAUAUGGAUAUUAUACGUUCACCAAUUAAAAAUUCGAAAUAAAAAAUUCGGUUAUUAAAUUAAAAUUUUUUUCUCUCAAGAUUUAUACUAUUAGCACAACUACUCAUAUUUCUUAAGAAUAUAAGAAUAAAGAGCUACAAAAUUAAGCUAAUUAAGUAAAAAAAUAGCAAACUAUAUUGUGCCUUAAAAUAAAUAAAUAAAGUGAUUAAGAUAGUUCAUAAGAGACUAAAUUUUUUUGAUCAAGUGAUUUUUUUUUGGGUGGUUCGAAAGGUUUUUUUUUUUUUUUUUUUUUUUUUUUUUUUUUUUUUUUUUUUUUUUUAUAGACUAUUGGGUUCUUUGAUUUAUCCCAAGUACAAUAACCAAAUAACAAACUCUCGACAUCCCAGAGCUAAAAAGUUAAUAGUAAAUACUAUUCAUCUACUAUCUAUAGUACAGUAGUUUCAGUUCAGAAUAACAAUUCUAAUACUUUUUUCUUUGUCGCUAAUAUUUAUGUUUUACUUGAAGGCGAAGCGCUGCGGGCUCACGUCCACUCUAGAAGCUGGUAGGAAAUAGAACCGGCAGGUCUCGUCUUGUAGUUUAGGGCAUGUUUGGUAAACUGAAAGUAGAAGAUGAAAAUGUGGAGCUCAAGGAAGUGGGAAAUUGCCUGAGUUUUGAAAAAGNGGGGGGGGCGAGCACGAGCGCAAGCGCGAAUGCAAGUGCGAGCGGCGAGAUGCGAGCCGAAUUUUUGGCCGAAUAAUUCGGCCAUCGCGAAUUAUUCGCGAAUAAGUAUUUUUGACUAAAAAAACGUAUUUUUUUACGAAUUUUUUGGAAAAAUACGAAUUCGACCGUUUAAUUUGUUUUUUUAAAAAUUCGCGAAUUAACUAACAUAGGAACUAUCAACGCUUUCAAUGAAUGAGAAAAAGGACCUGUAUAAGAAAAAAUGGACAAAGCUAUUAAAUUCUAGUACAGUAAAAUUAUAUCACAGUCAAGAAUAGUAUGCCAAAUGAUUUAAUAUAUGUAUUUUAAUGAGUUUUCCAUAAUAUAAUGAAUCAAUUGAAAACACACUAUAAAAUUGCAAAUGAGUUGUCGUGUAAAGAUUGAAUACACCUACCAUUCUUGACUUGGCUAAUCAAAUUAUAAUCUAUGAAUGCUAUGUUGCCCUCUUUUGAGAUGUUUACAUCAGAAUAAUUAUAUGACUAUUGGCCUAUAACAACAAUGACCAUUCACCAUGAGAUAAUUUAACAAAUCAAGCUCAAUCAAGUGGCAAAGGGCUUGGUGGUUGGUAUCCGAGAUCCAAGUUCGAAUCCUAGUUGAUUAACAUUUCCAGUUAAGUUUAUUUCUGAAUGAAAUAUGAAGCAGAUAGCGUGCUACCUAUCUCUCCAAAAAAAAAAAAAAGAAAAAGAAAAAGAAAAAUCAAGCUCAAUCAAGCUUUCAGGAUUUGAAUGCAGCAAAGUCAUUUUUAGGCUAAAGAUAGUAAUUGAGUAAAAAGUAUCAAUUAUAUGUUGUUUCAUUGCACAAUCAAAUGAAAAUAAACAUGAUACCAAUAUCUAAAUGUGACAAAUGAGAAAAAUAUUGCGUUUCAAAAUUUAUUUAGAAAAUUAUAAAAUACCAUAAAAGGUAACCUCCACCAACCUCCAGAAUAUUAUUUAUGAGUCACAUCUAGCUUUAUAUUUGACACAUUAUGAGUAACUAAUGUCUUGUUUGCUAUUGCUCAUAUUUUUUCUCCUUAUAAACUUAAACUUAAACUUAAAAUUUAUGUUAUUAAAUGGAUUGACGGGUGAUGGAUUGUGUUUGUACUCUAUACAACUGGAUUUUGUUUAUCAGCUAGCUUUGUAAUCUAUACAAUUGCAAACUUACAUAUCUAAAAAAAAAAACUAUUAGAUGAUAAUGUUAUAUUUGCGAGAAAAUAGUAUGCAAGUGAACGGUCGCUGCGAUAGUUUUACGAGGAACAAUUAGAUCGAAAUGUAAUUGCGGUAGGAAGUCUUAAAUGAUUGUUAUCAACUUCUUAAGACAAUAAAAAUCUGCAAACUAUUGGCUUCAAAGCCACUACUGCUUUUCCAAUUUGCAUUGCUGUGAAAAACUUGAGAAUAUCUUGUGCAAGAUCCUGCUAGGGGUGGAAACGAGCCGAGCUCGAGCGAGCUUACCUCAGCUCAAAUUCGGCUUGAAAUUAAUUUCGAGCCUAAAUUUAAGCUCAAGCUUGGAUUGAAAUUAAUUCGAGCCGAGCUCGAGCGAGCCUAAUUUCGAGUCGAGCGAGCUCGAGCCCUAAACGAGCCGCUUGAAAUUCUCAACAUCAUACGAUCAAUAGUUUAAUUUGUAUAGAACAUUAUCUAUAAUUUGAUACAAAAAUAUGUCUAAUAGUUAAAAAUACAAAAUAACUAUAUGAAAUAUAAUAUUAUAAUAUGAAAAAAAAUAAUCUAUGAGUUGAAUAUCUAAUCUUUUCCGCCUCACAUGUCUAUUCUUCCGCCUUCAAUUUUCAUAUUAUUCAUUUUCAUUUAUGCAAUCAAAAAUAAAUAAAUUAUAUAGAUAAAUAUUGGAUUAAACUAUCCAAUCAUAUAUAACUAAAAUUAAAAUUUUAUAUGAAUAAUAAUUUUUUAUUUUAAAAACAUUCUGUAUAUUUUCUCAAGCAUACAAUUAAUAGUAAGGUAGGCAACAGCGGGUAUAUGCUGUUACUUGAUAAUUUGGAGGGCUUCCGACUUGGCCACUUAAGAUCAGAGACAGAAAAAGAGAAAAAGGAAAAUAUAUUGAAAAUUUAGAACUCUGUAAAAGAAAAAAAGAAAGAAAAAAUGUAUAAAUUUAGUGAAAUUUUGUUCUUUUAUUUUGUCUAUUGGGUUUGUUUUUAUGGGCCAACAAUAUUGGCCCAAUUUUAACUAAACUCAAAUUAUUCACUCAGCACUCAGCCUAUAUAUAAUUAAAAUAUAAUAUAUUUAUAUAUUUUUUAAUAAAUANAAUCUGGGAUACAACCGUCAACCGGCUUUUUUUAUAAAAUGACCAUUCAAAAAUUUUAAAUUGGUAAAAUAAUUCUAUCAAAAUUUUAUUUAAAAAAUUAAUCCUUCUUUCGCCACGUUGAAUUUUUGCUAUAAAAACGGUGAAUAAUUUACCGUCUUAUUUAUAUUUAACUUUAAGACUUAGACAAAUUUGGAUAAAUUUAAGAUAUUUUAUACUAAAGACGGUGAAUUAUUUACCUCUCUUCUAUUAUAUAUAUAUAUAUAUAUAUAUAUGUAUAUAUAUAUAUAUAUAUUCGAGCUUUUCGAGCUUUUCGAGCUUAAUUCGAACGAGCCGAGUAAUACUCAAGCUUGGCUUGAAAUGAAUUUCGAGCCCUUUUUUUGUUCAAGCUCGGCUCAUUUAAUUUCGAGUCGAGCUCGAGCGAGUCAAAUAUCGAGUCGAACGCGAGUCGAACACGAGCCGGCUCGCUCAUUUGCCAGCCCUAGAUCCUGCAUGAAAAUACAUUUUUAAAAAAAUUGGCGAAAUUAUUCACUACAGGAAACAAGUUUCAGUAUUAUAAACCAACAAAUAAAAGGAGAUUGGAAUACAAUUGAUUUAAUGAUAAUGUAGUAUGGACUCCACAUUCGAGUUUUUGCAUAUCAAAAAGCUAUUCCAACAUGUAAUUUAUGAAAAAUAUAAUGGUAAUAUGAGCAAAUAAAAAGAUAUAAAAUGUUUUGGGGCUAGUACAUACUAGCAAGGGUUUUAUUGUUCAAUUCCAGAAGGAGUGGUACAAUGACAAUUUGUUCAGUUGGUUGGUUGCAAUCUUGAUAAGCCGAGGUCCAUUUAUUCCUAAAAAUGGUUAAAACUUAAAAGCGAAAUUAAAACAUGAAGUCUUCCAAACAAUCCAACAUACUAAAAUUUUUUUGGCUCUGAAAUAUUAUCUUCCAAAUAGCAGAAAUAAGUUAAAUAUGCUUAUACGUUCUAAGAACACAACUAUUUAAGACUUUGCAUGAAACUGCAAUUUACACUGGUAUUUAUAGUGGUAAAAAACCAAAAUUAAUGAAAAGCUAAUAUAGCAAUUACAUUUUCCGCAUUACGUGAAACUAUAUGAUAGUCUCAAAAAUACAACUAACAGUGGGUUUAAAUUAGAAGCAUCUUUUCGGUAUCUAAAGUUGCAACCGUAAUAUAGCUAAUGCAUCUAGAUACUUAUUAUCGUUGAUAUCACAAAUAUAAGUACCUAGCCACAUUCACCACAUAACUAUUUGUUGCCGUUUGAAGUAAAAUAAUAUUUAUACUAUAUAUAUAGGAUGAAACAAUUCUAAUCAUAAUAAAAAAAUCAAGUCAGACUCAUACAAUCCUAGUGGGUCUCACGUUAACUAUAAAAUUUUGGAGCCAAUAAUUAUAAUUUAAAUCCAUAAUAGGCCAAUUCAUGAAUACGAGUUGGUGGGCCUCAUAAAAGCCGGUUAAAAUUUUAAGCCUAUGCAAUAAUUCGGGCCUCAUUUCAGUCUAAUGAAUAUUAUUAUUUGUACCCAACAAUCUUCAUCAAAGUGAGCCCAGUCAAUGACGGUCCAUAUCCACAUUCUAAAAUUCAAUAUCCAAUUAGAAAAUAUCUUUUAUCCAAACAACCUCAUCAAAAUUCAAAUCCCCAACCAACUUCCAAAAUAUCUUCCAACAAAUAUCCAACCAACUCCCAAAAUAUCUUCCAACAAAUUCCUAACCAACUCCCAAAAUAUCUUCCAACAAACCGCAACCAACUCCCAAAAUAUCUCUCAACAAACCACAUUCAUUCGAAUUUCAAAUAUUUAUCCCUCCAACAACCGAUUCAAAAUUUGAUUUCGAAUUUCGAAUCCCUAACUAACUCCUUAAAAUAUCUCUCGCCUAACGCACGAAUCGCUCUGAUUCCUCAGAUCUCCCAUUCUAUUAUAAAUAUGAGAAUAAAAAAGGAAGAAGGGGAUAGACAGAUACACAGAGGAGAGAACAAAUAGAUAGAGAGAGAUUACAAUAAAAAGAGAAGAGAUAAUAGUAUUUCCACCCUUCCUACUAGGGGUGUGAACGAGCCGAACACGAGUGAGCUGGGGUCGGCUCGUGUUCGGCUCGUUCUAUUAAACGAGCCGAACACGAGCUGGCUCGUUAAAGUAUCGAGCCGAAAAAUUCAGCUCGUGUUCGGCUCGUUUAUUAACGAGCCGAACACGAGCUGGCGAACGAACAAUAAAUUUUAAAAAAAUAGAUUAAAUAUACAUAAAAAAUAAAUUUAUAAAAUUUUAUCCAUUUGACUUUGAUCUAAUAGUUGAAACUUUAAUAUAAAUGAUCUUUUUAUAAUUAAACUCGCAUUUCAUUUUUAUUUUACUAAAAAUUAAUAUAAUAUAAAAUUUAUUAUAUAUAAUUAUUUAUUUAUAUAAUAAAAUAUAUUAAAUAAAUAUAUUAAAUAUAAAUUAUAUGUAUUUGAGCUGUUAUCGAGGUAUCAACUCUAUCGAGCUAAGUCAUGACCCUCAGCUUGUGUUUUCGGUCUGUUUUUAUAAUACGUAGCUUGAAAAUCCAGUGUGUUUCGCUCCGUAUUACUUAAACUGAGCGAUCGUCUGGUAUUACUUGAUGCUCAUUUCGAGCCGAACACGAGCUGGCUCGCGAACAGCGAGCUGGAUUGCCACCCCUACUUCCUACACACGUUCCUACGUACAAAAAAUUCAAAGGAGGAGAGAUCGCCGAGCCGCUUCAUCCAACCCGUCAUCUGAUCAUCAGGUAAAGAUAAAAAAAAAGAAAGAAAAAAAAAUAAAACAUAGAAAAAAAUAAAAAAAAGAUCUCUUCCCCCCCCCCCUUUUCUUUUUCUUUUUUUUAGGUCUUACUACCGUAGUCAUUCAUAGCAUCUAGACGACUUCGAUGGGAAAGUGGAGGGAAGCCAAUGGCUUCCCAUUUCUUCGGACCUCUCGAUACCCUAUUCGAAGCCGUUAAUUGAUGGAAUGGAUGAUCUACAUUGCCGCGACCACCUCUAGCCUCGCCGGUUCGGUGUUUUCGAAAGAAGAGGGGAGGGAAAUCAAAGAUUCUUCGUUUUUUCGGACCCUUCAAUCUCUUUUGAAAACAUGGAACCAAAUUCGCUGGCCGAACAGAUCCGCGCCACCGUUAUCAUCUUCACCGACGUCAUCUCCAGCAUCGCCGGUUUGAUGUUUUUGAAAGAAGAGGGGAGGAGAAUCAAAAAUUUCCCGUUUCUUCGGACCCAUUAACAUUUUUCGAAAAUGUCGAACCAAAUUCGCCGGCCGAACAGAUCCGUGCCACCGUCAUCAUCUUCGCCGCCAUCACUCUCCAGCCUUAUUGGUUCGGUGUUUUCGAAAGAAGAUGGGAGGAGAAUCAAAGAUUCCCCGUUUCUUUGGACCCUUCAAUCCCCUUCGAGAACAUUGAAUCAAUCCACAAAACUCUCAAACCAGUUCAGAUUCAAGCCAAAUUGAGAUCAAGCGGGGAUUUCUUUGGACCCCAAAUCAAGAUCAAGCGGGGGUUUCUUCGGAGCCAAAAUCGAGAUCAAAAUGGGGAUUUCUUCGAACCCCAAAUCGAAAUCAAACGGGGAUUUCUUCGGAUCCCAAAUUGAGAUCAAAACGGAAAUUUUUUCGGACCCCAAAUCGAAAUCAAAAAGGGAUUUCUUCGGACCCCAAACCAAAUUAAAAUCAAAAAAGAGAUUUCUUUGGGCUUACUAAUGCCCCGGCGGCAUUCAUGGACUUAAUGAAUAGGGUUUUCCGUCCGCUAUUGGACCGGUGCGUCGUGGUAUUCAUUGACGACGUAUUGGUAUAUUCUCGGACCGAGGAAGAACACGAGGAGCACUUGAGGAUCGUGUUGGAAAUACUCCGAAAAGAGAAGUUAUAUGCAAAGUUGAAGAAAUGCGACUUUUGGCUAUCGGAGGUCACUUUCCUUGGUCAUAUAAUUUCGGGCGAUGGUAUCUCGAUGGACCCGAAAAAAGUUGAGGCAAUUAGAGAUUGGCCUUGCCCGACGAGCGUAUCGGAGGUCCGCAGUUUCCUUGGGCUAGCGGGCUAUUACCGGCGGUUCGUGGAGGGGUUUGCUAAAAUAACUACUCCACUAAUGCGCCUUACACACAAAGGGGUGAAGUAUGUUUGGAGCCCCGAAUGCGAACGGAGCUUUGAGUAAUUAAAAGAAAGAUUGACCACGACCCCGGUGCUUACUCUACCGACGCCGGGGAAGACCUUUGUGGUAUAUAGUAAUGCUUUCUACGUUUGUCUCGGGUGUGUCUUGAUGCAAAACGGGCGGGUGAUUGCUUAUGCCUGGCGCCAAUUGAAGACAUAUGAAAAGAACUACCCAAUUCACGACCUCGAGCUAGCGGCGGUUAUCUUCGCACUAAAACUACGGAGGCAUCACUUAUACGGGGAACAUUGUGAGAUUUAUACGGAUCACAAUAGCCUUAAGUACUUGUUCAUCCAAAAGGAGCUAAAUAUGCGACAGCGGCGGUGGUUAGAAUUGUUGAAAGAUUAUGAUGUUACUAUUCUAUACCACCCCGGAAAAGCAAAUGUCGUGGCCGAUGCACUUAGUAGAAAAUCGGAGAAAAUUUUGGCUUCGGCAAUUACACCCCAACCAUUAUUGCAAAAAGAGAUACAACGGCUUGGUUUGGAAGUAGUGGCGCCGGGAGUGCCGGCUACAUUGGCCGCGUUAGUGGUGCAACCGACCUUGUUGGAGAGGAUAAAAGAACUGCAAGCUUCCGAUGAGUAUCUCCAAAAGGUGCACGGUAAAGUUGAGAGCGGUAGGGCCGAUGACUUUGGCAUUGGGACCGACGGCAAACUUCGAUUUCGGAAUCGUUGGUGUGUACCUAAGAACAAGGACAACCGCAAGGCGAUUAUGCAAGAAACGCAUCAAUCUCCUUAUAGUAUACACCCGAGCGGCACCAAAAUGUACCAAGAUUUGAAAUUGCAUUAUUGGUGGUUGGGCAUGAAGAAAGAUAUUGGGGAGUUUGUUGCGCAAUGUCUUACUUGCCAACAAGUAAAAGCAGAGCGGCGGUUUCCGACGGAAAAGUUGCAAAGUUUAUCUAUACCCAUUUGAAAAUGAAAAAAUAUCGCAAUGGACUUCGUGACCAGGUUGCCUCGAUCGCAAGGUGGACACGAUGCAAUUUGGGUGAUAGUAGACCGGUUGACGAAGUCGGUGCAUUUCCUACCAAUUCAUAUUACAUGGUCGAGGGACAAGUUGGCUCAACUAUAUAUCGACGAGGUUGUGAGACUUCACGGGGUACCGGUGUCUAUCGUAUCAGAUCGGGACCCGAGGUUCACAUCUCACUUUUGGAGGAGCCUACAGGUGGCCUUAGGCACACGGCUCGACUUUAGCAUGGCAUUUCAUCCUCAAGGUAAUGGUCAAUCGGAGAGGACGAUACAAAUACUUGAGGAUAUGUUUCGAGCGUGUGUACUAGACUACAAUGGCGGUUGGCACGAUCAUCUACCGAUGGCGGAAUUCGCGUACAAUAAUAGUUACCAAGAGAGUAUCGUGAUGGCGCCAUUCGAGGCCUUUUAUGGAAAGAAAUGUCGCUCUCCAAUCCAUUGGAGCGAUGUGGGCGAGAGAGCUACUCUUGGCCCAGAUGUGGUACGGGAAGCGGAGGACAAGGUUCGCCUUGCCUGCCAAAGGCUUGUUACGGCGCAAUCCCGGCAAAAGAGCUAUGCCGACAAACGGAGGAAGGAUAUAGAAUUUGCCGUUGGAGACCACGUGUUCCUAAAGGUGUCGCCGAUGCGAGGAAUUAGACGGUUUGGGCUCCGGGGGAAGCUAAGUCCCCAGUACCUCGAACCGUUUGAGGUAUUGGAGCGGGUCUGCGCGGUGGCGUACAAGAUAGCAUUACAACCGAGGCUUGCGGGAAUGCAUGAUAUAUUUCACGUAUCGAACCUCCGCAAGUAUGUUCAUGACCCCGAUCAUGUUCUCUCAUUCGAACCGUCCGAGAUCCAAGAGGACAUGACUUAUGAGGAGUUCUCGGCAUACAUCAUCGAUCGAGAAGUAAGAAAACUACGAAAUCGCGAGAUUUCGUAUGUUAAGAUUCGUUGGUGCAAUCACGAUGAUCGGGAAGCUACCUGGGAGCUCGAGAGCGCAAUGCAGGAGCAUUAUCCUCACCUCUUCGAUGAGCUGAAUUGAGGUAUGAGUUUAAGUCUAAAUUAAGUAAGUUUCGCGGACGAAACUAAUUUUAAGGGGUGGAGAAUGUAACGUAUCGAAACCUCAAUAGUGAUUAUCGAAUUUUAACUAAAUUGGUUAAAGUGCCAAGACAAAUAGUUGAACAAGUUCCAUUUUGCAUUCCAACAAGGUUGGAAGGGCAAAAAUGAGUUAAGAAGUGUUGGAAUGGUUUUGGCAUCGAACGACGCGAAGUAGAGUCGAGUCAAAACCAAAACAGCAUUCUGGAGCAUUGUGUACCGGUACACCAUGGUGGUUGUACCGGUACGGCAAGCGACCCGAGCACAGGCUGCUCUCAGGUUUGGACAGCCUGGGUGGUGUACCGGUACAGGACCCCGUGUACCGGUACACACCCUGCGAAACCGAGAGAGUUUGCUCUCGGGUUUGGGCCUCUGCGCAGGUCCGUACCAGUACACAAACCCGCGUACCGGUACACAGCGGCUCUGGCAGCAGGGAUGAGUCUGCUGCAGAAUAGAGAGUUGAGGGGUCUAGUUGCUAUUGUUGCAACAUGUUAUUACCCCUACACCCUCUUCCCCUUACAGCAGCACCCCAACUCCCUUUCUUUCUCUCAUUUCUCUCUUCCUCUCUCUAGAACUCUUGGGCUAAGGGAUUGGAGAAGAAGGAGAAGAAGCUUGGAGAAAGUGGUUUUGGAGCUUUGGUGGUUCAAGAAGGUCUUCUACGAGAAGGAACUCGGUGGAACUUUGGCUAAGGUGAGGUUUUGGUACAAAUGAGUCUAGAGUUUGGUUUUGAUCCCUAAGUUUUGGAGUUUUGAGUUGCUCCUAGCUUUAGAAACCCUCUAUAAGCCUUGAACUCCAUGGAACCCAUGAGAGCUUAAGUGCUCUCAUGGUGGUUGGUUAGGGUUCACCUUAAACGCCCUAGGGAUGGUUCCAAGAGCUUAGAAACCUUAUUAGAGAGCUUCCCAAGUGAUUCUAAGCUAUCCUUUACUUAGCAACAAGAUCGAUCUAGGUGGAAACCCUAGAUGACAUUGUUAGGGAAAAUUUGGGGCUUUUGCCCUAGGAUUUUUCGGGGGCGAAUUGACCCCGUAGAAACCUAAUUGGGGAUGUCCUCGACGUGUGGUACAACUCCGUUUAACGUUACGAAAAGGUUUUGUCACGCCCCGGGGCCGAUUUUAAAAGCCUUUUUAAAAUCCAUUACCAUUUUGAAACAGAGUUGCGGAAGACGUGCAAUUUUUUUUUUUCCAACCUGGCCCACGUGACGUACAGAUCCGCCACAAAUACAAAGUUCCUCUGUCCACUCGGACAGAGUCUCCUUUGUAUUUGUACAGUGUACCAACUAUACAACAGGAUCUCAACCACAACCUACAUUUACCAAUUAAUAACCAAUUCAUGAUAUGCAUUUCCAUACAGCUAACGAUUCUAAGAGAUGAUGCAUGCCUCUAAGCACUCCUUAGGCGCUGGAUGAUACAAUGCACAAUACAACAAACAUCCUAUUUAAAAAUGCUCCCCACACAGAAGCUUUUGUUUUUAAACUCUAAUUCAUCCAUUCAUGAAAACCAUUCGAAAACCUUUUUAAAACUGUUUCCCACACGGAAACUCUAUUUUGAAAAUCAACUACCUCGAGGGAUAGAAAACCACGAUGCGUAAAUAUGUAUAAAUACACAAAUCCGAGAACUGAAUAUCCAUAAAACCAAAAUCAGUGAUCCACAAAAUCUUUAAUCAUGCAUAACAAAAAUCACAAACAUUCAAAUAUCUAACUGAACCAUUUAUUAUUAACAACUAUUAAGUACAGAAAUAAAAGUAACCAGGGUGACGGUCGCUAUACCAGACUAUCUAGAUCGUCCUCUCGUCGAGCACAAAAUCCAACUUCUCGUCCAUGUCACCUGGGGAGAAUGGGGGGUGAGAAACCGCAACCAUGGUUUCCCAGUGGGUACGACAGAGCCACGAAGGCAAGCCGUAAUCACCGGAAACCAAAGGAGAUAGAUAAACAAAUAUAUAUGCUGAUAUGAAAUAGAACUACAGAUAUGAGCAUGAUGUGAUAUAAGAGCAAUUACAGUAGUAAUAGAAACAGGAUAAUAACUGAGCAAAGACGAUACUACUGUAACCAAAAACUCAACUGAUCGGAUGCCUCAAAGGUGGAUAGUCCAAAACCAAACCUAAUCUGAUGCUGCUAUAUUGGUCCGCAGACCUUAGGCGCUGCCCGUCACAGAGUAGACACUGUCAACUUAUUCAUGCGUCACCGACGACCUAUCCGGAUACGUACACCCCUUGGUUGGUGGCCAAACCAACCUGGUGUCUAGAAUACACAGUGCUGUGACUAAAUUAUGAUGAUAUGCUCAAACGAAAAUAGGCAAAAAGAGACCGGUGCCUUGGCCGAAGCCAGGUGCAAGGGCGUACAAUGCUGAACCACGAUCAAUCAGAUCGAAACACACGACAAAGGAGUCAAUGUGUUGUCUGGACCCAAGGUCCACAGAGAUAGAAUAUAUAUAUGCAACCUGCUCUACAUGUCUAUCCACAACUAUCCAAAUGCAAUCAAUGAGAUACGAUAAACAAACGAUAAAUAAUCAACUGACAUGUAGAGACUACGAUACUGAUAUGAAAGAACAGAGAAAGGGUGAAACGAUCUCACCGACUACCAGCUCGAAACACCCACCUAUCACUGUCGCUUCGAAACACUGAGUAAGCACAAGUCAACCGGACCUACGAAGAUCCAACGGGUAAGUAACCAACCCACUCACCUGAAUCACUAUCUUACAAACCCCCCACACAAGUCCCCUGAUCGGUUUUCCCAAAAUCGGUCACCCUAACUCACCGGAAGUCCCAAAAACCACAUCGGGACGCCGUCGGGACCUACUAAGUGCCCCGAAACUCACCGACUCGUGUCACGAGUCACCCGCUGCCCCAAAACACUCCGAUUUGGGUGUUUUGGCAGCAAACACAAGAUAACACCACUACACAAUUAUCGCCGGAUAAUUGUACGAAUACAGGUUCCCGGAAGUGUCUAUUUCGACACCGGAACCCAUCGUCGCUCACCCAUCAUCACCGAACCCACAAAAUAAUGAUGGUGACCAGCCAACCAGGCUCAGCGAUAAUUCACAAGAUAAACAAACCACAUCGGAAGAAAUCCGAACCGAAACCGCGUUCUUUCGGCGAAUUUCGCCGAAAAACGCACCGAAAUCGACUUUUCGAUUUCUGCAAAGACUAUCGAAUCAUGGACAACCAGUCCAGAGGUCACCACACACACACAGGCACCACCCACAGUAGCCACAUAAUGCACAAAUGCAUAAAAGUCCCUCUAUUUACAUAAAAUCCAUCAUUUUAUGUAAAUCGGGAGACUUCUAUGGCUCGUUCUCGUAAACCGAGGACUUCUAAGGUCCGCCGAGACAUGUACUUCUUGGUCUCGAUGUACCGUAAGCCGUGCUCAUGAUCCGGAGCAGAACGGCUCGCUGUGGGAAGCGCGGGAGCAACCCGAAGGUUCAGGGAACAGCUUGCAGCCGGGGAAAAUCGCGCCGAACAGGCCGAUACGACAUCCGCUGAUCCAUAGUAAGGUGAGCACUGUGAUCAGCACUGACCAAGGAUCACCGUGCUCACCUCCGGAGGCAUUGGAACAGCCUUGGAUCACCGAAAAAAACGCACACAAAAACGGAACAGCAGCCGAAAAGGCUCAACAGGGUCGACACCGCCGAAACAAUGGAACGGAGUCUCCCCGACAGAAUCUAAGGUGAGCACGAUGAUCAGAAAGUUGCCACGAUCACCGUGCUCCCUUCUGUAGAGGUCGAGGAGCCUCGGGUAGCUCGGAACAGCAAACCUACCCAACUAAGCCCUAUUUCGGGCUUGGCCGGAGCAAGCUUGCUCCGGCUGGCUUCCGGCGACGCGGCGAGGUGCGCGAGGGUCAGCAAUGGUGGGGGAGGUGAGGAGUGUGGUGCUCACCUCAGUUGGCGGCGAGGAACGACGGCGGCGACGGCGGAGCAAACCGAGCCCGCACAAGAUCCGGUUCGGGCUCCAAGUGCAGCUGCGGCCACGGCAGCGGCCGGGGUGCUCAAGGACGACGGCAGAGGGUUGCAGGAGGCCGGAGGGAAGCCGAGGAAGUGGCUCCGGGCAGCAAUGAUACGAGGAUGGAGCCGCAAGCUCGGCUCGGAUCGAGCUUGCCAGAAAACCCGCAGGGCGGCUUUAGCGCGGCGACGGCGCUCGGGACGGCUCAGGGCGGCGGUGACCGACCACCUGAGGUCGGAGGGGGUUCCACAGGGUGGCCCAAGGUGGUGGCGGCGCAGGGAAGAGGUCGCAGACCUGCCUCGGCCUGGGCUUGGUCUGGAAGGCAGCAGGCGGUUGGUGCGGCCGCGGCGGCGCUCCGGGCGGCUCUGGGCGAUGGCGGCCAACUGCCCGAGGUCGAGGAGGUGCCUCAGGGUUGGCCCGGGGCGGCGGCGACGCGAGGGGAAGGCCGCACGGUCAGCUUUGCCUGGGCUCGGCCAAGUUGGGCGCAGGAUGCAGCAGCGGCAGCAGCGACGCCCAGAGGCGACGGCGGUCGGCGGGGAGGCUUGCCAGGGCACAGGGGCUACACCGGAAGGGUGUAGGGAGACGACUGCAGCCUCAGAUCUGUCCGCAACCCGAGAGGAAGAAAGAUGGAGGGAGAGGGAUGGAGAGGGAAGAGAAAAGGUGGCUGAGGAGGCUGCGGUUGCUGUUGGCCGGCCGGGGCUCGGUUGGUGACGACCGGCAGGAGUGCGGCUAGGGCAGGGAAGAUAGAAGAAGUGGCUGGGCGCGUGGCUAAGGUCUAGGGUUAGGUGGAAGAAACCCUAAAAGCUCUAUAUAUACCAAGGUGCCGAUUUGCGAGUUAGCCCACGAAACCUCAGUAUUUCAAACUGAAUCCUCCCGAGCGCGAGUAAAACGUGCGCAUAUACCCCCCAUGUGCCAAUUUGCCAUCUAAGACCCCUCCUCGAACAACGUGCGAUAUCUGCAGAUCCGUCCGUCAGAUUUGCAAACGGAUCGUACCAGUGUGACCAGCACAACGGAGACAACAAACCUACAAUUUUGGUUCAUCUCGAUCGGUCACGGAUUCGCGACGAAAUCCGCUAUCCCUCCAAAAGGCCAAAAUGACACACAAUACAUAAGAAACAUGUGUUUUUAGAUUUUCUCGAAAUCUAUACGUCAAACUCAAAAUCAGUCAGCGCCAGUGGUUCCAAAAUAGCUGAACCGGUCGAAACGAGCUACUGGACUGCUAUGAACGGAGUUCGAUACACGCCAGAAGCCAACUUCACACCGUGACCUCUCCGAAAAAUCGAGUUACUAUUCACCUUCAGUGAAACUUGGAAAUCGCGUAGAAUCUCCAUUCUAGCUCAGUUUCUUCCGAAACUUGACGAGUGCUUUUGUAAUUAAAUUACACACAAAAACAUCGUCAACUAAGAGUUUAGCUACACUGCCAAAAAUCUCAGUCCUUACAGCUUUAGAUGGAGUUAUUGAUAAAAAGCCUAAUUCGGCUUCGUUUUUGCCACAGGAGAAAAAGUAAAGCUUCAAAAAUUUCAAAAAAUUCACCGUAACAUCCUCUCAACCUUCUAAGGUGGGUGGUGCAUUCCAAGAACCUCGAAAAUCCCUUCAUGUCUAAGUGUCAUGUUUUGAGCAUAUGUACAUAUUUGAGCAUUUUGCAUAAUAGGGUUAAAUUGUGAACUUUUUUUAUAGCAUGAUGUAAAUUCAAAUGCAUGUUAAAUACUUGUAAGAAUGUGAGAAUGAUAAUCCCUAUGUAUGCAUGAAUGUGACAAGAACCUAGAAGGGUUAGUAAACAAAAGUGACACCAUGACAUAGAUCUAACGAGUGGCAUUGAUGAGUCUAAAACACUUAGAAAACAAGUGUGGCAUUUGGCAUGAGAACAAGAAUAUAGCACUUAGAAAACAAGUGUGGCAUGAGUACAAAAACUUAGUAGUGUAUAUGACACUAGUGAUAGUAAAGAAUGCAAAGAAAAGAAUAAUUGAGAUAUUAUGACAUUUCAACCUUUAGAGUUAAGGGUCAUUUGAGCAUGGUCUUUCUUAAAGUUAAGGAAUGGAUUGAACUUGGAAUCCUCAAUGUAGGAUUGAUCGUACUUACCUUUAGUCCUUGCUCGAGGGUAGUAGCUCCCCCCCGGGCGAUGUGCUCCGGAGUUGACAUCAUUGGAUUAUAGCGGGUAUCUUUCCAGAGGACGGUCCCAUCGGGUUGUAGCAGGUAUCUCCCCGGUUAUUAGGAUUUUGGGUUGGUGAGUUUGUUGAGGGCGACACCUACGGGUUAGCCAAGAGAUUGGGUAAAGAAAUUGUGAUUCUGCAUUCAUCAUGAGCAAUAUAUCGAGCAUCGCAUUUUAUAUUGUUCAGGCAUAUUAGUUGCAUUUGUUAGUUGGUUACUUUCUUUCCUCUAUUCUAUUAUGCCUGAUUAGACCUAGUGGGAUAGUCGGCGUGGUUGGUUGCCGAACCCACUGGGAACUUUGUUGUAGUUCUCACACCCCUAUUUCCAUAGAGCCUGGGCCGAGCGAGCCGGCUGACGAUCGCGGUAAGGGCAUCGCGCCCUAGUUAGAGAUCUCUCGAGUGGUUAUCAUUUUGUAGUCGCGUACCCUCUACUUAUAUAUCAUCUUUUGUAUCUUGAUGGUUAUACUAUUAUGAACAUGUUAAAUGAGUGAUGUAAAAGAGUUUAUGUUUAAAUGCAAGAAUUUAUAUUUGAGAUCAUGCGAUGUAAAAGAGAAGAAAUGAUGCAAAAUUGUAAUUGAUUUCCUAAGUGUAGUUUAUUACUUUCACUAUUGGUUAUUGCUUGCCCUCGUGCAAGCCACUGUGUAUACUUUCGCUUAUGCAAACUUUAUACUCUAUCUGUACCUGUUGUUGAGCCUUAGGCGGACAGGGGAGGCUCUGUCCAUUCGGUGUCUGUUUGACGCUCUCGAACCGGCCAAAAGGAUCGAAUUCGGGGCGUGACACUUAGGGUCUAGUCGAUCUUUUGCUCUGGCACAUAUAUCUAGAGUGGAAGUCAAAUCAAGUUCGACUAGUUCUAACACGUAUACUUAGAGUCUAGUCAAUCUUUUGCUCUAGCAUAUCUAUUUAGAAUGAAAUCCAUUUCCAACCGAGCUCUAAUACAUAUACUUAGAGCUCAUUGAAAUUAAAUCCGACGAACCCUAGCACAAUACCUUAGGGCUUAGUCAGAUUCUCACUCUGGCAUAUAUAACUAGAGUGAAAAAUAUAUUAAACUCGGUUAAUCCUGAUACAUACACUCAGCUUCUGUUUGGUAUGGGGUUAAGGGGUGGGAUAACCCCUUAACCCCAUACUUAAUCCCAAACACCCAUAUUUUGGGGUGGGGUUAACAAACCCCACCCCAAAAGGGGUUAAGCGGGGAUUAGGCCUCAGGGUAGGGUUUGUUAACCGCCCCCCACCCCCUCUUCACGGGUUUGGCAUUACCCUCGCAUCACUCCCAACGCACUACUGUAGCUCCUCCCCCAACCUCCUAACUCCUUCUUCCCUAAUUUCCUCUCACAGCCGCUGCUCCCAUCAACCUCAUCGCUGCGGGUUGGACGGCGUUGUGUACGCCCGAACCGACAACUCCCUACUUCACCUCCUCACCGUCGGUCGCAGGCCAUUCACUGCCGGUUGUAAGGGUUUCGGCAAGCCCGAAAAUCCGAAGCCCGUUUCACGUCGCCGUUGCUCGUAAAGCCUUCACUAACGACGGUACCGCUUCUUCCUUUCUUCUCCUUGUUCCGGGUUGCAUCACACUCCUGGAUUGGGUAGAUCUGGGUAGAUCUGAGCUGCCUUCACCUCUAAUUUGGGGGUUUUGUUUGUUCCGCUCUCCUCUUGUUCAUCUUCUUCCUCCGAACGCCGAAUCCCUCCCUCUUCUUCCAACGAACGCCGAAACUGCUCCUCGGUUGCCGCGGGUUGGACGGGCUUGCGUUCGGCCAAAGCAAGUCCUCCCUGCUUGACUUCGUCGCCGUCGGUCGCAAGGGCGUCCGGCCGAAGGAAGUCCUCGGUCGCCGAAAAUCCGAAGACCUCCUAAUCAUCGCCGUUGCUCGUAAACCCUUCAUUGUUGGUCGCCGGUUGUAAGGGCUUCGUGCUUUGUGUUGCCGCAUUAUUUGCUCUCUCCUUGCUUUGGCCGAACCCUGUCUUUGGGCCUUCAUUGGCCGAGGUUGGCCGAGGUUCGCGGAGCUUGCCCUCUGGUUCUUUAUUGUUGCUCCCCUGCUGUGCGCUUGGUCUGUGUGCUACUAUCAGGUCUGAAAAAUUUUUUGAUAUUUUACCUAGCUGCAAUAUGAAUGCCGAGAUUUAGGAUUAUAUAUUUGCAUGAUGGUUGCGCAUAUGCCGAUGAUGAAUAUUGGUAGAUCUAAUCCAACUUAUGAAUGUUCGGUUUAUGUUGAACAUUGGUAUGCUAUUAUUAUUGAAUUAUUUGGUGUUAUGAAAGAUUUGCGGUUGACAAGGUUUAGUUUAUGUAUAAAAUUGCCAUGUCAUUGUUGUGCACAGACUGUUGAUUAAGAUAGCUUGGUAAUAUGAUAGACACAAAUAAAGGUUUACAAGUCGUGGUUCGGCGAUGAUGAAGGUUUGCAAUUAACAUAAGAUGGAUGGCAUCGAUUGUAAAAUCUUUGCAACCCCAUGUUAGUUGGAAACCACUUGAGCCAACAGUUGGAACGAACCACCUAUCUGUGAUUACCUUGCUCAUUUAUCAAAUCUAUUGCAUGUAACUGCUAAUUUAUUGUCUAGGCUAUGCCAUUGUGUGUAAAUGUGUAGUCUCUAUUGCAUUACUUAUAUUGUAGGCAAUGCUAAUACAUUAUCUUAUUUCGCAUGUACUUUAUCUCGCCAUUGAAAUUGCAUGUAAAUGGUACAGUGUAUUGAACUCAUAUUCAUGCAUCCAUCAUGCACUUGUUGAUUAUUAACUACAGAUGCGUCCCUUCAAAAAAGUUUCAAAGUCCAAACAAAAGCAAAGUGGGUUGGCAGAUAACUCACCUAAUGAGGCUAGCGGUGGUAUUCGUAUUGAUACAAGAACAAGGAGUCAAAAUUGGAGCAACAUGUUGGAUGCACAAUUGUUGGGGCUGAUGAGAGAUGAACAUAUAUUUGGUAAUUGCGUAAAUGGAUCAUUCAUUCCGAUUGCUUGGAAGCGGAUGGUAAAUGAUUUCAACAGUCGAAACAAUUUGAACCUAACAAAGACACAAUUGAAGAAUCGAUUUAAAGUGUUAAAAAAAACUUUCAAUUUAUACUAUUCUCUUGCCAAUAAGAGCGGGUGGGGAUGGAACUCUGACUUGCACAUUCCCACACCUGGUGACGCAAGAAUCUGGGAUUCUGUAAUAGCGGUAAUUAUAAUUUCUUUUAUAAUAGCGUCACUCUGUUAUUAAGACAUGUACAUUAUAUGAUAGUAUUAAAUUGUUAAUAUUAUUUCUUCAGGAGAACCCGGCGUACGCCAGGUGUAGGGAUAAGCCCUUUCCCGCCUACGAUGAUAUGGAAUUUCUUACCCAAAAUACAACUGCGACAGGAAGAUAUGCAUUUACAAGUGCUGUGGAGCUUCCCCCUAUAAUUGAAAGCUCUUCUGGGUCAUCCCCUGGUGAGGAUGAUACUAUUGCUGGCAUUGGAAUGGCAGCUUGUAAUCUCUCAUCGGAGCCAUUUGAAGCAGGGGCAUCUGGGUGCGCUAGAUAUUCUAACUGUGAUGAAGCAAAUACGUCACGCUCCCCAAGCCCUCCCGUGAUGCCUACAACUGGUGAAAGUGGUUCUGGUCAUAGCUCUGGUAGUAAAAGAGCUCGUUCUCCAGAGCCUAGCAAUAAGCAAGCACAAACGGCAUCUACAUCUAGGGGACGAAAAAAGAAAGUAGAUGCCCGGACUUCUGCUUUCCUUGACAUCGCGGAGCAGGGUAAGGAAAAGCUUGGUUGGGUGCGGCAACUAUGUCAGCUAGAGCUGAGCAAGAGCACUGAUAUGCCAUCGCAGAACAAAUGCACGCAACGAGUGUAUGGGAUGACGGGGUUAAGUGAUGUUGAUAUCUUAGUUCUCUGUGAUGCGUUUAAGGAAGAGAAGAAUCGCAAUGCUUUCAUGUCAUUGAAUGACAAGCAUGCAAGAAAGUGGGUUGAGCGAGAAAUUGCGCAGCAAAAUCUAUACUAUAGGCCGUCAUUUUCCGGGAGUUAGACAAAUGGCGUAUUGGUAGUUCUUCUUUAUCGUACCUCGACCUAUAUUGCGUGUGGACGUGCAUAUUUUCUAGCUUGUGGUGGUAUUGGUAGUUCGUCUUUAUCUGAGCUUUGCAUAGUUUCUACCAUAUGCUGGUGACUCUUGAUUGUAUGACGCUUUGAUUUAUGUUUCCUCUACUCUUAUUAGCUUUGCAUAUUUUUCUGCUGUUGGAAGAUUAUGAUAUGUUUGCGCCAUAUAUAUUGCCUCUCGCUAUAGUUAUAUGUUCGUGUGUAUUUAUUUAUUUUUGUUAUUUAUUAUUAAGUGCUGAUUUAAUCGCUAUUUACAACAGUUGCAAUUAGAAAGACAUUAAUGGCGAACCCACUAUACAAAAGAAUUUUUUCUUCAGCGACUAUAUCCACCAUUAUGACAAUAUUAGAUGACGAUGAUGAAUCUAUCGAGGCUAUGAUGCUACUUGAGUUAGAAUCUGAACUAGUUGCAAAUAGAGUACCCAGACAAAGGUGUCGGACUCGGCCGUUUACCGGACAUCAAAUGUUGUGUGAUAUCUUAUCUGGUCAUCAUGAACGUUGCUGCCAUCACUUUCGUAUGAGUGUAACUACAUUUAUUGCACUCCGCGAUGCUUUAGUCGAGAGGGGGUUAAUAAGUAGCACAAGAAAUAUGACUGCUGAUGAGCAGUUAGGCAUAUUUCUAUAUGGCGUAGGGCAUGGCGUGGCAAACCGAAUAUUGGCGGAAACAUUCCAACAUUCCGGAGAAACCAUCAGUAGGCAUUUUAACAAUGUACUACGCGGCAUUGUGAGGCUAAAAGAUGACUACAUAAUGUUGCCGUCAAGUAAUGCUGCCGUGCAUCCAAGAAUUCGGGAUAAUCCAAAUUUUCAUCCUUUCAAGGUAACCAUACACACUUAUACGUAUAAUACAUUGGUGUAUAAAUAAAAUUUAUUACUAAUGUUUUUAUCUUUUCUUUUGUAAACUGUAGAAUGCUAUUGGUGCGAUCGACGGAACACAUAUUCCAGUAGUGGUCGAAAGGAGUAAACAAGCACCAUUUCGAUGUCGAAAAGGGUUCACCUCACAAAAUAUGAUGGCUGCGGUGUCAUUUGAUCUUAAUUUUUUAUUUGUAUGCACAGGAUGGGAAGGCUCUGCUGCCGAUAUGAGAGUACUUCGAUGGGCAUGCGAAAGAGGUGGUUUCGUUGUUCCCGAAGGUAGUGUUGCUAAUAAAUUUUUUGUUAGAUUUAAAUAUAUAUGAACACUAUUGUAGAUAAGUUUUUUAUACUAAUGACAUAUGGUUAUUAUAUUAUUUGCAGGCAAGUAUUACUUAGUAGACUCGGGAUAUGCAAAUACUGAAAAAUUUCUUGCACCCUAUAGAGGAGAGCGUUACCAUAUUAGUCAGUUUGACGCAAGCACACGGGCCCGCGUUCAUCGAAAUCCACGAGAUUUGUAUAACCACCGGCAUGCUCAAUUAAGGAAUGUGGUUGAGAGGAUAUUUGGCAUUUUGAAGAAGCGUUUCAAAAUUCUAAAUGUAGCAACACCGUUUUCGUAUAAAGUUCAAUGCUUGAUUGCUAUGGCAUGUUGUAUAAUACAUAACUUCAUUCGUCGUCACCAAGCAAAUGAUAACAUUUUUUCUGAUGAGGGUGCAGAUGAACAGGACGCUGAAAAUGAAGGUGGAGUAGCCGAUUUAGUGAGAGUAAUUGAGGACUCCCAAAAUGGUGAGGAUCUACGUGCUAAUAUUACAAAUCAAUUGUGGAACACUAGAAUAUAAUUUUAUAUAAAUUAGAUAAUUGUAUUGAUAUUUGGUAGAAUUGAGUGUAGUGGUUAUAUUGUUAUUUGACAAUUGUAAGAUGAUGAUGUAUGAGAUGGAUAUGCUUUGUAAUACUUGCUUAUUUAUGCCUGUUAUGGAAUAUGUAUUAAUGUUAUAUAUUGUGAUGAUAUUUUCUGCGUUGAAUAUUGGUAGGUAGAUAUGUUGGUAGAUAUUCUAAUUUUUUUACUCUGUUAUAUAUUUGUACUCUUUCAAAAUGUUUUGGUUGUAUAUGUUUUUAUUUUUGAUUCAAUAUGUUGUUAUCUUUGUAAAUGUUCGUUGAUGUGCAGAUCAACUUGAUGUACAUAAAUAUUUCUGAAUUAUUACUGAUAUUCGAAUAGCAAUGCAAAGUUUGAAAGAUCGGAAUAAAUCGGAUUUGAAAACGCCUAACGAUACUCAACUUCACUAGGGGCUAAAUUUGAAAGGUUGAAAAUUAGUAUUUUUGGAGGGUAAAAUGAUAUUAUAACUAAAAUAUUAAUUGUAGUUCAGGAAAUACUAUUGUGAGUGAAAUUUAUAAAUAUGACAAUUUUAAUAUUGUUGUUUGAAAAUUUGAGGAAUUUUCAAAAUUACAAAAGAGUAGUGAAAAAUAAUUUUUGAUACACAAUUACGCAAAAAUUUAUAUAAUUUUAAGCCUCAUUAUCCUUCUUUAUCAAUCAUUAUCUUUUUAUCCCACCUACUCCAACCAAUCAUUAUCCUUCUUUAUCAAUCAUUAUCUUCUUAUCCCACCUACUCCAACCCCACCUACUCCAACCAAUCAUUAUCCUUCUUUAUCAAUCAUUAUCUUCUUAUCCCACCUACUCCAACCAAUCAUUAUCCUUCUUUAUCAAUCAUUAUCUUCUUAUCCCACCUACUCCAACCAAACACUAUUUUUCAUUAUUCUAGACUAACUCCAACCUCCAACCAAACACAAAAAAACUUUAACCCCACUUUAACCCUGAACUUAACCCUAUACCUGGAAUAGCUACUUUUUUCUUAACCCCGAACCAAACGGAGGCUCAGGAAUUAGCCACUCCUUACCUUCGGGUAACAUCAAACCCGACCUACCUCAAGACAUAUACUUGGGGUUUGGUCACAUCUUCACCUUAGAACAUAUAAUUGAGGUGAAAUUAAAUGUAAUUGGACUCUAAAACAUAUCCUUAGAGCCAAUUAGACUCUAAUGCAUAGAGUCUAAUAUCGACUAGAUCUUAAUAUGUAUACUUGAGACCUAGUCAACCUCAUAUCUGGCUGAAUCCUAACACAUAUACAUAGGAUUCGAUCGAUCAUCAAGACACGAUUCAUUCCUUCCCAUAAAGGUCUCUUAAUCGAAGGUGCACCUAAUCGAAGGUGCACCUAUUGUUAAUUACCCCCCAAUGCUACGGGGAUAAUUAACAAUAGAUGCUUGCACCUAUUGGAAGUCAUGGACCCGCAAUACCUGAUACCUAUAUAUAUAUACAUACUAAUCUGAAUCAUGAAUACUACCCCACGACAAAAAUCCAUCGACCGUGCGAGGUGCGUCAUUCGUGGUGGCAGACAGUUACGCGAGCAUAAAAUAGGAAUAAAAUAGUACAAUAAAAAGAAGAGUUAAUUCACUUAAAGAAGUCUUAAUUCAUGAGAUGAUGGCUUAAAUUAUAGGAACCCAGAAGCAUCUUUAGUAAUUAAGUUAGAUGCAACUUCUUGGAAUUACGACACACUAAAACUGGUAAAUAUAUUUGAUUAAAGUGAAAUGCUCACUUACUAUCUUUGAUUUUUCGAUGAUUAAGGGAUGUAUGUCCAUGCUUUGCCAUCCAGCAGUGAAAGAUGCUAACAUAUCGAGCACCUUAAACCUAAGAACAAUGAUCAAAUCACACCACAAAGUAUUUUGUAGCCAAAUUAUGUAAUGUAUUCCAAGAUAGCAGUUCUUACCUACAUUAAUAUAAACAUCAAAAAGGCAUUCAAGAGGAGUGAAAGUAAAAAGAAUUCUCGAUAGCCGAACUGAAAGCCACUUGAAUUAAUUCCUAAAGUUGAAUAACCUACCAAAACCAAAUUGAAAUGCACAUAACGAUGACAAAGAUAAUUAGGUAAUACUCAAAGUAGAUACGAAAGACAAAUUCGAGGGACAACCCAUGAGGAUGAACAUCAAGCUAUUAAAAAGUUCUUGACAUAUGAAUACACAAACCACUAUUAAAAUAAAAUAAAAUCAGCAAAUUUUGUAUCAAAAGGAUCGAAUUUGAGCUCUAAAUUUUAAUACAUAGAGUACCACAAUUAAAAAAUAUAUUACUAAAAGACAUUAAGAUUCUGUCUCUAAAUUCACCAUUCAAGUUUUAAAAAUAGUUGAUAGAAGAAAUAGAAGAAGAAGAAUACAAAACAAACCCUUCUACUCAUAUACUUUUUUUUUUUCUUUUUUUUUGCAGAGAUUAAAUCUAAAAUUUGAAUCCACAGAAGAAGUAGUAGCAGAAUCAGUAGGAUAAGAAAAGAAUCUUUAAGUCAUUCUUUAAUUUCAACACCAAAAAAAAAAAUAAAACUUACAAAUUCCAAAAUAAGUGAACAAUAUUAGUUGAAAUCUACAAUUAAGCUUUACAAUUAGAUUAGAUCACCAAAAGAAGUAUAAAAGAUGGACCUUUAUGCUCGGGUGCUAUAUAUAAGUAUAUAUAUAUAUUAUAUAUAUAUAUAUAUAUAUAUAUUAUAAUUGAGCUAGAAUACUUUUAGAAGUACCAAACUCCUUGGUGCUUAUAAGUUUCAACCUUGGAUCUACUCAUUGAUUACUAAUAGCCUUUGGAUCAAACACUAUUUACCUACCACAUCAUCAAAACCUUACAUCUCUCCAUCAAGGUCUAAAACUUAAAGCACCAACCUUGUGUGCUUUUGGGGUAUCCUAGCUCAACUAUAUAUUAUAUAUAUAUAUAUUGACUAUAAAAUCAGAAUACAUAGAAGCGAGCAACAAAAUUAAUAGAAAAAAAGUGAAUCUUUAAGUCAUUUUUAAAUUAGAUUCAAAAAAUAUUUUUAUACAUAAACUAAUUUCCGUACCCCCUGUAAUCGAUACAUAAAUAUCACUAGCUCAGAUCAAAAUGAUUUAAUUUUGUAAAAGAACAUGUGUUUUAAGAAGAAGCUCUUUUUCUCCUUGUAUUUGAACUAAUCACUAUAGAAUAUUAUCAUUAGUUGGAAAAGCAUCGACUCAAAUUGUGAGGACGGAGAUUUUUUUUUUCUAUAUAUAUUUGAUAUCCUUUUAAAUGUUAUCGUGUGUAUUUUAAUUUUAAACUUGUCUAUCAAAUUUCAAUGAAAAAGAAUUUAAAAUAAAGUUUUUACGUGAUUAUUACUUUUCACUUAAAGUGAAUAGUAACCUGUAUUUCUGGCAAUGACUGAGAAGAGAGGUGGUCUUCGAACAUUAAUCGGACUCUGUUUCGGAUGAUCCAAUAGUUCAUUUUCAAUGGUCCAACUGCGCAGAAGCCAAUGGCAUUGAUGGAUUUUAUAUUUGACGUAGGUUUUCAAGGACCUUUCUAUAAGAGGAAUGUAUUAGAGAGGGACUGAAAUAUGAAUUUUCAGAGUUGGGAGAGUUUGGAGUGAUUAUUCUCCAAGAAUAGUGGUAUAUAGGCUUAGGGUUGGAUUUGGGAAUUUUGGAACCCAAACCCUAGACCUCAACCCUCCUCCUCUCCUCCUUGUCCACCUGAGAGAGGGUUCUGCCCCUGCUGGCCACCGAAGAAGAAGAAACGACUUUUUCUUCCCUUUCUCUCCAUAUCUCUUUCUCUAUCUUCUAUGGUGGUGUGAAGGAAGGAGCCCCAGCACCCUUGUAACCGUGUUGCCAACCACCGAGACAGCCGCCGCCAUCCUUCCGGACUCCGGCGACCCUUCCUUGGCACCCCCGUGCCCAGCCGGAGCCGGAGCCGUCGCCGCCGUGGAUUUCUCCUCUCGAGCAGCUCGGGGCAAGGUGACCCGAGACCUCUCCAGCCGCGGCCGCGGCCGCGGCGGCCGACGACCCCCGGUGCUGACUCCUUCAGCCUCAGGCAACCCAUUGCUGUCGGUCCCUACCUCCCCCAUCCGCCGCUAUUGCCGCAGGGGAACCCGAGCUCCAACCUCUCUGUGUGCUGUCCGGGCUUCACCAACCACCGCCGCUGCCACUCCCUGUUGUUGGCCGAAGGGAGCACGAGGCUUCCCUCCCCCUCCGCAGCCGACCUCAGCUGGCUCGCAUGCUGGCAAGCCGCCGGCGGUCGGACGGAGUCAUUAUUCUCCUUGCUUGGCAGCCUAGGGCACGAUUUUGCCUCAUUCGCAUUUUUCGAUAAUCCGAAGCUCCCCGACCUUCCCGAAAGUGAGCACGGCGAUCCUCAUCACCCGCUGAUCACCAUGCUCACCUCUACUGCAAUCGACAAAGCUCCGAUGCGCCCGUGGGACUCGACUGCUUCUAAGAGCAUGGAGGAGUUUUUUCGCUAUUUCGAAGGCACCCGGCCUUCGACAGUGAGCACGAGCAUCAUCUCAUCGAGAGAAUCAAAUCGACUGGUUGGUUGGAUCCUCUAUGAUGCGGAUCUGGAUAUCGAGCUCGAAACUCGUGUUUGUUAAGGAUUUUGUAUUGGCAAGUUUCGUGAAGUGAGUCGGAGUCUUGAAGAAUCGGUGUGUGUCGUCGACGAUUGAAGAAUUCAAGAUUUCGAAGAAGUUGGAAAAUAACUCACGAUAUGAAUCAUGACGUAAAGGUAAAGUUUUAAUUCAUGUUAUGGUGAUUCAUGCUUAAUUAUAGGCAUUAGAAUCAUAUAAUCAAAGUUUAGUUGAUUAGAAAAUGCUUCGGAACUUUGCGGAACCCGAAACGGUGCAAAAUCUGAAAAAUUGCAUUGUGUACCGGUACAGCCAUUAUCCCGUACCGGUACAGCCAUCAACUUUGGCUUCGAAAAUUUGUUCCGUCAUUGUGUAACCGGUGACAGCAUUUCGCGUACCCGUAGCAAGUGAUUAAAUCGUGAAAACUUUCUAAUAGACUCCCAUGAUAAAACUAAAAUAAGGUCUAUUGGGCUUCUUAACACAAUAAGCAAAAGAAUGAACAUGUUUUAGACACCCCUAACGAGCUCGAUAUUCAUUGCGAAACCUAUUUCUACAAAUUACCUUCUUAGAUAAAUGAGAUAUUCGUAUCGCAUUCUCUAUAUGUCGAUAUGAAGCCGCUUCGCUGGAUUCUUUCCCUGGUUUUCUACGAUACCCUAAAGCGAAGCUCACAAUAACAACAUAUGCUCUUCAUCGAACGCGUCGUGGGAUUCGUCGUGAACAAGACGUUCGUGGAUUCGGAUCGUGGGCUCGUGGAUUCGAGUGGCGUCGUGGAUUCGACGUGAUUGAAGCUUCGUGGAUUCGAAGUGGAGGCGUUCGUGGAUUCGGACGUGAGGGCGUGGACAACCCGGAGGGUAGCGCGAAGAUUCAUAGGAGGUUAAGAGAGGUUGAGUCCGUGGAGUCGGUAAUCACCUUGUAAUCUUUUCUCUUAGUGAAUUGUUUUUUCGCGUGUUGGUCCCGUGGGUUUUUCUCCAAGUUGGAGUUUUCCCACGUAAAUCUCGGUGUGCUUUUUAUUUUCCGCAUUUAUUUUUAUUGCAUCGAGAUUUGUGGUUUUUUUGGCCUUUCACCUAUUUCCCCCCCCUCUAGGUGAUAGAUACAAUCUAGAUAGAUCCUUGGGCUCCUCAAAACUUUCAGUGUUUACAUACUAUUUGUAUAGUAAUUAAUGUAUAAUGGGUUAUUUACAAAUUGUAUGCUUUGGGGACCCCAUGCAAAGCAUCGGAUAGCGUGUGAUUGCUGUUAGCAACCUCAUGACUGAUCAUCAAAGGUCCGAGAGUCGUCACGAAGUGGAAACGGGGUCCCACGUUUGGCAAAAAUUUGCCGAUCGGACGCAGUUUAUGUGCGAUUUUAGGACUUUGGCCAUUCGAAUGCCCUAGAGACCCCACCAAGCCUUGUUGGUUGGUUACUACCGCCACCUUUGAAGACUGGAGUUGGUGGAUGAGCGGCGGAGGGAUUUUGAUGCGUUUUCUGGCGAAAUCGCCGGUAGAAUGCGGUUUCGCGUCGCGAUGAGUUUCCGGUUGUGUGGUCACCUCGGAAAUCAUCGCCUAGCCUCGUUGGCUAGCCGUCAGGGUCGCCUCAUCUGUUCAGAGGUGAAGAUGAGUGACGGAGGUAUCCGGUGCCAAAAUGGACACUUCCGAAAGCCCGAUAGUGAACGGUCGAUCGGCGACGAUCGAGUUGACUUGGAGACUUGUGUUUACUGUUUGUACAACCAAAUAGGUGUGUUUUGGGAUAGUGGGUGACUCCCGAUGUGAGUCGGUGCAUUUAGGGAUGUUUUGUAGGUCCUGGGGGCAUCGCGAUGCAUUUUCGGGACUCCUGGCGAGCUCGGGAAUCAAUUUUGGGAAACCGAUUCUGCGGGCAGUUUUGGGUUUGUGAGAGAUGUGUUUUGAGUCAUGUGGAUUAUAUCCAGACUCAGUGGACCUAUCAUAGGUCCGGUCGGCGUUCCUCGCCUCGCAGGAGCUAGAUGCGGUGACGGACACAGGUGGGUACUUCGAUCCGAAGUCGAUUAAGUGGUGCACGCUCGGUGAUAUUCCUUUCCUCCCUACCUUUUACUACUUACAUAUAUACAUAUUCGGUGCUUGAGUGCUUCACCACAUGACUUCGACCUUUGCUCUACUUAAUAUACUCUUAUGUUUGCCGUGACAUAGAAGUAGAACGGUAAUGGCACUGGCAUUUAUAUUCUUGUUGACCUGAGUGGUCGAUGCCUAUGUACUUAUAGUGUCAUUGAUCUCGCAAUUUCCAGUUGACCAGAGUGAUCGGUUCCCUUAUACUCUUAUCGUUGUUGACUUCCUACUUUCUUGUUGACCUGAGUGGUCGGUACUUGCAUACCUGAGAGGAUGUUGAGCUUGUCUAUCCUAGUUGACCUGAGUGGUCGGUACUUGUGUUCCUGUACAGCUUAGAUGACUUGUUGGUCGGUGUACCCCGAGGGCAGUGAUUGUUGGCCAUUCGUCGACGAUUGGCUAUUGACCAUAUUCACAUCGAUUGCCACAGCUUGACAGUAUUUCACGAACACCAGCGGUCUCAUCCCCCCGUAGAAUGGUGUUCUUUUUCGAAAAAAUGGUUGGUUUCUAACCCGUGAGCCCAGCGGCAGCUAGGGUUAUAUGCUAGACAGAGCGGUUGUGAUUUGCCUGAGGUCCGUAGACCGACACGGCGGUAUAGAUUGUGUAUACUUGUGCUAUCAAUUGCAGUUGACACAAAGUCAUUUCUCUACCUCCCUUUACAGUAGCGGUUAUUCAUACCAUUGUUACGGUUGUUGUCAAUUCAGUUAUUAUUGCUAUUGCACUAGUUUGACUAUUGACUAUAGUUGGUUGUUGCUUUAUUAUCUUAUUUUACAGUAGUAGCUUGUUUGGUGAUUAUUGGUGGACAAUUUUUAUUGUAAUCAUACCCGAUUUACUUGUUACUGCUACUGUUUAUCCCACCAUCUGCCAGUGGGUACAGCUUGCCAUCGUCGACUUGCGGUACCCACUGGGAGGGGGAGACUUGCUUACAUGUUCUCACCCCUCUUUUUUCAGGUAGCUCGGGCGGUGAGGGUCAGACGCUGCGUGAGCACGUAGAUAGUGGGCUUGUGAUAUAGGUCUCGACGUACAGUAUCAUCUUUGGAUUCUUCUUAUAUUUUAUGCAUAUCACUAUAUACACAUUGUUGAUAGUCCAGAUUCUACCCUUUUUCACAGGAUAGUAGAUAAAUAGUCGUGGUUCAGUUGUUGUUUAUCUAUGUGAGAAUUUGGUUACUCAUGAGAUUUUUGAUAUUUGUAGAUUUUAGGAACUUGAGGUUUUGGUGACUUGGGGUUUUGAAGUUUGAUUUCGAAUGAUGGAUUUCUACCCCUCGUGGUAGCUUGUUUACUUUAAAAUAAAGGUUUCCAUAUGGAAAAUGAUUUUCAAAGUGAUUUUUCGGCUUUUCGUGAAUUUUCGAAAAAAAUUAGAAUUUCAAAGUAAAGCCUUCAUGUGGGAGGCAGUUUCAACUAGUAGGAAUGAAUGUGAAAUUGAUGUGGAAUGGUUGUGACUAAGGACGGUUAGUUAUAUGAUGUAAAAUGAUAAUCUUUGUGACUCGGGAUUGUUGUUUGUGUGAGCGGAGGUCAUGGUUGACAAUUGUACAUGUGCUACGCCGUGCAAAUAUAGGGGAGGCUAUGUCCGUUUUUUUCAAAAAUUUUCUGUAUUUGUAGCGGGUUUGUUGCAUUCUUGGGGGUCAAGGUUUUAAUAAAAAAAAAGCAGUUUUUCAUUUACUCUGAUUUAUAAAUAUAGUCUGAUUUUGAAUCGGCUUUCAAAAAAGGACCCCGGGGACGUGACACAAAUGCAUCAUAUAUUCUUGUACUCUUCACAAUCAAUACAUACGUAUAUCACUUCAAAAUUAGAUCAAAUGUACUACAAACAAUAGAAGAAAGAUAUACAAAGGGAAAAAAUAUAAAUAUAUUUUGAACAUUUCUAAAAGUAAUUCUUUCAUUGAAAUCUUCCUCACCUAUUGAUCGGGGAAGACACAUUGAUAUAAGAUAUGAUUACAACUGGAACAUUUUUCGAAGAAAAUGAUCCCUGAAUGAACAAUAUCACAAAUUUUUCAUCAGCAAUUUGGAAAAAAAAUACUUGGAAACAAAAAAUUAAAGUAAUUAUAAGUGUUGUUACAAAUUAAGCAUUAAAAAAAGAUAUCUUGAUUCUGUUUAGAAGAUCAUACCUAGUCAUUUAUGGCAUAAAGUAAUCAAUUAUUACCAAAUUCACUACAAUCUCCUACCUGCACCAAAUAAAGCAACCCACUUUAAAUUAAAUUCAUCAUAAAACUCAAAUAAAUUUUAAAUUUAAAUUUAUGUGCGAUAAGGAUGAAAUAGUAUAGCUAAUAAAAAAGAAAGGCAAUACCUUCUCAACAAACGUCAAUCAAUCACCGAGUCAAGCUAUGCUAACAGCGACAUUAGUAGGACCACUCUCAAGAGUUUUGAAGCUUUAUAAGAUUCUAUUUAUAUGCAAGGCAACUUUAAUCUGUAAUUUCUCCAAUAAAGUCUGAUACUAGUCCAUUUUAGCUCUUGACUUUUGCAAUCGAUCAUUUAGUAGCACGAAAGCUUUAGACGGAGAUACACUCUUGAUAUCCAUCAAAGUAUUCUACUAAUCAUAUAUUUUGUAUAGCACAUUCUUAUAAAUCGGAAAGAAGCAUUAUAACAAAUAUAAAAGUUGGAGAGUAUGAAAAAUGAAUGGACCUAAAACCUACUAACUUUUUCAGAUUUGAAAUUCUGUCUUCAUGCAAAUUUUUAAUUUUAACUAAUCGUUUUGAAUAUAAUUCCUGGUCAAAAGGAAAAAAAAAAUAUAAAAUUUGUAUUAGAUUAUAAGACAUCGCAAGCAUAUAAAUGACAGUUUUUUUUUUUAAUAUCAACUACCAUCAAUUCUCUCAAAGUUGCAUCCGGAUCUUACAAUUCAUUUUGCUUAUCUCUGGCCUUAUCUCCAGUAGUAUGCUUAUUUCCUAGAGUAGGAAAAAGUAAAAGAGUGUUUUGGCUUGCAUCUUUUCCUACACUAAGAAAAGCCAAUUUACUAUUGCUUUCUUCCAACUCAGACAGUAGUUGCCAACUCCUCUAGACAAAGUUAUAAGAGAAAAAAACCAUGGCACAAAGUAUGCAAAAUGUGUGAGUGCUUCAGUAGAUGCUACCAAUCAAGCAUUCUAUAGUAUUAAAAAUUAGGUUGACAGUGAAUGUGCAUAUAUAUUGCAUCCAGUGCAAAUGAUAGUAUGAUCAAAAAACUAUCAAGAAGGGACGUCGUUGCUCCUUUCCACGCCCUCCAACACUGUAUCUACUGUUGCAAAAAAAAAUCCAUACUAUUUUUACGUCUAUCAAGAACUGACCUUCAAAGUCUACACCUAUCUCUGCAUGCCGCUGCAUAAUCUAUCUAUUAUUUGGUGAUAGUCUAGACUGCUAGCAAUUAUCAAGAGGAAAAGUAAGAAAUAUUUUACUAAUUAUAAGUAGAAACUUUCACAAAAACACAUAAAGUUAAAAAAAUAAAAAUAAUUGGUUACCAAUAGAUAUAAAGAAAAUUGCAUAUGCAAAUGACUAUAUUUUUACAUCAUAGGGACUAUGAGUUAUGUAUGUAGUAUCCCAUCUAAUCAAAGAGACAUCUGAUCCAAAAAAGAGUAAAAUCAAAUCUAAUCAAAAUAGAAAAACAUAAGCGUAAUAUUGUUAAUAUCACAUAGCAAGUCAAGUUUAUUUAAUAAAGAUGACUAUGUUGUUCAUGCUGUUGAUAUUACUGUUUCAGCCGAGAUUGAUGCUGAUUUUGUUAAAUAUGGCAAAAAAUAAUAAAAUUAGUAAAUAAAAAUCACAUGUAAAAAUAAUUUAAUAUAUCUUAAUAUAUUUUUUAAAAUAUAUAUAAUUAUAUACACAUAUAUAUUUAUAUGUAAAUGGAAAAAUCAAAAAAAUUGAAUUAAUUUGAAAGAAAAGUAAGUCAAGCUAUAUUUUUCUUUUAAAAAAACUAACAAUAGUGGGAUGAAGAUGUGUCUUUUCCAUCUUUAAAUUGAAGCUCUACAAUUUCGUAAAGUGUAAAAAUAAACAUCUAUAUUAGAAUACCUAAUAAGUUGUUUUUGUUUUUCAUUUGAAAUUUCAAGUUACAAAUACGCAAAGUAGAAAAAGUCUAAAAGAUGCAGCCGAAGCAUCUGUACCAACAGUAGCAUCACCAUUUAAAGAAGAAACUCCAAUCUUAGAUCGAAAAGAGGCUAAUGGGGGAAAGAGGAGAAGAAGAAGCGAAGGCUGCAAACUAAAAGAAACCUAUAUGAUUAAGUUCUUCAAAUUCCAAAGUUUAUUUAUUAGACUUGUCAUGCAUCGGAUUACCGCGUUUCCCCGGGCAUGCCAACAGACCUGCCGUAUACAAAAAUUUUUUUUCUGUAUACGAAGCGAUAGCUGUACCUAUAAGCCAAACAAGCUACAACCACAAGGUAAGAGCUGCUAAAACUGAAAAGUAAUAUAUAAAAUCUCGAGUGGUUCCAAUACAAACCAAAUGUCUACAACACCACUCACUCCAGCGAGUACCCCGACAACAUCACAGUAUGUAUAAAGAAAACCCAAAACUACAUUUGGAAGGUACUCCUCUAGUACUCUAGCAAGGCUGAAAGGGAUCUAGCUCGCGACUCCCUUUCCACGAUCAGAAUCAGCAACAGCAGCAGCUGCGAACGAAGGCUCUGCAACAAGGGGUCAGCAACUGGGUGUGAGAACUACUGCAAAAAGGAGUAGUCCUCAGUGGUUACCAUCACCGACCUCAAUGGCUCACCCACUAAGUCUACAGAAAAGUGCGUAAGAGAUAGUAAAAAAAGCUGGAAAGCCUACAACUAUAUGCCACUAUACUAUCGCUAACCAACACUAGCUAUCUGUAAAUAUGACAAGAAUGCAAUCUCUGACCCAAACUCACUAAGGACUGUGAACGCACUCGUUACGCCUAUCGAAGCCACACCGCACACCACCCCGAGGGUUGCCGGUAGAGAGCAAAGUCCUAACCAGACACUACGACAUCAAUGCAAAAGCACGUAGCCAAACUCCGAAGCGACACUCGUGGGCGCGACCCAACCGAGUAUGCAAGUGUGUCUCUAUCGAGCUCAAUCAGGCUCUCACAGGCUAUAAUCAAUGCAAAUGGGUCUAACUGGUCUAACAACCAAAACUCACGUGCCCUUGGCACAAUCUGAGGCAAAACACAUAAAUCUGGGUCCACCGUCAGCCACGAUGGUACUAGACAGUCCAAAGCAGUCUACAUACUACUGUAAAAUAAACUCAGCAUCCUAGCACGAGCGUAAACUCAUCCUACAAUAAUCUGGGUAUCCACUGUAUACGAACAGCGGCGAUACAAACGAACCACAGCUCCUAAAGCUAAAUCUGGUAAUUUUCAGAAAUGACAGUGUAGAAUCUAUAUGUUUUUUCCUAAGUCAAUUCCAAGUCCAACAUGUACAAUUAUAAUACUAGCUUAACUCCAACUUCAGAUUUUAUACUCUAAUCCAUGAAUUCGAGUACUAGCAAGGAAAUAAACCAAUGAUACAUGUCGACGAUGCUAAAACUUAGGAGGAGUUCCGACGAUUUCGGUAAACAUUAACCUACCUUGACACGCUAGUCCAACUACGGCGAGAAGUCAAAAGGAGAGGAAACCACGCGCUCGCCUGGCCUCCUAACUGUGCAACCACGACACCCGCGCGCUCGAACGGCCCUCCGGAUCGAGUCGACAACCUCCCGAGCUCGAAUCGCGACCUCAACAACGUACAAGUCCACCAGCUAGAGAGAGAGAGGAAAAGAAAAAGAAGAACCGCUCACAACUCUCUCUCUGAGAAUAUAUAGGUUGGGGAUAAACAUUGGAAUGAUCGUCAAUCAAAAGACCAAACAGCCCCUUACCUACUCAAAAAUCCAGCUGGAGUACCGGUACUCCACUUGAAUAUCAAUACUCGGGCCUUCAGCCAGCAGCCUCGGACACUGGGUACCGGUACCAACCCGAUGCAGUACCAGUACCCGGGCUCGAUACCGGUACUCGACAGGUCGGUACCGGUACUCAGCAGCAAUUACGCGCAAACCUGAGAGCAUCCAUCUCUGCCAUCCACUGGGGUACCAGUACUCCUCUCAGGUACCAAUACUCAACGCUGAAAUCCUGUAGUUUGCGGAUUUCAGCGUUAGAACUCCACUCUCGCCUCGCUUCGAGUCCGUUUUGCGUCCAUUUCGAGUCAAAAUGAUUCCGACUUGUCCCGAAUGUCGACAAGCCUCAGAUGCUGAAACCCACGGGUUGCAGAACACCAGGGGCACUACAUCCUCCCCCUCUACAAAAAGUUUCGUCCUCGGAACUUAACGCAUACCUCAAACCUGAGUCUCGAACAAGAAGGGAUAGGACUCCCGCAUCACCGUCUCCGACUCCCAAGUCGCUUCACGCUCCUUGUAAUUACUCCACUGCAGUUUUACAUACCUGUUGCAUAAUUCUUUCGUCUCACGAGCAAGAAUCCGCACCGGUCGGUCCUAAUAUCUCAAAUCCUCGCUAAGCUCCAGUGGAGUGAAGUCAAUCACGUGUGAGGGGUCAAACACGUAUCUUCUCAAUGCCGAGACGUGAAAAACAUCAUGAAUAUCGGCCAGUCGUGGGGAUAGAGCAAUCCUGUAGGCUACUGGUCCGACUUGCUCCAAUACCUCGAAAGGGCCUACAUAUCGUGGACUAAGCUUUCCACGAACUCCGAAUCUGCGUAUCCCUCGGGACGGCGAGACUUUUAGAAACACAUGAUCUCCAAUCUGAAACUCUAAGUCUCGUCUCCUAGUAUCGGCGUAGCUUCUCUGUCGACUUUGGGCUGUCGUAAGAUGUCGUUGUACAACUUUGACUUUCUCCUCUGCCUCAAUCAGAAUCUCAGGCCCCAGAGUCUUCCUUUCACCUACAUCACUCCAAUACAAAGGUGAUCGACACCUGCGUCCAUACAACGCCUCAAACGGAGCCAUCUGAAUGCUCGCUUGAUAGCUGUUGUUGUACGCAAACUCAGCCAGUCUCAAAUGUCGAUGCCACUCUCCUCCAAAGUCCAGGACACAUGCUCUCAACAUAUCCUCCAGAGUUUGAAUGGUCCGCUCUGACUGACCAUCUGUCUGUGGGUGAAAUGCUGUGCUGAAAUGUAGCUGUGCCCAAGGCCGUCUAAAGGCUCCUCAAAAAAUGUAAGACGAACCUCGGGUCUCUAUCCGAUACUAUCGAGAUAGGCACACCAUGCAAUCUAACAAUCUCAUUCAAGUACAACUGAGCGAGUCUCUCUCUCGACCAGAUGGUCUGUACUGGUAGGAAGUGAGCAGGCUUGGUCAGUCUGUCCACUAUCACCCAAAUUGCAUCAAAACUACCUUAUGCUCUCGGUAAACCCACGACAAAGUCCAUCGUGAGCUACUCCCAUUUCCACUCGGUCACUUGCAGAUUCUGGAGCUUGCUAGCAGGUAGCUGAUGCUCUACUUUCACCUAUUUGCAAGUCAGACACUGAGGCACAUAUCUCCCAAUGUCCCGCUUCAUUCCAUUCCACCAGAAGCGUGCCUUCAAAUCCUUAUACACCUUGGUUACACUAGAGUGAACCGUAUAAGGUGAGUAAUGCGCCUAUCUCAAAAUCUCCUCUUGGAUCUCUGAAUCCAUAGGCACACACAGUCGGUCCCUGUACCGCAGUACUCCCGAACUGUCCACUGAAAAGGCCUCCGCCUAUCCCCUCUCUAGCUGCUCUCGAAUUCUCAAUAAAUGAGAGUCUCCACUCUGUUUCUCCCUGAUCCAGUCGAACAGAAUGGGCUGCAAGACCAUAGACAUCAGUCUCGCAGUAGACCCAGGGGAUACUACCUCAAGCCUCAACCGCUGCAACUCCUUGAGUAACGGUCUCUGCUGAGAGAUUAUCAUGCUCAAGCUCUAUACUGAUUUCCUGCUCAACGCAUCUGCCACCACAUUCGCCUUGCCGGGAUGAUACUGAAUGCUGAUAUCAUAAUCCUUCAACAACUCCAACCACCGACGUUGCCUUAGGUUCAACUCCUUCUGGGUGAACAGAUACUUGAGACUUUUAUGAUCAGUAAAAAUCUCACAGUGCUCACCGUAUAGAUAGUGCCGCCACAACUUCAAAGCAAAGACCACUGCGGCAAGCUCCAAGUCAUGCGUAGGGUAAUUCUUCUCAUAAUCCUUCAGUUGCCGGGAAGCAUAGGCAAUUAUCCUAUCAUGCUGCAUCAGAACACAAUCUAACCUGCUUUGCAGCGCAUCACUGUAAAUCACAAAUUCUUCCCCUAUAACUGGAAGAGCAAGGAUAGGAGCCGACAUCAAUCUCUGUCUCAACUCAUCAAAGCUCCUUUGACAAUCCUCACUCCAAUGAAACUUAAUUUCUUUCCGCGUCAAUCAAGUGAGGAGUGUGGAAAGCUUCAGAAAGCCUUUCACAAACCGACGGUAAUAUCCAGCUAAUCCAACGAAACUCCUCACCUCGGUAACCGUUAUCUGUCUGGGUCAAUCUCGAAUAGCAUCAAUCUUCUUCGGGUCAACUACCACUCCAACUGCAGAAAUCACAUGGCCCAAGAAGGAAACCUCCCAAAGCCAGAACUCGUAUUUCUUCAGUUUAGCAUACAACUUCUUCUUCCGCAGAAGCUGUAAUACUAUCCUCAGGUGCUCCCCAUGCUCAACAUCACUCCGGGAGUAUAUCAGAAUAUCAUCUAUGAACACUACCAUGAAUCUAUCCAAGAACGACUUGAAUACUCUAUUCAUCAGAUCCAUAAAUGCGGCAGGGGCAUUCGUCAAUCCAAAAAGCAUCACAAUGAACUCAUAAUGCCUGUAUCGAGUCCGAAAAGCCGUCUUGGGCACAUCCUCGGCUCUCACUCUCAACUGGUAGUAACCUGACUGGAGAUCAAUCUUCGAAAAGACAUAAGAUCUUUGCAGCUGAUCAAACAGAUCAUCGAUGCGCGACAAAGGAUACUUGUUCUUGAUAGUCACUUUAUUCAGCUCCCGAUAAUCCACACACAACCUAAGUGAACCAUCCUUCUUCUUCACGAAUAACACCAGCGCUCCCCAAGGCGAUACACUAGGUCUCACAUACCCCGUAUCCAUCAAAUCCUGAAGCUGCGCCUUCAGCUCUCUCAGCUCUGCCGGUGCCAUCCGGUAGAGUGCCUUUGAGAUUGGCGCAGUUCCAAGAACUACGUCAAUCACAAACUCGAUCUCUCUAUCCGGCGGCAUAGUCGUCAACUCCAGGAGAAAAACAUUCGGAAACUCGCGGACUAUAUGGAUAUCCUCGAGUCUCGGCGCCGCCGUAGGCACCUCUACUACAGUCGCCAAAAAGCGACGCAUCCUCUACUCAUCAGCUGUCGAGCCCUCGCCGACGAAAUCCAAGUGGCAAACAACGUACUCCUGCAGCCCCUGUACAUGAACUCCUCCUGGCCUGGCUCGCGGAACGUCACUGUCCUCGGUCCACAGUCGAUUGUAGUAUAGUACCGCGCCAGCCAAUCCAUGCCAAACACAACAUCGAAGUCCUGCAGCUGCCCUAGGAAUAAUAGGUCGGCAGGCAUAAUCCAAGAGCCCAGCUACACCGGACACGACCAACAACACUCUGCUACCUGCAUAAUAUGGUCGAAAAUCUGCACCUCUCGUGUAUGCAACAACGGCCCUACCUCUAGCCCAUGCAAUGAUAUAAAUGCUUGGCUAACAAAAGAAUGUGAUGCGCCGGUAUCAAAUAAGGUACGAGCUCUAAUACCAGAAAUCAAAAUGAUACCUGCCACCACGUAGUCGGCUGUUGUAGAGUCCUCCACCUGAGCUGCAUACACCCUGCCACUCGAGGCCUGCUGUCGUCGCUCACUCUGUCGCGGCACUGACGCACUGUUAUCCUGACGAUAGCUCGGUGACGCUCCAUAAGACUGCUGAGGUGCCGGCGGAGCUGAGCCGUCGAAGGUGCUGGUGAUGCUGCUCAGGGACAAGCUCCCCUUAUAUGUCCACGCUGUCCACAAGUGAAACAUCGGCCCUCUCGCUGCUUACACUGUCGGGGCCAGUGUGGUCCCCCACAAAUCACACACUGCGGAGUCCCCUGUGACUGUCUCUGCUGACGAGGUCCCCCAAAACGAUGUCGCCCCGAAGACCCACAACCCUGAGAGCGUGAUCGUGGAGGCCUCGGCGGACGCCUGCUGCUCGACUGCCCUCCAUCAUCUGGAACCGGGCGCUUCCUAUCCUGACUCUGCCCCGGCACCUGAGCCCGCUCACGGACUGAUACAUCUCCUCUCUCCACCCACAACGGCCCUGCCUGCUCAGGCAUAUUAGAUGGCGCGGCACGAUCCCGCGUCGACGGUCGACCUCGGCAUCGAUACAUGACUACCUGAAAUCAAAAUAAGGGUCAGAUAUAAAACACAAUCACUCUCGACCCAAUAAAGCGAAAGACUAGAAGGCCGCCCAUGUUUCUCCUCAAGAUUAUGCCGUCUGCAGCCAACAUAAUUUUCUUUGCCGAAACAGACACUCCCUCAGUCACUCACUCCACUCUAGGAGGAGUUAAAAUAAUUCAAUCGCUGACUUUUGCGAUAAAUCAUGCCUCUCGCGUCUUGCCUUCUGAAGGUUUGCCAAGCUUAAGGUUUCCUAGAUCCCAACGACCUAAUACUAAGCUCUGAUACCAACUUAAUCUGUCACGCCCCGAAUUACAGCGUUUUUCCGAGCACGCCAAAAGGCACGCUAAAAAGCUCGCCGUAUACAAAGAAAUUUUUCCUAUAUACGAAGCGAUAGCUAUACCUGUAAGCCAAACAAGCUACAACCAUAAGGUAUGUGUAAGGACUGAGAUUUUUACAGUGCUACUAAACUCUCUGUUGAUGAUGUUUAUGUGUGUAAUUUAAUUACAUAAGCACUCGUCAAGUUUCAGCAGGAAACGAGUUAAGACGGAGAAGUUACGCGACCCGAAAGAAUCACUUAAGUGAAUAGUAACUCCGGUUUUCCAGAGAGGCCACGGAGUAUAGUUGGCUUUCGACGCGUAUCGAACUCCGAUCAUAGUCGUCCUAUAGCUCGUUUUCAACGGCUCGACUAUCCUGGACCCUUUGGCGCUGACAGAAUCGGAUUCUGAUGCACGGUUAUCGAGAAAAAGGAUUUUUUUAAGGAAAAGUGGGAAUUUUUGGGUUUUUGUGGAAAUUGGGAGAAUUAUGGAGGAAUGGGUGCGUCGCGAAUCGGGGACCAAAUCGGGCGAAACGAGAUACUAGAUUAGAUGCCCUAGUCGUGCCGAUCGCAUUGGCGCAAUCCGAUCGAUAAUCCGAUGGACGGAUUGGCGGGAAUCGUGAAAUGAACGCAAAGGGGUCAAAAUGCAAUUUGAAAUUUAUCGCGAGAAACCAGACAUUUUAUGGAUCGAUUUGCGAUAUUUCUAAUACUGAGGGUCCUGCGCGCGUAUUUUACCUGUGGACAGGGACUUGGUCGAAAAUAUUAGGUUACGGAGGGCUAAAGUGCAAAAUGCACAUGUGUAUAUAUAUUUAGGAUUAGGAUUCACAAUGGAACCCUAACCCUAAUCCGCCAACCCUAGCCCUCCCUGUGCACCAGCCGCCUAGGAGGCCCCCUGCCCACGCCGUGCUUGCACCCCGGCGGCCGGCAGCCGCCGCCGUCGCCGGAAAAGGCUUCCCCAAGCUCCAACCUUCCUCCCUCUCCCUCCACCUUGGCCGAGGAAGUCCCAAGCACCAUCCUGAGCCGGCCAGGCCUCGGGUGAGGUAAGCCCCGACCCAGGCACCCCCGCCGUCACCGCCACCGCCGACCCCCACCAUCGCCGUGCGCCGCCGGAGCCGCCGUAGCCGCCUGCGGCCCCAGGGACACUACCCAGGCCGAAGCUGGGUGGCUCGGGUGUGUGAGCCCUGCCGUCGUUUCCCGACGGCCGCGGAGGUCUCCGCCGACCGUCCGGCGACCACCGCGCCCGACCCCGGCCACCCUCGAGCGCCGCCGGCCGCCGCAGGAGCCCCCUGCCACCGCCUUUGUGCUGUACGGGCCGAACGCGGGCCACCUUCACUCCCGGGCAUCGCCGCCACCCGCCGACGCAAGCUCGGCCACCGCCUCGACUCCCGGCAUCGUCCCCGACCGGCCCCGACCAGCCCCGGCCGCCGCAUCGCCGCCGGCAACUGUUGGAAAGCACCAAACCGCAAAGGAGUUGGCGGCUCCGUACGCCGCCGCCGCACCUCCGGCCGCCCUGCGCUGCCUGACGUGGAGUUCCCCGGAGCCCCGCCACCUGGUGCACCCCUCCCCGGCCGGACCGCCUGCCGGAAUACCGCCGGCGGCCAACCCUAGUUCCCCCCUCACUGUGAGUGUCCACUUAUGCAUUCCAGCACUGCUUUCCCACUUUCCGGUAACUAUUUCGGCAAUCCGAAUGGUCUUUUUGACCUCGGGAAGAGAGCACGAUGAUCCUUAGGUCGUGCUGAACAUCGUGCUCUCUUCCGUCGAGCCCUGCGAUGCCUUGGUUGCUCGGGCAACCGCGAUCUUCCUGCGGUGCGCGCUGCUUCGCUGACCUUCGAGUCGCUCGUGCGCGCACCGCAGUCGCCGAAUGUGCUCCGAAUGGUGAGCACGGUCUCCGACACGCUGAAACCUAUCAGCGGGUGCGACGGUUGACCCAGCGAACCCCGUAUCGCAAGAUCGGGCCAUAAAACUGUCGGAAAUCGCAUAAAAUGAUAGAUUUUAGGGUUCUUGAUGUGCUUUCUUGCAAAUAACAUCGACUCGGUCACUGUGGACAGCGUGUAAAUGCUGAGGGUAACCUCUGGACUGAUCGUCCAAGGCCCCAAGCCACUGCGGAGAUCGAAAAGCCUUUUUUGGGGCGUUUCGCGGUGAAAUUCGUCGACGGAACGCGAUCUUAGUUCGGUUUUUAUCCGACGGUGCCUCGGGAUCAGUUGUGAUGUCGCUAAGCCUUCUUGGCGAGUCACCCGUGUCGUUUCGGGGGUUCGAAAACGACGGGUGAGCGACUGGUGGGUUCCGGUGUCGAAAACGACACUUUCGGGAACCCGGAUCGAGACGUUUAGUCAACGAUGUCUGUUCCGAGGCGAGGUGUGGUGUCUGUUCGGGAUUGUAAGUUAGUUGCUGACAUUAGGGUUUCCUUCUGACCUAGUGGACCCUUCGUAGGUCCGGUUGCUCUGUUCCCCGCAGUCGUGAGAUCUGAUCCAGAGUUGUACAGGUGGGUACUUCGAUCCGACGUCGGUACAGUGGUGCACGCUCGGUGAUGGUUUCUUACCUUUGUUCUCUCGUUAUUAUCUGGCAUAUAUAUUUUUGAGCCUAGCACCCACGUUGUUUGGUUAUACUCUACUCAGAUGUUUCCAUGCUUAGUAUCAUGUGUAGGAGUAUAGUCUAUUUGUAUGUGAUACUAUGUUUUCUUGUUGCUCUACUUAGCUAUCCUGCAUAUCCUGUUUCAUGUUUAGAGUAGAGCGGUUUCAUGAUUUCCUGUGAGAUCGGUGACCUAGUCAGUCGGUUCCUUGACUUCUGUCGUUUGAUGACCUUUGAGGUCGGUGUACCCUGAGGGGUCGGAUUGUCGGCUAGUGGCCGACGGUGGUUCUAGAUUAUAUACUCAGAUGACUUGUUGAUCGAUUCGUUGUGCAUAUAUCCUAGUUGACCUGAGUGGUCAGUCCUUAUGGUUCAUUGAGUAGUACUUGCAUAUGUUUGAGAGGAUGUCGAUGUUGUCCCAUCCUAGUUGACCUGAGUGGUCGGUUCUUGUGCUUCCUUACAGUUGGAUGACCUUUUGGUCGGUCAGCCCCGAGGGGCGGUGAUUGUCGGCUGAUUGCCGAUGGUUGGCUAUUGAUCAUAUCCGCAUUGAUCGCCACAGCUUGAGUGCAUUUCACGUACACCAGCGGGUUGAUCCCCUGCAGGAGGGUGUUCUUUUUCGAAAAGUGGUCGUACAUCCGACCCGUGAGCCCAGCGGUGUUCUCUUUGUGCUAGGGUUACAUGCCAGGUGUGAGCAGGUAGUGGCUUUUGCCUGAGGUCCUUAGACCGACACGGCGGUUUAGAUUGGGUACUUUUGGACUUCUCGUCCGGUUGACGCAUAUAGCUAUAGUAGCGGUUGUUGCAUAUAUACUUCUAGUUCUUUCUUUACAGUUGUCUUGCUACUAUAGUUUUGAUAUCCUUGUAUGCUUGCAGUUGUACAUUACAGUAGCGGUAGUUGUGUUUUCAUAUAUAUAUCGCAUUCGUUCAUUAUCGUUGCUACUGUAUUUUACUUACCCAUACUGUUGUUUAUCUCUUCCUGAUCCGGUGAGUACUCCUCGCCUUCUUCGGCUUGCGGUACCCACUGGGAGGGGAGACAUGUUUACAUGUUCUCACCUCCCCCACUAUUUUUCAGGUAUCGCGGGCAGUGAGGUUAGAGACGAGACACGUGGAUAGCUGUCGUUAGAGCCUCCGACCCGGUUUGUACUAUUUAGUUAUUACCCCAUUAUUUCUGGUGAUAUAUAGCUUAGUCGGUCUAUAUGGUUCAGUAUUUCAUUAUGUUAAAAUAUUCAAGGAUUUCUGGAUUUUCAUAAAUAAAAAUAGUUUUCUACCCCUCGUGGUAGCGUUUUAAAAAAAAGAUAAAAGUUCCUGUGUAGGGAACAGUUUUCAAAAGGUUUUCUGUGGACUUUGUAUCUUAGUAUUUCAAAACCUAUUUAUGUGGUUAGAAACAUUUUAACUGAUAGAUGUGAAUUUAUGUUUAAAUAAAUAUUGAAUGUAUAAAUGUGAAACUGUGGUGAAUGGUGUAUGAAUGUAUAACUGUUGGUUAUUUGUAUGUUCACCUGGUUGUGAUUGUAUCAUGUUUGAACUCUUGUACUUGUGCGACACCGUGCAAAUACAGGGGAGACUCUGUCCGUGUGAACAGUGGACCUCCUGUAUUUGUGGCGGAUCUGGCAUACUCUGGGGUCAGGUUUUCAAAAAAAAAAANGACGAGACACGUGGAUAGCUGUCGUUAGAGCCUCCGACCCGGUUUGUACUAUUUAGUUAUUACCCCAUUAUUUCUGGUGAUAUAUAGCUUAGUCGGUCUAUAUGGUUCAGUAUUUCAUUAUGUUAAAAUAUUCAAGGAUUUCUGGAUUUUCAUAAAUAAAAAUAGUUUUCUACCCCUCGUGGUAGCGUUUUAAAAAAAAGAUAAAAGUUCCUGUGUAGGGAACAGUUUUCAAAAGGUUUUCUGUGGACUUUGUAUCUUAGUAUUUCAAAACCUAUUUAUGUGGUUAGAAACAUUUUAACUGAUAGAUGUGAAUUUAUGUUUAAAUAAAUAUUGAAUGUAUAAAUGUGAAACUGUGGUGAAUGGUGUAUGAAUGUAUAACUGUUGGUUAUUUGUAUGUUCACCUGGUUGUGAUUGUAUCAUGUUUGAACUCUUGUACUUGUGCGACGCCGUGCAAUUACAGGGGAGACUGUGUCCGUCUGGGUUUAGGUUUUAAAAAAAAAAAAAAAAAAAAAUUUCAGACGCUUUUUCGCUAUGUUUUAAACUAAAAAGGGACCCCGGGGCGUGACAGUAUGAGCGGCUAAAACUAAAAAGUAAUAUAUAAAACCUCGAGGGUUCCAGUACAUAUAAAAUAUCUACAACACAACUCGCUCCAGCGAGUACCCCGACAACAUCACAGUAUGUACAAAGAAAAUCCAAAACUACCUCUGGAAGGUACUCAUCUAGUACUGCAGCAAAGCUGGAAGGAAUCUAGCUCGCGACUCCCUUUCCACAAUCAGAAUCAACAACAGCAGCAACCGCGAACGAAGGCUCUGCAAAAAGCGGUCAACAACUGGGUAUGAGAACUACUGCAAAAAGGAGUAGUCCUCAGUGAGUAUCAUCAUCGACCUCAACGGCUCACCCACUAAGUCUACAGAAAAGUGCGUAAGAGAUAGUAAGGAAAGCUGGAAACCCUACAGCUAUAUGCCACUAUACUAUCGCUUACCAACACUGGCUAUCUGUAGAUAUGACAAAAAUGCAAUCUCUGACCCAAACUCACUAAGGACUGUGAACGCACCCGUCCCGCUUGUCGAAGCUACACCGCACACCACCCCAAGGGCUGCUGGUGGAGAGCAAAGUCCUAACCGAACACUACGACAUCAACGCAAAAGCACGUAGCCAAACUCCGGAGUUGCACUCGUGGGCGCGACCCAACCGAGUAUGCAAGCGUGUCUGUAUCGAAAUCAAUCAGGCUCUCACAGGCUAUAAUCAAUGUAAAUGGGUCUAACUGGUCUAACAACCAAAGCUCACGUGCCCUUGGCACAAUAUGAGGCAAAACACAGAAAUCUGGGUCCACCGUGAAUCGCGACGGCACCCGACAGUCCAAAACAGUUUACACACUACUGUAAAAUAAACUGGGUAUCCCAGCACGAGCGUAAACUCAUCCUACACUAAUCUGGGUAUCCACCGCAUACGAACAACGGCGAUACAAACGAACCACAGUUCCUAAAGCUAAAUCUGGUAAUUUUCAGAAAUGGCAGUGUAGAAUCUAUAUGUUUUCUCCUAAGUCAAUUCCAAGUCCAACAUGUACAAUUAUAAUACUAGCUUAACUCCAAAUUCAGAUUUUAUAUUCUAAUUCAUGAAUUCGAGUACUAGCAAGGAAAUAAACCAAUGAUACAUGUCGAUGAUGCUAAAACUUAGGAGGAGUUCCGACGAUUUCGGUAAACAUUAAUCCACCUCGACACGCUAGUCCAACUACGGCGAGAAGUCGAAAAGAGAGGAAACCACGCACUCGCCCGGCUUCCUAACAGCGCAACCGCGACGCUCGCGCGCUCGAACGGCCUUCCAGAUGGAGUCGACAACCUCCCGAGCUCAAAUCGCAAUCUCAACAACGUACAAGUCCACCAGCUAAAGAGAGCAAGGAAAAAAAGAAGAAGAACCGCUCACAACCCUCUUUCUGAGAAUAUAUAGGCUGGGGAUAAACAUGGGAAUGAUCGUCAAUCAAAAGACCAAACUGCUCCUUACCUACUCAAAAAUCUAGCUGGAGUACCGGUACUCCACUUGAAUACCGGUACUCGGGCUUUCAACCCGCAGCCUCACACACUGGGUACCGGUACCAACCCGAUGCAGUACCAGUACCCGGGCUCGAUACCGGUACUCGAUAGGUCAGUACCGGUACUCAGCAGCAAUUACGAGCAAAUCCGAGAGCAUCCAUCUCUGCCAUCCACUGGGGUACCGGUACUCCUCUCAAGUACCGGUACUAAACACUGAAAUCCUGCACUUUGCGGAUUUCAACGUCAGAACUCCACUCUCGCCUCGCGUCGAGUCCGUUUUGCGUCCAUUUCGCGCCAAAACGACUCCGACUUGUCCCGACACUCUCCAGAUGUGUCGACAAGCCUCAGAUGCUGAAGUCCACGGGUUGCAGAACACCAAGGGCACUGCAAGACUAAUGUAACAGAAUUCAAAUUCAUAAAAAAAAAAACUAGAUAAUACAUGAAACUAAGAAUUUUAAACCUCAAACGUAUUAAACAUUACUUUUACAAAAUUAGAGAAAAAAAAAGUGACAAAUGAUAAAUUACCUGAAACCUAGCUUUGGUUUCGUCUCGAGCAAUUCGAUAUGGAGAGAGGCAUUUCGUUCGAUAUGGAGAGAGGCGUUUCGUCGCCGCGAGGUCGGGAAAGGAGGAGAAGAGGUAGGCGAAGGAAGGGAUGGAGAGGGAUGAGAGGGUAGGGAAGAGGAGUAGUGCGGCAGAGAGGAGAUGAGGGGACGCGUGUAGGGAGUUUGAGAGGGGGGGAAAGGGGGAAAGGCACAGGGAGAUGAAUCGGUAGGGUAAUAGAGAGAGAGAGAGAGAAAGAGAGAGAGAGAGAGAGAGAGAGGAGAGAAGAUUCACCAAUCAAAAAAAAGGAAAAAAAAACUAAUGAAUUCUCAAAAAAAAUAAAUAAGGGGAUGCGUGAAGGGAGUUUGAGGGUGAGGGGGAGGGGGAGGGGGGGGGAUGAAUCGGUAGGGUAAGAGAGAGAAAGAGAGAGAGUAGAUUCACCAAUCAAAAAAAAAGAAAAAAAAUUAAUAAAAUCUCAAAAAAAUAAGAUAAUGCCAUAUUAGCCAUAGAUACGAACAUUAAUUAUAGUAUAUAGAUAUAGAUAUAUAGAUAUAUAGAUAUAGAUAUAGAUAUAGAUAGAUUAUAGAUUCACCAAUUAAAAAAAAAGAAAAAAACUAAUAAGAUCUCAAAAAAAUAAGAUAAUGCCACAUCAACAAUAGAUACGGUGAUUAAUUAUAGUUUAUAUAUAGAUAGAUUAUAAAUAAUUAGUUAAACCUAAAAUUGAAUGAUUGAAAAAUAAUUAUAACAAAGCAUUAAGGAAACGAUGUUUGAAAUGCGUUAGGUGUAGGCAAUAAAUUUGUACGAACCAAGUGGAAUAAUUGUGAAAGAAUAGAUAAUAAAAUCAAUUUUUUCAAAUUUUGGGUAGUCAUUUUCAAAUAAUUAAAAGUUUAGGUUAGUUUUAAACAUUUUUACUAAUUUUAAAAUUUUACUUUUAGACUUAUACUCUUAAAAUUUACGUACUUUAAUUUUUAAUUUCAUUUGGUAUUAGAGAAAAGAAAAUUUAUCCUCAUCGUUUGCAUCUCUACAUUCAAGCAUCACAGAUUUUACCAGCAUCUUAUUUUUCAAACUUACUGUCCAGUUAUAUAUUUUUUUUCGGAUAAAUUUAUAGUGUACAAAUUUACCAAUUAGUUUACGUUUCAAGACAAAGAAUUGAUGUGAAAAUAUUCAAAAAAUUAAUUUUUGACAUAUUAAAAUUUAAGAACUAAAAUAUAUUAGUAAAGGUCGAGAAACUCAUAGUGCAGUUUAUCUGAGUUGAGCUUCUAUGUUUUUAGAAACGUAGAAGCAUUUGUGCUUAUAAUUUUUUAGCCAUCGGAUUGUCUCAAAAUCCGUACGGCAAUAUUAACAAUAUGUCACAUUAAAUUUUUUUUACUAAUACUGUAUGGAUCUUGAGACAAUCCAAUGACUAAAAAAUUACAAGCAUGUUAAGCUCUUGUGCUUUUAAAAGCACAGAAGCUCAAUUCUAGUAUACCCUUUAUUUACUUAUAUCUAGAGAGGUGUUUUGGGUUCUGGAAAGUAUGGCACCUAUAAGAGCAACAUUUUAAGGACUUGUGGCAGUACUAAUGUCCAAUUGAAUAAAUGAUUCAAAAAUAAAAGAAGUUUGCUGAUUAAUGUAAAAAUUUGUAUAGUUUACAUGCUCAAUAGUGUCUUAAUUACAUAUAUAGUUCUUUAACAUAUCAGUAAUGUUGUAUGCACCCAACAUGCAUUUGCACUUUGUGCGAUGUACAUAAUAUUUGAUAAUUGGCUUAAUUUUGUAUGGUCCCUGUAAAGGAAUUGAAUAGUAAAUAAGUUUUUAUAAAAUUCAGGUAAUCAGAUUUAUUCGUCCAAAAGCUCGGACACAUUUAUAUUUGCUCUUUUACUUCGUUACCGCGUAGUUCCCUAUUUAUUUUUCAAUAGAGAAUAGGUGAAAUGACAAUAUUAAUUAUCAGUACAAAUUUGUACUUCCAAAAAAUUAUCUUCUUCCUGUAUUAAAACUUAUCCAACCCUCCAGUAUUAGCACAUCUUCUCCAUCUUUUCCUUAAGUGUGUGUGUUUAAAAACGGGCUCUCAGGUUAUAAAAUAGUGUUGGCUUUUGGGCAAGAUCAAAAGAGAGAACACUAAUAUAAAUAUGCUUGUAAAAUUUUCUCUCUUUUUUUUUUCUUUUUUUUUUGGUUUAAGUGGCAGGAUACUCAUUGAUGUUCAUAGCUCCUACGAGGCCCCAUACUACAUCUUCAAUUCUCUACUACAUUAUUUCUAUUGAACGCUUAAAUUAAUUCUUUAUCGCACUACAAUUAAUCGUUAAUUAGCUACCAUAAAUUUAUAAAUGAGCAAAGUAUUUUCCCUCUUUCUGUGAAUCUAAAUUUGGCAAUAAACACACUUCAUCUUUCUUCACUCUAUCACACUUUAGAAUUUUAUUUUACCAUUACCAUUUAAUUUUAAUUUGGAGUUGCGACUUAAUAAUAUGGGCCCAUUCGGCUUAGAUUUUAAAAAAGUGAUUUCUGCAGAAUUAAUUUUGGUUUGGAGAAGUAAUUUUGGUUAAAAACUAUAGAACGUUUGACUGAGUUUAGAUAAAAAUAAUUUUUCUGAAGUGAUUUUAUAAAAUUGUUUGGCAAAAAUUUUUUGAUGUUUGUAUAUAAUAAUAUUUUUACUAAAUUUUAUUUGAAAAUAAUUUAAAAUUUAUACAAAAUUUAAAAUUUGAUAUUUUAAUUUAAAAAUUAAAUUUUAAAUUUGAAAAUUUAAAAUUUAUAAAUUGAACUUUUAAAGCUAAAUGCACNAUCAAAACCUACGAAGACCCAAACUCCUAACGUGGGUCAGGAACAUAUCUCUAGCUAUCGGCUUGGUCAACGGAUCAGCCACCAUCCUAGUGGUGGAGAUAUGUUUAAGAACGACCUCGCCUAGCUUAAUCAUGUCUCGAAUGUAGUGAAAUCGAAUAUCAAUAUGCUUGGUUCUGCCAUGAUACUUGGGAUCCUUCACAUAUGCCAGGGCAACCAUACUGUCAGAGAACAUCUCAACAGGUUCAUUUGCUCGAGUCACGAUGUCGAGGUGCUGGAGAAAUCUCUUCAGCCAAACUGCCUCCUGUACGGCCGCUGAGCAAGCAACGUAUUCCGCUUCCACGGUUGACAAGGCAAUGCAGCUCUGCUUCUUACUGCACCAGGAAAUUGCCCCACCUCCAAGCAUAAACACAUAGCCUGAAGUGGAUCUGCACUCAUCUCUAUCACCGCCCCAAUCAGCAUCACUACAUCCUUUCAAUCUCAAGUCCCCACCUUGAAAACAGAGAACGAGAUCACUGGCUCCUUUUAAAUAUCGAAGGAUUCUCUUGACCGCUUGCCAAUGAAUAGGUCCUGGGUUCCGCUUGCCAAUGAAUAGGUCCUGGGUUGCUCUGGUAACGACUUACCAAGCUAACAGCAAAGCAAAUGUCAGGUCGAGUACACAUCAUAGCGUACAUCAAACUGCCAAUUGCACUCGCAUAAGGAACCCUACUCAUUUUCUCCUUUUCUUUAUCCGUUUUAGGGCACUGAUCAAGACUCGGAGUGUGAUUCUUUUCCACUGGAGUGUCAACGGAUUUGCAAUGAUGCAUCCUGAAACGCUCUAGAAUCUUUUUAAUAUAAGUUUCUUGAGACAAACCGAGAAGCUUUCUAGAGCGAUCACGGAUGACCUUCACUCUGAGCACAUAGCUCGCCUCACCCAUGUCUUUCAUUUCAAAAUUGAGAGACAACCACUCCUUAGUGGUAUUGAUUAACUCCAUGUCAUUUCCAGUCAAUAGUAUAUCGUCGACGUAUAGAGAGAGAAACAAAAUCCCAUUCUCUGUCUUCUUGACAUAUACACAGUGGUCCUCCUCUAUCAUGGACAUACCGAUAGAGGUGAUGGCUUCAUGAAACCUGAAAUACCACUGUCUCGACGAUUGCUUGAGACCGUAAAUGGAUCUUUUAAGACGACAAACUUUGUCUUCUUGACCUUUGAAUACAAAACCCUCAGGUUGAUCCGUAAGAUCUCCUCCGCCAAUUCUCCAUUGAGAAAAGCUGUCUUGACAUCCAUUUGGAACAAUUCCAAAUCUAGGUGUGCCACUAAGGCUAGAAUCAAACGAAUAGAGGCAAAUCUCACAACGGGAGCAAACGUCUCGUUGUAAUCUACCCCUUGCCUCUGAGUGUAGCCCUUAGCCACGAGCCGAGCCUUGUAUUUAUCGAUUGAUCCAUCCGCCUUGCGCUUAAUUUUUAAAACCCAUUUAUUUCCAAUAGACUUGCGCCCAGGCGGAAGGUCAACCAAUUCCCAUACUUGGUUCUUGCUCAUGGAGUCCAUCUCAUCUUUCAUAGCAGCCAUCCACUCACUGCAAGCUGACGUCUGCAGAGCUUCUUUAUAAGAAGAAGGUUCAUCGUCAUCGAGCGGAGUACACAUGAAAAUAUCCCCUUCGAUCUCAAAAUGUCGACGGGGAAUAUGUCCACGUUCACUUCUACGCAAUGGAGGGUCCGAAUUGCCGACUUCCAAGGGUAUGCUCUCAUUCAACGAAGCACUCCCACUAGCCGGAGGAUCGCUACCACUUCCUUCAGCGACUUCGGGAAGUGAUCGAUCACCCUCAACCGCAGAUGGGGUAGCGUCGUCCUGUAACUCAUACAAUCCGACGUCUCUUCGCAUUUCACCAAUGCUUGGAAAAUCCCUUUCUAGGAAUUCCACAUCACGAGACUCAAUCUCGGUCAUACCACCAUCUGGGUGUUCACCAUACAUCACAUAACCCUUCGAAUUUUCAGGGUAUCUGAUGAACACAUGCUUGCUCGCUUUGGGGCCGAGUUUCCCGAAUUUAUGUGAGGGGCUGUGAACAUAUCCAGCUGAACCCCAAGGGCGUAAGUAGUGUAAACUUGGCUUUCUACCGCUCCAUAACUCAUAUGGGGUAGUAGGCACUGAUUUGCUAGGGACUCGAUUAAGGAUGUAGGCUGCAGUCAAAAGCGCAUCUCCCCAAAAAUUUAUAGGAAGUUGCGCUUGCGCCAUCAUCGACCUAACCAUGUCUAAUAGAGUACGGUUCCUUCGCUCUGCAACACCAUUUUGUUGCGGAGUACCAGGAAUAGUGAGCUGUCUACUAAUGCCCUUUUCCUCACAAUAAGUCUUGAACUGAUCAGACAAGUACUCACGACCUCGGUCAGUGCGAAGCGCCUUUACACUUCUUUCUAUUUGAUUCUCAGCCUCCGCAACGAAGCGUUUGAAGCAAUCUAAAGCUUCAGAUCGGCGAGAAAGCAAAUAGACAUAUCCAUAACGGGAAUAAUCAUCAAUGAAUGUGAGAAAAUAGCACGCACCAUGCCGGGCCCUCACAUUCAUUGGCCCACAAAUGUCAGAGUGGAUUAGCUCUAAAGGAUGAGAGGCACGAGUAGCCUUACCAAAAGGCUUUCUACAUGCCUUUCCAGCCAGACAAGGCUCGCACACAGAUAGGUCAACUUUGGCGAGAGAACCCAAAAGGCCUUCUCGAGCCAGUCUAUUCAUUCUGUCUUGACCUUUAUGGCCUAAUCUGGCAUGCCAUUUAACGAAUUCAUCAUAGAGAUUAGAAGAAGAAGAAGUAGAAGUAGUAAAUGCAAACGAAUCAUCCUCCAAAUCUAAUUUAAAGAAACCAUCAACUAAUGUACCAAACCAAAUAAAGUACCAUGAAAGAAAAUGUCAAGGCAGUUUCUGUCAAAAUGGAAUGAAUAUCCUAGGUGCAACAAAGCUAAAACUGAACAUAGAUUACAUCGAAUUCCGGGUGCAUAUAGCACGUCCUGAAGAAGUAAAGUGCAGCCACCACACAACUUGAGUUGGUACGAACCUACUCCUAAGACUUCUUCCUUCGUGCCAUUCCCAAGGGUGACGAAUUGUGUGCUAGACGGUACUCGAUGGUAAUCUACGAACCCCACUCGGUCACGAACUACGUGUUUGUUUGCUCCUGUAUCCACAAUCCAAUUAGGAAGAGAAUGAGCUACUAAAGCAUGAGAGCAAACAAAACAGUGUGAGUUGAGUGGUCGGGUUACCUUUUUCGGCUCAGGACAAUCCCGAACGAAAUGACCCUUCUUCUUGCAAUUGUAACAUUUUAGCUUUGUAGCAUCCUUAUUGCCAGCGCGUUUGCCUCUGUGGCGCUUUCCAACUCCACCCUGAGGAGCUUGAUUCCAUUUCUUCUGCGCUCCAUUGUUGUGACGCUUUUUGCGCUUGGGUACAAUCCCACUGCGCUUCUCGGAGCGUGCAACAAGAGCGACAGAACGGUUCACUUCCAAGCGCUCUGCCUCGAGCUCAAGAUGGCGCGAGAUGUCAUUAAACGUUUUAAUGUUCUCGCUGUGCGUCAUCAGGAGCUUCAUCUGGGACCAUUCAGGAUCAGGCAGUGAACGAAUCACCGCUAGAACUUGUUGCUCAUCAGUGAGCUCGUUUCCAGCAGUCUUAAGGUCCCGAAUCAUGGCGCUCAUCACACGAAGGUGCUCAGCCAUUGAAUGCUUCGGGUCUUUAAUGUACUGUGGAAACAUAAGAUUUAGGGCACGUAGCCUUGUAGAUGAAGUUUGACCAAAUGUAAUCUUCAAAUUGUUCCACAUAUCCUUGGCAGUUUCAAAGAACUCAAACUGUCCAAUGAGGUCGUCUUGCAUGGCACUCAACAUAGUGUACCGAGCAGUUCGAUCCUCCUUGAUCUAUUUGUUAUAGAUCUCCUUUUCAUGCUCAGAAGCUAUGCCUUCGACAGGCAAGACUCUUUUGACAGAUAGAGUUUCAAGAACCCCUUGUUCAUUAAGCAGGUAUUGCAUUUUUCUGUGCCAAAUAUCAUAAUUCUUUCCAUCUAGCUUAUCACCCCUGGUGAGAUCAGCUAUGAUGUUCUUGAAAGUCAUUUCACUACAUUCAAAAAAUUAGGUUUUGACAUUAGGCACAUAUUCCCAAAAAAUUAAUAAGAUUGAAACUUUAUCCUCGAUACAACGGGAUCGAAAACUUCGCUAUGCUCGUAAUCAUCAUCCAGUGUCGAUUCAAAAAAUUACAAUCUUAUUAAUUUUCUACUUAAUUUUGAAACUUAUUCAAAAUUGAAACUGAUCCAUUUUGAAAGAACACAUCCUUAAAAGAAAUUUUAUACAUGAAGGAUUAAUCACAUAAUAUCAUCACACAGAAAAAAUAAGUACUUAUGCCAAAAUUUAAUUUGAAAAACGUCGAUGCUGCGCAAAACACAUUCCUUUUACAUGGCCUUAAUUAUUACAUCACCUUUUGCGGAAUUAAAACCUACUACAUCACUACAAGAUGUACAUCUAGUGAUGUACAUCAUAAAAGGAAUGAGCUACAGGAAUGCUGCACACGUCGAACCCAUUUUUCCAAAAUUAAAUUUUGUUAAAAACAUCAUCGAAUAACAUAAGUACUUAUAUGCCAAUAAAAUAUAAUUUCAUGCUACAUAAGCAUAAAAAAACACCCACAUAGGAUAAACAACGUAGACAACACAUGCAUGUUUUAAAAUGGCAUAAAAAAAAUAUAUGUAUUCCAAAAAAUAUGCAGGAAAUAAAAAAAUAUCCACAUAGGAUUUUUUUUUUUUUUGAAUUUUGGACUGCGUGUGGCGAGCCGGGCCCGCUUCAGAGCCUGCAUGCAGGCCCGCACGGGGCCAAGCCCAUCAUAGGGCGCGUGCCCCACAGGGGGCCGGGCCCGCAUGGUGAGCGCAGGUGCGGCCAGCGCCANAGCCUCAAAUUUAUCUGUUUUAAGUUUUUUAACAAAAGCCGGGCAUCCCCAAAUCCUUAAAUGAUUGAGACCCGAUUUUUUGCCAAACCACAUCUCAUGAGAAGUACAAGGAACAGAUUUUGAAGACAUCCUAUUUAGAAUAUAGGCUGCGGUUAAUAGGGCAUAACCCCAAAGAAAUAAAGGUAAGUCAGUGAAGCUCAUCAUCGAUCAUAUCAUAUCUAAUAAAGUACGAUUCCUUCUUUCUGAAACUCCAUUUAAUUCCGGAGUUCCAGGAGGUGUCCAUUGCGAGAGAAUACCAUUUUCUUUGAGAUAAUUUAGAAAUUCAAUACUAAGGUAUUCGGCUCCUCUAUCUGAUCGAAGAGUCUUAAUACUUUUUCCUGUCUGCUUCUCUACUUCGUAUCUAAACUCUUUGAACUUUUCAAAUGUUUCAGACUUGUGUUUCAUAAGAAACACAAACCCAUACCGUGAAUAAUCAUCGGUAAAAGUCACAAAGUAGAUAUGACCACCCCGAGCCGUUUCACUAAACGGUCCACACACAUCUGAGUGUAUAAAGGAAAGUAACUCUGUGGCUCGCUCUCUGUGUCCAACAAAGGGUGACUUGGCCAUUUUGCCUUGAAGACAUGACUCACAAACUGGAUAAGAUUCUAAAGCACAAGUUCCCAAGUGCCCAUCCUUAGCCAGUCGGUUUAUCCUAUCUUCUGCAAUAUGACCUAGUCGAAGGUGGCAUAGAUACUUCUGGUUCAGAUUAUUAUCUCUAGGUCUCUUGAUUUGAGAAUUAUUCUCUUUAUGUUCUGUUGGAAAUAAUAGGCAGCGGAAACUUACAAACCGGAUAGCCAACGUAUCCGGGAACCGGAAUCGGAUCGGGUUGCUCGUUUUACAAGCCUUCUUGGAUCGUCCUUAUCUCGAUGCUUCUGGAUCUCCCACGUUUCUCGUCUUCUUCCACGCGUACGCCUUACGUCACGGAACGGAUCGCCUUACGUCACGGAUGCCAAUCGGAGAGGGCUACCAGAGUCCUCUCCUAUGUCCACGCUCUAAAACCCCGGGAAUGUAGGUGGAAAUCCCAGAGAUGAAGAAGAGAGAGAAGAAGGAAGAUUUUUGUGGAUUCUCGAAUUAGAUCGUAUUCUUUUUCCGUCGUUCCUACGGGAGAAAACGGGGGCGUAUAUAUAGAAUAACGGAACCCCUAAAUAUCCUGAAUCUCAUUAGGAUUAGGAUUGGGAUAUUUAUUAACAUAUAAUAAAUAUUCAUUAUAAGAUAUGUUUCUUAGCUGAUAAGAAACAUAUAAUUUAUACUUAUCCUAAACUUAUUAGGAUAAAUCAUGAUCCACAUCUUAUGUGGAUCGGGUUUAAUCAUAACCCGCCAAUAUGGACAAACCAUAUGGCAACAUGUUCAAUAUUAACAACAUUUUCAUCCAGAUUUAGAAAGUAGAGAUUGUUAACUAAACUACCAGUAGCUAUCAAUUUAUUUUGGAAAUAAAUAAAACAACCAUUAGUUUCAAAAAUAAAACGAUAACCAGUUCGAACUAAAGUUGUAACAGAAAUCAAAUUCCUAACAACUAAAGAAGAAUAAUAACAAUUCUCUAAUUCUAAAAUUUGUCCAGAUUUAAGUCUCAAAGAACAGCUCCCUACGGCUAAUACAGCAACGCUUGCUCCAUUACCCACGCGUAGGGUCACCUCGCCGUUCUUCACUGUUCUACUUCCCUUUAGAUCCUGUAAUAAAUUACAAAGAUGUAAGGUACAUGCAAAAUCUAAUACCCAAGAAAAAGUAGAGCCAAUUAUAUUGGCCUCAAUGAUGAGCAUUUCGUUCGUACCUUCAUAAGAUCCCUCCUUCAAUUUUUCUUUUAGGCUGGAAAGAUAUUCUUUACAAUUUCUCUUCCAAUGCCUAUCCUUUCCGCAAUGGAAACAUUUUCCUUUAGCCUUGCCUUUGUCGGAUUUCUUAAAAUUGGCUUUCUUCACUCCACCCGAUGACUUGAACUUAGGAAACUUUUUUUUUCCUUUGAACUUUCCUUUUGAAGUUCUUUCAACCGCCAUCGGCAUCCCGUUUGUUUUCAACGUGCUUUCUGCUGUGACUAGCAUAUUCAUGAGCUCGGACAAAGUGGCAUGAAUCUUAUUCAUGUUGAAGUUCAUUACGAAAUAAGAGAACGAUUCUGGCAAAGACUGUAGAACUAGAUCGAUCUGCAAGUCUGCGUCCAAGUUCAAGCCGAGGUUUAUCAGCUGCUCUAUAUCAUCAAUCAUUUUAAGACAAUGUUCACUGACUGACGUACCUGGAGUCAUCUGAGCCUUAAACAAUAGCUUUGAUAUCUCAUAUCUUGCGGUUCGGCUUUAUGCACCAUACAACUCUUGUAAGUGCGCAAGCAUCUCAUAUGCUCGAGCAUAGUUCUCAUGCUGUCGUUGCAGCUCAUUUGACAUAGAGGCCAGCAUGUAAUAUUUGACACGCUGGUCAUCAUUAACCCACUUGUCUCUCUCCUCAACUUCUUCAAAUGUGGCCUCAGCGGUAAGCUCGGGAAUUAGAGUUUGAAGAACAUUAUCAAGCUUUUCAAUACCUAAAACGAUUUUUAGGUUACGAAGCCAAUCUUGGAAAUUAGGGCCGGUUAAACGAUUAGAUUCCAAUAUACGAGAAAGAGGAUUAGAGGCAUUCAUUUUGUCUGCAGAAAGUAGAGAUUUUAGUCAGAUGAGUAUUUUUUCUUUUUAACCAAUUAAACUAGGGUCUAUUAGUUUAAAAGGUUCCUCCCACUAAUUUUAUCGAAUUUCUACACUUCCUAAGUAGAAAGACGAAAAUCCUCAUCCGUUAGAUUUCUUAGUGGUGAUUGGAGUUUCAUAAAUUACGACUCACCUCACCGGACAGUUUCUUAGAAAACCGUAAUUUAAUGAACGGGUAACGUCUUACCUCGACACAUCUUAUGUGCAAUCCAAUCGUCCUUUGGCCUCUAAGAUUUUUACGCCUCAUCGGACGGUUUCUUGGCGCAACAACCUCAAUUAAGUCUAAUCCUCCUCUCCUACAAAUAUGGAAUUAUCAAAAGACCCUCACCAGACGGUUUUUGAAUCCAUUGAUAAUGCCAUAUUGUAGCAUCCUAUGUCAAGAUGUUCGCAUAGUUCAAACACAAGUAGCCCCAUGGGAUCAUGCGUGACUACUCAAUGCUUGAAACAAUGCUACGUCUUGUGAUCGGUGGAAGGCGACGAUAGAGCAUCAAAUGCCCCUUCGUUUCAACUUAAUAUUUUAUAGGGAGUUUUAAAAAUAUAUAUCGGUCUCAUCAUCACAUGUUAUAUCUCAUAUAAAAUUAAUCACAGGUAUCACAUACACAAAAAUAAAUUGCAUAGUUUAAGGAUGAUCAUAGACUUUUUCUUAUUCGACUCGAACCGAUGAGUCAAAUCGGUCUAUAGGGUGAUACACACAUAUUCUCAACUCUUGCAAAAAUUUAGCCAUCUUCUUCUGUUGGAUUUGAUACAUCCUUUGACGCCAUCACGAUUUGCGAUGCCAAUCCAUCAAUGCUUGAUAUGGAUUCUUCUCCAAGUAACCCUAAUUUUAUCUAAUAAAAAUACAAGGAUUCGCAGAUCCCAAUAAAAGUGGCACACUAGCCCUUCGUAAUCAAAAUUAUACAUCCAAAAUCAAAAUAGAAAUACAUCCAUAAUCAAAUUACAAAUACAUCCAUAAUCACAUCACAGAUGUCUAAGGUCCAUGAUCAUCACCCAUCUAAAAACUAUGCAGAAAAUAAUAACCAAAUCGAUCUAAACAUCGAUUAAAAAUUUUGGAACUCAAUAAUAUAUUUUUCUCAAGUCUCCACAUAUUUAUUUGUUGCGUGCCGAAUGUCCCGACCCUUGACCCGGUCAAUAAUUCUCCUCGGAAAGAACGUCGGGAUGCGAGACGGUUGCGGAUUAUGACCCUCGAAGUAUGCGCCCACAAAGGAUCAAGCGAUUAGGCCGAUGAGUGAUCGAAUCAGCCGGGUUCGAAAACCUCCACAGUAAAUUCGUUUCGGCAGGAUGAGCCGACGAAGGGAAGCCCAGAAUUCGACUAAGAAAUGAGCCGAAUGGCCAAACAACUUAUGAUUCGAUCGGUAGGAAGAGCCGAAGAUGACUUUCUAUUGAAUAGCAAAUGGAAAAAAGUACACGAGUAGGGGAGUGAUGCCCGUAGGGCAGACAGACUCCAAGUAUGGGAACAGGGGAGUGAUGCCCGUAGGGCAGACAUACUCCGAGUAUGCUAAAUUACAGAAACUACUCCUAAGGAAAGCGGUAAAAGCGAGAAUAGAAAAAUGCAGGAAAAUAAAGGUGGACUUUUGUGCGCAGGGGCGAAGACCCUUUUUCAAGGUAUCGUAUGCCUAUUUAUAGAACCGCCUUUGCGUCAGCUAUUGCUCUUGCACGAUCAGCCACUAUCUCCUGAUUCGUAGGACCACCUUCGGCCGAUCGGAACCGCUCGUAACCGCUUGCGGUUGUUAUAACUCCUCGGUCCAGUGCGGCUCGUAUGCGUCCAGUGUACUCUAGAUCUACCAUUUUUGCCGCUUUACGGAUAUGGACCCGGCGUGCCAGCUGUUCGCGCCUAACUGGCUCAACAAUUGCCCCCUCGCCAGUUUUCGAAGCGAUGCUUCGAUAGCUGGCAUUACCUUUUUCAUCUCAAACAAUUUUCUGUUGCCGAAAGCGAGCUUGAUCCGAGGCGUAUUUCUCGGUCCAAUCAAAUUCAAAUUCUCUGACGUAUUCUGCACUACGAUCUUCUGUACGGUUUAAUCUAAGCCGUUUAUUCUCUUCUUUACGGCCCUGAUCGCAUUCUCUACUUUUGUCUCAUGUGCGGCAUUAAUUAACUCAUCUUAAUUGCCGCUGUCUAUUCAUCAUUACAGCCGACCUUGGGACUCGUAAUCGAAGCGACAGUUCGAUACGACGGUCUUUUCUUCUUCCUCAAGCUUUCCAUUCUUUUUGUCUAUUCCAAUUCUUAUUUCUUUUCCUCAUAUCCUUCACUAAAACCUUUUCUUUGUCUCCUUCAUCCUUCUUCGCUUUUCGUAACCGAUUCUCUCGGCUCUUCUCUUCUUUUGAACAAUGUCUUUGGUUCCUCCUCUUCCUUCUCAUCCAUCUCUUGACUAUACUAUACUCAAACCUUUCGUUGACUUAGAUCCAUCUAGAUUCAUAUUAGGUUCUUCUCUUAUAGAUGCACCAUCUCUUACUGACUCCCCUUUCUCUGAUGAGGGACUUCCUUUUAAAAGGAUUAUUGACUCCACUCUUGGUACUCAUCAGCUUCAACAGGAAAGAGUCUCAAAACUUGGCCAAGCAUCUCCGAAGCAUAUUUAGCCUGGUUAGAUAGAGUAGAACCCGUUUUUGGCGCCUUCUGACGGGAAAUCGGCAUUUAUGAAGCAAUUCAAUUAUCUCGGCACCCUCCUAUAGCCGAUAAUCUUCUUCUAGCCGCCGCUCUUUGUUUAUGGUCCCAUGUUUCUAAUGUUUUUCUUUUCAAAAGAGGGCCUCUUACCCCUACUCUUUUUGAUGUGGCCGCCAUUGUUGGCUUACGCCCCUCAUGGCGUUACUCUCUCUAUGGCCUACAAUCCUGAUGGUGUGUCUGAUUUUGAGGCACACCUUGAUCUAAAUGACUUGGCUUAUUCUAAAUUUUUUCGAAAGUUUGCAGGUGAAUCCCCUGCCCCGGUUACCAGGAAGGAACACACGGCGUUCCUUCUAUACUGGUUGUGCCACAAUCUUUUCUGCACUCGUUCGCAGAAAAUUAACCGAGAUUUUCUUCCGAUCGCCGUUGGUUUAUCUAACGGCGACAAAUUGGCCUUGGGGCCAUAUUUCCUUGCUUUCGUUUACAGGGAAGUUUUUGAUUCUAUUAAGCCACUACCUUCCGGUGAUGGCAUUGCCAUCAGCUCUGGGUGUGGCGUUUUUUGGUUUCUGCAAAUGUUUCUUCAAUUCUAUAUUCCUGCUUUAUGCCAAACCCUCUGAUUUUCUUACUUAUUUCAAGACUUUUUAUGAGCCAGCCUCUGAUUCAGUUAUUUCUUGGGCUCCAUUCGUUGAUCAUCUCACCGGCCCCUCUUGGUUCCUCGCUUGGUUUGAAGCCAUUCAGGGCGAGCUUUCUUCUUCUCGGGCCGGUGAACAUUCAGACGUAUGGUAUUCGUAUCUAGCCCCCCGGGACCUUCAUGUGGGGCAUAAAUCACGUUCGAAACUACUGCCGAGUACUGAGGUUUAUUCUCCUCAGUAUGUGGCACGGCAAUUUGGGUUCGUUCAGCCAGUCCCGGCCUCUUCUAAAUUUUUUACGGCCAACACAGCGGAUCAUCGUCCUCCCACUAAGAGCAUAUUUGAAGCUGACAAGCUUUCAGCUAUGGGGAAUCGUCUCAGACGCUUCUUCCAGCUAGCAAGCUUCCGUCCGAAUUAUACAGGGGUAGCCCUUGCCGACUAUGCUACCACGUGGGAUCAGUUUACCGACCGCUCCUAUGAUCUUUCUCUGCCUCGAGCACUCCGCAAAAUCAUCCAUCCAUUUGGUUAGUCAUCUAAUAUUUAUUUAUAAUUUCCUUCUAAUAUGGCUGUAAUUUAUUUUUUAUUUUGUACACAGCUGCUACUCCGAGCAGAAGUUCUCCAACCAAGGUUGAGUCUUCACCAGAAACUAUUUCUGAUGCUCCGCCAUCUUCCUCGGUAAAAUAUCAUUUCCCUACUCAUUUUAAUCACAAUCCUUUUCUCCACUCAUCAUUUUUGUUUAUUUCUGUUUUCAGUCGAUUCCUGCUUUUCCAUCGGUCUCAGCUUCAGACAAAAGACCGAUUGAAGUUGCUCAUGUUAGGUCCUAUGUGUUGGCAAGUUUCGUGGGUCGAGUCGGAGUCUUGAAGAAGUUCGGAGCGGAGUAUUGAAAAUCGAAGAAUCCAAGACUUCGAAGAAUCGGAAAGGACGCAAAACACGCAAAACUUGAAUCACGAUGCGUAGGUAAGUUUUAAAUCUUGUUUAUGGUGAUUCAUACUUAAUUAUAGAUCUUAGAAUCAUGUUUUCAAGUUGUAAUUGAUUAGAAAGUUUCUAAGAGUUUGUAAAAUCCAAAACAAUGCAUUUUCAGCGAAAAUUGCAUUGCUGUACCGGUACAAGGGUUUUCUGUCCAGGGUACAGCCAUCAACGUUGCGCAGAAAGUUUGAUGGUUGUUCCGGUACAAGCUUCAUGCUGUACCGGUACAAGCCCUGUUCCGGAACAAGCUGAAGCUAUCCAGGGUACAGGAGCUUCGCAGAAAAAUCUUCCGUCAUGGUGUACCCUGGACAACAUUCCUUGUUCCGGUACAAGGUGCUGUUUUUGGAAAGAAACUUUCUAAUUCGACUCCAAUUGAUUCUAAAGUCUAUAAAUAAGCUAUUGGGCUUCUCUAACACAUCAAGCAUCAUAAGAAUACAUGUUUGAGAAACCCUAGAGGCUCGGAUUUCAUUCUAAACCUAUUUUCUACAAAUUAGCCUCUUUAGAUCAAAUCGAGAUAUCGUUUCGCAUUCUCUAUAUGUCGAUUUGAUCUCCGCUUCGCUUGGAGUUCUAUUCCCUGGUUUUCUACGAUACUCCAAAGCGAAGGAUCACCAUAUUCAUGAUAUUCUUCAUGGUGGCGUCGUGGAUUCGGCGUAUUUGACGGCGGUUCGUGGAUUCGGAUCGUGGGCUCGUGGAUUCGAGUGGCGUCGUGGAUUCGGCGUGAUUGAAGCUUCGUGGAUUCGAAGUGGAGGCGUUCGUGGAUUCGGACGUGAGGGCGUGGACAACCCGGAGGGUAGCGCGAAGAUUCAUAGGAGGUUAAGAGAGGUUGAGUCCGUGGAGUCGGUAAUCACCUUGUAAUCUUUUCUCUUAGUGAAUUAUUUUUUCGCGUGUUGGUCCCGUGGGUUUUUCUCCAAGUUGGAGUUUUCCCACGUAAAUCUCGGUGUGCUUUUUAUUUUCCGCAUUUAUUUUUAUUGCAUCGAGAUUUGUGGUUUUUGGCCGUUCACCUAUUCACCCCCCUCUAGGUGAUAGAUACAAUCUAGAUAGAUCCUUGGGCUCCUCAAAACUUUCAAUUGGUAUCAGAGCGGGAUCUAGAUAAAUUGUUAUCUAAUGGCCGAAGGUGGUAACAUUAAUCGACCUCCGCUCUUCGACGGCACGAAUUAUGCCUAUUGGAAAGUUCGCAUGAGAGCUUUUCUAAUUGCUAUCGAUGAGCGGGUUUGGCAAUCUAUUGAAUUUGGGUGGAAACAUCCGAUAGAAAAGGUCGAUAAUGUUGAAAAGCCAAAACCACGGAACAAGUGGACGAAAGAAGAAAACGAGUCAUCUUCGUUUAACGGCAAGGGCAUAAACUCUUUAUUUAAUGCAUUGUCUCAAACGGAGUUUACUCGUGUUUCGGCAUGCGAAACGGCAAAAGAAAUUUGGGAUACUCUACAAGUUACGCAUGAAGGAACAAGCUUAGUAAAGGUCCAAAAAUUGCAAAUGCUAACUAGCAAGUUUGAUUCAAUUUCUAUGGACGAAAAUGAGACCUUUACCGAGUACUAUACACGUCUACAAGAUGUUGUGAACACAUGUGCUAACUUGGGAGAGAAAAUCCCGGAUUCAAAGGUUGUUAGGAAAAUCCUUCGCACUCUUCCGGAACGUUUUCGGGCUAAAGUAGCCGCGAUCGAAACGGUCAAACAUCCGGACGAGAUGAAAGUAGAAGAAUUAGUAGGAGCUUUGCAAACGUAUGAGAUGACUUUUCCUACUAAUCAAUCUUCUUCCAAGUCUUUCUCUAAAAGCACAGGGGUUGCAUUGAAAUCUACAAAGGAGAAGGACGAAGACUCGAGUUCCGACGAUGAGUUAUCAAUUGCGGAUUUUGAACAUCAAUUAGCGCUCCUCACGAAGAAGUUUCGUCGAAAUUUCCGGAACAAGAAUAGAUUGGACAAGGCUUCAUCGUCUAAGCGACAAUCUUUGUCUAAAUCAUCUUCAUCUUCAAAGUCUAAGGAUAAAAACCGUGCAAAGUCUUCAAAGGAAAAGGAUGAAUUUGAAGGAGAGAUCCAAUGCUACAAAUGUAAAGGUUUUGGCCACAUUGCGACGGAUUGUCCUUCAAAGAAGACGUAUAGACAAAAGGCUAUGCAAGCAAAGACGUGGGAUGAUUCAACAUCAAGUGAAUCAUCGUCAAGUGACGAAGAAAAGAAUGAUCAAAUUGCCUUAUUUGCUAAUACUCCUUCGUCGAAUGUUGUGUGUUUAUCCUCUUUUGCUACUAACUCCAAUAUUUCUCUUUCUUCACAUGAUUCAUCGAGCAACAAUGGCGAAAGUGAGGAGGAAUCAAACGACGACGACAUAGCGGAAGCGUACAAUCAACUUCUCAUUGAAUCAAAGAAGAUGGCUAAACUCAACAAGAAGUUGAGACGUCGUUUGUUGGAACUUGAGGAGGAAAACAACAACGUAAAGAAUUUGAAUAAGGUUCUUGAGGAGGAAAGGGAUUCAAGCUUGAAGAUUAAUUCGGACCUCCAAGAGAAGCUUAGUGAUGCGGAAUCAACGAUCAAAUCUUCUAACGACAAGAUUGGAUUUUUGGAGCAUCAAUUUCAUGAAUCGCACAAGUCCAAUCAAGUCUUGACCAAUCAAGUUCGUCAACUCCAAUCCGAUCUUCAACAAUUUUCUUCGGGAUCAAAGAAGUUGGACAAAAUGCUUGGAUUGGGUCAAACGAGCAAAUUGGGCCUUGGAUAUGAACGGACAUAUGUUGAGAAGGAUCAAACGGCGACAUCUAAAGUCUCAACAACUUCAAAAGGCAAAGUGUGUCAUCGAUGUGGCAUCGAAGGACACAUCAAAAGGAAUUGCCCAAACAAAAAUGGCAAGUCACAAUCGGCAAAUUCAAAACAUCCAUCGGCGUCAUCUACUAUUCGACAUCCCCCACGGAAUCAAAAGCAAAAUAAUUUAAGUCGAGUGCCUCAAAAGAAUCGGACUUCUAAGCCUAAACGCCAAGUUCUACCUAAGCCUCAAGCGAAGAAAACACCAACGAUUGAUCAAAAAUCUAAGCAAACGGCACCAAACGUCGACAAGCCGAGAAAACCAAAGAUCCGACAAGUUUGGAUCCGGAAAGGUGAUAUCUUUCCUUGCUCCUCGUCUUAGUCAUUUUUGAUCUUUAGUGUAAUGCUUUGAUUGGUGCUUGUUGUUUAAUUUUAUUCAUUGCAUUACAUGUUUGAAUGAUUUUUGGUGCAUUGAAUUUUUGUUUAUUUAAAAAUCUUUUUGAGGAAGAGGUGUUUGGAAAAUUCAAAUCUUUGAGAAAGGAGAUGAUUGAGAAUCGUUUUUGGAGAGAAAGUUUUUUUUAAAAAAGAAUUGGUUAAACGGGUUUAAUCUUCACAAUCAUAUUAAGGUAAAUUCAUAUUAAUUAUCGUCUUUACUCCACUAUUUAUUAUUUUGACGAUAAUUUAUUAUAUGAUUUCUUAUUGCAUAAAUUCAUCAAAAUUUUGAAAUCAAAUUUGAUUUUUUGGUGAUUAAUUCAUCUUGGUUGUGAGUGUUGGAUAUGAUGAAUGGAUAUUCUCUAAUUGACUAAAAUUCGUCAAAAUUAUUUUCAAUUGUGAGAUUGUCUAAUUUAGGGGGAGUUUGAAAUUGUUUAAAAAUAAAAAAAAAGAGAAAAAGAAACUCCUAUGUUUAAAAGAUGUGGAAAGAGUUACAUCCAAAAGGAGUGUGAAAACUACCACCACAUGUAGGAAAGAGCUACCACCCCGGUCGUCCGGCAAGUGUGUGAAGCUACCACAUGGAAUUUAAUUGAAAAAGCCGAAAAAGGUUGAAAAAAAAUAAAUAUAAGUAUAUUAGAAUUUUCGGAGUUAUAAGGUGGUAAGUUGAAAAGAUGCUCAAAGAGCCACCCCCGGUGCCAUAUUAGUUAAAUCUCUAUUUUGAACGUGUUACGACAAAUUGGUGUCAAUUUUUGUUGAAUUUCUAAAAAUCAUUUUUCAUCAACUUACAUCUUGAUGGUUUUGAAUCAUUAAAUUAUUUUUGAUAAUGAAAUUUUGAUGUUUUGAUGUAUUUUGAAAUUUUAUAAUAUCUUAUUGUCAUUAUAAUGAUUCUUGGAGUAAAAGCCUUAAUUUAUUUGAAAUUAAUUUAAUUUGAUGGAUUUUUAAAGCAAAUUUUUUGAAAUCUGAGAUCGUUCAUCGAGCUUAGUCUCUCUCUUUCUCUACAUUUGCAUUUUAGGAUGAUGUUUUAGUUUCAGUUCUGCUUGUUUUUUUUUUGGCCUGUAACUAUGACUUGACUAUGCUUACAUUUUUCUAGUAUGUUUUCUCUCUCUAUUUGAUUUCUUUUGGCAAUUUUUGACAAAAAGGGGGAGAGCGUAGAUGAAGGGGGAGAGCAUGGAUGAACAGGCAGUGAACUAAGCAGAGGAUGAUGAGUUCAAGAACAAAGGGGGAGAUGUGAACAAAAGGGGAGAAGGUAUAAGAAUUUAGUGCUAAUCAUUUUUUGAAUGAAUUGUUUUGCAGGAAAUCAAGACUUCAAGACUCCUAGUAGCGUUUAAGUCAUAGAGUCUGUUUUAGGAGUUUUUGAUGUAAUUUUGAGUUUUAAAUUGUAUUUGGAUUACACGCGAGGGGUUCGAUGUUUUGGUGAUGACAUUGAACUUCGUUUUUUCAUUAAAUUGUAAUUUGUGAGUUUGUGUGUGUUUUGUCACGAAAUUGCCAAAGGGGGAGAUUGUUAGGUCCUAUGUGUUGGCAAGUUUCGUGGGUCGAGUCGGAGUCUUGAAGAAGUUCGGAGCGGAGUAUUGAAAAUCGAAGAAUCCAAGACUUCGAAGAAUCGGAAAGGACGCAAAACACGUAAAACAUGAAUCACGAUGCGUAGGUAAGCUUUAAAUCUUGUUUAUGGUGAUUCAUACUUAAUUAUAGAUCUUAGAAUCAUGUUUUCAAGUUGUAAUUGAUUAGAAAGUUUCUAAGAGUUUGUAAAAUCCAAAACAAUGCAUUUUCAGCGAAAAUUGCAUUGCUGUACCGGUACAAGGGUUUUCUGUCCAGGGUACAGCCAUCAACGUUGCGCAGAAAGUUUGAUGGUUGUUCCGGUACAAGCUUCAUGCUGUACCGGUACAAGCCCUGUUCCGGAACAAGCUGAAGCUAUCCAGGGUACAGGAGCUUCGCAGAAAAAUCUUCCGUCAUGGUGUACCCUGGACAACAUUCCUUGUUCCGGUACAAGGUGCUGUUUUUGGAAAGAAACUUUCUAAUUCGACUCCAAUUGAUUCUAAAGUCUAUAAAUAAGCUAUUGGGCUUCUCUAACACAUCAAGCAUCAUAAGAAUACAUGUUUGAGAAACCCUAGAGGCUCGGAUUUCAUCUUAAACCUAUUUUCUACAAAAAGCCUCUUUUAGAUCAAAUCGAGAUAUUGAAAUUUGAUAUUAAUAUGUCGAUUUGAUCUCCGCUUCGCUUGGAGUUCUAUUCCCUGGUUUUCUACGAUACUCCUAAGCGAAGGAUCACCAUACACAUGAUGCUCUUCAUGAACGGCGUCGUGGAUUCGGCGUGAACGAAGACGGUUCGUGGAUUCGGAUCGUGAGCUCGUGGAUUCGAGUGGGCGUCGUGGAUUCGACGUGAUCGAGGCUUCGUGGAUUCGAAGUGGUGACGUUUCGUGGAUUCGGGACGUGGCGUUCGUGGAUUCGGACGUGGGGCGUGGACAACCCGUUGGUGUGCGCGAGAUCCGGAGAAGAUAGAAGAGAGGUUUGAGUCCGUGGAUUCGGUAAAUCACCUUGUAAUCUUUUAUUCUUAGUGGAUUGUUAUCGCGUGUUGGUCCCGUGGGUUUUUUACUCCGAGUUUGGAGUUUUCCCACGUAAAUCUCGGUGUGUUUUUUAUUUUCUGCAUUUAUUUUUAUUGCAUCGAGAUUUGUGGUUUUUUGGCCGUUCACCUAUUCACCCCCCCUCUAGGUGAUAAAUACAAUCUAGAUAGAUCCUUGGGCUACUCAAAACUUUCAGUUCAAGUCACUCCCCGCCGCCUUCUAAACGGCGUAAGUCAAUUGUUAAAAGAAAAUUUCAACAAAACGAAAGUACCCCUUCGGCUGAAACCACUAAAGACAGAGCCGAAGAUGUUCCUUCGGCUGACAUUCCAUCCAAAGAAACUACUACACCCUCUUUGGCUACCUCUGUUCCAACCGAAACGAUUGAUAUCGGGGUAAGCCAAAUUAAUUAGUUGUACGAAAAGAACAUUUCUUAAUUAUUUAUUAUUCUGUUUUAAACUACAGUCUUCUCCUGAACGAGCCCCUUUUGCUCAUUAUUCGAAGAUGCAGAUGGAACGGCAGCUUCGCAGUGAAGCCCGUCUCGAGAAAAAGAGAGGGAUGGAAAAGAAGAAGAAAUCGGUUGAAACGGCGAGCACGACACCGUUACCCAGUGAGGUUGCAUCACCUCUUUCUGCUCCUACCCCGACAUCAACUACAGAGGAUGAACAAAUAAACAUACCUCUCGGGCGAACUUCCGAAGACAAAAGUACUAUUCCUCCCCGCUCGCCCCAGGGGGCUUCUUCCCCUAUUGCUGAUGAUCCUUUAUCUGCGAUUCUUCAUUCUUUUUUGAUUUCAAGCCCCAGCUCAAAUGAGGGGGAUGAUUCUUCGACCAUUACCAUUUCAUCAGACACCUAGAAUAAGUUCGAUGAAUGUCUUAAAAUGUAUAGCAUUGGUAUUCUUGGUCUAGCUCAGAAUCCAGAACAAUUUGAUCGGCUAUAUGCCCUUUUAAUUGAUUUAGCCGAUCAAUCAGAUAUUACUCCCGGCAUAAAAUGUUUUGUAGCAACCUUAUCACUUCAACUUUCAUCUUUUUUGGCUCGACAGCGAUCUUUGGGCGCCGAGCUUGUAGCUUUAUAUCAACAUUUUCAUCGUGUUGAUCAUUUUAAGAAGAACUUUCCUGAUAUAGCAGCUCCACCAACUGAAGUGCAUCAAGAAGAUAAGGAGUUGGCUGAUCAAGAAUCGGCUCUACAACAACGGAUUUCUACUCUUAAAGAAGAGUUAGCAGCAGCCGAAUCUACUCUCGCACAAACUUCUGAGCGCCGACUUCAACUAAAAGAUCUAUUGAAGUCCAAAAAGGAAGAAGGGAUAAGGCUUAAAGAGGAGCUUUCUCAACUUUACAAAGUCCAUCCUCUGAUGAAGUGCCGAAGGAAAGCUGCUGAAACCGCCCAAGCCAAUCUCAUAGCCGAAUGGAAUCAACUCAAAGACUUAUUGUCCUGAUUUGGCUUGUAAUAUUCUAACUCUGAUUUUAAUUAUUCUCCUACAUGGGUAGGUAAUAUCUUUUUAAAUAUUUUCCGUUAAUUGAUUUUUCAUUGUCUGACCCAUCUCUGCUUUGUAAAUAAUAUGCUUUUCCUCUUGUGAUUCGGCUAAUCUGGAAUGGUCCUUCCCAAUUUGGGGACCAUUUUCCAUACAUUCGAUCUUUUUGAUUGAUUGAAAAAAUCAGCCAAAGUACUAAGUCACCGAUGACAAAUGUCUUUGAUCGAACUCUCUUAUUGUAUACGCUACGCACUCGGCUUUGGUAUGCUUUUAUAUUGUCUAAAGCUAUCAGCCGAGUAUCACAUACUUCUUCUGCUUUAUCCAUCAUUAAACUACUAUAUUCAUCAGCCAACAAAUCUUUUUGUUUUUCUAUCCUCAAAGAAGGAACUGUUAUUUCGGCUGGAAUUACGGCUUCGUGACCGUAAACUAACUGAAACGGUGUCAUCCCUGUUGUCGUUUUCAUUGAAGUUCGGCAUGCCCAUAAUACUUCGGAAAGUUUUUCAUUCCACUUUCUCGGAUACUUUCCGAUAUGUCGCUUCAUAAGGUUGAUAAUUAUUUUAUUUGCUGCUUCUACUUGUCCAUUUGCCUGGGCAUAAUAAGGCGAAGAAUGAAGCAACUUUAUCUUUCGAGACUCGAUGAACCGAACGAACUGUCCUCCUGUGAACAUUGUCCCUCGAUCGGUUGUGACUGUCUCGGGAAUUCCAAAGCGAUGAAUUAUAUGAUCUUCUACAAAAUCGACAAUUUCUUUUUGAAUAACCAACCGAGUAGGUUUGGCUUCCACCCACUUAGUAAAAUAAUCGAUGGCUACUACUAGAAAUUUGUGACCAACCGAAGAAUUCGGCUGAAUUUCUCCAAUUAAAUCUAUGGCCCAACCCCGAAAAGGCAAUAGUUUAAUUAUGGCGUACAUCUCAGAGGCAGGAACCCUUUGUAUCGAGCCAUGAAAUUGACAUUCUUGGCAACCCUUAGCAUACUUUAUGCAAUCUUGAUGCAUAGUCGGCCAAUAAUAUCCUAGAUGCCGAAUUGUCCAUCUUAACUUUUUUCCUGCUAGAUGGGUUCCACAUAUUCCUUCAUGUGUUUCUCCUAUCACUAAUAGAGCUUCUUCAGGCCCUACGCAUUUUAAUAGAACUUCUUCGGCUGUUCUUUUGUAAAGUUGACCAUCCAACAAACAAUAGCCGAGAGCUCUUCUUUGAAUAUUAUAAUCGACCCUUAUAUUAGGAUCCUCUAAAUAUUUGAUUAAUGACUUUCUCCAAUCUUCUUUCACUCCUAUAGGAGCUAUCAUCGGUUCUCGUAUGUGAACCGAAGGUAGUAAUCUCCUUUGUAUUACUAUUAACUUUGACUUCGGCUCUCUGUAUCCUGAAGCCGAUUGGGCCAAUUCAUUUGCCUUUUCGUUUUCAUGUCUGCUGAAAUGUUUAAAUUCGGCUUCUCCGAAAUUGCAUAAUAAUUCUAUUGUCUUCCUCAAGUAAUUUUGCAAAUUCGGAUUCUCACAUCGAUAUUCCCCGUUAACCUGCUUGAUUACCAACUGUGAAUCACCGAUGACUUUGAUUGAUUUUGCUUUCAAUUCUUGCAAUAAUUUGAGGCAGACUAUCAAGGCCUCAUAUUCGGCUUAGUUGUUAGAACAGCCGAAAUCUAAUUCAAACGCAAAUUGACAAACAUGACCUUCAAGAGAUUGUAUCACUAUCCCUGCUCCUGCAGAUUCGGUUGUUUUUGAACCAUCAAAAUACAACAUCCAAGGCUGACAGCCGAUUAAACUCUGUUUCGGUUCCUCAAUCUCUACACAUGGGUGAUCAGCCAGAAAGUCGGCUAUAGCUUGACCUUUAACAGCUUUGGCGGGAACAUAAUUAAGAGAAAACUCGGAUAAAGCUAAUAUCCACUUUCCGAUCCGCCCCCUUAAUACUGGUUUAGAUAACAUAUAUUUUACCAAGUCGGUCUUACAUAUUACCGAUACUUUAGUUGGUAAAAUAUAAUAUCUUAAUUUCGCACAUGAAUAAUAUAAAGCCAAACAUAGCUUUUCAAUAGCCGAAUACCUUUUUUCAGUAUCUAACAGACGUCGGUUUAGAUAAUAAAUGGCUUGUUCUUCCCUUUCUUCAUUUUCUUGAGCUAACAAGCAUCCCAAAUUUUCUUCUGCAGCCGACAUAUAUAAUUUCAUCGGCUGAUUUGUCUUCGGAGGUACCAAUACUGGAGGAUUUGAUAAGUAUCUUUUUAUAUUUUCGAAUGCCUCCUGCUCUUCCUCUGUCCAAAUGAAUUCUUCUUUAUCUUUCAGCCGAAGUAAUGGAGUAAAAACCCCGAUCCUUCCGGCUAAGUUAGAUAUAAACCGCCAAAGAUAAUUAAUCUUUCCCAGCAAACUUUGUAGCUCCUUUUUGCACUUGGGUGGCAGUAAUUCUAAUAUUGCUCUUGCCUUAUUUUUAUCAAUUUCGAUCCCUUUCUUAUGCACUAAAAAUCCCAAAAAGUUUUCUGCAGAAACUCCAAAAGCGCAUUUCAAAGGGUUCAUUUUUAAAUUAUAUUUUCUUAUUCUCUCAAAGGCGAGUUUCAAAUCACUCCAAUGCUCGACUUGUGAUUGGGAUUUUACAACUAUAUCAUCGAUGUAUACUUCCAACUUUUUGCCGAUUAAAUCAUGAAAAAUAAAAUUCAUUGCUCUCUGGUAAGUAGCUCCGGCAUUUUUUAAGCCGAACGGCAUAACAACCCAUUCAAAAGUUCCAAUUGAACCGGGGCAUCUAAAAGCCGUUUUAGCCACGUCUCCCUCAUCAAUGUAAAUUUGGUUAUAACCAGUAUGUCCAUCCAUAAAGGACAGGAUCUCAUUACCUGCAGCCGAAUCUACUAACAUAUCGGCUAUUGGCAUUGGAUAUUUAUCUUUAGGUGUAGCUAAAUUCAAAUUCCUAAAAUCAAUACAAACUCUAAAUUUGCCAUUCUUUUUACGCACUGGAACUAUAUUAGACACCCAAUCAACAUAACGGGCCGCUCUAAUAAAUCCGGCCUUUAAAAGAUUUUUAAUUUCAUUUUUAAUUUGAAGUACAAUACUCGGCUCAAACCUACGAGCCGGUUGUCUAAAAGGCUUGAACCCUUUUUUGAUGGGCAGCCGAUGUUCUACGAUCUCUCGGCUUAGACCUGGCAUUUCUUCAUAGCUCCAGGCGAAACAAUCCUUGUACUCCUUCAACAGCUUCUUCAAUUCUUCCUGUUGCUGAGCAAACAGCUUGGAACUUAUAAACGUCGGCCUGUUAUCUUCAUAGGACCCCAGGUUUACUUCUAUCAACAAAUCCCGGGUCUCCAGCUUUUUCUCGCCGGCUUUAAUAGGCGAUUCUUCUAGCUUCAUUUUCGCUGUUUGCCUAUUCAACUCAUAUGAUUCAUUAGUCUCAAUGACCGAUUUCAUUUGGCUUUCUUCCUCGGCUUUAUGAGCCGAAUCCUUUAUGGCUUCCUCGGCCUUAUUGGCCGAAUUGUCGGGUGCUACCACAUCGGCUAUAGCAGCCGAAUCAUCUUCAUAGCCGAUCUUGUUGAUCGGCUCGUCCUGUAGAGGCUUAUGCCCAGCCUCUAUUCUCGACUUUUGGGGCUCCAUUUUAACCAUUUAGGUGGCUCUUCAUCAGCCACCAUAGCAUUGAUAUCUUUGGAGAGAAUUAAUUGAAUCCCCUCCUUCGUCACUCUCACAAACGAAAUUUGAUCUGGAUCGGCAUCGGCCCAAUUGGUGUGGCCGAUGUCCUCUAUGUUGACAUCUAUCAGUUGAGGUCGUCCUUCGGCCCUGACUUCUUCUACCUUGUCUCCUUUCCACUGGAACAAUUUUCCAUGGAGUGUAGAGGGUACACACUCAUUUGAGCGUAUCCAAUCUCUUCCCAAUAACAAAUUGUAGUGGUUAUCUGCAUCCACUACGAAAAACGCAGUUUUUAGAGUUUUUGAACCUACUGUGAGUUCGGUGGUGAGCACUCCUCGAGCUUGUUGACCGUUUCCUGUAAAAUCGGUCAUGAUUGAAUCGGUAGGCUUCAAUUCGUCUUCAUCUUUGCCCAACUUCUUGAAAAAAAAAAGUAGGCAUCAUAUUGACCAUAGCGCCGCCGUCCACCAUAACUCGGCCUACCGGCCGGCCUUCUAUUAAAGCUUUUAUAAAGAGAGGCCUGAUGAACCUCUUCUGCAUGGCCGAUGGUUUCCCAAAAACCACCGCAUCGGCCUGUCGAACAUCCUCUAGCUGCAAUUGGGCUACUAUAAGCCCAUUUUCUUCUUCUUCUCUGAAUUCCUCAUACUCAACAAACUCUGCUUUGAAGGAUUGAGGCAGAGCGUACACCAUAUUCACCUCGGCCGGUGAUUCGUCAGCCGAUUUUUCUUUGACUCUCUGUUUCUUCUCUUCUGACUCCUUGGCCGUUUCGGCUGAGGAGUCGCUCUCCAUACGGACCUCCCUCUCUUUAGGAGGCCACCUUUCUUUCUUGAUCAUCGUCUCGAGGGAAGCUAUUUUAUCUUCCAACUCCCUCCUGGUCAUUUUCUCUUCUAACUCGGCCUCGGUUGGCCAUUCUAUUCUUGACUUCAACUAUAGGGCAGGCGAUGAGCCGCCUGCCUCAUGGUCAUUUCUCAUCGGACGAAAAGGGUGUGGCUGCUCAUCAGGGCGUCUCCAUACAUUGAGCCUCAUCCCUUUCGCCUCUUCAUAAUGUUGACGUGCCUCGGCCUGCAUCCUCUGCUGCCGGCGCUUUUGGAUUUUUGUUAACAUCGGCCCCUGCCAUCUGGCCGAUGGUUUAACUUCGACUUCGUGCUAUUCAUCCACUGGCACGUUUGCCGGUACUUUUACUGUUCUUAAAUGAUUUUUUAGAAUUUCUCUUCUUUCCUAUGGUCUCGGCCAAGGCUGAAUGCCGAGUUCGUUGACUAGCCUCCGACCGAGGAAUUCUAUGUCUCCCUCGGUCAUUCCUUCAAAUUCCGGUUCUGGUCUCGGCCUGGCUUGCUGUUGCCAGUGUGGCCGAUAUCCAGGGAACCUUUGCUUGGAGCCGAAUGGUCUAUCCUGGUAGUCCCAUCGGCCAUGACGUUCUCCGCGCCUGUUGUUGUAGUAAUCAUGCAGAAUCUUCUGCAUGAGCAUAUCUUUCUUACGUUGAACCGAAUCUACCUCCAGUUCAGUAUCAUUAGAGGCUGCAUCCGAGCCUUCUUCUUCUUGGUCUUCACCAUCAGGAAUGUUAUCCCAAUCUUUGGGGAACGCCAUCAACUCAUUCCAUUUGUUUCCCCUUUUCUUUGCAUUCACGAUGGCUUCCCAGUCUUUCUUCGUCAUUUCGGCCUUGCACCUGAUGCAAAGCCGAAGAUGUUUCUUGGCAUGGGCCACAUUAUCAGCGGUCUCCUUGUCCAAAACUUCUUUUUCUUUAAUAUUCACUAUAUUGACCUGAAAUGGAAAUGAACUUUUGUUAAUUAUUUUAUUUUCGUUUUCUUGGUCGGCUAAUAUGAGCCGACCCUCCUCUAUUUCUUCUUGGAUCUGCCUUUUCACAUUCGCUUUUCCUUUUCCUUUCAUGUUCACGGCGUUGACUUGUGAUGGAAAAGGAUUCUUAUCAAUUUUCAUAUCUCUAUUUUCUUGGUUGGCAAAGAUCAGCCGACCCUCAUUUAUCUCUUUUUGAAUUUGCCUCUUAAAGGGAGUACAUUCGCUAGUUUUAUGGCUCCAUGAAUGGUGCCAUUUGCAGUAUCUUCUGCGCUUUAAUUCGUCUACAGGAGGUAUGGUUUGGCCUUCCUGUAGUUUAAUUCGUCCAUCCUUUAACAACCGAUCGAAAAUAAGAUCGGUCUUUGUUAUGUCAAAUGAAUAACUAAAUGCUGAUAUUUGUGCUUUUGCUUCUCUUGACUUUGCAGGUUUUAGCAAAGCACAUUUGUACGGUUGACUGUUUCUUACCAUCUCGGCAGCACAGAUUUCGGCCUCAUCAGCCGAAUCUUCUGCCUCUUCAGAUGAAUUCGGCUCUUCAUGAGCUGAGGACUCUUCAAAGAAAGAAAUAUUUUUCUCUUUCCCUUUACUCCAAUCCUUGUUUCGGCUCCAUCUAGGCCGAUCUUCAUUAUUCCCUUUUCGAAAUUGCUCGUAUUGAGCAACUCGAACUCCCAAAUCAAAAAGAUUUGGAAAGAACUUAUCCUCAAAAUGAUCUUUAAUCUUAAAAUGCAUGCCGUUAAAUGCCAUUUUGGCAAACUCUGAUUCCGGCAUCCUUACAAAACAUCAGCUUCGAGCCGUCUUGAAUCGGUUUAAAUAUUCAUCAACUGAUUCUCCUAUUUUUUGUCUAAAUUGAGCCAAAUUUGCAACCGACAACUCCGGGUCGAUUCUAUAGAAUUGCUCAUGAAAUUUACCCUCUAAUUCGUCCCAGUCUCGGAUGGAAUUAGCAGGUAGACUUGUAUACAAAGUGAAGGUAGUCUUGGUCAGUGAGGUAUUGAAUAACCUUAAUUUUAAAAAAGGAUCUGCCGCUGCUUCACGGCAUUGGGAUGUAAAUCGAGCGACAUGUUCGACCGUAUUUUCGGUCUCAUCGCAAGAAAAUUUGCCAAAUUUCGGCAUCUUCCAAUUUGCCGGAUAUGGAUGUUCUACAUCUAUAUUAGCAGGAUAUGGUGAUCUAAAUACAGGCCGCAUUGCCAGCCUUGUGCCUACUCCGAAAGUGUUUCGGAUGGCCUCUUCUAUUUGCGCAUAUAUCUCAUUGUUAAUUCCUUGGAAAGGAACUUGCGCUGGUACCGGGUUCGGUGGUUGUUGUGCACCGAGAUUUUGUACUAAGGGAUUAAUCCCUUGCCCAUUUAAAACCUGCCCCCUAGCCCCUACAUUUUGGGGCUGGUAAGCUGCAACUGGAGGGGGUGGAGGUAACCCCCAAGCCACUUCCGGCUGUCGACCGGCGUUACCAACAACCGGUCUAUAAGCCGCUUGAUACUGUACCCCCUGGUAUUGGGGCUGACCAACCACCGGUGUUAUUGGAUUCUGUAACACCGGCGUUAUCGCAAGCACUUGUAGGCCUGCUAUCAGCUGUUCAUUUCGAGCUAACAAUUGCCCUAUUCGGGCUAUGUUCUCGUUAGAGGCCGUGAUUGCGGCCAAAACAGCAUCCAGCCGUGCGGUACUCGCAUGACUAUUUUGGUCCAAAGUUUGUAGGACCCGAGUCAUUUGACCAAGCGCUUGGGUCAAACUAGGCUCUUGUUGGCCAGAUUGACCACUAGUCUCACCCUCAAUAGGUAAAACUGCUUCGCGCUCUACAUUAUUUCCCGAAUUGCUGGGCUGUUCACUCCCAGAAUUUCUGGGAAUAUCCCUAUUACGGAGAUUCAUGGCGUUAUCGUCAGCCAUGUUUUAUAUAGAAUGCAAAUUUACCUCAAAAGAUUGUCCCACCGGGCGUGCCAAAAAAUUGUUGUGCUGCCGAAUGUCCCGACCCUUGACCCGGUCAAUAAUUCUCCUCGGGAAGAACGUCGGGAUGCGAGACGGCUGCGGAUUAUGACCCUCGAAGUAUGCGCCCACAAAGGAUCAAGCGAUUAGGCCGAUAAGGGAUCAAAUCAGCCGGGUUCGAAAACCUCCACAGUAAAUUCGCUUCGGCAGGAUGAGCCGAAUGGAGAGGGGAAGCCCAGAAUUCGACUAAAAAAUAAGCCGAAUGGCCAAACAACUUGUGAUCUGAUCGGCAGGAAGAGCCGAAGAUGACUUUCUAUUGAAUAGCAAAUGAAAAAAAGUACACGAGCAGGGGAGUGAUGCCCGUAGGGCAGACAGACUCCAAGUAUGGGAACUGGGGAGUGAUGCCCGUAGGGCAGACAGACUCCGAGUAUGUUAAAUUACAGGAACUACUCCUAAGGAAAGCGGUAAAUGUGAGAAUAGAAAAAUGCAGGAAAAUAAAGGUGGUCUUUUGUGCGCAGGAGCGAAGACCCUUUUUCAGGGUAUCGUAUGCCUAUUUAUAGAACCGCCUUUGCGUCAGUUAUUGCUCUUGCACGAUCAGCCACUAUCUCCUGAUUCGUAGGACCACCUUCGGCCGAUCGGAAUCGCUCGUAACUGCUUGCGGUUGUUAUAACUCCUUGGUCCAGUGCGGUUCGUAUGGGUUCGGUGUACUCUAGAUCUACCGUUUUUGCCGCUUUACGGAUAUGGACUCGGCGUGCCAGCUGUUCGCGCCUAACUGGCUUAACAUUAUUUUAUGGUGUGAAACCAAUAAAUCGCACUACGUGCAACUUAAGAAAAACAAUAUCGAUCGAUCUAAUUGAAAAAGAUUCCAAAAUUUCAAUCAAACCAUACAGAUCGUAAAUAUUUUACAUAGAAUAUGAGAAUCGGCUCUGAUACCACUGUAAGAAUUUAUCCAGUACAAAAAAAAAAUCGCAGCGGAAAACAAAAAUCCAUAUCACAUAUGAUCCAAAACAAAAACAAAUCAAUCCAGUGCCGGUGGAUCAUUUGCAUGUUACAAUGUAAAAUAAUAAUCUAACCUAAACAGAUUUGAAGUAAAUUUAUGCUUAUCCUAUUAUAGAUAUUUUAUUAUUAUCUCUCUCUUUAAUUUAAUUGGAUCUUAUCCAUUAAAUAUUCAUAUUAUAAUCUAUUUAGAAUAUUAUCUCAUAAUAAUCUAUGAAUAUUUAAUUAUUCUCUAAUCUAAUUAAAGAUUAAAUCAAAUUAUAAUUCUCACUAUUUCCACUAGUAUUAAUUAGACUCAUCUUAUCAAAUUGGAUGCACACAAUUCCUAUUGUGUGUGACCGCGUAGGUCCAUUAUCAUUCAGCAGUGGAGUUCAAUAUCAAACUCUUUAAUAUUGAAUUAGAACUCUUCUAAUCUAUAAAAUAAUUUAUUUUAAAUUAUUUUUACUUCUCUCACUCUCCGUGUGUGACACCUAGCAGUAUAUCACGGCAAUUCAGAAUGAUGAUGAAAAAUGAAUCUUUCCGCUAACAGUUACCGUGUGAUUAAUUCCUUCCAACACACAACGCCCCGAUCGAACUAAAAUUAUGGUUACUCGCCAAAUCUUAUUAUUCGAUCAUAUAACUAGAAUAUCUAAAACUGACUCAAUAUGAUAUCACAGCUGGAAACUCUUUCCACAUACCACAUACCCUGGCCAAGAAUUUUUCGAGUCGAGUUCGAUAGUCUAUAUAGGACGUUAUCUCUCACUAUUGAGGGUGUUGAAUUCCUUAUUGCGCAUUCACAUGCCUCCCCAUAUAAACUACUACAGCCAAUCAGUACCAGACGUAGACCAAUGAUUAGAGUCUAAGUAUUAGUACAGUCAAACAGUAGCAAUCUACAUGUGAAGCAACCAUGAUGCCUCAGGUCCAAGGAGUACUUUACACAACUGUAGCAAAAAACUAGUCAAUUGGCGAAUAUUGAACCAUGUGACUGUUCAACUAAAUGGUCACGCUUAGUGUACUUGUUCGCUAACAAACACCUGCAUGCUUACUUUAGUGUCCCUACACUAAUGACUUAAGAUUCGUCACCUCAAUAUAGAAGUGUAGCAUGCACCGGCCUAUCCGGAAAUAUCAUCGUCCUUAUGAUAUUCCUAUGGCUAGGAGCGUUUAAGAAUCUUGUACAAAGAAAUAUAUAUCUUAAAUUCCUAACUCUUAGGAAUAUAUUUUCUUAAUGAAGAUUCAAUGGACGAUUCAUAUAAAUAUAUUGUACUGCUAACAAUAAAUAUGAAUAAAACUUGCCUUUUAUUAAAUAAGAAAAAUACUUAAUAUGUUCACAAGUCUAUGUCACCGAUUGGCUUUAGGGUAUGUCACUAACACUAUAUCCAAAACUACCGAUUUGUUUUAAAGAGUUCUCUUUUGGGUAAAGGUAUAAAUACAAUUGUUAGCUUUUGCAAAGCGAUAAUUAGCAAGUAAUUUUAUUUUCAAAUUUCAUGUUUAUCAUAGAUAGCAUUGCAAGCUCUUCUCGUUCAAUGAUGACAAGAGCAGAACAUUUUAUUGUGAACAUAUAAUCAUAUAGAAUUAUAUUGUUUCUUAAGAGGGGCAAGUGCUUAUAUAUUACUGAAAAGUUUCCGACUUUCUGAUUUACCACUCUUAAAAGGCGGAUAUUAAAAAUAAUUUUUUUACAUUCCAAUCUAUUUUAAAUAUGUAUCUAGAGUUCAAUUCGCAAUAGUUGUUAUUUCUGUGAAAUUACUAUUUUGUCCUUUCAAAUAUAUUUUUUUACCAUCACCGACUUUUCUUAUUAACUCUUAAGUUAGGCGCACAAGAAGGAUUUUAAUUUUUUAUCUUUUCAAAUAUGCCCUUCUAUAUUUUUUAUCUGCCUUUAAGUUAAAGGCAAAAGAGGCAUUUUGAUUUUUUUUUUUUCACUCUAAUAGAUAUUUAACUUACGUCCAAAUUAACUUAGCGAGUGGUAAAUAUAUAGGUAUUUUUGAAUAGGGGCAAUUGCCUAUAUACCCCUGAAAAGUUUUCGGUUUUCUUAUUUACCCCUCUUAGAAGGCUAAUAUUGAAAAUACCCUUCUUAUGUUCCAAGUCUUUCUAAUAUACCCUUGGAGUUAAGUUCCGUUAGUGAGCUGCCGUUAUCUCUGUAAAAUUACCAUUUUGCCCAUUCUAAUAUACCCUUCUACCGUAACUAACUUUUCUUAUAUACCCUUUAUAUAGCGAAUACUUUUCUUAUUUGCCCUUCAAAUAUCAAUUAAUUAAUUAAGCACGUCGGGAGCGAGCAAAUGAACGGAUGAGAUCGAUCGCAGCUAAACAAACCUUGGUGGCUGGAGGCAUAGUUAGUAAAUUCGGAUUCGGCAAAAAUUCGGUAAGGAUAAAAUUCGGAUAAAAUUCGUCUUUUAAUUUUUAAAUUUGUUGAAAAAUACCGCUAAAAAUCAGACUCGGUAAUUAUUCGGAUACGUGAUUUUUACGGGUAUUAUGCGUUCACCAAUUAAAAAUUUGGGAACAAAAAUUCGACUAUAUAAUAAAUAUAUAAUAAUUAAUAUACUAUAUAUAUUAUUAUUAUAAUUUAUAUAUAUAUAUAUAUAUAUUAAAUAUAUAUAUAUAUAAAAUUAUAAUAAAUAUAUAUUAAUAAUAUAUAAGAGUUAUAUAUUUAAAAAUAUUAAUAAACUUAGAUUUGUGCAGAUCAGAAGACUAAUUUAUUCCAAUUAAUCUCAGAUAAUUAACUAUUUCACCCUAAUUAACUCUCCCAAUUAACUCUUCCACGCUAAUUAACUCUUCCAAUUAACUCUUCCACCAUAAUUAACUCUCUCAAUUAACUCUCCUAAUUGACCCUCGUACAGCACCCCUCCUCGUCCUCUUCCUCCGGCACCCACAGCACCCACCUCGACCACCGUCGCCACUCCAAACCUCAAGGGUGGCGACCCAUGAGGCAAUAUUGGUGAUCGGAGCUGCCCGGAUACUGAAACAAAUGUGGGGGGAGGUGUAGAAUAUGUAAACAUGUCUCCAUCAGUGGGUACGCGAAGCCGGAAGAAGGCGAGGUAUCACCGGAUCGGAAAGAUAAACGAUGUAUAAGGGUUAGUGAAAUUACAGUGCACGAAUUAACGAAGAGAUAUAGAUGAAAUGACAAUACCGCUACUGUAAAUAGAACGACGCGUAAUAUACGAGAUUAUCAGUCUUAUGUAGCAAGACAAGUGUAAGAUAAGAUAUAGGAUAUACUGUAAACAAUGCUACGUUAACGAAGAACGAUAAUGUAGCAAUUGCUGGGAAAUUGUAGUAGCAGACAACUGUUAAGCCAAGAUUGUUAAGUAUGCAUCAACGGUGAAUAUAUCAAAAUACCAUCUAAAUGCCUGUUGUGUCCUGUGAGACUUCAGGCUGUGCUAUAUUCACUGCACCUGCAUGUAAACCCUCUAGCCUUUAGCGGCUGCACGGGUAGGACGUACGACCUUUUCCUGGAAUAAAGAAUACUCCAAUGCGGUUGGAUCAGACUAGCCGUGUUCGUGAUAAUGAUAACGAGUGGUUUGGCGUCGAUGCUUGAUUGCUCAAUAGCAACCGUCGGCGACACAUCGAAAUCAUGUCCCUCUGAGGCAUACCGAUCCAGACUAGGUCAUCAGGUAACCACGGAUGAACGCGAGAUAUGGUUCAAAGUCGGAAGUACGAACAAACCAACAUUGUGCCAGCUGAAACGGAAACGACCAACCAGCGUCAUCUAGUUAUUUAUAUAGUAUGUCACUAAUCUUACCCUACAGCGUGAUACUACAAUGAAUCAUGGCAGAGUAAAUAAGAUGAGUAUAUAAUAUGCUCGAUUCAAGUACUGUACGAAGCAAGAACCGGACGAAGGUCACAAGGUGUAUCGAUAUUAGUCAGAAUACGUCAGCACUAGAUGGACAAUGCCUACCCUCAGGUAACACCGACCUCAAAGGUCUAUCAGACGGAACUCACGAAGCUGAUUGACUGCCAAAACUAUUACCGACAGUGGGAACUGAGUAGAUAUUAAUAAUCCGUCGGGUUAGCCGGACAUCCACCUUUAGAUGGCUAUAUCGACAUCAAGGCGUUCAUCGACGGGAAGACAGAGACUUGACAUCAGAGUUCACCGAAUCGAUUGUACGAGAACCGACCUACUCAAGGUCACUUUGAAUUCACAUAUGGAUUAAAUAUCUACUCUUUAACAUGAUAUAGCUGUGAAACAUUCAUAGUAGAGUAUAUAAAAAUCAACUGUUGAUGCAGCUCAAUACAACAAUACGAUAGUAGAACCAUGAGAACAGGAUAGAAGACAUAUCACGAGGUGACAUGUUGACGAUCUUCGGAUUCGGAAAGUACCACCGUGUACAAAUGUGCGCCUGUCUCUCUGACUGACAAAGUAACGUUCAACUGGAAAUUAUAGGAAGUUCCACCGGGUUAGUGGUUUUAACCACAGCUAUAACCACUAAAGUCCAUUCUUACAAGCAACAUGGGGACUGUUUACACCAAACGAUCGCCCGUAUUACGCGGAUGUUCCCGUAAUCGCACGGUGGGACUCGCGGGACCUCGAACUUGUCAGCGAAUAUACCGAUCGGCUACGAGUACUGCUCACUAAUCUAAAUAAUAGUGAAUUAUGGCAGUGACACAAAUUCUCGCUGUCGAAACAGAUUAUUGCGGAUAAUCGAUUUCGAUUCGGGUUCCGGAGUGUUAAUUCGACACCGGACCACGUUGCUCACCGUCAUUUUUCCGACACUCUCGAGAAUGACGCAGUGACCAGGCCACCAGUCUCAGCGAUACGCAAAGCUACGAGCGUCGGAAUAAUUCCGACGACUCGCUUGUUCCGUUCGGCGGAUUUUUGUCGAAAACGCACUCGGAAAAUGCAUUUCGCUCUUCGCUAUGUGGUUGGCGGGCCUUGGCAUCAGUUCCAGGUUAUCCUCAAACCAACACUUUGCUGAACAACAGUUAGCGACGAAUCAAUGCUAUAAAGCUCUGGAAUACCUGAAAUCGAUUUUUCUAUGCGAUUUUCGGCGCUUUUAUGGGUACGACCACGCAACCAGAGGUCAGACAGCCAAGCGCGAACUCCCGCUGACUGGUCUCGGCGUGCGGAGGCGUGCUCACUUUCGGGCACUGCCGGCCAUGUUGGCAGCGCUCACGGGGAGCAAUUAGUGAAACAGCGCGCACCUGCGCUAAGAUCGACUCUAAUUCGUAUAGUGGCAUUCGUUUCUCCUGUCGGGAGGUGGUUACGCUGAAUUCAGCACGUAUCUGAGUAUAUCGUGCUCAUUUCCCGAGAGAUGUCAAGUUCUUGGGAUCAACCAGAAGGGUGACUAGUGAACUCUAAACCUACAGUGCAGAUGCCUCACGCUAACAGUGCUUACUCGGACCGUGGGGCUAGGGCCUGUACGGCACUGUGGGCGGCGGCGUGNNNNNNNNNNNNNNNNNNNNNNNNNGCGCUCCGGCCAGUGAUGGGAGCAGCAGGUCGGGGAGGUCCGGGGGAGGUGCUGGCCGGCGGCGGGAGGUGGCCGGUGGCGCGGCAGCGCAGCUCAAAGCCGCCGAGUUCCUCUCGGGUUCGAGCUUCCCGGCGGCGCGGCGGCGGCCGGAGGGGGGUCGGGGCGGCAAGGAUCCGGUGCCGGAGACCGAGGGGAAGGUGGUGCACCCCUCGGUGGGCAGUGGCGGUGCUUGGGAGCCGAGCGGGCCCGACUUCGGCCCGCACGGGUCUGGGCGGCCGCAGGAGCCGCGAGCGACGGCCGGCGGCCUCGAGGACGGCGAGGAUCGCGAGCGGGAGGUCCCCGGAGGUGCCAGGAGGGCGGCGCGACCAGACCAGAAAGGCGGCAUCGCGAGGGGAGGGAGGUUCCACAGCCUCGGCCAGAUCUGCUCAGAUCUGGCCGCAACUUGCCGUGGCGGCGGCGGCGGCGCUCGAAACGUAAAACGACGGCACUAGAGGGCGAAUUCGAGCUCGGUACCAGAGGAUCCGCUAGAGUCGACCUGCAGGCACACAAGCUUCCCCGAGCACAGCAGCCAACAAGGUGCAAGUCGGGGCCCGGAGGAAAAACGAGAGGAGGCCGGGGUGGCCCUUCCGGCGGCCGGACAAGCUCGCCGGCGGCCGGGACGCGCGCACAAGUUGGGCGGGGACCAGCUGAGGUCGGCUAGGGCUAGGUAGGGAGCACGGUUGCAGGGUCUAGGGUUCCUCAUGGAUGAAACCCUAGGAAUACAAUAUAAACAAAGGCCACUUUGCACCAAAGUCCUCCGAAACAGAAAAUUUGCAACAGAGACCUUCACAGCGCGAGUAAAUCGCGUGUACGCACCUCCACGUUCGACCUCGUGCGAUUCGGUACAUAAAAUAUGGGGACUUUUGCGAAGUUUCCGAUUUGCCACAAUCAACCCCUCUCCGAACAUCAAGCAAAAUCCGGCAAUCCGUUCAUCGGAUUUCCGAACGGAUUGCACCAUCGCGUUCAGCACGACGAAGGCAAAGAAACUAGAAUUUUGCUUCGAUCGAUUUUGUUGCCGAUUCGCGACAAAACCCAACGCUCUCCAAUUAACACAUAAAUUACACAUAUACCAAUGUGUAAACCCAACAAAACGCAUUUCGCAUCAGAAAUGGACUUCCCUACUACAAGUAGGGACCCAAAACAACCUUCACCCUACUCCAGGUCGUAAGCACGGAACACAAGGAGUUUCACAAUGCACGAAAGGCAAGGAACGAAAAUCAUCUUUUUGAUAAAACUCCUUUUUCUCGAAAACCGUGCAUCAGAUCUGAAAUCUGUCAGUGCCAUUGGUUCCAAAACAGCUGAACCGGUCGAAACGAGCUAUUGGACCGAUAUGAACGGAGUCCGAUACGCGCCAGAAGCCAACUCUACUCCGCGGCUUCUCCGGAAAACCAGAGUUACUAUUCACUUAAGUGAAAACUAAAAAUCGCGUAUCUUCUCCAUUUUAGCUCAUUUUCGCCCGAAACUUGACGAGUACUUAUGUAAUUAAAUUACACACAUAAACAUCAUCAACAGAAAGUUUAGUUGCACUUGUCAAAAAUCUCAGUCCUUACACGUAUACAAAGGAGUUUUCCCUGUAUACGAAGCGAUUGCUGUACCUGUAAAUCAUACACUACUACGAACAGUAGUAGAGAGCUAUUAGAGUAGCAAGAGCUAAACAAACUGAGUUUCAAAUACAUAGUCCAAAACCAAAAUACAGAGUUACUCGCACUGGCGAGUUAAGUAUACUAUGUACAUAAAUUCGAAACAAAACAUCUACCUGCAGUAGGGGUGCCUCUAGCUCUGCUCGUCGGGUAGGGCUCUAACUCGCGACGCCCUUGCCUCGAUCCUAAUUCGCUGAAGGAGUAGCAGCCGAAUCCUGUGGCUCUGCAAAACAGGGGUAACAACUGGGCGUGAGAACUACUGAAAAAACAAGUAGUCCUCAGUGGGUGCCGCCCAAAACAACAUCGGUUCACCCACUAAGUCUACAGUAGGGAGCAAAGGUAGUAGUAAAUGUAGGAAUGAAAUCUACCGCCAUGAAUCACUACACUAUCAUGCUCUACGCUAACCAACUGUAGGAAAAUGUCAAAUUUAACCCAAUCCAAUCGGGACUGUAAACAUACCCAUCCCUGGGACUGUGAACACACCCGUCCCUGCCCAGUUGCGACUAACCAGCUACCUCCACACUAACUGGUCCGUGGAGAGCAAGUCCAACCGGCAUGAGCGACACCAACGCAAAAGCACAAAGCCCGCCUCCGGAGUGGCACUCGUGGGCGCUACCCAACCGAGUAUGCAGCGUAUCUCUGUCGAGCUCAAUCAGGCUCUGAAAAGCCAAAGUCGAGUAACCGACUCUAACUGGUCUAACAACUAAUAGUUCACGUGCCCUCGGCACAAUCUAUCGCCAAAAAGGCGAUCCGGGUCCACCGUCAACUCUGACGGCACCCAACAGUUCGGAACAGCCCAAAAGACCCUGUAAAAAUCCACUCGACGUACCAGCACGAGUGUAAAUGCAUUCUAAACUACCUAGAGUACUCGUCUCAAGGAUACUGCGACAGUAUAAUUUUAUAACGGCUCUUAGAGUUAAAUCAGGCAGUUUAAACAAGUGACAGGUCCAAAUCGUAGAUUUUCUCCUAAUUCAAAUUCCAAGUCCAACAUGUAUAACCUACUCAAUUUAUUACCACAUGCUCCAAAUUCAGAUUUGCAAUCUACCAUAUAAUCCAUGAAUUCGAGCUAGAAUAGAUUAUCCAAAAUUGAAAUUUAUACAUGUCGACGAUUAUGAACUUAGGAGUAAAACCGAUGUAAACCCACCUCAAAGCUAAUCCCUGGCAGCACGGAACUCCCUCGGCUGCGGCACAACCUGCUAGAUCGACUGAAAAUGUCCGAGUCUCGAAAUCAAGCUAUCUCCAAGCUAUCAACAUCGAAAAUCCACAAUUCAGUCCAAAUACACAACAGCAGAAAAGAGAAGGGUUUCGACCAAGCUAACCUUCACCAAAAUCCACAAGUAAGGGCUUCGUGGAUUCCUCUCGCAGUCCCGAAUCCAACGAACCAAGUCUCGUCGCAAUCCGAUGCUCCUAUGUCGAGUACAAGCUGAAAUACUAACAGUCGACGAUGAAUUUCAGCAAACAACACUUAAGCUCGAAUUAAUGAUGCUUGGAGAAAUGAAGAAGCAAUUCGACGGAACAUUCACCUCGACAGCGACUAGCACCGGCGUGACGUCAAGAUCAGCGAAGUUGCACGCUCGCCCGGCCUCCUCGCACUGCUCCAGCAACAAUCGUAUCCCCAAACGGCUCCGCGGCGCGACAUCGGCGACGAAUCCGAGCUUCUUCCUUGCCUUCAACCGGAUGAGAGUGAGAGAGAGAGAGAGAUGAAGAAAUGCAGCAAUAGGACUUCUCUCUCUCUACACGAAGCUAUAUAGAGAGAGGGUGUGUUGGUGAUACAAACGAGGGAGGAAAUUACCAAAUUAGCCCUCUACCUACCCCCUUGUACCGGUACACGGGCUCCUGUACCGGUACAAGAGCCAACCCGAGAGCAGCUAAACCAGUGCGCGCUAGUUGUACCGGUACAGCCAUGUUGGUUGUAUCGGUACAGCAAGCAGAGAAAUAUGCUGUUUUGCAGAUUUCUUCGCUGUAAGCUGCCCUCGCGUCGCAUGGAGUCCGUUUUGCAUCUAUUUGACGCCAACGCGACUCGGACUUGUCUCGACACUCUCUAGAGUUGCCGACAAGCCUCCACAACAGAACACCAGGGAUCUCACAUCCUCCCCGUCUGCAAAAAGUUUCGUCCGCGAAACUGAAACGUACCUCUGCUCAUGCAUCAAACAAAUAGGGAUAGGCCUCCCUCAUCACCAUCUCAGGCUCCCAAGUCGCCUCCCGCUCCUCGUGAUUGCUCCACUGCACUUUCACAUACGGGAUGACCCGGUUGCGCAAGUGUCACGCCCCGGGGCCGAUUUUAAAAGCCUUUUGAAAACAGAGUUGCGGAAAGCGUGCCAUUUUUUUUUUUUUUCAACCUGGCCCACGCGACGUACAGACCCGCCACAAAUACAAAGUUUCUCUGUCCACUCGGACAGAGUCUCCUUUGUAUUUGCACGGCGUACCAGCCNAUAAGAGUUAUAUAUUUAAAAAUAUUAAUAAACUUAGAUUUGUGCAGAUCAGAAGACUAAUUUAUUCCAAUUAAUCUCAGAUAAUUAACUAUUUCACCCUAAUUAACUCUCCCAAUUAACUCUUCCACGCUAAUUAACUCUUCCAAUUAACUCUUCCACCAUAAUUAACUCUCUCAAUUAACUCUCCUAAUUGACCCUCGUACAGCACCCCUCCUCGUCCUCUUCCUCCGGCACCCACAGCACCCACCUCGACCACCGUCGCCACUCCAAACCUCAAGGGUGGCGACCCAUGAGGCAAUAUUGGUGAUCGGAGCUGCUGUUCCCGACAGAGGCAGAGACGAAGAGCGGGUUUCUCAGCAACGAAGAAGGCGUCCACGGCGAUGGUGUCGAGGUGGAAGGCACGAUGAUGCUACCAGUGGUGAGGUAGACGAUGUCGACCCGCCAACCACAGCGAUGUCGAAUGUGACGAGAAGGAGAAGGAGGAGGACGACGAGAUCUACACGAAUCGCUGCGGCCCUCUUGCUCCCGGCGCCGGCCAAGGCGGCAGAGGAAGACGAGAGCGGCGACUCGCAGGCCGUUUUCUUGUGCGAAUGAGGCGAGGCUUCUUGGGGGCGAAGGUGGAGGCGGAGAAGCCGGCACCGAGGUUGGCGGUGGUGGUGAGCUGCUGGGACUCGCGGCGGCCGGCGGUAGGGACCCAAGUUGGGGGAGAGAAAGGAUAAGUUGGAAGAGAAAGAGAGGAUAAUUUAAGGAAAUAGUUUAAUAAGGUAGGGGCAAAAUAGGUAUUUUAAUUAGGUUUUAACUCUGGUAUACAUUUAACCCAUGUUUAACUCGAGUUAAACUAACAGAGGAUAAUUACGGGGGUAUUUUGAAAUAACGGUGGAACAUAUGAGGGGCAUUUUAGAAAGAAAAAAAAAGUAGGGGUAGAUCGGAUAUUUCCAGAUGCAUGAGGGGUAUAUAGGCAAUUAUCCCUUUUGAAUAACGAAGGGAUAUAUAAAGGAUAUAUUGGAAAUAGAAAAAAAAAGUUGGAAAUAAAUGAGAUAUUUUUGAACUGAUCAUUUGUCACGCCCCGGAUUACCACGUUUUCCUGGGCACGCCAACAGACCCGCCAUAUACAAAAGAAUUUCAUCUAUAUACGAAGCGAUAGUUGUACCUGUACCUGUAAUCACACAAAACUACAACUAGUAGUAUAGAGCUGCUAACAGAACUGUAAACAUAUAUAAAUAAACAUCAGGUUCACUAUACAUACAUAGUCUCCAAGAUACAGACAUUACUCGCUCCAGCGAGUAACUAACAUCAGUAUGUACAUGAACCAAAAAUCAAAACUACCUAUAGCUAGUACUCCUCUAGAACAGCAACAAGACUGGAAGGGAUCUAGCUCACGACUCCCUUUCCACGAUCCAAAUCAGCAACAGUAGCAGCUGCAGAUGAAGGCUCUGCAAAAAGUGGUCAACAACUGGGUGUGAGAACUACUGCAAAAAAAAGUAGUCCUCAGUGGGUACCGCUACCGACCUCAACGGCUCACCCACUAAUGUUAAGGAUUUUCUAGGUUGGCAGAUUUCGUGAAGUCGAAUGGAGUCUUGAAGAGUUGAUCGCGGAAGUUUGAAGAGAAGAUUCACUUUGAAGAAUCAAAGACCUAUUCGGAAAGCUCGACGCCUCAGGUAUGAAUGUUAGAUCAUUUGUGGUGUGUUUAAACUACCUAAAUAUAAGUUUAGAAGACUUGGAUUGCUAUAGAAAACACAAACUGAGGUUUUAAAUGUGCUUGGACUGGUCCCCUGAGAUGAGAGACCGGUUCCCGAGAGUCCUCUCUGCGUGAAAGUCCAAGGCAACCGGUCUCCUGAUCUGAGGGACCGAUCUCCAGGACGGUGCAACCGGUCUCUGGCAUGAGAGACCGGUUCCCGAACGUUGGGAUUUUUGACUCGCAGUGAGAGACCGGUCUCUGGCACCAGAGACUGGUUCCCGAACGUUGUGUUUUCUAUCACGCAGCGAGGGACCGGUCUCCCACCCGAGGGACCGGUCUCUAAUAGACCGCUCUCCUCGAGAGGACCGGUCCCUGAGGACGACACCAGUUUUUAAAAUAGACUUUUUGCAAUCCUGGUCCGCUUCUAAGUCUUCUAAACCUAUAAAUAAGCCAUGGGGGUCAUUAUAUGAGUUGAGGCUUAGAAUUUCUACUGUUCUAAAAACCCUAGAAACUUGUUUUCACAUUCUUAUGAUUUUAUUCAUAUAACAAGUUUCAUAUAAUCAACGAUCGACUUGAUUCUUAAGUUUUAACUCGAGAUUUUCUUCGAGAAUCAAGUAGAUGAUUGAUUAGAAGGUGAACCCUCAUUGCUUAUGGGAUUUUAAGUCUUAAUCACCACAAAUCAUCAAUUCUACAAGCUCCGGAAGGAGGUUUGGCGCAUGGAUCUCGCGUGAAGCCGAGGAUUCGGUGGAUGCUUCGAAUAGUUGAGGCGUUGACGCGGCACGGAGUUGCAGCGGAGUUGAUUAGAGGAUUCCUAUCGAUCGAGGACCGGCGAAGACAAUCGACAACGAGAAUUCGGUAAAUUGAGUCAUGUAUUUUGGUUAAAUCACUUGUACUCAAGUUUUCUUAGUGAAUUUUCUUCGUGUGAUCGGUCCCGUCGGUUUUUCACUCCGGAUUGGAGUUUUCCCACGUUAUAGCUCGGUGUGUUGUUUUUAUUUUCCGCUAUCUUUUUUAUUUGCAUCGAGAGGUUUGGUUUUUGCCGUUUAAACCUAUUCACCCCCCCCCCCCUCUAGGUGUUAUUUACCUUUUAGAUCCUUGGGAUCCAUAUCUUACAACUAAGUCUACAGAAAGUAUGCUCAACGAUAGUAAAGAAAGCUAGAAAAACUCUACAGCUACAUGCCACUAUACUAUCACUAACCAACACUAGCUAUCUGUAGAUAUAAGCAAGAUGCAAUCUCUGACCCAAUCUCACUAGGGACUGUGAACGCACCCGUCCCCACCUGUCGAAGCUACACCAACCACCACCAGGCUCGGUUGUUGGUGGAGAGCAAGUUCAAUCAGGACACUACGACAUCAACGCAAAAGCACUAAGCUCGACUCCGGAGUGGCACUCAUGGGCGCUACCCAACCAAGUAUGCAAGCGUGUUUCUGCUCAGCUCAAUCAGGCUCUCACAGGCUAUAAUCAAAGCAACUGGGUCUAACUGGUCUAACAAUCAAAACUCACGUGUCCUUGGCACAAUCUAAUGCAAAUACAGAAAUCUGGGUCCACCGUCAACUGCGACGGCACCCGACAGUCUGAAACAGUCUACACACUACUAUAAAAAUAAACUCGGUAUCAAAGCACGAGUGUAAACUCAUCCCACACUAAUCUAGAUAUCUACAACAUACAAAUUACGGCAAUACAAACAAACCACAACACCUAACGCUAAAUUUGGUAGUUUUCAGAAAAUGACAGUGUAGGAUUUAUAGUUUUCUCCCAAGUAAAUUCAGAUUUUAAGCCUAAUCUAUGAAUUCGAGCACUAGUAAGAAAUUAAACACAUGAUACAUGUUGGCGAUAUAAAAACUUAGGAGAUGUUCCGGCGAUUUUGGUAAACUUCAACCCACCUCGAAAAGCUAGUCCAACAACGGCGAGAAGUCAAGAGAAGGGAAAACACGCGCUCGCCCGGCCUCCAACGGCGCAACCGCGACGUCCACGCGCUCGAACGGCUCCCCGGCGCAACGUCGACGUCAAUUCGAGCUCAAGCCGUAGCCUCAACCAAGCACAAAAUUAACACUUGAGAGAGAGAGGAACUUAAUUAAGCAAGCUACUCUCCCUUAGGUGGAUAAAUACGAGGGAGAGUUGGUGGUGUGGAUAAAUACCAACACAAAAAGACCGUAAUACCCGAUUUGGUUACCGGUACUCGGCCUCUUAGCACGCAAGCUUGCAAACAGGGUACCGGUUCCAGCCCAAUGCCGUACCGGUACUCAACACUGAAAUCCUGCACUUUGCGGAUUUCAGCGUCAAAACUCCACUCUCGCCUCGCGUCGAGUCCGUUUUGCGUCCAUUUCAAGCCAAAACGACUUCGACUUGUCCCGACACUCUCCAGAUGUGUCAACAAGCCUCAGAUGCUGAAAUCCAUGGGAAACCAAACACCAGGGAUACUACAUCAUUAUUAAGUAUGGACUCCCCCGAAUCCGAUCAAGUCUUCCACAUGUUUUCAUCUUUCUUUGCUUGAACUGAACUUAAUUUUCUUCUUUCUUUGUUUGACGGAACUGGGUCAACCGGUUAAAUUGGGCCGAACCGGCCCAAAUGCUCCACAUAUUUUGUCACGCCCCGGAUUACACAUUCCCCGGGCACGCCGACAAAUCCGCCGUAUACAAAGGAAUUUUUCCUGUAUACGAAGCGAUAGCUGUACCUGUAAAAUAUACAAUACUACAAACAGUAGUAUAGAGCUGCUAGAAGAAUCAGUAACAAAAACAAACCGACUUUCAAAUACAUACGCCAAAUCUCAGAUGCAAAACUACUCGCACUGGCGAAUUAAACGUCUGUAUGUACAUAAACUCCAACCAAAAACAACUACCUGCUGUAGGGGCACCUCUAGCUAGGCUCGUCUGGUAGGGCUCUAACUCGCGACGCCCUUGCCUCGAUCCUGAUAAGCAACAGCAGCCGCCGAAGACGACGGCUCUGUAAAACAGUGGUAACAACUGGGCGUGAGAACUACUACAAAAAGAAAGAGUCCUCAGUAGGUACCGCCCUCAAACUCAUCGGUCCACCCACUAAGUCUACAGGGAUAAGCAAGAAAUAAUAAGGAAAGCUGGAACAUAUCUACAGCUAUACGCCUCUAUACUUUCAUGCUCUAAUCUAACCAACUGUAGAACAGUGUCAACUAAGACCCAAUCUCGAAUAGGGACUGUAAUCAUACCCGUCCCUGGGACUGUGAACACACCUGUCCCGCAAGGUUGCAACUAACCAGCUACCUCCACACUAACAAGUCCGUGGAGAGCAAGUCCAACCUGCACGAACGACACAAACGCAAAAGCACAGCGCCCGUCUCCGGAGUGGCACUCGUGGGAGCUACCCAACCGAGUAUGCAGCGUAUCUCUGUCGAGCUCAAUCAGGCUCUCACAAGGCUAAGUCAAGUAACCGACUCUAACUGGUCUAACAACCAACAGGUCACGUGUCCUCAGCACAAUCCGACGCCAAAACAGCAAUAUGGGUCCACCGUCAACCCCGACGGCACCCAACAGUCCGGAACAGCCUAAACGCUACUGUAAAAAUACGCUAGGCAUCCCAGCACGAGUGUAACUGAACUCUAAACUACCUGGGGUAUUCAUCACACCAAUACUGCGAUGAUACAAAUUUAUAACGGCUCCUAGAGCUAAAUCAGGUAGUGUAAACAGGUGACAGGUCCAAAUCACCGAUUUUCUCCUAAUUCAAUUUCCAAGUCCAACAUGUAUAGUUUAACUAGAUUCUAAAACAUGCUUCAAAUUCAGAUUCAGCCAAUAUGCUACUCAAUGAAUUUAAGCUAGUACAAAGUAUAAACCAUCGGAAACUAUACAUGUUUAAUAAUCUCUAUUUAGGAGUAAACCCGAUGAAAACCCACCUCAAUUGCUAACCCCUGGCAGCGAAGGGAGUCUCGAACCAAAAUAAGCCCUGCUGGAUCUACUGAAACCCUCCAAGUCCAGAAAUCGAGCUAUCUCCAAGCUCUACACAUCGAAAUCCAUUAAUUCUGUCCAAAUACAACAGUAGUAGAGUAAAAUAGGAGUUCAAUCAAGCUAACCUUCACCAAAAUCAGCAAUCUUGGGCUUCGUUGAUUCCUCUCGAAGUCUUAAAUCCAACGAACCAAGUUUCGUCGCAAUCCGACACUCCUACGUCGCGUACGAGUCGAAACGCCGACUGUCGACGGUGGAAUUCAGUAAAAAAAAAUUAGCACGCGAGCUCGAAGUAGAGAGGUCAGGCCAAAAAUGGAGGAAUGUUAGAUACCCACCUCGACAGCGACUCUAGCAUCGGCGCGAUGUUGAGAACAGCAAAAAUCCACGCUCGUCAGGCCUCCUCGUAGCACCACGACGAUGAAUAUCCGCUCGAACGGCACCGCGGCGCGACGUCGACGACGAACCAACUCCUCCCAAGCUCCUCCUUGCUCACUAUUGGGUCUAGAGAGAGAAAGAGGAGAAGAAGCAUGCAAUAAGUCCUCCUCAGCUUCCCAACACGUACAUACAGCAAAGGGGAGGGAUGGUGAUACGUACGAGGCAAGAAAAGACAAAUCUGCCCCUCACCUACCCCCGUGUACCGGUACACGGGCACCUGUACCAGUACAGAAGCCAACCCGAGAGCAGCUUGCGCGCAGCCCAUGCAGUGUACCGGUACACCAUGCUGGCUGUACCGGUACAGCAAGCAGAGAAACCUGCUAUUUGCAUAUUUCUUUGCCAAUUGCUGUUCUCACGUCGCACAAAGUCUGUUUUGCGUCUAUUUCACGCCAAUGCAACUCAGACUUGUCCCGACACUCUCCAGAGCUGUCGACAACCCUCAACUGCCAAACACCAGGGAUCUCACAUAUUUCUAUAUUUGAACUAGAUUUUUCUCUUCAUUUGCUUGAACCGGACUGAUUACUGUCGAGUAUAGGCUCCACUCGAAUCAGCUCAAGCUUUUCUCUUUCUUUGUUUGGACCAAACCGGGUCACACCUCUGUAUUGGGUUGAACUCUUCUUUUUCCUUCGGCUGUUACCUUCUUUCAUCGAUAAAAUAAGUCCCACUUCUCAUCAUCACCUUUUGCAUCAUCAUUUGCUCUUUCUUUAUCACUGUUUUUUUUUUUCUAAUUAUCUAACUAUCACAUCACAUAGGUUUAGGGGUGGAACUGGAACGGACUUAGGUCGGAUAAUACUAUGGCCAAGCCUGACCCAAAAGAAAAUGUUGGAUUUCGAGUCUGGCUUUUACCUAAUUUUUUUGAAAAUUAAGGCCUGGUCUCAAGCCCAAGCCCAAUGCCCAAUAUCCAUCGAGCUUUAUGGAUGCCCAUUUUAUGCAUUUAUCACAUAAUACAUAAAUACUUUUAGUGUAUAAAGUUAAAAUAAAAUAUCUAUUUUAACUGGGGUUUGAUCACAUCAAAGAAAUUAGUAUGUAACAUUUAAAUAUAAUACCAUUAACGUCUGCCAAUAAUUAUCCAUCAGUAAAAUAAGACCAAACAAAGAAAAUUAAUGAACUAAAACUAAGACUUAGACAAGUAGAAAAUAUGCUUUCACAAUCUUCACUCCUACUUGGAUGCUAGCGAUCCUACAAAGUAAAUAAUAGGAUAGGAACUUCUCACGUAAAGCUAGAACGUUUAAUUAAUUAGGUAUAUGUGAUUUUUAAAGGAGCAUUGUGAUAUUUUAAAAUUUUCAAAUUAUUCUGAAGUUAUGUAAAUAGAAUGUCUAAUUAAUUUUUAAAAAAUUUUUAAAAUAAUAUAUAUUUAGUAAGUGUAAUGUACAUAACUAAUUAGCUAUAUAUAAUAAUAUGUACCAUAUAUUUACUCAUAGACAUACAUAAUUAAUUAAUUAUAUAUAUAAUAAUACUAUUUAAUAUAUUCUAAUAUGGAACUAAAUAUUUUGUUAAUAUAUAAUAUAUCCUCAUAUAUAUAAAUAUAUAUCAUUAAUCACUGUCACACCCUGAACUACUACGUUUUUCCGGGCGCGCCAACAGACCCGCCGUAUACAGAGGAAUUUUUUCGUGUAUACAAAACGAUAGUUGUACCUGUAAUCAAAUCAUAGCUACAACUAGAAGUAUAGAGCUGCUAAAUUAACGCAUGUAUAUAUAAACGCUAAGGAUUCACUGUACAUACAACACUCAUAACUACACCUCGCUCCAGCGAGUAAACAAAACGUAAGGUAUAUACAUGAACCAAAACACCUCAAAACUACCUGCGAAGGGUACUCCUCUAGUACGGCGACACGACUAGUAGGGAUCUAGCUCGCGACUUUCUUUCCGCGGUCAAAAUCAGCAACAGCAGCUGUCACGCCCCGGGACCCAGCGGAAGCCCGCCCGGCGCGUGCCCAGACCCGCCAUAUGUCUACAACAUAUAAGGCGUCUAAAAAUAACAAUAAUAAAAGCCGUAAUAAGAGACAUCUAGGAGUAUCAGAGCAUAAUAAAUGUCUAAAUGCUACAACAAAGGAUGAGGAAAAACUGUAAAUCCACUAAAUAAGACAUAAAGUAAGUACAAUAGGGAUCCCAUAACAAAAGCUAAUAUACUUAAAAUCUUGUGAAUUGUACGUAUAGAGUACAUAGUAUUUUAAACAUGAGGUAUAUCAUCUCGAUAUACGCAUCUAACGUACGUAACACCUAUCACGAAACAAAACACUCAGCUCUUGUACAGAGGUACGAUUUUAACUCACUUGAUACGUAGAAUUUGUAUAAUUACGGUACGAACCCUGAGCAUCGUGUUUUCACAAUAUUUCUCCGUAAACCUUAAUCAUUUGAUAUUUUACGUUGAAUCUCUGUACUCCCACCCGGUAACAUGCAGACGAUAUAUAGGGUACAAUCUCUGUACUACUGUAUCUCUAUCCGGAAACCCUGAAAGCUAAGUAAGGUACAAUAAUCUGUACUCCUGGAACAUGAACGCUGUCUAGCAAACUGAUGAACGGUAACACGAGAAAGCGUGUACGAACACUCCCAGCGAGGGAUGUUCGGCCGUGAGGCCUCUACCGGUAGCGCUAAGUAUAAGCGGCACGCCCUAACCCGCGGCUUCACCUAACUGCACCCUGUCCGAGUAAGGAUCCCACCCCUACUACUGAUGGUGCCCCGAUCAUCCGAAACGUAGCCGGUCUGUCGGAUGCCCACCCAGAGUUCCGGUAUCUGUCGGAAGCCCACCCAGAGAAGUCUAAACUGAAACACAUAGGUAAUACUAUACACCUGUCUACUACUGAAUCAUAUGAUGAACCUAUAACCGAUCUUAUCAUUUGUUACCUUGAAAUGAUAAAACGUAGCACUUGUAAUACUGUCAACCUCUGUAAAAAUGAAGUACGUAUCAAUAAAAGUAUGAAUACGAUAAACAUGAUUCAUCUCUAUAGUACAACAUCAUUCAAUGUGUAAAUGAACGGAAAGCGAAAGGAUGCAAUAUCAGUGACUGUAGAUAACAUCGAAACCCGGAACACCACGUAAGUGACUUCAGUCAUUAACGGGUGACCCUUGAUAAGAAUUAUCAAGAGUGCGGGGACAAAGAUACAAAGGAAAAGUCUCGGAAGCCGUGGUCGCCUCCGUGCCCUAGCGCCGUUCCCACAGCGCAUCGAUCGAGCGCCUCUCAAGAAAGCGGAUCCACCAGAUGAGGAGGUAAAAUAUAAAACUCUCUCACACUCCAAAACAUGGGACAUAUCUCUCUGGUGGAACAUGAGGAAANNNNNNNNNNNNNNNNNNNNNNNNNNNNNNNNNNNNNNNNNNNNNNNNNNNNNNNNNNNNNNNNNNNNNNNNNNNNNNNNNNNNNNNNNNNNNNNNNNNNAUAUAUAUAUAUAUUUCUCUUAUGAACAAACAACAAAUAUUUAUUAAAUAAUAAUACAUAAAUUUAAUAUUGAGUGAAAUCGAAUGAGAUUGUGAAGAAAGCAAAUAUUAUUUAAAAUAAACUCUACUAUAAUAUAUUUUCUAUUAAUUACUUUCUUAUCAUGCAAGAAUUUUACACCAAUAAUACUAUUUAUCAAAAUGACCUUCAUUCAUAAUAAAAAUUUUAAAUAAAACAUGGCUAAAAAAGAAAAAAAGACAUACAUAAAAAACUCAUAUACUUUAGGAUCUAUUUUAAAUAAUAUUUGUUUUCUUCACAAUUUUUUUUGAUUUCACUCAAUAUUAAAUUUAUAUAUCAUUAUUCAAUAAAUAUCUGUUGGUUCUUCAUAAGAGAAGUAUAUAUAUACAACAUGUUUGUAUGUUUCUACAUACCAGAAAAAUGUAUAUAAUAUAAAUUAAUAUAAUAUUUAUUACUAACAUUUUUUUUUUCAUCAGCGCCUAUACUCCACCUCCUCGAGUUUGAAAAGUUUUUUCCGUUAUGCGUAUGUAGUUGAUCACCCAAGCAGAGUAGACUGGAGGAGAGGGGAGUCGUUACUCCUAUAAAAGAACAACUAGUUAGCAGUAAAGUAGACCGGAGGGAGAGGGGAGCCAUUACUCCUAUAAAAGAACAACUAGUUAGCAGUAAAGUAGACUGGAGGGAGAGGGGAGCCAUUAUUCCUAUAAGAGAACAAUUAGUUAGCGGUAAAAUUUUUAUUUCAACAAAAUAAAUAGAGCUACUAUUUUUAAAUAAUUACUUUAAUGCAUAUUGGAUACUAUAUUAUUUUAAAGAAAUAUGUUUUAUUGUUGCGUUUACAUUGUCUAAUUUGCCAUUUUAAUUACUUUAUUUUUACGAGACAAAAAAAAUACUAAUUAUACAAACAUAAAGUUUGUAUAAAUUUUACAUCUCACUAUUCAAGCCGUUAGUUCAAUUAUUAUUGGUUUUUAGUAUAUGCACACACGCACAGAUGUGCGCAUGUGCACAAAUGCACAACUAGUAUUAAAAAAUUUGAUGUAAAAUCUUUAAAUUAUAAGGUUUACUUCUACUCUUGGACGAAAAGUAGCAUUACUCUACUUUUUGACCGAACGUAUGAACUUCUACAAAAGUUUCAAGUAAUUUAACAACUUUGUAAUUCAAUUGAUCAAAAUGAUUAUAGAAAUUAAAGUUAGGAAAGUGUGAAAAAAAAAAGAAAAAGUCAGGGUGCCCUUUCAAAAUGAGUUAUAGUUUACACAUUAUUUGUAAAGUUUUUAAAAUUUUUAUAAUUUAAAAUUAUACAUAUAAAAUAUAAAAUUAUUUAUUAAAAGUGACUUUAUUUUUAAAUUAUUUAAAGUAAAAUUUUAAAUUAUUUUAGAAAUAUGCUGGGCUUUUGCUACAUCAGCUCCCAUUGAAGGCUUGGUCAAGAUAAAGACCGGCCACUUGAUCGAUCUAUCGCUGCAAUAUAUUAUUGACGGCUUAAGCAAGGGAUACUAUGACGGAUCUAAGGACGACCGUUGGAAAAUUGUGAAAGGACGUGGUGUAGUAGCGGAGAGAACCUACCCUUAUGUAGGCUGUAAAUGUUUAAAAAUAUUUAUAAACUUUAAUAGAAAAAAAGAUUAUUGUAUGUCACGACACUUAGUACAUCUUGUCAAGAGUAUAGAUUUUAAUUAUAUUACUAUUAAUAUUCGGGGAUUUGAAGAUGUCCCCUAUGGCGAUGAGCAUGCCCUUUUGAAAGCGGUUGCUCACCAACCCGUUGUAUGUGGCAUCCAAGUAAAUAACUUUUUCAGCUGCUACAACGGUGGUAUUAUAAAAAAAAGGCAAAUGCGAAAGAAAAUUAUCAAACUUAAUCAUUCCAUGGUAAUUGUUGGAUAUGAAGAAAGGAUGUGAUGAAAUAUUGGAUAGUAAAAAAUUCUUGGGGAAAAGAGUGGGGUGAAGAAAGGUAUGUGAGAAUGCAACACGGGGUAUUGCACGAAUUUAUUUAAAGCGUCUUAUCCUGUAUGAUUGUUUAUAUCGGAUCUUGCAGCCUUUUGCGAUAUAUGAUGAAUCAUAUUUCUAUUUACUUGUAAAAAAACUCAAAUAAGAACGAACGGCUAGGAUCAAUCUAUUAAAAACAUAGCAUUAUUAUCCAUCUAUAAAUUCAAUCCUACGAACAAUUGUAUCAAUUAAAAAUAAACGAUUAUGAUCAAUCUGUUAAAAGAUAGCAUUCUUAUCCAUCUAUAAAUUCAAUUUUACAAACGGUUGUGAUCAAUUAAAAACGAACGGUUAUGAUUAAUCUGUUAAAAUUUUAAUCUAAAUCAAAAAUUAAAUAUAUUAUAAAUUUAAAUUAAAAAAAAUUUAAAUCGUAAAUUAAAUUUAAUUUGGGUAUCAAAUUUGAACUAUUCAUCGGUUGUGAUCAAUUAAAAACGAACGGUUAUGAUUAAUCUGUUAAAAUUUUAAUUUAUAUCGAGCCUACAAACAAUUCUGAUCAAUUAAAAACAAACGGUUAUGAUCAAUUAAAAACGAACGAUUAUGAUCAAUCUAUAAAAAUAUAGCAUUCCUAUCUAUAUCUAUACUAUCUAUAUUAUAGUGUAAAAGAAUAUUUCCUACGAACGGUUAUGAUAAAUUUGUAAAAAAAAGUCUCAAACAAAAACGAACGGUUAUAUUGAUCAAUCUGUUAAAAAAAAAUAUUCAAAUCUAUCAGUAAAUUCAAUUAUACGAAAAGUUAUAAUCAAUUUGUUAAAAAUAUUUCAAAUAAAAAUGAACUAUUAUAAUCAAUCUGUUAAAAAAUAGCGCUUCGAUCCAUCUAUUUUUAAUUAAAAUUAAAAUUUGAGUUUAAAUCGUGAUUUAGAUUUAAUUUUUAAUUUUUGAUAUCAAAUUUGAAUUAAUAAUUAAAAACUUUUACUUAUAUAAUGGAUCAAAGUUAAAUUUUAAAAUAUAAAUUUUAUUCUAAAUUUGUUGAUAAAUAUGAUUUAUAAAGUUUUACUGCUUUGAAAUAAAUUAAAAUAAUUGUUACGUGCAUUUGCACGUACACUCAGCUAGUCUGUUUAAAAGCAUAAUUUAAAUAAUAUUGAUAUUUACAAAAUAAUAUAGAAUUACGGGCAUUUAUUAAUACUGAAAUCAACAAUAGAAUACUAACAUUUAUAUAAUAUUACAAAUUAAAUAAUAAUUACUUGCAUUUUAUUAGUGCUGAAGAUGAUUAAAAAAUACAAUCAUUUAAAUAAUGUCAGCAAUAGUCCUAUAACGGCAUUUAUUUAAUAUUAUUAAUUAUUUAAUAUUUAACGACAAUCUAUUUAAAUGCCGGUAGAAGAUUUAGAGUAUAAGCGACAUUAAAAGCUUAAUGCCGCUAAUAGUUUUUUGCAAGAAUUUUUGAAGUUUAGGCGGUAAUAAUUGAAUACCGCUAAAUCACCAUUUUUUUGUAGUGUAGGAAACUAGAUUAUAUUUAGUCCAUUUUAAAUAACAAUGAUUUUCACUGAUGUUAGUUAUCCAUACAUAUGGUAUUGUUUCUUGUCCAUUCUAAACAAAAAUGAUUUUCACUUAUUAGUUAUCUUAUUGAACAGGCAAGCGGAAGGACUCGGCCAAAAAGUUGGACAAUGCAUCAGUCUCCAGUUCCCUCCUUGCUGGCCAAAAUCCUAACCCUAAGUGCCCCAACAUUUUCUUGCAUGUGAAACAUCAAUGUUGUAAGCAUAACUGGUCCAAACAUAUGUUGUAAGCAUAAUUGGUCCAAACAUUUUCAUGCAUGUGAGGAACAGCAAUGUUGUAAGAAUAAUUGGUCCAAUAUCUGACCACACCGCUGCAGAAGUGGUGGCUCGGUUUAUGUUCCUUUUCUCAAGCUCUAUUAAAUCCAUAACAUCUUUAUCAAUUCCCCGGGGGGAGUGUCGCUGCAGUCUUUGCGAUUUAUGACGUUAUGCAACAGAUGGAGGUUCCAGUGAGAACAAUUUGUAUGGGGCAAGCUGCAUCAUUUAGCUCACUGCUCCUCGCCGCGGGCUCUCCCGGCAUAUGCUACGCCUUCCCGAACGCCCGAAUUAUGAUCCAGCAGAACUUCGGCGAAGCCUUCAGACAGGCUAUAGAUAUGUUCAUCCAAAAAAAUAAAUUGGAUAAUGUUCGUGCCAACCUCUACGCUGCGUAUGUCAAAGAGACUGGCCGGGAGCGCACCAAGUAUCUGUCUCCUCAGGAAGCAAAAGAUUUUGGCUUAAUUGAUGUCGUCCUGAAGCCCUCUGCCGAUUAAGUACUGUGAGGCAAGUAGCCAUUACUAAUUCAGAGUUACAUUUCAUUCAUUUAUUUUUAUUAGGUUUUUUCUAUGUUGCUAACGCAUACGCGAAACGUUCCUCUUUAGCAACUAAAACCCAUAUUUAAUGGACGAUUCAUUUCUAUCAUUCGAUGAUACAUUUUAUCAAACACGCAUGCAUUAGAGUCAAAUACACAUAUAAGUCUUCAUUUUCGGCUUGCUAUUGGUCGAAGGAUGAAAUUUUUAAUAGUGAAAAGUUUAUUUUUUUCUCGCUUACUAUUGGUAGAAACUUGAUUGGUACAGACUGAUAUAAUGUUUAAUGAGGGCCCGUUUAGCCUAGCUUUUGAAAAAAUGAUUUUUGAAAAAGUGAUUUUAGUUUGAAAAGGUGAUUUUGGUUAAGGCUUAGUUUGAUAUUGAGAUCUAUUUAACGCUAUUAGAUAAAAUGGAGUUGAGGAAAAAGCAUAUAGGAAUAUGGUUCUGCGUUCUCCGAUAGGAUCGCAGAAAAUAUAUCGUAACCGACUUAUCACAAUAUGCGGAACGCGAUAUUAUGUACGAAAAUAAACAUGAUAUUUUUCCAACGUACUUUCUCACUGCACGUAACGUAAUCUCCCCGCAAUCCCAAACGAAGCCUAAAAGCUGUAGAGCGUUUGGCUGAGUUUAGAUGAAAGCUAUUUUUCUGAAGUGAUUUUAAAAAGCUGUUUGGCAAAAAUUUUUUGAUGCUUGUAUAAAUUAAUAUUUUUAUUAAAUUUUAUUUUAAAAUAAUUUAAAAUCUAAAUUUAAAUUCGAAUUAAAAUUAAAAUUUAAAAUUUCAAAAUUGUACAAAAUUUAAAAUUUGAUAUUUUAAUUUAAAAAUUUUAAAAACUUAAAAAUUUAAAAUUUAAAAUUUAAAAUAAUUAUGAAAUUGAAAAUAUAAAAUAUAAAAUUUGAAUAUUUAAAAUUUAAAAUUUAAAAUUUUAAAAUUUAUAAUUUGAAGAUUAAAACUUGUAAUUUAAAAUUUAAAAUUUUUAAAAUUUAAAAUUUAAAAUUUAAAAUCUAAAAUUUUAAAUUUAAAAUCUAAAAUUUUAAAUUUUAAAUUUUAUCUUAAAUUUUAAAUUUUAAAUUUUAAAUUUUAAAAUCUAAAAUUUGAGAUUUGAAAUUUAGAAUUAAAGUUUAAAAUUUAAAGUUUGAAAUCUAUUUUUUAAAUUUUAAAUUUUAAAAGUUAAAAUUUAAAAAUUCAAAUAUAAAUCUGAAAAUUAAAAUUUAAAAUUAAAUUUAAAUUUAAACAUUGAAUUUAAAAUUAAAAUAAAAAUUUGAAGUUUGAAUCCAAAAUCAGAAUCAGAUUUGAAGAAGCAGCUUUUUCCUGCUUCUAAUUCUGAGGCCUUCAAAAUCAGUUUUUUGAUUCUGAAAAGCAGAAUCAGAUUUUAAAAAUUAUAUUGCCAAACGCUCUAUUGAAUCGAAAAUCACUUUUCAACUCAAAAGUAUUUUUUAAAAGCUAAGCCAAACACCCCUUACAUACAAGGUAAGUCCAAUGAAUUCAAUUUCAUUUUAGUAUAUUUACUUAUACAGAGAGUGAUACAACAUUCAAUCUUCUUUCCCCCAAAAAAUAUCUGAAAACUCAUUUGUUGAUUUUGUACAAACAAAUCCCCAAGGCAGGAAACAAAAAUAAAACAAAAGAAAAGGUAUAAAUGAAUGAUGACCAAAUAAAGGGCUUACUGGUUCAACUAUCUCUACUCUAACACAAGAAAGAGUAGAGUCGACACCGACUUCUCUAGCGAUCUUCGAAAGAUGGAGUUCCCUAUCUAGCCUACAUGUUUUAUUCACCCAAUUUUCUGUAGACCUUUCCUGCUUGUAGAGAAUAUAUACCGUAUAAACCCUGCUCGCUUAAAUAUUUAGGCAGUAUUUGGUUCCACGUAAAGAGCCCGAAAACAAUUUUCAGAUUGAAAAGGAAUUUUCCUUGUGUUUGGUUCCACGUAACAUGCUUUUCAGUGGAAAUAAUUAUACAUAUCUUUAGAAACACAUUCACUUUCAUUUUCCGUAGACACAAACUGGAAACUGAAACUUCAUCUCCCUCUCACUCUCUUCAUUUCCUUUUCCUGCAAAACAAACAGGUAUCCCUUCAAAACCUUUUUUUUUGUUUUUUACUAUAUGAAACAACAAUAUAUAAAUUUUCUUUUCCACCCAAAGCACUUUCCUGAGGAAACCAUCUUCAACAGUUUUUCGUGGAACCAAACACUGAUGUAAAUGGUAAGGGAAAAAUGAAAUCGUAAUGUCAGGUAUCAACUGAAAAACAGAUCAGAGAAGAUAAGGAUCAGCCUAAUCCAAAGCAGCUUUAUUUCACCUAACAGUAGCAGGCUUUGUGGGCUUCGGAAGACCAUCAAAAAUGGGCCAAGCAAAUGCAUCAGGUUUCAAACUCCACUUGCUUGAAGACCAUAUAGAGGAGCUACUAUCUGAAUCUUGCAAAUUAGACGUGCUCGGUGAUUUCCGAAGAGUUAGCAACCCAUCAAUUAGCGAAGGGUCCACCAUAGAAACAAGGUUCUGUUGGCUCAUGUCCAUAUCAGGACAGCUUCCUGAUUUCGGCCUCAAAGCUAGCCCUUUCUCUGUCUUUCGAGAAAAACCUAAUGGAUCAGAAUCACCCUUUUGACGCCGUCUUAUUGAUUUUUCAUUAUCACUCUCUGCAGCUUCAUCAUUUCUUCUUUCUUCAAUGAUCUCAGAUUUUUCAAAAUAUAACUCAUUAACCAUACUUAAGACUUUCUAUGCUGAUUCGGAAGUGGUUCCGAAGUCGGAGAGUGUUGAGGCAAUAAUUGUUCAUCUUUCAUAUAAAGAGGCUUAUCAGUUUUGUAAACUGCCAUUUUGGUGCCAUCAAAUAGUGGGCCUCUCUUAGGAGGCGCAAGCCCAUAAUAUCCCUGCAAUCGACUCAUGGCUGGGGAGAUUUUACAUGGUGAUGGUUUCAGCUUCAGUGUUUCAAAGGAGUAUAAAAUAUGACUAUGAGGUCGACGUGAGGAGUCAGUUCUCUGCAAUGAUUCCAAUUAUUAUUAUGAGAGAAACAAAGGCACUAAUUCAGAAGAGCAAAUCAUGUUACAUUAGUAGUUAAUUGAAACAUAAAAUGACCUCUACCAUUCGCAUUUGCAAUGAAGUUUGUAAUCAUCUUGUUAUAUCUUAUAACAACAUUGAAAAGCUCCGACAUAGUACAGGCAAGAAAAAUAAAAGUAUGAAGAUAAUUAAUUAAAUUUUACUGUUGUUCAUGGUUCUAUUACUUUGCUAAGCCUAACAAAGGUCAAAAUAAAAAAAAAAUGUCUUAGACAUCUGAAAUUUAUCCAAUUCAAAAAGCUUUCUGGCAUCAUAUUAUGACACUAAAGCUGCUGAAUGAUCACUACAAACAAAGUAAACCCAAAGAAAGCAGAAAAAUAACCUUAUAGAUGGAUGCCCAUAAAUACUUACUAAUUAUACUUUUCAGCCUGAAUUAGAUGACAUUUACGGUUUUUUUCCUUCUUUUCUGUGACAAAAGAAAAUUUCUAGCUACUUGAAGCUCAAAAAGACAGUACAGAAGCUCAAAAACUAUAGGUUAUUAAACAGUAUAUAAAAAGGCAUAUAUAUAUGUACUGUAGAGUUCAGACGUGGUCUGAUAAAAUGAACCUAAGGUGAGCAGCGGUUCUGACCAGUAAUAAUCAUACCCCUUAACAUAUUACUAGAUUGUUGGAAACUGCCUACAAUUCACAACUGAAAAUUCUAAACUAUGACACAUAAUUAUCAUAGGAGGAGGUAGCACAAUAACAUAUAAUUUAGUUAACCUUCAAACUUAAAUAUUCCUAAGGCAUCCGAGUAACUGGUUAUUUGUGAUAUCAAACAAGUAUUUUCUGCGCAUUAAUUAUAUCUGUUUAUCACAAUACUGUAUGCUGAAAUACCUGACAGUCAGUAUUAAAACAGUUUGUAAGCUUUCAGGUAAUAUGCUUUCUCCAGAAACAUUAAGAAUUACUUCAACUUAAACUUAGCCAUUGUUCCAAUUCCAACAGUUCAGCGAAAAAAAGGACGACAUUAGAGCCCAUAAAAAAUAGAAAAAGAAACAUAAUAUUAAAAGAAUAUUCCAACACAAACAAUUAAAAAAGUUGUUAUUAAACAUAAAACAAAACCAAAAGAAAGUUACCACACCUGCCAUUUGCCGAGUCCUCUGACAAAAAAGGAGAUGGAGGAUGCUCUCCAGGAAGUGGAAUCUUCAAUGACUUGCGAGCAAAAAUUUGAAGAUCGGUCAUCAAGCCAUUCAACCGCCUAAUAUCUGCUACCUAAUCCAACAAAGGCACACUUAUGAAGCGCACUUCAAAGACUAGAGAAGAAAAGACAGCGAGCUGAAUAUAAAGAAUCUGAUGAAUUUGACCACUGGAACGAAAUAUUUCAAACUAUGAGCUCAUCCAAAUAAUGUAAAAUUCGAUUAGCAUCAAUUGUGCGACAACCAUAAAAAGCUAGAAACUGAAACUUCUUUAAUCAUUGUUUAUUUUUCAACAAAUUUCCAUUCAUGUGUUCUUACAGAUUUUGUCUACGCUGCUGCCACUCACAAUGAUACAGAUACUAAAUACAUAAAACGUUCCUCUUUAACAACAAAAAAAAACCAUAUUUAUUUGAUGCACGAUUCAUUUCUAACGUUCGAUUACACAUGUUAUCAAACACAUAACAGGCACGCAUUACAAUCUAACACACGGUAUAAAUCAAUAAGCAAAGCCAUACAAAAAUGGUUCUGUGCCCAGUUGCCUCCACACCAUACUUUAUGGCAACCCUAGCGAGCGUAUCCCGCUUCGACACUCGGUGCUCGAUGUAGCCACCACAGGAUGACGCCGACGACGACGGAGGAGAAGAGGGGAGAGACGAAGAAGACGACACCGGGAUCGUCGCAAUGCUGUUGAUCUCGCCCCUUCGAUCGACGAAUCCAUUGAACAAACCAUUCGAUUGUGGCUCGUUAACUCCCAUUUCGUCCACCUUUCUCCAUCUGCAUCAUCAAACGCUUCGAUUCCCCCCUCUCCGCUCACAUCCGAAGCCAAUGCUUCGCUCCACGGAUCAAUCGAUAGCCAUGGGCGAGGAUCGAGCAAUCACACGGGGCCCAAUCGCUAGAACACUGCAUGAGAAGCCGAAUUUUCCCGAAAUUUCUCGAAAAAUUCGUGGGACUUAGCCGCGGAAAAGCUGAUCGGUGGAUCUAGAUUAACUUUUUGCGAGGAAACGAACAAAAUCCUUCGAAUCAAAGGAUGCGAUGCGCGAAAUGCGAGUCCAAGGGAUACGGACCGUUGGAUGGACUCGGACAAAGCGAUUUCCUGGACCAACCCACCGCGCGUGAUUUGGUGGUGUCGUUGGAACAAAUGAAUACUCUGCGUUUUCCUUGAAUAUACCCGGUGCACCCGUAUACCACAUACACCGACACACAAAAUUUGAUGAUAAAUAAUUUAAACUCCAAAUCUGAAAAAUACUACAAAUCUUAAAUUUUAUUAUUCACCCAUCAAGUCCCACAUUAGGAAAAAGAAUAUUGUCUGGUUUAAUAAAAAAUAAUUGUGCAAAUUUAAUGAUUUUAUAUAUAUAUAUAUAUAUAUAUAGCUAGGCUCCUAUGCUUUCGAAAGUACGGAGGCUUCCGUGUUUGUAAGUUGUUUUCGAUAAUGGGCAUCCGAUACGGCAAUCGGCUCCGUUAGACAUGAUUUACGCUAUUAUAAUGAUUUAGAAACUAAAUUUCAUAAUUUUUUGACUUCAUUUGCCUAGUAAACGAGUAUGCUCAAAAUGAACGGCUGAAAAUAAAAAACUCAUAAAAAAUAGUGAUAAAGGACUCAAAUUUCGAAUCGGAAGUAUUGUUUUUACUCUUGAUGUCAAGUAGAAUUUUCUAUUAAAUUUUCAUGUAAUUUGAAUACUUCUAUACCGUUGAACUUGAAAACGUGCCACAUCAGUCGUUAAAAUAGUCAUUUUUGAGACCCUAUGAUCACUUGGUAAAUGAUGUCGAAAAAUUAUGAAAUUUGGUUUCUAGAUAGUUUCAAUAACGUAAAUUAUGCUUAACGGAGCCGAUCGUCGAAUCGAAUAUCCGAUCAUCAAAAACAACUUACAAGCAUAGAGCCCUCUGUACUUUCGAAAGUACGGGAGACGUACUCAUAUAUAUAUAUAUAUAUAGAAUUGAGCUCCUAUGCUUUUAAGAGUACCAAGUCAUUGGUGCUUGUAAGUUUUCGGCCCUUGGAUUAAAGGAUGUGCGGUUAGGAUGAUGUGGACCCCCUAGGGUUGAGUGAGUGGUUGGUUGAAUAGUAUAAUUUAACGGGUAAAAAUGAUCUAAGACAAAGAUCUAACGGUAAAAAAUUUACAGCACCAAAUGCUUGGUACUUUACAAGCACCAUAGCCGGACUAUAUAUAUAUAUAUAUAUAUAUAUNNNNNNNNNNNNNNNNNNNNNNNNNNNNNNNNNNNNNNNNNNNNNNNNNNNNNNNNNNNNNNNNNNNNNNNNNNNNNNNNNNNNNNNNNNNNNNNNNNNNUAUUUGAAUCCACUGAUUAUCUAUUUCUUUUUUGUCACUACUUUAAUAAUGCUUUGCUUUAUAUUGCUUUUAGUGAUAUUUUUAUUAAUUUCAUUCUUUAGUUCUUUGUCUUUAUUGAAUGCUUCUUAUGCACUGACUCCUUUUACUUGCUGAACUUUAAUUCGAUUAGUUUGGCUUAUAAGCAAUAGUUGGUGAACAAUUUGGCUCAGAGAAUGGAACUAGAAGAACAAUAACUAAGAAAAAAUGUUGAUUGCAAUAUUAUGAAAGUACUAAGCUUGCUUAUAAGUUGAGAAAAUUUAUGGGACUUUUUAGUUAUUUAGGUUAAAUUUCGGUAAGAAAGAAAACUCCAGUUUAACAGGUUUGAAAAUAUUAUUUAACUAUUCUAACUGAAGUUCAGUGGACAAGACAAAUAUAACUCGAGAGUUUGCUAAUUAUCGAUUCUGCUGAAUCUCUUUAUGGUUUUCUGCCCAUUUUGUUACUACUGAUGUGUGUUGCAUAUAGAAUCAAGCAAACAUAAAACCUUUAGAUAAUAUAUAGGCCGUGGCUACUGUACUAUUAUGAGUAUUGAAGCCCUCGUACUCAUAAGUUGUUUUUAAUGAUAGAGCUUCUAGAUUGACGAUCCACUCCGUUAAAUAUGAUCUAGAGUAUUUGAAACUUCUAGAAAAUAAAUUUCGUAAAUUUUCGAAAUCAUAAUAAAGUUCAUCAAGUGGGCAUAAAAUGAACGGUCAAAAUCGAACGACGUCCUAAAAAAGGAUGAUCGGAUCCUUCAAUUCAAGAUCGGAGUUAUUGAUCUUUAUCUAUAUAGUGAAUAGAAUUUUCUAUCAAAAUUCAACAAAUUUCGAUUCUUUUACACCAUUAAACUAGCAAGUAUCCCAUACCGGCCGUUAAAAAUUGUCAAAUUUGUGACCUCUUGAUCCCACGCAGUAAGGACCCUCGGGGACCGGUCUCUCAACUCAGGGGACCAGUCCAAGCACAAUGAAAAACUCAGUUUGUCCAGAUUCAUAUUUUAAAAACCAUCCUAAGUCUUCCAAACACUUUUAAACAUUUAUAAAUCAUCAUUAAUAGUAUUUAAACUUACCGAGCAUCGUGCAUUCAUGUUUUGAGUCUUCGAGUCUUUGAUCUUCAUCUCUUCUUCUUCAAACUUUCAAGACUCCAACUUACUUCACGAAAUAUGCCAACAUAAAAUCCGUAACAUAUUUGAUUUCGGUGCUUUUAUGGUUCGUCUACACAAGCCACAAGUCAAUCAGCCAAGCCAAGACACCCGUUGAUAGGUCUCGACGUGCCGGAGGCCGUGCUCACCUUUCGGAGCAAAUCCGGCAACUGAGGGAAGUGCACAAGCGACGCGAAAUUCAGUAAAACAGCGCGCACAGCGCCUAAAUAGCAUCUACCACGCAAACCGGAGCAUCUCUGACCCAACAGAGGUGGCCACGAUGAUCGGCACUGAACAAGGAUCAUCGUGCUCACCUCCAGCAGACUCGGGGUGGCCUCGUUUCACCGAAACAGUGAUCGGAACCCUAAGACAAGGUGCAAAAAGCCAAUAAAUAACUCACCGGAGCAAGGCGGGGCACAGGGCGGCCGGCGGCAGCCAGACGGUGGGCUAGCCGGCCAGAGGAGGGUGCGGCCAGUGUGGGGAGGCCAGGGCUUGACGGGAGGCGGCGGAGGCGGCGGACGAUUAUGCCCUAGCCGCACAACCCAAGGAGAGUUCGGCUCAUCUUGGUUGACAGGGUGCUCCGGCGGCGGGGUAGCCGGCGGCGGACAGGUGCGGCCAGCUAGGCGGAGCCGGCGCUCAUGCUGGCCGGCGGCGAAAGGCGGCGGCGGCUGCGGUGAAGCAUCCCGAGCCAGCACGAGUUUAGCUCGGGCUCAGAGAGCAGCGGCGGCCAUGGCGAUGGCCGGGGGAGACUACCGGAGGUGGGGCACGGCUGAGGGAGGGAGCCCGAGGGUGAGGAUCUCCCUGGUAGUCCACGGGCAGAGAUGGAGAGGUGGAUAAGUGGAGGAGAUGGUGGAUGAGAGGCCACCCAAGCUUUUUCGGCGGCCGGAGGAGCUUGCCGGCGGCCGGGGUGAGCGUACAGCUAGGGCAGGGACCUGCUGAAGCUAGCUAGGGCAUAGCUGGGGGACAAGGCCGGCCAGAUCUAGGGUUUCGUGCAAAGAAACCCUAGAUACACUUUAUAAACAAUGUGCAAAUUGCAUAACUGUCCCCCAAAAAAGAAUAUUUUCAUUCUAGUCCUUCACGGCGCGAGUAAAACGCGCGAAUACACCCACAUGUCCGAUCUCACACGAUUCGGUACAUAAAAUAUAAUGACUUUUGCAAAUUUUUCGAAUUGCCACCUUCGACCUCUUAGCGAUAACUUUGCAAUUACCGGAGAUCCAUCCGUCGAAUUUUCGAUCCGACAGCGCCAUCGUGUUCAGCAUGACUGGGGCAUCAAAUCUAGCAUUUUGUUUCGUCCGAUUUGGUCGCCGAUUCACGACGAAACCCAUCCACUCUCCAAAUACCAAAAUUACGCACAAAUAUAUAUAAUACACGUAUUUUCAGAUUUCUCAAAAUCCGUGCGUCAAAUCUGAAAUCCGUCAGUGCCAUUGGUUCCAGAAUAGCUGAACCGGUCAAAACGAGCUAUUGGAUCGCUAUGAACGGAGUCCGAUAUGCACCAGAAGCCAACUCUACUCCGUGGCUUCUCCGGAAAACCGGAGUUACUAUUCACUUAAGUGAAUACUACAGAUCGCGUAACUUCUCCGUUCUAACUCAUUUUCUCCUGAAACUUGACGAGUUCUUAUGUAAUUAAUUACACAUAAAAACUUUGUCAACAGAGAGUUCAACUACACUAUCAAAAUCUCAGUCCUUACAUAGACCUUGCCGCUUGGUACCUACUUGGAAGCCUCAACCUUGCACUGUGCCAGGAGAUGACAGCUUACUUGGUUAUAUGCUGGAGGAGCUACUGUCAUCGAUCUCGGAGUCGAUGGAAUGUAAGCAGUAGGAGUUGGUGAAGUACUAAAUGGACAUUUCGUUUGAAAAUAACCUCGUUGUCUGCAUUAGUAGCAUUGACUUGCUCACUGAGGGCGCAUACUGGGCAAAUACGGGCUGCCAUAAAUAAUACACUUCCUCCUCUGAUGUUGUUUCUGCUGUCAUGGCAUGAAAGGUCUCCGACUUGCAAGGGUUCCUCGACCUUGAGACAGUGGUCGAAAGUUCUUCGGUGGCCUCCUUGAACUCACCUGGCCACUUGAUUCCUCAACUUGGUGCUUCUUUUCUUUAUAUUUAACUAUGGUUUCAAUCUCUUCCCCUAUCACUGUAGCCCCCACAUUCCACCCACAGGGCUAACUCGAAUACCUCCUCGAAUGUCUGCAAAUAUUGAGCAUGCACAAACUAAAAAUUUUUUGCUCAUAAUGUUGCUCAAAGCAAUGUGCUUUGUGUUUCUCAUCAUGUACUACAAAGGAAACACUGUAUAGGAGAUAAGUAGACUCUUGUUCGUACUCCCUAAGUAUUCGAUCCCUUUGUCAAACUCUCUUGAAAUCAUCCUGUUAAAAAUCGGAACGGCGAAAAAUAGAUCCAGAAAAUAAUUUAAUGCAGGAAAAGAAAAGAUAAGAAAAGAGCACACCAAUAUUUACAUGGUUCGGCCAACGGCUUACGUCCACGGGUGAAGACAGAGCAAAUACUUUAUUAAUAUCGAAAAGGCGAAGUAUAAAGAAGAUCUCUCAAAAGACCAAAAUUUAAUUAGAUCGAAAAAGCCGCAACAAGCAACUCCAAAACGAAGGACUUCUCUCUCAAUCCGUACGGACCAAAAAUUGGCCUUAAUUACCCGGCGGCUUGGCUCUUUACCAAUGUGCAUGGCUUAAUUAGAGCUAUGCAUAAGUAAAGACUACGGCACCUCCCCAUAGUGCGCCAUGAUGUUGCCAUGUAACUACCAACACUUCUUAGGCCCUUUAAUUAGAGCUCCUUGUUAAUUAGAGCAUGGCCUCUUAAUUGGGUCGCAGCGUCAUUAACUUGGCCUUAGCAUGCAUAUAUAAUACAUGUCUCCUAACUAGAGUCUAAUUCUAAUUCAAUUAGAAUUACACUUCUAAUUAUAAUUCAUAUAUGCCAAAUUAAAUCCAAUCCCAAUUAGAUUAGGAUUUAACUCCAAUUUAGAUAACUACAAAUCUAAACCAAAUAUAACAAUCUCCACAUUGGUUUAAUUUGUAGUUUAGCCGCCGUUAUGUCGAGGUCGCCACAAAACUCCACCUUGAAUUUAAUUCGUCUCAAUGCUCCUUAACCCUUCGUGCUCCGUCUUCUCCAAACGCCCCAUAGGGCCUCAAAUGUUGCCAACUGCCACCAAGUCCAAACAAUACUUGAACUUGGCAAUAGUAAGAGAUUUAGUAAGCAUAUCCAUCGGAUUGUCCUCAGUACCAAUUUUCUUAACAGUCACUGUGCGCUUCCGAAUCACAUCCUGAACAAAGUGAAACUUAUAUCGAUGUGUUUUGUCCUCUCAUGAACAUCUGAUAUUUAGACAAAUGAAUAGCACUUUGACUGUCCAAAUAAAUAAUCGUCGGAUCCUAACAAGAAGUAAGCUCUCCAAAUAAACCUCUUAACCACAUAGCUUCCUUCACACCCUCUGUCAUAGCAAUAUAUUCCGCCUCCGUCGUAGACAAGGUAACAAUAGGUUAUAGUGAAGUUUUCCAACUAACUGCACAUCUGCCAAUAGAGAAUACAUAACCUGAAAGUGAUCUCCUCAUAUCCAAAUCAUCUGCAAAAUUCGAAUCAACAUAUCCAACCACACCAUCCUUACACUUCCCAAACUCCAAGCAAGUGUUAGUGGUACCUCGUAAGUAUCUCAAAAUUCACUUAACAGCCCGCCAAUGAGUCUUAUCAGGAUUAGUCAUAUAUCUGCUAACCAUACUCACUGCGUAGGAGACGUGUGCAAACCAUGGCGUACAUGAUGCUCCCGACUGCACUAGAAUAGGGAACAUGAGACAUGUACUCCCGCUCAUCAUCGGACUGCAGUAAUCUCUCAGCGGACAGUAUGAAAUGCGCCGCAAAAGGAGUGCUUGCCGAUUUUGCAUCUGUUAUUCCGAAACGCUUUAAAAUCUUCUCUAUAUAUUUCUCCUGUGUCAAAUGCAGUAGUCCUGACUUGUUGUCCCUCUUAAUUUCCAUACCAAGAAUUUUCUUAGCAGCACCUAGAUCUUUAAUCUCAAACUCACCCUUAAGUAAAGCCUUCAAUUUAUUUAUCUCAACUAUGUCGCUGGAAGCAAUUAACAUAUCAUCGACAUAGAGCAACAAAUAUAUGAAAGAUCCCUUAUCAAGCUUUCUGAAGUACACGCAACUGUCACGUUUGCUUCUUGAGUAUCCGUGACCUGUCAUGAAGGAGUCGAACCGCUUGUACCAUUGUCGAGGAGACUGCUUUAAGCCAUAAAGCGAUUUUUUUAACAGGCAAACAUGGUCUUCAUUCCCUUCAACAAUGAAUCCCUUCAGCUGUUUCAUAUAAAUUUGCUCCUCAAGUUCUCCAUGCAGAAAAGCUGUCUUAACAUCAAGCUGCUCAAGAUACAGGUCAUUCAUGGCUACUAACGAUAAAAGAAUACGAAUAGAAGUAUGCUUCACGACGGGUAAGAAAAAUAUCAUUAAAGUCAACACCUUCUACUUGACUGUAGCCCUUAGCAACUAAACGAGCUUUAUACCUUGUAUCUUCCACGCCUGGGAUUCCGCCUUUUUUCUUGAAGACCCACUUGCAGCCGACAAUUUUCUUGCCGGUAGGCGGUUUUACCAACUCCUAUGUGCGAUUCUUAUGGAGAGACUCUAUCUCCUCAUUCAUUGCCAUCAACCACUCUACAGAACUGGCACAAAAAAUAGCUUGAUUAUAUGUGGAAGGUUCACUUUCUUCUUCUGUAUCUUGUGCCACUGAAAGAGCGUAAGCAACCAUAUCUUCAUAACCGUAUCUCUGCGGUUGUUUGAUCUGUCUCCUCGCUCUACCUGUAGCAAUGCUCUGUCUCUCAACUUGUGGGGUUUUAGUUACUGAGGUGUCUGUCGACUGAACUUGUUCUGACUGAGAAGAAUUCUGCGACUGAACUAUACCAUCGGUCUCUACCUCCACCUGCUUGCUAUCACUCGGGGUCUCAUCAGAAGAAUUACGGUUAGGAUAUAACAUAGCAGAUUCAUCAAACGUGACAUCCCUACUAAUAAUUAAUUUAGACGAUUCAGAAUACCACAAUCUAUAUCCCUUAACCCCCGAUGCAUAACCAAUAAAAAUGCACUUUUUAGCCCUAGGUUCUAACUUACCUUCAUUGAUAUGAACAUAAACAGGACAAUCAAAUAUUCACAAAUUAGAAUAAUCAGAAGGGCUACCAGACCAUACCUCCUCCGGAGUUUUGCAAUCAAGUGCUGAAUGCGGAGAUCGAUUUACCAAAUAGUAUGCCGUAAAGAUCGCUUCUGCCCAGAAAUUCUUAGCUAAGCCAGCAUUAGAGAGCAUACAACGGGCUCUCUCUCUAAAAGAGUUCUGUUCAUCCGUUUGGCCACCCCGUUCUGCUGUGGAGUAUACCUAGCGGUUUUAUGUCUAACGAUUCCUUCAUUCUUGCAAAAUUCUUUAAACUCUGACGAACAGAAUUUAAAACCAUUGUCGGUCCUUAAUCUCUUGAUCUUCUUUUCAGUUUGCUUCUCAAUCAUGACCUUCCACUGCUUGAAAUAAUUGAACACCUCAUCCUUACUUUUUAGAAAGAACGCCCACACUUUACGAGAAUAGUCGACAAAAAAAGUCAACAUAUAUCUAGCACCACCAUGAGUAGGAGUACGAGAGGGUCCCCAAAGAUCAGAAUAAAUAUAGUCCAGAGUACCUUUUGUCCGGUGAACUGCGGCCUUAAAGCUGACUCUCUUUUGUUUGCUAAGAAGACAAUGCUCGCAGAAGUCCAACUUUUCUAAACUCUGACUACCAAGUAGACCUCUCUCGCGCAACUUCAUCAUACCAUAUUCACUCAUAUGGCCCAGUCGCAUAUGCCAUAAUCUGGUGUUAUCAGAAUCUGACAUAGAGGAAGAAGUCACCGCUGCUGAACCUGUCAUAGUGGAACCCUGUAGAACAUAUAACAUGCUGGACAACUUGGCCUUCAUCACUACAAGAUUUUCUUUAGCGACCUUCAUUAAUCCAUCAGCUGAAGAAUACUUAAAGCCUUUAGUAUCAAGUGUACCCAAUGAGAUCAAAUUUUUCUCAUAUUCGGAACAUGCCGAACCUCAGAUAUAGUUCUCACUACUCCAUCGAACAUUUGUACUCGAACAGUGCCAAUUCCAAUGACUGUACACUUAGAGUGAUUUUUCAUCAAUACAUCUCCACCUUCAAUAGGCUUGUACGCCGAGAACCAUUCUCUAUGCGUGCAGAUAUCAAAAGAACAUGCGGAGUCCAUAAGCCACUCAUUUUGUCUGCGUGUUUUAUCCGUAACUGUGAAGACGAUAUCAUUUUUAUCUGAUUCUCCUGCUGCAACAUUUGCUUCUGCUUCAGUAUUGGUGUUUUUCUGAUCAUUGGUUUUUAUCACCAUUAUUCUUCUGCUGCUCUUUAUUUUUCAACUUGAAACAGUCAGCUUUUAUGUGACCCUUCUUCUUACAAUAACCACAAAUCAGAUUCUUGUGCUUUGACUUUGAUCUAGAUGUACCUCUAUUACCGGAACCCUUCUCCCGAGACCUCCCUCUAGCGACCAGAUCUUGUCCUGAAGCUUCACCUGUCUCGUUGCUUAUUUGCAUGUCAAUUCUCUCUUUUGAAAGUAAAGAGGAUUUAACAUCAUCGAGAUAUAGAGUAUCUCGUCCAAACAAGAAGGUCUCACGAAAAUUCUUAUAAGAGGGUGGUAGAGAACAUAAUAAUAAAAGAGCUUCAUAUUCCUCCUCGAUUUUGACAUCUACCGAGCGGAGAUCCAUAAGAAUAGAAUUAAAUUCAUCUAAAUGCGACUUAAUAGAGCUACCUUCCGUCAUGCGCAACAUGAAGAGACGUUGCUUCAAAUAUAACUUGUUGGUGAGAGACUUCGUCAUGUAGAGAGACUCGAAUUUAAGCCAAAGCCCUGCAGCGGUUUUUUCAUCCAAGACCUCGCGCAAUACCUCAUCGGAUAAACAUAAUUGUAUUGCCGUAAGAGCUUUGUCAUCAAUCACCUCCUUCUGCUCCACCAUCAACGAAUCGGGCAUUUUUUCUUUUCCCAACAGUGCUUUCUGCAAUCCUUGCUGCGUCAAUAUAGCACGCAUCUUGACUUGCCAUAAUGCAAAACUGUUGGUCCUGUUAAAUUUCUGAAUCUCGAACUUCGUCGUCAUCUUAAUCCUCAAAGGGAAUAGAAAAGCUCUGAUACCUUUUCUUAUAUGGUUCAGCCAACGGCUUACGUGCAUGAGCGAAGACGGAGCAAAUACUUUAUUAAUAUCGAAAAGACGGAGUACAAAGAAGAUCUCUCAAAAGACCAAAAUUUAAUUAGAUCAAAAAAGCCGCAACAAGCAACUCCAAAACGAAGGACUUCUCUCUCAAUCCGUACGGACCAAAAAUUAGCCUUAAUUAGCCGGCGGUUGGGUCUUUACCAAUGUGUAUGGCUUAAUUAGAGCUAUGCAUAAUUAAAGGCUACGGCACCUCUCCAUUGCGCACCAUGAUGUUGCCACGUAACCACCAGCACUUCUUAGGCCCUUUAAUUAGAGCUCCUUGUUAAUUAGAGCAUGGCCUCUUACUUGGGUCACGGCGUCAUUAACUUGGCCUUAGCAUGUAUAUAUAAUACAUGUCUCCUAACUAGAGUGUAAUUCUAAUUCAAUUAGAAUUACACUUCUAAUUAUAAUCCAUAUAUGCCAAAUUAAAUCCAAUCCCAAUUAGAUUAAAAUUUAACUCCAAUUUAGAUAACUACAAAUUUAAACCAAAUAUAACACAUCCUCUAUUUGUCCUUGCUGCUUUUUGAAAAAUUUGUGUUGAAAUGCAUUCCCCGAUAUUCUCCCCACAUCAAAGAAAGGGCAACCUUGGGUUGCCAUCUCAACCAAUUAUGUGCGUCACCUUCUAAGCAAUGAGCAGCUAUGUGUAUCUCGUCUUGUUUGGAAUUAUAUAAAUCUUUGAAGAGCUUUUCAUGAUAUCAACCCAUACUUCUACCACCCAUGGCUCCAUGGCCUUUCUAUUGAGGUCAAACUUCCAAAAAAUUGCUAGAGUACUCCGAGCUUGCUCUUGCUCAGCCUUAAGUGAGGCCUGAUCUGCGACAGAAGUGUCGAAAGCGUCAGCAAAGGAUAAGCUAUCAUUGAAGUGGCUGUCCUUGUAGUCCUCGCAUUAGCAUUUGGUGUAGCAAUAGUAACAAAGCGCAUAUUCUGCUCUUGAGUCCCAUGGGCUGCAUCUAGCUGUUGUGCCAUAGACUCAUGCAGUUUCUGAAUUUGUUCCACCUGUCGUUGAGUGGCCUCAGCUUGCCUCUCAGCCACCGUCGCUUGCCUCCGAACUACUCCCACUAGCGCAGUCAUUUUCUCUCAAAGCUUCCGUACUUCACUUGACCUAGUCUAGUCUUGAGCUUCAGGUGGUGUUGGUGUAGACCUAGUCGAGGGUCGCCCAUGGUGAGCCAUUUCAGCUAUCUGCAACAUGACAAAAUUAAUUACCCAACAAAUAAAUAAACACUUAAUAUUAAUCAGCACAAAGCAUAUAUAACUUAAUCCCUAUUAUGCAGAAGUGAAGAACAUAACCUUUUACAUUUACGACAUCAUAUUGUCUGGAGCCAAUAUAAUUAUCAAACAGAAAAAGAUGUGACAUCUUCGAUUGGUCUUCAAUUCACUUCCGCCAUAAUAUGGAGACUCAACACGAUCCACUAUUGGUCUCCAGAGAUGACAAUGCUAGCUAACUCACAAUCUUAAUUUCUUGUUGUGCUCACUGGCCAAUGAUGAGGGCUUUGAAAAGAAAUAGCAACAAGGACGUGAGAACUAUAAAAAUAGAUUUCAAUGGGUUUAGCCGCCAAAAGAGAUCGACGACCUACACUACUAGGUCAACACGAGGCAUCAAUAUAAGGAAUAUUAAAAUAAUGAUAAAAUAAAGAAAAUAAUAAUAAUAAGUGUGAUAUAGUACUAUCAUGCCUCUACAAUGAUGAAAUUUACUGUCAAUCAGCUAGUCUAGUAUAUUAUGCGUCAACUGUGUUAAGUAAACAUUGCCAGUUGCCCAAUCAUGGCGACCGUCUCUGAGUUCGGCUAAGCCUGUGGUGUGCCUGAGAGUUGCCGAACAACACACAAACCCACACAAGCACCCAACUAAAAUGGCUCGAGUUCACGCCAGCCAUAUGGCUACACCUCCAGAGGACUGUUUCGCUGGGGCGCGACCCCAUGCAAGUAAACAAGUAGCUGAGUUCAAGUUGACUCUUGUAGGCUAUGGUCACAUGUUAUGAUCAACAAGAUCUCAUAAUGCUUUUAUUAUCUUAUUAAGUUCCCAAUUUAUAGUUUGUACAUCUUUUAUCAUGCAUAUAAAAGAAUACAUAAAUAGCAACUACCCUGUAGAAUUUCCCUUGUAGAAUUUCACAAUACCAGAAUAGUAAUGUGCAUGGUUCACGGAUGAGAAAAGAGAGACAGAGGGGGGUCUUCAAUUUUGGAGUACUGUCACCCACCAAAAAUCACGGAACUUCGUUCCACAGUUGUCCUUACUCGGGGUGUCAAGAGCCGAACACAACACGAGCGAGUUGGUGCUGGUUCGUAUUCAGCUUGUUUCAUAAAUGAGCCGAACACGAACUGACUCAUUAAAGUCUCAAGUCGAAAAAUUUAGCUCGUGUUCGACUUGUUUAUUAACGAGCCGAACACGAGCUGGCUCACAAAUAAUAAAUUAAAAGAACUAGAAAAAAUAUAUAUAGGAAAUAAAUUUUUUAGAUCUUAUCCAUUAGAUUUUGAUGUAAUUGUUGAAACUUUUCAUAUAAAUUAGCUUUUUCAUAAUUGAGUUGCACUUAAUAUUUAGGUUGAGCUAAAAAUUAAAUGAUAAAAAUUUGUAUUAAUUAGAUAUUUAUAAUUAUUUAUUUAUAUAUAAAAUAUAUGUAUUCGAACUGUUAUCGAGCCGAACACGAAAAAACUGUCCCCAGCUCGUGUUCAGCUCGUUUAUUAAACGAUUUAAAAAAAAUUCAGCUCAUGUUCGGCUAAUUUCGAGCGAGCCGUAAACGUGCUAGCUUGCAAACAACGAGCUAGAUUAAUUGCCACCCCUAGUCCUAACCCUCGCAACCGCCAAGAAAUCUUUAACAAACAAUUUCUACUCAUCAGAACCCAUCUAAACAAAUACCUAUUUCAGAAACCUCAAAUCCUCCUCCUAAAUCAGUAUUUCUAAAAGAAACUAUUCAAAACCCAUGAAUUAAUCACCAAAUUAACCCAAACCUUACUUCUACUUCACGAAAGUCGUGUCGAGGCUCAGGAACAAUUCUCCGAGAGACCCCUCUUUGCUGGCCUAAGCUGGAAUUCUAGCUUCGGAGGGUGGUCUAAGGGAAACGUAGAGGUUAGGUUUUCUAGAAGUAGAAAGAGAGUAAGGAAGAAAGAAAGGAAGAAGAUGAAGAAGAGAUGAGAAGUUGGGGAUUUCGCAGUGCAUAAGUGGUGGAGGAAGCUACCUAUACAGGGUGAGAGGGUAUUUAUUAGGCGGUAAUAAUUUAUUUAAACCUCUCAAAAUAAAGAAAUUGCAAUAUACUGGAAACUAAGUCAGCGGCAGGUUUUGAGCACCCGGAAGCAUUUUUCUGAUCGAGCUCUCCAUCCAUAAGUUUCGGACGUCCACACCACUAUUGGAUUGAUUUCAGAUGCCCGAAGAACAUUUCGGAUGCCCGAAUAAUUAAUCGGGACAGCAAACUGAGUUCUUGAGUUGAGCACCCGGAAGAAGUUUUGGGCGUCCGAUACAUAGUCUGAAGGUUUAGGAUGCCCACAGGGCAGGGCAAUUUGGGCGCCCAAAACUAAGUCGGUUCACAGUCCCACUACGUCGGUUUCGUGCUCUGUAUAGGUUUUGGCCGCCCAAAGGUUAAUUAGUCUGGGCGUCUUGAAGUUCACUAAAUCUCAAGUUUCAGCAGACUAAGUUUUCGGACUCUGUUUUCACAUGCGUUUGGACUCAAACUCGAACCAACUUCAUAUAAUUUUGCCAGAACCUUACAAACAAUAUAGAAGAUGACUUCCUACUAGAACUUUUGAUAGGAGGUUAUGCCUGGUCUAUCGCCAGGUCAAAAGUUUCAAAAUCCCGCAAGAAAAAAAAUUCAAUUUAAGAAAAUUAAAUUUCAAUAAGAGGUUCGAGGGUUUAAUUAUUAUUAUAUGUAUAGUAUUCUCAUAUUGAGACGACACAGCUGGAAGACGAUGAAUCUUUCACCUCUUUCAAUAAACAUGAUAAAUGUAGGAGUGCGGCUAGGAUGCUUAUGGAAGCAUGGAGGGCUCCGUGCUUUUACUUUGUUUUCGAUGUUCGGACUUUCGAAUCAACGAUCGGCUCUGUUAGACUUGAUCUAGAAUAUUUGAAGUACCUAGAAAAUAAAUUUUACGAUUUUUCGAUAUCAUUUGCCUAGUGAUCGAAGUGGCUCAAAAUCAACGGCUGAAAAUAAAAAUCUUACAAAAUAUGAUGAUAUGAUAUUAAAAUUUUAGAUCAGAGUUAUUGAUCUUGUUUUAUAUGGUAUAAAAAAUUUUCCAUCAAAAUUUUAUAUGAUUUGGAUAUUUCUACACCGUUAAGCUUGCAACCGGCUUACCACGGCUGUUAAAAUUAUUGAUUUUGAGCCCCUUCGAUCACUAGGCAAAUGAUAUCGAAAAAUCGCAAAAUUUAUUUUCUAGGUACUUCAAAUACUCUAGAUCAACUCUAACGGAGCCGAUCGUCGAUUCGAAAGUCCGAACAACGAAAACGACUUGGAAGCACGGAGGCCUCCGUGCUUCCAUAAGCAUACUAGUACAACUCUAAAUGUAGUGAGCUAAUGACGGAACCAUCACUAUCAAGAUACUAAUCAUACUAGUAAACAAAUGUGAUGUAUCUAAAUUAUCCACAACUAAGAUAUGCGAGAUUGGAGUAAAUGAAGUUGAAAGAGAAAAAUCCAGGCACAACCACAACAACAACAACACAAGAUUUACGUGGUUCACCCAAACCGGGCUACAUCCACGGGCACGGAGAGAUCAAAUCCACUAUCAAAUAAGGAGAUUACAAGAUUUGGUUAGAGAUUACCACUCUAUUACAAUGGGCUUGCAAUCUUCUAAUUAGGAAAAAACCCUUUUUGCUACACCUUCAUCUAAGCACCUUUCGAAUUCGCGAAACCCGCUUCGAAAUGCCUCUUAGAAUUCUUCCAAUCAACCUUGGAAGCUUUUGAAUCAAGCAAGAAAAACAAGAGAGCUCUUUUUCAACCCUCUCUACACCUCUCUUUUUUAUCUCAAGAAAAGAAAAAUCUAGAGAACAAAAUAAAAUGAGAACUCCCCCUUUCUAAACCCAAAGAGAUUCUCUCUUAACACCACUUAGCCCAACAUACCAAAUGGAUCAAUUAAAGCCCAAACCAAUUACUAACUAGCCCAUUACAUAAGUUGUUGAACCAAACCCAAAAUAAAAUCAAUUAGGAUAAUAAGUAAAUUUGAUAUCACUAACCCAACAAUAAACGAUUCAAGAUCUUUCAAAUUUUCCCUGGUACUAUAGCAUUUAGUUGGUCGAAGUAGGAUUAGUUUGCAAAAUAAAUUUUUAUCAGGAUUAUUUGGCCAAAUAUAAAUUUUGUAAGAUUAUUUUGAAAAAAAAAUUUAAAAAAUAUGUUGUCACAAAAGGAUUAAUGGCUGCAAUUAGAACACAUGGAUGGGAAAAAAAAAAAAAAAAAAAGAAGAAAAGAAAGAGAAUUAACUUACACCAAAGAGAUUUAAAUGCUCCAAACUUUUGGAAAUUUGAAAGGAUAAAUAAAUUGAUAGCACAGAUAAGAACUAUAAAUGGUUGAUAUCUUCUGGUAAAAGAAAGAUUACAAUAGUAAAUGAAGUGCAGUAAUUAGUAACACUAUAUGGCACUCGGUGGUGCAAUUUCGAACCAAGCUUUUAAAAUUAUAUAUCUACUAUAAUAUUCAGAAAAAAUAUUAUAGUCCUUAUACUUACUCUCUCUUGCCUCUCUAUCUUAAAUCCUAGCUAGAAUUCUAGGGAAUUAAUUAAUUUUUUUGUUAUAGAAUUAUUAGGGAAUACCAGCUUUUGGAUUAAAAUUAAAUAUGUUGAAAAUUUAUUUGAUAUUAGUUAUACUUUAUCGACAACCCCAACAUACCCCUUUACGGAUUAGUUAUAAAAUAAAAGAAAAGUCUUUUCUCCAACAUAUCAAAUUAUAAAAAACUAGUGUUUUGAAAUGUAAAACAGAGGCAUUGAUACCAAACAAGGCCUUAGUUACAUGUUUUGAUUCGCCAACUCAGUUUUAAAUUUGAAAUAGUAACUUAUGUUUUAAAAUUUCAUUUUGAAGUUUAAUUAUUAAGUCUAAAUCCAAAUUUUUAAUUCAGUUGUAUGGUUUGAAUGGCCAACUCGGUUUUACAUUUUAGAUAAUGACUUAUAUAUGUUUUCAAAUUUCAUUUUGAAUUUUAAUUAUUAAGUCUAAAUCCAAGUUUGUAAUUUAAUUUUACAUUUUGAUUUUUAAGCUCGAAUUUAAAUUUAAAAUUAGAGGAGUUCUUCUCCACUUUUAAAUUUUUGAUGCGGUUCAUUCAUUUGUGUUCUAUGGCUUAGAAUAUUUAUUUAUUUAUUUAUUUUUAGUUGUGACCUAUAAUAGAAGGUCACUUUUAGAGAGGUAAUGAUUACCGGGUACCUAAAAAGAAAUAAUAGACCACACGCUUUAUUAAUGUCAUAUUUAACCACUUGAAUAGAAAAAGGAAAGCGAAAGAGAAGAGAGAUGUAUUAAUAAUACAGUGAGGUACAAUUACUUAAUUACUAUCAUAUUAAAAUAUCAAAUUAUUUCUUUUUAGGUACCCGGUAAUCAUUACCUCUCUAAAAGUGACCUUCUAUUAUAGGUCACAACUAAAAAUAAAUAAAUAAAUAAAUAUUCUAAGCCAUAGAACACAAAUGAAUGAACCGCAUCAAAAAUUUAAAAGUGGAGAAGAACUCCUCUAAUUUUAAAUUUAAAUUCGAGCUUAAAAAUCAAAAUGUAAAAUUAAAUUACAAACUUGGAUUUAGACUUAAUAAUUAAAAUUCAAAAUGAAAUUUGAAAACAUAUAUAAGUCAUUAUCUAAAAUGUAAAACCGAGUUGGCCAUUCAAACCAUACAACUGAAUUAAAAAUUUGGAUUUAGACUUAAUAAUUAAACUUCAAAAUGAAAUUUUAAAACAUAAGUUACUAUUUCAAAUUUAAAACUGAGUUGGCGAAUCAAAACAUGUAACUAAGGCCUUGUUUGGUAUCAAUGCCUCUGUUUUACAUUUCAAAACACUAGUUUUUUAUAAUUUGAUAUGUUGGAGAAAAGACUUUUCUUUUAUUUUAUAACUAAUCCGUAAAGGGGUAUGUUGGGGUUGUCGAUAAAGUAUAACUAAUAUCAAAUAAAUUUUCAACAUAUUUAAUUUUAAUCCAAAAGCUGGUAUUCCCUAAUAAUUCUAUAACAAAAAAAUUAAUUAAUUCCCUAGAAUUCUAGCUAGGAUUUAAGAUAGAGAGGCAAGAGAGAGUAAGUAUAAGGACUAUAAUAUUUUUUCUGAAUAUUAUAGUAGAUAUAUAAUUUUAAAAGCUUGGUUCGAAAUUGCACCACCGAGUGCCAUAUAGUGUUACUAAUUACUGCACUUCAUUUACUAUUGUAAUCUUUCUUUUACCAGAAGAUAUCAACCAUUUAUANAAAAAAUAGAUCCAGAAAAUAACUUAAUGCAAGAAAAGAAAAGAUAAGCGGAAAGAACACACCGAUAAUUACGUGGUUCGGCCAACGGCCUACGUCCACGGGCGAAGACGGAGCAAAUACUUUAUUAAUAUCGAAAAGGCGGAGUACAAGAAAAUCUCUCAAAAGACCAAAAUUUAAUUAGAUCCGAAAACGCGCAACAAGCAACUCCAAUUGCGGCUUCUCUCUCAACCCGUACGGACCAAAAAAUGGCCUUAAUUUGCCGGCGGCUUGGCUCUCUCUAAUACGCAGUGCACAAUAGCUUCAUCUCGGCUCGGGUCACGACACGCAAGAAUGCACGACACACCAUGGGUUGGGUUGACUUAAUUAAUUAAGCACCAGCAGAGUACCCUGAGCCGAGCACUAAGAGCAACCCCUUAAUUAAUUUGCUUGGCCCUUAAUUUGGUCGCCGCUCCUUUAAUUUGGCCGUAGUAUGUAUAUAUAAUACAUGUCUUCUAAUUAGAGUCUAAUUCUAAUUAGAUUAGAAUUACACUCCUAAUUAUAAUCCAUAUAUGCCAAAUUAAAUCUAAAUAAUAUCUAAUCCCAAUUAGAUUAGGAUUUAUCCUCAAUUUAGAUAACUACAAAUCUAAACCAAAUAUAACAUAGAUGUAUGUAGACUUCUCCAUAAAUAUUGAAGUAUCUGCGUUACCAUUUGGUAAUUGGCACUAGUAGGAGCAUGCAUAUACUGACAGGCGACAUUGACUGCGAGUGAGAGAUACAGGUGAAUAAGGAUGAGAUAUUGAAGAGUACUGACAAUACUUCGAUAGUGCGAGGGGUCACUAUAUGGUUGGUCUCCUCUCUUAAGUGGAGGCGGUUUGGAGGUCAUAGGGGUGGCAAUAGGCUUGCAUUGCUCCAUAGAAGCCCGAGUUAAGAUAUCAGAAGCGUAUUUUCAUUGCCAAAGAAAUAAACCAUUUGAAGAGCGGUGUAUUUAAAUCCCUAAGAAGAAAUGGAGAGGACCUAAAUCUUUCAUAGGAAAAACCUGACCAAGAGCAAAACCAAGUUGAUCUAAAAAUUGGUGCGAGUCACCUGUGAGGACAAUAUCAUCCACAUAGAGAAGUAGAAUAAUAGUGUGACCGUCGUGACGAUAGAUAAAUAAUGAUGGAUCGAAGAUACUACAAACGAACCCAUAACCGAUCAGGAAGUCACUGAAUUUGUCGAACCAUGCUCGAGGAGCUUUCUUGAGCCCAUGCAGUGCGCGCCGAAGUAAAUAGAUAUGAUUGGGAUAAGUCGAGUCACGAAAGGUAGGUAGUUGCUCCAUAUAAAUCGGUGCUGCGAGGUCGCCAUGUAAGAAAGCAUUUUUAAAAUCCAAUUGACGAAUUGGCCAAUGUCGAAUAGUGGCUAUAGUGAGUACAAUGCAAAUAGUACCCAGCUUUACAAUCGGACUGAAUGUUCAAGAAAGUCGACCCACUCCUCCUGAUGGAAGCCCUUGCCCACAAGACGGGCUUUAAGUCGAUCUAGUGACCCAUCCGCAUGGAAUUUCAUCUUGAAGACCCAUUUACAGUCGAUGACAUUCAUCGAGGGACACCCUGGAACAAGUUGCUAUGUUCUAUUCAUUGCAAGCGCGUCUAAUUCCUCACGCAUCGCAGCUGUCCACCCAGAAUGUUUAAGAGCCGAUUGGAUAGUGCGCGGUUCGAGAGGAAUUGGUGAGAGGGCAAGAUUGGCAUACUGCGGGUUGGGCUUGAAACUUCUAAUCUUGGAGUAGGUCACCAUAGGAUGGCACAGAGGGAGUGGCCACUUUUGGCACAGUUGGUGGGGCAUCGACUGGAGGCAUAGACGAAGAGCUUGGAGGAUCAGUAGGUUGCAAGUUUGCUGAAGAAGUAGUUGUAACCUCAUCAGAGAAUAAUCGAGCAACUUCUCUUUGGUCAGUUGAAUUAAAGAUAGGAGUAUGGCUAGAUUGAAUAGAGUUAGCAGACCCGAGAGUGGAGCCCCAAUGCAAGGGAUCCCCAAUAUAAGUAGUAGCGAUCUGAGAGGAAGUAGCAAAUGGAAAAUAAUGUUCCUAAAAAAUAACAUGUCGAGAAAUAUAGAUGUGACCGGUAGAUUGAUUUAGGCAGUGAUAACUGUUGUGUUUCUCACUGUGGUCUAAAAAGACACAGGGCAAUGAUCUUUUGUCAAGCUUAUUCAUCAUAUAAUUGCGAAGAUAUGGAAAGCAACAAGAUCCAAAAGUACGAAGAUGUGAAUAGUCGGGUUCCUUUUUAAAAAGAACUGAAUAUGAGCUUUUCUUGCCCAGUGCUGCAGACGAAAGCCGAUUGAUCAAAUAAUUAAUAGUAGUGAAAGCCUCUACCCAGUAGCAGCUGGGCAUCGAGCCCUCAAAUAGUGCAGCAAGCCCGAGUUCCACAAUGUGGCGAUGCUUCCUUUAGGCAACACUAUUUUGUUCUGGUGUGCUCGACCAUGAAAGUUGGUGUUGGAUGCCACAAUUGCCAAGAUGAGUUAGAAAGACAUUACUAAUAAAUUCAUCCCCGUCAUUCGAUUGAAAAAUUUUAAUUUUCUUUCAAAUUGAUUUUCAACCAAUUUUUGGAAGGUGAGAAAAAUAUCCAAAAAAUAUGAUUUACACUUCAAUGGAUAUAAGCAACAGUAAUGAGAAAAAUCAUCAAUAAAUACUACGUAAUAUCGAAAAUGUUGCACGAAAGAUACCGGCGCAGGUUUCCAAAUAUCACAAUAUAAUUUAUUCAAAGAAAAAGAGUAUCGAGAAUCAAAUACAUAGAAUGGUAAUUUUGAACUUUUGCUGAUCUAACAGCUUGUGCACGAAGUCCCAGAUGACUUAAUUACUGAAUAAUGCUAGGGGCCUGGCGUGACUCGAACUCAGAACCUCUUACUCUGAUAUCAUGUGAAACAACCGUUGUACUCUAAAAGCUUAAGCUAUUAGAGAACAGUGUUUAUAUAUUUUUAUAUUUAACACUACCCCUCAUUUCAUGGGCCUUGUAAAAAGUCUCGAGCCGAGACGUGAGGGGAAGUGUUAAAUAUAAAAAUAUAUAAACACCGUUCUUUAACAGCUUAAACUUUUAGAGUACAACGGUUGUUUCACAUAGUAUCAAAGCAGGAGGUCCUGAGUUCGAGUCAUGCCAAGCUAGGAGCAUUAUUAAUUUCUUCCUAUUUAAUUCAAGCACACGUCAUUGGCCGACUAAAAAAAAGUCUCGAGCCCUUUAGAGUACAACGGUUGUUUCACAGUGGGCCUCACCAUGCCAGAAAAAAAAGGUGGAAUUAUUUCAAGGUCCGAGUAUGGACUUUAUCUAUACCUAUCUUGAACCCAACCCGAAUUCUUAUUGAUUUUAUGUUAUAUAAAAUAUAUAAUGUUUGAUUUUAUAUUUGAAUUUAUAUUUAAAAAAUUUAGACUUAAUAUAAUAUGUUUUGAAAUAUAGAUAAGAGAAAUUAUUGUUUCAGGUUUGGGUUUCCGAGUUUGGUUUUGAGUUAUGAAUUUUUGGUCAGUUUCGGGUUUGGAUAUGGAUUUUUAAAAUCCAUCAGAUUCAGAUACAGAUUUUGGAAUUGAUAGUUGGAUUCGGAUUCGGAUUUUUGAAAAAUCUACCCCAAAUCUGGCAUGCUAACAUUUUUAACCACUGGUUCCUUACCAAUACUGAUUUUUUUACCACUAAUCUUAACUGUUUUAAUUUUUAUGUUUAAAAUUACGUCUACAAUAUUUAUUAUCUCUAACUGCUAAGAUGUCAUUAUGCUUAAAACGUGUAUUAUCUCUAAUAGUUCAAAACUGUUUUCAACCGUAUUCAGUUCAAAGGGUUGAACCGAGCUGCAUGAUAGACUAGGUUACUGUCAGAUGAGUCAAACUAAUCAGUUCAAUCUGGGAUUUAUAUAGUUGAUACUAACACAACUAAAUGAAUAAUAAAGCUAGGAAGCUAAGUGCUAACUAAAAAGUAAGGAACUAAAAUGUCAAAAAUCAACUAAAGGCUAAAAAAUUUUAAAGGUAAAAAUCAAAACCAGUUUAAUUUAAAUCAAAUCAAUUAAACUGAUCAAAUAGAUAAAAUAUAUAAAUAGUCUAGAUUUGUUCCAUAUAGAUUUAUUUAAUUUAUCGACAGUACUAGUUUUCUUUACUCUAUUAAAUUAAACUCUAUGGUGGAGAUUUAUUAUAAGUUUAAAAUUUAAAUUAUACAAUAUAGAUUUAUUCAAUCGUAAGUUUAAAUUGCACCAUAUUUUUUAGAUUUAUAAGUGGUUUUCAUAUACCCUUUUAGAUUCUAAACUUUAAAUUUAUUUUCAGCUUAAAUUUUAAAUUAUAAUACAGUCUCAUUAUUUUAAAAGAUCAAUUUUUACUAUUAAAAUUUGAAUUAAUUAGCCUGUAGAAUUCUAUUCUAAGAUAAAUUUGAAUUAUAUCCUAUCUUCCUAUUAAAUAUAAUAUUUACUCACAUUUUAAACUUUCUUAAAUAGUGAUACAAAAUACUAUGUGCAAAUUAGAGAAAUUUUAAAAUUCCUUAAACAUAUUAAAUAUGUUGAAUUUAUAUAUUUACCCACUUCAAAUUUUUUUUAAUAAUGAUACAAAAUUAAUGUUGAAAUUAGAUGAAUUCGAAAAUUCCUUAACAUAUUAAAUAUGUUGAAUUUGAAUAUUUAUUCACAUUCAAAACACCGGCCUAAAAUGUUUAAACUCAGUUAUUAUUAUUAGUAUCAAAGUUCGAUGUGGGAUUAUUAGGGUGUGACAGACUCCCUCCGUGUCAAAGCCUAUCACCUUGACUCUGGCUCAGCUCAGUUAUUAUUACUAAUAUCUAAGUCUCUUAUAUACCCAAUCGCAUCUUCAUUCCUAUCCGAUGUGGGAUUAUUGGGUACUACAACAAAAAUGGUCCAUAGCGACACUUUUAAAUAUCGGUAAAAGUAAAAAAAAGUGCCGCUGGCUAAAUUACCGAUACUUUUAAAAAGUGUUGCUAUAUGUGGGGUUGCUAGGUAUAUAGUGACAGUUAAAGAGUGUCGCUAUAAUUUAAAAAGAGUGUUGUUAAUUUACCAACACUUAUUUAAGCAUUUAGCAACCGUCGGAGCUCUACCUCGUUGGCUGCGGUGGCGGAGGAGGACGAGAGGGAAGGCCUCUUCGUCUAGGAUUUCAGUGGAUUGAGUGAGGGGAGAAGGGGAAAUGGUAAUCGAUUUUUCUUUUUUUUUUUUUCUUUUCUGUUUGUAAUCGGGCAGAAUGGGCUAUGUGGGGUGGGUUGAGUAGAGCAACAUUUUAUUUUUUGUUGGAUUGGGCUUUAUAUUUAGGCAUCAGUAGAUUUUUUUUAAAGUUUUGGCAUAAAUGGGGCACUUACAGAAAAGUGUCCCAAACAUAUGUCCCUAUAACCUAAUUCUGUUGUAGUGGGUGUGACACUAAUGCCUAAAUUUGCGUAAGGGAUAUCAAUCAAAAUUUUGUUUCAAUUUGCGAUAUUUAAUUACGAAAAUAU
rnacentral:lncRNA from 1 species